UUUCCAUGACAACCUAUUUUUUUAAAAUAUAAUGAACCAUUAGUACCAAAUAAAAAAUCGAAUAUAGAAAGUUCAAUUGUAGAUAGGUACCAGCCCGUUAUGAAGACCUCCUUUCUCGUAAGCAUCGCUUCUUAAAGUAGCCAUCAUUUCGUCCCAUCGUGCGAUCAAUGGAGGGGGUCUAGAAGCAUACAUUAAUCGGCCACUACGCACGUGCUCCCAGUACCAAUACUACACAAUAAAUUAGUUCAUCACCAUACAGAUAUGCAACAGAACAAUAAUUAAAGGACAUUAAGUAGUGAUCUAUCACUAACCUAGAGCAGAAUUAGAUUUCAUUGUAGAUUUACGUGAUCUCGAUUUCUAAACUUGUGAACGGACUUGAAGAAGUGAUUAAGUGUGAAACAUCCCCAGUUAAAUUUCCGAAGGUUUUCAAGAUCUGUAACGAGGUUGAGAAAUUUCGAGUCCACAUAAUGUUGUGCUGUUGGUGCUAGAACAGUACCAAUUGCGUACAGAAUGAACCGCCUCAGGAAAUCGCCGUCUGGGGCUUUGGAAGCUCGGAUCAUUGUUUCAAGGUCAGAAAUCAAAAUUUGCCCAUUGUUUGCAUAGGCGGUAAACAAUUCUGUGUCGGUUUGCAUUUCCAGAUGUGGCUCUAUAUCCUCCCCUUCUAUCGGAAUGCCAAAUAUACCUUGCACGUCCUCUUUUGUUAUAGGAAUUGGCGUUUUACCGAUGGUAAUGGAUUGCGUGUCCAUAUCUAUGCUCUUGGCUAGUCUAACCAACAUUAUGCGCCGUAGAGUCACUUCAUGCAUCUGGGUCAGACCGCCAAGACUGGUUUCUGAUAUGAUGUACUUUCUGUGGUCUUAUGAAAACAGUUUCAUGGUUUUUCCGAACCUUGUCUGUGAGCAUACUAACUUCAUAUGACCAUGCUUUUCGGCGAGUUCCUGUUACAUGCCAUUAAAUAUUACUGAGUACACAUGAAUUAUGUGUACGAAACGAUUGUACACAAACAGUAAAUUACUUACCACAUCGGUAAUUUCGGAGAUGGGCUUUUCUCCAUUAUUAAGGUUCGUAUCUGAAACUGACAUUGCUGCCUCGUAUGCAAUGAUAAAAUCAGGCUCAAUUAAUCUGAACAAAAUUGGAAAAUCUAUAACAAAAUUAGCAGAGAAUUAAUUUUAACAAAAUUAACUGGGUCAUUUAACAUAUGAUCCACUUAUGGGUUUAAGCACAGAACCUACUUGGGUGCAAAACCUAUGAGGGUUCAACAACUAAAGCAUCGGCGAACAACGAUUAUAAAGAGUUACAAUCAGCUAAGACCUUACCUCGGAGAUGGUGCCACCGAGUAGAUGGCGGCGGUUAGUGCGUCGGAAACUAUAAGUGCCGGUAUAGCGCGGUCGACGGCGCAAAGGAAAAACGGCACGUUCACGCGAGGAGGAGGCGGCGAGAAGAACACUGACGUCCGAGCCCUUAGAUCACGUUGGCGGUGGGCGGCGAGUGGUGGUCGCCGACUCCUGUAUUCCAUGGGCGACCGGCGUCUCCGAUCUGAUCUUGCAGCGGUCGUGGGAGGUGCAGACGACCCGGGUGGUUAGAAUGCGGAGCUGUAAUCGCGGGAUUUAGGGAGGGGUGGGCCGCGUGAGUUAUGUGAGAUUUGGAUAAAUGAUAUAAAGAAAUAAGAAAAUCUUGUGAACUCGGUGUGGGGUUUAUGGGCUUUAGGGUUUAGGGGUUUAGGGUUAUUAGGGUUUAGGGAUUUAGGGGUUUAGGGUUAUCAGGGGUUAGGGUUAUCAGGGUUUAGGGUUGAGUGUUUACAUGCAAGCCCGGAAAUGCGCGUGUCAGAGAACAUACUUGCAUGUGUAUGUACUAAUGAUCCCAAACUUUCUUAAUGGCAUCCCAUGACCACAUAGAGAAUGAAUGCAUAAUGGUUUCCAUGUUGGGCAAAAUUUUGAAUGUUUUUACGGUUUAGUGGGGGGGGUGGGGUUAGGGUUAUCAGGGUUUAGGGUUUAAGGGUUCUAGGGUUGACGGAACUAUGUUUGUCUUACGGUGGACGUAGCACACACACCGGACAUUGGUGGAGCGUUGGUCUACAAUGGAUUCCCUCUGGUAGCAUCGAUCCGAUCCAUUGAAUGGCUCGGCCAACAAACUUCGUGCCACAUAGAGCAUGCAUCCAUCCACUGGACCGGAUCAAUGUUGGGUUGGUUUCAUACAGGUGAGGAAAGCAGCUAGUGCUUUCGGGGUGUUGACAUGCUAGGCCGGAAAUGCGCGUGUCAGAGAUCGUACUUGCAUGUAUAACCCCAAACUUUUUUCAUGGCAUCCCAUGACCCCAUAGAGAAUGCAUGCAUAAUGGUUUCCAUGUGGGGCAAAAAUUUGAAUGUUUUUACGGUUUAGUGGGGGGUGGUGGUUAGGGUUAUCAGGGUUUAGGUUUUAAGGGUUUUAGGGUUAACGGAACUAUGUUUUUCUUACGGUGGACUUAGCACACACACCGGACAUUGAUGGAGCGUUGGUCUACAAUGAAUUCCCUCCGGUACCAUCGAUCCGGUCCGUUGACUGGCUCGGCCGACAAACUUCGUGCCACAUAGAGCAUGCAUCCAUCCACUGGACCGGAUCGAUGUUUGCUUGGUUUCAUACAGGUGAGGAACCCAGCUAGUGCUUUCGGGGUGUUGACAUGCUAGGCUGGAAAUGUGCGUGUCAGAGAUCAUACUUGCGUGUAUAAUCCCAAAAAUCUUUCAUGGCAUCCCAUGACCACAUAGAGAAAUUUUGAAUGUUUUUACGGUUUAGUGGGGGGGAGGGGGUGGGGUUAGGGUUAUCAGGGUUUAGGGUUUACGGGCUCUAGGGUUGACGGAACUAUGUUUGUCUUACGGUGGACGUAGCACACACACCGGACAUUGGUGGAGCGUUGGUCUACAAUGGAUUCCCUCUGGUAGCAUCGAUCCGAUCCGUUGAAUGGCUCGGCCGACAAACUUCGUGCCACAUAGAGCAUGCAUCCAUCCACUGGACAGAAUCAAUGUUGGGUUGGUUUCAUACAGGUGAGGAAAGUAGCUAGUGCUUUCGGGGUGUUGACAUGCUAGGCCGGAAAUGUGCGUGUCAGAGAUCGUACUUGCAUGUAUAAUCCCAAACUUUUUUCAUGGCAUCCCAUGACCCCAUAGAGAAUGCAUGCAUAAUGCUUUCCAUGUGGGGCAAAAAUUUGAAUGUUUUUAUGGUUUAGUGGGGGGGGGGUGGUUAGGGUUAUCAGGGUUUAGGUUUUAAGGGUUUUAGGGUUAACGGAACUAUGUUUGUCUUACGGUGGACUUAGCACACACACCGGACAUUGAUGGAGCGUUGGUCUACAAUGGAUUCCCUCUGGUAGCAUCGAUCCGAUCCGUUGAAUGGCUCGGCCGACAAACUUCGUGCCACAUAGAGCAUGCAUCCAUCCACUGGACCGGAUCGAUGUUUGGUUGGUUUCAUACAUGUGAGGAACCCAGCUAGUGCUUUCGGGGUGUUGACAUGCUAGGCCGGAAAUGUGCGUGUUAGAGAUCGUACUUGUGUGUAUAAUCCCCAAAAAUCUUUCAUGGCAUCCCAUGACCACAUAGAGAAUGCAUGCAUAAUGGUUUCCAUGUGGGGCAAAAAUUUGAAUGUUUUUACGGUUUAGUGNNNNNNNNNNNNNNNNNNNNNNNNNNNNNNNNNNNNNNNNNNNNNNNNNNNNNNNNNNNNNNNNNNNNNNNNNNNNNNNNNNNNNNNNNNNNNNNNNNNNNNNNNNNNNNNNNNNNNNNNNNNNNNNNNNNNNNNNNNNNNNNNNNGGUUUUAGGGUUGACGGAGCACACACAUCGGACAUUGAUGGAGCGUUGGUCUACAAUGGAGUCCCUCCUGUAGCAUCGAUCUGGUCCGUCGACUGGCUCGGCCGACAUACUUUGUGCCACAUAGAGCAUGCAUGCAUCCACUGAACCGGAUCAAUGUUGGGUUGGUUUACAUGUACAUGUACAGGGACCCGAAAUGCGCGUGUUAGAGAUCGUACUUGCGUGUACAUGUACCAUCCUUCCAUCCACUGGCUGGGCCGACAACCUUCGUGCCACAUUGUUCACAUUGUCCAAUUAACACUUUGUAUAGAUUUUUUUCAUAAAAAAUGAACGAAAUAAUGCAACUAAUCUGAACGUAACGUUUGGCAUGUAUCAAACCAAGUUGCCACUAUUCCUCAAAAAAAGAACCCAGUUAGCCACUAAUUGCGCCAAACAUAUCUCGUAAUUACGAACGAAAAUGGGUUGACAAUUAUAUCUGGAAAUUCUUGGACUGAAUUUAUUGCUCUUCGUUUUUUAGAGAACAAUAAGUUAGAAUGGUGGGCGGCGGGUUGGCAUGGGCACGACCAUGGCUCGGGCUUGUGUCAUAUGUGGUUCGACCCGCGGUCAGUGCACAUGUUUUCGAAGCCCCGAAAAGAUCGUGCUCGUUAAAAAAAAAACUUGCAUCGACGCGCAUUACUUCAAAAUAACUAAUUAACCCUACAAUCACGGAUAUAGACCUUCCCAUUCUACCGCAUAUCUACCCUAUCCUAACCACCCCCAUCUACCUUGUUUCUCCUCACAUAGCCAUCGCCGGGAUCGCGCCAUCACUUCUCAAGCGACCACGCCGACGCCGGAUUACAAAAGGUCUCUUCCACGGCUUCUCUCAUCUUCGAUUGCAGUGAUGAUUAUUUUUUCCAUUGAUUCGACCAACAAGUAAUUUCCGAAGAGAUUAGAAAAUCCAGCUUUUACUAUGGUUGAGUAGUUCUGUUGUGAUUCGAGUACAGGAUGUCAUGCAAGAGCUUUUUGAUUGAUAGUUUGUACUAGUUGAUCGUGUGAACUUAUUAUGAAUAUUUUUUCACAGUCGUAUUGUUUCGAAUUAGUUGGAUGAGGGUGUGGAUACAGUUUUCAUACUAUGGGUAUAUGUGUUGCUGUAGGGACCAUGGUCUCAGAGGCGCAUAACAACCGUGCGGAGUACGACAAGUCUUUGCAUGAAGCGCGUCGGGAGAUCGACUUGAAGGUGCAAAAGGAUCGCGCUGAGGUAGAUAAGAAACAGAAAAAAGAACGUUCAUACGUGGACAGGAUGAUAAAGGAGGAGCGUGAGGAGUUUUCCCUUAAGAUGGCGAAGAUGCGUCUUGAGAUUGAAGAAAAGUAUAAGAGGGACUGUGAGCACAUGGAAAAAAAGUUUGUCUUAGGCUACAAGGAAAUGCAUCAAAUGUUGCAGAAGGACCGGAAGCUUGUGGACAGUAUUAUACAGACAGAGCGAGUCAGGAUGGAUGCCUAUGUGUUGCAGGCAUGUGCGGAUAUGGACAGUAAGCUGCUACAGGAGCGGUCGGACAUGGAUUAUAAGGCCAUGCUGGAGAAGGUCCGCUUGGAAGGACAUAUGUUAGAAGACCGUGCGAUCUCACGGCCACCCCGACAACAUGUCUUCAAUUAUUCUCCCCCUGUCAGUAUCUCGCACCGAUUCUAUAUAUUAAGGACCUACGUAUUCUAUGAUAUAAACAUCUUCAAUUUGUGGCAACCUUAUGUCGGCGAUUGUAUGUAGGCUAAGCAUCAUGACACGACACAGUCGCCAUUCACUCGACACAUUGCGAUAGAGUCACCCGUUCAAUGCCACAUCAGUCCACCCCAACAACAUAUCGUCAAUUCUCCCCUUGUAAGUACCCCGCAACAAUGCAUACCCAAUAUAUGGUAUGACCUUUCAAAACUUGUGUGUAAACCCACUAUCGACGUUUCAUACGCAGGAUAAGAAACCUGUGAUGGCAGAGUCCCCAGUCACACCACAUGAAGGAUACAUUCCACAUAAUAAGGUGAGAAGGUUUGAGAUGGCACAACCCCCAGUCACUCCACAUGAAGGAUACAUUCCACAAAAGCAGGUAACAACGCCGCAAUGUUGCUAUGCACAUAAAAAAUUAUGUUUGCCCCUUUACUCAUUGAAUGUAUUAACUCCGAUGUGAGAUACUAGGUGCUGGUCAUGGAAUUUUUUGUUAGUAGGGAUCAUGAGAUGUCACAUGUCCCGAGAGCAUACUUUGAUGAACACCCGGCAGAAGUCAGAAUUUUUGAACCCGCCAAAGUUACCUACGAUCUCAUUAUGAGUGAAAUGAGAGAUACUUUUGGUUGCAAACUGGGAGCAGAACUGUACUACUUCUUACCCGGGUCUGCGUGGAAGCUGCCAGAAGGAAUGUUCUUGAUUGCAGGACCAGAUGAUGUACAAAAAAUGCUUUCUGAUCUGAAUGGCAGCAAGACAUGUCACCUGUACAUUGUGUACAAUAGAACUACGGGUUGUUUUCCCGAGGAUGACGUUGAUUCCGAGGUUCAAAUUUUACAUGUUACAUGCAUCUAGUUUAUGGCUACGUCUUUUUUGAGUUCUUCCUAAUACAAUUCCUAUGGUUUUCUACAGGAAGUGAGAAUCCAAGAAAUGGAGUGUCUUGCUAGAGAGUUGGCAGAGAAAGACCAAGAACAACUUAAGUUGUAUGGUUACAUUGAUGUUAAAGAGAAAAAGAUUGAAGCACGUGGGUCGUCGCCAAGCCCGACGCAAUCUCCAACGACGCAACGCAAGAGGUCACUGGAUUUUGGUAGUGCAGAAGACAAUAUGGAGUAGGCUCAAUUGUUUUUCAACCAGUUAAAGCUUCAAACCAGGAUUAUUUAGUUGCAAACAAACAUUUUGUUUUCUGUUUCACACUAUGUUCGCAAUUAUGGUACAAUUUAUUCAUGAGACAUUUCGUUGAACAACAAUGCAUGUGUUUUAUGAUCAAUCAUACAGUUGUUUCUGAGUUGUUUUUGAGAUGGCAUUGUGUCUAAAGAAGUUUCCAUCUAUAAAACUUGCCACGCAGUCGCAUCGGAAUCGCGUAUCACGCGAGAGGCGUGCGUCGCACGGGAGAGCGUCGCACGCGAGCUUGUUUUCGGGUAGAAAUCAUAACAUAUUUCGGAUAGAUAAAGUUCACGUCCUCCACCCGCGCAUGCAAACCCACGUCGCCGCCAUUCCCAUGCACGCAUGCCUCAGGCGCAGACAACGAGACGGCCCAUCCGAAUUAGGCCCAUCCGAAGUAGGACAUUAGAACCCUCCCCCCACUCCACCUAUUCCCCUCGCACUGUGGCCUCCCUCCCUCCAUCGCCAGAUCCCCCACUCGUCCCCCUCUGUCCGCCGCCCCUGCAUGCCGUCAGCGACUUCACCUCCGCCGCCCCCGCACCCCCCGAACGAGAUCGGCCAGAUCCAUCUCCUCAACCAUCGCAGGACAACGCAGGUACCCCAGUUUCUGUUGACGUCUCAAUGGUAUCCAUGCUGAUAAUGCUAGGUAGAUCGACUGAGUGUAGCAAUUUUGUGCCACCAUCUGAAACUUGUGAUGCUUCCUACUGUACAAUAUAGGACUUUUCAAAGUUCUGUUAUGAUGGCACUUUUUGACACAUACAGUAGAGCUGCGUUUUUAGUUGUUAUACUUUCAGUUACCAUCACUGCUUGGGAAAGGACGAAUUGGAUGCAUUCAGGUCUGCAGUUGAUAGUGUAUCAUCAUAAUAUAGGUGCUGUGUUGUGUGAUUCUUCAUGCUGAGAACUUCAGCUUUUUCAGUUAUAGUGAAAGGCUUCUGUAUAAAAAAAACUACUAAAUGAUCACAAAAACUUCUAGACAACAUUUUGUAUGAUCUGACCAAAACUUGAACUAAAUGAUCACCAAAAGUUGAAGGAUUUUGCAUCACAUCACAACCAUAAGUCUUCUGCACCAGCAUCAUAACAAUCACAUAACUACAUAACAAAAGCAAACUUGUUCAUCAUUACAAAAGAAAACUUGUUCAACAUAAGAAAAGCUAACUUGUUCAGCAUUACAAAAGCAAACUUGUUCAACAUAACAAAAGCUAACUUGUUCAGCAUUACAAACGCAAACUUGUUCAACCACAUAACUGCAAACUGAGACACAUAAUACCACAAACAACUCAAUAUCCCAGUAGUAGGGGUCAUCCCAAUGAUCCUCCACCUCUUGCCAGUACUCCAAACCUUCUUUGACGAUAUCGAUUUUCUUCCAUGCCUCGUAGGUGACGUACGCAUCUUUCGCUGCGUACUCGAUGAGGUUGUUUGGCAGUGGGCUGUCCCCCCAUAGUUUGUGGUCCAAUUCCUUGUUGAUCUUCUUCUUCAUUUCCUUGUACGAUGGGUGGAUGAGGCUGGCUGCAAACUCAGCCAAAGCCUGCCACUUCUUUCCAUUCCUUGGAACUCUCCAUUUGCGCUGCAUGUCGACGUACUUGUCGGGGUUGAUCUCCAAACCAGACAAUUUCAGCUUCUCCUUGUCACCUCCAAUGGAGAAGCCAACAAAGGUGUAGAGCUUCUUCUCCUGCAGGAGUGGGCGGAGUUCCUUAGGCCUGCAUCAAAUUAAUCUGGUGCAUCAAAUUCAUCCACUUCAAAAACUUCAGAAACUACUAAUUAGACAUAAAAUUCAGAACUAGUAUUGCAUCUACUCCAGAACUUCAGAACUAGUAUUGCAUCUACUUCAGAACUUCAGAACUAUUGCAUCUACUUGAGAAACUUCUGAAACUUCAGAACUAUUGCAUCUACUUGAGAAACUUCAGAAACUACUAAUUAGACAGAAACUUCAGAACUUCAGAACUAGUAUUGCAUCUACUUCAGAACUUCAGAACUAUUGCAUCUACUUCAGAAACUACAGAAACUACUAAUUAGACAGAAAGUUCAGAACUUCAGAACUAGUAUUGCAUCUACUUCAGAACUACAGAACUAUUGCGUCUACUUCAGAAACUUCAGAAAUUACUAAUUAGACAGAAACGUCAGAACUUCAGAAACUUCAGAACUGGAUGUUUUUACCAUUUGGUUGCCGCGGUGAUGUGGUAUACCAGGACGAGAUCCUCCACGCAUAACUGUAGAACUGCAGCCUUUUGCGGAGGUUCAUCUUCCCUCGUAUACUCGACAUCAACGCCGAUCGACUGAGGAAACAUGCCGCCGAGCCUCCUCCUGAUCUCGCGGAUCCUCUUGUCGGCUUCGUAUGGAUUGCUGGUGCAUACGACAUCCAGCUUCUCCUUCAGGUGGAUAUCAACCAUGAGCUUCACGGUGUAGUCCUGCUUCUGCCCAGGGAUCGGAACGUCGUCGUCGACCACCAGCGGCUCCUUGCCAGACGCCUCACCUUGGUGAUGCUUGCCAGAUGGAGGGGAGUUGCUCCACGAUGCCUCCGCCAUUCUCUUGGCAGACGGAGGGGAGUUGCUCCACGAUUCCUCCGCCAUUGCCCUCCUGGCCAGCGAUGGUGGAGGCAGAGGGGAGUUGCUUGAUGGUGGAGGCAGAGGGAGGAAGAUGGAGCGGCAAUGGAAUAAGGAGGGAGGCAGAGGGAGGCAGAUUGAGCGGCAAUGGAAUAGGAGGGGAGUUCCCUGCGUCGUGGGGAGUUGCCAGUGGAGGGGAGUCGUGGGGAGUUGCCAGUGGAAGGGAGGCGUGGGGAGUUGCCUCGAAAACUCAAACGUCCUGCCCUUUGGCCCUCGAAAAAUCUGGAGGGGAGACGUGGGCUCUUUGGUUUGUCCCGUUUCUGAAACAAAAAAAAAAUAACAGCCAUAUUUUGCUCUCACUGCAACCAUAUUAAGAGAUGAAAAAUGGCACCAAAAAGUCACUGCAGCCAUCCUCAAUGGCACGAAAACAGCACCAAAACAACAUCAGCCAAAACAACAAAAAAUGCAUCCAUUGAUCGUUCUUUAUUUCUUCUAACAUUCCGUGUUCUGUGCAGUGAGAUAGACACAACACUACAAAUGCAGGCUGACAACGCCCGCGAUUUCAUGACCAUCAGGACAGACGGCGGCUUCAUCCACGCUCCGGUCCCAUGAGUCGAGUCGAAAGUAGUGAUGCUAUGUGUAGUUCUGAAACAUUGAUUGGCUCAUGUUGUAAUUAAACUUUAAUGAAUUGUAUGUCUCUUUGGUUUGGACAGUCGUUAAACUUAGAUGUACUCGAUGCUAUUUAUUACUAGGACCAUGAAUUGUGCUAUUAAUGUCUUGCUUUUCUCUUCCGAUCCUUUUGUUGCAUACUUAUUUAUUGCUUAUGUAUUGUCUGUUGUUUGGCUUGUGCAUAGAGAUGCCGUCGUAUGUCGUGUACAAGGUAAGGUUCCCGGAGUCUACGAUGACUGGGAGGAGUGUCGGAGACAGGUUCACCGUUUCAGCGGUAACAGUUACAAAGGGUACACCACUAGGGUGGAGGCGGAAUCUAGAUAUGCCCGCUAUCUAGCGGGAGAGAGGAGGGAGCGUUGGAGGAAACGGAUGAAGACCAAUUUCAUCGCGAUGAUGCUCAUCGUGAUGACCGCAACUCUCUUCUAUGUGAUGGUAGUUUAGAUGAUCGAUAUCGACUUGUAAUGUGAAGACAAACUCGCUACUCGCGGUCUCGAGACUUGUAAUGUUCUAUCUUUGUUCGGUCUUGUGAAUUCAGAGACUAAUAUGAUGAAUUGUAUUCGGAGAGCUAUCUUCUAUUGUAUUGGAUGAAUGUGCUGUUGCUGUGUGGUGUUGUCUAUAUUCUCUCCAAUAAUAUAUUUUGUAACCUGUGAAAAUAUCAGAAAUGUGCAUUUUUUCGACCACCUCCAAAUCACCUCAGUUUUGGAACACAUGAUCUCUUCCACAAACAAAACUAGGUUUCCAAGUUUUUGUAUUUUUUUAAAUUUUUUUGAAUUUAUAAUGCCCUCUAGACUGACUGCUGAAAACAUCGGUCUAUGCCUCAAGGGGGCAUUGUAAAAUAUUUUUUUUAAAAUUUUCUUGCAUACACAUGUUUUGCACAUGUGGGUCACCAUGUACAAGAAAAUUUGGGUGAUUUGGAGGUGGUGGAAAAAUUCACAUUUUUUCAAAAACUGACUUAAGUUAAGACCAAAUGGUCCCUCCGGGAAUGCGGGCAUUUUUUCGACCACCUCCAAAUCACCUCAGUUUUGGCACACAUGAUCUCUUCCACAAACAAAACUAGGUUUCCAAGUUUUUGUAUUUUUUUAAUUUUUUUUGAAUUUAUAAUGCCCUCUAGACUGACUCCUGAAAACAUCGGUCUAUGCCUCAAGGGGGCAUUGUAAAAUAAAUUUUUUCAAAAUUUUCUUGCAUACACAUGUUUUGCACAUGUGGGUCACCAUGUAUAAGAAAUUUUGGGUGAUUUGGAGGUGGUGGAAAAAUUCAUGCAAGACUCGGGGACCUGCAUGCAAGACUCGGGGACCUGCAUGCAAGAGUCGGGGACCUGCAUGUGAAUAGUGAUUCAUCAAGGCCAUGACAGCUAUUGGCACAGCGGCUGCCGCCCGAUUUGUAUGCAGCGAAGAUGAACGUGCAUGGAGGUUUUUCAAAGAUUUCCAAGCACACCCCAGUGGGCCCCGCUUAUUUAAAAAAGACGUCAGUCAUUAUUGCUCUGUAAAUGAAGAAUAUGCAUGAUGAUUAUGAAUACGCAUGACAACCAUAGUAAGGGUGAAGAAUCAUAGUGCCCAAUUUGUCGAAAUACAUCAUCAUUCUUAAAGUUGGACAUCAAAUGAUACACACAGAAAAUGGAAACGAAAGAUGUCGAACUAAUAUAGUAACAUGCCAGUACAACUGCACUUCACUAAAUUACUGUCACGAUGAAAUAGAAUGUAAAGACCACGUCACACAAACAUGAAUGACACACGACUUUCUCUGGCUCAUCGUCGGUUCAUGCUGUAUGUAGAUAUCACAGUUCAGCCUCGAUAUCCUACACAGAAGAAUAGAAUAAAUCACAUGGACAUCAAUUAUGAGUAAAACACAUGCAAAAAAAAUAUGAAAAUAUUUUGUACCUCUAGCAAUUUAGCGCAUUUACGUCGAUUGUGACCUGGUUUCUUGCAAUAGCCACAGAUAUUCUGUGAUGUUGACUUCUUUGUCUUUGCCUGCAGCCUUUUCUUCGGUGCACCUCGUCCUGGCACAUGCACGGGAUCCAGAACCUUAUCAACUUUCUGUGAGUGUGGCAUCAACGGGCCAAACCUAAUGCUGUUAUGCUGAGCAUUAGUUGACUCCUUGCUGUCAGCUUGUUCAAAACUUGAUUGCUUGCCAUGAUGUUGUGCUUGCAAAAGCAUCUUUAGACGGUGAUAGUCCUCAUCAGAGUGGCAUGCCUGGAAACUUGCGGCGUGACUACAAUUCCGCAACUCGCGGUACCUCUGCAGGCUUAGCGAAUAGUCAUACAUCUGGUUUUUUCUGGUAGGUGCGUAUGCACAUUUUGCAUUCAUAGUCCACCUAGUGGGAACGCAACAACCGGGCAGAAUUGUUUGUUUUAAAAUCCCCAAUAUGUAAAAAAAUGUGGGAACAUGGUGUGCCUGCGCAUUCCAGCUUAUGGCAAGAACAACUCACCCUGUGCAAAAGACCUCCUUGCUCUUCAAUGCGCACUCCAAACUUUUUAUCCAUUCUUUCCUGCUUGGACACAACAUAAGUGGAAUCUUCUGAUCCAUCUAGUAUCUCUCUAAUCUGACAUUUGCUGACAGAAUCUAUGCUCCAUAAGACCAUCUUAAAGACACUAGGUGUGAAAACUGUUGCGGCGUGUUUCUCAAGCGGCGAAGCAUUUUCCUCUGUAAAUGGAACGGACUGCAAGGCUUCAACGUCAUGGAGAGCUUCGUUAAUCCGUCGCGACGCAAGGCAACGCUCAUAGUGCUCUAGCCUUUCAAACAACGACAUCUUACCCUCAAGAUGCGUAUGUAGCACAGAGUUCAAGCUCUCACUCCUCUGAUUACUGCUCAAUCCUAGGAAACAACGCCCCUCAAGAUAUGGAGCACACCACAACUUUCUCAUCUGAUACAUCUGAUGCAGCCAAGACUCCUCACUGGUUACUUUAUUCCGUUGUAAGAAUUGUAUUCAUUUUAUCUCAUGCUCUUCAAUGGAAGAAGUAUCAUAAAUGAAAGAUCUGAAUUCCUCCUUUACGUCGUCAUCAUGCAGAUGGCGUACAAUGUUCUGCUGAAUGUGCCAUAUACAUAGUCUAUGGUUUGAGUCUGGCCAGACCACCCUUAUUGCUCUCUGCAUUGCAAGGUCCCCAUCUGUGAUCACAGAUAUCGGAUGCUUCUGUGCCAUGCAAUCAGAAAAGGUCCGCAACAUCCACUCGUAUGCCUGGCUUGUUUCAUGAGAAAUUAAUUAUACCACAGCCAAAUAUAACAGUGCUGCGGUGGUGAUUCAACCCGACAAAAGGCACGAAUGGCAGAUUGUAUUUUUUGGUUCUGUAUGUGCUAUCGAAAACAAUGACGUCUCCGAAAGCCUCGUAGUCAAGUCGCGAUUGACUGUCAGCCCAGAACAGUCCCUUCAGAUGGCCAUGCUCGUCUACCAAGUACUUGAAGAAAAAAAUCCACAUCUCGCUCUCGCCUCGCCAUCAUAUGCAUGAUCACCGUUUUAGCAUCACCGGCACUGAUUGUCUCUUGCUUAUUAGCAUGGCAGAAAUUAUAAACGUCCCUCUUUAUGCAUCCAACCUUAUCAAAUCCACCGUAUUGGAAGCACAAAAUAUCCAUAAUACGGUAUUUGUGGAUCCCACAUUUUCCAUGUCCGCAAUGUCCGCUUUCUGCUCAUCGCUAAUUCGUCUGUGCAAACGCAACAGACAAGAAAGAUCCCAUGGGGCUAGAGGAUGGUUGUGCUCAUCGAUGAAAUCCUUGACAAACCACCGACCGGUUUCCUCUUGUCUCGUAAUGACCAAUUUAGCAUUACAUCCAACACGAGUUAAACUUUGUGGCCUCCUUUUUCUAUCUUCCAUCUUUCUUUUCAUGUGCUUAUCUUCGCGAAACCCUUGACGACUACACACAAUUUUCCUUAAAAUUAUGUAUUUGUUGGAUCCAUCCCACUCAACGUAGCUUUUCCUCACACUAAAACCUUUUUCAAGAGCAUAUUUGUUGUAGAAUUCAUAGCCUUCAGCCUCACUAUCAAACAUCUUGCUGACAACAUUUACAUACUCGAACAUACUCUCAUCACUUGCAUACGCCAUGUCUUCCUGCAUAUGACAUGUGAGGGAAACCAAUCAUCAACAUCUUUCUGUUUAUCAAUGUUGCAGGUGUAAAAUAGCUCAUAGGCAAAGACAAGUGCAUGGAAAAGACUUUGCUGGUUUGACAUGUGAGGGAAACCAAUCAUCAACGUCCAACAAGUACUAUCCUAGCAUGGAUGAUGACUCUAAUAAACUGGAUUCAUACCUGGUACGCGCGAAGAGAUGGGAUCGCCCGCCGCCGUCGCCGCCUAUUCCGUCGGCACAGAUCCGGCCUUCUUCUUCUUCGGUGACAGCGUGGGGGGCUGGGGUUGGUUGGGUGGAGGACGAGGACGAUGAAUUUAUUCCUCUCACCAGGCAGGUCGAGGACGGAGAAGGUCAGGAGCGGCGACGAAUAGAUCGGAGGAGGUUUCUGAUCUGGAUCGAGUAUACAUGGAUCUGGUCUUCGGGUGAUCGGUUCAAGAAAAGAUUUUUGUCCCUGGACCAUUAUGCCCUUAUCGCUUAAAUUUAAUCAAGUUUAAUUCCCUGCAAGAUCGGUUUUCUAAUAAUAAUCAGACGUCACCAGACAUGUAAGUACUGCUAAGUACUCCGAGUACUAACCUAAUCACCGUAAAACUGCUCCCAAAUAGGAUGACCGCUUUAGAGAAAGCAAUAAGGGAAUUCAUGGACAAUCAAACUGAGAAUGUAAUUGUAUUUGUACCGAUGAUGGGAACGAGUUCACAGAUUCUCUGACUUAGCCGAGACUAUGGCAGAGGGAUGUCAAAUUCAUAUAACUGUUCAUGCACCAUCCGACGGCAGCAAGCAAAGCCCAUGGACACACAGCAUUAUCGACCUAGAAGGGUGAUGCUGCCCAGUCCAACGCAUAGGCGAAGCAGGAAAAACGGUGCGAGGCAGCCGAAGUAUGAAUGAAGGAACCGAUCACCAAGCUGCCGAAGGAUGAGCUGCUCUGCUCUUGUGAGAGAUGUUAAAUUUUGUAGUGUUCAUUUUACCAUUCUGUAAUGUGCACUUAUGUUGCUGCUCAAUUCAGUUCCCUUCUCCCACUUGCAUUUCACAGUCAUGUCCAGUUCAGUGAGCAAAGUCUCUAAAAUUCAGCUCAUUCAAUUAUAGCAUUCAUUCACAACAACCACACUGAGAGAUCUCAACCCCUUCUGCCACUGAGUGAUCUCAACCCCUUUUGCCAUACUCAAUUCUGUUAUCAAUUUUACAACAUCAAGUGAUAUGCUCACAAAUUGACAAUGUCAAUGACCUGCUCUUAAUUUACAACAUCAUUGAUAUGCUAAAAAAUGAUAAUGUCAAUGAUCUGCUCUCAAAGUACUUCCUCUGUCCCAUAAUAUAAGAGCGUUUUUGACACUGUCUGAAACUCUCUUGUUGUUUUGUGUAAAUCAGUUUACAAUCUGAAACUCAACUGAUGUUUGCUUGUAAAUCAGUUAAUAAUGUGCUCUCAAUUUCCAGGCUAGCUUCGCCGGCGCCUGCUCGACGGAGUGGUGCAUCGAUGGCAGCCACGGCCGUCCUCCUCUUGCGAUGGUGCGGGGUCAGCGAUAUGGUGCUUGCUUAGUGCCUCCAGCAACAGCGGCGCGACCUCGCGGCGUGAUACAACCAUGACUUGUAGCCAAGGCAGCGGCAGUCGUCCUCCCAGGGCGAUCGCGAGCAAUGGCGACGGUGAGCGAUGGGUUGUUUAUGGGCUGCACAGCAUUGUUGUUAUUCUUAUUUGUUUUCACCUUGCUGCUGUCGAAUGACGCAUGUGAUUUGGAUUAGACGUCCGUCUAGCGUAAAAAUAAUACUCGAUGCUAUACAGCCCAGGUCGGGAAUCUCGAAGUGAGUUCACGAUGGAGAUAGCGAGAGUAUCUGAGCUCGUGCUCAGAACAUCACUUUCCUUAGGAAAGGGGGAACCAGGAUCGAUUCCUGGUCUCAAAGGUGACAGCGGGUGCUGCUACCAGUCCGAUCAAGUUCCGUUCGUGAUAAGUUGUAGGUGCGCGUCGUACUUGAGCCGAUUCAAGCCGGUUUUCUUUGAGUUUUUUUCCUUCUUCAUUUUUUUCAUUCUUUUUUGCACUCGUUUCUUCAUUUUUUUUCAUUUUUUUCUUUUGUUUAUUUUCUUUGUUCUUUUGGUUAUUAUUGUGCAUUUUUUGUAUACGUCAACAAUAUUUUUUUAAUACACGUCUAACAUUUUUCAAAUACAAAUCAACAAUUUUUGCAAUACAUGGCCUACAUUUUUGUAUACACAUUUUUUAAAUGCUUGAUUAUCAUUUUUCAAAUACAAUAUUAACAAUUUUAAUACAUGGUUAACAUUUUUUUAUCAUUUUUACAAAAAAAUAUAUUAAAUGCUUGAUUAACAUUUUCUUAAUAGAUGGUCAACCUUUUUUUCAUACACAUUUAACAUUUUUUCCAAACGCUUGAUUAACUUUUUCAGACCCUUGUUCGACAUUUCUUUCAAAUGCUGGAUUACAUUUCUAUAUACUUAAUCAAAUAUUUCUAUCAUUUUUAAUACAUGGUCAACAUUAUUAACAUACACAUUUAACAAUUUCCCAAUUCUUGAUUAAUAUUUUUUAAAUACUCGUUUAACAUUUCCCAAUUUUAGCUAGUUAUGGUGCAAACUAAGUGUUGUGCCUCGUCUUAAUCUAUCUAUAUAUCCUAUCUUCUAUUCGGCGACGUGGUUGCGCCCGUGGCGGAUGUGGUCGCCGCCAUGACUUGGUCGAUCUCCCUCUUCUGUAUUCGAGAAAAAAAGAUCUCCGUCUUCUCUUUAGAUGAGAUGGGGAGGAGAUGGUGAGAGAUGAGGUCAACGGCAUUGGGGAGAGGAUAAGGGUAGACGCCAGUGGUGAGGCGGCGUGAGGAAGACGAGGUGGUUGGCGGCUAGGACGCAUGAGGGGAGGGGAAGGGUGGGGAGUGGUGCGUGGAGGGAAGUGGGUGUGCGGCGUGCCCAAUUCACGAGAGAGGAGAGAGGUCGGCAAGGGAGCGACCCAUGGGAGUUUUUUUUCUUCUGAGUGAGCCUAGUUGGGCUAUCUGCUGCGUCCAAGGCCCAAUGCACCACAUGUCUUCAAAUUGGCCACCAGUAGCAGCCCUUAGAACAGACAUGGCCAUUUUGCAAAUUUAAAGACAUAAGUUUUUUGCACGCAUGAAAAACAUAACACGUAUCUUUUCACACAUAAUGAACUAUAGGUACUACCCAAAAAAACAUAAUGAACUAUAGGUUGUCACAAGAACUCAUGCCAUCCCACAACCUCCCUCUGACCCUGCCAACAUUGUUGCAACUGCACUCGCAAGUGUUAUCGUAGAUGAUCAUUUGCAUGAUUUCCCGUAAAACAAAAUAAGAUCUACAAACGAAUAGAAGCUACACAUACCUUGGCAUGCACACACAUUGCAAGCCAUACUAAGCAGAUAAGUGUUAAAAACUUGUACUCCCUCAUCUCAGUUUACAAGUCUUCCACGUGUAUCUAGGUCGUCAAUUUAAUUAUAUAAAAUAAAUUGUUUGACAUAAAUUAUAUCAUUAGAAAAUAGAAAUAUAUAUUUUGUAAUGUAUGCCUCUUAUUAAGUUGGUCAAAUUAACAAUCUAGGUACACAUGCAAGACUUUUAAACUAAGAUGGAGGGAGUACAACAUAUACAACACUUACGACAAGUAAAAGCAAUUUGAUGAGUCAUGGUCUAUCAAAGCAAGCUACAUUACUAAUCUAAUCUAUGUUAACAUGUCACACAUGAUUACAAUCUUUUUUGUGUGCAAGUCAAGCCUAUCUAGUCUACAUGUAACAACUUGUAGAACAUUACAAAAUUGAUGUUUGCUAAUAACUUUUAGAACACUACAACACUUGACAUGUAAAAAGAGUUUGAUGAGUCAUGACCUACUAAAGCAAGUUACAUUACUAGUCUCAUCUAUCUUAACAGGUCACACAAGAUUAAAAACUAAGUUCUGUGCAAGCAAUGCUUAUCUAUUUUACACAUAACAACUUGCAUAACAUUACAAACUUAGUUUUAGAAAAUUAGGCAACCUAGAUUAGUGUUUAGUUGUAAAGUGAAUAAGAUGAGUCAUGUGUGUUAUCACACCUUUUUAUGGUGGAAUGAUAGUGCCACCAAACACAACAUACCAAAAUAUGAUUUUGGGAAGCAUCCAAGCACUUUCCAGACAAGCAAAUGCCAAUUGUGAAAGAGAUAAUGCCAUGGCAGCUAUAAAUAGGCCUGUUGCAUGAUGAUCAUCCUUCCUCAUUCAUCAUUCUCAUAAGUAGAGUGCAUCAUUCAAGCCAAGCAAGCACUGGUCAAUACAAAUCCAUCAUGAAGACAUUUCUCAUCAUUUCCCUCCUUGCUAUCGUGGCGACCACCGCCACAACUGCAGUUAGAGUUCCAGUGCCACAAUUGCAGCCGCAAAAUCCAUCUCUGCAACAACCACAAGAGCAAGUUCCAUUGGUGCAACAACAACAAUUUCCAGGGCAGCAACAAACAUUUCCACCACAACAACCAUAUCCGCAGCCGCAACCAUUUCCAGGACAACAACCAUAUCCGCAGCCGCAACUAUUUCCACAGCCGCAACCUUUUCCGCCACAACUUCCAUAUCCGCAGCCGCAACCAUUUCCCCCACAACAACCAUAUCCACAACCGCAAACACAUCAUCUGCAACCACAACAACCAAUUUCGCAGCAACAAGUACAACAACAACAACAACAACAACAACAACAACAACAACAACAACAACAACAACAACAACAACAACAACAACUACUACUACAACAACAAAUCCUUCAACAAAUUCUGCAACAACAACAACUGAUUCCAUGCAGGGAUGUCAUCGUCUUGCAACAACACAACAUAGCGCAUGAAAGCUCACAAGUAUUGCAGCAAAGUAGUUACCAAGUGUUGCAACAAUUAUGUUGUCAGCAGCUGCGGCUGAUCCCCGAGCAGUCGCGGUGCCAAGCCAUCCACAAUGUCGUUCAUGCUAUUAUUCUACAUCAACAACAACAACAACAACAACAACAACAACAACAAGGACAACAUCAACCGUCGAGCCAGGUCUCCUACCAGCAGCCUCAGCAACAAUAUCCAUCAGGCCAGGGCUCCUUCCAGCCAUCUCAGCAAAAUCCACAGGCCCAGGGCUUUGUCCAACCUCAACAUCUGCCCCAACUCGAGGAAAUAAGUAACCUAGCGCUGCAGACGCUACCAGCAAUGUGCAAUGUCUACAUCCCUCCAUAUUGCUCGACCACCAUUGCGCCAUUUGGCAUCUUCGGUACUAACUGAGAAGAGAAGAACUCUAGUACUAGAUAUAUGAAACACCGUGUUCUUAGUCCAUGGUUUGGUCGUUGUACCGUUGAAAAUAUAAGGUGACAUGCACUAUCAUGUAAGAACCCGAACUAUACUAGUUCAAACAUGGGAAUAAAAGACAAACACAUGUCUUGUCUGCAUAUGAUUGUUUAUUUGAGUUCCAUUCCUAUGCCCAUUCACAAGUUCACCCGUAAUUAUAUAUAUUACACAUUAAGUAGAUAUUUAUGUUGCAUUAAUAUGAAGAUAACAAAAUGAGUCUGAAACUUGAAUUAAAUUGAAGUAUUUUCUUGGACUUUCAAAUUGUGUAUUAUUAAAGUAGUAAGGAUUAUCCACAUCCUUGGCUUGCCCUUCAUCAAUUAUUCCCAGAGAAGCUUUCAGUUCAUAAAUCAAUUACAUUGAUUUUUGUGAAUGGUACAUCUCCUCAUCACGAGUAUCAUUACGGCUACUCCAAAUCGCUCACAUAACCGAAGCAUUAAUAGCGCCCUUCUUGCAUCCGGAAAUAUGGAUCGAAGAUAUCACUUGACCAUGUUUCCAGGUGCAACCUUGGGAUUUUUAUGUCAAAAUAUUCUCAAGCAAAAUCCAAGAAUAAACUUGCAUGCUCACGUGUGAUGAGGGCAGAUGAAGUAACAUUUCCUCCCCAUGGCCACACAUAGGGCACACACAUAACCCCAUCACAUGCCUUUUUAGUUAUGCAUAUGAAAGGUAGGAUGUUUUUAAUUACUCUCUACCAAAAUACUCUUAACUUGGCUUGUACCCUAAUAUUUCGUUGCCUUUUCAAUUGUUCUUCCCCAUUAGACAAAGUAGACAGUCCAUCUACCACACCGUACCUUGUGUCCAUCAUUGCUCUGUACAACAAUUGAACAGAACAAAUGUCAUUUCUUUACGAUACCCACGACCAAAUGUCCUUUGCUGGAUUGUUUGGUCGUGGCAUAUUAAGGAUGGCCACCUCAUCUCAUGGGGUAAACACCUAAUGAAUGAAAGGAUUGUUCUAGUCGCCCGUGUUUUUCAUCGAUAAGAUCAUCUACAAGUUGGACCGAAGUUUCUCACAUGCAUCAUAGUGGUUUCAUUAGCGGCGUGCCCUGCACCCAUUUAUCACGUCGUAUCUCUGUAGUAUGUGCAUUCCCAAUUUGUCACAGCAUACCCUCCUUCAAACCUUCUUUCCCUUUCAGAUUAGCACGCCAAGUUAGCUAUGCACUAUGCGGGAACCAGCAUUUGAAAAAAAAGAAUCUCAUUUCAUGGUAUCUUCCAUGAAGGACCCUCGUACAUUAGCUAUCUAGGUAGAAAUAGCCAUGUAUGUUUGGCAAACUUUGCAUAAGUGAAUAGAUCAAGGUCGUGGAACCCCAAGCCUCCAAUUACACACGGCCUCUCUACCAAUAAGAUCUCCAAAGACAUCAAGGAUACAGACAGCCAAAAAAGAAAAUAAAAAGAAAAAAAAUAAAAAAUACCCUGCCAUGGUGAUCAAUCACAAGCAUCAGCAGCACUCUAACCACCACCAAAGACAAUGCCCAGAUUACAAAAAAAAAUUAUCCAAAAACAAUGCCCCCAAGAAGGAAACAAUACACAAGCGUUGUCGUUGCCCGAUCGAAGAUCGUGGGUUUUCACCCUGGAAAAUUUUUGAGUUCACCCAAAAACAAUGCCUUCAACAAGGCCAUUGCCAAGUACAACAAAUAUGGUCGAGACCUUGGGUUUUCACCCUAGGAAUUGAGACUCGAUGCUCGAGGAGUACCAGCAAAAAUGCAGUCCACUAGUGUUGCCGCCCCCACUUGGCAAGGCCACUGUUGCAAGUCACCAAACACCUGGCAUAUAGUUGUCAUCGCAUCCAAUACACCCUUCGGCCGAAGCUUCAAGACCUUGAUCCGUCUCCAGCGUAUCUAUAAUUUUUGAUUGUUCCAUGCUAUUAUAUUAUCUGUUUUGGAUGUUUUAUAUGAUUAUUAUGGUAUUUUAUAUGAUUUUUGGGACUAACCUAUUAAACUAGAGCCCAGUGUCAGUUCCUGUUUUUUCCUUGUUUUAGAGUUUCGUAGAAAAGGAGUACCAAACGGAGUCCAAACGGAAUUAAACUUUUGCGAUGAUUUUUCUUAGACCAGAAGACAUCUAGAGGACUUGGAGUGCAUGUUAGGAAAGCCACGAGGCUGCCACAACGACAGAGGUGCGCCCCCACCCUUGUGGGCCCCUCGUGACUCUACCGACAUAUUUCUUCCGCCUAUAUAUUCUCAAAUAUUCCAAAACAUACUAGGAGAGCCACAAAAACACUUUUCCACCGCCGCAACCUUCUGUACCCGUGAGAUCCAAUGUAGGGGCCUUUCCCGGCAUCCUGUCGGCGGGGGAUUCGAUCACUUAGGGCUUCUACAUCAACACCAUUGCCUCUCCGAUGAAGCGUGAGUAGUUUACCACAGACCUAUGGGUCCAUAGCUAGUAUCUAGAUGGCUUCUUCUCUCUCUUUGAUUCUCAAUACCAUGUUCUCCUCGAUGUUCUUGGAGAUCUAUUCGAUGUAAUACUCUUUUUGCGGUGUGUUUGCCAAGAUCCAAUGAAUUGUGGAUUUAUGAUCAGGUUAUCUAUGAGUAUUAUUUGAAUCUCCUAUGAAUUCUUAUAUGCAUGAUUUGAUAUCUUUGCAAGUCUCUUCGAACUAUCGAUUUGGUUUGGCCAACUAGAUUGGUUUUUCUUGCAAUGGGAGAAGUGCUUAACUUUGGGUUCAAUCUUGCGGUGCUCGAUCCCAGUGACAGAAGGGGAUGAUACGUCCCCAACGUAUCUAUAAUUUUUGAUUGUUCCAUGCUAUUAUAUUAUCAACCUUGGAUGUUUUAUAUGCAUUUAUAUGCUAUUUUAUAUGAUUUUUGGGACUAACCUAUUAACCCAGAGCCCAGUGCUAGUGCCAGUUUCUGUUUUUUCCUUGUUUUAGGGUUUCGAAGAAAAGGAAUAUCAAAUGGAGUCCAAACGGAAUGAAACCUUCAGAAAAUUUAUUUUUGGAAAGAAAGUAAUACGGGAGACUUGGAGUGCACGUCCGGGGAUCAACGAGGAAGCCACGAGGCAGGGGGCGCGCCCACCCCUCUUGGGCGCGCCCUCCACCCUCGUGGGCCCCUCGUGGCUCCCCAAAUGUAUUUCUUCCGCCUAUAUAUAUCCAUAUACCCCAAAACGACCGGGGAGCACAAUAGAUCGGGAGUUUCUCCGCCAGAAGCCUCCGUAGCCACCGAAAGCUAAUCUAGACCCGUUCCGGCACCCUGCCGGAGGGGGAAUCCCUCUCCGGUGGCCAUCUUCAUCAUCCCGGUGCUCUCGAUGACGAGGAGGGAGUAGUUCUCCCUCGGGGCUAAGGGUAUGUACCAGUAGCUAUGUGUUUGAUCUCUCUCUCUCUCUCUCUCUCUCUCUCUCGUGUUCUUGAGGUGAUACGAUCUUGAUGUAUCGCGAGCUUUGCUAUUAGAGUUGGAUCUUAUGUUGCUUCUCCCCCUCUACUCUCUUGUAAUGGAUUGAGUUUCCCCUUCGAAGUUAUCUUAUCGGAUUGAGUCUUUAAAAAUUUGAGAACACUUGAUGUAUGUCUUGCCGCGUGUAUCUGUGGUGACAAUGGGAUAUCACGUGAUUCACUUGAUGUAUGUUUUCGUGAUCAACUUGCGGGUUCCGCCCAUGAACCUAUGCAUAGGGGUUGGCACACGUUUUCGUCGUGAUUCUUUGGUAGAAACUUUGGUGCACUCUUUGAGGUUCUAUGUGUUGGUUGAAUAGAUGAACUUGAGAUUGUGUGAUCCAUAUCAUAUAAUCAUACCCACGGAUACUUCAGGUGACAAUGGAGUAUCUAGGUGACAUUAGGGUUUUGGUUGAUUUGUGUCUUAAGGUGUUAUUCUAGUACGAACUCUAGGGCUGUUUGUGACACUUAUAGGAAUAGCCCAACGGAUUGAUUGGAAAGAAUAACUUUGAGGUGGUUUCGUACCCUACCAUAAUCUCUUCGUUCGUUCUCUGCUAUUAGUGACUUUGGAGUGACUCUUUGUUGCAUGUUGAGGGAUAAUUAUGUGAUCCAAAUAUGUUAUUAUUGUCGAGAGAACUUGCACUAGUGAAAGUAUGAACCCUAGGCCUUGUUUCGACGCAUUGCAAUACCGUUUACGCUCACUUUUAUCAUUAGUUACCUUGCUGUUUUUAUAUUUUCAAAUUACAAAAACCUUUAUCUACCAUCCAUAUACCACUUGUAUCACCAUCUCUUCACCUAUACAAUUUACCAUUGUAUUGGGUGUGUUGGGGACACAAGAGACUCUUUGUUAUUUGGUUGCAGGGUUGCUUGAGAGAGACCAUCUUCAUCCUACGCCUCCUACGGAUUGAUAAACCUUAGGUCAUCCACUUGAGGGAAAUUUGCUACUGUCCUACAAACCUCUGUACUUGGAGGCCCAACAACGUCUACAAGAAGAAGGUUGUGUAGUAGACAUCAAGCUCUUUUCUGGCGCAGUUGCCGGGAAGGUGAGUGCUUGAAGUUAUAUCUUUAGAUCUUGCAAUCGAAUCUUUUUGUUUCUUGUUUUAGCACUAGUUUAGUUUAUAAAAGAAAACUACAAAAAAACGGAAUUGAGUUUACCUCACACGCUUCAUCUUUUUAAUAUCUUUCGUGAGUAUGAUGGAAAGAAAAAUUGUGCCAAAGUGUUAGAAGAAGAAUGCAUUAAACUGUUUGGCAUUAAAUAUUUGAAUGAUGAGCAUUAUUGCAAUGUUGUUAGUAUGAAUUCCUUGAAUAUCCAUAGUACUAAUGAUGAUUGCACUAGUUAUGAUGAAAAUGUCUCAUGUAAACAUGUCAAUUUUUGUGGAGUGCAUUGGGUUUGCAAGUACACACCAAUUAGGGAAGAUAGAUUUUGCAAGAGGCAUAAGUACUUAGAAACUAAAUUGUUGCAAGAAAGGCUAGAUGAAUGUGCUGAAAAUUUAAAUUUUCUUGGCCAUACUUGUGAGCUUUGCAAUGAACAUGGUUAUUUAACCAUCCGAUGCAAAUUGUUUCAUGAUCUAAUCGUUUCCAAAAAUUGUGAUGACUUGAUUUCCCUUGCACAUCAUAAUGAACUUAGUUUGCUUAUGGGUUAUGAGGAAAUGAAAUGUAUAACUAACUAUCUUCCAGUAUUUUCCCAUGAUAAACUUCUUGGAUUUGACCUAGAGGAAAUUUAUAUGUAUUGUGCGGUGAAUUGCAUUGAAAACCCCUAUAUUGUCAAUUACAUAAAGAAAAGAAAACAAAUAGAGGAUGAACAGAAUACUAAUGAAAGGGAAGAGACCUCCCAAUAUCCUCCUAUUAUUUCUUAUGAUGAACCAGGUAACGAGGAGGAGCCUCCUAUUCAACCAAUCUCAUUAAUAAGGAGCUCCAAAAAGAGGAUUGAACCCACACACGAUGUAGUGAAGAAGAAGAAAAGAAAGAGGAAGAGAGGUAAAAAGAUAUCUCUCCCAAAUAAUGCUGCUCCUAUUACUAUUGUGCCUCAUGAAAAUAUAAUUGUGGAAAAUAAUGAUACUUCUUAUGAUCUUGAAAAUCCUUUUGUCACUUGCUUGGAAGAAUAUGAUAAUUGCUAUACUAUUGGUGCUAUCCAUACUAUUAAUGAUGAGAGUGAUUAUGCUUAUGAUAUGAAAAGGCCCAAGCUUUGGGAUGCUAUGUUUGAUGAAGAUGAUGUUUUUGAGAAUAUAUUUGCUACAAUUAAUGUUUGUCCCAAGCUUGGGGAUGCUAUGUUUAAUCAAGAUGAUAUUUUUAGUCUCCCAAGUUUUGAUAUGCAAAUUUAUAAUGAUGAUAGCAUGCCUCCUACUUAUGAUGAUUAUUGUGAUGAUACUUAUGCUAUAAAAAGUAAUGAUUAUAUUUAUAAAACUUGUCAUGAUUAUGGUUACCCCUUUUCUGAACAUUACUCUUUUAAUGUGGAAACAAUUUAUAGUAUUCGAGUUUCUUAUGAUACUCCCACUAUUCCGAAUGAGAAGAAUUUUGCUUGUGUAGAGAGUAAUAAAAUUUCUAUGCUUGUAGAUCAUGAAAAGAAUGCUUUAGGUGCUGGUUAUAUUUUUGAAUUCAUUCAUGAUGCUACUGAAAAUUAUUAUGAGGGAGGAACAUAUGCUUGUAGGAAUUGCAAUAAUAUCAAGUUUCCUCUCUAUGUGCUUAAAGUUUUGAAGUUAUGCUUGUUUUGCCCUCCUAUGCUAGUUGAUUAUUGUUCCCAUAAGUUGUUUGCUCACAAAAUUCCUACACAUAGGAAGUGGGUUAGACUUACAUGUUCUAGUCAUAUGCUUCAUGAUGCUCUCUUUAUGUUUCAAUUCUUAUCUUUUAUGUGAGCAUCAUUGAAAUCGUCAUGCCUAGCUAGGGGCGUUAAACGAUAGCGCUUGUUGAGAGGAAACCCAACUUUAUUUUUGUUCCUUGAUUUUUGCUCCUGUCUAGCAAUAAAUAAUUUAUCUAGCAUCUGUUAUGAUUGAGUUUUUAUGUUAGAACCGUUGGGAAGACUUGGGGAAAGUCUUGGCGAUCAUGCUGUAAAAAAACAGAAACUUUAGCGCUCACGAGAAUUGCUGACAUUUUUUAUUGGAGAGUGCUAUUUGGUUAAUUAUUUUUGCAGAUGAUUAAUAGAUAAAUUCCUCACGUCCAGCAAUUUAUUUUAGAAUUUUUGAGGCUCCAGAAGUUUGCGUUAGUUACAGAUUACUACAGACUGUUCUGUUUUUGACAGAUUCUGUUUUUCGUGUGUUGUUUGCUUAUUUUGAUGAAUCUAUGGCUAGUAAAAUAGUUUAUAAACCAUAGAGAAGUUUUAAUACAGUAGGUUUAACACCAAUAUAAAUAAAUAAUGAGUUCAUUACAGUACCUUUAAGUGGUGUUUUAUUUUCUUUCGCUAACGGAGCUCACGAGUUUUCCAUUUUAAGUUUUGUGUUGUGAAGUUUUCAAGUUUUGGGUAAAGAUUUGAUGGAUUAUGGAAUAAGGAGUGGCAAGAGAAUAAGCUUGGGGAUGCCGAAGGCACCCCAAGGUAAUAUUCAAGGACAACCAAAAGCCUAAGCUUGGGGAUGCCCCGGAAGGCAUCCCCUCUUUCGUCUUCGUUCAUCGGUAACUUUACUUGGAGCUAUAUUUUUAUUCACCACAUGUUACGUGUUUUGCUUGGAGCGUCAUUUUAUUUCAUUUUUUUGCUUGCUGUUUGAAUAAAGUAUCAAGAUAUGAAAUUAUUAAGUGGGAGAGUCUUCACAUAGUUGCAUAAGUAUUCGACUACUCAUUGAUCUUCACUUACAUCUUUCAGAGUAGUUUGUCAUUUUCUCUAGUGCUUCACUUAUAUCUUUUGAGAGCACGGUGGUGGUUUUAUUUUGUAGAAAUAGAUGAACUCUCGUGCUUCACUAAUAUUAUUUUGAGAGUCCUCAGAACAGCAUGGUAAUUUGCUUUGGUUAUGAAUUUAGUCCUAAUAAGAUGGGCAUCCAAGAGGGAUAUAAUAAAAACUUUCAUAUAAGUGCAUUGAAUACUAAGAGAAGUUUGAUACUUGAUGAUUGUUUUGAGAUAUGGAGAUAGUGAUAUUAAAGUUGUGCUAUUUGACACUACUAGGAAAAGGCCUACUAAUGGCGCACCAGUUUUGCCUACUAAUGGCGCAUCACUGGUGCGCCAUUACUAGCACGCCAUUAGUAAUUUUUAGUAAUGGCGCACCACUGGUGCGCCAUUAGUAUCGGCCACGGUGCGCCAUUCGUAUAGGCCACUGGUGCGCCAUUAGUAUAGGCCACGGUGCGCCAUUAGUAUUUUUGGAUUUUGAAGGCGGGAAAAUAGUAGUGGCGCACCGUCUAACCCCCACCGUGCGCCAUUACUAUUUUUGAAUUUUGAAUUUGGAUCUGGAUCGUGAUUUUUUUGCCCAUUUUUUGCUCGUUUUUUUGCUCGUUUUUUGGCACAAUAUUAUUUCAAAUUUUGUUCUUGUUUUUGGAUCUUGUACGUUCUUUUGCCGUGUUCUUUUGCCGGAGAGGAGUUCGCCGGAGAGGAGGAGGAGGAGGUCACCGGAGAGGCGCUCGCCUACAUCGCCGGAGAGGAGGAGGAGGUCGCCGGAGAGGAGUUCACCGAAGCAUCGGAGAGGAGGAAGGAGAAACCAUGAGGGAAUGGGAGGAGAGGAGGGAGGAGAAACCAUGAGGGGAGGGGAGGAGAGGAGGGAGNNNNNNNNNNNNNNNNNNNNNNNNNNNNNNNNNNNNNNNNNNNNNNNNNNNNNNNNNNNNNNNNNNNNNNNNNNNNNNNNNNNNNNNNNNNNNNNNNNNNNNNNNNNNNNNNNNNNNNNNNNNNNNNNNNNNNNNNNNNNNNNNNNNNNNNNNNNNNNNNNNNNNNNNNNNNNNNNNNNNNNNNNNNNNNNNNNNNNNNNNNNNNNNNNNNNNNNNNNNNNNNNNNNNNNNNNNNNNNNNNNNNNNNNNNNNNNNNNNNNNNNNNGGAGAGGAGAAGGAGGUCGCCGGAGAGGAGGAGAUGGAGUGGAGGAGAGGAGGAGAUGGAGUGGAGGAGAGGAGAGGAGGAGAUGGAAUGGAGGAGAGGUGGAGUGGAGGAGGUGCGCCCAGCCAUGUAUACGACAUAGUAAUGGCGCACCGUGGGCAGGUGCGCCAUUACUAACUUUUUUUAUUUUUUGAUUUAUUUUGAAUUUUGAAGGCGGGAAGAUACUAAUGGCGCACCGUGGGCAGGUGCGCCAUUAGUAACUUUUUUUUUAUUUUUGACUAAUUUUGAAUUUUGAAGGCGGGAAGAUACUAAUGGCGCACCGUGGGCAGGUGCGCCAUUAGUAACUUUUUUUGACUAAUUUUGAAUUUUGAAGGUGGGAAGAUACUAAUGGCGCACCACGGGGUGGUGCGCCAUUAGUAACUUUUUUUUAUUUUGUUGACUUAUUUUGAAUUUUGAAGGCGGGAAGAUACUAAUGGCGCACCAUGGGCAGGUGCGCCAUUAGUAAGUUUGAAUUAUUUUUAAUUUUUUUGCCUCUCCAGAUCUUAAAAGCCCCAUAUAUUUUUUUCUGUUAGGUUUUUGAGGAUUUUAAAAAUGUUUAACGGAUUCCCCGGUUAAAUUUGGAUGUAACUUUUCGAGUAGAUGAUUUUUCAUAUAAAAAACUUUUUCAUCCGAGUUAGUAUGCAAAAGUUAUGCCCAUUUUUACAAAUUNNNNNNNNNNNNNNNNNNNNNNNNNNNNNNNNNNNNNNNNNNNNNNNNNNNNNNNNNNNNNNNNNNNNNNNNNNNNNNNNNNNNNNNNNNNNNNNNNNNNNNNNNNNNNNNNNNNNNNNNNNNNNNNNNNNNNNNNNNNNNNNNNNNNNNNNNNNNNNNNNNNNNNNNNNNNNNNNNNNNNNNNNNNNNNNNNNNNNNNNNNNNNNNNNNNNNNNNNNNNNNNNNNNNNNNNNNNNNNNNNNNNNNNNNNNNNNNNNNNNNNNNNNNNNNNNNNNNNNNNNNNNNNNNNNNNNNNNNNNNNNNNNNNNNNNNNNNNNNNNNNNNNNNNNNNNNNNNNNNNNNNNNNNNNNNNNNNNNNNNNNNNNNNNNNNNNNNNNNNNNNNNNNNNNNNNNNNNNNNNNNNNNNNNNNNNNNNNNNNNNNNNNNNNNNNNNNNNNNNNNNNNNNNNNNNNNNNNNNNNNNNNNNNNNNNNNNNNNNNNNNNNNNNNNNNNNNNNNNNNNNNNNNNNNNNNNNNNNNNNNNNNNNNNNNNNNNNNNNNNNNNNNNNNNNNNNNNNNNNNNNNNNNNNNNNNNNNNNNNNNNNNNNNNNNNNNNNNNNNNNNNNNNNNNNNNNNNNNNNNNNNNNNNNNNNNNNNNNNNNNNNNNNNNNNNNNNNNNNNNNNNNNNNNNNNNNNNNAAUUUUUUUACUAAUGGCGCACCGUGGAUGUGGUGCGCCAUUACUAGUUCAACUAGUAAUGGCGCACCACCCCCACGGUGCGCCAUUAGUAGUUUUGAAAAAAAUUAAAUUUUUUUACCAAUGGCGCACCGUGGAUGUGGUGCGCCAUUAGUAUUUGGACACUAAUGGCGUACCAACACAUGGUGCGCCAUUAGUAUAUAGUAAUGGCGCACCACAUGUCUGGUGCGCCAUUAGUGUCAAUUCCAUCUAUAGCCCUUUUCCUAGUAGUGUGAGUAGUUGUGAAUUUGAGAAAUACUUGUGUUGAAGUUUGCAAGUCCCGUAGCAUGCACGUAUGGUAAACGUUAUGUAACAAAUUUGAAACAUGAGGUGUUCUUUGAUUGUCCUCCUUAUGAAUGGCGGUCGGGGACGAGCGAUGGUCUUUUCCUACCAAUCUAUCCCCCUAGGAGCAUGCGUGUAGUGCUUGGUUUUUGAUGACUUGUAGAUUUUUGCAAUAAGUAUAUGAGUUCUUUAUGACUAAUAUUGAGUCCAUGGAUUAUAUGCAUUCUCACCCUUCCAUCAUUGCUAGCCUCUUCGGUACCGUGCAUUGCCCUUUCUCACAUUGAGAGUUGGUGCAAACUUCGCUGGUGCAUCCAAACCCCGUGAUAUGAUACACUCUUUCACACAUAAACCUCCUUAUAUCUUCCUCAAAACAGCCACCAUACCUACCUAUUAUGGCAUUUCCGUAGCCAUUCUGAGAUAUAUUGCCAUGCAACUUUCCACCAUUCUGUUUGUCAUGACACAUUCAUCAUUGUCAUAUUGCUUAGCAUGAUCAUGUAGUUGACAUAGUAUUUGUGGCAAAGCCACCGUUCAUAAUUAUUUCAUACAUGUCACUCUUGGUUCAUUGCAUAUCCCGGUACACCGCCGGAGGCAUUCAUAUAGAGUCAUAUCUUGUUCUAGUAUCGAGUUGUAAAUAAAUAGAAGUGUGAUGAUCAUCAUUAAUAGAGCAUUGUCCCAAAAAAAGGAAGAGAACGACCAAAUAAAAAAGGGAAGCCCCCCACCCAAAAAAGAAAAGAAAGGCCAGAUAAAAAAUAAAAAAAAUAAAAAAAAUAAAAGGGACAAUGCUACUAUCCUUUUUCCACACUUGUGCUUCAAAGUAGCACCAUGAUCUUUAUGAUAGAGAGUCUCUUGUUUUGUCACUUUCAUAUACUAGUGGGAAUUUUUUAUUAUAGAACUUGGCUUGUAUAUUCCAACAAUGGGCCUCCUCAAGUGCCCUAGGUCUUUGUGAGCAAGCAAGUUGGAUGCACACCCACUUAGUUUCUUUUGUUGAGCUUUCAUACAUUUAUGGCUCUAGUGCAUCCGUUGCAUGGCAAUCCCUAAUCCUUGCAUUGACAUCAAUUGAUGGGCAUCUCCCUAGCCCAUUGAUUAGCCGCGUCGAUGUGAGACUUUCGCCUUUUGGUCUUCUCCACAUAACCCCCUCAUUAUAUUCUAUUCCACCCAUAGUGCUAUAUCCAUGGCUCACGCUCAUGUAUUGCGUGAAAGUUGAAAAAAGUUUGAGAUUACUAAAGUAUGAAACAAUUACUUGGCUUGUCAUCGGGGUUGUGCACAAUGAGAGCAUUCUUGUGUGACGAAAAUGGAGCAUGGCCAAACUAUAUGAUUUUGUAGGGAUGAACUUUCUUUGGCCAUGUUAUUUUGAGAAGACAUGAUUGCUUAGUUAGUAUACUUGAAGUAUUAUUAUUUUUAUGUCACUAUUAAACUUUUGUCUUGAAUCUUAUGGAUCUGAAUAUUCUUGCCACAAUAAAGAGAACUACAUGGAUAAAUAUGUUAGGUGGCAUUCUACAUCAAAAAUUCUGUUUUUAUCUUUUAGCUACUCCAGGACGAGCAGGAAUUAAGCUUGGGGAUGCUGAUACGCCUCCAACGUAUCUAUAAUUUUUAUUGUUCCAUGCUAUUAUAUUAUCAACCUUGGAUGUUUUAUAUGCAUCUUUAUGCUAUUUUAUAUCAUUUUUGGGACUAACCUAUUAACCUAGAGCCCAGUGCCAGUUUCUGUUUUUUCCUUGUUCUAGGGUUUCGAAGAAAAGGAAUAUCAAAUGGAGUCCAAACGGAAUGAAACCUUCGGAAAAGUUGUUUUUGGAAAGAAAGCAAUACAGGAGACUUGGAGUGCACGUCAGCGGAUCAACGAGGAAGCCACGAGGCAGGGGGCGCGCCCACCCCCUGGGCGCGCCCUCCACCCUCGUAGGCCCCUCGUGGCUCCCCUAAUGUAUUUCUUCCGCCUGUAUGUACCAAUAUACCCUAAAACGAUCGGGGAGCACAAUAGAUUGGGAGUUCCGCCGCCAGAAGCCUCUGUAGCCACUAAAAGUGAAUCUAGACCCGUUCCGGCACCCUGCCGGAGGGUGAAUCCCUCUCCGGUGGCCAUCUUCAUCAUCCCGGUGCUCUCCAUGACGAGGAGGGAGUAGUUCUCCCUUGGGGCUGAGGGUAUGUACCAGUAGCUAUGUGUUUAAUCUCUCUCUCUCUCUCUCUCGUGUUCUUGAGGUGAUACGAUCUUGAUGUAUCGCGAGCUUUGCUAUUAUAGUUGUAUCUUAUGUUUCUUCUCCUCCUCUACUCUCUUGUAAUGGAUUGAGUUUCCCCUUCGAAGUUAUCUUAUCGGAUUGAGUCUUUAAAGAUUUGAGAACACUUGAUGUAUGUCUUGCCGCGUGUAUCUGUGGUGACAAUGGGAUAUCACGUGAUUCACUUGAUGUAUGUUUUCGUGAUCAACUUGCGGGUUCCGCCCAUGAACCUAUGCAUAGGGGUUGGCACACGUUUUCGUCGUGAUUCUUUGGUAGAAACUUUGGUGCACUCUUUGAGGUUCUAUGUGUUGGUUGAAUAGAUGAACUUGAGAUUGUGUGAUGCAUAUCGUAUAAUCAUACCCACAGAUACUUGAGGUGACAAUGGUUUGCUCACAAAAUCCCUAUGCAUAGGAAGUGGGUUAGACUUAAAUGUUCUAGUCAUAUGCUUCAUGAUGCUCUCUUUAUGUUUCAGUUCUUAUCUUUUAUGUGAGCAUCAUUGAAAUCAUCAUGCCUAGCUAGGGGCGUUAAACGAUAGCGCUUGUUGGGAGGAAACCCAACUUUAUUCUUGUUCCUUGCUUUUUGCUCCUGUUUAGCAAUAAAUAACUUAUCUAGCCUCUGUUAUGAUUGAGUUUUUAUGUUUUAAUUAGUGUUUGUGCCAAGUAGAACCGUUGGGAAGACUUGGGGAAAGUCUUUGCGAUCAUACUGUAAAAAACAGAAACUUCAGCGCUCACGAGAAUUGAUGGGCAUCUCCUUAACCCAUUGAUUAGCCGCGUCGAUGUGAGACUUUCUCCUUUUUGUCUUCUCCACAUAACCCCCUCAUUAUAUUCUAUUCCACCCAUAGUGCUAUAUCCAUGGCUCACGCUCAUGUAUUGCGUGAAAGUUGAAAAAAGUUUGAGAUUACUAAAGUAUGAAACAAUUGUUUGGCUUGUCAUCGGGGUUGUGCAUGAUGAGAGCAUUCUUGUGUGACGAAAAUGGAGCAUGACCAAACUAUAUGAUUUUGUAGGGAUGAACUUUCUUUGGCCAUGUUAUUUUGAGAAGACAUGAUUGCUUAGUUAGUAUGCUUGAAGUAUUAUUAUUUUUAUGUCAAUAUUAAACUUUUUUCUUGAAUCUUAUGUAUUUGAAUAUUCUUGCCGGAAUAAAGAGAACUACAUGGAUAAAUAUGUUAGGUAGCAUUCCACAUCAAAAAUUCGGUUUCAUUAGCGGCGUGCCCUGCACCCAUUUAUCACGUCGUAUCUCUGUAGUAUGCGCAUUCCCAAUUUGUCACGGCAUACCCUCCUUCAAACCUUCUUGCCCUUUCAGAUUAGCACGCCAAGCUAGCUAUGCACUAUGCGGGAACCUGCAUUUGAAAAAAAAGAAUCUCAUUUCAUGGUAUCUUCCAUGAAGGACCCUCGUACAUGAGCUAUCUAGAUAGAAAUAGCCAUGUAUGUUUAGCAAACUUUGCAUAAGUGAAUAGAUCAAGGUCGUGGAACCCCAAGCCUCCAAUUACACACGGCCUCUCUACCAAUAAGAUCUCCAAAGACAUCAAGGAUACAGACAGCCAAAAAAGAAAAUAAAAAGGAAAAAAAUAAAAAAUACCCCACCAUGGUGAUCAAUCACAAGCAUCAGCAGCACUCUAACCACCACCUAAGACAACGCCCAGAUUACAAAAAAAAUUCUCCAAAAGCAAUGCCCCCAAGAAGGAAACAAUACACAAGCGUUGUCGUUGCCCGAUCGAAGAUCGUGGGUUUUCACACUGGAAAAUUUUUGAGUUCACCCAAAAACAAUGCCUUCAACAAGGCCAUUGCCAAGUACAACAAAUAUGGCUGAGACCUUGGGUUUUCACCCUAGGAAUUGAGAGUCGAUGCUCGAGGAGUACCACCAAAAAUGCAGUCCACUAGUGUUGCCGCCCCCACUUGGCGAGGCCGCUGUUGCAAGUCACCAAACACCUGGCAUAUAGUUGUCAUCGCAUCCAAUACACCCUUCGGCCGAAGCUUCAAGACCUUGAUCCGUCUCCAACGUAUCUAUAAUUUUUGAUUGUUCCAUGCUAUUAUAUUAUCUGUUUUGGAUGUUUUAUAUGAGUAGGGCGUUUUGGUGCCCAGGCUCAUCUGCACCCGGUUAGAAAAAAUUCAUAAAAAAUUUAAACAAAUUCAAAAAAUUCCAAAUAAAAUUUGUAUGGUAGACAAUUUGAUGCGUGAGGCCCGCCUCAAAUUUCAAGUCAUUUGGAUAUAUGAGAAGCUCUCAGCAAAAAAGACAAAUCGGACUAAAACAGUACAUGAACAGUAAACAUUUUUACAGACCCUCAAUUUGUCUUUUUUGCUGAGAGCUGCUCAUAUGUUCAAAUGACUUGAAAUUUGGAGCGUGCCUCACGCAUCAAAAUUUCUAUCACACAAAUUUUAUUUGGAAUUUUUCGAAUUUUUCUAGUAUUUGUUUUGAUUUUUUUCGUCGGCACAGGUGCAGAUGAGCUCAGGUGCAGAAAUGGAUUUUCGGUUUUAUUUGCACUAUUAUGCUAUUUUAUAUGAUUUUUGCGACUAACCUAUUAAACUAGAGCCCAGUGCCAGUUCCUGUUUUUUCCUUGUUUUAGAGUUUCACAGAAAAGGAAUACCAAACGGAGUCCAAACGGAAUGAAACUUUUGCGAUGAUGUUUCUUAGACCAGAAGACAUCUAGAGGACUUGGAGUGCACGUUAGGAAAGCCAUGAGGUGGCCACAAUGACGGAGGGCACGCCCCCACCCUUGUGGGCUCCUCGUGACUCUACCGACCUAUUUCGUCCGCAUAUAUAUUCUCAAAUAUUCCAAAACCUACUAGGAGAGCCACAAAAAAACUUUUCCACCGUCGCAACCUUCUGUACCCAUGAGUUCCCAUCUAGGGGCCUUUUCCGGCAUCCCGUCGGAGGGGGAUUCGAUCACGGAGGGCUUCUACAUCAACACCAUUGCCUCUCCGAUGAAGCGUGAGUAGUUUACCACAGACCUAUGAGUCCAUAGCUAGUAUCUAAACGGCUUCUUCUCUCUCUUUGAUUCUCAAUACCAUGUUCUCUUCGAUGUUCUUGGAGAUCUAUUCGUUGUAAUACUCUUUUUGCGGUGUGUUUGCCGAGAUCCGGUGAAUUGUGGAUAUAUGAUCAGGUUAUCUAUGAAUAUUAUUUGAAUCUCCUAUGAAUUCUUAUAUGCAUGAUUUGAUAUAUUUGCAAGUCUCUUCGAACUAUCGAUUUGGUUUGGCCAACUAGAUUGGUUUUUCUUGCAAUGGGAGAAGUGCUUAACUUUGGGUUCAAUCUUGCGGUGCUCGAUCCCAGUGACAGAAGGGGAUGAUACGUCUCCAACGUAUCUAUAAUUUUUGAUUGUUCCAUGCUAUUAUAUUAUCAACCUUGGAUGUUUUAUAUGCAUUUAUAUGCUAUUUUAUAUGAUUUUUGGGACUAACCUAUUAACCUAGAGCCCAGUGCCAGUGCCAGUUUCUGUUUUUUCCUUGUUUUAGGGUUUCAAAGAAAAGGAAUAUCAAACAGAGUCCAAACGGAAUGAAACCUUCGGAAAAGUUAUUUUUGGAAAGAAAGCAAUACGAGAGACUUGGAGUGCACGUCAGGGGAUCAACGAGGAAGCCACGAGGCAGGGGCACGCCCUCCACCCUCGUGGCUCCCCUAAUGUAUUUCUUCCGCCUAUAUAUAUCCAUAUACCCUAAAAUGAUCGGGGAGCACAAUAGAUCGGGAGUUCCGCCACCAGAAGCCUCCGUAGCCACCGAAAGCCAAUCUAGACCCGUUCCGGCACCCUGCCGGAGGAGGAAUCCCUCUUCGGUGUCCAUCUUCAUCAUCCCGGUGCUCUCCAUGACGAGGAGGGAGUAGUUCUCCCUCAGGGCUGAGGGUAUGUACCAGUAGCUAUGUGUUUGAUCUCUCUCUCUCUCUCUCUCUCUCUCUCUCGUGUUCUUGAGGUGAUACGAUCUUGAUGUAUCGCGAGCUUUGCUAUUAGAGUUGGAUCUUAUGUUUCUUCUCCCCCUCUACUCUCUUGUAAUGGAUUGAGUUUCCCCUUCGAAGUUAUCUUAUCGGAUUGAGUCUUUAAAGAUUUGAGAACACAUGAUGUAUGUCUUGCCGUGCGUAUCUGUGGUGACAAUGGGAUAUCACGUGAUUCAUUUGAUGUAUGUUUUGGUGAUCAAGUUGCGGGUUCCACCCAUGAACCUAUGCAUAGGGGUUGGCACACAUUUUCGUCAUGAUUCUCCGGCAGAAACUUUGGGGCACUCUUUGAGGUUCUAUGUGUUGGUUGAAUAGAUGAAUCUGAGAUUGUGUGAUGCAUAUCGGAUAAUCAUACCCACGGAUACUUGAGGUGACAAUGGAGUAUCUAGGUGACAUUAGGGUUUUGGUUGAUUUGUGUCUUAAGGUGUUAUUCUAGUACGAACUCUAGGGCUGUUUGUGACACUUAUAGGAAUAGCCCAAUGGAUUGAUUGGAAAGAAUAACUUGGAGGUGGUUUCGUACCCUACCAUAAUCUCUUCGUUCGUUCUCCGCUAUUAGUGACUUUGGAGUGAUUCUUUGUUGCAUGUUGAGGGAUAGUUAUGUGAUCCAAUUAUGUUAUUAUUGUUGAGAGAACUUGCACUAGUGAAAGUAUGAACCCUAGGUCUUGUUUCAACGCAUUGCAAUACCGUUUACGCUCACUUUUAUCAUUAGUUACCUUGCUGUUUUUAUAUUUUCAGAUUACAAAAACCUUUAUCUACCAUCCAUAUACCACUUGUAUCACCAUCUCUUCGCCGAACUAGUGCACCGAUACAAUUUACCAUUGUAUUGGGUGUGUUGGGGACACAAGAGACUCUUUGUUAUUUGGUUGCAGGGUUGGUUGAGAGAGACCAUCUUCAUCCUACGCCUCCUACAGAUUGAUAAACCUUGGGUCAUCCACUUGAGGAAAAUUUGCUACUGUCCUACAAACCUUUGCACUUGGAGGCCCAACAACGUCUACAAGAAGAAGGUUGUGUAGUAGACAUCAGGGGAACCGACACAUAUUGUAGUGUUUCCAUCGAGGAUAACAAGAUGGGGUUUUCGUCAUAUUGCUUGAGUUUAUCCCGCUACAUCAAGUCAUCUUACUUAAUGCGUUAUCCUGUUCUUAUGAACUUAGUACUCUAGGUGCAGGCAGGAGUCAGUGGACGUGUGGAGUAAUAGUAGUAGAUGCAAGCAGGAGUCCGUCUACUUGAUACAAACAUGAUGCUUAUGUUCAUGAUCAUUGCCUUAGAUAUCGUCAUAAGUUUGCACUUUUCUAUCAAUUGCUCAGCAGUAAUUUGUUCACCCACCGUAAGAUUUUCUAUCUUGAGAGAAGCCUCUAGUGAAACCUAUGGCCCCGGGGUCUACUUUCCAUCAUAUAAGUUUCUGAUCUACAAUUGUGUUGGUUGAAUAGAUGAAUCUGAGAUUGUGUGAUGCAUAUCGUAUAAUCAUACCCACGGAUACUUGAGGUGACAAUGGAGUACCUAGGUGACAUUAGUGUUUUGGUUGAUUUGUGUCUUAAGGUGUUAUUCUAGUACGAACUCUAGGGCUGUUUGUGACACUUAUAGGAAUAGCCCAACGGAUUGAUUGGAAAGAAUAACUUUGAGGUGGUUUCGUACCCUACCAUAAUCUCUUCGUUCGUUCUCCGCUAUUAAUGACUUUGGAGUGACUCUUUGUUGCAUGUUGAGGGAUAGUUAUGUGAUCCAAUUAUGUUAUUAUUGUUGAGAGAACUUGCACUAGUGAAAGUAUGAACCCUAGGCCUUGUUUCAACGCAUUACAAUACCGUUUACGCUCAGUUUUAUCAUUAGUUACCUUGCUGUUUUUAUAUUUUCAGAUUACAAAAACCUUUAUCUACCAUCCAUAUACCACUUGUAUCACCAUCUCUUCGCUGAACUAGUGCACCUAUACAAUUUACCAUUGUAUUGGGUGUGUUGGGGACACAAGAGACUCUUUGUUAUUUGGUUGCAGGGUUGCUUGAGAGAGACCAUCUUCAUCCUACACCUCCUACGGAUUGAUAAACCUUAGGUCAUCCACUUGAGGGAAAUUUGCUACUGUCCUACAAACCUCUGCACUUGGAGGCCCAACAACGUCUACAAGAAGAAGGUUGUGUAGUAGACAUCAGGGGAACCGACACAUAUUGUAUUGUUUCCAUCGAGGAUAACAAGAUGGGGUUUUCGUCAUAUUGCUUGAGUUUACCCCGCUACAUCAAGUCAUCUUACUUAAUGCGUUAUCCUGUUCUUAUGAACUUAAUACUCUAGAUGUAGGCAGGAGUCGGUGGACGUGUGGAGUAAUAGUAGUAGAUGCAAGCAGGAGUCAGUCUAGUUGAUACAAACGUGAUGCUUAUGUUCAUGAUCAUUGCCUUAGAUAUCGUCAUAACUUUGCGCUUUUAUAUCAAUUGCUCAACAGUAAUUUGUACACCCACUGUAAGAUUUUCUAUCUUGAGAGAAGCCUCUAGUGAAACUAUGGCCCCGGGGUCUACUUUCCAUCAUAUAAGUUUCCGAUCUACAAUUUUAGUUUCCUAUCACUUCCUUUGCAAUCUUUUACUUUCCAUUCCAUAAACCAAAAAUACCAAAAAUAUUACUUUACCGAUUAUCCAUCUCUAUCAGAUCUCACCUUGCAAAUAACCAUGAAGGAUUGACAACCCCUUUGUCGCAUUAGGUGUAAGUUGCUAUUUGUUUGAGCAUGUAUUCAGUGACUUGUGCAUUGUCUCCUACUGGAUUGAUACCUUGGUUCUCAAAACUGAGGGAAAUACUUACUCUACUUUGCUGCAUCACCCUUUCCACUUCAAGGGAAAAACCAACGCAAGCUCAAGAGGAAGUAGGAAGAAUUUCUGGCACCGUUGCCGGGGACAUCUACGCCAAGUCAAGACAUACCAAGUACCCAUCAUAAACUCUCAUCUCUUGCAUUAUAUUAUUUGCCAUUCGCCUCUCGUUUUCCUCUCCCCCACUUCUAAAAUGAUUUGCCUUUUCUUCGCCCUCUUCCAUUCAUCUUCUUCGCUUGCUUUUUGUGUGCUCAUGUGUUGGAUUGCUUGCUUUGUCACGAUGUCUCAAGAGAAUACCAAAUUGUGUGACUUUUCCAAUACCAACAACAAUGAUUUUAUUAGUACCCCGAUUGCUCCCGCUACUAAUGCGGAAUCUUGUGAAAUUAAUGCUGCUUUGCUGAGUCUUGUUAUGAAAGAUCAAUUUUCCGGCCUUCCCAAUGAAGAUGCCGCAUCCCAUCUAAACAAUUUCGUUGAUUUGUGUGAUAUGAAAAAGAAAAAAGAUAUGGAUAAUGAUAUUGUUAAAUUGAAGCUAUUUCCGUUGUCACUUCGAGAUCGUGCUAAAACUAGGUUUUCAUCUUUGCCUAAAAAUAGCGAGUGUCAUUUUUUAAUGCGAGUGAUUAGUUUUUAAAGAAUGAUUGGCAUUCUUUCUUAAUUGCUCAUCUACUAAUCGUUUGGCGUGUUUUCUUAUCUUGUCAAAAUCAUAUCCCCUGGCUGUAAAUAUCAAAGAAUAAUUUCAUUUGUUGGGCUUGGACUGUACUGUCCGAGAGUCAGAGUAUAAAUACCAUACGAUUUCAAGAGCAAUAGCAACGGGGCAACCAUUAGUCCAUACUCUACACCAUAUGGCUAGAAAUUUUAUAUUAUAUAUAACAAAGUUGUGACAAAUUGGAAAUGGAAAGCAAUAAAAUGAAUAUGUUGCUAUAGGUUAUUAUUAUUACACAUGCACGUGUACCUUGAUCCUUGCUUGGACAUAGGGUCCGAGGAAGUUACAUUGCUUUGACUACUGAUAUUGUUUGUGUUAAAGUGUGCCACAAUGGCAUAAAUAUUGUCGUUGCAUAAUGGGAAACCACGUCAUAUUUAUCGAUGAUAUGUGGAAAUAGGGAUAAGCUACUUUAUGAAGAUAUAUAAGGAUGUAUGGGUUACGUUGGUGGAAAAUGUUGUUAUGAACACAAAUGCAGUUGCAUUUAUCAUGCAUUCGCGGUGAAGUGCGCUAUUGUGGCAUAUAUCUUCCUUUUUGCCACAGAAGCAUGGUAGAAUUAUAAAGAGAGUAUGUUUCUAUAGACAUUUCAAAAAAGAGAUUUGUGUAUACUCUCAUUAUACUGUAAUCACCAUAGAUUAUUCAGAUUAGAAGUUGUUGUCUCUACCACAUAUUUAGAUUUUCUAUACAUACUAAUAUCUAUAUCGCAUAGAAAAUCAUGUAUUUAUAUGAGAUCUUUGUGGUGCAUGAUAAAGCAAGAUUCCUUUUGUUAUUGCAGCAAUUUAUAAGUAUUUAAAUAUAUACUAAUAGCUAGUUUCUUCUGUGUUAUAAGGACAAAAUAAGACAUGCAUAGACAUGCAAAUACGUAUUAGAAAUCUGCUACUCCAAAUGUAUCAUGUUAAUCCAUGUAAGCCACGAAUCGCGUGCAUAUCAGGCAAAGCAGUUUUUUUUGUAAAAACAAUACAUAAUACUAAUCGAUGGUAUAGACGAUUCAAUACAUAUGCAUCAAGACACCGCUACCUUGCACAUAGUGAUAUAGGAUGGAAUUGAAUCUGAUCCGCUCCUUUCCAACUUAAUCGAGUAAUGUGUACUUCUCAUAAAUAGGCAUGUAUAUAGUAAUUGUUCUUUUGACCAAACGCUUGGUAUAUUAAUGAUCACAUUAUACAUUUAUGUAACAUUUCUUACUUGCGAAAUCUUUUACAAAUUGGAAUAUGGGAAUUUUAUUAAUACCUAGAAGAAAUACUACUAUUUAGAACAUAUAAUAACUGGUACUAUACUUUUUCUUAAUAUUGGUACUAUACUUAAUUGGACCAAAAGUUGCACAUAUUUUUGAUUAGUUCAUUUUUUUCUACAGAUUUAUCGGCGCCAUUAUUUCUCUAUGGUUGACAUGUAUAUGAACUACUGUCUGUAUAUAUUGAUCUGCAUUUAGACAAAUAUCAGGGACAAACACACAUACUGUUUAGCAUGUGUAGUUGUAAAGGUAGAAUACUGAUUUGUAGUAUUAAGAAAAUAUAUUUAUAAGAUCUUACUACAAUGUAUAUGGAUUGAGAAUCAGAGAAAUAACCAAGUGUUGUGCAAGGAUCAUUCUGACUAUCCAGUGGCAGAAUAAAAAUAGGAUGCUAAGCGCGGGGAGAAUACUUAUGUCCUAUAAACCUGCAAAUAAGAAGCAUGCAUUCACCAUAUAUUAGAAUUCCAAAUUUUAUAGUUCCUUUGCAUGUUGGAAAUAAGCUUUGCCCCUUGUGAUAUGGAUUAUCACGUAGAAUGGAAAGAGGAGAAAAAAAUUAUGGCUUAGCAGAAUCAAUGAGGAAAAGCACUACAUGUGAAGUAUCAAAACGUUGUGAUAGCACGAACCCCACCAGAUUUGAACUCGUGCUCUUAGUAUGACAUGAAAAGAGGGGCUACUCUCCAAUCGAAGUGAAAAUAGUAGAACUUUGAACUUAUAUAUAUAUACGCUUAAAAAUUCUAAAAGCAAAUGGUCAAAAACUCAGAAUAGCUUGAGCGGGCACUACUUGCUAACUCAAGCACAUGGCAACACAGUAUUAAGUCAAGAUUUUGCAACCGAGAGGGAAAGUCAAAUAAAUAAAUAAAUAAAUAAGGAUUCUCAUCAAACCUGUGAAUCCAAGCUAGUAUCUAACUAUUGUAUUGCUCAUAGUUUUGCAUACACCAUGGAACGUACGAUACAUAGCAUGUUGAAAAAUUAUAACCAAUUAAAUAGAAGAUAAAGGCAUAGUGCUAGGAGAUCAUCUCUCAGAGCAAUCAUCGCUGACAUAAACCUUCGGUUAAAUCACAUGUCUAAUUAGAACCUAGAGGUCUUUUACUUUUCCUUUAUAUGGAACCUUUAUUUUGACCUUUGGGGACUAUAGCCGCCUCAAAUAUGCAACUUUUUUUCGAAAUUUUAGUAUAGUGUAGUUGGAGCUUUUCCUGGUGUUCCAUAAAAAUAGCAAAGGGCAUAUUUCCUUUAGCCUACUUAUAUAUAAAAAAACGGCGUUCCUUAAUUAUUAUUCAAACUGAAAACACAUGCUAUCUUUAAAAGCAAAGAUGUACCUUAUGUGAGAAUCAUGCAUGUGUUAUUUCUAAUUAGUUAGGCAAUAAAAUAAUAGCAUCGUAUCAUUAGAUAAAUUAUUUUUCAACUGAAUCAGACAUGUGGGGUUUGACAAAAUUGAAAGUAUAUGCGAAGAUGUUAAGGAGAAAAUGUCAAUAUAAAAAAACUGUUUCUAUAGGCAGAUGUGAAUUACGUACAAAAAUAGGUCUGUUCGCUUUACAAAAGUUCUGGUGAAACCAAACUCCUGAGUUACUACAUGUAGAGCUCAAAAAUACCAGAUAUAGAGUAUAAAAUGAGAAUGGAAUACUAAGUGCAUCUUACAGAAAUUAUAAGAUCUUUUUAAUAGCUUCCUCAAUAUUACAUAGCAUACACAACAAUGAGGCAUCAAAUGAAUCAGUAUUCUAAAUAUGUAAAGAAGAAUAAGAAACACAAAGUAGCUGCUGCUCGAGCAACUACUACAUGCAAAUACAAUGCUUGAGAAUUUUCAAGCGUUCUGUUCGCUUUUUACCCUGAUUCAGCAUGGAUUAAAAAACCACAGUACUUAAUUCCGUGUAUCCUAAAUUCAAGCGUCAUGUUCGACGAAUUUCACCAUAGAUUUACAUGCCUGUGGACUUGUAGAACCAACAGCGCACUCUACAACAUCCGACAGAUAAAUCGAUCUGCUUUCCGUUCGCUGUAGGUUGUUCAUUGGGAAGCAGCACGAUCCACUUUAGACCACCAUCAGUAGACCUGAUCCUACGCUGCAUCGCAUUGUUAUAUUGCAGUCAGCUCGGAACUUAUGUCAAGGAGAAUAGUUAGACGAUGGAUUUGAUAUUUGGCCUUUUUGAGAUCUGAAACGUGUGUGUACUUCGUAGCUGUCAGCAGGUGGAAGGCCGUCCUGACAAAGAGGCAUAUUGCAUCCUAAAUUCAAGCACCAUGUUCGAAAAAAAAUCAGUAUGGGUUUACUUGCCUGUGGACUUGUAGAACCAACAUCAAACCCGACAAAAUCGGACAGAUAAAUCGAUCUGCUUUCCGUUCGUAGUAGGUUCUCCAAUGGGCAGCAGCACGAUCCACUUUAGACCACCUGAUCCUACGCUGCAUCUUGCAGUCAGCUCCGAACUUAACCCAGAAGAAUAGUUAGACGAUGGAUUUGAUAGUUGGCCUUUUUUUAGAUCAGAAUUGUAGGUGCAGGGUGGCUCGGCGAUCCUGACAAAGAUGAGAUUGAUCGGGGUCGCUAAUAAUCCCUUGUAGCACCUGCCGGGAUCCUUUGUGGUUCGCCGAGUGCACUUGAUGGCGAUGGGAUCAAGGGAAGAGAAGAAUUGAAGGAGGUGGGGUCGAGGGACAUGUUUUUCCUAUUUUAGGGGGAGAUAUCUUUCCUUUCUGUUUUUGCGUGAUUGUUUUCGUUUUUCAAUCGGCCGAAGAUUUUAUUGACAGAUCUAUUUUCUUUUUCUUUUCAUCACGGGAUUUUACAUGAAAGGAGGCUAUCUUUUUUUAGCAUGGAAGGAAGAUAUCUUUUUUAAAGGAACCGAUGGAUGCUUUGUUUGUUUGUUAAGCCAAUCUUGACGGUGUCGCGUUCCUUUAUUUUUUACGGGGCCAUAUAUGCUACCAUUGAUUGCAAUUAGUUUUUUUCUCUUGGAGAUGGAUUAUUUGUUUGUUGAACGUGUCUGCCUUAAUUAUGGAUGGACCAUCUGUGUAACGCAUGUUUACUUUUUAUCUUGGACGUUAAUUCUAUAAUCUAUCGGUGUAAUUAAUUUUGAUGAUGUGGAUUAAUGAGAAGGCCUUAAAAGGUGCCUCCAAUUAGUAAAUAUAUAAGAUAUAAGAUAUUGAUUCAUGGAAUAAGUUUAAGGAUGAAUUUAUUUCCAAGUAUUUUCCUCCCGCUAAGAUCAUCUCUCUUAGGAACGACAUUAUGAAUUUUAACCAACUUGAUCAUGAACAUGUUGCACAAUCUCCGUAGAGGAUGAAAUUGAUGAUAUGAAAUUGCCCUACACAUGGUUUGAAUAUGUGGAUGAUUAUACAAUUUUUUAUGCCGGAUUGAAUUUUGCUUCUAGAAAUCUUUUAGAUUCGGCCGUGGGAGGUACUUUUAUGGAAAUUACUUUAGGAGAAGCUACUAAACUCCUAGAUAAUAUUACGGUUAAUUAUUCUCAAUGGUAUACUGAAAGAUCUUCCACUAGUAAAAAAGUGCAUGCGAUUGAUGAGUUUAAUGUUUUGAGUGGAAAGAUGGAUGACCUUAUGAAAUUAUAUGCUAGCAAGAGUGCUUCUGUUGAUCCUAAUGAUAUGCCUUUGUCUACUUUGAUUGAGAAUAAUAAUGAAUCUAUGUAUGUGAAUUUUGUUGGUAGGAACAAUUUUGGUAAUAACGCUUAUGGAGGUAAUUUUAAUCCUAGACUGCUUCCUAAUAAUUCCCCUAAUAAUUAUGGCAAUUCCUACAACAAUUCUUCACUGGUAGAAAAAGGGCCUGUAGUCCCGGUUCGUAAGGGCCUUUAGUCCCGGUUCCUGAACCGGGACUAAAGUGUCGGUACUAAUACCUCCCACCUUUAGUCCCGGUUCAAUCCAGAACCGGGACUAAAGCCCAUCCACGUGGGCAGUGUGCAGAGCCCAGUCAGGAGACCCUUUGGUCCCGGUUGGUGGCACCAACCGGGACCAAUAGGCAUCCACGCGUCAGCAUUUCUGUGNNNNNNNNNNNNNNNNNNNNNNNNNNNNNNNNNNNNNNNNNNNNNNNNNNNNNNNNNNNNNNNNNNNNNNNNNNNNNNNNNNNNNNNNNNNNNNNNNNNNNNNNNNNNNNNNNNNNNNNNNNNNNNNNNNNNNNNNNNNNNNNNNNNNNNNNNCCGGUUCAAUCCAGAACCGGGACUAAAGCCCAUCCACGUGGGCAGUGCGCAGAGCCCAGUCAGGAGACCCUUUGGUCCCGGUUGGUGGCACCAACCGGGACCAAUAGGCAUCCACGCGUCAGCAUUUCUGUGGCUAGGGUUUUUAUUUUUAUUUUUUGAAAGGGGGGGGGGGUUGGGGGUUUUGGGGGGUUAAUUUAGGUGUUUCAUAUAUUGUGUUAGCUAGCUAUAAUUAAUAUAGAGAAGUGUCCUCUCUUAUGUCCGUGCUUGGUCGACGCUACGUACUAUACAUACGUAUAGAGAGGACUAGACACGCUGGCUAGCUAGUAAAGCAAACGAAGGAAACAGAAGAUCGUCAUGAACAUAUAUGCAUACAGAGAGAAGUGAUAUCGACCACCUCUCCUUCUCCGAGAGAUUGGUCGAACAACAAGUUCUCGUAUAUCUAUCUGACAGUACCGGCUACAUAUAUACAGUAAUUAUCUCUUACAAAUAUAAUCAUACGGACUCAGGUUUAACAUAGAAUUCUCCGUCUUCAGGGAUCACGUGGUCAAAAAAGAAUGCCGCCAAUUCCUCUUGAAUUGCUCGCAUGCGAGCUGGUGCUAGGAGUUCAUCCCGCUUCCGAAACAUCUAAUUUGAAGAAGGGGGUCAAUACAUAUAUAUAUAUAUAUGAAUGAAUGAAACUCAACACAAAUGAUGGUAAUAAAAUAAAAUUGUGAAUAUUGUUAUUUACGUACUUCAUAUUGUUCGUUAGAGUACCCGCCCCGCUCACACGUCGUGUGACGGAUGGACUCGCAGAUGUAGUAUCCACAGAAAUCAUUCCCUUGUUCCUGCCACAACCACUUUACAAGAAAUAGAGGUCAAUCAAACUGAUAAGCAAGAAUGCUAAAUGGUAUUGAUGAAACUAGCGCUUGAAUCACUAGGAGAUGCGCGGAACAUGCUACUAUAGUACUUACUUUCGGGUGUCUAAAUUCUAGCUCCUUCGGCAGUCCCGGAACUUUUUUGGUGAAUUUUCUCCAAACCAUGCCGGACAAAGAAAACAAUUACUUGAUAUCAGGAAAUGAACAAAGUUGCUGAUAUGGUGGAUAAUGAUCGAUUUAACUUACUUCUUGAGGAUUUCAGUCAUGUCUGCAUAGUCCUGCGGAUCUUUUCGUUUUGAGUCUAAGAAGGUUACUAGUCCCUGCUCAAGCUUAAUCUCUAGGAGAAUAUAGUGGAAACUGCACACGCAUGCAUAACUUAUGAAUUACAUUACUAUAACCUUGAGUAAUAUAUAAGGGAAACCGAAUACGCACAAGACAGUAGCACUCACUUGAAGUUGUAAGGAAAGAGUAUUAUAUCUUUGUUUUGAUUUAUUACGAACGAUUGUAGAAAGUUGGCCUCGGUAGCUGUGACAUGAAGUUUAACCUGAAUUGCAUCUAUGAGAUAUGUGUUAAUGAACCCAAUAUCACCGACUUGUCUUUUCUUCAAUUCGACGAUCUUCAAUCUGCAUAAUAUAGUGAGGAUGAUUAUAAAUACAUGCAAUGAAAGAGCUAAGCUAUAUAGAGAAACUUAAUGACAGAAGUAGUACUACUUACAGACAGUAGCAGGCGACCGUUGUUUUAUCGAGGGCCAAUUGAUUGAAAAACUGAUAGAACUCCUCAAAUGGAACAGGCAACAGAUCAAUUCCAACGAGGUCAUGCUCCUUUUUAACUCUCACAUACAAAGUACUCCUCCCCCAGAGUCUCUGCAGAUUUUCAAGUACCAAUCAUGCAAUCUUCGCAUCAUCGUUGAUAGAGAUCUUUCAUCUUUGACGAGAGGCUUCCCGUACUCGUAUCUUUGCAUCUGCAUGUCCAUGGGUUCAUAAUGUACUUCGUCGGGUAGGUAAUCUGCAAGAUUAUUAUAACCGGGCACCAUCCUCGGAUCAUUAGCGACUUUGUGGCUAGGCACCUUGAGCGAGGGGCAUGAUUGCUUCGCUUGUUUGCCGAGCUGGGCAAUUUGUUUCCCAGCUCGUCGUUUUUUCAGCCUUUCAUCACUGACAGUAGUUCCCGACCGCUCCGCUUCGGCAAAUUCCUUUCCAAUAAUGCGGUCAUAGUUUCCUUUCGGCGGAUCAGACUUUGGUGGUUUUGUCAGGGCAGCCAGAGUGCGCUUCACUUUCACCCCAUCUACCUUCUCCUCUGGAGGUGGAUGUUUCUUUGCUUUCACCCCUUCAAAGAAUUUCCUCACUUCUUCUCACGCGAUCUCGGCGUUCUCCUCCUGGGUCCUCUCGUAUGGUAACUUCUCUGGAGUCUUCAGAGAAGGACCGAAUCUGUAUGUCCUCCCGCCUCUGGUUGUACUGCUAGACGCCGACCGAGCAAACGAAGCGGUUGUCUUCUUUACUUGCUUAAGAGGCGGAGGAGAAGGACUACGACCCGCCGGAGCAGCUGGAGCGGCGGCAGGUCUCUUCUGCCCUUGCUGACGAGGCGGAGAAGGAGGAGGUUGGCUGCUCGGGCGCGUCGGCGCAGGCGGAGACGGAGGCGGAGUGCCGCCACGCGCCGGAGAAGGAGCCGGCCGAGGGCCCUGAUCCUCACUCGCCGGAGGAGGAGGUGGUGGAGGAGGCGGAGUGCCCUGACUCGCCGGAGGAGGAGGAGGAGGCGGAGGCGUCCAGUUCGGAAGGUUGAUGAGGUCCUUCCGCCAUAGGCAUGGAGUCUUCAGAGCAGACCCCAGCCGAGUCUCCCCUUCACCGGUAGGGUGGUCAAGCUGGAGGUCCUCAAAUCCCUCCGUUAUCUCAUCCACCAUCACCCUAGCAUAUCCUUCUGGAAUCGGCAUGCAGUGAAAAGUUGCGCCGGGUUCAGUAGGAUAAACAGAGCCAACAGCCGCCUUGACCUUCAAAUUCAUCCAUUGCGUCAUAAGGUGGCAAUUUUGAGACUCCGUUAUAGCAUCCACAGGAUAGCUGGCAGGAGCCGUCAAGGCAUGCUGCAGCUGAAGCUGCUCGGUGGAAGCCACGCUGCUUCUGCGCUGAGAUGGCGGGGUAGCUUCGGGGGAGGCUUCGGCAGUACGUUUGUUGCGAUUUGCUUCUCGUUCCUCUAUCGCUUGUACCCUUGCGUGCAGCGCCUGCAGUUCGGUCUGCUGCACUUUUUUCCUCCUCUCAUGGGAUUUGUAACCGCCUGCGUCCGGAAACCCAACCUUCCACGGAACGGAGCCUGGCGUGCCUCGUGUCCGUCCAGGGUGCUCAGGAUUCCCGAGGGCCAUUGUGAGCUCGUUGUGCUCUCUGUCUGGAAAGAACGUCCCUUCCUGCGCUGCGUCGAUAUAGUGCUUAAGCUUACUGACUGGUAUGUCCAUUUGUUCGUUCGUCCAAAUGCAGUUCCCUAUUUCAGGGUCCAAGGUUCCGCCACCCCCGAAGAACCAAGUCCGGCAACGGUCUGGCCAGUUAUUUGUCUCUGGUCCGAUCCCUUUAUGAACCAGAUCAUUCUCAACCAUGGACCACUUAGGCCGGGCUACGAGGUAGCCACCUGACCCCGUGCGAUGGUGAAGCUUCUUCUUCGCGGCAUUCUGCUUGUUUGUCGCCGACAUCUUCUUACUCUUUUCCGAUGUCUUGUAGGCCACAAAUGCGGGCCAGUGAUCUCUGAUCUUCUCAUAUCUUCCCUUGAAUUCUGGUGUCUCUUUUUUAUCGACAAACCUAUUCAGCUCUUUCUUCCACCUCCUGAAUAGAUCUGCCAUCCUCUUCAGAGAAAAAGACUUGAUUAAUUUCUCUUUAAUUGGGUUCUCUGGAUUAUCCUCUGGCGGUAGGGUGAAAUUUGACUUCAGCUCAGUCCAAAGAUCAUUUUUCUGCAUAUCAUUGACAUAAGACACCUCAGGGUCUUCUGUAGCCGGCUUAAACCAUUGCUGGAUGCUUAUCGGGAUCUUGUCCCUAACCAGAACCCCGCACUGAGCAACAAAUGCCCUCUUUGUCCGGAGGGGUUCAAUAGGUUGGCCGUCGGGCGCGAUUGCUGUGAUCUCAAGCUUUUCAUCCGAGCUCAACUUUUUCUUCGGGCCUCGUCUCUUUACCGAAGUUGUGCUCGAUCCGGAGGGCUAGAAAAAAGAACAAAGACUUAAUUAAUAUGUGUACAUACCAAAACAAUGAAUGCAUCAAUCAGCUAGUCAGCAUAGGCUUAACUAAUAUAUAUACCUGGCCGGACUCGGUUCGGUCACCGGAGCCGUCAUCACGGUCUCCUUCUUGCACCGGCAUUGGGUCACCGGCGCCGUCCUCAUGUUCUUCUUCUUGCACCGGCAUUAGGUCACCGUAGCCAGCUUGUUCACCCUCUCCUUCCGGACCAUCGAUGAUAUCGUUGAGAUAGUACGAGACGGCAUCACUUCCUUGUGCGAUUAUCUCCCUCAACAACGCUUCUUUUGUUGCUUCGUCUAGGGCGGUGUCCAUAGUUUCUACAAAUAUUUACAACAUGGCAAUUAUUAUUCAAACAUGACAGAUGGAUAUAUUAGUGCCAAACGUAGAACUACCUACCUAAUCAUAGUAAGCUAUCGGGAGGGGGUAUAUAUCGACAACGACGACACUACAUCUAUAUAUGUCCCUCGAUGACCCUCGUUCCUGAUAAAAAAAGAGGAAGAAGAAGAAAAAAAAGAGGAGAAGAAAGAAUAGAGGAGAAGAACUCCUCUAUUCUUUCUUCUCCUCUUUUUUCUUCUUCUUCCUCUUCUUUUUUUAUCCUCUUCUUCCUCUCAUGUUCGAGAGGAUCGCCUUGGGGUCGGGAGGUUGCCUAGUGUCAAAGGAUUCAACAAAACCAUGUCUUCAUCAUUAGGCGAAAGUAACAUGUGCAUGAUGGUAGGAAGCUCUUCAAAGUUGUUCUGGAACGGAGUCCCAGAUAGGAUAAUUCGCUUUUUGGUACAAAGUUCAGCAAGAGCCUUCCGAAUAUCGCUAUUUGGAAGGCCUUUGCUGAAUUCGUACCAAAAGGCGGAUUAUUCUAUCCGGGACUCCAUUCCAGAACAACUUUGCAGAACUUCAUACCAACAUGCCCUGGUUACUUCCGGCUAAUGAUGAAGGCAUGGAUUUCUUCAAUACUUUGACACUAGGAAACCUCUCUCGACCCCUCGGCGAUUCUUGACCCCUCGAACCCUCAACGACCCUGAAACCCUCGACGCUUGACCCCUUAACGACCCUCGACCCUCUACCCUAGUUCCCGACCCUCGACCAAUAGAGGAGAAGAAGAAAGGAAUAGCUAGAGGAGAAGAUCGAAGAAAAAAAAGAAGAAACAAAAGAGGAGAAGAAGAAAGGAAUAGUGGAGAAGAAGAGAAAAUAGAAUAUAUAUUCUAUUUUCUCUUCUUCUCCACUAUUCCUUUCUUCUUCUCCUCUUCUUUUUCUUCUGUUUUCUUCUUCUUAUUUAUUUCUCCUCUUCUUUUCGGUAGAGGAAACCCUAAAUAGCUAGCAAGUAUCGUGGGUGUGAGAUACAUGUGGCCUUCGGUGUCGGACACUACAUCCACGUCCCACAAGUGACGUGGGCGUCGAAACCCGCGCCACUUGUGGGAUGUGGAUGUAGUGUCCGACACCGACGGUACAUGUAUCUCACACCGACGAUACUUUCUAUUUAGGGUUUCUCCUCUACCACUCGGCGGCCCUCUCGACGACCCUCGUUCCCGAUAAUAUAAAGAGGAAGAAGAAGAAGAAAAAAGAAGAGAAGAAAGAAUAGAGGAGACGAACCCUCGAACCCUCGAACCCUAGACGACCCUCUUCUUCCUCUCAUGUUCGAGAGGAUCGCCGAGGGGUCGGGAGGUUGCCUAGUGUCAAAGGAAACCCUAAAUAGCUAGCAAGUGUCAUGGGUGUGAGAUACAUGUGGCCUUCGGUGUCGGACACUACAUCCACGUCCCACAAGUGACGUGGGCGUCGAAGCCCGCGCCACUUGUGGGAUGUGGAUGUAAUGUCCGACACCGACGGUACAUGUAUCUCACACCGACGAUACUUUCUAUUUAGGGUUUCUCCUCUACCACUCGGCGGCCCUCUCGACGACCCUCGUUCCCGAUAAAAUAAAGAGGAAGAAGAAGAAGAAAAAAGAAGAGAAGAAAGAAUAGAGGAGAAGUCUCCUCUAUUCUUUCCUCGCCUCUCUCAUGAAUGUCCGGCGUUCUCGACCCCCCCCCCUCCCCACGUGUCGAAGAAAAAAAAGAAGAAAAAAAAGAGGAGAAGAAGAAAGGAAUAGAGGAGAAAAGAGAAAAAUAGAAUAUUCNNNNNNNNNNNNNNNNNNNNNNNNNNNNNNNNNNNNNNNNNNNNNNNNNNNNNNNNNNNNNNNNNNNNNNNNNNNNNNNNNNNNNNNNNNNNNNNNNNNNNNNNNNNNNNNNNNNNNNNNNNNNNNNNNNNNNNNNNNNNNNNNNNNNNNNNNNNNNNNNNNNNNNNNNNNNNNNNNNNNNNNNNNNNNNNNNNNNNNNNNNNNNNNNNNNNNNNNNNNNNNNNNNNNNNNNNNNNNNNNNNNNNNNNNNNNNNNNNNNNNNNNNNNNNNNNNNNNNNNNNNNNNNNNNNNNNNNNNNNNNNNNNNNNNNNNNNNNNNNNNNNNNNNNNNNNNNNNNNNNNNNNNNNNNNNNNNNNNNNNNNNNNNNNNNNNNNNNNNNNNNNNNNNNNNNNNNNNNNNNNNNNNNNNNNNNNNNNNNNNNNNNNNNNNNNNNNNNNNNNNNNNNNNNNNNNNNNNNNNNNNNNNNNNNNNNNNNNNNNNNNNNNNNNNNNNNNNNNNNNNNNNNNNNNNNNNNNNNNNNNNNNNNNNNNNNNNNNNNNNNNNNNNNNNNNNNNNNNNNNNNNNNNNNNNNNNNNNNNNNNNNNNNNNNNNNNNNNNNNNNNNNNNNNNNNNNNNNNNNNNNNNNNNNNNNNNNNNNNNNNNNNNNNNNNNNNNNNNNNNNNNNNNNNNNNNNNNNNNNNNNNNNNNNNNNNNNNNNGGGACUAAAGGGGGGCAAUGGUCACGGUUGGUGCCACGAACCGUGACCAAUGCCACCUUUAGUCCCGGUUGGUGCCACCAACCGGGACCAAUGCCCUUGUGCGCCCCGCGCCCAGAAGUUUAGUCCCACAUCGCUAGCUGAAGGGCGCCGAUACUGGUUUAUAAGCGCUGCUCUGCCUCCCCUUUCGAGCUCCUCUCAAAUGCAGGCUUUCGGGCCUAAACUGCUACUGCCUGUGGGCCUAUUGGGCCUCUGCGGGCCUGAAUCCUGGCCCAUGUAGGGUUUCUAGUCGUAUUCAGGCCGUGGAGGCCCAGUAGGAGGCAUUUUUUUUGGUUUUUUCUUUUUUGUUUCUAUAUUUUUUUGGUUUUUUAUUUUUUUUAUUUCUACUUACAACUAAAUACUUACAGUUUUUUAGUGAUUUCUUUUUGCUUUUAGGUCACAAAAAUUAUAAACUUUCUAUUAGUGCCAUUAGUUUUAAAUUUUAAAUAGUUUAAAUUUGAAUUUUUAAAAAUUUGUGUGAAUCACUAGUUUAUGAAUAACUUUACUAUAAAGUUAGAAUUUGUUUUCUAUUUAUUUUUUAUUUCUACUUACAACUAAAUACUUACAGUUUUUUAGUGAUUUGUUUUUGCUUUUAGGUCACAAAAAUUAUAAACUUUCUGUUAGUGCCUUUAGUUUUAAAUUUUAAAUAGUUUAAAUUUGAAUUUUUAAAAAUUUGUGUGAAUCACUAGUUUAUGAAUUUUUUUCUUCUUUGCUAUUUAUUUUUGAUUUAUACUUACAAUUAAAUACUUAUAGUUUGCUUUUAGGUCACACAAAUUAUAUUCUUUUUGCUAUUGAAGAAUAUUAUAGUUUUAUUUUAGUUGAUCAUAACAUAAUAUUUUAAUUGAUUGUUUUUAUUUUCAUAAAAGUUUUGUAGUUCAUUCUGUUUGCUAUUAAUUCAUUCUUUGAGCUAAAUGACUCUGAAAUUGGAAAGCAUUUCAAAAUGAACUCUGAAAAGGUUGAAAGUUGGCAUGGUAUCAUCAUUUCACCCACAUAGCAUGUUCCAAAAAGUAGAGAGGGUUACGACAAAAACUUGAUGCACUUCGUGUACAAAAUGGACAAUCACUUUCGAAGUAUCAAAGUUUCAAACCAUAAGACAUGAAAGCAUUUCGAAUGAACUCUGAAAAAGUUGAAAGUUGGGAUGCAUGGUAUCAUAAUUUCACCCACAUAGCAUUUUCUUAUUGCGGGAGAAAGUCUUCACUUUUUCUUCGCUUGUGUCAUUUGCUUAUUGCGCCGUAACCAUGGAUAAUCUUCAUUGUUUUUAAGGAUGCUUGGGUCAGCCUUGACAUUGAAGGGAGGAAUUUCAUGAAACUUUUCAUAAUCUUCAGACAUGUCUGUCUUGCCGUCCACUCCCAGGAUGUCCCUUUUUCCUGAAAGAACUAUGUGGCGCUUUGGCUCAUCGUAUGAUGUAUUCGCUUCCUUAUCUUUUCUUUUUCUCGGUUUAGUAGACAUGUCCUUCACAUAGAUAACCUGUGCCACAUCAUUGGCUAGGACGAACGGUUCGUCAGUGUACCCAAGAUUUUUCAGAUCCACUGUUGUCAUUCCGUACUGUGGGUCUACUUGUACCCCACCGCCAAACAGAAUGACCCAUUUGCACUUAAACAAAGGGACCUUAAAAUCAGGUCCGUAGUCAAGUUCCCAUAUGUCCACUAUGUAACCAUAAUAUGUGUCCUUUCCUCUCUCGGUUGCUGCAUCAAAGCGGACACCGCUGUUUUGGUUGGUGCUCUUUUGAUCUUGGGCGAUCGUGUAAAAUGUAUUCCCAUUUAUCUCGUAUCCUUUGUAAGUCAAUACAGUCAAAGAUGGUCCCCUGGACAACAAGUACAACUCAUCACAAACAGUGUUGUCACCUCUGAGACGUGUUUCCAACCAACUCCUGAAAGUCCUGAUGUGUUCACAUGUAAUCCAGUCGUCGCAUUGCUCCGGGUGUUUGGAGCGCAGACUGUUCUUGUGUUCAUCGACAUACGGGGUCCCCAAGGUAGAGUUCUGUAGAACUGUGUAGUGUGCUUGAGACCAAGAAUAUCCGUCCCUGCAUAUUAUUGAGUCUCUUCCAAGAGUGCCUUUUCCAGUCAGUCUCCCCUCAUACCGCGAUUUAGGGAGACCUAUCUUGUUAAGGCCAGGAAUGAAGUCAACACAAAACCCGAUAACAUCCUCUGUUUGAUGGCCCAUGGAGAUGCUUCCUUCUGGCCUAGCGCGGUUACGGACAUAUUUCUUUAGGACUCCCAUGAACCUCUCAAAGGGGAACAUAUUGUGUAGAAAUACGGGCCCCAGGAUGACAAUCUCGUCGACUAGAUGAACUAGGACGUGCGUCAUGAUAUUGAAGAAGGAUUGUGGGAACACCAGCUCGAAACUGACAAGACAUUGCGCCACAUCACUCCUUAGCCUUGGUACCAUUUCUGGAUCGAUCACCUUCUAAGAGAUUGCAUUGAGGAAUGCACAUAGCUUCACAAUGGCUAAUCGGACGUUUUCCGGUAAAAGCCCCCUCAAUGCAACCAGAAGCAGUUGCGUCAUAAUCACGUGGCAGUCAUGAGACUUUAGGUUCUGAAACUUUUUCUCUGGCAUAUUUAUUAUUCCCUUUAUAUUCGAUGAGAAGCCAGUCAUGACCUUCAUACUAAGCAGGCAUUCAAAGAAGAUUUCUUUCUCUUCUUUCGUAAGAGUGUAGCUGGCAGGACCUUUAUACUGCUUCGGAGGCAUGUCAUCUUUUUUGUGCAAACGUUGCAGGUCCUCCCAUGCCUCCGGCGUAUCUUUUGUCUUCCCAUACACGCCCAAGAAGCCUAGCAGGUUCACGCAAAGGUUCUUCGUCACGUGCAUCACGUUGAUUGAGGAGCGGACCUCUAGGUCUUUCCAGUAGGGUAGGUCCCAAAAUAUAGAUUUCUUCUUCCACAUGGGUGUGUGUCCCUCAGCGUCAUUCGGAACAGCUAGUCCACCGGGACCCUUUCCAAAGAUGACGUAGGGUAAAUCAUUGACCAUAGCAAGCACGUGAUCACCGGUGCGCAUGGCGGGCUUCUUUCGGUGAUCUGCCUCGCCUUUGAAAUGCUUGCCUUUCUUUCGACAUUGAUGGUUGGUCGGAAGAAAUCGACGAUGGCCCAGGUGCACAUUCUUCCUGCAUUUGUCCAGGUAUAUACUUUCAGUGUCAUCUAAACAGUGCGUGCAUGCGUGGUAUCCUUUGUUUGUCUGUCCUGAAAGGUUACUGAGAGCGGGCCAAUCGUUGAUGGUCACGAACAGCAACGCCUUAAGGUUAAAUUCCUCCUGUCUGUGCUCAUCCCACGUACGUACACCAUUUUCAUUCCACAGCUGUAAAAGUUCUUCAACUAAUGGACUUAGGUACACAUCAAUUUCGUUGCCGGGUUGCUUAGGGCCUUGGAUGAGAACUGGCAUCAUAAUGAACUUCCGCUUCAUGCACAUCCAAGGAGGAAGGUUAUACAUACAUAGAGUCGCGGGCCAGGUGCUGUGAUUACUGCUCUGCUCCCCGAAAGGAUUAAUGCCAUCCGCGCUUAAAGCAAACCAUACAUUCCUAGGGUCCUUUGCAAACUCAUCCCAGUACUUUCUCUCGAUUUUUCUCCACUGCGACCCGUCAGCGGGUGCUCUCAACUUCCCAUCUUUCUUUCGUUUCUCACUGUGCCAUCGCAUCAACUUGGCAUGCUCUUCGUUUCUGAACAGACGUUUCAACCGUGGUAUUAUAGGAGCAUACCACAUCACCUUUGCAGGGACCCUCUUCCUGAGGGGCUCGCCGUCAACAUCACCGGGGUCAUCUCGUCUGAUCUUAUACCGCAACGCACCGCAUACCGGGCAUGCGUUCAGAUCCUUGUAUGCACCGCGGUAGAGGAUGCAGUCAUUAGGGCAUGCAUGUAUCUUCUCCACCUCCAAUCCUAGAGGGCAUACGACCUUCUUUGCUGCGUAUGUACUGUCGGGCAAUUCGUUAUCCUUUGGAAGCUUCUUCUUCAAUAUUUUCAGUAGCUUCUCAAAUCCUUUGUCAGCCACAGCAUUCUCUGCCUUCCACUGCAGCAAUUCUAGUACGGUACUGAGCUUUGUGUUGCCAUCUUCGCAAUUGGGGUAUAACCCUUUUUUGUGAUCCUCUAACAUGCGAUCGAACUUCAGCUUCUCCUUUUGACUAAUGCAUUGCGUCCUUGCAUCGACAAUGACCCGGCGGAGAUCAUCAUCAUCGGGCACAUCGUCUGGUUCCUCUUGAUCUUCAGCAGCUUCACCUGUGGCAGCAUCAUUGGGCACAUCAUCAUCUGGUUCCUCUUGAUCUUCACCAGCUCCCCCCGUUGCAGCAUCACCGUAUUCAGGGGGCACAUAGUUGUCAUCGUACUCUUCUUCUUCGCCGUCUUCCAUCAUAACCCCUAUUUCUCCGUGCCUCGUCCAAACAUUAUAGUGUGGCAUGAAACCCUUGUAAAGCAGGUGGGAGUGAAGGAUUUUCCGGUUAGAGUAAGACCUCGUAUUCCCACAUUCAGUGCAUGGACAACACAUAAAACCAUUCUGCUUGUUUUCCUCAGCCGCAUCGAGAAACUCAUGCACACCCUUAAUGUACUCGCGGGUGUGUCUGUCACCGUACAUCCAUUGCCGGUUCAUCUGCGUGCAUUAUAUAUAAUUAAGUGUCCAAAUUAAUAGAAGUUCAUCAUCACAUUAAAACCAAAGUGCAUACAUAGUUCUCAUCUAACAACAUAUAGCUCUCCAGAGCAUCUAAUUAAUUAAACCAUACAUUGAAACUAUGUAAAACAUUUCAAUGCGAAAACAAAUGCGAUCAUAAUCGCAACCAAGGUAACAAUUGAUCCAACGGCAUAAUGAUACCAAGCCUCGGUAUGAAUGGCAUAUUUUCUAAUCUUUCUAAUCUUCAAGCGCAUUGCAUCCAUCUUGAUCUUGUGAUCAUCGACGACAUCCGCAACAUGCAACUCCAAUAUCAUCUUCUCCUCCUCAAUUUUUUUUAUUUUUUCCUUCAACAAAUUGUUUUCUUCUUCAACUAAAUUUAACCUCUCGACAAUAGGGUCGGUUGGCAUUUCCGAUUCACAUACAUCCUAGAUAAAUAAAAUCUAUGUCACGUUGGUCAGCAUAAUUUUCAUAAACAAUAAAUGAACCAAUAGUUAUAAAGAUAAUAUACAUACCACAUCCGAAUCAUAGACAGGACGAGGGCCGACGGGGGCGGAUACCAAAACCAUCGCACUAUAUAAGAUGCAAUAAUAAAUGUAAGAAAAUGAUACAAGUAUCUAUCUAAACAUACAAGUAAGAAUAUUUUUCCUUUCAGAAAGAAGAUAAGAACAAGAGGCUCACCACGGUGGUGUCGGUGAUGAGAUCGGCGCGGGUGAUCGACGGCAGUGAAGACGGGGACGGGGCGUGACGGACCGCUAAAUCUAGACAAAUCUCGAGGAAAAUGGAGCUUGGAGGUCGAGCUUCGAGAGGAGAAAGCUUAAGUAGUGUGGCUCGGGCAUUCCAUCGAACACCUCAUGUGCAUAGGAGGUGAGCUAGAGCACCACAAAGCCCUCUCCCCCUCGGCCAGAGAAAACAGAGCACUGGGGUGCUCUGCUCACGAGCGAGGGGUAUAUAUAGGCACCUCAUUGGUCCCGGUUGGUGGCAUGAGCCGGGACUAAAGGGAAGCCUUUGGUCCCGGUUCGGGCCACCAACCGGGACCAAUGAUGGUGGGCCAGGAGGGAGGCCCAUUGGUCCCGGUUCGUCCCACCAACCGGGACCAAAAGGUCCAUACGAACCAGGACCAAUGGCCCACGUGGCCCGGCCGGCCCCCUGGGCUCACGAACCGGGACCAAUUCCCACAUUGGUCCCGGUUCAAGACUGAACCGGGACUAAUGGGCUGAGGCGGCCUGGACCAUAGCCCCUUUUUCUACUAGUGCUUAUGGAAAUUAUAAUAAGAUGCCCUCUAAUUUUGAGAAUAGUGUUAAAUAAUUUAUGAGUUCGCAAAAGAAUUUCAAUGCUUUGAUUGAAGAAAAAUUGCUUAAGAUUGGUGAUUUGGCUAGGAACGUGGAUAGAACUACCCUUGAUGUCGAUUCUUUGAAACUUAGAUCUAUUUCACAUAAGCAUGAUAUCAAUGAGUCUCUCAAGGCUAUGAGAAUUCCCAUUGAUGAGUGCAAGGAAAGAACCGCUAAGAUGCGUGCUAAAAAAGAUUGGUUUAUAAAAGCGUGUUCUUCUAGCUAGUUUCCGUGAAAAUAAUGAUGAAGAUCUUAAAGUGAUUGAUGUGACUCCUAUUGAAUUUUUGUUUUCCAAUAUAAAUCUUGAGAAAGAUGGGACUGGAUAUGAGUCAACUUUAGUUAGAAGGCGUCCCAAUGAUUCGGAGUUUUUAGAUAUUAAUGCAAAAAUUGAUAAAAGUGGGAUUGGAGAGGUUAAAACUUUAGGUAGUAAUGAACCCACUCUUUUGGAUUUCAAGGAAUUUAAUUAUAAUAAUUUCUCUUUAAUAGAUUGUAUUUCCUUGUUGCAAUCCAUGUUGAAUUUUCCUCAUGCUUAUAAUCAAAACAAAGCUUUUACUAAACAUAUCAUUGAUGCUAUGAUGCAAUCCUUUGAAGAAAAGCUUGAAUUGGAAGUUUCUAUUCCUACACUAGUAGACAAAGGGUCAAACAUGAAGCACAUUAGUGCCGGUUUGAAUUUGAGCCGGCACUAAUGUGUGCAUUAGUGCCGGUUCCAACGGCUAGCCGGCCGCUCUCAUUAGUACCGGUUCAUGGCGAACCUUUAGCACCGGUUCGUGCCACGAACCGGUACUAAAGUGAGUGGUGGCAGGAUGUUGUCACUCCGGGGCCCCUCCAGCACCUUUAGUACCGGGUCGUAUCACGAACCGGUCCUAAAGGCCGUCCUACAUAGACCCUUCGUCCACCCGAGCUCGCUCUGUUCUUCCCCUUUCCCCUCUCCUCUUUGUACUUUUCCCUCUUCCUCUCAAUCUCAUCACACAUUUUGCCCAAAAUUUGUCAAGAUUUGAAGGCCCCCAUCCAUUCAAAUGAUCACAAAGGUUAGCAACUUUUUCCUUUCAUCUCUCAUUGCUAGAUUAGCUCGUGCAAUGCUUUAUAUAGUGAUUGAUUUUUGAGUUUAGUAAUUUGGGAGGAAUUAUAUAUAUGUGCUAGUAUUUGAUUUAUAUGCAAUUUUAGGUCAAAAAUAACACUUAGUUUGCAUAUGUAGGUGUGGUUUACGUAGUACCUUCUAAAUCUCCGUCGUAACCACCGUCGAUCGCUCGCAACGUCCCGUCACCAGCACCACCUUUUGGUGAGCCUCUUGUUCAUGAAGUUUUAUAUAAAAAAUUGAUGUUUGUGUGAUUUGGAUAUAUAGUUACUCGUAUAAUUAUCUUACCCAUACGUUGUUUGUUAUACAUAGUGCCAUGGUUUUGAUAUCCGUCCCCGUUGGCCCUCGUCCGGGUUAUGAUUCGGAUGUGGUAUAUUCUAUUUUAAAACUAUUCAUUGCAUUUCGUGUUUAUGACAAAUUAUGCCCAUCAAGUUGACAUAGAUAUUUGUAUGUAGGAGGUAGUUGAAACGGAAAUUCCAACCGACCCUAUUGUCGAGAGGUUAAAUUUAGUUGAAAGAGAAAACGAGGAUUUGAAGGAAAAAUUGAAAAGAAUUGAGGGGGAGAAGAUGGAAUUGGAGUUGCAUGUUGCCGAUGUCGUCGAUGAUCACAAGAUUAAGAUGGAGAAAAUGCGCUUGAAGAUUAGAAAGAUUAGAAAAUAUGCCAUUCAUAGUGAGGCUUGGUAGCAUUAUGCUGUUGGAUCAAUUGUUACCUUAGUUGCGAUCUUGAUCGCAUUUGUUGUUGCAUUUAAAUUCUUUAGCUAGGGACUUAUUUGUUUGUUGCAUUUAAGUGUUGUAUGAUCUUUAUGUAUGAACCUUAUGUAUUGUAUUAAUUUGAUGUUUUCGGUGUUGUGUAUUGAAGAUGAGCCGGCAAUGGAUGUACGAUGACUGAUGCUCUCCCAAGUUCAUUAAUGGCGUGCGUACUUUUCUGCUUGCGGCUGAGGCAAACAAGCGAGCGGAUGGUUGUAUGCCUUGUCCAUGUGCUGGCUGUAAGAAUGGUCACAGUUACUCUACGUCAAGAACCAUUCACGUCCACCUGUUUGAGUCUGGUUUCAUGCCCCACUAUAAUGUUUGGACCAAGCAUGGAGAAAGAGGGGUUAUGAUGGAAGACAAUGAAGAAGAAGAGGACGACGAAAGCUAUCCUGGCCAUGGGUUCCCUGAAUACGGUGAUACAACAAUGAGGGAAGAAGCUGAGCCGGUAAUGCGGGAAGAAGCUGAGCCGGCAAUGCGGGAAGAAGCUGAACAAGAGGCACGGAUGAGCCCGUUGAUGAUCUAGGUCGGGCCAUUGCCGAUGCAAAGAGAAACCGCGCUAGUGAUUUGGAGAAGAAGAAGUUGCAGCGCAUGUUAGAGGAUCACAAAAAUUGUUGUACCCGAAUUGCGUAGGUGACAAGAAAAAGCUAGGCACCACACUGGAAUUGCUGCAAUGGAAGGCAAAGAAUGGUGUAUCUGACAUGGGAUUUGGAAAGUUGCUGGUAAUGAUAAAGGAUAUGCUUCCAAAGGACAACAAAUUGCUCGAGAGUACGUACGAAGCAAAGAAGAUUGUCUGCCCUCUAGGGUUAGAGGUGCAGAUGAUACAUGCAUGCCCUAAUGAUUGCAUCCCCUACCACGGUGAGUAUGAGGAUUUGAAAGCUUGCCCGGUAUGAGGUGCAUUGCGCUAUAAGAUCAGCCACGAUGACCAUGGUGAUGUCGAGGGCGAGCGCCCCAGGAAGAAGAUACCUGCCAAGGUGAUGUGGUAUGCUCCUAUAAUACCAUGGCUGAAACGUUUGUUCCAAAACAAUGAGCAUGCCAAGGCGAUGUGAUGGCACAGAGAAGACCGUAAGAAAGACGGAAAGUUGAGAGUACCCGCUGACGGGUCGCAGUGGAGAAAAAUCGAAAGAAAGUACGGGAAGGAGUUUGCAGAUGACGCAAGGAACGUAUGGUUUGGUCUAAGCGCAGAUGGCAUUAAUCCUUUUGGGGAGCAGAGCAGCAACCAUAGCACCUGGCCUGUGACUCUAUGUUUGUAUAACCUUCCUCCUUGGUUGUGCAUGAAGCGGAAGUUCAUUAUGAUGCCAGUGCUCAUCCAAGGCCCUAAGUGUCAGGACCCCGAUUCCAAGUCACAUCGUUCUAGCCGGUAACACCUCAUAUCACUUUGCGGCCUCAUGCACGGUAUCCCACAGGUGUCGCCUUACCAUGGCCCGGGACCGUUUGCGCCUUUUGGCUCACGUAUAUGAUAGUGUCGCUAGCAUCCAUAUGACAGAGAACCCGGGCCGACAUGGCUAGUCGUGAACCCAAAGCGGCACAGACCUAUGGAGACAGGCAUACAUGAAUCACAUCAAGCAUGUCAGUCAUCAGUGAGUGAAUCCGGGCUGUAGCACUGGGCUAACAGGACUCCGGGGAACCCGGGCUGUAGCAGGCUAGGCAGGACUCCGGAUGUCACCGCGUGACAUUUCCCCGAAGGGACAGACAUAGGAACGACGUGAAACACAUGCCGGCCAGUCAAGUGUCCUGAGCAGUAGUGCUGGGCUAGCAGGACUCCGGUGAACCGGGCUGUAGCGGACUACUAUGGCUCGAGGAACACUAGACUACGUUUCCCCAUAAGAAAGGCUGCCAAGGAUAAACAACUAGAUUGUCGGAUCCCACUCAUACCAAGCAUUUCAAUCAUACACACAAUAUGCCCGAUAUGAGUACAUACAACAUGGCAUCACAAGAAAACUCUACAACUCAAAUACUUUAUUUAAAGGCUCCAGAGAGCCAUACAUAACAUGUUCAUACAGAUAGGGGUCACAUGACCCGACACUCAAGUCAUACAAUCAUACAAGCACAAGCGGAAGCAACUAGUCUGAGUACAGACACUAGAAAGAAAGAAGGCUUCUCGAAGCCUGUCUAUCUACAUAGGUCUCUCCAUGGCCAGGAUCACCACCUGGGUGGCUAGUCACUCGUCGACGUCAAGGUCUACGUAGAACCCAUCGGAGGGGCGGUGUUGUCAUCUGAAAACCGUAAUUAAGCAAACAUGAGUACAAAGGUACUCAGCAAGUCUUACAACAUAACCUACUAUAAAUGCUCAUUCUCAAGAAGGUGGUGGGGUUAUUGCAGCAAGCCAGCUUUGACUCUUGGCUAAGCUAUCCUACGGAACUCCACUAGUAAAAUAGUUUUCGCACACGAGUCCACUACUCACCAACAUAAUACUCCACCGGGGAUCCUCUCUCGUCAUCCUACGAGAGGGCCAUCCUCGGUACUCACACUUAUCUUGAGUCUUUUAGUAAUAACCAUUAACUUGUCUAUGAACUGUAUAGGCAACCAGGUAGUCCUUUACCGCGGACGCGGCUAUUCGAAUAGUUUUAUACCCUGCAGGGGUGUACUUCCUCAUACACGCUUUCACCACUUACCGCCGUUUACACGACAUGUACUCGGCAACCUUCAAGCCUUGGCCCAACGAGGGUGUCGGCCACGGCCUACCUAAACACUCAAAUCUCUAGUCCAGGUGCAUCGCCUAUCCAAGUUCCAUCCGCAGGGAGUCCGGCCGAGGUUUCCACAUACGGCCCCGAACGAUGUGAACAGGGUUCCCGAGACACCAAACAGGUGACUCGGUACACCGUGCCACGGUGUAUCUACCGCAACAUAGCCCACCCCUAGGGUCAGUGCUACGCACGGCCGCCAACACAUAACCUACAAACACCAGAAACUAUUUGCAACUCCUGGACAGAGUACUAGGGUAUUUAAGAAGCCGAGAGGGUCAAUUAAGGAUCCCAAUGCAUGGUAGUAGCUGAAUCUUAAAAUCACACAUACAGAUCUCAGUUCUUAGGGACGGCCUCAAUAAAACAACCCACCAUGUACUCCUACAUGGCCUCUCAUCGAUACCUUUACCAAAUCAUGUUCAUCACAUCCCUCACAUUACCGAUAUAACCAUUUCACUCUAGCCCAUCACCCAGAUGGACCAGACCUGACACAACUCUAAGCAUAGCAGGCAUAGCAAGGUAGGAAACACAUACCUGGCUCAAUCAACUCCUACACAUGCUAGUGGGUUUCAUCUAGUUACUGUGGCAAUGACAGGUCAUGCAGAGGAAAAGGGUUCAACUACCGUAGCACACAACAAUUUGAAUCGCGUUGUCUUAAUGCAGUAAACAAGAGCAGAAGCGAGAACAUGGGUUUGUAUCAGAAUGAUCAAUGGUUGUUUGCCUGUUGUAGUGGUAGUAGGGUACUGCCCUUCAGACGGAUACUCGGGGUUAUCCUCGGAGGCAGAACCUACCACGAAAGAUACACCGAACAUAAUCAACACAUGACAAUAUGCAACGGUAUGAUGCAUGCUAUGACAUGGCAAAAUGAAUGUGUCUUGGCCUAAUGCAAGCUGAAACAGGAUGGAAUGAACUCAUUUGAAUCAAAGAUUCAAAUGUUAGCUCAUUUAACAUGGCCUUAUUAGUGCAUUAUCUUAUUCUGCUUAAAUAGCAAGGUUAACUUGUUUUGUCAUGCAUGAAACCAUUACAGAUGGACAGAUUGAAUUUUUUUGAUCAUUUUUCAUAUAUAAAUCUUUGCAUUUGGAGCUAUGGUUGAUUUUCUAAGAUUUUUAGAAGUUUUGGCUAUUUACUGGAAUUUCCUAUUAAAGAAUAAAUCCAGUAAUUGAAUUAAUGCGUCAGCAUGACAUAGGUGUGAUGUCAGCGGGUCAACUGGGUUGGCCAGGUCAAACCUGACUGGCGGGCCCUGUCUGUCAGUGACUCAGCUAAUUAACAGAGUUAAAUUAACUCUAAUUAACUAAAAGUGGGGCCUGGGCCCACAUGUCAGUGACUGAACUAAUUAAAUUUAGUUAAAACAAAUCCUAAACUAAUCAGCAGGCCGGCCCCACCUGUCAUAGACUAACCUGGGCCCACACGGGGGUCAAACAGGGUAAACUCGCCGGCGUCUAGCCGCCGGCGAGGCCAGACGCGGCGGAGCAGUGCGGGAUUUGCACUCUGGCGACCAAAUGGGCGGCGGAGACUAUCUACGUGAUGCGGGGAGGAAGCCGCCUUUGGAAAUAUGCCCUAGAGGCAAUAAUAAAUUGAUUAUUACUAUAUUUCCUUGUUCAUGAUAAUCGUUUAUUAUCCAUGCUAGAAUUGUAUUGAUAGGAAACUCAGAUACAUGUGUGGAUACAUAGACAACACCAUGUCCCUAGUAAGCCUCUAGUUGACUAGCUCGUUGAUCAAUAGAUGGUUACAGUUUCCUGACCAUGGACAUUGGAUGUCAUUGAUAACGGGAUCACAUCAUUAGGAGAAUGAUGUGAUGGACAAGAACCAAUCCUAAGCCUAGCACAAGAUCAUGUAGUUCGUAUGCUAAAGCUUUUCUAAUGUCAAGUAUCAUUUCCUUAGACCAUGAGAUUGUGCAACUCCCGGAUACCGUGGGAGUGCUUUGAGUGUGCGAAACGUCACAACGUAACUGGGUGGCUAUAAAGGUACACUACAGGUAUCUCCAAAAGUGUCUAUUGGGUUGGCACGAAUCGAGACUGGGAUUUGUCACUCCGUGUAAACGGAGAGGUAUCUCUGGGCCCACUCGGUAGGACAUCAUCAUAAUGUGCACAAUGUGACCAAGGAGUUGAUCACGGGAUGAUGUGUUACGGAACGAGUAAAGAGACUUGCCGGUAACAAGAUUGAACAAGGUAUCGGCAUACCGACGAUCGAAUCUCGGGCAAGUAUCGUACCGAUGGACAAAGGGAAUUGCAUACGGGGUUGAUUAAGUCCUUGACAUCGUGGUUCAUCCGAUGAGAUCAUCGUGGAACAUGUGGGAGCCAACAUGGGUAUCCAGAUCCCGCUGUUGGUUAUUGAUCGGAGAGUCAUCUCGGUCAUGUCUGCAUGUCUCCUGAACCCGUAGGGUCUACACACUUAAGGUUCGAUGACGCUAGGGUUAUAAAGGAAGUUUGUAUGUGGUUACCGAAUGUUGUUCGGAGUCCCGGAUGAGAUCCCGAACGUCAUGAAGAGUUCCGGAAUGGUCCGGAGGUAAAGAUUUAUAUAUGGGAAGUCCUGUUUUGGUCACCGGAAAAGUUUCGGGUUUUAUCGGUAACGUACCGGGACCACCGGGAGGGUCCCGGGGGUCCACCAAGUGGGGCCACAAGCCCCGGAGGGCUGCAUGGGCCAAGUGUGGGAGGGGACCAGCCCCAGGUGGGCUGGUGCGGCCCCCCACCAAGGCCCAAGGCGCAAGGAAGAGGGGAAGGGGGCAAACCCUAGGGCAGAUGGGCCCUAAGGCCCACCCUGGUGCGCCUCCCCCUCUCCCCUCCCCUUGGCCGCCCCUAGAUGGGAUCUAGGGGGCUGCCGCCACCCCUAGGGAGGGAACCCUAGGUGGGGGCGCAACCCAUCCCCUCCCCCUAUAUAUAGUUGAGGUUUGGGCUGCCCAAUACACAUGAGUUCCUCUCUUUCUUGGCACAGCCCUAUCCCUCUCUUUCUCCUCAUAUCUCGCAGUGCUUGGUGAAGCCCUGCUGGAUCACCAUGCUCCGCCAUCACUACCACGCCGUUGUGCUGCUGUUGGAUGGAGUCUUCCUCAACCUCUCCCUCUCUCCUUGCUGGAUCAAGGCAUGGGAGACAUCGUCGGGCUGUACGUGUGUUGAACGCGGAGGUGCCGUCCGUUCGGCACUAGGAUCUCCGGUGAUUUGGAUCACAACGAGUACGACUCCUUCAACCCCGUUCUCUUGAACGCUUCCACUUAGCGAUCUACAAGGGUAUGUAGAUGCACUCUCCUUCCCCUCGUUGCUGGUUUCUCCAUAGAUAGAUCUUGGUGACACGUAGGAAACUUUUGAAUUUCUGCUACGUUCCCCAAUAGUGGCAUCAUGAGCUAGGUCUAUUGCGUAGAUUCUAUGCACGAGUAGAACACAAAGUAGUUGUGGGCGUUGAUUUUGUUCAAUAUGCUUACCGUUACUAGUCCAAUCUUGUUUCGACGGUAUUGUGGGAUGAAGCGGCCCGGACCGACCUUACACGUACUCUUACGUGAGACAGGUUCCACCGACUGACAUGCACUAGUUGCAUAAGGUGACUAGCGGGUGCCAGUCUCUCCCACUUUAGUCAGAACGGAUUCGAUGAAAAGGGUCGUUAUGAAGGGUAAAUAGCAAUUGGCAUAUCACGUUGUAUUUUUGCGUAGGUAAGAAACGUUCUUGCUAGAAACCCAUAGCAGCCACGUAAAACAUGCAAACAACAAUUAGAGGACGUCUAACUUGUUUUUGCAGGGUAUGCUAUGUGAUGUGAUAUGGCCAAGAAGAAUGUGAUGAAUGAUAUGUGAUGUAUGAGAUUGACCAUGUUCUUGUAAUAGGAAUCAUGACUUGCAUGUCGAUGAGUAUGACAACCGGCAGGAGCCAUAGGAGUUGUCUUUAUUUAUUGUAUGACCUACGUGUCAUUGAACAACGCCAUGUAAUUACUUUACUUUAUUGCUAACUGGUAGCCAUAGUGGUAGAAGUAAUAAGUUGGCGAGACAACUUCAUGGAGACACAAUGAUGGAGAUCAUGGUGUCAUGCCGGUGACGAUGAUGAUCAUGGAGCCCCGAAGAUGGAGAUCAAAAGGAGCAAUAUGAUAUUGGCCAUAUCAUGUCACUAUUUGAUUGCAUGUGAUGUUUAUAAUGUUUAUACAUCUUAUUUGCUUAGAAUGACGGUAGUAAAUAAGAUGAUCCCUCAUUAAAAUUUCAAGAAAGUGUUCCCCCUAACUGUGCACCGUUGCGAAAGUUCGUCCUUUUGAAGCACCACGUGAUGAUCGGGUGUGAUAGAUUCUUACGUUCGAAUACAACGGGUGUUGACGAGCCUAGCAUGUACAGACAUGGCCUCGGAACACAUGCAAAACACUUAGGUUGACUUGACGAGCCUAGCAUGUACAGACAUGGCCUCGGAACACAAGAGACCGAAAGGUCGAGCAUGAGUCGUAUGGUAGAUACGAUCAACAUGAAGAUGUUCACCGAUGUUGACUAGUCCGUCUCACGUGAUGAUCGGACACGGCCUAGUUGACUCGGAUCAUGUAAUCACUUAGAUGACUAGAGGGAUGUCUAUCUGAGUGGGAGUUCAUAAGAUGAACUUAAUUAUCCUGAACAUAGUCAAAAGGACUUUGCAAAUUAUGUCGUAGCUCACGCUAUAGUUCUACUGUUUAGAUAUGUUCCUAGAGAAAAUUUAGUUGAAAGUUGAUAGUAGCAAUUAUGCGGACUAGGUCCGUAAACUGAGGAUUGUCCUCAUUGCUUCAUAGAAGGUUUAUGUCCUUAAUGCACCGCUCAGUGUGCUGAACCUCGAACGUCGUCUGUGGAUGUUGCGAACAUCUGACAUACACAUUUUGAUAACUACGUGAUAGUUCAGUUAAACGGUUUAGAGUUGAGGCACCGAAGACGUUUUGAAACGUCACGAAACAUAUGAGAUGUUUCGAGGGCUGAAAUUGGGAUUUCAGGAUCGUGCCCACAUCAAGAGGUAUAAGACCUCCGACGAUUUUUCUUAGCCUGCAAACUAAGGGAGAAAAGCUCAACUGUUGAGCUUGUGCUCAGAUUGUCUGAGUACAACAAUCAUUUGAAUCGAGUGGGAGUUGAUCUUCCAGAUGAGAUAGUGAUGUUUCUCCGAAGUCAUUACCACCAAGCUGCUAGAGCUUCGUGAUGAACUAUAAUAUAUCAGGGACAUAUAUGAUGAUCCUUGAGAUAUUCGCGAUGUUUGACACCACAAAAGUAGAAAUCAAGAAGGAGCAUCAAUUGUUGAUGGUUGGUGAAACCACUAGUUUCAAGAAGGGCAAGGGCAAGAAGGGAUACUUCAUGAAAUGGCAAUUCAGCUGCUGCUCUAGUGAAGAAACCCAAGGUUGAACCCAAACCCGAGACUAAGUGCUUCUGUAAUAAGGGAAACAACCACUGGAGCAGAAUUACCCUAGAUACUUGGUAGAUGAGAAGGCUGGCAAAGUCGAUAGAAGUAUAUUGGAUAUACAUUGUGUUAAUGUGUACUUUACUAGUACUCCUAGUAGCACCAUGGUAUUAGAUACCGGUUCGGAUGCUAAAUGUUAGUAAACUCGAAAUAAAAGGCUGCAGAGUAAACGGAGACUAGCCAAAGGUGAGCUGGCAAAAUGUGUUGGAAGUUUUUCCAAGCUUGAUGUCAUCAAGCAUCGCACGCUCCCUCUACCAUCGAGAUCGGUGUUUGCGUUGAGCAUAGACAUGAUUGGAUUAUGUCUAUCGCAAUACGGUUAUUCAUUUAAGGAGAAUAAUGGUUACUCUGUUUAUUUGAAUAAUACCUUCAAUGGUCUUGCACCUAAAAUGAAUGGUUUAUUGAAUCUCGAUCGUAGUGAUACACAUGUUCAUGCCAGAAGAUAUAAGAUAGUAAUGAUAGUACCACCUACUUGUGGCACUGCCAUGUAAGUCAUAUCGGUAUAAAACGCAUGAAGAAGCUCCAUGUUGAUGGAUCUUUGGGCUCACUCGUUUUUGAAAAGUUUGAGACAUGCGAACCAUGUCUAUUGGUGUAUAUGCAUGAAGAAACUCCAUGCAAAUGGACCGUUUGGACUCACUCGAUUUUGAAUCACUUGAGACAUGCAAAUCAUACCACAUGGGCAAGAUGACUGAAAGCCUCGUUUUCAGUAAAAUGGAACUAGAAAGAAACUUGUUGGAAGUAAUACAUUUUGAUGUGUGCAGUCCAAUGAGUGCUGAGGCAUGUAGUGGAUUUCAUUAUGUUCUUACUUCACAGAUGAUUUGAGUAGAUACUGAGUAUAUUUACUUGAUGAAACAUAAGUCUGAAUUAUUGAAAGGUUCAAGUAAUUUCAGAGUGAAGUUGAACAUCGUCGUGACAAGAGGAUAAAAUGUCUAUGAUAUGAUCGUAGAGAUGAAUAUCUGAAUUACGAGUUUGGCACAAAAUUAAGACAUUAUGGAAAUUGUUUCACAACUAAUACAGUCUGGAACACCACAGUGUGAUGGUGUGUCCGAAUAUCAUAACUGCACCCUAUUGGAUAUGAUGCAUACCAUGAUGUCUCUUAUCAAAUUACCACGAUAGUUUAUGGGUUAGGCAUUAGAGACAACCACAUUCACUUUAAAUAGGGCACCACGUAAUUCCGAUGAGAUGACACCGUAUGAACUAUGGUUUAGAGAAACCUAAGCUGUCAUUUCUUAAAAGUUUGGGGCUGCGACGCUUAUGUGAAAAAGUUUUAGGCUGAUAAGCUCGAACCCAAAGCGGAUAAAUGCAUCUUCAUAGGACACCCAAAAUAGUUGGGUAUACCUCCUGUCUCAGAUCCGAAAGCAAUAAGGGAUUGUUUCUAGAAUCGAGUCCUUUCUCGAGGAAAGGUUUCUCUCGAAAGAAUUGAGUGUGAUGAUGGUGGAGAUUUGAUGAGGUUAUUGAACUGUCUCUUCAACUAGUGUGUGGCAGGGCACAGGGAGUUGUUCCUGUGGCACCUACACCAAUUGAAGUGGAAGCUUAUGAUAGUGAUCAUGAAACUUCAGAUCAAGUCACUACCAAACCUCGUGGGAUGACAAGGAUGCGUACUACUUCAGAGUGGUACGUAAUCCUAUCUUGGAAGUCAUGUUGCUAGACAACAAUGAACCUACAAGCUAUGGAGAAGCAAUGGUGGGCCUGGAUUCCAAAAUGGCUCGAAGCCAUAUAAUCCGAGAGAGGAUCCAUCUAUGAAAACAAAGUGUAGACUUUGGAAGAACUACUUGAUGGUCGUAAGGCUGUUAGGUACAUAGGGAUUUUAAAAGGAAGACGGACAAUGAUAGUAAGUAUCACCAUUAAGAAAGCUUGACUUGUCGUUAAGAUGUUUUCCGACAAGUUCAAGGAGUUGACUACGAUGAGACUUUCUCACUCGUAGCGAUGCUAAGAGUCUGUUGGAAUUAUAUUAGCGAUUACUGCAUUAUUUAUGAAAUCUUGCAGAUAGGAUAUCAAAACAUUGUUUCCUCGAUGUUUUUUUGAGGAAAGGUUGUAUGUGAUACAACCAGAAGGUUUUGUCAAUCCUGAAAGAUGCUAACAAGUAUGCAAAGCUCCAGCAAUCCUUCUAAGGACUGGAGUAAGCAUCUCGGAGUUGGAAUGUAUGCUUUGAUGAGAUGAUCAAAGUUUUGGGUGUAUACAAAGUUUAUGAGAAACUUGUAUUUCCAAAGAAGUGAGUGGGAGCACUAUAGAAUUUCUGAUGAGUAUAUGUUGUUAACAUAUUGUUGAUCGGAAAUGAUGUAGAAUUUCUGGAAAGCAUGCAGAGUUAUUUGAAAAGUGUUUUUCAAUGGAAAGCCUGGAUUAAGCUACUUGAACAUUGAGCAUGAAGAUCUAUAAGGAUAGAUCAAAACGCUUAAUGGUAAUUUCAAAUGAGCACAUACCUUGACAUGAUCUUGAAGGUGUUCAAGAUGGAUCAGUCAAAGAAGGAGUUCUUGCCUGAGUUGUAAGGUAUGAAGUUAAGACUUAAAGCUCGACCACGGAAGAAGAAAGAGGAAGGACGAAGGUCGUCCCCUAUGCUUUUGUCAUAGGCUCUCUACAGUAUGCUAUGUUGUGUGCCGCACUUGAAGUGUGCCUUGCCAUGAGUCAGUCAAGGGGUACAAGAGUGAUCCAAGAAUGGAUCACAAGACAACGGUCAAAGUUAUCCUUAGUAACUAGUGGACUAAGGAAUUUUCUCGAUUAUGGAGGUGGUAAAAGAGUUCGUCGUAAAGGGUUACGCCGAUGCAAACUUUGACACUAAUCUAGAUUAUUCUGAGUAGUAGACUGGAUUCGUAUAGUAGAACAGUUAUUUGGAAUAGCUCCAAAUAGAACGUGGUAGCUGCAUCUAGGAGAUGACAUAGAGAUUUGUAAAGCACACACGGAUCUGAAAGAUUCAGACCCGUUGACUAUAACAUCUCUCACAAGCAUAACAUGAUCAAACCCAGAACUCAUCGAGUGUUAAUCACAUGGUAAUGUGAACUAGAUUAUUGACUCUAGUAAACUCUUUGGGUGUUAGUCACAUGGGGAUGUGACCUUGAGUGUUUAUCACAUAUCGAUGUGAACUGGAUUAUUGACUCUAGUGCAAGUGGGAGACUGUUGGAAAUAUGCCCUAGAGGAAAUAAUAAAUUUAUUAUUAUUAUAUUUCCUUGUUCAUGAUAAUCGUUUAUUAUCCAUGCUAGAAUUGUAUUGAUAGGAAACUCAGAUACAUGUGUGGAUACAUAGACAACACCAUGUCCCUAGUAAGCCUCUAGUUGACUAGCUCGUUGAUCAAUAGAUGGUUACAGUUUCCUAACCAUGGACAUUGGAUGUCAUUGAUAACGGGAUCACAUCAUUAGGAGAAUGAUGUGAUGGACAAGACCCAAUCCUAAGCCUAGCACAAGAUCAUGUAGUUCGUAUGCUAAAGCUUUUCUAAUGUCAAGUAUCAUUUCCUUAGACCAUGAGAUUGUGCAACUCUCGGAUACCGUAGGAGUGCUUUGGGUGUGCCAAAUGUCACAACGUAACUGGGUGGCUAUGAAGGUACACUACAAGUAUCUCCAAAAGUGUCUGUUGGGUUGGCACGAAUCGAGACUGGGAUUUGUCACUCCGUGUAAACGGAGAGGUAUCUCUGGGCCCACUCGAUAGGACAUCAUCAUAAUGUGCACAAUGUGACCAAGGAGUUGAUCACGGGAUGAUGUGUUACGGAACGAGUAAAGAGACUUGCCGGUAACGAGAUUGAACAAGGUAUCGGCAUACCGACGAUCGAAUCUCGGGCAAGUAUCGUACCGAUGGACAAAGGGAAUUGCAUACGGGAUUAAUUAAGUCCUUGACAUCGUGGUUCAUCCGAUGAGAUCAUCGUGGAACAUGUGGGAGCCAACAUGGGUAUCCAGAUCCCGCUGUUGGUUAUUGACCGGAGAGUCAUCUCGGUCAUGUUUGCAUGUCUCCCGAACCCGUAGGGUCUACACACUUAAGGUUCGAUGACGCUAGGGUUAUAAAGGAAGUUUGUAUGUGGUUACCGAAUGUUGUUCGGAGUCCCGGAUGAGAUCCCGGACGUCAUGAGGAGUUCCGGAAUGGUCCGGAGGUAAAGAUUUAUAUAUAGGAAGUCCUGUUUUGGUCACCGGAAAAGUUUCGGGUUUUAUUGGUAACGUACCGGGACCACCGACAGGGUCCCGGGGGUCCACCAAGUGGGGCCACAAGCCCCGGAGGGCUGCAUGGGCCAAGUGUGGGAGGGGACCAGCCCCAGGUGGGCUGGUGCGCCCCCCCACCAAGGCCCAAGGCGCAAGGAAGAGGGGAAGGGGGCAAACCCUAGGGCAGAUGGGCCCUAAGGCCCACCCUAGUGCGCCUCCCCCUCUCCCCUCCCCUUGGCCGCCCCUAGAUGGGAUCUAGGGGGCUGCCGCCACCCCUAGGGAGGGAACCCUAGGUGGGGGCGCAGCCCCUCCCCUCCCCCUAUAUAUAGUUGAGGUUUGGGCUGCCCAAUACACAUGAGUUCCUCUCUUUCUUGGCGCAGCCCUAUCCCUCUCUUUCUCCUCAUAUCUCGUAGUGCUUGGCGAAGCCCUGCUGGAUCACCAUGCUCCUCCAUCACCACCACGCCAUUGUGCUACUGCUGGAUGGAGUCUUCCUCAACCUCUCCCUCUCUCCUUGCUGGAUCAAGGCAUGGGAGACGUCAUCGGGCUGUACGUGUGUUGAACGCGGAGGUGCCGUCCGUUCGGCACUAGGAUCUCCGGUGAUUUGGAUCACGAUGAGUACGACUCCUUCAACCCCGCACUACUAGGAAAAGGCCUACUAAUGGCGCACCAGUUUUGCCUACUAAUGGCGCAUCACUGGUGCGCCAUUACUAGCACGCCAUUAGUAAUUUUUACUAAUGGCGCACCACUGGUGCGCCAUUAGUAUCUGGUAUACUAAUGGCGCACCACUGGUGCGCCAUUAGUAUAGGCCACAGGUGCACCAUUAGUAUACCAGAUACUAAUGGCGCACCGCGUGGUGCGCCAUUAGUAUACCAUUCGGUGCUCCACUGGUAUUCCCUCCAGGUGCGCCACUAAUAACCUUAUAGGUGCGCCACUAGUAAUAAAGGAAGGUGCGCCACUAAUAAGGGCUUAAAUGCGCCACUACUAAUGUAUUUGGAAAACAAAAAAAAAUCUAAAUUUACAGAAAAAAACCUAUAAGGAAAAAUAAUUUAAAAACAAAAAAUGAAAUAGAAUCAUAAUUUUUAUUAUAGUAAGAAUAUUACAAUGUCUUUACAAGUUUCCAAUAAAAGGGAAAUUGCAAGGAAAUAAAAAAAAUCCUAAAGCUAAUCUUCUAGUAAUCUUCUCUUCUUUUUCUUCACUUUAUCCCUGCAAAAUGUAACAAAAUAAACACAAACACAAACAAACUAUUUAUAACAUGUCAAUACUGUCAUUUUUUCAGACCAAGUAACUAACAACUUCAGUGAGACAGGCACAGUGCAGUGUGAAUUUCAAUUGGCUAAAUCAUAUAUAGAAAUCAGUAUCUUCUCUAUGAACCUGAAACUGAGAUGACUGGACUAAUUUUGCACAUUUGAUUUAUGAAUUUAUUCUUCUUCGACAACCAACUAAACUUCGGAUCACCUACUAAGCAUCUGUACAUACUACAUAGGCUGAUUAAUCCAACAGCCACAAUGCAAAUAUUGACUAUUUCCAUUCAACUUCUUCACUUACUCAUUAUUAUCUAAUGAAACCAUUCGUAACUAAUGAAGCAGAUUGGCUAAAGUUAUUAUCAAGUCCUAAGUCCUAAUUGAAGCAGAUCUGCUAGGGUUCUUCUCGCUAGCCCCUCAUGGCCAACCGUUUCGGAACAGGCAGGCAGAGCUGCUUGGCCGGUGGCUAGGGAGUCGCUGGUGAUGUUGGGCAUCUCACACGAGCACCUGGCUAUUUGAGGAAACCGAAAUAGUAGCAUAAACAAGAUUGAUUCCGAGGAAAUGAUAGAACCUAUUCUAUCAAAGUGCUACUCCCCCCGUUCCAUAAUUCCAGUCGUGGUUUUUUAACUAAAACCAUGAAGAGAACUAUGGAAUGGAGGGAGUAGAAAACAAUAGCAUGCUUAAAAUUCUACCAUACACAGCAGCAACAGACAUUACACAAGCAUUUAUUUAUUUAUUGCAUUUGGCACAAGUUAAAAAUUCUCACAAGCAGAGGCGGUCCUAUCAGACAAAAAGAACAUGGACCGCUCAUUACAAAGCACUUCUACUGCAGUAUCAUGGAGUAGGAAAAGGGGCUUAAGCAGCAAAGAAGUAUAAUAAGAGAAAAAAACACUAUGGCGGCUGGAACUAGAAGAGCACCAUCACAGGUUCGAAACAUCACCAUGGAGUCGAUGGCCGGCAUAGCCCAUGGCAGGGCUGGAUGGGCAGCAUAAUAACACAAUAAAAGUUUGAUGUAUACUUAUUCGUUUGAAAAGAUGCAAGCUUAUUUACACCCUAGGACUGUUGAUUAGGGUCUGGAUGGUAUUUUUGUUCCUUGCGUAAGUAAGAGAAGGACUAGCAUCCAUAGUAGAAAGAAGGGUAAACAUACAUAAAGGAAAGUUUUUAUAGCGUCACGACCGAAAGAGGCUACGUGCGGCUGGGUGAAAUGGACAAGGUUUCAUGUAUGCAAUAUAUUAUAGAAAAAUAAGUGUUGACAGAAAAUGAAAGAUUUCCUGUCAAACAAACAGAGCUUCAUUUUGUAACAUUUCUGACCCACAUGAUAAUUGUACAACAUAGUAGAGGAGACCACUGUACAUACAUGUGUUGAAUGAAGCAGACUAAGAAAUAUUGGGUGGGUAUAAAGAAUACAAUAGUACGGUAGCUGAUGUAAACAAGUGCAGAGUUGCAUCCACAGAAUAGGUAACAAAUUAAAUAGCCCUGGUGCCAACAGUAGAGUUCGUGUAUCCAAUCCAUCCUUUGUUUAACACAGCAGCUCCAACUCUUGUGUAACAAAUUAAGUUUGGCAUGGGCACACAUAAAGCACUGACAUUUUCAUGGCUCGAUGGCCGUGGGCUAAGGGAGCAGAGGAGGAGGUGCGGCUCACCUCACAUGGCGGCGGAACCGAGGGAUGAAGGUGCGGCGCACCGGAGCAGGCAGAGGUGCCUUGUGUUGGCCAAACACGUGGCCAGCAGCAGAGAAGCGCUUCUCUUGCUCGACGGAUGUUGGGUGUGUGUGAGGCGUGCUCCUGCCUGCCUGCCUGCGUGAGGAACGGGAGGACCAUUAGAGAAGAGAAGGGAAGGGAAGAAGAGCAGGUAGAGGAUGGCAAGGGGAGAGGAGGGAAUCAAAAUCAAAGAUGAGAAGAUGACCUUGAGGAGGAGCAGGGGAAGAGCGGAGCAGCAGAAACAGAGGCCUUCCUCUCCCGGUGGUGAGGACCGAGGCGACCUCCGUCACGGCCUAGCCAGGUCGACGACUCUGGCGACCGUGGCUGCCAGAUCCGGUGUCACCAUGGCCGGCCUCCUCCUGUGGUGCCUGCUAGGUCGCCAUGGCCGCGGGCUCCUUGUCCGUGGCGGCUGGAUCUGGGGCCUUGGGGUGGCGGGGAGCUCCUCCUCCUGCAGCUCGGCGGCCUCCACACCCCGGAGCAACGCCGUCGCCGGAGGACGUGGUCACCUGCUCUCCUCUGGAUCCGGUGAGGAGGGUUGGGGAAGGAGCUCACCACGGCUCCAUGCCCUGGAUCUGGUGUGAGGGAGGGGGAAGGGAGCUCGCCGUGGUCAGGAGGGAGAGGAAGAGGCGGGCGGCCGGGGCUUCCCGAUCUAAAUCAAAGUCGAGGGAGGUGGGUGGGUGUGUCAGGAGGAAGGUGAGGGGGAGAGAACGUGACAAGAUGGAGGGGAUAAGGGGUGAUAGCAAUGGCGCACUGGUAGGGGUGCGCCAUACGUAUAGAUAGCAAUGGCGCAUCUCUUACUGGUGCGCCAUUACUAGUUUAAACUAGUAAUGGUGCACGGUGGAACAGUGCGCUAUUAGUAGUUUUGCAAAAAAAAGUAAUAAAAAUAUAAUAAAAAAACAACAUUAGUGGCGCACUUUUCGACAGGUGCGCCAUUACUAGUUACAACUAGUAAUGGCGCACUGUGUCUGGAUGCGCCAUUAGUAUGUUUGGACAGGCGCACUAGUUCAAAAAAAAUUGAUACUAAUGGCGCACCCUGGGCCAGGUGCGCCAUUAGUAGUUUCAACUCUAAUGGCGUAUCAGAAGGUGGUGCGCCAUUAGUAUAUACCCUUGUAGAGGACUUAGGACUUGAUAAUAACUUUAGCCAAUCUGCUUCAUUAGUUACGAAUGGUUUCAUUAGAUAAUAAUGAGUAAGUGAAGAAGUUGAAUGGAAAUAGUCAAUAUUUGCAUUGUGGCUGUUGGAUUAAUCAGCCUAUGUAGUAUGUACAGAUGCUUAGAAGGUGAUCCGAAGUUGGAGAGGUCGGGGAUGAGCUGAUGCGGCGGGGGUGGUGAAGGGGAUCUCUGGUGGCCGGAGUUGAGGACGAGCUCGGUGCAGCGUCUCCGAGGCGAGCAAGCGCUCGGGCGCGGCCUACUCGAUGUAGUCGAUGGCGGCGGAGCUCGUGGACACGAUGGCGCGGCGCGAGGACGACGGAAGGCACGGCUACGACGACGGUGCGGCGACAGAAGUGUCGGCCAUGGUGGGGAACGGCGAAGGGAUAGAGACAGGGGGGAAAUGGCGUGUCCAGGGGCUUCGGGGUGCGACGUGGAGGCGUCCAGGCGUCUAGGGGCGCGGGCGGCAAGCAGGUGACGCCGUGGUGAGCUCGGGCACGCCGGAGUCACCUCCCUGCCUGCGUGGCGGGGAAGAAGCAGCUGGCUGGCGCGAGCCAGCACAGUGCUGGGCCGCCUGGUGGGCCGGCGGGUGAGAUAGCUGGGCCGCGCCAGGUAAGCUUCUCUCUCUCUCUCUCUUUCUUAUUUGUUUUCUUUUUCUAUUUUUCUGCAACUGUUGGGCUUUAUUAAAAAUACCUAGACAUCUUUAAAAAUCCUGAAAAUAAUCAGGGGCUCUGUUUAGAUUAUUCCCAACAGCCCACACUUAUUUCUAGAAUUAUUUGAGCAUUUAAAUUAUUUUAUAGCAUUUAAAUGCCCAAAUUCAAAUACUUAUGAUUUAAUUCAAGAAAAUCCAGAAUGUCCUAGAAAAGAGUGCACCAUUUUUGCCAGGGGUUUUAGCCCAAUCCAGAAAUGAUGAACAUUUUGUGAAAGGCAUUUUGGGUUCAUUGAAAAUAAUUUUAGUAAACCCUAGUUGUUUCCAGGGGGUGCUGGGGGUUCUGUCAUCCCCAUUUCAAAUUUAAAAGGAAUUUAAACAUGAUGCACACUCUAAUGCUUGAACUAGCUAGGGUGUGACACUAAGCAACCCGGCAACGACAUAGAUGUGUACCUAAGGCCAUUAGUUGAAGAACUCUUACAACUGUGGAAUGGAACAGGUGUACGUGCGUGGGAUGAGCACAUGGGGAAAGAAUUUGACCUAAAGGCGUUGUUGUUCGUGACCAUCAAUGAUUGGCCUGCUCUCACUAACCUUUUAGGACAGACAAACAAGGGAUACCGCGCAUGCACGCACUGUUUGGACGAUGCCGACAGUAUAUAUUUGGCUAAAUGUAAGAAGAAUGUGUACCUGGGACAUCAUCGAUUUCUUCCGAGCAGGCAUCCCGUAAGAAAGAAAGGCAAGCAUUUCAAAGGUGAGGCGGAUCACCGGACGAAGCCUCGCCACCGUACUGGUGCUGAUGUACAUGAUAUGGUCAACGAUUUGAAGGUGGUCUUUGGAAAGGGUCCUGGUGGACAACCUAUUCCGAAUGACGCUGACGGACGCGCACCCAUGUGGAAGAAGAAAUCUAUAUUUUGGGACCUGCCCUAUUGGAAAGACCUAGAGGUCCGCUCCGCAAUCGACGUGAUGCACGUGACGAAAAUCUUUGUGUGACCCUGCUUGGCUUCUUGGGCGUGUAUGGGAAGACAAAAGAUACACCUGAGGCACGGGAGGACCAACAAUGUAUGCACGGAAAAGAUGGCAUACAUCAGGGUCAUGCAAGCUACGCUCUUACCAAAGAAGAGAAGGAAAUCUUCUUUGAAUGCCUGCUCAGUAUUAAGGUACCGUCUGGCUUCUCGUCUAAUAUAAAGGGAAUAAUAAACAUGGCAGACAAAAGUUCCAGAACCUAAAGUCUCAUGACUGCCACGUGAUUAUGGCGCAACUGCUUCCGGUUGCAUUGAGGGGGCUUCUACCAGAAAACGUUCGAUUAGCCAUUGUGAAGCUAUGUGCAUUUCUCAAUGCAAUCUCUCAGAAGGUAAUCGAUCCAGAAAUAAUACCAAGGUUAGAGAAUUAUUUGGUGCAAUGUCUUGUCAGUUUCGAGUUGGUGUUCCCACCAUCCUUCUUCAACAUCAUGACGCACGUCCUAGUUCACCUAUGCGAAGAGAUUAACGUUUUGGGUCAUGUAUUUCUACACAAUAUGUUCCCCUUUGAGAGGUUCAUGGGAGUCUUAAAGAAAUAUGUUCAUAACCGUGCUAGGCCAGAAGGAAGCAUCUCCAAGGCCAUGAAAAUGAGGAGGUCAUUGAGUUUUGUAUUGACUUUAUUCCUGACCUUAAGCCGAUUGGUGUUCCUGAAUCGCGGCAUAAGGGCAGACUGGAUGGAAAAGGCACGCUAGGAGGGGAACAAAUAAUAUGUAUGUACGGACAUUCUCUCACUGAAGCACACUACACAGUUCUACAGAAUUCCGCCUUGGUGGCUCCAUAUAUGGAUGAACACAAGAAUUUGCUACGCUCCAAACACCCGGAGCGGUCUGAUGACUGGAUUACACGUGAACAAACCAGAAGUUUCGCCAGCUGGUUGCAGACACGUACCAUGCAUGACACCUCUAUUGAAGAUGACCUGUACUUGCUGUCCCAGUUACCAUCUUCGAAUAUAAUGACUUUCAAAGGGUACCAGAUAAAUGGUAAUACAUUUUACACGAUCGCCCAAGAUAAGAAGAGCACCAACCAAAACAGUGGUGUCUACUUUGAUGCAGAAACCAAGACGGGAAAGGAAACAUAUUAUGGUUAUAUACCGGACAUAUGGGAACUUGACUAUCGACGUGGUUUAAAGGUCCCUUUGUUUCGGUGCAAAUGGGUCAAUAUGACACGAGGCGGGGUAACGGAAGACCCGCAGUACGGAAUGACAACAGUGGAUCUCAACAAUCUUGCGUAUGCAGACGAACCAUUCGUCCUAGCCAAUGAUGUGGCACAGGUUUUCUAUGUGAAGGACAUGUCUACCAAGCCAAGAAAAAGAAAAGAUAAGGAAGCGAAUGCAUCGUACGAUGAGCCAAAGCGGCACAUAGUUCUUUCUAGGAAGAGAAACAUCGUGGGAGUGGAUGACAAGACAGACAUGUCAGAAGAUUAUGAAAAGUUUGAUGAAAUUGCUCCAUUCACAGUGAAUAUUGACCCGAGCAUCCCGUUAAAUGAUGAAGAUUUUCCAUGGUUACGGCGCAAAGGGACGCACGCGAAGAAAAAGUUUCACACCCAAAGAUCUGGGAUGUGAUCGGCUUCACUAUCAUCACUUUCUUCUGUGUUUCACACCCAGGAGGGAAUCUCUGUAAUAGUUAGGGUAGUUAUGUGUUUUGGCAUUUGAAACGCGAAGAAAUUUUAUGUGCAAACAAAUUCUUUCAUGCCUUUACUGAUUUUUAAAGUUAAGUUAUUCACAAACUAGUGAUUCACACUAAUUUCAAAUAAUUCAAAAUUUAAACUAUUCAAAUUUGAAAACUACAGGCACUAACAGAAAGUUUGUAAUUUUUUGUACCUAAAGCAAAAAUUGAAGGAAAUAUGCCCUAGAGGCAAUAAUAAAGUUAUUAUUUAUUUCCUUAUAUCAUGAUAAAUGUUUAUUAUUCAUGCUAGAAUUGUAUUAACCGGAAACAUAAUACAUGUGUGAAUACAUAGACAAACAGAGUGUCACUAGUAUGCCUCUACUUGACUAGCUCGUUAAUCAAAGAUGGUUAUGUUUCCUAACCAUGGACAAAGAGUUGUUAUUUGAUUAACGGGAUCACAUCAUUAGGUGAAUGAUCUGAUUGACAUGACCCAUUCCAUUAGCUUAGCACCCGAUCGUUUAGUAUGUUGCUAUUGCUUUCUUCAUGACUUAUACAUGUUCCUAUGACUAUGAGAUUAUGCAACUCCCGUUUGCCGGAGGAACACUUUGUGUGCUACCAAACGUCACAACAUAACUGGGUGAUUAUAAAGGUGCUCUACAGGUGUCUCCAAAGGUACAUGUUGGGUUGGCGUAUUUCGAGAUUAGGAUUUGUCACUCCGAUCGUCGGAGAGGUAUCUCUGGGCCCUCUAAUGCACAUCACUUAAGCCUUGCAAGCAUUGCAGCUAAUGAGUUAGUUGCGGGAUGAUGUAUUACGGAACGAGUAAAGAGACUUGCCGGUAAUGAGAUUGAACUAGGUAUUGGAUACCGACGAUCGAAUCUCGGGCAAGUAACAUACCGAUGACAAAGGGAACAACGUAUGUUGUUAUGCGGUCUGACCGAUAAAAGAUCUUCGUAGAAUAUGUAGGAACCAAUAUGGGCAUCAAGGUCCCGCUAUUGGUUAUUGACCGGAGACGUGUCUCGGUCAUGUCUACAUUGUUCUCGAACCCGUAGGGUCCGCACGCUUAAGGUUUCGAUGACAGUUAUAUUAUGAGUUUAUGAGUUUUGAUGUACCAAAGGAGUUCGGAGUCCCGGCUGAGAUUGGGGACAUGACGAGGAGUCUCGAAAUGGUCGAGACGUAAAAAUCGAUAUAUUGGACGACUAUAUUCGGACAUCGGAAAGGUUCCGAGUGAUUCGAGUAUUUUUCGGAGUACCGGAGAGUUACGGGAAUUCGCCGGGAGAAGUAUUGGGCCUUAUUGGGCCAUACGGGAAAGAGAGAGGGGCUGCCUAGGGUAGGCCGCGCGCCCCCCAAGGCCUAGUCCGAAUUGGACUAGGGGGAGGGGCUGCGCCCCUUCCUUGUUUCCUACUCCUACUACAUGGAAGGACUCCUACUUGGACUAGGAAAGGGGGAAUCCUACUCCCGGUGAGAGUAGGACUUCUCUAGGCGCGCCAUAGAGAGGGCCGGCCCUCCCCUCCUGCACUCCUUGAUAUACGGGGGCAGGGGGCACCCCAUAGACACACAAGUUGAUCCACGUGAUCAUAUUCUUAGCCGUGUGCGGUGCCCCCUUCCACUAUAGUCCUCGAUAAUAUUGUAGCAGUGCUUAGGCGAAGCCCUGCGACAGUAGUACAUCAAGAUCGUCACCACGCCGUCGUGCUGACGGAACUCUUGCCCGACACUUUGCUGGAUCGGAGUCCGGGGAUCGUCAUCGAGCUGAACGUGUGCUAGAACUCGGAGGUGCCGUAGUUUCAGUGCUUGAUCGUCGGGCCGUGAAGACGUACGACUACAUCAACCGCGUUGUCAUAACGCUUUUGCUAUCGGUCUACAAGGGUACGUAGAUCACACUCUCCCCUCUCGUUGCUAUGCAUCACCAUGAUCUUGCGUGUGCGUAGGAAAUUUUUUGAAAUUACUACGUUCCCCAACAGUGGCAUCCGAGCCUAGGUUUUAUGCGUUGAUGUAAUAUGCACGAGUAGAACACAAGUGAGUUGUGGGCGAUAUAAGUCAUACUGCUUACCAGCAUGUCACAGUUUGGUUCGGCGGUAUUGUUGGAUGAAGCGGCCCGGACCGACAUUACGCGUACGCUUAUGCGAGACUGGUUCUACCGACGUGCUUUGCACACAGGUGGCUGGCGGGUGUCAGUUUCUCCAACUUUAGUUGAACCGAGUGUGGCUACGCCCGGUCCUUGCGAAGGUUAAAACAACACCAACUUGACAAACUAUCGUUGUGGUUUUUGAUGCGUAGGUAAGAACGGUUCUUGCUAAGCCCGUAGCAGCCACGUAAAACUUGCAACAACAAAGUAGAGGAUGUCUAACUUGUUUUUGCAGGGCAUGUUGUGAUGUGAUCUGGUCAAGACAUGAUGCUAAAUUUUAUUGUAUGAGAUGAUCAUCUUUUGUAACCGAGUUAUCGGCAACUGGCAGGAGCCAUAUAGUUAUCGCUUUAUUGUAUGCAAUGCAAUCGCACUGUAAUGCUUUACUUUAUCACUAAGAGGUAGCGAUAGUCGUGGAAGCAUAAAAGUGGCGAGACGACAACGAUGCUGCGAUGGAGAUCAAGGUGUCACGCCGGUGACGAUGGUGAUCAUGACGGUGCUUCGGAGAUGGAGAUCACAGGCACAAGAUGAUGAUGGCCAUAUCAUAUCACUUAUAUUGAUUGCAUGUGAUGUUUAUCUUCUAUGCAUCUUAUCUUGCUUUGAUUGACGGUAGCAUUAUAAGAUGAUCUCUCACUGAAUUAUCCAGAAGUGUUCUCCCUGAGUAUGCACCGUUGCGAAAGUUCUUCGUGCCGAGACACCACAUGAUGAUCGGGUGUGAUAGGCUCUACGUUCAAAUACAACAGGUGCAAAACAGUUGCACACGCGGAAUACUCAGGUUAUACUUGACGAGCCAAGCAUAUGCAGAUAUGGCCUCGGAACACGGAGACCGAAAGGUCGAGCGUGAAUCAUAUAGUAGAUAUGAUCAACAUAGUGAUGUUCACCAAUGAAACUACAUCUCACGUGAUGAUCGGACAUGGUUUAGUUGAUUGGGAUCAUGUGAUCGCUUAGAGGAUUAGAGGGAUGUCUAUCUAAGUGGGAGUUCUUAAGUAAUAUGAUUAAUUGAACUUAAAUUUAUCAUGAACUUAGUCCUUAUAGUAUUUUGCAAAUUAUGUUGUAGAUUAAUAGCUCGUGUUGUUGCUUCCUUGUGUUUUUUAUAUGUUCCUAGAGAAAAUUGUGUUGAAAGAUGUUAGUAGCAAUGAUGCGGAUUGGAUCCGUCAUCUGAGGUUUAUCCUCAUUGCUGCACAGAGGAAUUAUGUCCUUGAUGCACCGCUAGGUGACAGACCUAUUGCAGGAUCAGAUACUAACGUUAUGAACGUUUGGCUAGCUAAAUAUGAUGACUACUUGAUAGUUUAGUGCACCAUGCUUAACGGCUUAGAAUCGGGACUUCAAAGACGUUUUGAACGUCAUGGACCAUAUGAGAUGUUCCAGGAGUUGAAGUUAAUAUUUCAAGCAAAUACCCGAGUUGAGAGAUAUGAAGUCUCCAACAAGUUCUAUAGCUAAAAGAUGGAGGAGAAUCGCUCAACUAGUGAGCAUGUGCCCAAAUUGUCUGAGUACUACAAUCACUUGAAUCAAGUGGGAGUUAAUCUUCUAGAUAAGAUAGUGAUUGACAGAAUUCUCUAGUCACCAUCACCAAGUUAGUAGAACUUCGUGAUGAACUAUGAUAUGCAAGGGAUAACGGAAACGAUUCCCAUGCUCUUCGUAAUGCGGAAAUUGAUGAAGGUAGAAAUCGAGAAAAACAUCAAGUGUUGAUGGUAGACAAGACCACUACUUUCAAGAAAAAGGAAGAGGGAAGAAGGGGAACUUCAAGAAAAACAGCAAGCAAGUUGCUGCUCAUGUGAAGAAGCCCAAGUCUGGUCCUAAGCCUAUGACUAAGUGCUUCUACUGCAAAGGGACUAGUCACUGGAAGCGGAACUACCCCAAGUGAUUGGCGGAUAAGAAGGAUGGCAAAGUGAACAUAAGUAUAUUUGAUAUACAUGUUAUUGAUGUGUACUUUACUAGUGUUUAUAGCAACCCCUCAGUAUUUGAUGCUAGUUCAGUUGCUAAGAGUAGUAACUCGAAACGGGAGUUGCAGAAUGAACAGAGACUAGUUAAGGGUGAAGUGACGAUGUGUUUUGGAAGUGGUUCCAAGAUUGAUAUGAUCAUCAUCGCACACUCCCUAUACUUUCGGGAUUAGUGUUGAACCUAAAUAAGUGUUAUUUGGUGUUUGCGUUGAGCAUGAAUAUGAUUUGAUCAUGUUUAUUGUAAUACGGUUAUUCAUUUAAGUAAAAGAAUAAAUUGUUGUUCUGUUUACAUGAAUAAAACCUUAUUUGGUUACACACCCAAUGAAAAUAGUUCAUUGGAUGUCGAUCGUAGUGAUACACAUAUUCAUAAUAUUGAAACCAAAAGAUGCGAAGUUAAUAAUGAUAGUGCAACUUAUUUGUGGCACUGCCAUUUAGGUCAUAUUGGUGUAAAGCUCAUGAAGAAACUCCAUGCUGAUGGGAUUUUGGAAUCACUUGGUGCUUGCGAACCAUGCCUUAUGGAUAAAAUGACUAAAGACUCCGUUCUCCGGAACAAUGGAGCGAGCAACUGACUUAUUGGAAAUAAUACAUACUGAUGUAUGCGAUCUGAUGAGUGUUGAAGCUCGCGGCGGGUAUCGUUAUUUUCUGACCUUCACAUAUGAUUUGAGCAGAUAUGGUAUAUCUGCUUGAUGAAACAUAAGUCUGAAACAUUUGAAAAGUUCAAAGAAUUUCAGAGUGAAAUGGAAAAUCAUCGUAACAAGAAAAAUAAGGUUUCUACGAUCUGAUCGCGGAGACAAAUAUUUGAGUUACGAGUUUGGUCUUCAAUUAAAACUAUGUGGAAUAGUUUCACAAAUUCAUGCCACCUGGAACACCACAGCAUAAUAGUGUGUUCGAACAUCAUAACCGUACUUUAUUGGAUAUAGUGCAAUCUAUGAUGUUUCUUACCGAUUUACCACUAUAGUUUUGGGGUUAUGCAUUAGAGACAGCUGCAUUCACGUUAAAAGGGCACCAUCUAAAUCUGUUGAGACGACACCGUAUGAACUGUGGUUUGGCAAGAAACCAAAGUUGUCGUUUCUCAAAGUUUGGGGUUGCAAUGCUUAUGUGAAAAAGUUUCAUCCUGAUAAGCUCAAACCCAAAUCGGAAAAGUGUGUCUUCAUAGGAUACCCAAAAAGUUACUGUUGGGUACACCUUCUAUCACAGAUCCGAAGGCAAGACUUUUGUUGCUAAAUUCAGAAACUUUCUGGAGAAGGAGUUUCUCUCGAAAGAAGUGAGUGGGAGGAAAGUAGAACUUGAUGAGGUAACUGUACCUACUCCCUUAUUGGAAAGUAGUACAUCACAGAAAACUGUUUCUGCGACACCUACCCCAAUUAGUGAGGAAGCUAAUGAUACUGAUCAUGAAACUUCAGGACAAGAUACUAUUGAACCUCAUAGAUCAACCAGAGUGAGAUCCGCGCCAUAGUGGUACGGUAAUCCUAUUCUGGAAAUCAUGCUGCUAGAUCAUGAUGAACCUACGAACUAUGAGGAAGCGAUGAUGAGCCCAGAUUCCGAUAAAUGGCUUGAGGCCAUGAAAUCUGAGAUAGGAUCCAUGUAUGAGAACAAAGUGUGGACUUUGGUGGACUUGCCCGAGGAUCGGCAAGCCAUUGAUAAUAAAUGGAUCUUCAAGAGGAAGACGGACACGGAUAGUAGUGUUACUAUCUACAAAGCUAGAAUUUUCGCAAAAGGUUUUCGACAAGUUCAAGGUGUUGACUACGAUGAGAUUUUCUCACUCGUAUCUAUGCUUAAGUCUGUCCGAAUCAUGUUAGCAAUUGCCGCAUUUUAUGAAAUCUGGCAAAUGGAUAAACAAAACUGCAUUCCUUAAUGGAUUUAUUAAAGAAGAGUUGUAUAUGAUGCAACCAGAAGGUUUUGUCAAUCCUAAAGGUACUAACAAAAUAUGCAAGCUCCAACGAUCCAUCUAUGGACUGGUGCAAACAUCUCGGAGUUGGAAUACACGCUUUGAUAAGUUGAUCAAAGCAUAUAGUUUUAUACAGACUUGUGGUGAAGCCUGUAUUUACAAGAAAGUGAGUGGGAGCACUACAACAUUUCUGAUAAGUAUAUGUGAAAGACAUAUUAUUGAUCGGAGAUAAUGUAGUAUUAUUCUGCAAAUCAUAAAGGAAUAUUUGAAAGGAGUUUUUCAAAGAAAGACCUCGGUGAAGCUGCUUACAUAUUGAGCAUCAAUAUCUAUAGAGAUAGAUCAAGACGCUUGAUAAGUUUUUCAAUGAGGAUAUACCUUGACAAGAUUUUGAAGUAGUUCAAAAUGGAAUAGUCAAAGAAGGAGUCCUUGCCUGUGUUACAUAGGUGUGAAGUUGAGUAAGACUCAAAACCCGACCACGGCAGAAGAUAGAGAGAGAAUGAAAGUCAUUCCCUAUGCCUCAGCCAUAGGUUCUAUAAAGUAUGCCAUGCUGUGUACCAGACCUAUUGUAUACCCUGCCCUGAGUUUGGCAAGGGAGUACAAUAGUGAUCUAGGAGUAGAUCACUGGACAUUGUUCAAAAUUAUCCUUAGUGGAAUAAGGAUAUGUUUCUCGAUUAUGGAGGUGACAAAAGGUUCGUCGUAAAGGGUUACGUCGAUGCAAGUUUUGACACUGAUCCAGAUGACUCUAAGUCUCAAUCUGGAUACAUAUUGAAAGUGUGAGCAAUUAGCUAGAGUAGCUCCAUGCAGAGCAUUGUUGACAUAGAAAUUUGCAAAAUACUUACAGAUCUGAAUGUGGCAGACCCGUUGACUAAACUUCUCUCACAAGAAAAACAUGAUCACACCUCAGUACUCUUUGGGUGUUAAUCACAUAGCGAUGUGAACUAGAUUAUUGACUCUAGUAAACCCUUUGGGUGUUGGUCACAAGUUGAUGUGAACUAUGGGUGUUAAUCACAUGGUGAUGUGAACUAUUGAUGUUAAAUCACAUGGCGAUGUGAACUAGAUUAUUGACUCUAGUGCAAGUGGGAAACUAAAGGAAAUAUGCCCUAGAGGCAAUAAUAAAGUUAUUAUUUAUUUCCUUAUACCAUGAUAAAUGUUUAUUAUUCAUGCUAGAAUUGUAUUAACCGGAAACAUUAUACCUGUGUGAAUACAUAGACAAACAGAGUGUCACUAGUAUGCCUCUACUUGACUAGCUCGUUAAUCAAAGAUGGUUAUGUUUCCUAACCAUGGACAAAGAGUUGUUAUUUGAUUAACGGGAUCACAUCAUUAGGUGAAUGAUCUGAUUGACAUGACCCAUUCCAUUAGCUUAGCACCAGAUCGUUUAGUAUGUUGCUAUUGCUUUCUUCAUGACUUAUACAUGUUCCUAUGACUAUGAGAUUAUGCAACUCCCGUUUGCCGGAGGAACACUUUGUGUGCUACCAAACGUCACAACGUAACUGGGUGAUUAUAAAGGAGCUCUACAGGUGUCUCCAAAGGUACAUGUUGGGUUGGCGUAUUUCGAGAUUAGGAUUUGUCACUUCGAUCAUCGGAGAGGUAUCUCUGGGCCCUCUCGGUAAUGCACAUCACUUAAGCCUUGCAAGCAUUGCAGCUAAUGAGUUAGUUGCGGGAUGAUGUAUUACGGAACGAGUAAAGAGACUUGCCGGUAACGAGAUUGAACUAGGUAUUGGAUACCGACGAUCGAAUCUCGGGCAAGUAACAUACCGAUGACAAAGGGAACAACGUAUGUUGUUAUGCGGUCUGACCGAUAAAAGAUCUUUGUAGAAUAUGUAGGAACCAAUAUGGGCAUCCAGGUCCCGCUAUUGGUUAUUGACCGGAGACGUGUCUCGGUCAUGUCUACAUUGUUCUCGAACCCGUAGGGUCUGCACGCUUAAGGUUUCGAUGACAGUUAUAUUAUGAGUUUAUGAGUUUUAAUGUACCGAAGGAGUUCAGAGUCCCGGAUGAGAUCGGGGACAUGACGAGGAGUCUCAAAAUGGCCGAGACAUAAAAAUCGAUAUAUUGGACGACUAUAUUCGGACAUCGGAAAGGUUCCGAGUGAUUCGAGUAUUUUUCGGAGUACCGGAGAGUUACGGGAAUUCGCCGAGAGAAGUAUUGGGCCUUAUUGGGCCAUACGGGAAAGAGAGAGGGGCUGCCUAGGGCAGGCCGCGCGCCCCCAAGGCUUAGUCCGAAUUGGACUAGGGGGAGGGGCUGCGCCCCUUCCUUGUUUCCUACUCCUACUACAUGGAAGGACUCCUACUUGGACUAGGAAAGGGGGAAUCCUACUCCCGGUGAGAGUAGGACUUCUCUAGGCGCGCCAUAGAGAGGGCCGGCCCUCCCCUCCUGCACUCCUUGAUAUACGGGGGCAGGGGGCACCCCAUAGACACACAAGUUGAUCCACGUGAUUAUAUUCUUAGCCGUGUGCGGUGCCCCCUUCCACCAUAGUCCUCGAUAAUAUUGUAGUAGUGCUUAGGCGAAGCCCUGCGACAGUAGUACAUCAAGAUCGUCACCACGCCGUCGUGCUGACGGAACUCUUCCCCGACACUUUGCUGGAUCGGAGUCCGGGGAUCGUCAUCGAGCUGAACGUGUGCUAGAACUCGGAGGUGCCGUAGUUUCGGUACUUGAUCGAUCGGGCCGUGAAGACGUACGACUACAUCAACCGCGUUGUCAUAACGCUUCCGCUAUCAGUCUACAAGGAUACGUACAUCACACUCUCCUCUCUCGUUGCUAUGCAUCAUCAUGAUCUUGCGUGUGCGUAGGAAAUUUUUUGAAAUUACUAUGUUCCCCAACAAAAAUAUUCACAAAGAAACUCUAAAUACACAAAAAAAACAACUCAAAAAUAAAUAAAGCAAAAAAAAUAAAAAAAGCCCGCCUACUGGGCCAGAGCGGCCUGCAUACGACUAGAAACUCAACCUGUUGUUGGGCCAGGAUGCAGGCCCGCAAAGGUCGAGUAGGCCCACAGGGCAGCACAGAACAUGUAGGCCCAGUAGGCCUGCUUUGGAGAGGAGCUCGAGACAGCUACCGCACGGGGGGUUAUAAACCAGUGCAGACGCCCUUCGGCUAGCGAGGUGGGACUAAACUUGCUGCACCGCACCUGCGCCAAUGCACCCCCUUUAGUACCGGGUGGUGGCACCAACCGGUACUAAAGGCGGGGGUGCCUUUAGUACCGGUUGGAGCCACCACCCGGUACUAAAGGGGGUGCGCUUCCCGCCGCUUGGACUGGCCAAAACAGGCCUUUAGUACCGGUUGGUGGCUCCAACCGGUACUAAAGGUCCAUCCUAUAUAUCCAAACACUUCAAAAAUUUCAGUUUUUCAUCUGCUUCUUCUCCUCUGCCCCGUCGCCCGCCGCCCCCGUCUCCAUAUCCCUCGUCGCCGCCCCCGUCGCCGCCCCGUCCCCGUCGUCGNNNNNNNNNNNNNNNNNNNNNNNNNNNNNNNNNNNNNNNNNNNNNNNNNNNNNNNNNNNNNNNNNNNNNNNNNNNNNNNNNNNNNNNNNNNNNNNNNNNNNNNNNNNNNNNNNNNNNNNNNNNNNNNNNNNNNNNNNNNNNNNNNNNNNNNNNNNNNNNNNNNNNNNNNNNNNNNNNNNNNNNNNNNNNNNNNNNNNNNNNNNNNNNNNNNNNNNNNNNNNNNNNNNNNNNNNNNNNNNNNNNNNNNNNNNNNNNNNNNNNNNNNNNNNNNNNNNNNNNNNNNNNNNNNNNNNNNNNNNNNNNNNNNNNNNNNNNNNNNNNNNNNNNNNNNNNNNNNNNNNNNNNNNNNNNNNNNNNNNNNNNNNNNNNNCUCGCCGAUGAGCACACACGCACAUACAUUUUUUUAGUUUUUUAGUUAUAGAAAUAGUUAUAAAAAUGUUAGAAAAUUUUCUUUUCUUAGUUAUAGAAAUAGUUACUUAUAUAUCAUUAUUAGAAAUGUUAGAAUUGUUAGAAAUUUUUUCUGUUUUUUAGUUAUAGAAAUAGUUAUAAAAAAGUUAGAAUUGUUAGAAAUUUUUCUGUUUUUUAGUUAUAGAAAUAGUUAUAAAAAAGUUAGAAAUUUUUCUUUUUUUAGUUAUAGAAAUAUUAGAAAUGUUAUACAAAUGUUAGUUAUACAGAUAGAAAUGUUAUAAUUUUUUUUGUUUUUUAGUUAUAGAAAUAUUAGAAAUGUUAUAGAAAUGUUAGUUAUAUAGCAUUGUUAGAAAUGUUAUAGGAAUGUUAGUUAUAUAGAAAUGUUAGAACUUUGAGUUAUCAAAAUCCAAUUAUUAAAAAAAUGUUACUUUUUGCGGGCAUAUAGCUAGUACUUGUUCUCGACGAUGCCCGGCCCGCAUCCUCGCCGUCGACCCGUCCGCGACGACGUCCGGCUGACCCAUGUCCGAGACUGGGCUCCGCCGGGCUGGCACUGGGGGGGCGCGCCGCUUGAUGAGGAACAUGGCCCCGGGUCCCGUCGUCGACCCUGAUCUAGUUUGGAGGCGUUCGCGUCGGCCAGUUUCGGUGCGGAGGGAGCCGGCCCCGCCGGAGGUGGUACGUCGCCGUGUUAGGGAGGAGGACGAGCACGUCCAUCGCUACAUGGUUGCGUUAGAGGGCGGCAGGUUCUCCAAUACCUGGCAGUUUCUUCAGGGAUCUCACUUCAGCUAUGAUCCUGUGAGGGUUCCUUCUCUUUGGGUGUCCACCGCCCGCGCCGCAGGAACUGCGAGUGUCCUAGAUUCUUCUGUAGUCAGUGAUGUAUUCGAUAUAUAAUAUUCGAGACGAUGUAUUCGAGAUUAUAUAUUAUUCGAGACGAUGUAUUCGAGAUUAUAUCUAUUAUUCGAGACGAUGUAUUCGAGAUUAUAUCUAUUAUUCAAGACGAUGUAUUCGAGAUUAUAUCUAUUAUUUGAGACGAUGUAUUCGAGAUUAUAUCUAUUAUUCGAGACGACGUAUUCGAGAUUAUAUUUGAUGAUGCUUAUAUGUACUAUGAUUGAUUCAGUUUUUCCUUAUUAAUUGAUUGCAUCCAUGCAUUGUAAUUUGAAUAUAUUUCUUUUGGAUUAGUUAAACAAAACCUAUGGCGGACAAUACCGGUAGAGAGGGAGAAGAGGCCCUGUUCAAUAUCAUAUGCAAUCCUCGCGGGCCAGAUGAUGAUCAGAAUGAAGAAGAUUAUGACGGCUCCGAAUAUGUAAACAACACCGGGGAGGGUGAUAUGAUAUUCGAUCGCGACGACUGAAUUGAUGAAGUCAUGAACUAUGAACAUGACAAAGAAAAUGUUGAUCUUGAAACAACAAAGACCGGCGAGGUAUAUAUAUUUAUAUAAGCAGGCAUCUGGUGAUCAUCACAUGUUUUAAAUGACUCGAAGAUAUAUUAACGAAUCGAUCUUUCUUCUUUCAGCUAUCUGGAUCGAGCAAAUCUUCAGGCAACAGGAUGAAAUGAGGCCCAAACAAAAAGUUGAAGGAGGGCGUAAAGUACAAUAUCGAGGCAAUCAGACCUAAUGGCGAACCAUUAGCGCCUAAGAAGAUUGCGGACAAGUUCGUUCGUCAGUGCGGAGUUCUUGUGAAGGACCUACUCCCGAUCUCCCUUCAAGAAUGGAGAGAGCCAGCAAACCAACGUCCAGAUCUUACUUUUGUCGAUGACAGACAAAAAGGUCUGCUUUGGGAUACUCUCAUGGAACAUUUCACCCUACCAGAUCAUUUCACAGAAGCAGAUGUGCAGAAAGUAAAGGACGCUGCUCUUAGGAAGAUGGCGGUUGCAUUCAAGAACCAUAAGAAUCAUGAAUGGGACAAGUACAUCAAGGGAGGAAGGAAGACUCCAGUAUUCGAGGGAACACUAGAGAAGCAAAGUGCUCAUUGGGACGAUUGCGUGAAAUUCAAGGAUUCGGAAUUAGCUAAGGAGCGGUCGAGAAUAAACAAGAAGAAUGUCGAAAAAAGGAUAAGUUCCAUAAGCUGGGGCCAGGUGGCUACGCGAUGGCAAUGCCUAAGUGGGAUAAGUUUGAGAAAGAGAUGGAGGAUGCAAGUGUCACUCCGGUUACUAGGAGCUGGCCCCCCAGGUGCAGGACUUGGUUCUAUGCGCAUGGGGGGAGUUGGACCCGAAGACAGGCAAAGUUUCGACGAAGGCAUGUCUGAACGGAGCCAACGAUGCGCUAAUUGUUGCAAUAGAAGAGGCUCGAACGGGGGUAUUCCAGCCCAACAGAGAGAACGACGAGCUUACGCGUGCCCUGGGAAAUCCUGAACACCCGGGAAUAACACGAGGCAAGGGCGCUAUUCCGUGGUAUGAGUGGUUUUCGGACUGGAACCGACUACAGAAACCGUGUGAGAAGGAAGAUUGCGGAGGAGAAGAAGAGGAAGAUGGAGGAGGAGCAGAGGAAGUUGGACUAUGAACGCCUUCAAGGCCUAGAAUCAAAGCACGCAGACUUGGCAGUCAAAUUCCAGCGGCAGCAGGAGCAGAUCGACUCACUUAGCCAGCAAAGGGGGUCUCAGCAGCUGCAGCGGCAAGCGGAUGAUCCAGCAUUGGAUAGCACCGCCCUAUCCAUGCCGAGAAGCAGCGUGGGUUCCGCCCCGGGCGACGCAAUGCUGGAUAGAUACCCCGUGGAUGACGUCACGGAGAACACUAACUGCGAGCUACACUUCAAAAUGAAGAACAUAUCCAUGAAGGUGGCGGAUGCCGUUGCUUUUACAAAUCCCCCCGAGGCAACCUUCCAUUGCAACCCGAUUCCAGCAGGCUAUGCUCGUGUCUUGGUUGAUGAGGUGGUGGACCCAUAUUCGGGGCUACAUCUUGACAUUCCUGGAGGUGAUGACGAGCACACAUUGGGAGAGGCCAUACAUCGUGUCAUCCUAUGGAGAAAGGAUUGCAUCGUCUUUCGAAGGCCACCGGCACCGCGUCACCCGACUCCUCGUCGAAGUCCGCCACCGAGUCAGCAAACUCCUGCUCCUCCAAGUCCACCAAUGUGUGAGGCCAUUACUCCUCCUCCAAGUCUGGCAAAGUGUCAGGCCACUCCUCCUCCAAGUCCGACACAGCGUCAGACGUCCACUCCUCCUCCAUGUCCGGCACAACUUCAGGCCACUCCUCCUCCAAGUCCGGCACAGCUUCAGGCCACUCCUCCUCAUCCAACUCAGCCCCGUCAGCCUUCUCCGCCGCCUCAGCAAUCGCAGAAGAGACACCCCGCAGCUAUGGUGCAUAGCGGUACGAGUCGAGGUAGUACAGGAAGUACAGGCGGAGGCAAGCUAUAUAAAUAUGGUCCAAGCCUCACUACUCCUCUUCCUCAGAGGGCUUAUGACAUGACCGAGGAGCAAACCAAUGCCAUAGAGCAGGCAGAAGUGGACGCCCAUUUUGGACCGAAACCGCCACCGCCGCCAAGGGAGAAACUGCCUGUGGAAAAGAUUGACCACUUCAUUCGUAUGGCCCAACCACCAGCUCCCAAGCCCGAUGACACAGACUAUGAGCGCCACAUCAGGAAGUUAAAUCGAGCACGUCUACAGAAGGAGGCGAGCUCGAGCUCGAGCAAACAACAAGCAGCUGUCAAAAAAUGCAGGAAAACCGUUCCCCAGCAGGGAGAACAGGCGACGCAAUCGAUCCCCUCGCUUGUUGUGCCAACAACACGUGAUAGUACGCGCGCCCAAUAUUAUUGUGGCCAAACAGUUUAUGUUCCCGAGGUGGGCAAUGUGGUAAUAACCGAGGAGCAUAUAAUGCAGGCUAAAAUUCUCAACAUCACUGUUGGACAACUCCUCAAGAUCGAGCCCAUGCCUGUGCUUACAGAGGAGGAAAUAAAAUGGAAAUAUGUCCGGGGCGAACCUUUGGUCAAGCCAGACGAGGUCAAGAAGCUCCUAACGCGAAUGUAUGAAUUGCAUCAAUGGUACAUGGACAUUACCAAGAGUUCCAAUCGAGAGUCCCUCAUGGUGGAAGUCAAGAAGGAUCAUUACUACCAUCAGAAAGCUGUGGCCGUUGAGUAUAAUGAACUGUUUGAGUUAUACAAUCAAGAUGCACUCGACAAAUCUAUCGUCAGUUGCUAUUGUCUGUAAGUGAUUUCUUUCUGUAAUUUAAGUCUCAAGCUAGCUGUAGUGAUCCUUUUGAUCAAUCAUUACCUGUAAUUAUCCUCACUAUAUUCUUUUCUGUGGUAUUAUGCAUGAUGAAGAUGUAUGUAAUGAAAAAAAGUGGACGCUACGGCAUUGGGUUCAUUGACCCAAACACCGUUAAUGAAUACACAUGGAAAAUAGAUCCAUAUCAUGAAAAGCAUGUAGAGGACAGCAUGCUAGAGUUCUUGAAGCGCCUCAAAUACAAUGAAGAUAUACUACUUCCUUACAACUUCCAGUGAGUCACACUGUCUUGUACUAUACAAAUUCUCUGUUUUUGCCUACUAGCUAGCUACAUGUUUUUGCUUAUGUAUGCCCGCUUAAUUAAGACAUGCAAACGUGUGUGCAUGCAGAUUUCACUGGAUCUUGUGUAUCAUUAAAGUUGACGCUGGAACAAUUGAAAUACUGGACUCACUACUCAAAGCAAAUAGUGACUAUAACAUCUUGUUUGGGAUAGUCAACAGGUAAUUUCAAUCAUUAUUAACUAUAUAUCUCGACCUAUUUAGUUCGUCAUUUCAUGAUAUGAACUAUUUAAUAACCCAUUUAUUCAUUUUCUUUGUCAGCGGGCAGGGCUUGGGCAAGGUUCAUCAGCGUCACUCCAGGCGAAUGGAAACAAAAGCUGAAAUGGUUUCGACCCAAGGUAAGUAAUUAAGUAGUACUAGCUAGCUAGCUAGCUGCCAUCUCUUUAAUUAUCAUGCUUGCUUAAUUAUUAUCUGAUCAACUUCCAUUCUCGUAAAGGCCCUGAAGGAGGCGCAGGGGACUGAUCUGUGUGCAUACUGCGUUUGCGAGAACAUUCACAUGAUGGCAUCCGAAAGGAGCAGAUCUCAAAGACAGGAAUGGCACUAGUAGAAAAAGGGUCCAAUCGUGAAGCACAUUAGUGCCGGUUUGAAUUUGAGCUGGCACUAAUGUGUGCAUUAGUGCCGGUUCCAACGGCUAGCCGGCCGCUCUCAUUAGUACCGGUCCGUGGUGAACCUUUAGCACCGGUUCGUGCCAUGAACCGGUACUAAAGUGAGUGGUGGCAGGAUGUUGUCAGUCCGGGGCCCCUCCAGCACCUUUAGUACCGGGUCGUUUCAUGAACCGGUACUAAAGGUCGUCCUACAUAGACCCUUCGUCCACCCGAGCUCGCUUUGUUCUUCCCCUUUCCCCUCUCCUCUCUGUUCUUUUCCCUCUUCCUCUCAAGCUCAUCACACAUUUUGCCCAAAAUUUGUCAAGAUUUGAAGGCCCCCAUCCAUUCAAAUGAUCACAAAGGUUAACAACUUUUUCCUUUCAUCUCUCAUUGCUAGAUUAGCUUGUGCAAUGCUUUAUAUAGUGAUUGAUUUUUGAGUUUAGUAAUUUGGGAGGAAUUAUAUAGAUGUGCUAGUAUUUGAUUUAUAUGCAAUUUGAGGUCAAAAAUAACACUUAGUUUGCAUAUGUAGGUGUGGUUUACGUAGUACCUUCUAAAUCUCCGUCGUAACCACCGUCGAUCGCUCGCAACGUCCCGUCGCCAGCACCACCUUGUGGUGAGCCUCUUGUUCUUGAACUUUUAUAUAAAAAAUUGAUGUUUGUGUGAUUUGGAUAUAUAGUUACUCGUAUAAUUAUCUUACCCAUACGUUGUUUGUUAUACAUAGUGCCAUGGUUUUGAUAUCCGUCCCCGUUGGCCCUCGUCCGGGUUAUGAUUCGGAUGUGGUAUAUUCUCUUUUAAAACUAUUCAUUGCAUUUCGUGUUUAUGACAAAUUAUGCCCAUCAAGUUGACAUAGAUAUUUGUAUGUAGGAGGUAGUUGAACCGGAAAUUCCAACCGACCCUAUUGUCGAGAGGUUAAAUUUAGUUGAAAGAGAAAACGAGGAUUUGAAGGAAAAAUUGAAAAGAAUUGAGGGGGAGAAGAUGGAAUUGGAGUUGCAUGUUGCCGAUGUCGUCGAUAAUCACAAGAUUAAGAUGGAGAAAAUGCGCUUGAAGAUUAGAAAGAUUAGAAAAUAUGCUAUUCAUAGUGAGGCUUGGUAUCAUUAUGCUGUUGGAUCAAUUGUUACCUUAGUUGCGAUCUUGAUCGCAUUUGUUGUUGCAUUUAAAUUCUUUAGCUAGAGAGUUAUUUGUUUGUUGCAUUUAAGUGUUGUAUGAUCUUUAUGUAUGAACUUUAUGUAUUGUAUUAAUUUGACGUUUUCGGUGCUGUCUAUUGAAGAUGAGCCGGCAAUGGAUGUACGAUGACCGAUGCUCUCCCGAAUUCAUUAAUGGUGUGCGUACUUUUCUGCUUGCGGCUGAGGCAAACAAGCGAGCGGAUGGUUUUAUGCCUUGUCCAUGUGCUGGCUGUAAGAAUGGUCACAAUUACUCUACGUCAAGAACCAUUCACGUCCACCUGUUUGAGUCCGGUUUCAUGCCCCACUAUAAUGUUUGGACCAAGCAUGGAGAAAGAGGGGUUAUGAUGGAAGACAAUGAAGAAGAAGAGGACGACGACAGCUAUCCUGGCCAUGGGUUCCCUGAAUACGAUGAUACAACAAUGAGGGAAGAAGCUGAGCCGGUAAUGCGGGAAGAAGCUAAAGAAGAGGCAUCGGAUGAGCCCGUUGAUGAUCUAGGUCAGGCCAUUGCCGAUGCAAAGAGAAACUGCGCAAGUGAUUUGGAGAAGAAGAAGUUGCAGCGCAUGUUAGAGGAUCACAAAAAAUUGUUGUACCCGAAUUGCGUAGGUGACAAGAAAAAGCUGGGCACCACACUGGAAUUGCUGCAAUGGAAGGCAGAGAAUGGUGUAUCUGACAAGGGAUUUGGAAAGUUGCUGGUAAUGAUAAAGGAUAUGCUUCCACAGGACAACGAAUUGCCCGAGAGUACGUACGAAGCAAAGAAGGUUGUCUGCCCUCUAGGGUUAGAGGUGCAGAAGAUACAUGCAUGCCCUAAUGGUUGCAUCCUCUACCGCGAUGAGUACGAGGAUUUGAACGCUUGCCUGGUAUGCGGUGCAUUGCGCUAUAAGAUCAGCCGCGAUGACCCUGGUGAUGUUGAGGGCGAGCGCCCCAGGAAGAAGAUUCCUGCCAAGGUGAUGUGGUAUGCUCCUAUAAUACCCCGGUUGAAACGUUUGUUCCAAAACAAAGAGCAUGCCAAUGCGAUGCGAUGGCACAGAGAAGACCGUAAGAAAGACGGAAAGUUGAGAGUACCCGCUGAUGGGUCGCAGUGGAGAAAAAUCGAAAGAAAGUACGGAAAGGAGUUUGUAGAUGACGCAAGGAACGUAUGGUUUGGUCUAAGCGCAGAUGGCAUUAAUCCUUUUGGGGAGCAGAGCAGCAACCAUAGAACCUGGCAUGUGACUCUAUGUUUGUAUAAUCUUCCUCAUUGGUUGUGCAUGAAGCGGAAGUUCAUUAUGAUGACAGUGCUCAUCCAAGGCCCUAAGCAACCCGGCAACGACAUUGAUGUGUACCUAAGGCCAUUAGUUGAAGAACUCUUACAACUGUGGAAUGGAACAGGUGUACGUGCGUGGGAUGAGCACAUGGGGAAGAAUUUGACCUAAAGGCGUUGCUGUUCGUGACCAUCAAUGAAUGGCUGUUCUCAGUAACCUUUCAGGACAGACAAACAAGGGAUACCGCGCAUGAACGCACUGUUUGGAUGAUACGGACAGUAUAUAUUUGGCUAAUUGUAAGAAGAAUGUGUACCUGGGACAUCGUCGAUUUCUUCCGAGCAGGCAUCCCGUAAGAAAGAAAGGCAAGCAUUUCAAAGGUGAGGCGGAUCACCGGACGAAGCCUCGCCACUGUACUGGUGUUGAUGUACAUGAUAUGGUCAAGGAUUUGAAGGUGGUCUUUGGAAAGGGUCCUGGUGGACAACCUGUUCCGAAUGACGCUGACGGACGCGCACCCAUGUGGAAGAAGAAAUCUAUAUUUUGGGACCUGCCCUAUUGGAAAGACCUAGAGGUCUGCUCCGCAAUCGACGUGAUGCAUGUGACGAAGAAUCUUUGUGUGACCCUGCUUGGCUUCUUGGGCGUGUAUGGGAAGACAAAAGAUACACCUGAGGCACGGGAGGACCAGCAAUGUAUGCACGGAAAAGACGGCAUACAUUAGGGUCAUGCAAGCUAUGCUCUUACAAAAGAAGAGAAGGAAAUCUUCUUUGAAUGCAUGCUCAGUAUUAAGGUACCGUCUGGCUUCUCGACGAAUAUAAAGGGAAUAAUAAACAUGGCAGAGAAAAAGUUCCAGAACCUAAAGUCUCAUGACUGCCACAUGAUUAUGACGCAACUUCUUCCGGUUGCAUUGAGGGUGCUUCUACCAGAAAAUGUUCGAUUAGCCAUUGUGAAGCUAUGUGCAUUUCUCAAUGUAAUCCCUCAGAAGGUAAUCGAUCCAGAAAUCAUACCAAGGUUAGAGAAUGAUUUGGUGCAAUGGCUUGUCAGUUUCGAGUUGGUGUUCCCACCAUCCUUCUUCAACAUCAUGACGCACGUCCUAGUUCACUUAUGCGAAGAGAUUAACGUUUUUGGUCCUGUAUUUCUACACAAUAUGUUCCCCUUUGAGAGGUUCAUGGGAGUCUUAAAGAAAUAUGUUCAUAACCAUGCUAGGCCAGAAGGAAGCAUCUCCAAGGGCCAUGAAAAUGAGGAGGUCAUUGAGUUUUGUAUUGACUUUAUUCCUGACCUUAAGCCGAUUGGUGUUCCUAAAUCGCGGCAUAAGGGCAGACUGGAUGGAAAAGGCAUGCUAGGAGGGGAACAAAUAAUAUGUAUGGACGAACAUUCUCUCACUGAAGCACACUACACAGUUUUACAGAAUUCCGCCUUGGUGGCUCCGUAUAUGUAUGAACACAAGAAUUUGCUACGCUCCAAACACCCGAGCGGUCUGAUGACUGGAUUACACGUGAACUAACUAGGAGUUUCGCCAGCUGGUUGCAGACACGUACCAUGCAUGACACCUCUAUUGAAGAUGACAUGUACUUGCUGUCCCAGUUACCAUCUUCGAAUAUAAUGACUUUCAAAGGGGACGAGAUAAAUGGUAAUACAUUUUACACGAUCGCCCAAGAUAAGAAGAGCACCAACCAAAACAGUGGUGUCUGCUUUGAUGCAGAAACCAAGACGGGAAAGGAAACAUAUUAUGGUUAUAUACAGGACAUAUGGGAACUUGACUAUCGACGUGGUUUGAAGGUCCCUUUGUUUCGGUGCAAAUGGGUCAAUAUGACACGAGGCGGGGUAACGGAAGACCCGCAGUACGGAAUGACAACAGUGGAUCUCAACAAUCUUGCGUAUGCAGACGAACCAUUCGUCCUAGACAAUGAUGUGGCACAGGUUUUCUAUGUGAAAGACAUGUCUACCAAGCCAAGAAAAAGAAAAGAUAAGGAAGCGAAUGCAUUGUACGAUGAGCCAAAGCGGCACAUAGUUCUUUCUGGGAAGAGAAACAUCGUGGGAGUGGAUGACAAGACAGACAUGUCAGAAGAUUAUGAAAAGUUUGAUGAAAUUGCUCCAUUCACGGUGAAUAUUGACCCGAGCAUCCCGUUAAAUGAUGAAGAUUUUCCAUGGUUACGGCGCAAAGGGACACACGCGAAGAAAAAGUUUCACACCCAAAGAUCUGGGAUGUGAUCGGCUUCACUAUCAUCACUUUGUUCUGUGUUUCACACCCAGGAGGGAAUCUCUCUAAUAGUUAGGGUAGUUAUGUGUUUUGGCAUUUGAAAUGCGCAGAAAUUUUAUGUGCAAACAAAUUCUUUCAUGCCUUUACUGAUUUUUAAAGUUAAGUUAUUCACAAACUAGUGAUUCACACUAAUUUCAAAUAAUUCAAAAUUUAAACUAUUAAAAUUUGAAAACUACGGGCACUAAAGAAAGUUUGUAAUUUUUUGUACCUAAAGAAAAAUAUUCACAAAGAAACUCUAAAUACACAAAAAAACAACUCAAAAAUAAAUAAAGCAAAAAAAAUAAAAAUAAAGCCCGCCUACUGGUCCAGAGCGGCCUGCAUACGACUAGAAACCCAACAUGUUGUUGGGCCAGGAUGCAGGCCCGCAAAGGCACAGUAGGCCCACAGGGCAGCACAAAACAUGUAGGCCCAGUAGGCCUGCUUUGGAGAGGAGCUCGAGAGAGCUACCGCACGGGGGGAUAUAAACCAGUGCGGACGCCCCUCGGCUAGCGAGGUGGGACUAAACUUGCCACACCGCACAUGCGCCAGCGCACCCCCUUUAGUACCGGGUGGUGGCACCAACCGGUACUAAAGGGGGGCCUUUAGUACCGGUUGGAGCCACCACCCGGUACUAAAGGGGGUGCGCUUCCCGCCGCUUGGCCUGGCCAAAACAAGCCUUUAGUACCGGUUGGUGGCUCCAACCGGUACUAAAGGUCCAUCCUAUAUAACUAAACACUUCAAAAAUUUCAGUUUCUCAUCUGCUUCUUCUCCUCUGCCCCGUCGCCCGUCGCCCCCGUCUCCAUAUCCCUCGUCGANNNNNNNNNNNNNNNNNNNNNNNNNNNNNNNNNNNNNNNNNNNNNNNNNNNNNNNNNNNNNNNNNNNNNNNNNNNNNNNNNNNNNNNNNNUUUUUCUGUUUUUCAGAAAUAGUUAGAAAUGUUAGAAUUGUUAAAAUAGUUAGAAAUGUUAGAAUUGUUAGAAUUGUUAGAAAUGUUAGAAUUGUAAGAAAUUUUUCUGUUUUUUAGUUAUAGAAAUAGUUAUAAAAAAGUUAGAAUUGUUAGAAAUUUUUCUGUCUUUUAGUUAUAGAAAUAGUUAUAAAAAUGUUAGUUAUAUAUAUAGUAAUGUUAUAAUUUUUUCUGUUUUUUAUUUAUAGAAAUAUUAGAAAUGUUAUAGAAAUGUUAGUUAUAUAUAGCAUUGUUAGAAAUGUUAUAGAAAUGUUAGUUAUAUAGAAAUGUUAGAAAUUUUAGUUAUCAAAAUCCAAUCAUUAAAAAAAUGUUACUUUUUGCGGGCAUAUAGCUAGUAUUUGUUCUCGACGAUGCCCGACCCGCAUCCUCGNNNNNNNNNNNNNNNNNNNNNNNNNNNNNNNNNNNNNNNNNNNNNNNNNNNNNNNNNNNNNNNNNNNNNNNNNNNNNNNNNNNNNNNNNNNNNNNNNNNNNNNNNNNNNNNNNNNNNNNNNNNNNNNNNNNNNNNNNNNNNNNNNNNNNNNNNNNNNNNNNNNNNNNNNNNNNNNNNNNNNNNNNNNNNNNNNNNNNNNNNNNNNNNNNNNNNNNNNNNNNNNNNNNNNNNNNNNNNNNNNNNNNNNNNNNNNNNNNNNNNNNNNNNNNNNNNNNNNNNNNNNNNNNNNNNNNNNNNNNNNNNNNNNNNNNNNNNNNNNNNNNNNUAUAUUAGAAAUGUUAUAGAAAUGUUAGUUAUAUAGCAUUGUUAGAAAUGUUAUAGGAAUGUUAGUUAUAUAGAAAUGAUAGAAAUUUUAGUUAUCAAAAUCCAAUCAUUAAAAAAAUGUUACUUUUUGCGGGCAUAUAGCUAGUAUUUGUUCUCGACGAUGCCCGGCCCGCAUCCUCGCCGUCGACCCGUCCGCGACGACGUCCGACUGACCCAUGUCCGGGACUGGGCUCCACCGGGCUGGCACUGGGAGGUGCUGCCUAGAGGGACGCACCGCUUGAUGAGGAACCCGGCCCCGGGUCACGUCGUCGACCCUGAUCUCGUUUGGUGGCGUUCGCGUGGGCCAGUUUCGGUGUGGAGGGAGCCGGCCCCGCCGGAGGUGGUACGUCGCCGUGUCAGGGAGGAGGACGAGCACGUCCAUUGCUACAUGGUUGCGUUAGAGGGCGGCAGGUUCUCCAAUACCUGGCAGUUUCUUCAGGGAUCUCACUUCAGCUAUGAUCCUGUGAGGGUUCCUUCUCUUUGGGUGUCCACCGCCCGCGUCGCAGGAACUGCGAGUGUCCUAGAUUCUUCGGUAGUCAGUGAUGUAUUCGAUAUAUAAUAUUCGAGACGAUGUAUUCGGAUUAUAUAUUAUUCGAGAUGAUGUAUUCGAGAUUAUAUCUAUUAUUCGAGACAAUGUAUUCGAGAUUAUAUCUAUUAUUCAAGACGAUGUAUUCGAGAUUAUAUCUAUUAUUCGAGACGAUGUAUUCGAGAUUAUAUCUAUUAUUCAAGACGACGUAUUUGAGAUUAUAUUCGAUGAUGCUUAUUAUGUACUAUGAUUGAUUCAGUUUUUCCUUAUUAAUUGAUUGCAUCCAUGCAUUGUAAUUUGAAUAUAUUUCUUUUGGAUUAGUUAAACAAAACCUAUGGCGGACAAUACCGGCAGAGAGGGAGAAGAGGCCCUGUUCAAUAUCAUACGCAAUCCUCGCGGGCCAGAUGAUGAUCAGAAUGAAGAAGAUUAUGACGGCUCCGAAUAUGUAAACAACACCGGGGAGGGUGAUAUGAUAUUCGAUCGCGACGACCGAAUUGAUGAAGUCAUGAACUAUGAACAUGACGAAGAAAAUGUUGAUCUUGAAACAACAAAGACCGGUGAGGUAUAUAUAUUUAUAUAAGCAGGCAUCUGGUGAUCAUCACAUGUUUUAAAUGACUUGAAGAUAUAUUAACGAAACGAUCUUUCUUCUUUCAGCCAUCCAGAUCGAGCAAAUCUUCAGGCAACAGGAUGAAACGAGGCCCAAACAAAAAGUUGAAGGAGGGCAUAAAGUACAAUAUCGAGGCAAUCAGACCUAAUGGCGAACCAUUAGCGCCUAAGAAGAUUGCGGACAAGUUCGUUCGUCAGUGCGGAGUUCUUGUGAAGGACCUACUCCCGAUCUCCCUUCAAGAAUGGAGAGAGCCAGCAAAGCCACGUCCAGGUCUUACUUUUGCCGACGACAGACAAAAAGGUCUGCUUUGGGAUACUCUCAUGGAACAUUUCACCCUACCAGAUCAUUUCACAGAAGCAGAUGUGCAGAAAGUCAAGGACGCUGCUCUUAGGAAGAUGGCGGUUGCAUUCAAGAACCACAAGAAUCAUGAAUGGGACAAGUACGUCAAGGAAGGAAGGAAGACUCCUGUAUUCGAGGGAACACUAGAGAAGCGAAUUGCUCAUUGGGACGAUUUCGUGAAAUUCAAGGAUUCGGAAUUAGCUAAGGAACGGUCGAGAAUAAACAAGAAGAAUGUCGAAAAAAGGAUAAGUUCCAUAAGCUGGGGCCAGGUGGCUAAGCGGUGGCAAUGCCUAAGUGGGAUAAGUUUGAGAAAGAGAUGGAUGAUGCAGGUAUCAUUCCGGUUACUAGGAGCUGGCCCACCAGGUGCAGGACUUGGUUCUAUGCGCAUGGGGGGAGUUGGACCCGAAGACAGGCAAAGUUUUGACGAAGGCAUGUCUGAACGGAGCCGACGAUGCGCUAAUUGUUGCAAUAGAAGAGGCUCGAAUGGGGGUAUUCUAGCCCAACAGAGAGAACGACAAGCUUACGUGUGCCCUAGGAAAUCCUGAACACCUGGGAAGAACACGAGGCAAGGGCGCUAUUCCGUGGUAUGAGGGGUUUUCGGACUGGAACGCCGACUACAGAACCCGUGCGAGAAGGAAGCUUGCGGAGGAGAAGAAGAGGAAGAUGGAGGGGGAGCAGAGGAAGCUGGACUAUGAACGCCUUCAAGGCCUAGAAUCAAAGCACGCGGACUUGGCAGUCAAAUUCUAGCGGCAGCAGGAGCAGAUCGACUCACUUAGCCAGCAAAGGGGGUCUCAGCAGCUGCAGCGGCAAGCGGAUGAUCCCGCAUUGGAUAGCACCACCCCAUCCAUGCCGAGAAGCAGCGUGGGUUCCGCCCCGGGCGACGCAAUGCUGGAUAGAUACCCCAUGGAUGACGUCACGGAGAACACUAACUGUGAGCUACACUUCAAAAUGAAGAACAUAUCCAUGAAGGUGGCGGACGCCGUUGCUUUUACAAAUCCCCCCGAGGCAACCUUCCAUUGCAACCCGAUUCCAGCAGGCUAUGCUCGUGUCUUGGUUGAUGAGGUGGUGGACCCAUAUUCGGGGCUACAUCUUGACAUUCCUGGAGGUGACGACGAGCACACAUUGGGAGAGGCCAUACAUCGUGUCAUCCUAUAGAGAAAGGAUUGCAUCGUCUUUCGAAGGCCACCGGCACCGCGUCACCCGACUCCUCGUCGAAGUCCGCCACCGAGUCAGCAGACUCCCGCUCCUCCAAGUCCACCAAUGCGUGAGGCCACUCCUCCUCCUCCAAGUCCGGCAAAGUGUCAGGCCACUCCUCCUCCAAGUCCGACACAGCGUCAGACGUCCACUCCUCCUCCAAGUCCGGCACAAGUUCAGGCCACUCCUCCUCCAAGUCCGGCACAGCUUCAGGCCACUCCUCCUCGUCCAACUCAGCCCCGUCAGUCGUCUCCGCCGCCUCAGCAAUCGCAGAAGAGACACCCCGCAGCUAUGGUGCGUAGCGGUACGAGUCGAGGUAGUACAGGAAGUACAGGCGGAGGCAAGCGAUAUAAAUAUGGUCCAAGCCUCACUACUCCUCUUCCUCAGAGGGCUUACGAUAGGACCGAGGAGCAAACCAAUGACAUAGUGCGGGCAGAAGUGGACGCCCAUUUUGGACCGAAACCGCCACCGCCGCCAAGGGAGAAAGUGCCUGCGGAAAAGAUUGACCACUUCAUUCGUAUGGCUCAACCACCAGCUCCCAAGCCUGUUGACACAGACUAUGAGCGCCACAUCAGGAAGUUAAAUCGAGCACGUCUACAGAAGGAGGCGAGCUCGAGCAAACAAUAAGCAGCUGCCAAAAAUGCAGGAAAACCGUUCCCCAGCUGGGAGAACAGGCGGCGCAAUCGAUCCCCUCGCUUGUUGUGCCAACAACACGUGACAAUACGCGCGCCCAAUAUUAUUGUGGGCAAACUGUUUACGUUCCCGAGGUGGGCAAUGUGGUAAUAACCGAGGAGCAUAUAAUGCAGGCUGAAAUUCUCAACAUCACUGUUGGACAACUCCUCAAGAUCGAGCCCAUGCCUGUGCUUACAGAGGAGGAAAUAAAACGGAAAUAUGUCCGGGGCGAACCUUUGGUCAAGCCAGACGAGGUCAAGAAGCUCCCAACGAGAAUGUAUGAAUUGCAUCAAUGGUACAUGGACAUUACCAAGAGUUCCAAUCUAGAGUCCCUCAUGGUGGAAGUCAAGAAGUAUCAUUACUACCAUCAGAAAGCUGUGGCCGUUGAGUAUAAUGAACUGUUUCAGUUAUACAAUCAAGACGCACUCGACAAAUCUAUCGUUAGUUGCUAUUGUUUGUAAGUGAUUUCUUUCUGUAAUUUGAGUCUCAAGCUAGCUGUAGUGAUCCUUUUGAUCAAUCAUUACCUGUAAUUAUCCUCACUAUAUUCUUUUCUGUGGUAUUAUGCGGGAUGAAGAUGUAUGAAAUGAAAAAAGGUGGACGCUAUGGCAUUGGGUUCAUUGACCCAAACACCGUUAAUGAAUGCACAUGGAAAAUAGAUCCAUAUCAUGAAAAUCAUGUAGAGGACAGCAUGCUAGAGUUCUUGAAGCGCCUCAAAUACAAUGAAGAUAUACUACUUCCUUACAACUUCCAGUGAGUCACACUGUCUUGUACUAUACAAAUUCUCUAUUUUUGCCUACUAGCUAGCUACAUGUUUUUGCUUACGUAUGCCCAUUUAAUUAAGACAUGCAAAUGUGUGUGCAUGUAGAUUUCACUAGAUCUUGUGUAUCAUUAAAGUUGACGCCGGAACAGUUGAAAUACUGGACUCACUACUCAAAGCAAAUAAUGACUAUAACAUCUUGUUUGGGAUAGUCAACAGGUAAUUUCAAUCAUUAUUAACUAUAUAUCUCGGCCUAUUUAGUUCGUCAUUUCAUGAUAUGAACUAUUUAAUAACCCCUUUAUUCAUUUUCUUUGUUGGCGGGUAGGGCUUGGGCAAGGUUCAUCAGCGUCUCUCCAGGCGAAUGGAAACAAAAGCUGAAAUGGUUUCGACCCAAGGUAAGUAAUUAAGUAGUACUAGCUAGCUAGCUAGCUGCCAUCUCUUUAAUUAUCAUGCUUGAUUAAUUAUUAUCUGACCAAAUUCCAUUCUCGUAAAGGCCCUGAAGCAGGCGUAGGGGACUGAUAUGUGUGCAUACUGCGUUUGCGAGAACAUUUGCAUGAUGGCGUCCGAAAGGAGCAGAUCUCAAAGACAGGAAUGGCACUAGUAGAAAAAGGGUCAAACGUGAAGCACAUUAGUGCCGGUUUGAAUUUGAGCCGGCACUAAUGUGUGCAUUAGUGCCGGUUCCAACGGCUAGCCGGCCGCUCUCAUUAGUACCGGUUCGUGGAGAACCUUUAGCACCGGUUCGUGCCACGAACCGGUACUAAAGUGAGUGGUGGCAGGAUGUUGUCAGUCCGGGGCCCCUCCAGCACCUUUAGUACCGGGUCGUAUCACGAACCGGUCCUAAAGGUCGUCCUACAUAGACCCUUCGUCCACCCGAGCUCGCUCUGUUCUUCCCCUUUCCCCUCUCCUCUUUGUACUUUUCCCUCUUCCUCUCAAUCUCAUCACACAUUUUGCCCAAAAUUUGUUAAGAUUUGAAGGCCCCCAUCCAUUCAAAUGAUCACAAAGGUUAGCAACUUUUUCCUUUCAUCUCUCAUUGCUAGAUUAGCUCGUGCAAUGCUUUAUAUAGUGAUUGAUUUUUGAGUUUAGUAAUUUGGGAGGAAUUAUAUAUAUGUGCUACUAUUUGAUUUAUAUGCAAUUUGAGGUCAAAAAUAACACUUAGAACCAUUCACGUCCACCUGUUUGAGUCCGGUUUCAUGCCCCACUAUAAUGUUUGGACCAAGCAUGGAGAAAGAGGGGUUAUUGUGGAAGACAAUGAAGAAGAAGAGGACGACGACAGCUAUCCUGGCCAGGGGUUCCCUGAAUACGAUGAUACAACAAUGAGGGAAGAAGCUGAGCCGGUAAUGCGGAAAGAAGCUGAGCCGGCAAUGCAGGAAGAAGCUGAAGAAGAGGCAUCGGAUGAGCCGUUGAUGAUCUAGGUCGGGCCAUUGCCGAUGCAAAGAGAAACUGCGCUAGUGAUUUGGAGAAGAAGAAGUUGCAGCGCAUGUUAGAGGAUCACAAAAAAAUGUUGUACCCGAAUUGCGUAGGUGACAAGAAAAAGCUGGGCACCACACUGGAAUUGCUGCAAUGGAAGGCAGAGAAUGGUGUAUCUGACAAGGGAUUUGGAAAGUUGCUGGUAAUGAUAAAGGAUAUGCUUCCAAAGGACAACGAAUUGCCCGAGAGUACGUACGAAGCAAAGAAGGCUGUCUGCCCUCUAGGGUUAGAGGUGCAGAAGAUACAUGCAUGCCCUAAUGAUUGCAUCCUCUACCGCGGUGAGUACGAGGAUUUGAACGCUUGCCCGGUAUGCGGUGCAUUGCGCUAUAAGAUCAGCCGCGAUGACCCUGGUGAUGUCGAGGGCGAGCGCCCCAGGAAAAAGAUUCCUGCCAAGGUGAUGUGGUAUGCUCCUAUAAUACCACGGUUGAAACGUUUGUUCCAAAACAAAGAGCAUGCCAAGGCGAUGCGAUGGCACAGAGAAGACCGUAAGAAAGACGGAAAGUUGAGAGUACCCGCUGACGGGUCGUAGUGGAGAAAAAUCGAAAGAAAGUACGGGAAGGAGUUUGCAGAUGACGCAAGGAACGUAUGGUUUGGUCUAAGCGCAGAUGGCAUUAAUCCUUUUGGGGAGCACAGCAGCAACCAUAGCACCUGUCCUAUGACUCUAUGUUUGUAUAACCUUCCUCUUUGGUUGUGCAUGAAGCAGAAGUUCAUUAUGAUGCCAGUGCUCAUCCAAGGCGCUAUGAAAAAAAUUCUUAUUUUUAACAGAAGCGCGAUAAAAUACUGAUUAUUUUUGCAGAAGAUUAAUAAAUAAAUUGUUUAGGUCGUCCUAAAUAUUCAGAAUUUUUGAAGUUAAAGAAGUAUUCAUAAUAUCCAGAUUGCUACAGACUGUUCUGUUUUUGACAAAUUCUGUUUUCUAUGUGUUGUUUGCUUAUUUUGAUGAAUCUAUGGCUCGUAUCGGGGCGGGGGGUAUGAACCAUGGAAGAGUUAAAAUACAGUAGAUAUUACACCAAUAUAAAUAAAAAAUGAGUUCACAACAGUAUCAAAAGUGGUGAUUUAUUUUCUUAUAACGGGGCUUAUGAUAUUUUCUGUCGAGUUUUGUGUUGUGAAGUUUUCAAGUUUUGGGUAAGGAAUUGAUGGACUAUGGAAUAAAGAGUGGCAAGAGCCUAAGCUUGGGGAUGCCCAAGGCACCCCAAGGUAAUAUUCAGGGAUAACCAAGAGCCUAAGCUUCCGGGGCAUCCCCUCUUUCGUCUUCAUUUAUCGGUAACUUUACUUGAGGCUAUAUUUUUAUUCACCACAUGAUAUGUGUUUUGCUUGGAGCAUCGUGUAUGAUUUGAGUCUUUGCUUUUCAGUUUGCCACAAUCAUCCUUGUUGUACACACCUUUUGAGAGAGACACACAUGAAUCAUGAUUUAUUAGAAUACUCUAUAUGCUUCACUUAUAUCUUUUGAGGUAGGCAAUUUUGCUCUAGUGCUUCACUUAUAUCUUUUUAGAGCACAGCGGUGGUUUUAUUUUAUAUAAAUUGAUGAACUCUCAUACUUCACUUAUAUUAUUUUGAGUGUCUCUAAACAGCAUGGUAAUUAGCUUUGGUUAUAAAUUUAGUUCUAAUAUGAUAGGCAUCCAAGAGAGAUAUAAUAAAAACUUUCAUAUAAAGUGCAUUGAAUACUAUGAGAAGUUUGAUUCCUUAUGAUUGUUUUGAGAUAUGAAGAUGGCGAUAUUAGAGUCAUGCUAGUGAAGUAGUUGUGAAUUUGAGAAAUACUUGUGUUAAGGUUUGAGAGUCCCGUAGCAUGCACGUAUGGUGAAUCGUUAUGUAACGAAGUUGGAGCAUGAGAUAUUUUUGAUUGUCUUCCUUAUGAGUGGCAUCUGGGGACGAGCGAUGGUUUUUUCCUACCAAUCUACCCCCUAAGAGCAUGCGCGUAGUACUUUUGAUGACUAGUAGGUUUUUGCAAUAAGUAUGUGAGUUCUUUAUGACUAAUGUUGAGUCCAUGGAUUAUAUGCAGUCUCACCCUUCCGCCAUUGCUAGCCUCUCUUGUACAGCACAACUUUCACCGCUAUCAUAAACCCACCAUAUACCUUCCUCAAAACAGCCACCAUACCUACCUAUUAUGGCAUUUCCAUAGCCAUUCCGAGAUAUAUUGCCAUGCAACUUUCCACCGUUCUGCUUAUUAUGAAAUGCAUCAUCAUUGUCAUAUUGCUUUGCAUGAUCAUGUAGUUGACAUUGUAUUUGUCGCAAAGCCACCGUUCAUUAGUUUUUUAUACAUGUCGCUCUUAAUUCAUUGCACAUCCCGGUACACCGUCGGGGGCAUUCAUAUAGAGUCAUAUCUUGUUCUAGUAUCGAAUUGUAAUUUUUGAGUUGUAAGUAAAUAGAAGUAUGAUGAUCUUCCUUUUUAGAACAUUGUCCCAUGUGAGGAAAUAAAAUAAAAAAGAGGAAAAGAAAAAAAGAGCAAAAAAAGAAAAAAAGAGAAGAAGAAAAAAAAAGGAGGGAAAGAAAGAAAAAACGAGAGAAAAAGAGAGAAGGGGCAAUGUUAUUGUCCUUUUCCAUACUUGUGCUUCAAAGUAGGACCUUGAUCUUCAUGAUAGAGAGUCUCCUAUGUUCUUACUUUCAUAUACUAGUGGGAAUUUUUCAUUAUAGAACUUGGCUUGUAUAUUCCAACGAUGGGAUUCCUCAAAAUGCCCUAGGUCUUCAUGAGCAAGCAAGUUGGAUGCACACUCACUUAGUUUUCUUUUCGAACUUUCAUAAACUUAUAGCUCUAGUGCAUCUGUUGCAUGGCAAUUCCUACUCACUCACAUUGAUAUCUAUUAAUGGGCCUCUCCAUAGCCCGUUAAUACCCCUAGUUGAUGUGAGACUAUCUCCCUCUUUUUGUCUUCUCCACAACCACCGUCUAUUCCACCUAUAGUGCUAUGUCCAUGGCUCAUGCUCAUGUAUUGCGUGAAAGUUGAAAAGGUUUGAGAACAUCAAAAGUAUGAAACAAUUGCUUGGCUUGUCAUCUGGGUUGUGCAUGAUUUGAAUAUUUGUGUGAUAAAGAUGGAGCAUAGCCAGACUAUAUGAUUUUGUUAGGAUGAGAUUUCUUUGGCCAUGUUAUUUUGAGAAGACAUAAUUAUCUUGUUAGUAUGCUUGAAGUAUUAUUGGUUUAUGUCAAUAUUAAACUUUUGUUUUGAAUCAUACGGAUCUGAACAUUCAUGCCACAAUAGAGAAAAUUACAUGGAUAAAUAUGUUAGGUAGCAUUCCACAUCAAAAAUUAUGUUUCUAUCAUUUACCUACUCGAGGACGAGCAGGAAUUUUCCGGAGUACCGGGGGCUACCGGAACCCCCCGGGAGUUAAUGAGCCUUCAUGGGCCCUAGUGGAGAGAGGAGGCGGCAGCCAGGUGGUGGCGCACGCCCCCCCAAGCCUGAACCGAAUUGGACUAGGGUUGGGGGGCCGGCCCCCCUUUCCUUCUCUCCUUCUCCUCCUUCCCUCCUUCUCCUAGUGGGAAUAGGAAGGGGGGCGAAUCCUACUUGGACUGGGAGUCCAAGUAGGACUCCUCCCAUGGCGCAUCCCCCCUUGGGCCGGCCACCUCUCCCUUCCCCUUUGUAUACGUGGGAGGGGGGCACCCCAAAGGCACACCAAGCCUUCUCUUAGCCGUGUGCGGUGCCCCCCUCCACAGUUUCACACCUCGGUCAUAUCGUCGUAGUGCUUAGGCGAAGCUCUGGGCCGGUAGCUUCAUCAUCACCGUCGACACGCCGUCGUGCUGACGAAACUCUCCCUCAUCCUCAAUUGGAUAAAGAGAUCGAGGGACGUCAUCGAGCUGAACCGCUAGGGGUACGAAGGAGGAGGAGACCGGAUGCGUUAAGCUAGUUGGUAAGAGUUCUUGUCAUUAUUGAUAGUGGCCCUAGAGAAAGAGAUUACGCUGAUUGUUCUAACUUCAUUCAUAUUUGAUUCCGCAACUGAGACCUUUUCCCACAUCUGUGCCAGGAGGGCAAGUGGUCAAAGCAGAAAGGGUUCUCGCUUCUCCUUCUGGAAGGGUGUGCUGAACACGGAGGUCCCGUAUGUUCGGUGCUUGGAUCGGUUGGAUCGCGAAAACGUUCGACUACAUCAACCACGUUACUAAACGCUUCCGCUUUCGGUCUACGAGGGUACGUAGACAAACUCUCCGCUCUCGUUGCUAUGCAUCUCCUAGAUAGAUCUUGCGUGAUCAUAGGUAAAAAUUUUGAAAUACUGCGUUCCCCAACAUGCUUGCGUUUAUUUCACUACAUCAUGUCAUCUUACUUAAUGCGUUACUCUGUUCUUAUGAACUUAAUACUCUAGAUGCAGGCAAGAGUCGGUCGAUGUGUGGAGUAAUAGUAGUAGAUGCAGGCAGGAGUCGGUCUACUUGAUACGGACGUGAUGCCUAUGUUCAUGAUCAGUGCCUUAGAUAUCGUCAUAACUUUGCGCUUUUCUAUCAAUUGUUAGGCAGUAAUUUGUUCACCCACCGUAAUAUUUUCUAUCUUGAGAGAAGCCUCUAGUGAAACCUAUGACCUCUAGGUCUACUUUCCAUCAUAUAAGUUUCCAAUCUACAAUUUUAGUUUCCUAUUUACUUCCUUUGCAACCUUUUACUUUCCGUUUCAUAAACCAAAAAUAUCAAAAAUAUUACUUUACCGAUUAUCCAUCUCUAUCAUAUCUCACUUUGCAAAUAAUCCCAAAGGGAUUGACAACCCGUUUAGCGCCUUGGGUGCAAGUAGGUGUUUGUUUGUGCAGGUACUCAAUGACUUGUGUGUCGUCUCCUACUGAAUUGAUACCUUAGUUCUCAAAACUGAGGGAAAUACUUACUCUACUUUGCUUCAUCACCAUUUCCUCUUCAAGGGAAAAACCAACGCAAGCUCAAAAGGUAGCAGACCUCCAGUCGUAGCCGCCAUGAUUUUCUUCACGUCUAUCAAUGCCUUGAGAAUUUUGACUUGGACAUGUCCUAUGGCAUGAAUAAGAAAUCGAAGCUUCGCGCCGCGUCCUCUUGAGGCCGUGUUGGCUGAUAAUAUUAGUGCGCAUGACCAGAGCCUUUCUGAUCAAGAUAUCCAAGGACGACAUACACCAAUUCAUAUAGAUCUCCGCUCGGAAAGACCGAAACUCAUCAACGGCCAGAUCCAAGUUGUCGACAUCUGACAGAAAGACGACUUGGCGGAAGAAAAGCAUCAGGGCCAAACCACCAUUAUUAGUCCAAAGCUAAUAGCCUCCACGCCGCCCUCCUCUCGAUCCAGACAGGAAGAAAAAGAUCAACGACGUCGCAUCAUGCCACUCGCAUUCGUGGAGGCUUGAACAUGGCAAGACGCCAACCAUGGCUAGAGACGGGGACCAGCCACUCUGGCCAGAUCCGGCGACUCCUAGUCCCACCGCUCCCGCUACGGCGGCACCGCAUGUAGCCUACAAGCCCAUCCACGAUGAUGUCUGAUUAGAAGGAUAUAUGGAUAUACAGAUGAAAAGGCCCUUGUUAUCCCUCCAACAAUAUAUAUAAAGCUUAUUGGGACAUGAGAAAGCUUGCACAAGGCUAUGGAAAUGUAUUGCCAGACAGAGAUAUACGAUUUUCGUUCGGCAUCCAAACCGCUUGUGUCACGCUUAAUCGAUGGUCACUCUAAUUUUUCCGGCGGGCCUUCCCUGUGGUACUGCAGCCUUACAUGUGUAUUAGUGGUUAGGGCGUCAUCCGUGGCGCCGCUUAAGAGGAAGUUGUUUGCACGCUUUUAUUUUUUUUAAAUCAUGUACUCCUCAUCUCUAUCUAAAAAAAUAUUUAUAGAAAAUCCUCAUCUCCAUCUAGAAAAAGAAGUAAAAAAGAAAAAAAAAAUCACCAACGCAACCUUACAGCGAGCGCCACUUAGCGUAGUCCUCCAUUUAAAAAAAUAUGAAGUCAUCACCUUCAUAUAAAAAGAAAAAAACAUUUUAAAAACGUUUUCAUCUCCAUCUAAAAAUAAUAUCCCAAAAGCUUUUUCACUACGGCCAACCAGCUUGUACCAUGUGCCAUAACUGAUUGGCCGCUCUUCAUGCAUAGCUUAAUGGGUUUAAUGAGUUUCAUAUAGCUAUUCAUUAAGAAGAAAACCAAAAUUACUUGGAGUUAAUAACUAAUACGUUUCCUUUAACUAACACGUGCACGGCGAGGAUUUACGUGCAUGAUGUUUUUUCCUCUCCCCACGUCGUAUUGGGCCGGCCCAUUCGUGCACAUCUCUAUUUCUAAUGCAGCAGUUGGUAGUCUCAUUUUCAGGGUUUUUUUGUCCCACCUUUCAUGGUUUUUUUAUACCUCCUUCCACCUUCGCUGGUUUUUUUCAUAAAUUUUUUGUCCCCUCCCCCUAUUUCAUCGGUUUAUUUUCGCGUCACCCUCUCACACAAUGAAAGAAAUCUGAACAGAUUAGAACUUUCCAUGCUGGCGCAAGUUAUUUAGUAAUGUAGAAUCAAUCACGAACAAUCGCUAAAGAUCAAAUCCAAGUUAAUUAACCUUACCUUAAAUCACUCAAUCACAUUAAUUAGAAAACAAAUAAUUGAUUUUCAGAAAAAUUGCUCAAUCACAUUAACCUUACCUUAACUCACGGAUGGUAAUCAAUCUUCAAACAAAGGAAACAAUACAUCAAGGGAGCAGUAAAUAAACUCCCUUUCUUAUGACAUGUAUAUGAUCUUUCCUUCCCUCUCCGUUGUCGAGCGUUCUUGAUUCUCAAGGCCGAUUCUUGGGCUGCGUCACUGGGUCGCGACGGUGCCGAAGGACGAGGAUGGCGAGGCCGGGUGUCGCGGCACCGCGUUGGCCGUGGCUGAUGAAGGGGGUGAAGAAGGGCGGCUUCCCUGGCCGUGGCCCUGGGAGUUGGUGCGGUGGAAACGUCACUUGAAGGACCCGACGUGGGUGGCCGACGCGCAGACGCACUUGGAAGCGGGCCCAUGGCCCGCGCCGGACGGCGCCGACGCCGACCUGGACCACCUCCUCCGUGUAUCCUUGGAGCUAUGGCUGGCCAAUUUAUAUGAAAUUAAUUCCCUCAGUUGUGGUGGCAAAUAUAAUACACAUAAUCCAUAUUGUUAUGCACUAGUGUGUGUGUGUGUGAAAUAGAUGGAUUAUGGUCCCGUACCAAUAAGAUGGAUAUAUGUGUGUGUUAGAGAGAGAGAGAGAGAGAGAGACAGAGAGGGAGAGGGGGAGAGAGAGUGAGGAAAAGGGAGGGAGAGUGUGUGUAUGAGGAUUUGAUGGUAAAAAAAGUCGCCAAUGUCAUUUGAUAUGUAUGAAAAUAUUAAUAUUAAACUUUUAAAGUUAAUGUGGCCCCGUUAAAAUACACAAGCGUUCUUAUAGUAUAGUUAGAGAAAGACAUGAGGAAAAGGAAGAACCGGGAUCGAUUCCUAGUCUUCUCAAGGUGGCCGCGUGGGUUUGUCUCAAAAAAAAAAGGUGACAGCGUGGGUGCUACUACCGGUCCGCCCAAGUCCGGUUCGUGAUAAGUUGUAGGUGCGCGUCGUACUUGAGGCGAUUGAGGCCUGUUUUAUUUGAGUUUUUCCUCUCUUUUUUCUUCUUCAUUUUUUUCAUUCUUUUUUGCACUCCGUUUCUUUGUUUUGUCAUUCUUUUUUUCUUUUGUUUAUUUUCUUUUUUUCCGGUUUUCUUUGUUCUAUUGGUUAUUAUUGUACAUUUUUUGUAUACGUCUACAACAUUUUUUUCUAAUACACAUCUAACAUUUUUCAAAUACAAACCAACCAUUUUUGUAAUACAUUGUCAAGAUUUUUUUGUACACAUUUUUAAAUGCUUGUUUGUCAUUUUUCAAAUACAAGAUUAACAUUUUUUCAAUACAUGGUCAACAAUUGUUUUUGCCAUUUUUACAAAAAAAUUAAAUGCUUGAUUAACAUUUUCUUAAUGCAUGGUCAUUUAUUUUUCUAUACACAUUUAACAUUGUCCAAAUGCUUAAUUAACAUUUUCAAACCCUUGUUCAACAUCUCUUUUAAAAUGCUUGAUUCACAUUUCUGUAUACAUGAUCAAACAUUUUUAUCAUUUUUAAUACAUGGUCGACGGUAUUACCCAUACACAUUUAACAAUUUCCCAAUUCUUGAUUAACAUUGUUUAAGUACUCGUUCAACAUUUUCUCAAAUGCAUAACGUUGACAUUGUUGAAAAGUGGCAUCACAAGUUCCAGGGAGUAGAAAAGAGAUUAAUCAACGAAACCGCGCGAACUUUGUGGUGCUAUUGUGUUAUAUCAACUACUCCUUUCGUUCCGAAUUACUUGUCACAAGUAUGUAUGUAUAUCUAGAUAUAUUUUAAUUUUAGAUACAUCCAUUUAUGCGACGAGUAAUUUGGAACGGAGGGAGUAUGUGUCUGUUAUGUCACCAAAUUCAGUAUAUAUAGAACAUGGAAAUACAGUAAUAGUGAGCUCACUCGGUGGGAGCCCGUCACGGCCAUGGGAAUAGGAUCCUCCUCGUACUGCUCCUCUCCUGCCCUGCCCUGAGGAGCAGUAUCGUCCGUCGUCGCCGAGCGGCGCAGCAGCCGGUGGCCGAGGGGAGACCGAGAUUUAUUCUCCGGAGGCGCCGAAUCCGGCUCGUAAGUCGAAAUCCCUCUCUGUCCCGCCUCUCGGAUCCUCCCACCGAUCUCCUACUUCCCUGCCGCCAAUGCCCGCCUUUUCUUUGGACUCCGAGCGAGGAAUCGGAGGGAAAGCUGUGUACUUCCUGUGGCUUCAUACCCCGGUAAUGGCGGCCCUGCUUGCCGUUGCCGCUUGGUCCACUCUCUGCGUGCCCGUCUGCAAGGUGUUCGAUGGAUUGUGCGCAGGGUGUCGGCCCGGCUGGCCUCGUUUCACUUCUUCCAGGUUUCAGUCCGUUUACCGCCGGUUGCUGAAAAUGUGCACGAGAAGCAUAAGAAUGCUGGGAUAUGCGCUCUUUGUUUACCGUUUACUGUCAUUUGUUUGGUUGCAGGAAGCACCCGGCCUUAAGCAUAGUACUACAUAUAAAGUUGUAUGUUCUGUUCCGUUUGUUUGUUUGCUGUCUGAUGAUUGAGACAAGUGCAUAAUCUAAAGUUUGGCACCUGCACUUGCACCUGCUCCUGCACAUUUAUGUGUUGGAAACUGGAAUCUGUUCAGUGUAGUAUGGCCAUGCCACAUGUUUUGGCUUUAGCCUAAGGACCAAUUGCUUCUUGACUUUCUUGGAUGCUUGCUGGCCCAACCUUGGAUCUGUAUCUUUCUAAUAGUCUUCUAAAUCAGAAACAUAACGAUUUUUUGUGCUGCUUACUAGAUUCGGUGUGUUUACUUAGCGUGUUUAGUCGAAUCAUCUGUCAUUGUUCUCUCAAGUUACUUUUCCUUGCGAUAUUCAACCCAGCGGUUUAAAAUUCCUGCAAUUGCUUCAUUCAGAUUGAUUUUUCGCUUCUUUGUUGCUGAUUUCCUUUCAACGUUUGGGCUGAGGCUCCAAAUGUUGGUACUCUUUUAACCGGAGUAUGUUACUUUGGAGAAUAGAAGAAUUAUGCAUUGGUAUCAUGAUAACAUAUGCCUAAUGGUUUUUCUUACAGGAGGGCGUUUCCAACACAUAAAUAGUUUGCUAGCAUGCAGACAGUGUCCAGUAGCCUUUGCGCCAUUUGAGGCAUAAUGGACAUAGCUUUUAUCAUGUUGUUGGUUCUUUCUCUGCUCCUGUUCCCUAAUGGCAUCUGCAAGAGUUUAGCUACAGGACCUCCUGUUGUGAAUAUUGGGUCUAUUCUUCAGUUUGACUCCACCACCGGGGGUGUUGCGGCAGUUGCCAUCCAUACAGCCGUGGAAGAUAUCAACUCUGAUCCAACAGUUCUAAAUGGAACUACACUAAAGGUUCAAAUCAAGGAUACAAAUUGCUUUGAUGGUUUCCUUGGCAUGGUUCAAGGUAGGCUAGCUUUAAUGCCACUCAUUCAUUUCACAACCUUCAAAUAGUUAUUACUUCUGUUGUGGAGUUGUGGCAAUGAUGCCGUGUUCCUUGUAUCAGCUUUGCAGUUCAUGGAGACUGAUGUUAUUGCACUCAUUGGCCCUCAGUGCUCCACAAUUUCUCAUAUCAUUUCAUAUGUAGCAAAUGAGCUUCGAGUCCCUUUGAUGUCCUUUGCUUCUGAUGCAACUCUUUCAUCAAUACAGUUCCCGUUCUUUGUCAGGACGGGUCCCAGUGAUCUCUAUCAAAUGGCGGCUGUGGCAGAAGUUGUUGACUACAACCACUGGAAGAUAGUGACUGCCAUAUACAUUGAUAAUGUUUAUGGUAGAAAUGGCAUUGCUGCUUUGGAUGAUGCACUCACUUUAAAGCGCUGCAAAAUAUCCUACAAGGUUGGGUUUCCUUCCAACGCUAAAAGGAGUGACCUCAUAAAUUUGUUGGUUAGUGUCAGUUCUAUGGAGUCUCGUGUUAUCAUUCUCCAUACUGGAACUGAACCUGGACUCAAGCUUUUCUCUAUGGCACACCAACUGAACAUGAUGGGCAACGGCUAUGUGUGGAUUGCAACUGACUGGCUGUCUGCAUAUCUUGAUGCUAAUUCAUCAGUUCCUGUUGAGACUAUAUCUGGCCUGCAAGGUGUUCUUACUUUACGGCCACAUAUUCCCAACUCAAAGAUGAAGAGUAAUUUGGUCUCCAAAUGGAGCACGCAAAGUAAAAAGUACAACUACAGUGAUGUUUGUAUAAAUACUUAUGGUUUUUAUGUUUAUGAUAGUGUCUGGGCAGUAGCUCAUGCUCUGGAUGCCUUCUUUGAUGAUGGUGGUAGGAUUUCCUUUUCAAAUGACUUGCAUGAUGGAACUGGAGGAACUCUUCACCUUGAAGCAAUGAGCAUUUUUGACAUGGGAAAUAAAUUACUGGAGAAGAUUAGAAAGGUAAACUUCAGUGGGUUAUCUGGGCAAGUGCAAUUCGAUGCUGUAGGCAACCUCCUUCACCCUGCGUAUGACAUCAUAAAUGUCAUCGGAAAUGGCAUGCGGACCAUUGGUUUUUGGUCAAACUAUUCUGGCUUGUUGUCGACUGUCUCUCCAGAGGCUCUAGAUUCAAAGCCUCCUAAUACUUCUCUAGCCAAUCAGCAUCUCUAUGAUGUUAUUUGGCCUGGGGAGACUGCACAGAGGCCUCGAGGAUGGGUUUUUCCUUCUAAUGCCAAGCAGUUGAAAAUUGGUGUUCCCAACAGAUUUAGCUUCAAAGAGAUCGUCACGGUAGACAAUGCUACUGGGUCAAUGAAGGGUUAUUGCAUCGAUGUCUUUACUCAGGCAUUGGCUUUGCUUCCUUAUCCUGUUAGUUACAAGUUUGUACCUUUUGGGAAUGGUACUGAAAAUCCUAAUUAUGACAAACUCGUACAGAUGAUUGAAUCAAAUGUAAGUACGGAAUGCCUCUUUUUUCUUCCUCGAACCAUUUCAUCAUAUACCAUGCUGACCAGGGGCAUCUUAUCCUGCAGGAGUUUGAUGCAGCUAUAGGGGAUAUUGCAAUUACAAUGAGGCGGACAGUAACUUUUGAUUUCACCCAGCCAUUCAUUGAAACAGGCUUGGUUAUCUUGGCUCCGGUUAAAGAGCAUAUAACAUCGUCCUGGGCAUUCUUGCAGCCAUUUAGUUUGGAGAUGUGGUGUGUUACAGGGCUAUUCUUUCUUAUUGUGGGUGUGGUUAUUUGGAUUCUUGAACAUCGGAUCAAUGACGAUUUCCGUGGUUCAGUAUGUCAACAAAUAAUAACUAUUUUCUGGUAAGGAGCUGACCUGCACCUUUUGUACCGUCUUCUUGUAUAUCAUUCCUGUUUUCGAAGUGUUGAUGUUUUAACAAGUCUUGUGCAAUAUGUUGCAUACAGCGAGUACCUUAGAGCAGUGGCCAGUUAACAUACCUAAAUGAAGCAUCUAGUGAUUACCAAUGAACUACUCCCUCCGCCCCAUAAUAUAAGGGCGUUUUUGACACUACACUAGUGUCAAAACGCUCUUAUAUUAUGGGACGGAGGGAGUAUUAUCUUAAUAAUCUUGUGAGACAUAUAUACAUGCACAGCAUAUAUAUUCGCUUAAUGAUAUUUAUGAUGCAUUGCUCUAUUUUUCCUGUUUUCACAUACUUCUCUUCUCCACAUGUAUUUGCCAAAUGCUCUUAUAAUGGCGUGAUUCCUUGCUGUGAUUAUAAUUUCAAUUUUUAUUGCCUGCAGGUUCAGCUUUUCGACUUUGUUCUUCGCACACAGUAAGUAAACCAACCUUCUCUCUUAUGUGUUUUUUUUUUUGGCUAUAACAUUUUGUUCUGAGGCAUGAGGCAUGACUCGUGAUUUCAUAUGUAUCUGCGCGCAGGAGAAAAUACUAUGAGCACCUUAGGGCGUGGUGUCCUGAUCAUAUGGCUGUUUGUUGUUUUGAUAAUUGUAUCCAGCUAUACCGCGAGUCUUACUUCCAUCCUGACCGUGCAACAACUCGAUACUUCUAUAAAAGGAAUCGAGGACCUGAAAAAUAGCAAUGAUCCUAUUGGUUUCCAAGUUGGUUCUUUUGCACAAGACUACAUGGUCAAGGAGCUCAACAUCUCACGGUCAAGGCUAAGAGCUCUUGGUUCACCACAAGAAUACGCUGAAGCCCUCAAGAUAGGCCCUAAGGAAGGAGGUGUUAUGGCCAUUGUCGACGAGCGCCCCUAUGUUGAACUGUUUUUGUCAUCCUACUGCAAGAUUGCGGUAGCUGGCACAGAUUUCACCAGCAGAGGAUGGGGCUUUGUAAGUACAGUUCAACCAUAUUCUUUUAUAUAAAUUAGAAUAUAAGAACAAAAAUUGCUGUUAAUGUCCUGGAAUAGAGGUUUUAACUUUGAAUAGUUGUGUCUAGUCUUUAGUUUAUGCAACUUUUAUUGCACUUACCUGCGGCUACUUUGUUUCACAAAUCGAAAUGUAGCACCUUACAAAUUCAUUCUGCCAGGCAUUUCCAAGGGACUCCCCUUUGCAAGUAGACCUCUCCACCGCAAUCCUGUCUCUGUCAGAGAAUGGGGAGCUGCAGCGGAUCCAUGCCAAAUGGCUCAAUACAGGGGAGUGCACAACUGACAACAGUGAGCUUGUCGACUCGAACCAGCUCCGCCUUGAGAGCUUCCUUGGUCUGUUCCUAAUCUGUGGUGUGGCAUGUGUUCUCGCGCUGCUACUCUACUUUGGUAUCAUGCUAUGCAAAUAUCUGAGGCAUGAACCGUGGAAGAGCCUCAGAAGAUUCAUCUCGUUCGUCCAUGGGAAGGAGCCGCCGAAGAACAAGGAGAGGCGGUCCAUGAGCCUGCCUGGAAGCUCAACGCCAACAACGCCGAUGAGCAGCCAUAGUUCCCUUGACAUGGAAAGGCCGGCCAGGCCAGUCAGAAACGGUAGCAUUAUUGACAUGGAAAGCUAAUUCAUGUGUAGAAAGCUAGUUAACAAUGCGGUCGACUAACCUAGGUUCUGGUAGUCGGACAGCAGGGCUGUAUAGGAGGAUUCGAAAUACUUCUUAAGUACUCCCUCCGAUUCAACUUAAUUAACUUUGACUUGGUACAACCUUAGUACAAAGUUGUACUAAGUCGGCGCAAUUAAUUUUGAUCUGAGGGAGUACUAAAGUUUAUGAAAUAACAGAAGGAAGGAUUAAUAAGAAAUAGAAAUAUUGAAAUGCUCCUCCUGUCCUACAUAUAUUGUUUUUACCUUUGCAUGUGUUUGAUAGGGCGUAGUAGUAGUGUGUGGGUACUUCAGUUAGAAGGUAUGCAGUGGACCAGUCUAUCGACCGUGUGGCAAUGCCUGUAGUUUGUAGCACUAAACUUUGAUGCCCAUUCAUAAACUAAUUUAGAUGGAGCCGCACAAAAAUUGUGUUUUUUUUUUUGCUCACACACUCUGUUUUGUCUCAGUUUUAGUCCAGCGCAACUUUGAAGCUUAUCCAGGGCAACUUUGAAGCUUAUCCAGGGCAACUUUAACUAUUUACAGGAGAAAUUGUUAAAGACCUUAUUAAGUGAAGAAGAAUAGACGUCUCCAGUUUUUGUUUCUCCAACUCUAUGCCUACACUGUAAAUUAUUUAUGAAUUAGCUCCAGUUGAUGCAACUGUACUCUUUCUGGUAGGUCUGAGAUGGACUGAGCAUCCUAAGCUAGCUACUUGUCUCCCUUAGGUUUUACAGCAAGACAAAUGCACUGGACUACAAAGAGGAAAAUUCUUGCAGGUUCGUAAUGAAUCUGUUUUGGUUCUGGCAUUCACACCAAUCAUAAAGCAGUGUUUGUUAGUAGCGGAGUGGUAGGCAGACGCAAAUCAAACCAUCAUUUUUCUUCUAAAUACACUUGUAAAAGCAUCGAUGCAUCUCCGUCGCUUAAUUUUAUUUGUCAUUCUGUUCAGUACCUGGUUUGGUUUAGGAAGAGCUCUUUUUCCUAUGCAAAAUGUAUAACGUGUAUGUUUCUAAUUCCGAUUGCAGGCAUAUUCAUCGCGCUUGUGUUUUGACGUGUUGCGGGCAACCAAGAGUCGUUCAACAGUGUGUUGCUGGGGUACGCCACCGGUCUGACAGUAAAAGGUAGCGCUGAUGAACUGGUUUCAAGCCGAGCUGAUCAGUUCUGCUGUUACUAAUAUAUCAUGGCAUCUUGCGGCUCUCGGUCGAUGUUCUGUCAUCUAUGAGGAGAGAGUUUCCAUUUAAUCUAGUUGCUAAUGCUUUGUAUACAAAAUUAUAGAUGCCUACACAAUACAAAAUCAAAAGUUAUUUUCUUAGUCAAACUGGAAAAUUCAUAGAUUUGCAGGAACAUCUGUACAUAAAGCCUUUUCCAUCAAAGUAUGUACAUACAUUGUCUAUUUUAACAUAAGAAUGUAGGACUCGUUCAAAACUAUUUGACUAUUCAUACAAAAAAAAUAGAAUUUCUUAAAAUAAGGGAGCACAUCUUCUCUGGUUUGAUCACUGAAGUCAUCAAUUGAGCAGUCCAGGUUCACCUAGUUAUCUAUUUCAAAACUUAGGGAGAACAAUUUGGGUGAUACUUUUUCAAAGUACAAGGCACAUAUUUAUAGUUCAUUGAAAUGCACCUAUAUUUUGACCUCAUUAAUAUCUCAUCCUUCAUAAUAAAGUAUGGCCAAACAAACAGAGAAACCGCUAGUUUCUUUCAUGUUCCCCAGACAAUAACACCAUAGCUAUUACUGUCAUUCCCCUUCUCUCUUAAUACCUUCCAUCCUUUCCAUUAUAAUUAAUGAAACUGAAACAUAUCAUUCUCUUGGUUGUAUUUUUUUCCUAAAAUGUUUAAGGUGUAUGUGUCAUUGAGUGAAUAUAUUAUGUUGCAAAGUUUCACGAAAUUUAGUAUGCAACCAGUAUGCAAGAGAAAUAAAGAUUAAAGUAAAUUUAGUUAUUUUUAUUAGCCAUUAUUGUUUUUAGAGAAAACAAUAGGCAAGUCACUUUUUCAUGAAAGCUGGAGACAAAUAGUGUAUUCUAACAUAAAAAUGGUCAAUUUUCCUCACACACACACACACACACAUACACAUAAACUUAGAAUUUUUGGAAAUAAUGGGAGCAAUGGCCAUGUGAAAAUAUGAGGUUUAUAUCUUGUGGAUUUCCUUUCAGUGUACAAGGCCUGCAUGUAGAAUGGAUAUUUUUUUUUCUAUAUUUGCUUCCCUAAUUUAAAUCUUAUCCUUCAUCAUCAAUUAUGACUAAACAUAAAUAGUAACUGCUAGUUUCUCUUAUGCUUAUGAGGAGAUAAGACCAUGGAUAUUUUAGUCAUUCCACUUUGCUAUUGAUUGUUUCUGUUCUUUUGCGCUAAAUAGUAGUCAAACAUGUUAUUCAUGUAUUUCGUAAGGAUAAGGUCAAGCCUCAUGAUAAGGAUAGGGUCGCGCUAUUCGUCACCCUGGGUGAGGCAUUGUUAUUUUUCACCCACUUCUAUUUUAUCAUCAAUGCACCGUAAAUUUACGUUUCAUAAGUUUUGUCUUAUUUCCGACGCAAAAAGGGACCGUAAGAAAAUAUAUAAUCGCCAUAAAAAAUAUUUUAUGUUAUAUAAAAUUACAAACAUAAAAACAUAGUCUAAAAUACACACAAACUGCAAAUUUUCUUGUCUUAUAACCUAUAUUUUUAUUUUUUUAUGUCAAAUUUUACGUAGUGAAUCAAUAGAAAUAUAACUAUUUGAAUUCGAAAUGUAAUUUAAUUAUGAAAUGAUCGUAAGAUUACCUCGGGUGAAGAAUAACUUAUUCUGCACCCUGAUUGAUGAAUAAUAAAUUUAAUUAUAUUAUAUACAUAUAGGAUAACACUAUUCUAAUCCUAGAAUUAGAAUAGCUAUUUGGAUCACAGCCAGCCCGACCACAUCUUAGUGAGAUCGCGCGAGCAAAAGAAAAAACCCAAAACGCCCCGCCCCGUUUAUCCCCUUGUCGCUCCACCACCACCCCCCGACCUCUGGCCGCCGCCCACCCUGCUCCGGCGCGCCUCCCACCCUCGCCUCCUUCCGAGCGCUCCGCCGGCCCCGCCUUCUUCCAGGCGCGCCGCCGGCCCCGCCUCCUCCUGGCGUGCUGCCACCCCCACCUCUUGCAGCGCGAGGUCGCCGCCACCGCCUACUUCCCGGCGUGCCGCCAGCCCCGCCCCCUUCGGCGCGAGGCCGCCGCCCCCACCUCCUCCUGGCGCGCCGUCGUCCCCUGUACCUGACGCGCCCCCCGGUGCCGCCGGCCCGCAACCCGCCGCCCAGCACCUUCCCGUCGCGCGCCUCCCAACACCGAGGCGCCGCCGCCCACAGGUUCUGUAGAUGCUGACCUGCCACUGCACCGCCGCUGCAACCUGCUGCUCACUCUUCCUCGCACAUGUGUCAGCAACACAAAAGUGGGUCGCUGCAGUCCACCUCCUGCUACAGCAGCAGGACGACUCCUUCAGGACGCAUCUCACACUCAUGGAGGCGGUGCUAUCUCUGGCGAGCUCCUCCAUCCCCGAGCGCGAUGCUUCCACUACUGCGUCCUCCUCACGUUCCCUUCCCCAUCCUUGUGUAUGCUUAUUUCGAUGUGGAAAACUCCAUCAACUAGUUCGCAUCACGUAUCAGGGCACGGCCAUAACAUGCUAGCAAUAUUAUGCUUUGGCUGCUAGUAAUGUGUUUGUGCUAAUGUCUAGUAGGAACUCUAGUUGUACUGAUAAAAGAGAACCAAACCAUCAUAUAAGGGAAAAGUCGCAUCUCUCUAUCUUUGAUCUCUCUAUGAUACAGAUAUGGACGUAUAUGGAAUUAGUAAAAUUCCUCUUUUAUAUUGCUUGUUCAUUAAUCAUUCAUGCAUCGUGUCCUAAAAGAAAUAUAGUGUGCUCUGUUUGAAAAAGCAUGUGGUCAGCACAUGUUUGUUAUUAUAUGGAUCUAAAGGUUUAACAAACAAACACAUUCAGAUUUCUCUUUAUUCGUAUAAAGGUUGGAGUGAGGUAGCGCUUAUUUCCUAUAUAGCUGCUCAUUUUGGAUGCAGUUUGAACAAUCAGGCUAGGGAGCGGUGAGCGUGGGUAGGCUGGCCAAACCUUCCCUCCACUGGGUCAACCGGCAGCGUCGCCCACCACCGUACUGUCCUACGGCAACGGCCCCAACCUGGGCAGGCGUGCUUUCUGCGACAUGCUCCUGCUCAUGGAUGUCUUGGUGAGGUAAAAACUUCUGUUAACUUAACUUAGCUACCUCAACUGAUUGAACUGCAGGGGUUGUGUGCAGUCUGAUGUGGUUCUAGUGUUUGAUUAAUGCAAUUUGGAAGAACUUGCGUCUCUAAAAUUCAAACUCUGCAUUUUGGUGUAUUUUUAUUUAGAAGUUCAGGUCAUCAUAAGUUGCUUCGGUUUAGCUAGUUACUGUUGUGAAAAAGUUCAGCUCGUCAUAUUUGAACAUCGGAAGAAGAGCUGCUAUAGUCUCCUGCUAUAUGCUUGUUAUAUUCCUAAAUAGUACAGGCUCAACCAAAGCAAGUAGUUAUAGUCUCCUGCUAUAUGCUUAAAUAGUACAUUUUUUCUGUAUUCUUGUUCGGAAGUUCAGGUCAUUCAAAGAGACCAAAUAGUACAGGCUCAACCAAAUAGUGAAAAGUCUACUAGAGUCGAAAAAAUAUAAUGAUACAAAAAUGCAACUCUGCACUUUCCUCAAAAUGGUCAUCAUAUUCUUAAGAAGAUUGGGAUUGCACUAUUUGUUUGAGCUAGUACUACCAGACUGAACAAAUUGCAGAGUUGGAUUUUAGAGCCUGGACAUUUUCAGACAUUUUCAAAAGUGGUCAAUUGAACCUGAACCAAAAAGAUUGACCUGAAAUUCGUUUGGGCUAGUUACUACCAGACUGAAAAAAUUGUAAUAGGUGGAUAAGUGGUAUUGUACUAUUUUCUAUUGUGUGGUAAUGCUCGUACCCCAUGGCCAUGGAAGGUUCAGAUGUUGUGCUCUUCUUUUCUAGCUGAUUCAUGUUCUAUUUGGUAGCUUUAAUGAUAUUCUAUACACUGAUGGCGAGAGUUCAACCAUGGCUAUACGCCAAGUUCUACUAUGGCUAUAUGUCGGCCAUCGUGAAGUCCUACUAUAGCUAUAUGCCAAGUUUAAUUAUGGCUGUAUGCUUGUGCUUCCAGGCUACUAUUGAACGUGUCUUGGCCUUCAUUUUUACGGGUUAUAGUCUCCUGCUAUAUGCUUGCUUUUGCUAUCAGCAUGUUCAUGCAAGUGCCUCUGAAUAAUCUGAAAUUUAAACUUGUACCUAAAACUGAACUUCUACCUCUUUGCUACAGGUGCGGUCGUCGGAGUCCUUUAAGUGCUUGCACUAGUGCUUCUAACUUGUCCAUGAAGGCACUGCAUGGUGUGCCACCUCCCGUCUGCCGCCGCAGCUGCCAUGUGUCCUUGCGACCUCUGCGGCCAGUCACCAACGCCCUAUGAGUGCGCCCUAAGUGUGGCAUGGGGAACAUGCUAAUGUGUGUGUUUCUGCACUGGUGUGUGCGUGCAUGCUCACGUUUAUGCGUGACUGAGUGUGCUGCUUGUGUGCUGUGAUGUAUGUUGUAUAGAUUUUUAUGAAGUUCAUGUUGUGAACCCAACUUAAUUAGAACACAAAAGUUUAGAUCGCAGCUGCUUUGAAUUAUGUAGUGUUUCUAAAUAGCUUCUUGUCUGAAGUUCAGUCGUACAUGUGGGUGCAAGAAAGUUAGUGUCGGAGCCAGAAAAACUGACUUUGAGCAACUGUUGGGUAUUUAUAUAAAAACAUUGUGUGUAGCAAUUCGUUGUGUUUAUUGAAAAAUGAAAAGACAGAAGUUCACCAUGCAAAACUUUCACAGUCCAAUUGGUAUUAAGAAGGCAGAAAUAUAAAACAACAGUGAAGUUCACUAAAAAUGCAACUUUUCACAUUGCGAAGAAACAAUAAUUAACUUCUCAGUGUACAAUUUAGUUUUUGUUUCUCUUUUCCAAAAAAUAAGAAUAGAAGUAAUAUGUGGAAGCUAUUUGUGUUUAUGUCUCAAAUUAGAAUAAUUAUAAGAAUUGCCUCUAUAUGUGCUAUGUGUUACACACCUUUCCGAAUCAAAAGAGAUUAGAUUCAUCCAUGAGUAAGGUAGGUACAAUUAUUUUUAAACAGUUCAAUUGCUCGAUAGAUGUAUGUCCAGAAAAAUAAAAGAUAGUUCAACACAAUAUAAACCCAUGAGAUUGCAAAAAAUCUUUGGAUUAAGUGGAUGAGAACCAAUAAGUUCAUAUAUGAAACCUUGGGGAGUUCAAAAAAAGUUAAAAAGGUUCGAUGUUUGUUGCGAAGCUAGGAUUUUCUUCAUUACUAAUGAAUAAAUCAAGAAGUUCAAAUUAAAAAAGGAUGAGCGGUUCGAUGUUUAUUACGAACCUAGAAUUUUUUCCGUUACUAAAAGAAAUAAUACCAACAAGUUCAAAUUAAAAAAAUCGAGUAGUUUGAUAUUUCUUUGAAAACUCAAAUUUUUCCGGUUAGUAAAUAAUAAAACCAAUAAGUUCAAUUCAAAAUAACGAAGAAGUUCAACUUUUAAAAGCAAAGCAAUUUGAUAUUCAUUUAAAAACUCAAUUUUUUCGGUUACUAAAGAAUAAGACCAACAAGUUCAAUUCAAAGUAACGAAGAAGUUCGAUGUUUCUAACAAAACUCCAAUUUUCACAUUUCUAAAAACUCCAAUUUUAGGUGAGCCCAAUUUUUGUGUGGAUGUGUUGUGCAUGUGCUUGUGCGUAGUACAUUUAAUAGAACAAAAACACUAUUAUGGGUGCCCUCUAAAUGUUUGUCCUAUUGCUUAUGAGAAUUGACCCGAAUUUUCCUAUUGUUUUUGCACAUGUUGGAUUCAAGGGAAAAUGUGUAUAAAACAGGUGUGAUUUCAGAAGUUCAGGUGUAACGAACAUCGAAGUCCAAACCAAAAGAAUGUAAACAAAAAAAUCAUGGAAUUCAAAAGAAUAAAUACUAUCGAGUUUCAUGAAAGAAAAUAGCAUGCGAAGUUCAUGUUUCAGAAAGUUUGAAGUUCACGUGUACCACAUACAGAAGAAAAAUGAUCAAAUGAAAAAAGGGACCGCCUAGGCCAUUUCACCGAAAAGCAAAAAAUGCAUAAAAUGUCACGACAAAAUUCUAUAAGAAGUUCCAAUUUAAAAGCCGAAGUAGGUCAACGUUAAAGAAAAUGAAGUUUUUAAUAUCUAAAAGAAAAUUUUGGAAGCUCAACAAAUUUGUGCAAGGAGUUAAAAAAAUUAGUUGAAAAAUAUUUAUAACGGAUUUUCCCCGUGUAUAAAAAAAUCAGAGAAGUUCAAAUUAAAAAGAGGAGCAUUUCAAAAGAUUGUAUAAAAACUGAUUUACUCAAAAUAGAUAAAGGUGAAGUUCAAAUUGAAAUAACGGAGAUGUUCGGAGUUUAUUAAAACCUAGAAUUUACCUGUUCGAAAAAUAAAAAACACAACACCAUUUUUUUGCACUUUUAGAGACAACUCAUAAACGAAAAAAUGGUUGCUGGAAGUUCAAGUGCUCGGUGAGGAAAAGUUCAAAAAAUUCUUGUAAGAGAGGUUCACCGUGUAUUUAGAUGUCCAAAAUACAUAAAAAAUAUGUUGUUUUUUGUGUUUUAAAAUAAUUCUCUCAAACCAGAGAGAAGUUCAAAGUGAUAAUAGCCGGAAGUUCACGUACUACAUGGUGUGUAUUUCAUAUAAGAAAAAUAGAAUAAAGUGAAACAGAGUAAAGUUCAAACGGACAUGCCCUAGAAGUUCAACUACUUCACGUAGUGCAAAAAAAUAUCACAUCAAAAAUAGAGUGAGGACAGACAUGCCUGAGAAGUUCAACUACUUCACACAGUGUGUUUCCAUUCGCAAUGAAGGCAGAAAUCAUGAUCUCGUCAUUUCUCUAAUUUACUUCAAAACGAUAGGAAUAUCAUUUGUGUAAGUUCAAGUCCUCGGUCGGAGAAAGUUAAAAAAAUAUUGUGAGAGAGGUUUGUACAAAAAGAAUAUCAUUUGUGUAACACUGACGAAAUGGAUGAGAAAAUUACAAACAAAAAACGUCACAGAAGUUCAACGUGAAAACAACAGGAAGUUCGACUACUAUAGUGAAUGAAUUUGAGAUGAAAAACUUUUAAAAUCAUCGCGAGUAUGAAAAAACGAUCAACACGGGAAAGUUAUGUGCUUACAGCAGCUUUCCACCGGUAUAUCACUUUCUCAAUUCCGGUGAGUGGAUGGAGAGUUACGAGCAGUGGAUGGAGACCUACGAGCAAAAAAAUCACGUGAAAAACAGAGUGAAGUUCAGGUACACGCGCCGAGAAGUUCAGGUUCUUCACGCGGUGCAUUUUCGAAGAAUCUGUUUGACGAUAAAGGCAGAACGCAUGAUCUCGCCAUUUUCGAAAUUACUUGAAAAUGGCUAGGAAUCAGAGAAAACCAUCAACAUGAAAAAGUUUUGCAAUUUCCGUAGCUUUUCAGCGGUAUAUUAUUUGCCCCAUUCCGAUAAAGUUUGUAGAAAUUACGGCGAAAAUACGUUUUUCGCCAUUUUCGAAACUGACUUAAAACUGUAAAGAAUUGGGAGAAACAAUACAUACCAAAAAGUUUCACAUUUGUUCAAGAUUUCCAAAGCCAUAACAUUUGCUGCAUUCGGACAGACGGUUAAAAAAUUAGAUCAAAAAUACGAACUCGGUAGGACUAGGACCAUUUUCUAAAUUACUCUUAAACCAUUCAAAAUUAGAAAAAAACUUUCAAGAUGAAAAAGUAGCGCAUUUUCAUAAGCUUUACAAUGCCGUAUCAUAUGCCUCUAUUGGAUUAGCCGUUUAGAAAUGACAUCGAAAAUACGAACUCAGCUGUUCGAUUUACGAAAUUUUACGUUUUUUCAAAUUACUCUUUAACUAUAGGGAAUUAAAGAAAACUUUCAACAUGUGGAAGGAGCGGUUUUGCAGCAGCUUUCCAACGCCAUAUUAUAUGCCUCAUUAAGAUAAACGGUUUAGAAAUGCGGUCGAAAAUACGAUUCACGUUUUUUGUGCGAAGAAAAAACGGUUUUCAAAACUGCUCUUAAACCGCUUAUAUUUUGCCAAAAAUUUAAGUUGGAUAAUGAUACUGAUGUUCAAAACUUUCCAACGGUAUAUAGCAAGCCUCAUUUGGGCAAUGUUGGCGGAAGUUCAACCUAGUUCAUAGGGAAGUUCAGCGUACUACUAGCGGGGCAGGUCAGGUUGUGAUCAGAAUAUUAUUCUGAUCCCGUGAUUAGAAUAGUGUUUAUAUAUAUAUAUAUAUAUAUAUAUAUAUAUAUAUAUUAUAUUUGCCACAUUAACUUUAAGAGUUCAAUAUUAAUAUUUUCAUACAUAUCAAGUGAUAUUGGCGACCUUUUUUACCAUCAAAUCCUCGCGCACACACGCUAGUGCAUAACAAUAUGAAUUAUAUGUAUUAUAUUUGCCACCACAGCUGUGGGUAUUAAUUUCAUGUAAAUCGGUCAAUCACAGCUCCCAGAAUAUGCGAAGGAGGUGGCCUGAAUCGGCGUCGACGCCGUCCAGUGCGGGCCACGGGCCCGCUUCACUAGUAGAAAAAGGGCCUAUUGUCCCGGUUCGUAAGGGCCUUUUGUCCCGGUUCCUGAACCGGGACUAAAGGAUCGGUACUAAUUCCCUGUCCCUUUAGUCCUAGUUCAAUCCAGAACCGGGACAAAUGGGCCUCCACGUGGCCUGUGCGCGGAGCCCAGGCAGGAGGGCCUUUGGUCCUGGUUGGUGGCACCAACCGGGACCAAUAGGCAUCCACGCAUCAGCAUUUCUGUGGCUGGGGUUUNNNNNNNNNNNNNNNNNNNNNNNNNNNNNNNNNNNNNNNNNNNNNNNNNNNNNNNNNNNNNNNNNNNNNNNNNNNNNNNNNNNNNNNNNNNNNNNNNNNNNNNNNNNNNNNNNNNNNNNNNNNNNNNNNNNNNNNNNNNNNNNNNNNNNNNNNNNNNNNNNNNNNNNNNNNNNNNNNNNNNNNNNNNNNNNNNNNNNNNNNNNNNNNNNNNNNNNNNNNNNNNNNNNNNNNNNNNNNNNNNNNNNNNNNNNNNNNNNNNNNNNNNNNNUAGGUGUUUCAUAUAUUGUGUUAGCUAGCUAUAAUUAAUAGAGAGAAGUGUCCUCUCUUAUGUCCAUGCUUGGUCGGCGCUACGUACUAUACAUACGUAUAGAGAGGACUAGACAGGCUAGCUAGCUAGUUAGAAAACGAAGGAAACAGAAGAUCGUCAUGAACAUAUAUGCAUAGAGAGAGAAGUGAUAUCGACCACCUCUCCUUCUCCGAGAGAUUGGUCGAACAACAAGUUCUCGUAUAUCUAUCCGACACUACCGGCUACAUAUAUACAAUAAUUAUCUCUUACAAAUAUAAUCUCCUAACAUACGGACUCAUGGUCCACAUAGUAUUCUCCGUCUUCAGCGAUCACGUGGUCAAGAAAGAAUGCCGACAAUUCCUUUUGAAUUGCUCGCAUGCGAGCUGGUGCUAGGAGUUCAUCUCGCUUCCGAAACAUCUAAUUUGAAGAAGGGGCCGGGGUCAAUACAUAUAUAUAUGAAUGAAUGAAACUAAACACAAAUGAUGGUAAUAAAAUAAAAUUGUGAAUGUUGUUAUUUGCGCACUUCAUAUUGUUCAUCAGAGUAGCCCCGCUCACAGGCCGUGUGGUAGAUGGACUCGCAAACGUAGUAUCCACAGAAAUCAUUCCCUUGUAACUGCCACAACCCCUUUACAAGAAAUAGAGGUCAAUCAAACUGAUAAGCAAGAAUGCCAAAUGGUAUUGAUGAAACUAGCGCUUGAAUCAAUAGGAGAUGCGCGGAACAUGCUACUAUAGUACUUACUUUGGGGUGUCUAAAUUGCAGCUUCUCCGGGAGUCCCGGAGCUUUUUUGGUGAAUUUUUUCCAAACCCUGCCAGACAAAGAAAACAGUUACUUGAUAUAUCAGGAAAUGAACAAAGUUGCUGAUAUGGUGGAUAAUGAUCGAUUUAACUUACUUCUCGAGCAUUUGAGUCAUGUCCGCAUAGUCCUGGGGAUCUUUUCGUCUUGAGUCUAAGACGGUUACUAGUCCCUGCUCAAGCUUAAUCUCUAGGAGAAUAUAGUGGAAACUGCACACGCAUGCAUAACUCAUCAAUUACAUUACUAUAACCUUGACUAAUAUAUAAGGGAAACCGAAUAUGCACAAGACAGUAACACUCACUUGAAGUUGUAAGGAAAAAGUAUUAUAUCUUUGUUUUCAUUUAUUACCAACGAUCGUAGCAAGUUGGCCUCGGUAUCCGCGACAUGAAAUUUAACCUCAGUUGCAUCUAUGAUAUUUGUGUUAAUGAACCCAAUAUCACCGAUUUGUCUUUUCUUCAAUUCGACGAUCUUCAAUCUGCAUAAUAUAGUGAGGAUAAUUAUAAAUACAUGCAAUGAAAGAGCUGAGCUAUAUAGAGAGACUUAAUGACAGAAGUAGUACUACUUACAGACAGUAGCAGGUGACCGUUGCUUUAUCGAGGGCCAAUUGAUUGAAAAACUGAAAGAACUCCUCAAAUGGAACAGGUAACAAACACUAGUAGAAAAAGGGUCAAACGUGAAGCACAUUAGUGCCGGUUUGUAAAAAGACCGGCACUAAUGUGAUCAAUAGUGCCGGUUCGAAUGGCUAUGCAUUAGUGCCGGUUCGUAAUGAACCUUUAGUACCGGUUCAUGCCACGAACCGGUACUAAAGGGGUGGUGGCAGGCUGGCGUCAGGCCAGGCCCCACGAGCCCCUUUAGUGACGGUUUGUGACACAAACCGGUACUAAAGGUCUAACCUAUAGUACCGGUUUGUGUCACCAACCGGCACUACAAAGUCUUAACCUAUAGUCCCGGUUGAAGACACAAACCGACACUAUAGGGCAAUUUUCAAACUCUACCCCCCCCCCCGUGUAUCGCCAUUUCAGUUUUGAAAAAAUCAAAAGAAAAUGAUAAAAACUUCAAAAAAUAAAAUCCUUCGAGAGGUAGUUAUAUUACUACAUCUACUAGUUAGGAAAAUUUGAAAACUUAAAUUUGGACAUGUUUUGCAAAAAGUGUAGGGAAAAUGUAAAACGGCUAUAACUUUUGCAUAUGAUGUCGGAAAAAACGUAUAAUAUAUCAAAAAAUUCAGCACGAAAAUCCUCAAAUUCCAAAAGGAAAAAAAGAUAUGGUCAAAUUUAAGUUUUUUUUAAAAAAAAUUGGUUAAAUCUGGUCAAACUACUUAUUCAAGAAGUGUUAAUGUUACUACAUAAUUAUUCAAGAAUAUUAGUGUUACUAAAUAAUUAUUUCAAUUUUUUGAAUUUUGGUCAAAUCUGGUCAAACUAUGGUCAAACUGUGGUCAAACUAUGGUCAAACUUAUUCAAGAAAUAUUAGCGUUACUAAAUAAUUACUGUUUUUUUAGAAUAAUAGUUUCAAACUCAAACGGUGAAAUGUGUGACUUCAUGCUCAAGCUAAACUCCUGAGGGUUAAUAGGAUUAACAUCUUACUAUCAUCACGAAAACAACAAGUGCAGACAUGGAAACGAAGGAGAAUAGAACCCGAAAGUUAAGCGUGCUCGGGCUGGAGUAGUGAGAGGGAUGGGUGACCGGUCGAGAAGUUAGAUGAUUUGGAAUGAGUGAUCCACACUUGAGCAGUUAAGAGAGGUGAUUAGAGACUAAAUCAUCAAAUAAUUUAGAAAAAUUAAAAAAAUCAAAUUAAUUUUCAAAAAAAAUAUUCAAAAAAAAAACCAUUAGUACCGGUUGGUAACACCAACCGGUACUAAAGGUCCCCCAUACCAGGGCGUGAACUCACGCCACGUGGUGGCACUUUAGCGCCGGUUCGUGCCGAACCGGUACUAAAGGGGGGGGGGGCUUUAGUGCCGGUUCCAUAACCGGCACUAAAGGCACUUACAAACCGGUUUUAAAGCUCCGUUUUCUACUAGUGAAAUCAAUUCCAACGAGGUCAUGCUCCUUUUUAACUCUCACAUACAAAGUACUCCUCCCCUAGACUCUCUGCAGAUUUUCAAGUACCAAUCAUGCAAUCUUUGCAUCAUCGUUGAUAGAGAUCUUUCAUCUUUGACGAGAGGCUUCCCGUACUCGUAUCUUUGUAUCUGCACCUCCAUGAAAUCAUAAUGUACAUCGUCGGGCAGGUAAUCUCCAAGAUUGCUAUAACCGGGCACCAUCCUCGGAUCAUUAGCGACGAUGUCGCUAGGUACCUUGAGCGGGGGGGGGGGGGCACGAUUGCUUCCCUUGUUCGCCAAGCUGGGAAAUUUGUUUCCCAACUCGUCGUUCUUUCAGCCUUUGAUCACUGACAGUACUUCCCGACCGCUCCGCUUCGGCAAAUUCCUUUCCAAUAAUGCGCUCAUAGUUUCCUUUCGGUGGAGACUUGGGUGGUUUUGUUAGGGCAGCCAGAGUGCGCUUCGCUUUCACCGGAUCUACCUUCUCCUCCAGAGGUGGAUGUUUCUUUGCUUUCACCCCUUCAAAGAAGUUCCUGACUUCUUCUCGCACGAUCUCGGCGUUCUCCUCCGGGGUCCUCUCGUAUGGUAACUUCUCUGGAGUCUUUAGAGAAGGACCGAAUCUGUAUGUCCUCCCGCCUCUGGCUGUACUGCUAGACGCCGGCAGAGCAGACGGAGCGGUUGUCUUCUUUACUUGCUUACGAGGCAGAGGAGAAGGACUACGACGCACCAGAGCAGCCGGAGCGGCCGCAGGUCUCUUCCGCCCUUGCUGACGAGGCGGAGAAGGAGGAGGCUGGCUGCUCGGGCGCGCCGGCGCAGGCGGAGAAGGAGGCGGAGUGCCGCCACGCGCCGGAGAAGGAGCCGGCCGAGUGCCCUGAUAGUCACUCGCCAGAGGAGGAGGCGGUGGAGGGGGCGGAGUGCCCUGACUCGCCGAAGGAGGAGGAGGAGGCGGAGGCAUCCAAUUCGGAAGGUUCAUGACCUCCUUCCGCCAUAGGCAUGGAGUCUUCAGAGCAGAACCCAGCCGAGUCUCCCCUUCACCGGUAGGGUGGUCAAGCUGGAGGUCCUCAAAUCCCUCCGUUAUUUCAUCCACCAUCACCCUAGCAUAUCAUUCUGUAAUCGGCCGGCAGUGAAAAGUUGCGCUGGGUUCAGUAGGAAAAACAGAGCCAAUAGCCGCCUUGACCUUCAUAUUAACCCAUUGCGUCAUAAGGUGGCAAUUAUGAGACUCCGUGAUAGCAUCCACGGGAUAGCUGGCAGGAGCCGUCAAGACAUGCUCCUGCUGAAGCAGCUCGGUGGAAGCCAUGCUGCUUCUCCGCUGAGAUGGCGGGGUAGCUUCGGCAGUUCGUUUUGUGCGAUUUGCUUCUCGUUCCUCUAUUGCUUGUACCCUAGCGUGCAGCGCCUGCAGUUGGGUCUGCUCCACUUUCUUCCUCCUCUCGUGGCAUUUGUAACCGCCUGCGUCCGGAAACCCAGCCUUACACGGAAUGGAGCCUGGCGUGCCUCAUGUCCGUCCAGGGUGUUCAGGAUUCCCGAGGGCCAUUGUGAGCUCGUCGUUCUCUCUGUCUGGAACAAACAUACCUUGCUGCGCUGCUUCGAUAUAGUGCUUAAGCCUCUUGACUGGUAUUUCCAUUUGCUCGUCCGUCCAAAUGCACUUUCCUGAUACAGGGUCCAAGGUUUCACCAGCCCCGAAGAACCAAGUCCGGUAACGGUCUGUCCAGUUAAUUGUCUCUGGUUCGAUCCCUUUAUCAACCAGAUCAUUCUCAAUCUUGGCCCACUUAGGCCGAGCUGCCAGGUAGCCACCUGACCCCGUGCGAUGGUGAUGCUUCUUCUUCACAGCAUUUUGCUUGUUUGUCGACGACAUCUUCUUACUCUUUUCCGAUGUCUUGUGGGCCACAAAUGCGGGUCAGUGAUCUCUGAUCUUCUCAUAUCUGCCCUUGAAUUCCGGUGUCUCUUUAUUUUCGACAAACUUAUUCAGCUCUUUCUUCCACCUCCUGAAUAGUUCUGCCAUCCUCUUAAGAGCAAAAGACUUGAUUAAUUGCUCUUUAACUGGCUUCUCCGGAUCAUCCUCUGGCUGUAGGGUGAAAUUUGACUUCAGCUCAGUCCAAAGAUCAUUUUUCUGCAUAUCAUUGACAUAAGACACCUCAGGGUCUUCUGUAGCCGGCUUUAACCAUUGCUGCAUGCUGAUCGGGAUCUUGUCCCUAACCAAAACCCCGCACUGAGCAACAAAUGCGCUCUUUGUCCGGAUAGGUUCAUUCGGUUGGCCCUCGGGCGCGAUUGCUAUGAUCUCAAACUUUUCAUCCGAGCUCAACUUUUUCUUCGGGCCUCGUCUCUUUACCGAAGUUGUGCUCGAUCCGGAGGGCUAGAAAAAAGAACAAAGACUUAAUUAAUAUGUGUACAUACCAAAACAAUGAAUGCAUCAAUUAGCUAGUCAGCAGAAGCUUAACUAAUACUAGAUCAUUGAUGGUGCGUGUUGUUGCGCCCAUCUAUUUUGGAUCUUGGUUGUUAAGGAUAUAACAUUGCUAGUAUACAUUUCUUGCAUUGUUUUAAAAUAUUAUGCUUUCUAUAGCAUGUACUUCUCUUUAUUUUCAAAAUAAUGGUAUGUAAAUCAUCUUCAUUGGGGCAACAUUACAACUUCCAUAUCAACAUAAGCUUAGAUAUAAAUAGGGCAGUGCCAUAAGCCAACCUAUCCAUAUCCACGUUAUAAUAAUGGAUGGCUAUGUACAUUUUUGUUCAAGCAUAGUACAAGCUUGUUGCAGUUGCAUAGGAACAUAGACUUAAACAUAAUAUAAACUUGAAAUGUAUAAUGAUGGAAGAAGGCGGCAUGACAGUAUAUUAUACUUGGAAAACAAAUUGUACGAUGGAGUAGAGCGAACUGGAGAAGAUGUAGACCUCAAAUAGGCACCAGAAACACUGCACCAAAAUUUCUAUGAUUAUGGAUACAUCCAACAUGGCGGACGGUCAGAGGGCAUGAGAAGUAUAAUCAUAUACUAUCUAAGAAAAUCAAGACUCUUGAUUAUUACAUCAAAAGCAAGGCACAGAACAAGCUUACAUAUCGUAUUGUUCGUGCUAACACAAAUAAUAAUAUCUUCUAACACACGAAUGUAAUUUGGCCAAAAGAUAAUUUCUUCAUACGAAUUCCAACGUCACUACAUUUUUUUUCAUUGGGGCUUAAAAAUUGUUUGACCGUUUUACAUGAGAUAGAAAGAACUGACUGAACCGAGCAACAAAAGGCAACAAAAACACAAAUCAGUUUCCUCUCAUUCUCUGCCUACAUCAUAUUUUUUUUCCUGUAAAUAUAUCUUGUGAUUCAUCAUUGUUUCAGACCGUAAGGGCCGGAAGCUCUACCUAAGGCGGCUGCCAUACAAGGAUACACACAGCUUCGCCUUAAACACCCUCCUUGUGGCGAUGCUUAGAAAGGGAAUAACCUCAUGUAUUACCUUGCUCGGAAUAGCCAUGUUUUCAAAUCCCAACUAAUCCACCUUAAUCCUAACAUCAAAUGAACACAACAUUAACUUGAGAUCAGACGCUAUGGAGUCAGAGUGAUUGCAUGACUCGAGGCACAAGGCAACAGGCUGGGGUGAAGGCGUGGCAGCUGCAUGCCACCACGAAACACCGGCGAGCAGAGAACCGGAAGAUACAUAAUCGUUUAUGUCUUAUGAGUUAAUUUCUCCACUCAUUGCACGCUACAAAACAUUAGCGAGUAUACAUAGGAUGUCCCUUUCUGAACAACUACAUAAUAUAUAAAUUCCAAUUGCAUUAGGGAUUUCAUCUAGAGUAUAUUCCCUGAAUUAUUUGAAAUGAAGUAAUGGUUUUUCUAAUCCUACUUUGACCUGGAGCAUCACUCUGAAACAUCAGGGAACACACACAUCUUCAGAAGUAGCAGCAGUAGCUAAUGUGAAAAGUUCACUGGAAUGCUAGGAUACUAAAAAAGCUAGUACAUCCCAAUAGCCAAAGAACAUAACAAAAUUUGGCAUCAUGUGUCAAGUAGCUCACAGUGGGCAUAAAUUUGUACAUUAUAUGUCCCUUUAUUAACUCACUUGUCUCUGAUUUUUAACUAUUAGGAAAUAAUAGUGGUCAUCAAAAUUAGAAUAUAUUGUAAUGCUCUAGAAUAGGAUCUAAUUGUUGGGAGUUGUUACCUGAGGGAAUCCUUGCGGGGAGCUGAGCAUAGGAACCAAUGCUGUUCCGCACUGUCCACGUGACUGACCACCGUGCUGCCUCCAUGAGCCGAUGUGGAACUUCUACCAACAAGUGAUUUGUACAUGACUGCUCAAGCAAACUAAACCACUAAAUCCAAAGGGGAUUCGUUCCAGAAAGGUGCAACACCUUGAGAAAUCUACGUGUAGAAUUGAAGAGGGGAGAGUAUCAGGAGGUAAACCUAGAGAACCUGCAUAGUUUGUGAGUACAAAGAACAGUAUGAGUAAAAUAAAUUUCAAAAAUUGGAUUAGAUGAAGAAUCAGGUGAAGAGGAGAUAAAGGAAAGAACCAUCACCCAUUGCUGCACGAGAGUGGUUUUCAGAAGUAAGGGGAGUAGGGAAGGAGCAACAGCACUUUGGAUCGUAUAUUCGUAUAUGCGCGCGAGUGAAUUGAAGUAAAAAGCAUGAAUCAUCAGACCUGCAAUAAUCUUCAGUUUAGCCGGUUCAUCAAUUGCCAUUAAUCGAUCCUGAUUAAAACCUCAACGAAUCGAUGGCUAGUGAAUUUCAAUCGACAGCGGCUGUUCGCGGCCCUGACCAUCUCCCUAUUGCGUCACCGACCAGGACGCCGUUCGGUCGCUCGGCGAGGAGCGCCGUGUCAGUCGGACCUGAAGCACAGUGGCCAUGAGACACCAUCGGUCGCGUCGAUCCGACCCCAACACGGCCGCCAUCACUACUGCCCAGAUUCUGCUGCCAGCCGACAGCAGCAACCGUGCGAAACUGCGAACCAAAGGAUCUGGCGACGACGCGCCUGAGAACUCUAGAUAUGGCUUGAAAACCAGAAAUAUGCUUCACGGAUGUAGAGCGUGUUUGGUUGAGUUCCAGGAGCAAAAUUGCCUGGCCUGAGACCUUCCUGGGUUGUGCCUGCUUGUUGUUUGGAUAGUAGCCUCAAAUCACAGGCAUGUUCCUGGCCUGGAGUUGACAUGCACCUGAUUAGCCUGGGUAGAUCACAGGCAGCUUGAUUAGCCUGGAUGAGGCCAACGGAACCAGACGCCUGGCCUCCAGGCAGAUGCGUUUUGCGUCAAUUAGCAAGUUGUAUACUGUACUUUUUGUCAACUCAGCCGUCCCAUCUAAUUAUUUAAUAUUUAAGUACGUGUCCCAGGCCAGGUUUGCAACCAAACAUCACAUGCACACAGCAGCCUGGCCAGGCAAAAAUCCUCCUUCUCCCAGGCUACUAUCAGGCAUCAACUUUUGCUAGGCAUCACACCCAGGACAUGAACCAAACAUGCCCGUAGUGCGUCACUGACCUGGGGAUGAGCUCGUCGCCGGCUCGAGAAAAAGUCGCUCCCUGCUGCGCUUUUGGGGAAGAUAGGAAAUGUAGAAGAAUGAGCCAAUCUAGUGAAUCCCGUGGAACUUAAUGGAACCUGCACUCAUUUGGGAGCACAAAGAACAACAUCAAUUGAAAAAAAUUCAUGCAGAAUUUGGGGGAGAGUAGAGGUACCAACGAGGGAACACUUGUAAAAGGCCAGUAGCGGAGACUAAUUAUCGUCCUGUCAACCAUGGCAGCCUGCAAGUAAAAGGAGGAGAAUGAGGAAGGAGAAGCUCCACGAUGGAGAUUAAAUGGACGCAAUUGAAUGGAUGUUGUAACUGAGCCCAGUUAUUGGCCACCGGUGAGUGCGCCUCAUCGAUUGCAAAUUUGCCAUUAUAAUGGUCCGCUGCAACUAUGAAUUGAGUCCCGAAUCGCGGGCAACUGGAGGCAACCGACAGGGGACGAUCCGUUGCCCCGGAUACCUCCUGCUGGCGUCGCCCAGCGAGGCAACCCGGCCGGUCGCGUAGGUCGAGGCACAUCCGGUCGGUCCAAUCGACCUCGCAUCGGCACUGUUUUUUUUUCUCGCAUCAGGACUGGAUGAACGCUCAUCGGUCGCUCGUGUGUAACCCUAGUCGAUGGAACCGCACAAGUGGACCUUCUUCAGCGAAGCCCGUGGGCUGGAAUGGGCUGGCCGACGGCCCAGUUAACCACAGGGCUACGUUUUGGCCUGCGGAGCAGAAGCCCCAGGACAGCCGGCCCAGUUUUUAUCAGAUGUGGGACAGAUUGCUUUAAACAGGAGAUCCGACGACCAAAAACGUCUAGAUCGUGCAAACGGAUGGUCAGAAACGCGAAGCGCUGAGAGAGCUCGCUUUAGGUGCAGUUGUAUUGUACUUAAUAUAUACCUGGCCGGACUCGGUUCGGUCACCAGAGACGUCAUCACGGUCUCCUUCUUGCACCGGCAUUGUGUCACCGGAGCCGUCCUCACGGUCUCCUUCUUGCACCGGCAUUAGGUCACCGGAGCCAUCAUAAUCAUAGCCAGCUGCUUCCAUACCAUCGGUGUCGUUGAGAAACAACGAGCAGACGGCAUCCCUUCCUCGUGCGAUUAUGUCCCCCAACAACUCUUCUUGUACUUCGUCUCGGGCGGUGUCCAUAGUUUCUACAAAUAUUUAUAACAUGGCAAUUAUUAUUCAAACAUGACAGAUGGAUAUAUUAGUGGCAAACGUAGAACUAAUAUUAAUUAGUGGCCUCGACGCUACUUCUCUAGGGUUUGGGGUGGCCUCGACGCUGCUUCUCCAGGGUUUGAAGUGGCCUCGACAACGCUUCAAGGAUAAAAAAAGAAGAGGAAGAAGAAAAAAAGGGGAGAAGAAAGAAUAGAUCCUCUUUUUUUUUCUUCUUCUUCCUCUUUUUUUUUAUCGGGAACGAGGGUCGUCGACGCCCACGUCACUUGUGGGACGUGGAUGUAGUGUCCGACACCGAUGGCCACAUGUAUCUCACACCCACGAUACUUACUAUUUAGGGUUUCCUCUACCGCUCGGCGACCCUGACCCUCGACGACCCUCGUUUCNNNNNNNNNNNNNNNNNNNNNNNNNNNNNNNNNNNNNNNNNNNNNNNNNNNNNNNNNNNNNNNNNNNNNNNNNNNNNNNNNNNNNNNNNNNNNNNNNNNNNNNNNNNNNNNNNNNNNNNNNNNNNNNNNNNNNNNNNNNNNNNNNNNNNNNNNNNNNNNNNNNNNNNNNNNNNNNNNNNNNNNNNNNNNNNNNNNNNNNNNNNNNNNNNNNNNNNNNNNNNNNNNNNNNNNNNNNNNNNNNNNNNNNNNNNNNNNNNNNNNNNNNNNNNNNNNNNNNNNNNNNNNNNNNNNNNNNNNNNNNNNNNNNNNNNNNNNNNNNNNNNNNNNNNNNNNNNNNNNNNNNNNNNNNNNNNNNNNNNNNNNNNNNNNNNNNNNNNNNNNNNNNNNNNNNNNNNNNNNNNNNNNNNNNNNNNNNNNNNNNNNNNNNNNNNNNNNNNNNNNNNNNNNNNNNNNNNNNNNNNNNNNNNNNNNNNNNNNNNNNNNNNNNNNNNNNNNNNNNNNNNNNNNNNNNNNNNNNNNNNNNNNNNNNNNNNNNNNNNNNNNNNNNNNNNNNNNNNNNNNNNNNNNNNNNNNNNNNNNNNNNNNNNNNNNNNNNNNNNNNNNNNNNNNNNNNNNNNNNNNNNNNNNNNNNNNNNNNNNNNNNNNNNNNNNNNNNNNNNNNNNNNNNNNNNNNNNNNNNNNNNNNNNNNNNNNNNNNNNNNNNNNNNNNNNNNNNNNNNNNNNNNNNNNNNNNNNNNNNNNNNNNNNNNNNNNNNNNNNNNNNNNNNNNNNNNNNNNNNNNNNNNNNNNNNNNNNNNNNNNNNNNNNNNNNNNNNNNNNNNNNNNNNNNNNNNNNNNNNNNNNNNNNNNNNNNNNNNNNNNNNNNNNNNNNNNNNNNNNNNNNNNNNNNNNNNNNNNNNNNNNNNNNNNNNNNNNNNNNNNNNNNNNNNNNNNNNNNNNNNNNNNNNNNNNNNNNNNNNNNNNNNNNNNNNNNNNNNNNNNNNNNNNNNNNNNNNNNNNNNNNNNNNNNNNNNNNNNNNNNNNNNNNNNNNNNNNNNNNNNNNNNNNNNNNNNNNNNNNNNNNNNNNNNNNNNNNNNNNNNNNNNNNNNNNNNNNNNNNNNNNNNNNNNNNNNNNNNNNNNNNNNNNNNNNNNNNNNNNNNNNNNNNNNNNNNNNNNNNNNNNNNNNNNNNNNNNNNNNNNNNNNNNNNNNNNNNNNNNNNNNNNNNNNNNNNNNNNNNNNNNNNNNNNNNNNNNNNNNNNNNNNNNNNNNNNNNNNNNNNNNNNNNNNNNCGGGACUAAAGGGGGGCAUUGGUCACGGUUUGUGCCACGAACCGUGACCAAUGCCCCCUUUAGUCCCGGUUGGUGCCAUCAACCGGGACCAAAGGCCUGCGCCUGCCAAAGCCGUGGUGCGGUAGGAUGUUUAGUCCCACCUCGCUAGCUGAGGAGCGGCCGCACCUGUUUAUAAGCGCUGCACCUGUUUGGGCCUAAUCUCACAACGCUAUGCCUGCUGGGCCUUCUGCGGGCCUGAAUCCUGGCCCAUGGAUGGGCUUCUAGUCGUAUUCAGGCCGUGGUGGCCCAGUAGGUGGCAUUUUUUAUUACUAUUUGAUUUUUCAUUUCUACUUAGAACUAAAUACUUGUAGUUUUUUAGUGAUUUUUUUCUUUUAGGUCACAAAAAUUAUAAACUUUCUAUUAUUGCCAUUAGUUUUAAAAUUUGAAUAGUUUAAUUUUGAAUUUUUUAAAAUUUGUGUGAAUCACUAGUUUAUGAAUAACUUUACCGUAAAAAUUGAUUUUUGAGUCAUUUUUUUCCUGCUAUUUAAUAUUACUGUGUUUUAUCAUUAUACUCAAUUUGGUAAUUUUAGUUAGUCAUAACAAAUAUUAUAGGCAUUUUUUUCUUUUUUGCUAUUUUUUUUCAUUUCUACUUAGAACAAAAUACUUAUAGUUCUUUAGUGAUUUCUUUUUUCUUUUAGGUCACAAAAAUUAUAAACUUUCUGGUAGUUCCAUUAGUUUUCANNNNNNNNNNNNNNNNNNNNNNNNNNNNNNNNNNNNNNNNNNNNNNNNNNNNNNNNNNNNNNNNNNNNNNNNNNNNNNNNNNNNNNNNNNNNNNNNNNNNNNNNNNNNNNNNNNNNNNNNNNNNNNNNNNNNNNNNNNNNNNNNNNNNNNNNNNNNNNNNNNNNNNNNNNNNNNNNNNNNNNNNNNNNNNNNNNNNNNNNNNNNNNNNNNNNNNNNNNNNNNNNNNNNNNNNNNNNNNNNNNNUUAAUUCUUUUUGCUUUUCGUUUUAGAAAAAUUAUAAACUUUCUGUUAGUGCCAUUAGUUUUCAAAUUUGAAAACACUUUUUUAGUUUUUUUGCUUUCUUUGUUGCUUUAUUUAUUUUAUUUUGUUUCUACUUACAAAAAAAUACUUAUUGUUGCUAUUUUUUUUCAGUUUUUGUUUUGUUUUCUUUAUUAUUUAUUUUCUUUUGUUUUUUGCUUUAAUUUUUAAUUCUUUUUGCUUUUAGGUCAGCAAAAUUAUAAACUUUCUGUUAGUGCCACUAGUUUUAGAAAAAUUAUAAACUUUCUGUUAGUGCCAUUAGUUUUCAAAUUUGAAUAGUUAAAAUUUGAAUUCUUUAAAAUUUGUAUGAACCACAAGUUUGUGAUUAACUUUACUAAAAAAAUGAACAUAGAUGCACCUAUAGAGAAAAUUCGACCUAAAUUCAUAGUUUUCAAAUGAACUCUCAAAAAGUUGGCAUAGCAUACUCGUGUGUUACAAAGUUGGCAUGGUAUCAUCAUAAUAGUUGCUUGAGAAAGUCUUCACUUUUUCUUCGCUUGUGUCAUUUGCUUAUUGCGCCGUAACCAUGGAUAAUCUUCAUCGUUUAUCAGGAUGCUUGGGUCAGCCUUGACAUUGAAGGGAGGAAUUUCAUGAAACUUUUCAUAAUCUUCAGACAUGUCUGUCUUGCCCUCCACUCCCAGGAUAUCCCUUUUUCCUGAAAGAACUAUAUGGCGCUUUGGCUCAUCGUAUGAUGUAUUCGCUUCCUUAUCUUUUCUUUUUCUCGGUUUGGUAGACAUGUCCUUCACAUAGAUAACCUGUGCCACAUCAUUGGCUAGGACGAACGGUUCGUCAGUAUACCCAAGAUUUUUCAGAUCCACUGUUGUCAUUCCGUACUGUGGGUCUACCUGUACCCCGCCGCCUGACAGAUUGACCCAUUUGCACUUAAACAAAGGGACCUUAAAAUCAUGUCCGUAGUCAAGUUCCCAUAUGUCCAUUAUGUAACCAUAAUAUGCAUCCUUUCCGCUCUCGGUUGCUGCAUCAAAGCGGACACCGCUGUUUUGGUUGGUGCUCUUUUGAUCUUGGGCGAUCAUGUAAAAUGUAUUCCCAUUUAUCUCGUAUCCUUUGUAAGUCAAUACAGUCAAAGAUGGUCCCCUGGACAACAAGUGCAACUCAUCACAAACAGUGUUGUCACCUCUGAGACGUGUUUCCAACCAACUGUUGAAAGUCCUGAUGUGUUCACAUGUAAUCUAGUCGUCGCACUGCUCCGGAUGUUUGGAGCGCAGACUGUUUUUGUGUUCAUCGAUAUACGGGGCCACCAUGGUAGAGUUCUGUAGAACUGUGUAGUGUGCUUGAGACCAAGAAUAUCCGUCCCUGCAUAUUAUUGAGUCACUUCCAAGAGUGCCUUUUCCAGUCAGUCUCCCCUCAUACCGCGAUUUAGGGAGACCUAUCUUCUUAAGGCCAGGAAUGAAGUCAACACAAAAUUCGAUAACAUCCUCUGUUUGAUGGCCCAUGGAGAUGCUUCCUUCUGACCUAGCGCGGUUACGGACAUAUUUCUUUAGGACUCCCAUGAACCUCUCAAAGGGGAACAUAUUGUGUAGAAAUACGGGCCCCAGGAUGACAAUCUCGUCGACUAGAUGAACUAGGACGUGCGUCAUGAUAUUGAAGAAGGAUGGUGGGAACACCAGCUCGAAACUGACAAGACAUUGCGCCACAUCACUCCUUAGCCUUGGUACAAUUUCUGGAUCGAUCACCUUCUGAGAGAUUGCAUUGAGGAAUGCACAUAGCUUCACAAUGGCUAAUCGGACGUUUUCUGGUAGAAGCCCCCUCAAUGCAGCCGGAAGCAGUUGCGUCAUAAUCACAUGGCAGUCAUGAGACUUUAGGUUCUGAAACUUUUUCUCUGGCAUAUUUAUUAUUCCCUUUAUAUUCGAUGAGAAGCCAGUCGUGACCUUCAUACUGAGCAGGCAUUCAAAGAAGAUUUCUUUCUCUUCUUUCGUAAGAGCAUAGCUGGCAGGACCUUUAUACUGCUUCGGAGGCAUGCCGUCUUUUUCAUGCAAAUGUUGCAGGUCCUCCCAUGCCUCGGAUGUAUCUUUUGUCUUCCCAUACAAGAAGCCUACCAGGUUCACACAAAGGUUCUUCAUCACGUGCAUCACGUCGAUUGAAGAGCAGACCUCUAGGUCUUUCCAGUAGGGUAGGUCCCAAAAUAUAGAUUUCUUCUUCCACAUGGGUGCGUGUCCCUCAGCGUCAUUCGGAACAGCUAGUCCGCCGGGACACUUUCCAAAGAUUACAUGUAAAUCAUUGACCAUAGCAAGUACGUGAUCACCGGUACGCAUGGCGGGCUUCUUCUGGUGAUCUGCCUCGCCUUUGAAAUGCUUGCCUUUCUUUCGACAUUGAUGGUUGGUCGGAAGAAAUCAACGAUGGCCCAGGUACACAUUUUUCCUGCAUUUGUCCAGGUAUAUACUUUCAGUGUCAUCUAAACAGUGCGUGCAUGCGUGGUAUCCUUUGUUUGUCUAUCCUGAAAGGUUACUGAGAGCGGGCCAAUCAUUGACGGUCACGAACAGCAAAGCCUUUAGGUUAAAUUCCUCCUGUCUAUGGUCAUCCCACGUACGUACACUGUUUCCAUUCCACAGCUGUAAAAGUUCUUCAACUAAUGGCCUUAGGUACACAUCAAUGUCCUUGCCGGGUUGCUUAGUGUAGGGGAACAUAGUAAUUUCAAAAUUUUCCUACGCACACGCAAGAUCAUGGUGAUGCAUAGCAACGAGAGGGGAGAGUGUUGUCUAUGUACCCUCGUAGACCGAAGCGGAAGCGCUGACACAACGUAGAGGAAGUAGUCGUACGUCUUCCCGAUCCUACCGAUCCAAGCACCGUUACUCCGGCACCUCCGAGUUCUUAGCACACGUACAGCUCGAUGACGCUCCCCAGGCUUCGAUCCAACAAAGCUUCGGGGAUGAGUUCCAUCAGCACAACGGCGUGGUGACGAUGAUGAUGUUCUACCGACGCAGGGCUUCGCCUAAGCACUACAAUGAUAUGACCGAGGUGGAAUAUGGUGGAAGGGGGCACCGCACACGGCUAAGGAACGAUCACGUUGAUCAAUUGUGUGUUCUAGGGUGUCCCCUUGCCUCCGUAUAUAAAGGAUCCAAGGGGGAGGGGUUCGGCCGGCCCUAUGGAGGCGCAGGAGGAGUCCUACUCCUACCGGGAGUAGGACUCCCCCCUUUCCUAGUCCAAGUAGGAUUGGUGGAGAAGAAAGGGAAAGAGGGGGGUGCAGCCCCUCCCUCCUUGUCCAAUUCGGACUAGGGGGAGAGGGGGCGCGCGGCCUGCCCUGGCAGCCCCUUCCUAUUCUCCACUUUAGGCCCAUGAGGCCCAUUAACACCCCGGGGGGUUCCGGUAACCCCCCGGUGCUCCGGUUUUAUCCGAAACUUCAUCGGAACCCUUCCGGUGUCUGAAUAUAGUCAUCCAAUAUAUCAAUCUUUAUGUCUCGACCAUUUCGAGACUCCUCGUCAUGCCCGUGAUCACAUCCGGGACACCGAACUAACUUCGGUACAUCAAAAUGUAUAAACUCAUAAUAACUAUCAUCGUAACGUUAAGCGUGCGGACCCUAUGGUUCGAGAACAAUGUAGACAUGACCGAGACACGUCUCCGGUCAAUAACCAAUAGCGGGACCUGGAUGCCCAUAUUGGCUCCUACAUAUUCUACGAAGAUCUUUAUCGGUCAGACCGCAUAACAACAUACGUUGUUCCCUUUGUCAUCGGUAUGUUACUUGCCCGAGAUUCGAUCGUCGGUAUCCAAUACCUAGUUCAAUCUCGUUACCGGCAAAUCUCUUUACUCGUUCCGUAAUACAUCAUCUCACAACUAACUCAUUAGUUGUAAUGCUUGCAAGGCUUAUGUGAUGUGCAUUACCGAGAGGGCCCAGAGAUACCUCUCCGACAAUCGGAGUGACAAAUCCUAAUCUCGAAAUACGCCAACCCAACAUCUACCUUUGGAGACACCUGUAGAGCACCUUUAUAAUCACCCAGUUACGUUGUGACGUUUGGUAGCACACAAAGUGUUCCUCCGGCAAACGGGAGUUGCAUAAUCUCAUAGUCAUAGGAACAUGUAUAAGUCAUGAAGAAAGCAAUAGCAACAUACUAAACGAUCGGGUGCUAAGCUAAUGGAAUGGGUCAUGUCAAUCAGAUCAUUCAACUAAUGAUGUGAUCUCGUUAAUCAAAUAACAACUCUUUGUUCAUGGUUAGGAAACAUAACCAUCUUUGAUUAACGAGCUAGUCAAGUAGAGGCAUACUAGUGACACUCUGUUUGUCUAUGUAUUCACACAUGUAUUAUGUUUCCGGUUAAUACAAUUCUAGCAUGAAUAAUAAACAUUUAUCAUGAUGUAAGGAAAUAAAUAAUAACUUUAUUAUUGCCUCUAGGGCAUAUUUCCUUCAGUCUCCCACUUGCACUAGAGUCAAUAAUCUAGAUUACACAGUAAUGAUUCUAACACCCAUGGAGCCUUGGUGCUGAUCAUGUUUUGCUCGUGGAAGAGGCUUAGUCAACGGGUCUGCAACAUUCAGAUCCGUAUGUAUCUUGCAAAUCUCUAUGUCUCCCACCUGGACUAGAUCCCGGAUGGAAUUGAAGCGUCUCUUGAUGUGCUUGGUUCUCUUGUGAAAUAUGGAUUCCUUUGCCAAGGCAAUUGCACCAGUAUUGUCACAAAAGAUUUUCAUUAGACCCGAUGCACUAGGUAUGACACCUAGAUCGGAUAUGAACUCCUUCAUCCAGACUCCUUCGUUUGCUACUUCCGAAGCAGCUAUGUACUCCGCUUCACAUGUAGAUCCCGCCACAAUGCUUUGUUCAGAACUGCACCAACUGACAGCUCAACCGUUUAAUGUAAACAUGUAUCCGGUUUGUGAUUUAGAAUCGUCCGGAUCAGUGUCAAAGCUUGCAUCAACGUAACCGUUUACGAUGAGCUCUUUGUCACCUCCAUAUACGAGAAACAUAUCCUUAGUCCUUUUCAGGUACUUCAGGAUGUUCUUGACCGUUGUCCAGUGAUCCACUCCUGGAUUACUUUGGUACCUCCCUGCUAAACUUAUAGCAGGGCACACAUCAGGUCUGGUACACAGCAUUGCAUACAUGAUAGAGCCUAUGGCUGAAGCAUAGGGAACAUCUUUCAUUUUCUCUCUAUCUUCUGAAGUGGUCGGGCAUUGAGUCUGACUCAACUUCACACCUUGUAACACAGGCAAGAACCCUUUCUUUGCUUGAUCCAUUUUGAACUUCUUCAAAAUCUUGUCAAGGUAUGUGCUUUGUGAAAGUCCAAUUAAGCGUCUUGAUCUAUCUCUAUAGAUCUUUAUGCCUAAUAUGUAAGCAGCUUCACCGAGGUCUUUCAUUGAAAAACUCUUAUUCAAGUAUCCCUUUAUGCUAUCCAGAAAUUCUAUAUCAUUUCCAAUCAGUAAUAUGUCAUCCACAUAUAAUAUCAGAAAUGCUAUAGAGCUCCCACUCACUUUCUUGUCAAUACAGGCUUCUCCAAAAGUCUGUACAAAACCAAAUGCUUUGAUCACACUAUCAAAGCGUUUAUUCCAACUCCGAGAGGCUUGCACCAGUCCAUAAAUGGAUCGCUGGAGCUUGCACACUUUGUUAGAUCCUUUCGGAUCGACAAAACCUUCCGGUUGCAUCAUAUACAACUCUUCUUCCAGAAAUCCAUUCAGGAAUGCAGUUUUGACAUCCAUCUGCCAAAUUUCGUAAUCAUAAAAUGCGGCAAUUGCUAACAUGAUUCGAACGGACUUAAGCAUCGCUACGGGUGAGAAGGUCUCAUCAUAGUCAACCCCUUGAACUUGUCCAAAACCUUUUGCGACAAGUCGAGCUUUGUAGACAGUAACAUUACCGUCAGCGUCAGUCUUUUUCUUGAAGAUCCAUUUAUUCUCAAUUGCUUGCCGACCAUCGGGCAAGUUAACCAAAGUCCAUACUUUGUUCUCAUACAUGGAUCCCAUUUCAGAUUUCAUGGCUUCAAGCCAUUUUGCGGAAUCUGGGCUCACCAUCGCUUCUUCAUAGUUAGUAGGUUCAUCAUGAUCUAGCAGCAUGAUUUCUAGAACAGGAUUACCGUACCACUCUGGCGCGGAUCUCACUCUGGUUGAUCUACGAGGUUCAGUAGUAUCUUGUCCUGAAGUUUCAUGAUCAUUAUCAUUAGCUUCCUCACUUAUGGGUGUAGGUGUCGCAGAAACAGUUUUCUGUGAUGUACUUCUUUCCAAUAAGGGGGCAGGUACAGUUACCUCGUCAAGUUCUACUUUCCUCCCACUCACUUCUUUCGAGAGAAACUCCUUCUCUAGAAAGGAUCCAUUCUUAGCAACGAAUGUCUUGCCUUCGGAUCUGUGAUAGAAGGUGUACCCAACAGUCUCCUUUGGGUAACCUAUGAAGACACAUUUCUCCGAUUUGGGUUCAAGCUUAUCAGGUUGAAGCUUUUUCACAUAAGCAUCGCAGCCCCAGACUUUAAGAAACGACAACUUUGGUUUCUUGCCAAACCAUAGUUCAUAAGGCGUCGUCUCAACGGAUUUUGAUGCUGCCCUAUUUAACGUGAAUGCGGCCGUCUCUAAAGCAUAACCCCAAAACGAUAGCGGUAAAUCAGUAAGAGACAUCAUAGAUCGCACCAUAUCUAGUAAAGUACGAUUACGACGUUCGGACACACCAUUACGCUGUGGUGUUCCGGGUGGCGUGAGUUGCGAAACUAUUCCGCAUUGUUUCAAAUGUACACCAAACUCGUAACUCAAAUAUUCUCCUCCAUGAUCAGAUCGUAGAAACUUUAUUUUCUCGUUACGAUGAUUUUCAACUUCACUCUGAAAUUCUUUGAACUUUUCAAAUGUUUCAGACUUGUGUUUCAUUAAGUAGAUAUACCCAUAUCUGCUUAAAUCAUUUGUGAAGUUGAGAAAAUAACGAUAUCCGCCACGAGCCUCAAUAUUCAUCGGACCACAUACAUCGGUAUGUAUGAUUUCCAACAAAUCUGUUGCUCUCUCCAUAGUACCGGAGAACGGUGUUUUAGUCAUCUUGCCCAUGAGGCACGGUUCGCAAGUACCAAGUGAUUCAUAAUCAAGUAGUUCCAAAAGUCCAUCAGUAUGGAGUUUCUUCAUGCGCUUUACACCGAUAUGACCUAAACGGCAGUGCCACAAAUAAGUUGCACUAUCAUUAUCAACUCUGCAUCUUUUGGUUUCAACAUUAUGAAUAUGUGUAUCACUACUAUCGAGAUUCAUCAGAAAUAGACCACUCUUCAAGGGUUCAUGACCAUAAAAGAUAUUACUCAUAUAAAUAGAACAACCAUUAUUCUCUGAUUUAAAUGAAUAACCGUCUCGCAUCAAACAAGAUCCAGAUAUAAUGUUCAUGCUUAACGCUGGCACCAAAUGACAAUUAUUUAGGUCUAAUACUAAUCCCGAAGGUAGAUGUAGAGGUAGCGUGCCGACCGCGAUCACAUCGACUUUGGAACCGUUUCCCACGCGCAUCGUCACCUCGUCCUUUGCCAGUGUUCGCCUAAUCCGUAGUCCCUGUUUCGAGUUGCAAAUAUUAGCAAUAUAACCAGUAUCAAAUACCCAGGUGCUACUGCGAGCUCUAGUAAGGUACACAUCAAUAACAUGUAUAUCACUUAUACCUUUAUUCACCUUGCCAUCCUUCUUAUCCGCCAAAUACUUGGGGCAGUUCCGCUUCCAGUGACCAGUCUGCUUGUAGUAGAAGCACUCAGUUUCAGGCUUAGGUCCAGACUUGGGUUUCUUCUCCUGAGCAGCAACUUGCUUGCCGUUCUUCUUGAAGUUCCCCUUCUUCUUCCCUUUGCCCCUUUUCUUGAAACUAGUGGUCUUGUUGACCAUCAACACUUCAUGCUCCUUCUUGAUUUCUACCUCCGCAGCUUUCAGCAUUGCGAAGAGCUCGAGAAUAGUCUUAUUCAUCCAUUGCAUAUUAUAGUUCAUCACAAAGCUCUUGUAGCUUGGUGGCAGUGAUUGGAGAAUUCUGUCAAUGACGCAAUCAUCUGGAAAAUUAACUCCCAUCUAAAUCAAGUGAUUAUUAUACCCAGACAUUUUGAGUAUAUGCUCACUGACAGAACUAUUCUCCUCCAUCUUGCAGCUAUAGAACUUAUUGGAGACUUCAUAUCUCUCAAUCCGGGCAUUUGCUUGAAAUAUUAGCUUCAACUCCUGGAACAUCUCAUAUGCUCCAUGACGUUCAAAACGUCGUUGAAGUCCCAAUUCUAAGCCGUAAAGCAUGGCACACUGAACUAUCGAGUGGUCAUCAGCUUUGCUCCGCCAGACGUUCAUAACAUCUGGUGUUGCUCCAGCAGCAGGCCUGGCACCCAGCGGUGCUUCCAGGACGUAAUUCUUCUGUGCAGCAAUGAGGAUAAUCCUCAAGUUACGGACCCAGUCCGUGUAAUUGCUACCAUCAUCUUUCAACUUUGCUUUUGUUGGGGAACGUAGUAAUUUCAAAAAUUUCCUACGCACACGCAAGAUCAUGGUGAUGCAUAGCAACGAGGGGGAGAGUCUGAUCUACGUACCCUUGUAGAUCGCAACGGAAGCGUUGACACAACGUAGAGGAAGUAGUCGUACGUCUUCUUCCCGAUCCGACCGAUCCAAGCACUGUUACUCCGGCACCUCCGAGUUCUUAGCACACGUUCAGCUCGAUGACGAUCCUCGGGCUCCGAUCCAGCAAAGCGUCGAGGAAGAGUUCCGUCAGCACGACGGCGUGGUGACGAUCUUGACGUACUACCGACGUAGGGCUUCGCCUAAGCACUACAACGGUAUGAUCGAGGUGGAAUUUGGUGGCAGGGGGCACCGCACACGGCUAAGGAACGAUUUCAAGGAUCAACUUGUGUGUCUAUGGGGAGCCCCCCGCCCCUGUAUAUAAAGGAUGGAGGAGGAGGAGGCCGGCCAAGGCAAAGGUGCGGCCAGGAUAGGGAGUCCUACUAGGACUCCAAGUCCUAGUAGGAGUCCACCAAAAGGGGAGGAAGGGAGAAGGAAUAGGAGGAGAAGGAGAGGUGGCCGGCCCCCUUUUCCCUAGUCCAAUUCGGACCAAAGGGGAGGGGGGGCGCAGCAGCCUUUUCCUCUUCCCACUAAAGCCCAUCAAGGCCCAUUACUUCUCCCGUAACUACCCGGUACUCCGAAAAAUACCCGAAUCACUCGGAACCUUUCCGAUGUCCGAAUAUAGUCGUCCAAUAUAUCGAUCUUUACGUCUCGACCAUUUCGAGACUCCUCGUCAUGUCCCCGAUUUCAUCCGGGACUCCGAACUCCUUCGGUACAUCAAUACUCAUAAACUCAUAAUAUAACUGUCAUCGAAACCUAAAGCGUGCGGACCCUAUGGUUCGAGAACAAUGUAGACAUGACCGAGACACGUCUUCGGUCAAUAACCAAUAGCGGGACCUGGAUGCCCAUAUUGGCUCCUACAUAUUCUACGAAGAUCUUUAUCGGUCAGACCGCAUAACAACAUACGUUGUUCCCUUUGUCAUCGGUAUGUUACUUGCCCGAGAUUCGAUCGUCGGUAUCCAAUACCUAGUUCAAUCUCGUUACCGGCAAGUCUCUUUACUCAUUCUAUAAUACAUCAUCCCACAACUAACUCAUUAGUUGCAAUGCUUGCAAGGCUUAAGUGAUGUGCAUUACCGAGAGGGCCCAGAGAUACCUCUCCGAUAAUCGGAGUGACAAAUCCUAAUCUCGAAAUACGCCAACCCAACAUCUUCCUUUGGAGACACCUGUAAUGCUCCUUUAUAAUCACCCAGUUACGUUGUGACGUUUUGUAGCACCCAAAGUGAUCCUCCGGCAAACGGGAGUUGCAUAAUCUCAUAGUCAUAGGAACAUGUAUAAGUCAUGAAGAAAGCAAUAGCAACAUACUAAACGAUCGGGUGCUAAGCUAAUGGAAUGGGUCAUGUCAAUCAGAUCAUUCAACUAAUGAUGUGACCUCGUUAAUCAAAUAACAACUCUUUUGUCCAUGGUUAGGAAACAUAACCAUCUUUGAUUAACGAGCUAGUCAAGUAGAGGCAUACUAGUGACACUCUGUUUGUCUAUGUAUUCACACAUGUAUUAUGUUUCCGGUUAAUACAAUUCUAGCAUGAAUAAUAAACAUUUAUCAUGAUAUAAGGAAAUAAAUAAUAACUUCAUUAUUGCCUCUAGGGCAUAUUUCCUUCAGUCUCCCACUUGCACUAGAGUCAAUAAUCUAGUUCACAUCGCCAUGUGAUUUAACAGCAAUAGUUCACAUCACCAUGUGAUUAACACCCAUAGUUCACAUCGUCAUGUGACCAACACUCAAAGGGUUUACUAGAGUCAGUAAUCUAGUUCACAUAUCUAUGUGAUUAACACCCAAAGAGUACUAAGGUGUGAUCAUGUUUUGCUUGUGAGAUAAUUUUAGUCAACGGGUCUGUCACAUUCAGAUCUGUAAGUAUUUUGCAAGUUCUAUGUCUACAAUGCUCUACACGGAGCUACUCUAGCUAAUUGCUCCCACUUUCAAUAUGUAUCCAGAUUGAGACUUUAGAUUCAUCUGGAUCAGUGUCAAAAACUUGCAUCGACGUAACCCUUUACGACGAACCUUUUUGUCACGUCCAUAAUCGAGAAACAUAUCCUUAUUUCACUAAGGAUAAUUCUGACCGCUGUCCAGUGAUCUACUCCUAGAUCACUAUUAUACUCCCUUGCCAAAUCAAUGCAGGGUAUACAAUAGAUCUGGUAUACAGCAUGACAUACUUUAUAGAACCUAUGGCCAAGGCAUAGGGAAUGACUUUCAUUCUCUUUCUAUCUUCUGCCGUGGUCGGGCUUUGAGUCUUACUCAACUUCACACCUUGUAAUACAGGCAAGAACUCUUUCUUUGACUGCUCCAUUUUGAGCUACUUCAAAAUCUUGUCAAGGUAUGUACUUAUUGAAAAAACUUAUCAAGCGUCUUGAUCUAUCUCUAUAGAUCUUGAAGCUCAAUAUGUAAGCAGCUUCACCGAAGUCUUUCUUUGAAAAACUCCUUUCAAACACUCCUUUAUGCUUUACAGAAUAAUUCUACAUUAUUUCCGAUCAACAAUAUGUCAAUCACAUAUACUUAUCAGAAAUGCUGUAGUGUCCCACUCACUUUCUUGUAAAUACAGGCUUCACCGCAAGUCUGUAUAAAACUAUAUGCUUUGAUCAACUCAUCAAAGCGUAUAUUCCAACUCCGAGAUGCUUGCACCAGUCCACAGAUGGAUCGCUGGAGCUUGCACAUUUUGUUAGCACCUUUCGGAUUGACAAAACCUUCUGUUGCAUCAUAUACAACUCUUCUUUAAUAAAUCCAUUAAGGAAUGCAGUUUUGUUUAUCCAUUUGCCAGAUUUCAUAAAAUGCGGCAAUUACUAACAUGAUUCGGACAGACUCAAGCAUAGAUACGAGUGAGAAGCUCUCAUCGUAGUCAACACCUUGAACUUGUCGAAAACCUUUUUGCGACAAUUCUAGCUUUGUAGAUAGUAACACUACUAUCAGCGUCCGUCUUCCUCUUGAAGAUCCAUUUAUUCUCAAUUGCUUGCCGAUCAUUGGGCAAGUCAACCAAAGUCCAAACUUUGUUCUCAUACAUGGAUCAUAUCUCAGAUUUCAUGGCCUCAAACCAUUUCGCGGAAUCUGGGCUCAUCAUUGCUUCCUCAUAGUUCGUAGGUUCAUCAUGAUCUAGUAGCAUGACUUCCAGGAUUGGAUUACCGUACCACACUGGUGCGGAUCUCACUCUGGUUGAUCUACGUGGUUCAGUAGUAUCUUGUCCUGAAGUUUCAUGAUCAUCAUCAUUAGCUUCCUCACUAAUUGGUAUAGGUGUCGCAGAAACAGUUUUCUGUGAUGUACUAUUUUCCAAUAAGGGAGCAGGUACAGUUACCUCGUCAAGUUCUACUUUCCUCCCACUCACUUCUUUUGAGAGAAACUCCUUCUCUAGAAAGGAUCCAUUAUAAGCAACGAAUGUCUUGCCUUAGGAUCUGUGAUAGAAGGUGUACCCAACAGUCUCCUUUGGGUAUCCUAUGAAGACAUAUUUCUCCGAUUUGGGUUUGAGCUUAUCAGGAUGAAACUUUUUCUCAUAAGCAUCGCAACCCCAAACUUCAAGAAACGACAACUUUGGUUUCUUGCCUAACCAUAGUUCAUACGGUGUCGUCUCAACGGAUUUAGAUGGUGCCCUAUUUAACGUGAAUGCAGCUUUCUCUAAUGCAUGAUCCCAAAACGAUAUUGGUAAAUCGGUAAGAAACAUCAUAGAUUGUACUAUAUCCAAUAAAGUACGGUUAUGACGUUCGGACACACCAUUAUGCUGUGGUGUUCCAGGUGGCGUGAGUAGUGAAACUAUUUCACAUUGUUUUAACUGAAGACCAAACUCGUAACUCAAAUACUCUUUUCCACGAUCAGAUCGUAGAAACUUUAUUUUCUUGUUACGAUGAUUUUCCACUUCACUCUGAAAUUAUAUGAACUUUUCAAAUGUAUCAGACUUCUAUUUCAUUAAGUAGAUAUACCCAUAUCUGCUCAAAUCAUCUGUGAAGGUUUAGAAAAUAAUGAUACCCGCUGCAAGCCUUAAAUAUUCAUCGGACCACAUACAUUUGUAUGUAUGAUUUCCAACAAAUCUGUUGCUUGCUCCAUUGUUCCGGAGAACGGCGUUUUAGUCAUCUUGCCCAAAAGGCAUGGUUCGCAAGCAUCAAGUGAUUCCGAAAGCCCAUCAGCAUGGAGUUUCUUCAUGUGCUUUAUACCAAUAUGACCUAAACGGCAGUGCCACAAAUAAGUUGCACUAUCAUUAUUAACUUUGCAUCUUUUGGUUUCAAUAUUAUGAAUAUGUGUAUCACUACGAUCGAGAUCCAACGAACUUGUUUCAUUGGGUGUAUGACCAUCGAAGGUUUUAUUCAUGUAAACAGAACAACAAUUAUUCUCUGACUUUAAUGAAUAACCGUAUUGCAAUAAACAUGAUCAAAUCAUAUUCAUGCUCAACCAAAUAACACUUAUUUAAGUUCAACACUAAUCCCGAAAGUAUAGGGGAGUGUGUGAUGAUGAUCAUAUCAAUCUUGGAACUACUUCCAACACACAUCGUCACUUCACCCUUAACUAGUCUUUGUUUAUUCUGCAACUCCUGUUUCGAGUUACUACUCUUAGCAACUGAACCAAUAUCAAAUACUGAGGGGUUGCUAUAAACACUAGUAAAGCACACAUCAAUAACAUGUAUAUCAAAUAUACUUUUGUUCACUUUGCCAUCCUUCUUAUCCGCCAAAUACUUGGGGCAGUUCCGCUUCCAGUGACCAGUCCCUUUGCAGUAGAAGCACUUAGUCUCAGGCUUAGGACCAAACUUCGGCUUCUUCACUUGAGCAGCAACUUGCUUGCCGUUCUUCUUGAAGUUCCCCUUCUUCCCUUUGCCCUUUUCUUGAAACUAGUGAUCCUGUCAACCAUCAACACUUGAUGUUUUUCUUGAUUUCGACCUUCGUUGAUUUCAGCAUCACGAAGAGCUUGGGAGUUGUUUCCGUUAUCCCUUGCAUAUUAUAGUUCAUCACGAAGUUCUACUAACUUGGUGAUGGUGACUAGAGAAUUUUGUCAAUCACUAUCUUAUCUGGAAGAUUAACUCCCACUUGAUUCAAGCGAUUGUAGUACUCAGAUAAUCUGGGCACAUGCUCACUAGUUGAGCGAUUCUCCCCCAUCUUUCAGCUAUAGAACUUGUUGGAGACUUCAUAUCUCUCAACUCGGGUAUUUACUUGAAAUAUUAACUUCAGCUUCUGGAACAUCUCAUAUGGUCCAUGACGCUCAGAACGUCUUUGAAGUCCCGAUUCUAAGCCAUUAAGCAUGGUGCACUAAACUAUCAAGUAGUCAUCAUAUUGGGCUAGCCAAACGUUCAUAACGUCGGCAUCUGCUCCUGCAAUAGGUCUGUCACCUAGCGGUGCAUCAAGGACAUAAUUCCUCUAUGCAGCAAUGAGGAUAAAACUCAGAUCACGGAUCCAAUCCGCAUCAUUGCUACUAACAUCUUUCAACACAAUUUUCUCUAGGGACAUGUCAAAAUAAACACAGGGAAGCAACAACGCGAGCUAUUGAUCUACAACAUAAUUUGCAAAAUACUACCAGGACUAAGUUCAUGAUAAAUUUAAGUUCAAUUAAUCAUAUUACUUAAGAACUCCCACUUAGAUAGAUAUCCCUCUAAUCCUCUAAGUGAUCACGUGAUCCAAAUCAACUAAACCAUAACCGAUCAUCACGUGAGAUGGAGUAGUUUUCAAUGGUGAACAUCGUCAUGUUGAUCAUAUCUACUAUAUGAUUCACGCUCGACCUUUCGGUCUCUGUGUUCCGAGGCCAUAUCUGCAUAUGCUAGGCUCGUCAAGUUUAACCUGAGUAUUCUGCGUGUGCAAAACUGGCUUGCACCCGUUGUAGAUGGACGUAGAGCUUAUCACACCCGAUCAUCACGUGGUGUCUGGGCACGACGAACUUUGGCAACGGUGCAUACUCAGGGAGAACACUUCUUGAUAAUUCAGUGAGAGAUCAUCUUAUAAUGCUACCGUCAAUCAAAGCAAGAUAAGAUGCAUAAAAAGAUAAACAUCAUAUGUAAUCAAAAUAUGUGACAUGAUAUGGCCAUCAUCAUCUUGCUUCUUUGAUCUCCAUCUCCAAAGUACUGUCAUGAUCUAUAUCGUCACCGGCAUGACACCAUGAUCUCCAUCAUCUUGAUCUAUAUCAAUGUGUCGUCGUGUGGUCGUCUCACCAACAAUUGCUCUUGCAACUAUUGCUAUCGCAUAGCGAUAAAGUAAAGCAAUUACUGGACGCUUGCAUCUCAUGAAAUAGAGAGACAACCAUAAGGAUUUUGUCAGUUGCUGAUAACUUCAACAAAACAUGAUCAUCUUAUACAACAACUUAUAACUCAUCACGUUUUGACCAUAUCACAUCACAACAUGCCCUGCAAAAACAAGUUAGACGUCCUCUACUUUGUUGUUGCAAAUUUUACGUGGCUGCUACGGGCUUAGCAAGAACCAAUCUUACCUACGCAUCAAAACCACAACGAUAGUUUGUCAAAUAGACUCCGUUUUAACCUUCGCAAGGACCGGGCGUAGCCACACUCGGUUCAACUAAAGUUGGAGAAACAGUCACCCGCAAGUCACCUAUGUGCAAAGCACGUCGGGGAAACCGGUCUCGCGUAAGCGUACGCGUAAUGUCGGUCCGGGCCGCUUCAUCCAACAAUACCGCGGAACCAAAGUAUGACAUGCUGGUAGGCAGUAUGACUUAUAUCGCCCACAACUCACUUGUGUUCUACUCGUGCAUAUAACAUCAAACCAUAAAACCUAGGCUCGGAUGCCACUGUUGGGGAACGUAGUAAUUUCAAAAAUUUCCUACGCACACGCAAGAUCAUGGUGAUGCAUAGCAACGAGGGGGAGAGUCUGAUCUACGUACCCUUGUAGAUCGCAACGGAAGCGUUGACACAACGUAGAGGAAGUAGUCGUACGUCUUCUUCCUGAUCCGACCGAUCCAAGCACCGUUACUCCGGCACCUCCGAGUUCUUAGCACACGUUCAGCUCGAUGACGAUCCUCGGGCUCCGAUCCAGCAAAGCGUCGAGGAAGAGUUCCGUCAGCAUGACGGCGUGGUGACGAUCUUGAUGUACUACCGAUGUAGGGCUUCGCCUAAGCACUACAACGGUAUGAUCGAGGUGGAAUUUGGUGGCAGGGGGCACCGCACACGGCUAAGGAACGAUCUCAAGGAUCAACUUGUGUGUCUAUGGGGUGCCCCCUGCCCCUGUAUAUAAAGGAUGGAGGAGGAGGAGGCCGGCCAAGGCAAAGGUGCGGCCAGGAUAGGGAGUCCUACUAGGACUCCAAGUCCUAGUAGGAGUCCACCAAAAGGGGAGGAAGGGAGAAGGAAUAGGAGGAGAAGGAGAGGUGGCCGGCCCCCUUUUCCCUAGUCCAAUUCGGACCAAAGGGGAGGGGGGCGCAGCAGCCUUUUCCUCUUCCCACUAAAGCCCAUCAAGGCCCAUUACUUCUCCCGUAACUACCCGGUACUCCGAAAAAUACCCGAAUCACUCCGAACCUUUCCGAUGUCCAAAUAUAGUCGUUCAAUAUAUCGAUCUUUACGUCUCGACCAUUUCAAGACUCCUCGUCAUGUCCCCGAUCUCAUCCGGGACUCCGAACUCCUUCGGUACAUCAAUACUCAUAAACUCAUAAUUUAACUGUCAUGGAAACCUUAAGCGUGCGGACCCUACGGUUCGAGAACAAUGUAGACAUGACCGAGACACGUCUCCGGUCAAUAACCAAUAGCGGGACCUGGAUGCCCAUAUUGGCUCCUACAUAUUCUACGAAGAUCUUUAUCGGUCAGACCGCAUAACAACAUACGUUGUUCCCUUUGUCAUCGGUAUGUUACUUGCCCGAGAUUCGAUCGUUGGUAUCCAAUACCUAGUUCAAUCUCGUUACCGGCAAGUCUCUUUACUCGUUCUAUAAUACAUCAUCCCACAACUAACUCAUUAGUUGCAAUGCUUGCAAGGCUUAAGUGAUGUGCAUUACCGAGAGGGCCCAGAGAUACCUCUCCGACAAUCGGAGUGACAAAUCCUAAUCUCGAAAUACGCCAACCCAACAUCUUCCUUUGGAGACACCUGUAAUGCUCCUUUAUAAUCACCCAGUUACGUUGUGACGUUUGGUAGCACCCAAAGUGUUCCUCCGGCAAACGGGAGUUGCAUAAUCUCAUAGUCAUAGGAACAUGUAUAAGUCAUGAAGAAAGCAAUAGCAACAUACUAAACGAUCGGGUGCUAAGCUAAUGGAAUGGGUCAUGUCAAUCAGAUCAUUCAACUAAUGAUGUGACCUCGUUAAUCAAAUAACAACUCUUUUGUCCAUGGUUAGGAAACAUAACCAUCUUUGAUUAAUGAGCUAGUCAAGUAGAGGCAUACUAGUGACACUUUGUUUGUCUAUGUAUUCACACAUGUAUUAUGUUUCCCGUUAAUACAAUUCUAGCAUGAAUAAUAAACAUUUAUCUUGUGCUUGUGAUCUCCAUCUCCGAAGCACCUUCAUGAUCACCAUCGUCACCGGCGCGACACCUUGAUCUCCAUCGUAGCAUCGUUGUCGUCUCGCCAAUCUUAUGCUUCCACGACUAUCGCUACCGCUUAGUGAUAAAGUAAAGCAUUACAACGCGAUUGCAUUGCAUACAAUAAAGCGACAACCAUAUGGCUCCUGCCAGUUGCCGAUAACUUGGUUACAAAACAUGAUCAUCUCAUACAAUAAAAUUUAGCAUCAUGUCUUGACCAUAUCACAUCACAACAUGCCCUGCAAAAACAAGUUAGACGUCCUCUACUUUGUUGUUGCAUGUUUUACGUGGCUGCUACAGGCUUAAGCAAGAACCAAUCUUACCUAUGCAUCAAAACCACAACGAUAGUUUGUCAAGUUGAUGCCGUUUUAACCUUCGCAAGGACCGGGCGUAGCCACACUCGGUUCAACUAAAGUUGGAGAAACAGUCACCCGCAAGCCACCUUUGUGCAAAGCACGUCGGGAGAACCGGUCUCGCGUAAGCGUACGCGUAAUGUCGGUCUGGGCCGCUUCAUCCAACAAUACCGCCGAACCAAAGUAUGACAUGCUGGUAGGCAGUAUGACUUAUAUCGCCCACAACUCACUUGUGUUCUACUCAUGCAUAUAACAUCAAACCAUAAAACCUAGGCUCUGAUACCACUGUUGGGGAACGUAGCAAUUUCAAAAAAUUUCUACGCACACGCAAGAUCAUGGUGAUGCAUAGCAACAAGAGGGGAGAGUGUUGUCUAGAAGCGUUGACACAACGUAGAGGAAGUAGUCGUACGUCUUCCCGAUCCGACCGAUCCAAGCACCGUUACUCCGGCACCUCCGAGUUCUUAGCACACGUACAACUCGAUGACGCUCCCCGGGCUCCGAUCUAGCAAAGCUUCGGGGAUGAGUUCCGUCAGCACAACGGCGUGGUGACGAUGAUGAUGUUCUACCGACGCAGGGCUUCGCCUAAGCACUACAACGAUAUGACCGAGGUGGAAUAUGGUGGAAGGGGGCACCGCACACGGCUAAGGAACGAUCACGUUGAUCAAUUGUGUGUUCUAGGGUGCCCCCUUGCCUCCGUAUAUAAAGGAUCCAAGGGAGAGGGGUUCGGCCGGCCCUAUGGAGGCGCAGGAGGAGUCCUACUCCUAUCGGGAGUAGGACUCCCCCCCUUUUCCUUGUCCAAGUAGGAUUGGUGGAGAAGAAUGGGAAAGAGGGGGGCGCCGCCCCUCCCUCCUUGUCCAAUUCGGACUAGGGGGAGAGGGGGCGUGCGGCCUGCCCUGGCAGCCCCUUCCUCUUCUCCACUUUAGGCCCAUGAGGCCCAUUAACCCCCCGGGGGGUUCCGGUAACCCCCCGGUGCUCCGAUUUUAUCCGAAACUUCAUCGGAACCCUUCCGGUGUCCGAAUAUAGUCAUCCAAUAUAUCAAUCUUUAUGUCUUGACAAUUUUGAGACUCCUCGUCAUGUCCGUGAUCACAUCCGGGACUCCGAACUAACUUCGGUACAUCAAAAUGUAUAAACUUAUAAUAACUGCCAUCGUAACGUUAAGCGUGCGGACCCUACGGUUCGAGAACAAUGUAGACAUGGCCGAGACACGUCUCCGGUCAAUAACCAAUAGCGGGACCUGGAUGCCCAUAUUGGCUCCUACAUAUUCUACGAAGAUCUUUAUCGGUCAGACCGCAUAACAACAUACGUUGUUCCCUUUGUCAUCGGUAUGUUACUUGCCCGAGAUUCGAUCGUCCGUAUCCAAUACCUAGUUCAAUCUCGUUACCAGCAAGUCUCUUUACUCGUUCCGUAAUACAUCAUCUCGCAACUAACUCAUUAGUUGUAAUGCUUGCAAGGCUUAUGUGAUGUGCAUUACCGAGAGGGCCCAGAGAUACCUCUCCGACAAUCGGAGUGACAAAUCCUAAUCUCGAAAUACGCCAACCCAACAUCUACCUUUGGAUACAUCUUUAGAGCACCUUUAUAAUCACCCAGUUAUGUUGUGACGUUUGGUAGCACACAAAGUGUUCCUCCGGCAAACGGGAGUUGCAUAAUCUCAUAGUCAUAGGAACAUGUAUAAGUCAUGAAGAAAGCAAUAGCAACAUACUAAACGAUCGGGUGCUAAGCUAAUGGAAUGGGUCAUGUCAAUCAGAUCAUUCAACUAAUGAUGUGAUCUCGUUAAUCAAAUAACAACUCUUUGUUCAUGGUUAGGAAACAUAACCAUCUUUGAUUAACGAGCUAGUCAAGUAGAGGCAUACUAGUGACACUUUGUUUGUCUAUGCAUUCACACAUGUAUUAUGUUUCCGGUUAAUACUAUUAUAGCAUGAAUAAUAAACAUUUAUCAUGACAUAAGGAAAUAAAUAAUAACUUUGUUAUUGCCUCUAGGGCAUAUUUCCUUCACUUAGGGCCUUGGAUGAGAACUGGCAUCAUAAUGAACUUCCGCUUCAUGCACAUCCAAGGAGGAAGGUUAUACAUACAUAGAGUCACGGGCCAGGUGCUGUGAUUGCUGCUCUGCUCCCCUAUAGGAUUAAUGCCAUCCAUGCUUAAAGCAAACCAUACAUUCCAUGGGUCGUUUGCAAACUCAUCCCAGUACUUUCUCUCGAUUUUUCUCCACUGCGACCCGUCAGCGGGUGCUCUCAAUUUUCCGUCUUUCUUCCGGUCCUCACUGUGCCAUCGCAUCAACUUGGCAUGCUCUUCGUUUUUGAAUAGACGUUUCAACCGUGGUAUUAUAGGAGCAUACCACAUCACCUUCGCAGGAACCCUCUUCUUGGGGGGCUCACCGUCAACGUCACCAGGGUCAUCUCGUCUGAUCUUAUACCGCAAUGCACCGCAUACCGGGCAUGCAUUCAGAUCCUUGUAUGCACCGCGGUAGAGGAUGCAGUCAUUAGGGCAUGCAUGUAUCUUCUCCACCUCCAAUCCUAGAGGGCAUACGACUUUCUUUGCUGCGUAUGUACUGUCGGGCAAUUCGUUAUCCUUUGGAAGAUUCUUCUUCAAUAUUUUCAGUAGCUUCUCAAAUCCUUUGUCAGCCACAGCAUUCUCUGCCUUCCACUGCAGCAAUUCCAGUACGGUACCGAGCUUUGUGUUGCCAUCUUCGCAAUUGGGCUACAACCCUUUUUUGUGAUCCUCUAACAUGCGAUCGAACUUCAGCUUCUCCUUUUGACUUUCGCAUUGCGUCCUUGCAUCGACAAUGACCCGGCGGAGAUCAUCAUCAUCGGGCAGAUCGUCUGGUUCCUCUUGAUCUUCAGCAGCUUCACCCGUUGCAGCAUCAUUGGGCACAUCGUCUGUUUCCUCUUGAUCUUCACCAGCUCCCUCCAUUGCAGCAUAACCGUAUUCAGGGGGCACAUAGUUGUCAUCGUACUCUUCUUCUUUGCCAUCUUCCAUCAUAACACCUAUUUCUCCGUGCCUCGUCCAAACAUUAUAGUGUGGCAUGAAACCCUUGUAAAGAAGGAGGGGGUGAAGGAUUUUCCGGUUAGAGUAAUACCUCGUAUUCCCACAUUCAGUGCAUGGACAACACAUAAAACCAUUCUGCUUCUUUGCCUCAGCCGCACCGAGAAACUCAUGCACGCCCUUAAUGUACCCGGAGGUGUGUCUGUCACCGUACAUCCAUUGCCAGUUCAUCUACGUGCAUUAUAUAUAAUUAAGUGUCCAAAUUAAUAGAAGUUCAUCAUCACAUUAAAACCAAAGUACAUACAUAGUUCUCAUCUAACAACAUAUAGCUCUCCAGAGCAUCUAAUUAAUUAAACCAUACAUUGAAACUAUGUAAAACAUUUCAAUGCGAAAACAAAUGCGAUCAUAAUUGCAACCAAGGUAACAAUUGAUCCAACGGCAUAAUGAUACCAAGCCUCGGUAUGAACGACAUAUUUUCUAAUCUUUCUAAUCUUCAAGCGCAUUGCAUCCAUCUUGAUCCUGUGAUCAUAGACGACAUCCGCAACAUGCAACUCCAAUAUCAUCUUCUCCUCCUCAAUUUUUUUAUUUUUUCCUCCAACAAAUAGUUUUCUUCUUCAACUAAAUUUAGCCUCUCGGCAAUAGGGUCGGUUGGCAUUUCCGAUUCACAUACAUCCUACAUAAAUAAAAUCUAUGUCACGUUGAUCGGCAUAAUUUUCAUAAACAAUAAAUGAACCAAUAGUUAUAAAGAUAAUAUAUAUACCACAUUCGAAUCAUAGACAGGACGAGGGCGACGGGGGCGGAUACCAAAACCAUCGCACUAUAUAAGAUGCAAUAAUAAAAGUAAGAAAAUAAUACAAGUAUCUAUGUAAACAUACAAGUAAGAAUAUUUUUCCUUUCAGAAAGAAGAUAAGAACAAGAGGCUCACCAUGGUGGUGCCGGCAAGGCCCACCUUGGUCCAUGCGGGGAUGCACAAAAUAAGCUAUGUGCGGCCCAUGCGGGGAAUUUUGGUUACGCAUGGCCCAUACAUAUGGUGAUCCAGCCGUACGUGACCAAAUAGGAUGGACGGACAAACGAAAACGGACAAAAAUUAGGGACCAACCAAUUAGUACCACCUCGCGUAUAUGUUUUAUAUUUAAACUGAAAGCGUAAAUUUUCAUGAAAAGAAAUGUACUGUGACGGUGAACCCGACAAAGUCAAUCCGUGCUUUAUUAUUAGGGAAAGAUAUACUAAUUGGAGGCACCUUUGGAGCGUCUACGUUAAUCCACGUCAUUAAGAUUAAUAUAGCCGUUUGAUAUUAAAUUUAAUGGUUAAGAUAUGCUAGAAGACUAUGCCUUAUUAUAGAAGAAAACAACAUGUACGUAGGGAUGAAAUCCACGCAUACAAAAAAAAACUCAUGUAAAGAAAAAUCAAUUCUCACCACAUAGAUGAAACUCAUUAAACUUGCACAUGCAAAAAAAGUCCUAAGCUCCCACGUCCAUGAAAGAUUAGACAUGCACAUAAAAAAAGAGUCCUAAAUGCCCACGCCCAGGUUCCAAGAAAAAGUACGUGCCUACUCCUUGCAAAAAGAGGACGCGUGGCAAAACUAAAAAAUAUGAAUAUAAUCAUCUCAAUCUCUUUCUAAUAAUAAAAUAUGAAUUGAUUUUGUCAGGUUCGUCGUCACAAUACACUUUUUCCUGUAAAUUUACGCUUUCACUUUGAAUUUAAAACAUAUAGGUGAGGUGGUACUAAAAAACUGUUCAUUGGUCGCGUACGUCAAUUAGUAUAAGUCGCUUUUUUUAGUCCCUCCGGCUCGCUAGACUGGGCCGUGUUGAUCAUUCCCGUGAUGACUGAACUGGGCCUGGUCAAAAAGAAAAAAAACGAUGCAAAAAAUAAUUCCCCAUGAGCUUCGAACCAAGACGAAGGCCCUCAGUCACAAAGGAGAACGCCAACUAGAUUGCUCUAUUUUGUUCUGCCAAAUUGUGUCCCUGUAGAUAUAAUAGUCCCACAUCGCUUCUUUGCACUGUAUCUUAUCGAUUUUUAUACAUCGGCGGACUUGUCCUAGCAGAAGUUAAUUGGAAGAGGAAGCAAGGAAUAAAGAACGAACGCAGGAGGAAUUUGGCCAGAAGAAACAAGGUCGGGGAGCGUGAGGUUUAUGGUGAAUAUUCAGAGAACGGCAGCUGCAUUGUUCGAAUUUAGUCUAUCUUUGGACAUGUCUUUUCCGGGGAUUCGACACCAUGUUUUGUGCGCGAAUGGUUUUAUUAGGGUUUUUGACUGUUCCAAGUUAGAAGAGGCCAGAGUUUUCUCUGGUUCUUCAGUGGCCUGAAGCAACCAUGCUUACGCUUUUUUUUUUCAACCAUUCAUUGCCCAUUUUCAUUAAUUUCUUAAAGAAAAUACAUCAACCGUCCUUGCAGAAAGAACGAGGCAGCUUCACAGCUGGAAAUCAAGAGUGCGGUGUCCAGUUUUACGGGGAAAAGAAUUCUAUGAGACCAGGUCUCACGCGAGACCCAUCCUAAUGAAUGCCACGUGCUAUCCAUCAGAACGGGUCUCACCUGCUAACCGUGAGACUUGGUCUCAUAUAUUUUUUUUCCGUUUUACGGGGAAGCAUCAUCAGAAAUCUAGCAAAUCAUUCGCAUUAUUCUCUCACAUACAGUACAGAUCCUUCGGAUCGCCACAUCACAGCUGGACUUCAUUGCUUUGGGUGUCUAAUUAAGGGCUUGUUCGGUUAAUCCUCUCGCGAAGAGGAUUGGAGGGGAUUGGCAAGGAUUGGUUCGUAUUUUGACUUCUAAGAGGUUUAAGUCCUCCUCAAACCCCUUCAAUCCAUUCGGAUUCACACGCAACCAAACAAGGCCUAAACGGGAUCCGCAUCUGAACUAUUAAGCAGCAAAUGAUAGUGUGCGUGAAACAGGUAGGCAAUGUCAAUGAGGACAAACUGUGAUGAUAUCGUUUGAAAACUCAGCUGUCGUCCGUAGUGUUUGGCAUGUGACAGAUAGAUCCUGUUGAUUGUCUAACGAAAGCCAACGGUGAUGUCAAACUAGACUAUUUUAACAUAGUCGGUAAGACAAAAAUGGGAAACAUAUGUAUAUAUGACUACCGAGAACACGACAUCCAUUGUAUCUCGAUUAAGCAUCUUCAAAUAUUAUUCCUGUCGUGAUAUUGACAACAUUAUUAGUUUGUACUUGAAUGAAUAGUCAAGGAACUUUUGAGUGUUCCAAGUUAAACAUCCAAAUUUGUGUCGCAUUUCAGUAUGGGAGGCGCGUAUGACUCUCAAGUUUUUCCGAAUUUGAGUAAUACGGGUCAACUAUUUGCAAAAAUAAAAUAAAAACAUGUUAUCUAGCAUAUGUUUUUACCGUGUUAACACAUUCACAAUUAUUCCAUUUUGAAAAAAGGUACCUAGGUGGUAAAUGAACUACAAACCUUGCUCGACAUAUAUCGAGAAAUAUGUAUUGACAUACACAACAGAGAAAAUAAAUCAAAAUACAUUGCGCAGAACAUUGACAAUAAAUUAGUUGGUGAAAUUAGACAAUUUAGUUGGUGAACUUAGAAAAUUGUUACAUAAGGCUCCAACUUAAUUUCUCAGCAGUUGGAUCAGUUUUUUUUUUUGAGGACCAUGGAAAUACUGAAACCAUGGUUGAUACAAACUCCCCUCUCACACCUAAACUUUGAGCUAGAUAUUUCCUUUUAGUGAGUUUAGCUACUAAUUUUAAAGGGGUUCGCUAAAUCUCAGUCAAUUGAGAUUUAAUGUAGUCUCAAUCACCUUUCCAAGCCGUUGAAUACAUGCACACUAAGAUUAUGUGCUAGGAAACUUUUCUUUGUUAUUGUGAGGUGGAACGGAAAGAGAUGUGUGUGUGCCUUUCUGGACUAUUCGAAGUGUGCGUGUUUUUCCGAGGAAAGAGCCUACAAUCUACACGAGAAGCUUGUGUUUGGGCCAAGUCCAAACAUAAUAUAAUUUGUCAAACCAAACAACCAACAUUUUCUAAAACCGAAAUCAACAUAGCAAAAACAUGUUUGCUUUCGAAUAUUAAUAAAUAACUGUAUAUAAAUAAUCCCACUUCAAUGCACCACUCCUCUCACACCCGGUGAUAGUGUGAUGUUCGUUGAGGCAACAUCGAAGGACAUGAAUGUAGUUUCAUUAAUCUUUUUCCGAAUUGUGUACACCAAAAAUUGUAUCAUCAUUAACGACGGUGGCAAAAAUGAAAAGUGGCAACAUGAACGAGUCACUGAAAACAUGCGAAGACUUUCUCCUUCCGGUGCAAUGCACGACACAUUAAAUGAUGCAUACAAAGGUUAAAGGGAACCUUCUUUUGAGAAACAAAGACAAACACAGACUCACAAACACGUACAUACAUGAACACCUAGAGAGACUGAGCUGACAAGUCUUGAGAUUGAUGAACACACCACAAGUGUCUCGCUUCGACGCGAACGUCACCAUGCACUGAAAAAAUAUUUCACCUUUGUGAAACAUGAAAUUAAGCGUCAAAGUUAGGUUUUAAUUCUUGCUCUAUUGGGUAUCACCGCCCUGCAAACCAUCCAAUCAGAGAUUGGUUCUCAGGGUUAAAGCGAAACUAACCAAUACAUUUAUUUGAUAUGAAAAAAUGAACCCUUCCAAACCAAGCAAACAACUAUCUCUAAGAAAUCCAACAUAGCAACAAUGCUUUGUAUUCAAAUGUUUUGGAAAUUCUAAAAAAAAACUUUUGGAUUAGUUUUUAAACUCUCGGUUAGUAUAGAACAUUCCAAUGUUUGUAUGUUGCACUAAAAAUAAAUGCACCACUCUUUCACCCGGUGGUAGUGCUAAGCUAAAGGAGUGCCAUCAAAGGACACCACUAUGACUAUCUUAACUCUACUCCAUGAUGCGGACACCAAUAAUCAUUUUUAUUUACCAACACGAAGGCGUUUUUUUAAGAUAGUGAGUGUUUCUAAAUGUUCUUGGUUUCAAAAAAUAUAUUCAUGUUUUAAAUAUGUUUAAACUUUUGAAGAAAUGCUGAAAAUUCCUAAAAAAUGGUUCCAAUUAAAAACCAGCUAUAAUUGUUCAAAAAAUCAUUAAAAAAAAUCAUGAAAUCGCUUGUUUAUAUAAUGUUCGACUUCAAAAAAUAUUCCAAUUCUAGUAAGAAAUUAAAAAAUAGUCGAUUUCUUAAAAAAUAAAGAAAUAUUUGUGUUGUCUUUCAAAAAGCAAAAUAUAUACCGAUUCACAUACUAUUCCAUGCACAACUAUUCUUCCAACAGAUGUGGGAAGUUAGGUUGGUUCUUCAUGUACACACUUCAAGCUCCGAACAAAAAUUAGAGUUUAACAUUAUUACUCUGGUUUAUCAGCCUUUGAUACAAGAAAUGGCACAUGAAGCGCACUUUUAUUUGCCCGUUGCAACGCACGGGCAUUUGUACUAGUAAAUAUCAAUUGAAGGAAUAUCAUUCUGCAAAGGCAGAUUCUUGAAUAGGAUUGUUUCACAACUGCAUCCAUCAAUUUUAAAGUUUACUAUCUAAUAUGAUGCUAGAUAGAUAAAGCCUCAAUUAAGUAUAACAUUGUGUUUGUUGGUUAAGUUAGGAGCACUUACUAAUGUACUAAAAGAGAAAUAUAUAUUAUAUAUGGUUUGAGUACCAUUGUAGUAGUGGUGCAUAUACAUACGCGCACCACCUACUAUAUAUCGAAAUAAUUCAUACUCGCUUUCUCCCUUAUAUAUAUAGUAGGUGGUGUCAAAUUCUUGCUAAUUUGACAUGAAGGCUUCAUUCAGACCAGUGAUGAUACUUUGCGCAACAUAAAUGGGAAAGUAGAGGCACUCUUCCAUAUAAUGAAGUUUAUAAUAUAUGUGUUUAUAUUGUACUAUAAUUGUUUGAAUAACUUACCAUAUGUUCAGAUGUAUGAUAUCUGUAAUUUAAGCGCUUGAAUUUUACAUAUAAAUAUAAUUUUAUUAAUAAAUAUGUACCCAUAUAAUAGCUAGGCCGUGUAGUUGCACGGGUAGAUGACUAGUGAUUACAAUCUUGUUUGUGAGCAAGUCAAGAUUAUCUAGUUUACACGUAACAACUUGUAGAACAUUACAAAAAUUAUGCUUGCUAAUAACUUCUAGAACACUACAACACUUGACAUGUAAAAGGAAUUUGAUGAGUCAUGGCCUACUAAAGCAAGUUACAUUACUACUCUUAUCUAUCUUAACAGACCACACAAGAUUACAAACUAAGUACCGUGACAGCCAUGCUUAUCUAAUUUAUGCGUAACAAUUUGCGGAAAAUUACAAAUUUAGUUUUAGAAAAAUAGGCAAUCUAGAUUAGUGUUUGAGCUGUAAUGUGAAUAAGAUGAGUCGUGCGUCUUGUCACACCUUUUUGGUGGUGGAAUGAUAGUGCAACAACAAGGAACUUUAAUGACCAGUCCAAGAAUACACUUGUAAGUAGUGCCACCAAACAGAACAUACCAAAUUAUGAUUUUGAGAAGAAUCCAAGCACUUUCCACACAAGCAAAUGCCAAUUGUGAAAGAGAUCAUUCCAUGGCAGCUAUAAAUAGCCCCAUAGCAUGACGCUCAUCCUUCCUCAUCCAUCAUUCUCAUAAGUAGAGUGCAUCAUUUAAGCCAAGCAAGCUGUGGUCAAUACAAAUCCACCAUGAAGACCUUUCUCAUCCUUUCCCUCCUUGCUAUCGUGGCAACCACCGCCACAACUGCAUUUAGAAUUCUAGUGCCACAAUUGCAGCCACAAAAUCCAUCUUAGCAACAACCACAAGAGCAAGUUCCAUUGGUACAACAACAGCAAUUUCUAGGGCAGCAACAACCAUUUCCACCACAACAACCAUAUCCACAGCCGCAACCAUUUCCAUCACAACAACCAUAUCUGCAGCUGCAACCAUUUCCGCAGCCGCAACCACCAUAUUCGCAGCCGCAACCAUUUCGACCACAAUAACCAUAUCUCCACAACCGCAACCACAGUAUUCGCAACCACAAUAACCAAUUUCGCAGCAGCAACAACAACAACAACAACAACAACAACAACAAAUCCUUCAACAAAUUUUGCAACAACAACUGAUUCCAUGCAUGGAUGUUGUAUUGCAGCAACACAACAUAGCGCAUGGAAGAUCACAAGUUUUGCAACAAAGUAGUUACCAGCUGUUGCAAGAAUUGUGUUUUCAGCACCUAUGACAGAUCCCUGAGCAGUCGCAGUGCCAAGCCAUCCACAAUGUUGUCCAUGCUAUUAUUCUGCAUCAACAACAAAAACAACAACAACAACAACAACAAAAACAACAACCAUCGAGCCAGGUCUCCUUCCAACAGCCCCAGCAACAAUAUCCAUCAGGCCAGGGCUCCUUCCGGCCAUCUCUGCAAAAUCCACAGGCCCAGGGCUCGGUCCAGCCUCAACAGCUGCCCAGUUCGAGGAAAUAAGGAACCUAGCGCUACAGACGCUACCUGCAAUGUGCAAUCUCUACAUCCCUCCAUAUUGCACCAUCGCGCCAUUUGGCAUCUUCGGUACUAACUGAGAAGAAAAUAACUCUAGUACUAGAUAUAUGAAACACCGUUUUCUUAGUCCAUGGUUUGGUCAUUGUAGCGGUGAAAAAAUAAAGUGACAUGCACUACCAUGUAAGAACUCGAACUAUACUAGUUCAAACUUGGGAAUAAAAGACAAACACAGGUCUUGUCUACAUAUUUAUGUUGCAUUUAUCUAAAGAUAACAAAAUGAGUCUAAAAUUUGAAUUAAAUUGAAGUAUUUUCUUGGACUUUCAAAUUGAGUAUUAUUAACGUAGUAAGGACUAUCCUCAUCCUUGGCCUGCCCCUAAUCAAUUAUUUCCAGAGAAGCAUUCAAUUCAUCAAUCAAUUACAUUGAUUUUUGUGGCUGGUACUUCUCCUCAACAUCAGUAUAUUCACCGUGGCUACUCCAAAUCGGCAAGAAUGAGGUACCGGUGCUCUGGAGCAGUGCCAACUAAUUGCUUCUCAUGUGAAGGGGUGCGGGCGCGGGAGAGGUAUUUCUGGUGGGCCAAGGGAGUAAGAAGCCACCGUGGGAGUGGUACAGACGCCCGUAAAGCCCCAUAGUUUCUUUUUGGUUUACAGGAAAAUGCACAUCCAUACCGGCCUGGGGAGUAUAGGACCGUAUUGGAUGGAAAACCAUGUCCGGAUGGUUGCGAGCGGUUUGAGGGUUAGCUUUUGUAACGCCCGGUUAGUUAUGCUAUAGCAAUUCCCUGCUAAUGAUGUCACGUCACCAAGAUUACUGUUGUUAUCCUCACAAUGAUUCAAUGCCAUUCUAAUUCAAAUUUAAAAUAAAGGCAAGCAUCAAAAGUUUUCAAACAUUAAAACUAAAAUCUUUGAGAGGUAACAAAUAAUGCAUAAGUAAUUAUGGUGGAGAAACCACACUUUAAUAAAAUGUUUAAAUACUCUAAAAUGAAAAAAACAGUGGCUUAAACUAUUAUUUAAAUGCUUUUAAAAUAGUAAAAAUGUUCUAACUAAAUUAAUUGGGUACCAACCUUUUGGUGGCAGUGGUAUAUUUAGUAGAACUAAUUUAGAUGCUAGUUAUAUGAUUUAGAAAAUUAGGGUCAAUUGAAAAAUAGGAUAAAACAGAGAAGGAAAGACAAAACAAAUAAAAGCAAAAGGGGGCAACCCCUCACUGGCCUUGGCCUAGCUGGCCACUGGGCUAGCUAGGUCGGCCCCGCCGCCUCCCUUAACCCCCUGUCGGUGUCGAAACCGGUGGAUGGUACCAUGAGUAGAUCUACCACGAGAUCGGAGAGGCUAAACCCUAGAGGCUAGCCUAUGAUAUGAUUGUAUGUGUCCUACGGACUAAAACCCUCCGGUUUAUAUAGACACCGGAGAGGGUUAGGGUUACACAAGGUCGGUUACAAAGGAGGAGAUAUCCAUAUCCGUAUUGCCUAGCUUGCCUGCCACGCCAAGUAGAGUCCCAUCCGGACACGGGACGAAGUCUUCAAUCUUGUAUCUUCAUAGUGCAACAGUCCGAAAAAGGAUAUAGUCCGGCUGUCCGGAGACCCCCUAAUCCAGGACUCCCUCAGUAGCCCCUGAACCAGGCUUCAAUGACGAUGAGUCUGGCGCGCAGUAUUGUCUUCGACAUUGCAAGGCGGGUUCCUCCUCCGAAUGCAUCACAGAAGAAUUUGAAUACGAGGAUAGUGUCCGACCCUGCAACAUAAGUUCCACAUAAUUCCAUACAGAGAAUAAUAUUUUCGCAAAUCUAAUUUGCUUACUUGUUUUGACAGUACGACAUUAUGUCAUGGCCCGGUGAUUAUUCGAACCGUUUCCUUUAACUAGCCCCGCACAUAACGCGAGGCAGUUUUUCGACAUGUCUUGUCAAAGCAGAGAUCGUGUCCCCUUAUUACUGGAUUCUCAUCAAUACGGGCGUGGGUAACCCAACCGCGCCAUCGAUUGCGGCACUUGGGGGAUGAGCUAUUUUUACCUGGCAAGUGGGGACGCUUAGUUUCGUCCGCCCAUAUAAAGGGAUAAGGAUUCACCUUUCUAUCCAUGCCUUCUUCCUCCUUUGCUCAUCCGUUUUUGCACACUCGAGCUCUAGCGCCCAAGUUCGCACUUCCCACCUCAACCUUCUCCAACCAUGUCCCGAGCGGGAGGCAGGUGGAUGGUAUCCUCCGUCACGGAUGGAGACAUCAAGAAGCUGAGGAGCGCCGGAUACCUGCCUGACGACAUCGCGCACCGGCUCCCAGAUGAGGGGCAGCUCACCCCCACCCCCAGGCCCCAUGAGAGGGUAGUGUUCCUCACCCAUUUCCUCCGCGGACUGGGAUUCCCUCUCCACCCAUUUGUCCCGGGGCUCAUGUUCUAUUACGACCUGGAUUUCCAUGAUCUGGCCCCGAACUUCAUCCUCAACAUCUCGGCGUUUAUCGUUGUGUGCGUGGCCUUCCUCCGCAUCAAGCCCCACUUCGGCUUAUGGUUGAAGACCUUUAAUGUCAAGCCGAAGGUUGUGGGCGACCGCCAGGCGGAGUGCGGAGGCGCCAUGGUGGGCAAGAUGCCCAACGUAACAUGGCUCGAGGGCUCUUUUGUGGAAACCAUAAAGGGGUGGCAAUCGGGUGGUUCUACAUCACCGAGCCGCGUGACCCUGCAUGGGCAGCGGCCCCCCGAGUUCUGAUCUGGCAUCCCCACGCGGCUCACCUCCUGGAAAGAGAAGGGCCUGUCCUGGGGUAGUUUGGAAGAGCUGACCAGACUCCAAACAUGUAUUCAAAACAUGGUGAACAAGAAGCUCAAACUCGUCAACGUGGUCCAGGUCAUGCUCCACCGCCGGAUCCUCCCGUGCCAAUAACGGGAGUUCAACUUGUGGGAGUACAACCCAGCGCAGCACCGAACUCUGAACAGGCUUUUCGACACAACUCACGAAGAUGCCUCGAGGGUGCUGUUCAAAAUCACCAAGGUCCCCCUCCCAUUACUGAGGAUCACGGAUUCAGCGUGAAGCGCCAAGCCAGUGCGGCAGGCUGCUUUACCUUUCACAGGCUACUUAUUUUUUAUAGAUUGACUCCAUGCGGGAUCUAAACUCCCGUACCUUUGACAGGACUGGCAGGAGAUGGCCGGACAGAUCGACUGUCCGGCUCCUAUGCCCGAAGGCCCAGCAGACGCUCUUCUAGCGAAGAUGCUGACUUCGGCUCCUUAUACGGUGCCGGAGAAGACCAAGAAGGACAAGGGAACCCGAAAGAGUUCCCGACGCCAGGCGUCGUCGGACUCACCGUCCGAUGACUCUGCGGCGCACUCCUCCCCCGAAGACGAGGAAGAGGAAGAAGACGCUCCCUCUCUGGCUGGGGGAGAUAAGAAAAGGAAGGCCGCCCCAACUGGGGGGGCGGAAGGGUCCAAGAAGGGAAGGAAUCUCCUUCCGGAUAGUUGCACCGCUGCCGACGAAGGCGAAGACGAGGGGUUGCCCAGGGCCAAGCCCCUGGGGAGAUCGUAAGUAUUCAGAUACCAGAGUAACUCAUAGCAUUCCUUUGUCGCACUGCUUUCCCUAACGUCAAACAUAAUUAUGCAGGUCGCCAUGAGCCAGUAUCGAUGUGUGACGCCCGGAUAAUCAUGCUACAGUAAUCCCACGCUAAUCAUGCCACGUCACCUCGGUUACUGUUGCUAAUCUAUCGUUAGGUCAAAGCUGGUCCAAAAUUCAAAUUCAAAGUUUGGUAAAUAAUAACAGUUUUCAAAAAUUAAAACAAAAAUGUUCGGUGAUUGCCGAAUAAUGCAUAGGUAAUUAUGGUGGAGAAACCACACUUUUAUAAAAUGUUUAAAUAAUCUAAAAUGAAUAAAACAGUAGAAAAACCAAAUCUAAAUGCUUUUAUAAAUAAAUAAAACACUAAACUAAAUUGUUUUGGGAUAAAGCCUUUUGUGGCAGUGGGUUUCGUGGUAUUACAAUUUUAGAGUUCAUUUUAAUACUAAGUAAGAAGUAUAAUUAAGAGAAACUAAAAUAAAGAACAGAAAAAAAAGAAUAAAUAAAAGGAAAAGAAAACACAAAACAGAAAAGAAAACUACCAAAAAAAUAUGGUAAAAGGAGACCCCCCCCACUGGACCCCUUGGCCCAACUGGGCCAUGGCCCAGCCGGCCACCCCCNNNNNNNNNNNNNNNNNNNNNNNNNNNNNNNNNNNNNNNNNNNNNNNNNNNNNNNNNNNNNNNNNNNNNNNNNNNNNNNNNNNNNNNNNNNNNNNNNNNNNNNNNNNNNNNNNNNNNNNNNNNNNNNNNNNNNNNNNNNNNNNNNNNNNNNNNNNNNNNNNNNNNNNNNNNNNNNNNNNNNNNNNNNNNNNNNNNNNNNNNNNNNNNNNNNNNNNNNNNNNNNNNNNNNNNNNNNNNNNNNNNNNNNNNNNNNNNNNNNNNNNNNNNNNNNNNNNNNNNNNNNNNNNNNNNNNNNNNNNNNNNNNNNNNNNNNNNNNNNNNNNNNNNNNNNNNNNNNNNNNNNNNNNNNNNNNNNNNNNNNNNNNNNNNNNNNNNNNNNNNNNNNNNNNNNNNNNNNNNNNNNNNNNNNNNNNNNNNNNNNNNNNNNNNNNNNNNNNNNNNNNNNNNNNNNNNNNNNNNNNNNNNNNNNNNNNNNNNNNNNNNNNNNNNNNNNNNNNNNNNNNNNNNNNNNNNNNNNNNNNNNNNNNNNNNNNNNNNNNNNNNNNNNNNNNNNNNNNNNNNNNNNNNNNNNNNNNNNNNNNNNNNNNNNNNNNNNNNNNNNNNNNNNNNNNNNNNNNNNNNNNNNNNNNNNNNNNNNNNNNNNNNNNNNNNNNNNNNNNNNNNNNNNNNNNNNNNNNNNNNNNNNNNNNNNNNNNNNNNNNNNNNNNNNNNNNNNNNNNNNNNNNNNNNNNNNNNNNNNNNNNNNNNNNNNNNNNNNNNNNNNNNNNNNNNNNNNNNNNNNNNNNNNNNNNNNNNNNNNNNNNNNNNNNNNNNNNNNNNNNNNNNNNNNNNNNNNNNNNNNNNNNNNNNNNNNNNNNNNNNNNNNNNNNNNNNNNNNNNNNNNNNNNNNNNNNNNNNNNNNNNNNNNNNNNNNNNNNNNNNNNNNNNNNNNNNNNNNNNNNNNNNNNNNNNNNNNNNNNNNNNNNNNNNNNNNGCCCCUCGGCGCCCGCUCGGCCCUCUCCUGGGUCGGGCGCCCGUAACGCCCAGCGCCCGUAACCCGCUAUGGCCCCCUGGGCAGUUGACAGAUGGGGCCCACGCCCCUGUCUUGUUAGAAAAAAAAACGAAAAGAAAAUGUAAUUAAAAAAAUGAAAAUAAGUAAUUAGUUAUUUAAUUAAUUAUGUAACUAAUUAAUUAAUUAAAUAAGUAAUUACUUAACUUAAUUAACUCCGUUUAGUACUUAAUUAACUUGAUUAGUUAAUUAAAAUUGUUAAUUAGUUGUUAGACUAUGACGAAUGGGACCCACACGUCAGUUUGACCCAGUCAACGCCCUGUUGACUGCUGACGUCAUGCUGACGUCAGCGUACACUAUUCUGGAUAAUGUUAAUUUAAUUAAUAAUUAAUAAAUUAGAAAAUGAUUUAAAAAUUUAAAAAUUAAUAUAAAUUAAACCGUAGCUCAGAUGAAAAAACUUUGUACAUGAAAGUUGCUCAGAACGACGAGACAAAUCUGGAUACACGGCCUGUUUGUUCGUCACGCAUCCCUAGCAUAGCAAACUCGCAACUUUCCCCUCCGGCUCCUCUGCCCGAAAACGCAAAACACCGGGGAUACUUUCCCGGAUGUCAUCCCCCUUCACCGGUAUCACCUAUUACCGCGUUAGGGCACCUCUAACGCCGUUACUUGUCAUGUCAUGCAUCACUAUGCAUAUGCUUGCUUAAAUAUUUAUUAUUUCUUCCCCCUCUUCUCUCGAUAGACACCGAGACCGACGCCGCUGCUACCCAGUACGACUACGCUGUUGACGACCCUCUUUCUUGCCAGAGCAACCAGGCAAGCGCCCCCCUUGAUCACCAGAUAUCGCCUACUCUCUUCUAUACUGCUUGCAUUAGAGUAGUGUAGCAUGUUACUGCUUUCCGUUAUUCCUAUCCUGAUGCAUAGCCUGUCCUUGCUACUACUGUUGUUACCAUUACCUGCUAUCCUACUGCUUAGUAUAGGAUGCUAGUGUUCCAUCAGUGGCCCUACACUCUUGUCCGUCUGCCAUGCUAUACUACUGGGCCGUGAUCACUUCGGGAGGUGAUCAUGGGCAUAUGCUAUAUACUUUACACAGUUACUUUACCUGUGGUACUGUUCGGAGAUGGGGGCUGAAGGGGCAGGUGGUUCCACCCAGGUAGUGGUGGGCCUGGGUUCCCGACGGCCCCCGACUGUUACUUUGUGGCGGAGCGACAGGGCAGGUUCAGACCACCUAGGAGAGAGGUGGGCCUGGCCCUGGUCGGCGUCCGCGGAUACUUAACACACUUAACGAGAUCUGGGUAUUUGAUCUGAGUCUGGCCAUUUGGUCUAUACGCACUAACCAUCUACGCGGGAGUAGUUAUGGGUAUCCCGACGUCGUGGUAUCAGCCGAAGCCUUCGUGACAUCAGCGACUAAGUGGCGCGUGCCGGAUUGGACCGUAAGCCUGCUCUUGUAUUAAGGGGGCUAGUUCUGCUUCCGGCCGCGUUCGCAACGUGCAGGUGUGCAAAGGGCGAUGGGCCCAGACCCCUGCGCCAUAGGAUUUAGACCAGCGUGCUGACCUCUCUGUUGGGCCUAGGUAGGGCUGCGACGUGUUGAUCUUCCGAGGCCGGGCAUGACCCAGAAAAGUGUGUCCGGCCAAAUGGGAUCGAGCGUGUUGGGGUAUGUGGUGCACCCCUGCAGGGAAGUUUAUCUAUUCGAAUAGCCGUGUCCCUCGGUAAAAGGACGACCCGGAGUUGUACUUUGACCUUAUGAUAACUAGAACCGGAUACUUAAUAAAACACACCCUUCCAAGUGCCAGAUACAACCGGUGAUCGCUCUCUCACAGGGCGACGAGGGGAGGAUCAUCGGUUAGGAUUAUGCUAUGCGAUGCUACUUGGAGGACUUCAGUCUACUCUCUUCUACAUGCUGCAAGACGGAGGUUACCAGAAGCGUAGUCUUCGAAAGGACUAGCUAUCCCCCUCUUAUUCCGGCAUUCUGCAGUUCAGUCCACAUAUGAUAGCCUUAUUCCAAUUGAUACCAAUGCAUACAUAUGUAGUGUAGCUCCUUGCUUGCGAGUACUUUGGAUGAGUACUCACGGUUGCUUUCUCCCUCUUUCCCCCCUAUCCCUUCUACCUGGUUGUCGCGACCAGAUGUUGGAGCUCAGGAGCCAGACGCCACCGUUGACGACGACUCCUACUACACCGGUGGUGCCUACUACUACGUGCUGUCCGCUGACGACGACCAGGAGUAGUUUAGGAGGAUCCCAGGCAAGAGGCCUGCGCCUCUUUCGAUCUAUAGCUCAGUUUGUGCUAGCCUUCUUAAGGCAAACUUGUUUAACUUAUGUCUGUACUCAGAUAUUGUUGCUUCCGCUGACUCGUCUAUGAUCGAGCUCUUGUAUUCGAGCCCUCGAGGUCCCUGGCUUGUAAUAUGAUGCUUGUAUGACUUAUUUUAUUUGUAGAGUUGUGUUGUGAUAUCUUUCUGUGAGUCCCUGAUCUUGAUCGUACACGUUUGCGUGUAUGAUUAGUGUACGGUCAAAUCGGGGGCGUCACACGAUGUAUCAUCGGACGGUUCCCUAGGCUCGUCGGACAUGGAUAGCGAUCCAGUCCCGACCCCCACCUCCCCUCAUCCUGCUGACGACGCCGAGGUGCUGUCUCAAGAGGCAUCGGGUCGAGGGGAGACAGUCCUGGAGGCACCUCAAGGCGACCUUCCGGACUCCGGGAGCCGAGGGGACGGGGCCCCUAAGAGCUUCGAGUUCGGCCCUCAGCCGAACACCGCGCUGGAACCUCCAGUGGUUCCGGGCUCGGUCAGGCGGCCUCCUUCUAAGAGGGGCAAGACACCUGUGCCGGUGACCUCUGUCUAUCCAGAGGCGCCGGACAAUCUGCUGGAAGCGCUUCGCAGCGCUUCCAUCGACGAGGAGCACCGCACUAUCAUGAGUGCGGCGAUCCAGAAAGUUUAGUCCGCCAAGAGCGGAUUGACUGAAGCCUGUGCCAGCCUUCUAACAGGCUUUGAGGUAAGUGUUUUAAAAUAUAGGAAAAAUACUACUGCAUAUAUAGUAGCCCCUGAUGCUUUGUUCGGUGUUCAGAAAGAAAAGCCGAACAGAGGAUCAAAUAAUAUCGCAGGACUCUAAUAUAAGUAUGUCAAUAUGCGUAUGCAAGCCUCACUGCUGGCAUCCGCCACACUGACUGCGGAGGUCGCCCUACUGAAGCAGGACCUCGAGAGGUCUAGGAGAGAGCUCGGCCUUGUCAAGAGGCAGCUCGAGGAGAACAAGGGUAAGUAAUACCUUGUCUUUAGAUAUGUAUAUAUAAAAGAAGAAGCGAUUGCAAAAUGACAGGAUCAUCGUACAUUCGCCAGGGGCCACGACCAAGGUGGCAACCCUCAAGCAAGCGCUAACCAAGGCCGAAGAUAACGCGGCCAAGGAGCGCACCGAGUGAGAGAAGCACGAGGCUCGGGUGGGCGAGGUGCAGCAAGAGCUCUAGGCUAUCAUGGUGAAGCACGAGGCAUUGGAGCUUGACUAAAAGACGCGAGAGUCUGAGCUUUCCGCGGCCCUCGAGAGCGCAAAAAGUGCCAAGGCCGAAGCCCAAAGGGGUCUCCAGGCGGGUAUGGCUUUCUAUAUGCAAAGCAAGCAUGUAAAAGUAAAUUACCGAUUACUUACUCGAAUCCGGAGCUCUCCAGGAGCAUUCGCAGAUUUUCCACGCAGCGUGUCCGAUGCCGCACAAUUUUACCAGGCCGAGGAUGGAAGCUCAAUGGAGAAGCUGUUCUGGUAUCAGUAUGCUGAGGCCGGACACCCGGUGCCAAUGAGCGACCAGCUGAAGCAGGUGGUCGAGCUACAUAAGGCGGCCGAUCAGGCCAUGAAGGGCUUUAUAGUCCGGCUGUGGCCUGGCGACGCCCUUCCGAACAGCUUCCUCGGCCUGGUGAGGCGGCUUGUGGAUGCCUGCCCGCGGCUGGAGGUCGUCAAGCGAUCUGUCUACAUUGAGGGUGCACGCCGGGCUUUCGCCCGUGUGAAAUUGCAGUGGGUCAAGCUAGACGCCGUGAAGCUGAUCAAGGAGGGGCCGCCGGAGGGCAAGGAGCACCGCCACCCCGAGAUGUACUACGAGGGUGUUCUGCUGGGUGCCCGUCUCAUAGCGGACGAGUGUUCAAAAGAUGUAAUAUUUGAGUGAGACUUGCUCGUUUUAUCCUGUAUUUAUGAAAACUUGUUUCAUAUGCACUAUGCAACGCUUGUUUGAAUUUAGAAUAUUACCUUCUGUUUGGCCGUUUAUCAAUCUGAGAGAUGGCUAGUCCUCAGCUUCUGCCCCCAUGCCACGAGUGCUGGGGUCUUCGGGAUAAACCUGAGCACUCUUGUUCCCAUAUUUGGGUCCUUGGAGGGAGGUGCUCAGCACAACGAACAAGGAAACCCGACUAAUAAUGCUUUAUCACUCUCACUUAGCGAUAGAAUUCUAUAAUUUUAAAUUUCGGCGAAGCCCCUGGUAUUCGGAAGGCCGAAUUCGGGGCGCGAUACACGCCUUUAAGCCGGACAGGGCCGGCCCCUCGCCCUAAGCGGCAUAAGUCUUUGGGGACUCGAUAACCUCGCCGAACAGCGAUCAGUCUCUCCCCUUAUCAUGACAGUCAGUUUUAGCUUUCUCUACUUAGGUGCCGAACCCAGCAAAACCGGGGCACAAUCGCAGUAGUUCUCCUAGCGCUACCUUAGCCGAUAGAGUGGAACGUAAGGUACCAAAACAUAGGAGCCGGGCAAACCCAACAUUUGACCAAAGACAUGAUUCGGAGCUGAUGCAUAUAAUGCUAUAAGUUUGGGGUGCCGCACUUGUGAAAGUGUUCGGACUUUUCACACCGUAUUGUGGGGUACGUAAGCCCCUGGUGUAUUGGCCGUACCAAAGUGUACGGUUGCAAGGCAUCAUUAAUGAACAUAUAUAUAUAUAUAUAUAUAUAUAUAUAACAAGAGUGCAAUAAUAGUCGUAAUGUCAUGCAUUGUUUAUUCAAAAAAUUACGUUAAAGUAGGGUGAUACAGAUAGUGUGAUAAGCAAAGAGUAGGACUAUGUCCCUUCCCAAGGCAAGCUAAGGAAUGAUAUUAAAUUGAAUAUUUCGCUCGUUACAGUAAUCCACCUAGGAAUUCCGUGGUGUGACGUAGCUAUCUGCCUCCUUGGUUGCUGCAUCGUGUGUUCGGCAAUAGUGCUGCCGGACAGUGUUUCCAGAGGUUAAUGUCCUGAAAAAAAGAGAAAAAUAACCAAACGGGAAGCCCCUAGUGCGGUUUAAGCCGCGUCUUGGGGCGUGCUGCAGUUGUGCCACCCUCCCCACCUGUGCCCAUGGUAUUUUUAAUGCGUAAUUAUGUACGCGUGGCAUGAGUUUCGUCGUUGGGCUGGGAUUGGGGUGGCCGCCUUAUUGCUACGCGAGCUCAGAUCGCGCAAGGCGGUCUAUUUGCCGAUUGCUCCGAGCGCGCUUGAAGGUGUCCGGGCUUUGAAGCGCCGGACUGGUUGAUUGCCUUGAGAGGCUGCUUUGCGCUUCUGCUGCGAGGGCCGCGGUGUGCUCCUCUGUUCGGAGAGAGCACUCUGUGUUUCCAUUGACUGUAAUAACUCCGCGAGGUCCUGACAUCUUGAGCUUGAGGUAUGCAUAGUGCGGUACCGCAUUGAAUCUAGCAAAUGCGGUUCGCUCGAGCAGCGCGUGGUAACCACUGCGGAAUGGGACUAUAUCGAAGAUUAGCUCUUCGCUUCGGAAGUUAUCCGGGGAUCCGAAGACCACUUCCAGUGUAAUUGAGCCUGUGCAAUGGGCCUCUACACCUGGAAUGAGGCCUUUAAAGGUCGUUUUUGUGGGUUUGAUCCUUGAGGGGUCUAUACCCAUUUUGCGCACUAUAUCCUGAUAAAGUAGGUUCAGGCUGCUGCCGCCAUCCAUAAGGACUCGAGUGAGGUGAAAUCCGUCAAUGAUUGGGUCUAGGACUAGUGCGGAAAAUCUACCAUGAUGGAUACUAGUGGGGUGGUCCCUUCGAUCGAAGGUGAUCGGAUAGGAGGACCAAGGGUUGAACUUUGGGGUGACUGGCUCGAACGCAUAUACGUCCAUGAGCGCACGCUUCCGCUCCCUCUUAGGGAUGUGGGUUGCGUAUAUCAUGUUCACCGUCUGCAGUUGCGGGGGAAACCUCUUCUGUCCUUCGAUGUGCGGCUGCCGGGGCUCCUCCUCGUCAUCGCUAUGCGGCCCCUUGUCCUUCUUUUCGGCAAUUAACUUGCGGGCCUGCUUGAACACCCAACAAUCCCUGUUGGUGUGAUUGGCUGGCUUGUCUAGGGUGCCGUGUAUUUGACACGAGCGAUCGAGUAUACGUUCCAAGCUGGAUGGACCUGGCGUACUUUGUUUGAAUGGCUUUUUCCGCUGACCGGGUUUAGAGCCUUUGAAUCCGGCAUUGACUGCCGUAUCCUCGGUAUUUUCGCUGUUAAUGCGGCGGUUAUGUUUGUUGUGACAUGACCUGCUAUUGCCAUCCUUGGUAUCGGAGGUACCAUGGUUCUUUGAUAUGUUAUUACUACGGGCCAGCCAGCUGUCUUCUCCCGCACAAAAGCGGGUCAUGAGCGUCGUGAGAGCUGCCAUAGAUUUCGGCUUUUCCUGACCAAGGUGCCAGGCUAGCCACUCGUCUCGGAUGUUGUGUCUGAAAGCCGCUAAGGCCUCUGCAUCCGGACAGUCGACGAUUUGAUUUUUCUUUGUGAGGAACCAAGUCCAGAAUUGCCUAGCCGACUCUUCUGGCUGCUGAAUUAUGUGGCUCAAGUCAUCGGCGUCUAGUGGUCGCACAUAAGUGCCCUGAAAGUUGUUGAGGAAUGCGGCUUCCAGAUCUUCCCAACAGCUAAUGGAGUCCGCUGGCAAGCUGUUAAGCCAAUGCCGCGCUGGUCCUUUGAGCUUUAGUGGAAGAUAUUUGAUGGCGUGUAAGUCAUCACCGUGGGCCAUGUGGAUGUGGAGGAGGAAAUCCUCGAUCGAUACUGCAGGAUCUGUUGUGCCGUCGUAUGAUUCAAUAUUUACAGGUUUGAAACCUUCUGGGAAUUGAUGAUCCAUUACUUCGUCUCUGAAGCAUAAGGGGUGUGCGGCGCCUCUGUAGUGGGCUAUAUCGCGACGCAGCUCGAAUGGGUCUUGCCCGCUGUGUUCGGCCCGGCCGGAUUUGCUUUUACUGUAUCCGGCGUGACAUUUAUCGUCUCGCAGAGUUGUGCGCCCUCGUGAUCCGUAGAUCGAUCUUGCAUGCUUUGCUUUGUCCUCCAAUAUAUCUCGCAGGUCUGGCGUAUCUCCCCAUGCCUUUUUAUUUGAAUGGCGUCGGGGUGGAGGCUGAGUUUUUGGCUGGACUGCCUCUCUAUCGCGGCCACGAGGUGGCCGAUCCGGGCAGUAACCUGCACUUUGGGUAAUUCUUGGAGGGGUGCUUGAGUUUAUAUUCCUCGGCCGCGAGGACUUCAGUCCAUCUGUUAGUUAAGAGAUCUUGAUCAGCUUGAAGCUGCUGCUGCUUUUUCUUUAGGCUAUUUUCCGUGGCCAUAAGCCGGUGCUUGAAGCGCUCUUGUUCGAUGGGAUCCUCUGGUACAUCGAAUUCAUCAUCGCCGAGGCUUGCCUCGUCUUCGGAGGCGGGCGUGUAAUUGUCAUCCUCCUCCUCUCCGUCUGCCGCUCUUUCAGGAGGGUUGGCUCCUCCAUCCUCCUGCUCUAAAUCUUGCUGGAGGGGAUUAUUGUUGUCUUCGGCACUAUCCGGAGUGUUAUUAUCUCCUGUGCCGGUAUCACCACUUUUGCUUUGGCGGGACUUAGAGCGGCGCCGCUGACAUCGGCGCUUGGGUUGCUUCUUGGAGAGGUCAUCCUCCGUUAUCUCGUCGCCAUUGCCUUCUUUGGGUGUAUCCACCAUGUAUAUGUCGUAUGAUGAUGUGGCUUUCGAGUGCCCUAUGGGCGCUGGUUCAUGUUCAUCUCCUACAUCGUCGUCCAUACCAUCGAUGUCUUCGGAGUCGAAGUCGAGCAUGUCGGUUAAAUUAUCGACAGUGGCUACGAAGUGGGUGGUGGGUGGGCAUCGAAUUUCUUCGUCGUCCGCCUCCCAAUCCUGUUGGCCAUAGUCCGGCCAGGGCUCUCCUGACAAAGAGAGAGACUUUAGUGAAUUCAGAAUGUCACCGAAGGACGAGUGCUGCAAGAUAUCAGCGGCGGCGAAUUCCAUGAUCGGCGCCCAGUCGGAUUCAAUUGGCAGGGGCGCGGACGGUUCGGAGUCCGGAAAAGAGUCCGGCACCUUGGAGUCACGGGCUUUGCAGAGGAUUAGGCUGGUGUUCAACUCGAUCACCGUUGAGACUGCAGCCCCUGAGGCGGUGUCUAGCCACCCGUCCUCGACUGGCGCAGUUGGCUCCGAGCUAAGGGUCAGAGCUGAUGCGGGCGCGGCCUCUGGGGUACUGUCCGGUGGUAGAGCUAGGUCAUACCCAUCGUGACAGUGCAGCGCGCCCGGCUGUGGCUUGAAUCCGUCGAAGAUCAAGUCUCCGAGGAUGUCGGCCGUGUAGUUCAAACUUCCAAAUCUGACCUGAUGGCCAGGGGUGUAGCUUUCAAUCUGCUCCAGAUGGCCAAGCGAAUUAGCCCGUAGUGCAAAGCCGCCGAACACUGGACCGCAUCGUUGUUCAUGAUCGGAGGAGCCAUCGGGCCUAAAGGUGACGACACCGAGGAAAUCUCAAUGGAAGCACCAAUGUCGGUGUCAAAUCCGGCGGAUCUCGGGUAGGGGGUCCCGAACUGUGCGUCUAGGCCGGAUGGUAACAGGAGGCAGGGGACACAAUGUUUUACCCAGGUUCGGGCCCUCUUGAUGGACGUAAAACCCUAUGUCCUUCUUGAUUAAUAUUGAUGAUAUGUGUAGUACAAGAGUAGAUCUACCACGAGAUCAGAGAGGCUAAACCCUAGAAGCUAGCCUAUGGUAUGAUUGUAUACGUCCUACGGACUAAAACCCUCCAGUUUAUAUAAACACCGGAGAGGGUUAGAGUUACACAAGGUCGGUUGCAAAGGAGGAGAUAUCCAUAUCCGUAUUGCCUAGCUUGCCUUCCACGCCAAGUAGAGUCCCAUCCGGACACGGGACGGAGUCUUCAAUCUUGUAUCUUUAUAGUCCAACAGUCCGGCUGUCCGGAGACCCCCUAAUCCAGGACUCCCUCACCCCCACUCCCUAUCGAACCCUAGCCCAAUCGCCCCACCUCCCCCACACCCCCUCGCCAGCCUCCCCACCUCUUGAUCCCAUCUGGAUCGGGGAGGGGAUCACCCCCAUCGACCCCGUCGCCGUCGCCGGAUCGCCCGUCAGCGUCGCCAGGCCUCCUCCCCGCCGCCCGUCUCCGGCUCGCCUCCCCUCUCGCUCCUCUUUCCCGACCCGAUCAGGAUCGUGAACGAGCAAUGAGCGCGACGCCCCCCCUUCAUCGGCGCCAUCACCGUGCGCCACCACCACCGCCUGAAGACCUCGCCGUCGCUGACCUUGUGUCGUCUCCUGGUAUCCCUUCCCGACUCGCGUCCUCAAGCCAGGCCGACCCCCUUCUCGGCAAUGCUGUGAGACGCCCCCCGUUUCCCUCCUCUUUCCACCGUGUUCACCGCGCCGCCUGACGAAGCUACGUACCUAGGGUAGGGGCAUGGACCUGUCCUAAGAGCCCUACCCAAGGACAUCCCUGGAAGAAGUCACCUUUCAAUCGACUUGAAGGUACCCACUCGACGGGUUUAAGACACUCGACCAAGAAGCUACCACUCGACAUGAAGCCAAUCACUCGACUGCCAGGAGAUCUAAAGUCAUUCCACGGGCAAACGGUCGGCUAUUAAGUAGUCUUUAUGGUCAUUAUAGCACUUUAUUACCAGCAUUACCAGUAACGCCCCGCCUUAAUGUACAUUGAACCCUUGGUAACGUAGGCUGGCCGGGGUCCUGGCGCGCUCUAUAUAAGUCACCCCCUCCUCCGAGACAAGGGUUCGCACCUCUAUUGUUCACAUGCCUAUAAUCCAAUCGACCGCCUCCGGGCACUGAGACGUAGGGCUGUUACUUCCUCCGCGAAGGGCCUGAACUCGUACACCUUGGUGUGUUUACAACUUCCCAAUAGCUGAGAUCUAGCCUCUCCAUACACACCCCCCUACAUCACUGUCAGAGUUAGAACCACAAUAGUUGGCGCCCACCGCGGGGCCAGAAUCUUAGCGCUUACUUGGAGAAGUUGCGAUUCUUCUGAUCCCUUUGAUCAUGGUUUCAUGCGGAGUUUUGGUGGAGGGGCGCGAGAUCCGUCUCGGCGCGCUCACAUUCAUCGCCGACGACUCCGCUUGGUUUCAGGAGGCUCCACUCGACAUCGACGUGCUCCCCGUCCGUGGUGCGACGCACUUCCGCGCAUGCGUUCGUGGCGUCCUCCUGCGGCAGCCGUCGACCCAGUAUCGGUCGGCCCUCGUGUCGUCUCCCCGCUCUGUCUCCCUCCGACGCAAGCGCUUUGGUAGGUCGAGACUUUAGAGGUGGGUGAGGCAUGCCGUGGCUCGCCAGUCGGCCGCCCCACAAGUCGCGGCAAUCGAGCCCGACAAAUCCCUCUGCAGCCUGUUCGACUGGCUCCGCGGAGACUUCAUCCGAGUGUGACAGCAGAGACCCAGCGGCUGAGGUUCUGGCGGUCGAUGGGACACACUGUCCUCCCGGUUUCCCUCGCGCUAAUGGAGGCGCGGGUGGGGGCGACCCGUCGCAUCCCCACGAUGAGUAUCUCCCCGAAUGUCUCACGGCAUCGCAGCGAGAGGAACUUCACCGCCGGAACAUAGACGCACUCCACACUCCUAUCGUCGGAGAAACCCCCGAGGCCCGGGCCUUGGAGGACGCGCGCUUGGCUAACUUGGCUGAGCGCACUCGACUGGAGAAUCUCCAGCUAAUACUCGAUGAGCAAGCGCGCCAGUGAGCUCCCGAGUCCAGUCGACGUCAGCUCUUUCCGCCGAUGCAGGUAUAUUGAACCCUAGUUCAGAAUUUGGCCGCCGCGGCCCGUAUAGCAGAGUCAAUUCAGCCCUCCCAGUCAGAGGCUGGCAGGGGCUUGUUGCAGAUCAGAGCAUUGCUCCGGGCGGCGGGGAACCAGAAUUCCGCUGUUUCUCAGUCGCAGAAUAGGAUCCACAGUCGAUCCGUUGCAACAGAUACAGUCCAGUCGGCUCACAGCCCGAGAUCGCCCCCGAGGCGUGAGGGACAUGGAGACCGGCACGAUCAGUACAGAAGAAAUGAGCAGUAUGAUCACCGAUUCGAUCGUGAGGAUCGACGUCGAGUGCCAACCCCUCCCCCGAGGAGUGGGUCAUAUGCGCCUCGAUAGCGAGAUGACAGGCGCCCUCAUAGUGUUGGGCAGAGGAUUCCAGUCGACCCCAGGGACCCAGGCUUUGAUGCGAGAUCCAUCCUUGAUCAAGGUCUGGUUGACAGGAACGGGGCUCACCGAGAAUGCCAGGACAGAGAUGCGCCUGCCAGCAGCAGAGUGCGUGUUUCAGGGACAGAGUGUUUCAGUCGAGCCAUCAGAGCCACAGUGAUUCCUCCCAACUUCAGGUUGGCGACUGGAGUCAGCUAGUUCACCGGUGAGUCUAAGCCUGACACUUGGCUCGAAGAUUACCGAGUGGCUGUACAGAUUGGCAGUGGCAAUGAUGAGGUGGACAUGAAGCAUUUGCCUCUCAUGUUAGAGGGCUCAGCCAGAGCAUGGCUAAAUCAGUUAGUGCCCAGCAGCAUUUACACUUGGGAGGACCUCUCCCGAGUGUUUGUCACAACCUUUGAGGGAACAUGCAAGCGACCUGCAGGCCUUACAGAGUUGCGGUCUUGCACGCAGAAACCGAAUGAAACGCUGAGGGAUUACAUCCAGAGGUGGAUCACAUUGCAUCACACAGUUGAGAAUGUUCCAGAUCAUCAAGCAGUUUGUGCCUUCAAAGAAGGCGUUAAGUACAGAGAAUUGAAUCUGAAGUUCGGUCGAACUGGAGAGAUGUCUCUGAAUCGGAUGAUGGAGAUUGCCACCAAAUACGCUAAUGGUGAAGACGAAGAUCGCCUCCGGAGUGGCAAGCGCAAGGCAGUCGCCCAAGAAACCGGAGGAAACUCCAGUCAGAAACAGAAGCGGAAGGCUGAGCCAGCCGCCCCUGGGGAGGCCCUGGCCGUAACCCAGGGAAAUUUCAAGGGAAAACCCAAGGGCCCCUGGAAGCCCAAGAAAGUCAAGGAUCAAGAUGGAAAUGAUGUUUUGGAUCUGCCAUGUCACUCCACACCAAGAAAGAUGAAGAGGGUAAUUUUAUUUACCCAAAGCAUACCACUCGACAGUGCCAGCUCCUGAUCCAGCAGUUUCAGGGCAAGCAACCCAAAGAUAAGGAAAAAGAGCCAGACAGAGUUGAGGACAAGGAUGAUAGUGACGAUGGAUACCCCCAAGUCAAUUCCACCCUGAUGAUUUUUGCUGAUGUCGAAAGCAAAAGUCGACUGAAAGUCAUUAAUCGUGAAGUGAAUAUGGUUGCUCCGGCAACACCUAGUUAUCUGAAGUGGUCUCAGGCUGCCAUAACAUUCGACCAGUCUGAUCACCCUACGCACAUUGCCACCCCUGGGAGGCAAGCUUUGGUGGUCGACCCAGUUGUCGAAGGCACUCGACUGACCAAAGUCCUGAUGGAUGGUGGCAGUGGCCUGAACAUACUGUAUGCUAAAACAUUGAAAGGGAUGGGCAUUCCGAUGUCCGGGCUCAGUACCAGCAACAUGAGCUUCCACGGAGUCAUUCCCGGGAAGUAAGCCGAAUCACUCGGCCAGAUUGCUCUUGAUGUGGUUUUCGGUGAUUCAAAGACUUACCGCAAGGAAAAGUUGACAUUCGAGGUUGUGGACUUCCAAAGUGCUUAUCAUGCCAUUUUGGGCAGACCAGCUUAUGCACGCUUCAUGGCCUGACCAUGUUAUGUGUAUCUCAAAUUGAAGAUGCCUGGUCCUAAAGGUGUGAUCACUGUUACAGGCAAUCGGAAGAAGGCAGAAGAGUGUUUUCAGAAAGGCUCAAAGAUUGCUGACGCUCAGAUGGCAGUGGUUGAGCUGCAAGAGUAUCAGAAGACUGCAGAUCCGAGUGAGUUGCUACGAGCUAAGAAGCCCACUUCGGAGUCAGCUUUUCAGUAGUCUGGUGAAAUGAAGGCAGUUCACAUUCACCCGACCAACCCCGAGGCUGCCCCGACUCACAUCUCAAAGACGCUCGACUCCAAAUAGGAAGAAGUGCUCAUCCAGUUCCUCCGUGAGAACUGGGACAUCUUCGCAUGGAAGCCUUCUGACAUGCCUGGAAUAACCAGGGGGCUGGCUGAGCACCGUCUACGAGUCGACCCAAAGUUCAAGCCUAUGAAAGAACAUCUUCGACGGUCCGCCGUCCAAAAGAGGAAAGCUAUUGGCGAGGAGGUGGCUCGGCUCUUAGCAGCAGAGUUCAUCCGAGAGAUGUACCACUCUGAGUGGCUCGCCAAUGUUGUCAUGGUCCCCAAGAAGGACAAGUCGCUUCGCAUAUGCAUCGACUUUAAACAUAUCAAUCGGGCCUGCCCGAAAGAUCAUUUUCCUCUCCCUCGCAUCGACCAAAUAGUCGACUUGACCGCGGGGUGUGAGCGAUUGUCUUUUCUAGACGGCUAUUCCGGGUACCAUCAGAUCCGUCUGUAUGGACCCGAUGAGAUCAAAACAGCUUUCAUCACUCCAUUCGGGUGCUUCCGUUAUGUCACCAUGCCCUUCGGCCUCAAGAACGCUGGAGCCACGUUCAUGAGGAUGAUUCAGAAGUGUUUGCUCACUCAAAUCAGUCGGAACGUGGAAGCAUACAUGGAUGAUAUUGUGGUCAAGUCGCGGAAAGGUUCCGACCUGCUGACUGACCUUGCUGCAACCUUUGCCAACCUUAGGAGGUAUGAUAUCAAGCUUAAUCCAUCAAACUGCACAUUCGGAGUUCCGGGUGGAAAGUUACUCGGUUUUCUCGUUUCCGAAUGAGGAAUCAACGCCAAUCCCGAGAAAGUUGGCACCAUACUCCGGAUGAAGCGCCCUGUGCGUGUGCACGAUGUCCAGAAGCUUAUGGGUUGCUUGGCCGCUCUAAGUCGAUUCAUUUCUCGUCUCAGUGAAAAGGCAUUGCCUCUUUACCGACUGAUGAAGAAGUCUGACAAGUUCGAGUGGACUCCAGAAGCUGAUGCAGCGUUUGCAGACCUCAAAGCUCUGCUCUCCACCCAGCCGGUGCUUGCUGCCCCAAUCAGUAAAGAGCCUUUGCUGCUUUACAUUGCAGCCACAGGACAAGUUGUCAGUACAGUACUUAUGGUCGAGCGGGAAGAUGAAGGAUAGGCCUUCAGAGUUCAACGCCCAGUAUAUUAUGUGUCUGAAGUUUUGACACCUUCAAAACAAAGAUAUCCUCAUUAUCAGAAGCUUGUAUACGGGAUUUAUAUGACCACGAAGAAGGUUGCACAUUACUUCUCUGACCACUCCAUUACAGUCGUCAGCGACGCCCCACUGUCAGAGAUUCUGCAUAACAGAGAUGCAACUGGUCGAGUGGCGAAGUGGGCGAUUGAACUCCUUCCCCUAGAUAUCAAGUUUGAAGCAAAUAAGGCUAUCAAGUCCCAAGCAAUUGCAGAUUUCAUCACCGAGUGGAUCGAACAGCAGCUUCCGACUCAAGUUCACCCGGAGCACUGGACCAUGUUCUUCGAUGGAUCUAAGAUGCUGAAUGGUUCCGGUGCUGGGGUAGUAUUGGUCUCCCCCCGAGGAGAUAAGCUCAGAUAUGUUCUCCAGAUUCACUUUGAUUCCUCCAAUAAUGAAGCAGAAUAUGAAGCACUUUUGUAUGGGUUGCGCAUGGCCAUUUCACUUGGCGUCCGUCGCCUCAUGGUCUAUGGCGACUCAGAUUUGGUGGUUAAUCAGGCGAUGAAGGAGUGAGACGUCAGAAGUCCGGCAAUGACUGGUUAUUGCAAUGUAGUGAGAAAGCUAGAAAAGAAAUUCGAGGGGUUAGAGCUUCAUCACAUCCCCCGACUGAAAAAUCAGGUAGCUGACGAUUUGGCAAAGAUAGGCCCCAAGAGAGAAGCCAUUCCCAGCAACGUGUUCCUGGAACACAUUCAUUCGCCAUCAGUCCAAGAAGAUCCUUUUACAGAAGAAGCCCCGCAGCCGAAAAGUGCCACAGAUCCGACUGAAGUCGAAGUCCCUGCUGUGGUCGACCUAAUCAUGGAAGUCUUCGCAAUCACUCCCGACUGGACGAUACCGUACAUCGCGUAUAUCCUAAGGAAAGAACUCCCGGAGGACGAGGAAGAGGCUCGACAGAUCGUCCGCCGAUCCAAAGCCUUCACAGUCACAAGGGGACAGUUGUAUAGAGAAAGCGCGACUGGGAUCGGUCAGAAGUGCAUAACACUAGAAGAGGUUCAGAUAAUCCUUGACGACAUCCACUCGCGGACCUGUGGUCACCAUGCGUCUUCUCGGACCAUUGUGGCUAAAGCAUACCGAGCGGGAUUUUACUGGCCAAGAGCAAAUGAGAUGGCAAAAGAGAUAGUCGACCAGUGUGGAGGGUGCUAGUUCUACUCCAACAUGUCACACAAGCCUGCGUCAGCCCUGAAGACCAUUCCACUCGUCUGGCCCUUUGCUGUCUGGGGACUGGACAUGGUUGGUCCACUAAGAACAGGCAGGAGCGGUUUCACUCAUGUGCUUGUGGUAGUCGACAAGUUUACCAAAUGGAUUGAGGCUAAGCGCAUCAAGAAUCUUGAUGCUUGCACUACUAUCAGUUUCGUCAGAGGGCUAACAUUCAGAUAUGGAGUCCCGCAUAGCAUCAUCACUGACAAUGGGUCAAACUUUGAUUCGGACAAGUUCAGAGCUUUUUGCGCCUCUCAAGGCACACGAGUCGACUACGCAUCGGUCGCCCAUCCCCAGUCGAAUGGACAAGCAGAGAGAGCAAAUGGUUUGAUUCUCAAAGGACUAAAGCCUCGACUGAUGCGCGAUCUCAAGCACGCGGCAGGUGCUUAGGUCGACGAGCUUCCGUCAGUUCUGUGGGGAUUGAGGACCACCCCGAACCGGUCGACUGGAGGAACUCCAUUCUUUCUGGUUUAUGGAGCCGAGGCAGUUCUGCCGAGUGAUCUUCUUCACAACGCACCCCGAGUCGAACUUUAUACCGAAGAUGAAGCAGAACAAGCCCGGCAAGACGCAGUCGACCUACUAGAAGAAGAGAGGGAGAUGGCCAUGAUCAGAUCGACCAUUUAUCAGCAAGACUUGCGUCGAUUCCACGCUAGGAAUGUGAAGAGUCGAGCCUUCCAAGAAGGAGAUUUGGUCCUCCUAGUGGAUCAACAGAAACCACACAAGCUUGCUCCUACUUGGGAAGGCCCCUUCAUCGUCACCAGAGUCCUCCACAAUGGAGCGUAUCACCUCUACAAUGUUGAUCGCCAGAUCGAUGAGCCGCGAGCUUGGAAUGCGGAACUGCUCCGCCCCUUUUACACUUGAGUUCUCCCUUGGACGAGAUGUAAUAAGAAAAAAUUUCUGCAGUUCAUUUUUAUCAAAGGCAAGAGUGUUCCAAUAAUUGCUGUCACUUUUGUUUGCAUACGAAAUCCCCCAGUGGGUGACUUAGCUGCGAAUCCGUUUCGCCUAAGUUUGAAAAAUCCUACCGAGUGGAGAGCCAGAUUCCCACUCGGGGGCUUAGCUCCAGCCCAGUGCUUGCCUAAGUGUUCAAAAAUCCUACCAAGUGAGAGCAAUCCUCCCACUUGGGGGCUUAGCUGCAGUCCAGUACUCGCCUAAGUUCUCCCACUUAGAGACUUAGCUGCAGUCAGGCACUCGCCUAAGUUUGAAAAAAUCCUACCGAGUGGAGAGCAAUCCUCCCACUCGAGGGCUUAGCUGCAGUCCAGUACUCGCCUAAGUUCUCCCACUUAGAGACUUAGCUACAGUCAGGCACUCGCCUAAGUUUGAAAAAAUCCUACCGAGUGGAGAGCAACCCUCCGACUCGGGGGCUUAGCUGCAGUCCAGUACUCACCAAAGUUCUCCCACUUAGAGACUUAGCUANNNNNNNNNNNNNNNNNNNNNNNNNNNNNNNNNNNNNNNNNNNNNNNNNNNNNNNNNNNNNNNNNNNNNNNNNNNNNNNNNNNNNNNNNNNNNNNNNNNNNNNNNNNNNNNNNNNNNNNNNNNNNNNNNNNNNNNNNNNNNNNNNNNNNNNNNNNNNNNNNNNNNNNNNNNNNNNNNNNNNNNNNNNNNNNNNNNNNNNNNNNNNNNNNNNNNCUCUCCUUCCGAGCUACGCCACAAGUACAACAUGCGCUCUGCAAGGAGGACGAGGUGCAGGUCGACUGCUACCCUCUCCUUCCGAGCUACGCCACCAAUUCAAAAUCCUACUGAGUGGAGAGCAAACCUCCCACUCGGGGGCUUAGCUGCAGCCCAGUGCUCGCCUAAGUAUUUGAAAUCCUACCGAGUGGAGAGCAAACCUCCCACUCAGGGGCUUAGCUGCAGCNNNNNNNNNNNNNNNNNNNNNNNNNNNNNNNNNNNNNNNNNNNNNNNNNNNNNNNNNNNNNNNNNNNNNNNNNNNNNNNNAAAUCCUACCGAGUGGAGAGCAAACCUCCCACUCGGGGGCUUAGCUACAGCCCAGUGCUCGCCUAAGUAUUUAAAAAUCCUACCGAGUGGAGAGGAAACCUCCCACUCGGGGGCUUAGCUGCAGCCCAGUGCUCGCCUAUGUGUUUAGAAAUCCUACCGAGUGGAGAGCAAACCUCCCACUCGGGGGCUUAGCUGCAGCCCAGUGCUCGCCUAAGUGUUUAGAAAUCCUACCGAGUGGAGAGCAAACCUCCCACUCGGGGGCUUAGCUGCAGCCCAGUGCUCGCCUAAGUGUUUAGAAAUCCUACCGAGUGGAGAGCAAACCUCCCACUCGGGGGCUUAGCUGCAGCCCAGUGGUCGCCUAAGUGUUUAAAAAUCCUACCGAGUGGAGAGCCAGACUCCCACUCGGGGGCUUAGCUGCAGCCUAGCGCUCGCCUAAGUGUUUAAAAAUCCUACCGAGUGAGAGCAAACCCCUCACUCGGAGGGCUUAGCUGCAGCCCGGUGCUCACCUAAGUACAGGACACAACCCAAUCCGCAAGAAGUUACGCCACAAAUACAAGGUUAUUCCGAGUGAAGAUCAAGUUGCACUCGACAGAUCAAACCAUGAAGAUAUCCAACGAGAAAUCAAGUUCGGAUAAAGCCUAAAGGUCCCAGACCUCAGAUCAAAGUACUCGAGCCCUCGGCUCGGCAGAGUUUAACGGUUACAAAUCCACUCAGCAUUCCGAGGCAAAUUUAAAGUGAAGCACGACGAACUCGUCCAAGUCGAUCCCGUCUGCAAUACGAGUGGCAGCAGCGAUGAAAGUCUCCAUGAAGUCUUGAAAGCUGUGCUUCCUGGUAUUGGCAACUUGGAUGGCGGCCGGCUUUUCUUCUCGCGCCUCCUUGCAAUGGACGCGGACCAGAGACAGAGCGACAUCAGCACCACAUCUAGCAGAAGAUUUCUUCCAUUCCGCCACUCAACCCGGGACUUCAUUCUGUCGAGCCAUCAGAGACUCGAGGUCGUUCUGAAGCAUCAUCCCAGGCCAGAGUGAUGUGUCAAUCCGCGACAUCGCAACCUUCAGUCGAGCAAGAUAGUCAACAACACUGGUAACACGAGACUCCAGUCGGAGCACGUUCAUAGCAGCUUCAUCCUUCACGAGAGAAUUGGCGGGGUCCAAGCCUGGCUCCACUCGACUGGUUUCCUCUUCGAAGUUCUGGCAGAAUUCUGCAAACACGAUUCAAGAGUCAGACAUUGGCUCUACACAGGCUUGGCAACUGCAAGACAGUCGGGGCAGAGUAAUUACCUUCGAGCAUGACGAACAGCUUCUUGGUGAGUCCACCGAGAUAAGCCUCCAGAUCAUUUACCUUCCCCGCCAGCUUACCCGCCUGGUCGUGUAGAACCAUCUUUUCAUUCUUCAGUCGGCUGACCUCUUGAUUAGCUGUCUCGAGAGCAGUUUUCAGCCUCGAGUUCUCCUGUUCAAGAGUUCCGACCGAAGCCAUUUUCUCUUCUCCAAGCUUCGUUCUGCUCAAGGCCUCCUUCUGUGAUUCUGCAAGAUCUUGAUCCUUCUUCUUCAGAGCUUCUUCCAGUUUAUCUGCGGCACGUCGAGUGAAAUCAACAUCAAGAAUGGACAAGCAAGAAAAAUCACUCGUCAAGAAUGGAGAACCUCACCAGCCAUACCUUUUGCUUCUUCUUGCGCCUUCCUCAAAUUCUCUUGAGCAAGCUUCAAGUUAAGGUUGAGCUGGAUCUGCUUAUUCUCCAACUCAGUAUAGCGAGCUACAAGUUCACAGGAUUUCUGCAAAAAGAAAAAUCAGUGGACAGACGUCCAAGAUAAGUUGCUUCCCAAUAACUAAAAGACAACGAUGGCGUUUCUAAGACUAUAGCCGAAUCUAAAACAUUCGACAGUAGUCUCGGGGACUACACCCAGUGGGUGCACUCUGCGUGCCCCCAUUGUAAAAAAAGUCGACUGCCCGCAGUCGACCGGAUACAGUUCCAUUCGACAUGGCCUGACCAGACCGAAUGAAGAAAUACAGCUACAACAACACAAUAUAAAGACUACAGUCGACUGCCAGCAGUCCACCAUAGUCUCGGGGACUACACCCAGUGGGUGCACUUAGCGUUCCCCCACUCGUCCAAGAAUUGGCAGACACACCCAGUGGGUGUACAGAUAUAAAGAUCUUCAAAAAAAAAGAUUCUUCAAACAGCAUAUCGUAACAGACCAAGUGUUGAGUCGACUGACCUGGACGUUACUCUGAAGAGCCGAACUCGCGUCAUAAGCCGCUUGGCUGGCCUCCCAAGCCGCUUUCACUUGUUCCAUCAUAAUCCCCGCCUGGCGUAUGGCCUCUUUUGCAGCAGCUGCUUGGUCCUCAGGGACGGGGUACGUGGCAAAAAGCGAAGGCGGAUCCGCAGUCGACGUCAAGGGCCGCACCCUCGUCAGAGGAAUGGCGAAAGUCACAGAAGCCCGAGUGGUUUCACCACCGUCUCGGGCUACGGCCUCAGGCGCCGGAGUGGAUUGUGGGGUCUCGCCAGCCGACGCUCCCCUGUUCCUUCUCACUCUCAGCGGCACGUCAUCGUCGUCAUCCGGAAGGUUGAUAACAUGAUAAGGAGCUACAAGAAAAAAUUCAAUCGACCAGAGUUGCAAUAAGUGUCCAGUCGACUGAAGGCAGAACAUCAGUAAUCAUACCAGGGUGGAGGUAACAGCAUCCUCCAUCUCUUGGUCGUCGUCCUUGGCAGAGACCUCCGAAGUAGGAGCACUGCAAAUCUCGAAAGUCAGUCAGUUGGCUCAAUGAAUCGACCAAGGAUCUGUCCACGGUCGACAAAGGAAAACAAGUUUUGUUAUUACCCAGAAAUGGUGGGGACAGCCAUCUUCAUCUUGGGCAGAGCCUUGGGCGGCUUGGACGGCGUCGCGCGUGGGUGCUUGGGAGCCUUUCCAGUCAGCGUAGGAGAAGAGGUUCGAGGGCGUUUCGACAACUGCCCAACAGGAGCAGUCGCCUACCACGUUCCCGCGCUGGAUCAUGUGUGAGCUUGGAUCGCCUCUCCCGGUGGGGGGGGGGGGGGGGUCAACCUCCUCCUCCUCCUCUUCGCUGGAGUUGACGUCGUCGUCUCCCUCUCCUUCGCCAUCGGACUCCCACUCGCCUUGAUCGUCUCCACUCUCACAUCCGCUCGCCUCCCCUUCCUCAGUUGGCUCCUGUGCCCCGUUGGGUGUCGAGUACAUCUCAGUAGUCGCCUGGAAAACAACAGACAAGACAAAAGUUAGUCGACCAAUUCAAAGAAGACCAAUGAAGAAAACAAGAUUUCAAUCGGGAGCGUAAAGUCAGACCUGGUCCACUUCGUAUUGUUGUCGAGUGGAGAAACCCUCCUGGCGCCUCGGGGGUUGUCUUUGUUUCCUGUGAUGCUCGUCAGCCACCCCUCCAACAUCUCAUCAGUGACCUCCUCCGGGUGGAUCCGAGUGGUGUCUUCGAGGCCCGAGUACAGCCACAUCGGGUGGCCGCGAGCCUGGAGCGGUUGGAUGCGCCUCCGAAGAAAGACCUCCAGCAAGUCCAUGCCAGUCACGCCAUCACGGACGAGCUGAACCACUCGACCAACCAGCACUUUGAAUUGGGUCUUUUCUUCUGGCGUCACUUUCAGAGAAGCAGGUUUUUGAGCUCGGUCGAGAGAGAAAUGGGGAAGCCCGGUCGACUGUCCUGGGGUCACCUGGUCUUUGCAGUAAAACCAGGUCGCCUGCCAACCACGGACCGACUCUGGGAAAAUGAUAGAUGGAAAACAACUCUUUCCCCUCGUCUGGAUCGCGAGGCCCCCGCACAGCUGGAUCACUUGCGUCCUUUCCUCACUCGACUUGGCCUUCUUGACCGAUUGGGAGCGGCAAGUAAAGAUGUGCUUAAAGAGCCCCCAAUGGGGGCGGCAACCCAGGAAACCCUCACACAAGGAAAUGAAGGUAGCAAGGUACACGAUAGAGUUGGGAGUGAAGUGGUGGAGCUGCGCUCCGAAGAAAUUUAGAAAACUCCGGAAAAAAGGAUGAGGAGGCAGAGAAAACCCUCGAUCGAUGUGGGUGGUGAGAAGGACACACUCACCAUCACGGGGUUGAGGCUCGACUUCUCCCCCCUGGAGACGCGCAGCCUCGUAAGGAAUGACUCCCCCCUCAACCAUAUCGUCGAGGUCUUCCUGCCGAAUCACCGACGGCAUCCAAUCGCCCUGGAUCCAGCCUCUGGGCAGAGCAGUCCUUGAGGAAGAUCCGCCCCAAGCGGACUUCUUCCCUUUCCCCUGCACCGACGCCUUCUUCGCGCGCUCCAGAGCAGACGUCUUGCCCUUCACCAUCGUCGCCGGCGAAUCUCAAACGGGUCUGCGGCGCUAGGGUGAGAGCGGAGGUGGCGGAGGACUUCGCGAAGGGAGAAAGAAGAGAAAGAAGAGAAAGGAGAGAGCACUGUUCGGGAACCCGAGCAGGCGGCUUAUAAGAGGCCGCUCCUGAGUGGCUGACUGGUAGGCCCAGGCUAUCCCGUCAAAUCCCGCAGUAGACGCGCGCGCAGCUCGUGGCGGAAAAGGUGGCACGGGAAUCGAGGAGCUUCUGCCUUAUCACAUCCGAUUACUGCGGCCGCGCCCGUCCCGCUCGCUCCCCGAUGUUCAAAUCCCGCGAAAUCCGCGGGCUGCGGAACAACUCAUCAAAUAGAAGAUCCCUCUCGUGCCGGCACUCGGUAUUUCACAAGUAAGGAAAUUCACUCGACGGGAGACCAAGAAUGGAUCAAGGCGACCGAAAGAAGUUGACAACGUCAUCCUUGGCGAUAGAUCUAGUACAAGACGUCCAUAUGACGCUAAAAACCAGUCGGAAGGACCCCCAACUCCUUCCCCACUCGAACCUCGAUCCAUUCGGGGGCUAAUGACGAAGCUACGUACCUAGGGUAGGGGGAUGGACCUGUCCUAAGAGCCCUACCCAAGGACAUCCCUGGAAGAAGUCACCUUUCAAUCGACUUGAAGGUACCCACUCGACGGGUUUAAGACACUCGACCAAGAAGCUACCACUCGACACGAAGCCAAUCACUCGACUGCCAGGAGAUCUAAAGUCAUUCCACGGGCAAACGGUCGGCUAUUAAGUAGUCUUUAUGGUCAUUAUAGCACUUUAUUACCAGCGUUACCAGUAACGCCCCGCCUUAAUGUACAUUGAACCCUUGGUAACGUAGGCUGGCCGGGGUCCUGGCGCGCUCUAUAUAAGCCACCCCCUCCUCCGAGACAAGGGUUCGCACCUCUGUUAUUCACACGCCUAUAAUCCAAUCGACCGCCUCCGGGCACCGAGACGUAGGGCUGUUACUUCCUCCGCGAAGGGCCUGAACUCGUACACCUUGUUGUGUUUACAACUUCCCAAUAGCUGAGAUCUAGCCUCUCCAUACACACCCCCAACAUCACUGUCAGAGUUAGAACCACGACACCGCCUGCCGUGCCCCUCGCCGCACGCCCACCACCGCGCCAGCCCCCACUCUGUGGACGACCCUAGCCGCGCCCGCGCCGUGAUCCCCUUUUCCGCCCUACCUUCCCGCACUCGCCGCGGUCCCGAUGCUCCCCCGCGCCCUCUUUCAGGGGCGCCGACUGCCCCUGUCCCAUUACUCGCCGCCGCGCCUCGCCACCGCUCUACUGCUACGUUACUACUGCGCUGCGGCCGCCGCCUCUUCCCGCUGCUCCGCUAGCGCCGAAGCUCCCGGCUGGCUCUGCCACUGGUCACGUUUAACUACCGGUCUAAAUGGCCUAACCUCCCGGCAAAUGAACCCCCAGUAACCCACUGACACCGGGAGCCACAUCCCCUAAUUAACCAUUAAUAAAUUAAAACUCUUAAAUUAACAUUAGUGUAUGACAUGUGCGUCCCCUGUUAAUUAAUAAUUUACAUUAGUGUAUGACAUGUGCGUACCCUGUUAAAUAAACUGAUUUAAUUAAAAUCUAUUAACUUCGAGUCUAUGACAUAUCACUACUUGGGAAAAUCCUAGCAGUAGCGUGGGUAUUUUUCCUAUCAGUUGCGCCGGAUACCGCUCUACUGAUAAGGCACUACAGCUAACAUGUAGCAGUAAUGCGUGUCAUCCAACGCUACUGCUGUACAUGGCUAGCAGUAGCGAGCUUUAGUGCAAAGCGCUGCUGCUAAUAUCUGCAGCGCUUUUCAGCAUGAAGUGAUACUGGUAAGGGACCUCUACUACUAACUUUAUUCCCCUCGCUACUGCUAGUUUUAUUAGUUUCUGUUUUUUUCUGCAUAUUUCUUUUGUAUUUGAACAGGCUUUAUACAAUAAUAUUUAGCGUAUCAUACACAUACAAAUGUAAUCAUAGCAUAUACAUACAAAUAGUCUCGUCAAAUCAUGUCAUCAUCAUAAUCAUCAUCCAUCACAAAGUGGUCUCUCGUCAUCAUCUCUAAAAUAGCGAUACAAGUCUCGAUUACUUGCAACUACAUUGUCAUCCGUCUAAACAAUGAUAUACGCGAGAAGAGCUAUCACUAUGAGUGAGAGCGGAACUAUGCAGUACAUGAGUUUGUAUCCCUCUCUCGCAUUAGCGUGAACCUAAACUAACUACUAGUUGUCGCUCGGAAACCAGAAACCGGUACACCUGGGCCUGACACUCCGUCCACUCAUCUUAUACUCCUGGCGUAGCACUUCUGUGCCAUCGAUGAUCUAUGCACCUGCAUCGUCACAUGAGUCGAUGAUAUGCAACAUAUAUAGUUGAGCAAUAGAAACAGACAGACUUGGCAAAAAUAGAAGCAACAUAUCAUAAGCAUAAAUAACAAAGUUCAUCAUACCCAAAAUGCCCUAACUAGAGUGAUCUUCGCUAGUCGAGGAGGACGGUUUAAUUACAUCACAAAUAAUGUUUCAUCUUGCAUAACUCAAAGUGCCAUCAUACAGAAAGUAUGAACUAAACGGACACAUUGUCAUAUGUCGACAAUCACUCCAACAUGUCGUGCCAUCGAUCCAAGUCAAGGAGAUAGUCCCCGAGCUUAGUGAAAGGCUUCAGGUUGAGACGCUGAGCGGCAACGCGUGUUCGGACGUCUUCCCUCGACAUUUUUCCUUCUUCAUAGAACAUCCCUGUUUUUUCGAUGACCUCCCUCAUGAUGAUUUGGGCAAGUUCGCACUGGAAGUGAUAGAACUCAUCUUGAAGUCGAUGAUCCUCGAUAUCUCCUAAGUUCUUUGCCCAUUGCAGAAUAUGGGCAUCGCCGAAUCUAGGUGUCAUGCAAAGGUUCUGGUGAUCCCGUAUGUACUCCAUCAUGUGGUGUAGGACAUAGAAUCCAUCAUUAAGAGAAUCACUCAGUUGCUGGAUACAGCAGAAGCCGGUCUUAUGGCCGAAGGCGGGCCUGCCGUCCCUUUUCUUCUUGUCCUUGACCUCUCCACCCCGUGCACCGUAGUAAAACAUAGCACCGUCGAGAACAUACUUGAUGUGGGUGUAAUCCUUUUUUUUAAUGUUCUUCGAUGAGUCCAAGUAAAGAGCGUGGGAGUAUCGGGGGUAGAGGAUGAUGAGGAUGGUGCACCCGCCGCUGCGCAAAAUAAGUACACCUCAAAUUAAUUAGCCUCCACCGUGCAAAUGAAUGAUUGAAAUCGUAGGAAGGAUAUCCGCGUGGAUGACUUACAGGGGAUGAUAAGGCACAAGAAUCACCUCCUUGUCCUUAUUGGCACGCAUGAAAUUGACGAUGUAUUCCUCGCGUAUUCACGGUGCUUUGCGUGGACUCACAAGAAGACCUCGUGCAUGAAGUACCGAUCAGUGACACAGAUAUGAGGUAUUUGCUCAACCCCGAUGAGGUAGUUCAUGUGCAAGGCAUAAAGGUGGACGAAUGUAAAAUCCAGCUUCUUUAAGUGAAACAUGUCGAAGAUGUAAUCCAAUCGAAGGAAGAACUUGUUCGAGGGGAAUGUGUCGAUGUACGACAAUUGCAGCGACACGUUAACCACGGAGAGUGGGUAUGCUGGAUUUUUUGAGGCAAUGAGGCCUUUCUCUAUCAGCAACACAUCAUCAUGAAGUCUCCUUAUAUCGCCAAAUCAGGCCCCUAGCGCUGCUUUAGGUAGGAUUGGUUAACCGGGGAUACGCCAUAUUGCCGCACCGAGGAUAUCUAUACGGUCUUGAACCCGAGCCUGCUGAGGUGGCUGGAUCAUAGAAGCACCUUUGUUUCCUUUCCUCGGUGUCUUCCUUGGCUUCUUUGCUACCGGAAAGUCGUCUAUAAUAUGUUCAGCCUCUGGAGGCGGCAAUUCAGGCACCAACUCAUGCGCUCAAACCCUGAGUAGGCGCCAGUAUUGAGGUAUUGUUGAAUGUCAUCGUCGUCCUCAUCUAUGGCGAUGUCACUAGCGACAAAUCGAGCCUCUUCCUCACCCCGUCCGCUAUCACCCAGCACGACAGCCGACGCUAAUUGGGUAGGUGGGGUGUUGAUGUUCGUACCUAACUGCGUGCUCGUGUGUGUGCUCCCGGCCGCCUCCAGACAAAGCAGACUCUUUGACCACAACAGGACCCACCCAUUGCAACCACCAAGCCGCUGCGGGGUCUCGUCGUCAUCCCCUAGUAUCGGAGGAGCCAAAUUCUCGUGGCCCGGUUUGACACUGGCCACGAAAACUUUGAAGACAUACGGGGGGAUUGGUCGGCCAUGGAACAAUGGUUCCUUCGGCUUCAUUACCGUCACCUUCCCCACGUCCACCUUUUGGUCGCCGAUGUUGUACAAUAUGGUGCACGGGGUUACAUCGGCCUGCAAAGACACCGUGAGAUUAUACAUUUAUGGAAGAGGGCCGGUGUGACAGAUACCGUGAGGGCGUCGAGCUCAGCCAAAGACGAAGGACAGCUGAGCACGGCCGGUGUGGGAGCCGGUGUGGGAGCCGGUGCAGGUGCAGGUGCUGGUGCAUCGCUAGUCGUGCUACUCCCGAAGAAGUCAACAAUGGGAAAGUCCGCUGCAUUUUUUCUGGAUUUUGCAUGCUCCAAUUGAAAACGGCUGGAACCAAGACAAUAGACAUAUCUGCAACCACCUGUUUUGCGGCAGCUACCGUUAUCGUGACAGUCUCAGAUGAUUUCUUCUCUACUGCAAUCUCAACCUUCUUGUCGAUGUUUUCUUCAGUUAACCUCCAUCUUUCCUUUCUCUCCUCCGUGGUCUCACGGUAGCACUUCUUCCACGUGGCCCCGUCUCCGACACCGUGAACGCGUCCAUACGACGACCGAGUCUCCACUGGGAGUCCUUUCAAUAUGUUCAAUGCCCGGUUGAAUGGAGUGUCCCACUUGGGCCUCGCCAACGCCUCAGACGGCGAGUCUCUUUCGGUCGCAAUCUUGUGCUGCUCUCUCUACAAAAGGAACAAGGAUCAUUUACAAAUAUGACUAAACGUGCAGUCGAAUUGAUCAGAAACUAAAAUUACCAGCAGUCUCAUGAACUCCGUCGUGAUCGGGUCCGUCUUGAAAACCUUCUUGACCGAGUGCCAAUGGUGCCGUGCCCUGAGGACGUCAUGCUCCUACAGGACGGUGAAGUCCGCCAAGGGGUCUAGGAUGCCAGACUUUCGCGUUUCGUGUCCUCCUUGGCCCAUAUGGACCUCUUCCUGCUGUAACCACGGCUUCCGAGGUGGCGGUGCCCCAUGUUCCUUUGUUGAAACCCCUUCAUGUACUUUGACUUUGUUUUGGCAGUUUCAGCCUCGCAAGCCGCCUUGAAUAUUUCAAAGUGCUCUCCCGUGAUUGUCGGAUUAUCCUUUACAAUCUCGGAGUAGGGUUGAUACGUCUCCAAUGUAUCUAUUAUUUUUGAUUGCUCCAUGCUAUAUUAUCUACUGUUUUGGACAUUAUUGGGCUUUAUUAUCUACUUUUAUAUUAUAAUUUGGACUAACCUAUUAACCGGAGGCCCGAGCCCAGAAUUGCUGUUUUUUUGCCUGUCUUAGGGUUUCAAAGAAAAGGAAUAUCAAACGGAGUCCAAACGGAAUGAAACCUUCGGGAACGUGAUUUUCUCAACGAACAAGACCCAGGAGACUUUGACCCUACAUCAAGACACAAGGCGAAUCAUGUACGUAGCCACUAGUGAAACAUAUUAUCUUUAUUAUAUCUAUCAGAUCUCACUCUCGUAAGUGGCCGUGUUGGGAUUGACAACCCCUAUUCAUGUUGGUUGAGAGGAUUGAUUUGUUUUGUGCAAGUACAAAGGACUCGCGCGUAGCCUCCUAUUGGAUUAAUAGCUUGGUUCUCAAAAAGUGAGGGAAAUACUUACGCUACUUUGUUGCAUCAUCCCUUCCUCUUCGGGGAAAACCAACGCAGUGCUCAAGAGGUAGCAAGAAGGAUUUGCUGNNNNNNNNNNNNNNNNNNNNNNNNNNNNNNNNNNNNNNNNNNNNNNNNNNNNNNNNNNNNNNNNNNNNNNNNNNNNNNNNNNNNNNNNNNNNNNNNNNNNNNNNNNNNNNNNNNNNNNNNNNNNNNNNNNNNNNNNNNNNNNNNNNNNNNNNNNNNNNNNNNNNNNNNNNNNNNNNNNNNNNNNNNNNNNNNNNNNNNNNNNNNNNNNNNNNNNNNNNNNNNNNNNNNNNNNNNNNNNNNNNNNNNNNNNNNNNNNNNCCUCCACCCUCGUGGGCCCCCUGUUGCUCCACCGACGUACUCCUUCCUCCUAUAUAUACCUACGUACCCCCAAACGAUCAUAUACGGAGCCAAAACCCUAAUUCCACCGCCACAACUUUCUGUAUCCACGAGAUCCCAUCUUGGGGCCUGUUCCGGAGCUCCGCCGGAGGGGGCAUCAAUCACGGAGGGCUUCUACAUCAACACCAUAACCUCUCCGAUGAAGUGUGAGUAGUUCACCUCAAACCUACGGUUCCAUAGUUAUUAGCUAGAUGGCUUCUUCUCUCUUUUUGGAUCUAAAUACAAUGUUCUCCCCCUCUCUUGUGGAGAAUUAUUCGAUGUAAUCUUAUUUUUGCGGUGUGUUUAUUGAGACCGAUGAAUUGUGGGUUUAUGAUCAAGUCUCUCUAUGAAUAAUAUUUCAAUCUUCUCUGAAUUAUUUUAUGUAUGAUUGGUUAUCUUUGCAAGUCUCCUCGAAUUAUCAGUUUGGUUUGGCCCACUAGAUUGAUCUUUCUUGCAAUGGGAGAAGUGCUUAGCUUUGGGUUCAAUCUUGCGGUGUCCUUUCCCAGUGACAGUAGGGGCAGCAAGGCACGUAUUGUAUUGUUGCCAUCAUGGACAACAAAAUGGGGUUUUCAUCAUAUUGCAUCAGUCUAGCCCUCUACAUCAUGUUAUCUUGCUUAAGGCGUUAAUUUGUUUUUAACUUAAUACUCUAGAUGCAUGCUGGAUAGCGGUCGAUGAGUGGAGUAAUAGUAGUAGAUGCAGGCAAGAGCGGUCUACUUGUCUCGGACAUGAUGCCUAUAUACAUGAUGAUACCUAGAUAUUCUCAUAACUAUGCUCAAUUCUGUCAAUUGCUGAACAGUAAUUUGUUCACCCACCGUAGAAUACUUAUGCUCUCGAGGGAAGCCACUAGUGAAACCUAUGGCCCCGGGUCUAUCUUUAUCAUAUUAAUCUUCUACUACUUAGUUAUUUCCUUUGCUUUUUACUUUUCCUUUAUUUUACUUUGCAUCUUUAUCACCAAAAUACCAAUAAAAUUAUCUUUAUCAUAUCUAUCAAAUCUCACUCUGGUAAGUGGCCGUGUAGGGAUUGACAACCCCUAUUCGUGUUGGUUGCGAGGAUUUAUUUGUUUUGUGCAGGUACGAGGGACUCGCGCGUAGCCUCCUACUGGAUUGAUACCUUGGUUCUCAAAACCUGAGGGAAAUACUUACGCUACUUUGCUGCAUCAUCCCUUCCUGUUCGGGGAAAACCAACGCAGUGCUCAAGAGGUAGCAAGGGUUCCUUUUUGUCGACGAUCCGAUGUUUCAACCUUGUUUUCCAGGCGGCCAACGCGUCGCUAAACUUGGGCAUGGCGUGUUUGUUUAUCUUCUUCAUUGCCACGUCCUUAUCUGGAUCAUUAUUAUCCUUUUCAUUGCAGUCAGGGAACAAGAAUAUCUGGUGCAGCUUCUUUAGGAGGGAGGGCCUCAUAUUAUCUAUCUUCUGUAGUUUCCCAUCGUUGAUCGUGGCAGUUGUCCGUACGAUGCAACCUAUUUGAUUGCCGUAGCACGAUCGCGCUUCCUCGGGCGCUAUUGUCUCAAAAAUACCGUUGUCCAUCUCCGUGACCACCAGUCUAGUACUCAUGAGCUGGUUUGGGUGCCGUGGCCUCUUUGCUUUCGGUUCUAGACCAGCUCCGCUAGUCUCGGCGCCGGUCUCAGUCUCAUCACCGGUCUGCAUGUCGGUAUCAGUCCCCGAUGCGACAGCACAGUCGCUGCAACAUGGGUAAGGGAGACCACAUCAGUGCUGGGGUGGUCUGAAAAUUGGGACACACUUUCGCGCAUUGCGGGCCGCCUCUCAGACAGCUACUGGGGAGGCGGCGGAGUACCUGGGUGCGCGACGAAUCCCCGGGAACUCGGUGACCAACUUCCUUCCCAUGUAGCGCAUGGAGACGAUGGCGACCCCGCCGAAGAGCAGCUUAGUUGCGAGCUGCACAGCCUCGUCCACCUCCUAAGUUGGGACCUCCGCGCGAGCGUUGCGGGGCCGCCGCUCGGAUGGCUUCUGGAAGGCGCUUGUACAUGGGCACAGGGUGAAUCCCGGCAAGAGCUGGCCAUUGGUGCGCGCAAGUAGACGACGACGUCGCCGACGAAGAGCAGCCCGGCCAGCUCGCCUCACUCUCCUUUGAUUAGAAUUGAAAGAUUGGGAAGAAGCAGACUUGAGCCUGCAGGGAAAGGAUAAGGUGACGAUGCAGUCUCCACUCGUUCGGGGCGACACGCGUACUGAAUGUAUGAGAAACGCGACGUGGCAGGGACCCCAAGAUACUCCCUCCAUUUAUUUUUAGUCUGCAUAUAAAGUUUGGUCAAAGUCAAGAUUUGUAAAUUUUAACUAACUUUAUAAUAAAAAAAAUCAACAUUCACAAUAUGAAAUAAUUAUUACCAGAUGCGUCAUGAAAUGUAUUUCCAUACUAUAUAGGUUUGGUAAUGUAGAUGUUCAUAUUCUUUUAUAUAAAUGGGAAGUAGAGGCACUCUUCCAUAUAAUGAAGUUUAUAAUAUAUGUGCUUAUAUUAUACUAUAAUUGUUUGAAUAACUUAGCAUAUGUUCAGAUGUAUGAUAUCUGUAAUUUAAGCGCUUGAAUUUUACAUAUAAAUAUUUAUUAAUAAAUAUGUACCCCUAUAAUAGCUAGGCCGUGCAGUUGCACGGGUAGAUGACUAGUGAUUACAAUCUUGUUUGUGUGCAAGUCAAGCUUAUCUAGUUUACACGUAACAACUUGUAGAACAUUACAAAAUUUAUGCUUGCUAAUAACUUCUAGAACACUACAACACUUGACAUGUAAAAGGAAUUUGACGAGUCAUGGCCUACUAAAGAAAGUUACAUUACUAGUCUUAUAUCUAUCUUAAUAGACCACACAAGACUACAAAUUAAGUACCGUGACAGCCAUGAUUAUCUAGUUUAUGCGUAACAAUUUGCAGAAAAUUACAAACUUAGUUUUAGAAAAAUAGGCAAUCCAGAUUAGUGUUUGAGCUGUAAAGUGAAUAAGAUGAGUCAUGCGUGUUAUCACACCUUUUUGGUGGUGGAAUGAUAGUGCAAAACAAGGAACUUUAAUGAACAGUCCAAUAAUACACUUGUAAGUAGUGCCACCAAACAGAACAUACCAAAUGAUGAUUUUGAGAAGCAUCCAAGCACUUUCCACACAAACAAAUGCCAAUUGUGAAAGAGAUCAUUCCAUGGCAGCUAUAAAUAGCCCCGUAGCAUGACGAUCAUCCUUCCUCAUCCAUCAUUCUCAUAAGUAGAGCGCAUCAUUUAAGCCAAGCAAGCUGUGGUCAAUACAAAUCCACCAUGAAGACAUUUCUCAUCCUUGCCCUCCUUGCUAUCGUGGCGACCACCGCCACAACUGCAGUUAGAGUUCCAGUGCCACAAUUGCAGCCACAAAAUCCAUCUCAGCAACAGUCACAAGAGCAAGUUCCAUUGGUACAACAACAACAAUUUCUAGGGCAGCAACAACCAUUUCCACCACAACAACCAUAUCCACAGCCGCAACCAUUUCCAUCACAACAACCAUAUCUGCAGCUGCAACCAUUUCCGCAGCCGCAACUACCAUAUUCGCAGCCACAACCAUUUCGACCACAACAACCAUAUCCACAACCGCAACCACAAUAUUCGCAACCACAACAUCCAAUUUCACAGCAGCAGCAGCAGCAACAACAACAACAACAACAAGAACAACAAAUACUUCAACAAAUUUUGCAACAACAACUGAUUCCAUGCAUGGAUGUUGUAUUGCAGCAACACAACAUAGCGCAUGGAAGAUCACAAGUUUUGCAACAAAGUACUUACCAGCUGUUGCAAGAAUUGUGUUGUCAGCACCUAUGGCAGAUCCCUGAGCAGUCGCAGUGCCAGGCCAUCCACAAUGUUGUUCAUGCUAUUAUUCUGCGUCAACAACAAAAACAACAACAACAACCAUCGAGCCAGGUCUCCUUCCAACAGCCUCAGCAACAAUAUCCAUUAGGCCAGGGCUCCUUCCGGCCAUCUCAGCAAAACCCACAGGCCCAGGGCUCUGUCCAGCCUCAACAACUGCCCCAGUUCGAGGAAAUAAGGAACCUAGCGCUACAGACGCUACCUGCAAUGUGCAAUGUCUACAUCCCUCCAUAUUGCACCAUCGCGCCAUUUGGCAUCUUUGGUACUAACUAAGAAGAAAAUAACUCUAGUACUAGAUAUAUGAAACACCGUUUUCUCAGUCCAUGGUUUGGUCGUUGUAGCGGUGAAAAAAUAAAGUGACAUGCACUAUCAUGUAAGAACCCAAACUAUACUAGUUCAAACUUGGGAAUAAAAGACAAACACAGGUCUUGUCUACAUAUUUAUGCUGCAUCUAUUUAUAUAUUAAAAGUAAUAUAAGGUGAACCAGGAGCAAGGUAAAUAUGGUAGAAAAUUGCACGUUAAUUAGAAAUUACUAGCCCUCGAUCUGGUAAAUCUUAACAAAUAUAAUUAUCUUGACCGUUAGAUUUAUGUAACAUAUAUAAUGCUCUAGGCCUCCAACGACUGUACGUGACACAUCUGAACGCAGAUAUGUUAAAGAAAAUAUAUUUGGUAAAUGGUGGGCCUCUUUAAAAAGAGAACUUACGUACAUACACCAACUAAGAAAAACACAUACAUGUAAACGGGAAAAGGAUGAGAUUUUCUCACAUACGUGUGUUGAUGCUUAAAAGUGGCAUGAUCAUAAAGCAGCAUGCCAGGGUGAAAACCUUGCCGGGGUAAAAUCUUGCCGGUGUGAAAGCUUGCCGGUGUGAAGGCUUGCCGGUGUGGAAAGCUUGCCGGCACAGAAAGAUCGCCGGUGCUUGCCGGUGUGAAAUCUUGCCGGGGGAGAAACCUUGUCAGGGAGGAACCCUUGCCGGAGUACAAACCUUGCCGUAGUGAAACCUUGCCGGUGUGAAAGCUUGCCGGGUAGAAACAUUGCCGGUGUGGAAAGCUUACUCGGAUGGAAAACUUGCCGGGUUGGAGGCUGUGAUAGUCAAUCGAACGAGAAGUUGAAGAUGGGCUCAAAAGGUUAUUCAGAUGAUCUCGGAUGGAAAAAUGAUCUACAGGGGUUGUCUUCGUCUCGUCGAAACGAUCGAUUUUGAUAUAAAAAUCAUUCAAAUCCGAGUUCGUAUGCAAAAUUUAGAGCAAUCGGAGUGCAGCCCUGUCACGAGGCGAGAUGUGGCGCGCCCCACCAAACACAUGUCUGACGGGUAGCGCGAGGAAAUAGCCUGUGUUGCGAGACCGAUCUGACCCUCAAGAUGAUCUCUGAUCCAAAAACCUUCAACAUGAAAGUUGUUCGUCUCAUCGAAACGGUCAAGAUUGCUUUUGGGCUUGUUUUCAUCCGGGAUCGUUUACCACCGCAAAAAAGACCCGCAAGGUGCAGCCAGUUUAAACCGAACAGUUUUGGAAAGUUUGGAUAAACCAGUCCGAAUUUGACUAGGGUUUUGGACGUGAAUUGAUGUAAUUUUCUUGUAAGGAAAGCCUAGAUAAAUUCUUUGCUUGUACGGGAAGUCCAGCUGCCUCUUAUAUAUGUUGGGGGUGACGGGCGAUUGAAACAACACACAAUCGAACAAACACAUCUACUACUUUUUCGUGUUCAUCUACUUUUUAUCUCUCCCUUGUAUCUUUCUUCUCGUUCUUCGCUAGUUCUUCUUGCUGGAGGCUGCGGAUCCACGAGGCUCUAGGGGCGAGCGAAUCGACCUAGGGCAGCCCUGACGGGGUCCCUCCCGGGUGCGCGGGGUUUCGGGUCUGCAAAAGCGCCCGCCGACUGUCUUGCGUAUCACGCUAUCGGUCGGGUCUCCUUCGACGUGAGCUGCGGUGCAUCACCCCCGGCAUCGAGGGUACACGUGACGUGUUCGUGUGCGAACACACUUUUUCGCGACUCCACUGGGGACGAAGCUUUGAAUAGUCUCCAGCCUGUUCUUGCUACGAGGAGAGCGUCAUCAAGCGACUGCAUUCUACAACGGUAACAUGUAUCAUCAAUCUCCUUGCGUAGAUGCAAAUAGCCAUUAUGUUGAUGUUGCUAGAUCUUUCAAUGGACAUGUGAUGUCGGCCAGCCCUAAUGAGGAAAGGCCGACUAGUUAUUCCAUUGGAGAAACUUGGAAUUUACAGAAUCGUGACAUGCAACUUAUGAAUCUGAACUUUCGUGCAUCGGCAACAACUUUCAAUAUGCCGGUGAACAACACGAUUUGUUCGAGUGAUCAAUAUAGGACACCUCAUGUAAAAGUUUUAUCCAUCGGCAGCCGACUCGCAAUAUGCUGGUUCAUCCCCAAACAUGCCGAUGAAUGGGGGAAUCAGCCAUGCUUCUGUUAGCUAUUUGGCCGGUUAUCCUCAAACAUCAUAUACUACACCUCAUCCGAUUAAUUGUUCAGUGGCAUAUGAAACUAAAAAUAUUAAUAACACGGCUCACGUUCACGGUCAUGGACGAGUGAAUGGGGAUACUAUAGGAGCAUAUGUGUGUGACGCCCCCAAUUUAAUCGUACACUAAUCAUACACGCAAACAUGUACGAUCAAGAUCAGGGACUCACGGGAAGAUAUCACAACACAACUCUACAAAUAAAAUAAGUCAUGCAAGCAUCAUAUUACAAGCCAGGGGCCUCGAAGGCUCGAAUACAAGAGCUCGAUCAUAGACGAGUCAGCGGAAGCAACAAUAUCUGAGUACAGACAUAAGUUAAACAAGUUUGCCUUAAGAAGGCUAGCACAAACUGGGAUACAGAUUGAAAGAGGCACAGGCCUCCUGCCUGGGAACCUCCUAACUACUCCUGGUCGUCGUUCUGAGGGCAGCACGUAGUAGUAGGCACCUCCAGCGUAGUAGGAGUCGUCGUCGACGAUGGCGUCUGGAUCCUGGGCUCCAGCAUCUGGUUGCGACAACCAGGUAGAAGGGAUAGAGGGAAAAGAAGGAGAAAGCAACCGUGAGUACUCAUCCAAAGUACUCGCAAGCAAGGAGCUACACUACAUAUGUAUGCGUUGGUAUCAACUGGAAUAAGGCUAUUAUAUGUGGACUGAACUGCAGAAAGCCGGAAUACGAGGGAGAUAGCUAGUCCUUUCGAAGACUACGCUUUUGGUAACCUCCAUCUUGCAGCAUGUAGAAGAGAGUAGACGGAAGUCCUCCAAGUAGCAUCGCAUAGCAUAAACCUAACCGAUGAUCCUCCCCUCGUCGCCCUGUGCGAGAGCGAUCACCGGUUGUAUCUGGCUCUUGGAAGGGUGUGUUUUAUUAAGUAUCCGGUUCUAGUUGUCAUAAGGUCAAGGUACAACUCCGGGUCGUCCUUUUAUCGAGGGACACGGCUAUUCGAAUAGAUAAACUUCCCUGCAGGGGUGCACCACAUAACCCAACACGCUCGAUCCCAUUUGGCCGGACACACUUUUCUGGGUCAUGCCCGGCCUCGGAAGAUCAACACGUCGUAGCCCUACCUAGGCACAACAGAGAGGUCAGCACGCCGGUCUAAAUCCUAUGGCGCAGGGGUCUGGGCCCAUCGCCCUUUGCACACCUGCACGUUGCGAACGCGGCCGGAAGCAGACCUAGCCUAGUGGCGUUCCAGUCCAAUCCGGCGCGCGCCACUCAGUCACUGAUGUCACGAAGGCUUCGGCUGAUACCACGACGUCGAGUGGCCAUAACUGUCCCCGCAUAGAUGGUUAGUGCGUAUAAGCCAGAUGGCCAGACUCAGAUCAAAUACCCAGAUCUCGUUAAGCGUGUUAUGUAUCCGCGAACACCGACCAGGGCCAGGACCACCUCUCUCCUACGUGGUCUGAACCUGCCCUGUCGCUCCGCCACAAAGUAACAGUCGGGGGCCGUCGGGAACCCAGGCCCACCUCUACCGGGAUGGAGCCACCUACCCCUUCAGCCCCAACUACGAACAGUACCACAGGUAAUGUAACAGUGUAAAGUAUAUAGUAAAUGCCCGUGAUCACCUCCCGAAGUGAUCACGGCCCAGUAGUAUAGCAUGGCAGACGGACAAGAGAGUAGGGCCACUGAUGGAACACUAGCAUCCUAUACUAAGCAGUAGGAUAGCAGGUAAUGGUAACAAUAGUAGUAGCAAGGACAGGCUAUGCAUCAGGAUAGGAAUAACGGAAAGCAGUAACAUGCUACACUACUUUAAUGCAAGCAGUAUAGAGAAGAGUAGGCGAUAUCUGGUGAUCAAAGGGGGGGCUUGCCUGGUUGCUAUGGCAAGAGAGAGCGGUCGUCAACACCGUAGUCGUACUGUGUAGCAGCGCCGUCAGUCUCGGUGUCUAGCGAGAGAAGAGGGGGAGGAAACAAUAAAUAUAAUGCAAACAAAUGCAUGAUGAUGCAUGACACGACAAAGCGUGAUGCUAGGUGUGCCCUAACGCGGUACGAGGUGGUACCGGUGAAGGGGGGAAACAUCCGGGAAAGUAUUCCCGGUGUUUCGCGUUUUCGGACAGAGGAGUCAGAGGGGGAAAGUUGCGUGUUCGGUAUGCUAGGGAGGCGUGGUGGACGAACGGGUUGUCUAUCCGAGUUCGUCUCGUCGUUCUGAGCAACUUUCAUGUUGAAAAUAAUUUAAUCCGAGUUACGUAUUAAAAGAUAUGGUUUUCUAAAGAUUUUACUAAUUUCUGGAAUUUAAUUAAUUAUUUAAUUUAAUUUGAAAUUUGGAUUUAUGACAUCAGCAUGAUGUCAUGCUGACAUCAGCAGUCAACAUGGGUUGACUAGGUCAACUGAUGCGUGGGUCCAGUGGGACCCACCUGUCAUACUAUAUUAGGUUAAUUAGGGUUUAGUUAAUUGAUUAGGCUAAUCUAAUCAGGAUUACUUUGUUUAAUUAAUUCUUUAAUUAAUUAAUUAUCAUUUUAACUAAUUUUAAUUAUUAUUUAUUAAUUCAUUCAUUUUUUUAAAUUAUUAUUUUUAUUUCGUUCUCGUUUCAGGGGGGCGUGGGGCCCCGCACACAGGGCCACCGCGAGGCUGUUGCCAGCGGGCGCUGGGGCGAUGGGUGCGGGCGCACCCGAGCGGGCACUCGCCCGCAGGGCGGGAUGAGCCGCCGGCGGGCAGCGACAGGCGCGUGCCAACCGGGCGGUGGCCGCGGCUGAUAGGGCGCAGGAAGGGGAGAGGCGAGAACGCGACGCACGGGGAAGCAGCAUCAGGGGCGAGGAGCACCACGGGACGAAGCGCAGCGGGCGCCGGUCNNNNNNNNNNNNNNNNNNNNNNNNNNNNNNNNNNNNNNNNNNNNNNNNNNNNNNNNNNNNNNNNNNNNNNNNNNNNNNNNNNNNNNNNNNNNNNNNNNNNNNNNNNNNNNNNNNNNNNNNNNNNNNNNNNNNNNNNNNNNNNNNNNNNNNNNNNNNNNNNNNNNNNNNNNNNNNNNNNNNNNNNNNNNNNNNNNNNNNNNNNNNNNNNNNNNNNNNNNNNNNNNNNNNNNNNNNNNNNNNNNNNNNNNNNNNNNNNNNNNNNNNNNNNNNNNNNNNNNNNNNNNNNNNNNNNNNNNNNNNNNNNNNNNNNNNNNNNNNNNNNNNNNNNNNNNNNNNNNNNNNNNNNNNNNNNNNNNNNNNNNNNNNNNNNNNNNNNNNNNNNNNNNNNNNNNNNNNNNNNNNNNNNNNNNNNNNNNNNNNNNNNNNNNNNNNNNNNNNNNNNNNNNNNNNNNNNNNNNNNNNNNNNNNNNNNNNNNNNNNNNNNNNNNNNNNNNNNNNNNNNNNNNNNNNNNNNNNNNNNNNNNNNNNNNNNNNNNNNNNNNNNNNNNNNNNNNNNNNNNNNNNNNNNNNNNNNNNNNNNNNNNNNNNNNNNNNNNNNNNNNNNNNNNNNNNNNNNNNNNNNNGGCCUGGGGUUUGUCCUAGCUAGCAGCUGGGCCGAGUGGCCCAGUGGGGGGGGGGUUGUUUUAUUCCUUUCCCUUUUAUACCUUUUCACACUUUUCUUCUUUUGUUUUAUUUUAGUUACACAUUAAUUUUAAUUUUUGACAAAUAUAUCUAUAGCCCCUAAAAUAAUGUUUCAGAACAAUCCACUACUAUAGAAAGUUUUACCCUGAUAAAAUAGUCUAGUAUUUUAUAAAAUACCAAACUCGUUUAAAUAGUUGUUUAGCUACUAUUUAAAUCAUUUUAGUGCUUUAAAUCUUUUUACUAAAAUGUGGUUCCUCCACCAUUUGGACUUAGGAUUUAUUUGUCCCAUUUUGAACAUUUUAGUCUUAACGUUUGAAGAAUUUACCGUUUGACUCGAUUUUGAAUUUGAAUUUGAAUCGGUGUCGAACUAACACGAGAUUAGCAACAGUAACCAUCGUGACGUGGCAUCAUUAACAGAGGUUUACUGUAUAUCAAAUACCCGGGCGUCACAAUUCUCCUCCACUACAAGAAAUCUCGUCCCGAGAUUUAAGAGGGGAGUAUGGGGGAAAGAUCUGGUUACGAAAUUCUAACGAGUCUUCUCGGUCUUGCUUGCUCUUGUCGAAAUGGUCGAUCCAUUAUGUUGAUGUUUUCAUUUCUCUGCUUCAGGUCAUCAUGGUGAAGUCGUCCUUUUCUUCGGGAACUCCAACGUGCUUACGAAUAGGUAAGGGGCAGCUUGGCUACGACAGAAUGCUUAUGAGGGAAACAAUCUGGUGAUAACCCAUGAAUGAACAUAAGAUUAUCUCUCGAGUUGAACAUAUAAAAUACAUCAAGAGUAAGGUACGAAGGUACCAUGAGAAGUUUCAAACGGAUAGGCAAUCGUUCGAUGUCUGAAACAACACGCGAAAGGGGUCCAGAGCAACGAGAUUGAGUAUUGCGUCUGUUACCAGAAUAGAUCACUAGGACGGUGGUCUGUGAAUUACAUACAAGGUCACGCACGAGGAAUAACUUUAGGAACAGGGGGUGUACAGGAGAGUCAGGUUCGAUCCUGUGGAACUGUGGGUUAUGGGCCCACCAUGUGGGUUAAAGUAGGAAGGGCAGUGACGUCUUGCAAGAUCAUGUAAGCAAGGCAUGUCAGAGGAUAGCCUGUCAGCUAUGUCGACGACAACAUCGAUACCAAGGGCGAGGGACGAAGAGAACCAUUUUCCUGCUCGUUGAACGAGGCGGACCAAUAAGAAAAGUUCUCGUCCAUCAGUGGUUACCAGAAUGUCAUCAACAAAGGUAAUAGGGUCUUUCUGACAGAGUGGUACAACGAGGUGACUGCUUAUAUAAUAUAGAUUACAAGAAGGUUUAAACAGAACAAUGGAAAGGAAAAUGUGUGUAAACACACAUUUCAAGGGUAUAUCCUUCCCAAGGACAAGCAAAGCAAGAUAUCCAUGAAAGGAUAUAAUGUAGAAAACUCUUUAGGUAAGGUGAGAGAAAUUUCAUGACAUUACCCAUACAAUGGUGUUUGGAUAAAUGAGCGAGAAACAUUUAGCAUUGGGCUUCAAAUGUUCUUUGUGGAAAAUUGGAGUACCACAGACAUGCUUCGAGAUAGCGUUGGCGUGGUAUUCAAGCAAAGGUCAGACUUAGGAUGCACAAAGGAUUCAUCAGGAACAACUUAUAGAAUAAGUCUUACCAUUUCUCAAGGAAGAAUAGAUAACCUUGCUAAAAAGAAAAACUAUAACAUUAGGUCCUCCGACCAGGUGGGCUAGGCAUGCUAUCACCUUACUGGGUUAUAUUGAUAACAAUGUUAUAACUCUUGGAAAUAUGUCUCAACCAUCAUAUCUGACCGAGAUUCAGAUCCGAUUGGUGUCAGGAUACAUCAGACAUCAGGAUGCCUGAGAAGAGAAGGUGCAACACAAUUUAACGAGAUGACACUGCGAGAAUCUCAGAAAUGAUCUAUGGAAGCGAGUUCCGAAGCAAGAGUUCAUCAUUAAACCAAGGAGAGGAUGAGGGGUGGCUGAUGAACUAACGGCAAUUCAUCGAGAUUUCCAAAAGAUGGAUUUCCACAAUCAUGUGAACAAAGAGUUAACAUUUGUCAGAUCAAACAAUAUAAUGAGGUGUGCUCGAGGAAAACAUACUCAAUUAAACAUUGGUGGAAAGCUGCACCCAAAAUAUGGGCUUAGGUAGCCUGAUCAAUGUUGGAACGGUGAUUCGAUAACCAAUAUUCUAAGAAUGAAAGGUCGACCAUUAACUUCAAAGCAAUAUGGUUGCUAGAAGUACAGAAUCCAAGCAACAACGUUCACCUGUUGGUAUCCCGGUUAGAAUCAACACGGGAACCAAGAAAGAAUGAUGAUGGUGAGGAGUAUCGCUAUACCAAGAAUUCUCAAGAGGUGGAGCAAUCCUCACAACAUACAUGUCAUCAAGGACAUUGAUACUUCAAGGUAGAAUAUCAUAAAAGCUAGAUAGCAAGUUGCAUCCAUAACAUGGACAAGUUUGUGUUGGGGGAAGGCAAGAAAGUGAUCGAUGAUAACACAAAUCAUCGAGGGCAAGGAUGGUACUUUUCAUUAUGAAUUCGAUUGAUAUCCUGCAAGAGCUCAAGAUGUGGGUGCUGAUGACGACACAUUUGUCGAGAGAUUUCAUGAAGAUGUAGUCUAUCGGCGAUGACAUCAAGUCAAAGGAAUUAUGAAGCAAAAGGUUAUCGGAACCAUGGGUACGACACAAACUCAAAAUCAAGCUUGUUGUUCAAGGUGAAAGAUAUGACGAGAAAGAUCAACGUAAGCUUAGCUCAUCGUUGAAAGUUGUGUUCCGGGAAGAAGGACCAGGUAGCACAGUUAAAAUUUAGCACGGUAAUGAUAUAGCCAACCGGGCUAGGAAUGACUUGAAGGAUUAUUAAACUCAUAAGCAGUAAAAAUUACUUAUAGUUAUUGAAUCGAAGUACAGACUCGAUUCACUGUCGGUGUCCUUGAGUGUCUAACAACUCAGAACCCGGGGAAAAUUUUGGAACCAGUGAGAAAUAAUACUUGAAGAAUAACUCAUAAGAAGUUAUGCAGUUCCAUGAUAAUCUCGAGAUACCAGGGGGUAAUACUCGACGACAGAUCAAAGUAGAGGUUGGACUAGGGAUUGCUCUGUAGAAGACAAGUGCUCAAACUUGCACGAGAAAUGGAAUCAAGGAGAAACAUGGUCGAAACCUCGUCCACAGGUACAAGAUGAACUUAUAACAAGUGGACAAUUAUUUUAAGAGAAGCUUCCAUGAUAAGGUAUACAUCGUGUCCAUGGGCAUGAACACAGGGUUCAAGGUCGACUCCCACUUAUUCAACACAUAACCUUUCAUGCACCUCUCGUAUUUCAAAAAUGACAUUAGUUCUUGAAAGUUUUUACCUGGUGCAAUACCAGAUACAUAUUACCCGUGAAAUCUUUCGGGUUCACACGGAUUAGGCAAGGCGUAGGUUCAACCCAUCAGGGCAUCUUAGGAACAUAUACCACAAACUUCGGAGUAAAUAAUACAAGCUUGAAAGUAGAGCAUGGUUGACAAAAGGGGAGGAUACAAUUUACCACAGGCAUUAUGUAUCGGAGAAAGAACUCACAAGGUGAUUAAUUUUGAAGGACACUGUCGGAUAAUAAUCCAACAGUGGAAUUGGCGAUCCACAAUGGAGCUGAUGUGAGUAUCGAUACCCAAUCAGAGGAAGAAAGAAUGCAAAUGCAUCGGUUUAUAGAACAUCUGAAUAAUUCAACGUUUAAAUAGCAAAGGAAUUAUGAUUUUCAAAUCAAGGGAUCGGGAGCAAAUGCUCUGAUUAGGGAUGGGUAAGUAGAAUAGCCUUAGGGGUACAUGCGACGACAUUUGGAUUUGUUGAGAACCAGCUCAUGUUUAAAAUGACGUCUGAGCCGGAAUGAUAAUUUAAAAGGAUCAACUGAUGAUUGCGUGCAUUCGCACUCAUGUUGAGUCAAUAGGAUCAAAAAGACGAUGCCUAAGGAUACUAACGAAUAUUUCCAGACAUAUGGAAAGCAUCCAUAAUGCAAGCAGGCAAGUAUUGCAGAGCAAUAAGCUACUAAGGAUUUUUGGAGGAUCGAAUAGUAUUUUGAAGACCAUUGUGAAACACAUGAACAACUGGGGAUGAGUGGAUACUCGACAAGUGCGAGGAUUUAAUUGAAGGGGUAUUCAUGUGGCAAGGAACUGCUAGGCAGUAGGCACAAAGUAUUCUCGGAACAAUAGAGAGAAUUUUGGGGCAUCUUGUAAUAACAAGAUCAAUGAGGAAUGAUUAUAUGAAUAGCACAUGUAGGUGGUUAUCCAUAGAGGUCUAUCGAUAGAAGGGAAUUGCAAAAGCAACAGGCACAAGGUCUCGACAGAAUAUCGGAGAGUAUCUUCGAAAUCUUCUAGUGUAGUCGGCGAUCAUCUGGAUUGAAAGGGCUCUCCGGGAGAAAGUAUUUUCGAGAACCUAAGUUAGAUUUUUAGUAAAUUCAUUAAACCCGAAUAGGAGGGAGUUCAGAGUCCCAGAGCAUAGACGAGGAAUAAAAGAUCCUAAUACCACCCAAUGGCGACGUGGGCCCAUAGGCCACACAGCCAUGUUAGUAAAGGUUUUGCAAUGACUAGACUCAACUUCGGCCAAGGAGGUGGAAAGGGGAUUCCUACAGGCAGUCGGCUCUGAUACCAACUUGUGACACCCCCGAUUUAAUCGUACACUAAUCAUACACGCAAACGUGUACGAUCAAGAUCAGGGACUCACGGGAAGAUAUCACAACACAACUCUACAAAUAAAAUAAGUCAUACAAGCAUCAUAUUACAAGCCAGGCGCCUCGAAGGCUCGAAUACAAGAGCUCGAUCAUAGACGAGUCAGCGGAAGCAACAAUAUCUGAGUACAGACAUAAGUUAAACAAGUUUGCCUUAAGAAGGCUAGCACAAACUGGGAUACAGAUCGAAAGAGGCGCAUGCCUCCUGCCUGGGAUCCUCCUAACUACUCCUGGUCGUCGUUCUGAGGGCAGCACAUAGUAGUAGGCACCUCCAGUGUAGUAGGAGUCGUCGUCGACGAUGGCGUCUGGAUCCUGGGCUCCAGCAUCUGGUUGCGACAACCAGGUAGAAGGGAUAGAGGGAAAAGAAGGAGAAAGCAACCGUCAGUACUCAUCCAAAGUACUCGCAAGCAAGGAGCUACACUACAUAUGUAUGCGUUGGUAUCAACUGGAAUAAGGCUAUUAUAUGUGGAUUGAACUGCAGAAAGCCGGAAUACGAGGGGGAUAGCUAGUCCUUUCGAAGACUACGCUUCCGGUAACCUCCAGCUUGCAGCAUGUAGAAGAGAGUAGACGGAAGUCCUCCAAGUAGCAUCGCAUAGCAUAAACCUAACCGAUGAUCCUCCCCUCGUCGCCCUAUGAGAGAGCGAUCACCGGUUUUAUCUGGCUCUUGGAAGGGUGUGUUUUAUUACGGUUCUAGUUGUCAUAAGGUCAAGGUACAACUCCGGGUCGUCCUUUUACCGAGGGACACGGCUAUUCGAAUAGAUAAACUUCCCUGCAGGGGUGCACCACAUAACCCAACACGCUCGAUCCCAUUUGGCCGAACACACUUUUCUAGGUCAUGCCCGUCCUCGGAAGAUCAACACGUCGCAGCCCUACCUAGGCACAACAGAGAGGUCAGCACGCCGGUCUAAAUCCUAUGGCGCAGGGGUCUGGCCCCAUCGCCCUUUGCACACCUGCAUGUUGCGGACGCGGCCGGAAGCAGACCUAGCCUAGUGGCGUUCUAGUCCAAUCCGGCGCGCGCCACUCAGUCGCUGACGUCACGAAGGCUUCGGCUGAUACCACGACGUUGAGUGCCCAUAACUGUCCCCACGUAGAUGGUUAGUGCGUAUAAGCCAGAUGGCCAGACUCAGAUCAAAUACCCAGAUCUCGUUAAGCGUGUUAAGUAUCUGCGAACGCCGACCAGGGCCAGGCCCACCUCUCUCCUAGGUGGUCUGAACCUGCCCGGUCGCUUCGCCACAAAGUAACAGUCGGGGGCCGUCGGGAACCCAGGCCCACCUCUACCGGGAUGGAGCCACCUGCCCCUUUAGCCCCCAACUCCGAACAGUACCAUAGGUAAUGUAACAGUGUAAAGUAUAUAGUAAAUGCCCGUGAUCACCUCCCGAAGUGAUCACGGCCCAGUAGUAUAGCAUGGCAGACGGACAAGAGUGUAGGGCCACUAAUGGAACACUAGCAUCCUAUACUAAGCAGUAGGAUAGCAGGUAAUGGUAAUAAUAUUAGUAGCAAGGACAGGCUAUGCAUCAGGAUAGGAAUAACGGAAAGCAGUAACAUGCUACACUACUCUAAUGCAAGCAGUAUAGAGAAGAGUAGGCGAUAUCUGGUGAUCAAAGGGGGGGCUUGCCUGGUUGCUCUGGCAAGAGAGAGGGGUCGUCAACACCGUAGUCGUACUGUGUAGCAGCAACGUCGGUCUCGGUGUCUAGCGAGAGAAGAGGGGGAGGAAACAAUAAAUAUAAUGCAAACAAAUGCAUGACGAUGCAUGACACGACAAAGCGUGAUGCUAGGUGUGCCCUAACGUGGUACGAGGUGGUACCGGUGAAGGGGGGAAACAUCCGAGAAAGUAUUCCCGGUGUUUCACAUUUACGGACAGAGGAGUCAGAGGGGGAAAGUUGCGUGUUCGGUAUGCUAGGGAGGCGUGGUGGACGAACGAGUUGCGUAUCCGGGUUCGUCUCGUCGUUCUGAGCAACUUUCAUGUUGAAAAUAAUUUAAUCCGAGUUACGUAUUAAAAGAUAUGGUUUUCUAAAGAUUUUACUAAUUUCUGGAAUUUAAUUAAUUAUUUAAUUUAAUUUGAAAUAUGGAUUUAUGACAUCAGCAUGAUGUCAUGCUGACAUCAGCAGUCAACAUGGGUUGACUGGGUCAACUGACGCGUGGGUCCAGUGGGACCCAUGAAGGAAAUAUGCCCUAGAGGCAAUAAUAAAGUUAUUAUUUAUUUCCUUAUAUCAUGAUAAGAGUUUAUUAUUCAUGCUAGAAUUGUAUUAACCGGAAACAUAAUACAUGUGUGAAUACAUAGACCAACAGAGUGUCACUAGUAUGCCUCUACUUGACUAGCUCGUUAAUCAAAGAUGGUUAUGUUUCCUAACCAUGAACAAAGAGUUGUUAUUUGUUUAACGAGGUCACAUCAUUAGUAGAAUGAUCUGAUUGACAUGACCCAAUCCAUUAGCUUAGCACCCGAUCGUUUAGUAAGUUGCUAUUGCUUUCUUCAUGACUUAUACAUGUUCCUAUAACUAUGAGAUUAUGCAACUCCCGUUUACCGGAGGAACACUUUGGGUACUACCAAACGUCACAACGUAACUGGGUGAUUAUAAAGGAGUAUUACAGGUGUCUCCAAUGGUAGAUGUUGGGUUGGCGUAUUUCGAGAUUAGGGUUUGUCACUCCGAUUGACGGAGAGGUAUCUCUGGGCCCUCUCGGUAAUACACAUCACAUAAGCCUUGCAAGCACUGCAACUAAUAAGUUAGUUGUGAGAUGAUGUAUUACGGAACGAGUAAAGAGACUUGCCGGUAACGAGAUUGAACUAGGUAUUGGAUACCGACGAUCGAAUCUCGGGCAAGUAACAUACCGAUGACAAAGGGAACAACGUAUGUUGUUAUGCGGUCUGACCGAUAAAGAUCUUUGUAGAAUAUGUAGGAGCCAAUAUGGGCAUCCAGGUCCCGCUAUUGGUUAUUGACCGGAAGCGUGUCUCGGUCAUGUCUACAUUGUUCUCGAACCGUAGGGUCCGCACGCUUAACGUUACGAUGACAGUUAUUAUGAGUUUAUGCAUUUUGAUGUACCGAAGGUUGUUCGGAGUCCCGGAUGAGAUCACGGACAUGACGAGGAGUCUCGAAAUGGUCGAGACGUAAAGAUUGAUAUAUUGGAAGCCUAUGUUUGGGCACCGGAAGCGUUCCGGGUGAAAUCGGGAUUUUACCGGAAUACCGGGAGGGUUACCGGAACCCCCCGGGAGACUAAUGGGCCUAUUGGGCCUUAGUGGAAAAGAGAAAAGGGAAGCCCACUAGCUGGCCAGCGCCCCCCUAGAGUCCUAUUAGGAAUAGGACAAGGGGCCGGCCCCCCUUCUCUCUCUUUUUCCCCGGGAGUCCUAAUAGGAUUAGGAUUAGGGGGAGGAGUCCUACUCCCGGUGGGAGUAGGACUCCCCUGCGCCUCCUCUCUCCUAGCCGGCCGAACCCCCUGCCCCUGGCCUUUUAUAUACGGGGGCAGGGGGCACCCCAAGACACACAACUUGAUCCUUGAGAUCGUUCCUUAGCCGUGUGCGGUGCCCCCUGCCACCAAAUUCCACCUCGAUCGUACCGUUGUAGUGCUUAGGCGAAGCCCUGCGUCAGUAGUACAUCAAGAUCGUCAACACGCCAUCGUGCUGACGGAACUCUUCCUCGACGCUUUGCUGGAUCGGAGCCCGAGGAACGUCAUCGAGCUGAACGUGUGCUAAGAACUCGGAGGUACCGGAGUAACGGUGCUUGGAUCGGUCGGAUCGGGAAGAAGACGUACGACUACUUCCUCUACGUUGUGUGAUCGCUUCCGCAGUCGGUCUGCGUUGGUACGUAGACAACACUCUCCUCUCUCGUUGCUGUGCAUCACCAUGAUCUUGCGUGUGCGUAGGAAAAUUUUUGAAAUUACUGCGUUACCGAACAGUGGCAUCUGAGCCUGGUUUUAUGGUUUGAUGUUAUAUGCACGAGUAGAACACAAGUGAGUUGUGGGCGAUACAAGUCAGACUGCCUACCAGCAUGUCAUACUUUGGUUCGGCGGUAUUGUUGGUUGAGACGAUCCGGACCAACCUUACGCGUACUCUUACGCGAGACCGGUUCCCUCGACGUGCUUUGCACAUAGAUGGCUUGCGGAAGACUGUCUCUCCAACUUUAGUUGAACCAAGUGUGACUACGCCCGGUCCUUGAGAAGGUUAAAACAGAGUCUAUUUGACGAACUAUCGUUGUGGUUUUGAUGCGUAGGUGAGAUGAGUUCUUACUUAAGCCCGUAGCAGCCACGUAAAACUUGCAACAACAAAGUAGAGGACGUCUAACUUGUUUUUGCAGUGUAUGUUGUGAUGUGAUAUGGUCAAGGCAUGAUGCUGAUUUUAUUGUAUGAGAUGAUCAUGUUUUGUAACUAAGUUAUCGGCAACUGGCAGGAGCCAUAUGGUUGUCGCUUUAUUGUAUGCAAUGCAAUCGCGAUGUAAUGCUUUACUAGAUUACUAAACGGUAGUAAUAGUCGUGGAAGCAUAAGAUUGGCAAGACGACAACGAUGCUACGAUGGAGAUCAAAGUGUCGCGCCGGUGACGAUGGUGAUCAUGACGGUGCUUCGGAGAUGGAGAUCACAAGCACAAGAUGAUGAUGGCCAUAUCAUAUCACUUAUAUUGAUUGCAUGUGAUGUUUAUCCUUUUAUGCAUCUUAUCUUGCUUUGAUUGACGGUAGCAUUAUAAGAUGAUCUCUCACUAAAUUAUCAAGAAGUGUUCUCCCUGAGUAUGCACCGUUGCCAAAGUUCGUCGUGCCCAGACACCACGUGAUGAUCGGGUGUGAUAAGCUCUACGUCCAUCUACAACGGGUGCAAGCCAGUUUUGCACACGCAGAAUACUCAGGUUAUACUUGACGAGCCUAGCAUAUGCAGAUAUGGCCUCGGAACACAGAGACCGAAAGGUCGAGCGUGAAUCAUAUAGUAGAUAUGAUCAACAUAACGAUGUUCACCAUUGAAAACUACUCCAUCUCACGUGAUGAUCGGUUAUGGUUUAGUUGCUUUGGAUCACGUGAUCACUUAGAAGAUUAGAGGGAUGUCUAGCUAAGUGGGAGUUCCUAAGUAAUUUGAUUAACUGAACUUAAACUUAUCAUGAACUUAGUACCUGAUAGUAUCUUGCUUGUUUAUGUUGCUUGUAGAUAGAUGGCUCGUGCUAUUGUUCCGUUGAAUUUUAAUGCGUUCCUUGAGAAAGCAAAGUUGAAAGAUGAUGGUAGCAAUUACACGGACUGGGUCUGUAACCUGAGGAUUAUCCUCAUUGCUGCACAGAAGAAUUACGUCCUGGAAGCACCGCUGGGUGACAGGCCUGCUGCUGGAGCAACGCCAGAUGUUAUGAACGUCUGGCAGAGCAAAGCUGAUGACUACUCGAUAGUUCAGUGUGCCAUGCUUUACGGCUUAGAAUCGGGACUUCAACGACGUUUUGAACGUCAUGGAGCAUAUGAGAUGUUCCAGGAGUUGAAGUUAAUAUUUCAAGCAAAUGCCCGAAUUGAGAGAUAUGAAGUCUCCAAUAAGUUCUAUAGCUGUAAGAUGGAGGAGAACAGUUCUGUCAGUGAGCAUAUACUCAAAAUGUCUGGGUAUAAUAAUCACUUGAUUCAGAUGGGAGUUAAUCUUCCAGAUGAUUGCAUCAUUGACAGAAUUCUCCAAUCACUACCACCAAGCUACAAGAGCUUCGUGAUGAACUAUAAUAUGCAAGGGAUGAACAAGACUAUUCCCGAGCUCUUCGCAAUGCUGAAAGCUGCGGAGGUAGAAAUCAAAAAGGAGCAUCAAGUGUUGAUGGUUAGCAAGACCACUAGUUUCAAGAAAAAGGGUAAAGGGAAGAAGAAGGGAAACUUCAAGAAGAACAGCAAGCAAGUUGCUGCUCAAGAGAAGAAACCCAAGUCUGGACCUAAGCCUGAAGCUGAGUGCUUCUACUGCAAGCAGACUGGUCACUGGAAGCGGAACUGCCCCAAGUAUUUGGCGGAUAAGAAGGAUGGCAAAGUGAGCAAAGGUAUAUGUGAUAUACAUGUUAUUGAUGUGUACCUUACUAGAGCUCGCAGUAGCACCUGGGUAUUUGAUACUGGUUCUGUUGCUAAUAUUUGCAACUCGAAACAGGGACUACGGAAUAAGCGGACACUAGCAAAGGACGAGGUGACGAUGCGCGUGGGAAACGGUUCCAAAGUCGAUGUGAUCGCGGUCGGCACGCUGCCUCUACAUCUACCUUCGGGAUUAAUAUUAGACCUAAAUAAUUGUUAUUUGGUGCCAGCGUUGAGCAUGAACAUUAUAUCUGGAUCUUGUUUAAUGCGAGACGGUUAUUCAUUUAAAUCAGAGAAUAAUGGUUGUUCUAUUUAUAUGAAUAAUAUCUUUUAUGGUCAUGCACCUUUGAAGAGUGGUCUAUUCUUGUUGAAUCUCGAAGAUAGUGAUACACAUAUUCAUAAUGUAGAAGCCAAAAGAUGCAAAGUUAAUAAUGAUAGUGCAACUUAUUUGUGGCACUGCCGUUUAGGUCAUAUCGGUGUAAAGCGCAUGAAGAAACUCCAUACUGAUGGGCUUUUGGAAUCACUUGAUUAUGAAUCACUUGGUACUUGCGAACCGUGCCUCAUAGGCAAGAUGACUAAAACACCGUUCUCCGGUACUAUGGAGAGAGCAACAGAUUUGUUGGAAAUCAUACAUACCGAUGUAUGUGGUCCGAUGAAUAUUGAGGCUCGCGGCGGAUAUCGUUAUUUUUCACCUUCACAGAUGAUUUAAGCAGAUAUGGGUAUAUCUACUUAAUGAAACACAAGUCUGAAACAUUUGAAAAGUUCAAGGAAUUUCAGAGUGAAGUUGAAAAUCAUCGUAACAAGAAAAUAAAAUUUCUACGAUCUGAUCGUGGAGGAGAAUAUUUGAGUUACGAGUUUGGUGUACAUUUGAAAAAUUGUGGAAUAGUUUCGCAACUCACGCCACCCGGAACACCACAGCGUAAUGGUGUGUCCGAACGUCGUAAUCGUACUUUACUAGAUAUGGUGCGAUCAAUGAUGUCUCUUACUGAUUUACCGCUAUCGUUUUGGGGUUAUGCUUUAGAGACGGCCGCAUUCACGUUAAAUAGGGCACCAUCAAAAUCCGUUGAGACGACGCCUUAUGAACUAUGGUUUGGCAAGAAACCAAAGUUGUCGUUUCUCAAAGUUUGGGGCUGCGAUGCUUAUGUGAAAAAGCUUCAACCUGAUAAGCUCGAACCCAAAGCGGAGAAAUGUGUCUUCAUAGGAUACCCAAAGGAAACUGUUGGGUAUACCUUCUAUCACAGAUCCGAAGGCAAGACAUUCGUUGCUAAGAAUGGAUCAUUUCUAGAGAAGGAGUUUCUCUCGAAAGAAGUGAGUGGGAGGAAAGUAGAACUUGACGAGGUAACUAUACCUGCUCCCUUAUUGGAAAGUAGUACAUCACAGAAAACUGUUUCUGCGACACCUAUACCAAUCAGUGAGAAAGCUAAUGAUGAUGAUCAUGAAGCUUCAGAACAAGAUACUACUGAACCACGUAGAUCAACCAGAGUGAGAUCCGCACCAGAGUGGUACGGUAAUCCACUUCUGGAAGUCAUGAUGCUAGAUCAUGAUGAACCUACGAACUAUGAAGAAGCGAUGGUGAGCCCAGAUUCCGCAAAGUGGCUUGAGGCCAUGAAAUCUGAGAUGGGAUCCAUGUAUGAGAACAAAGUAUGGACUUUGGUUGACUUGCCCGAUGAUCGGCAAGCAAUUGAGAAUAAAUGGAUCUUCAAGAAAAAGACUGACGCUGACGGUAAUGUUACUGUCUAUAAAGCUCGACUUGUCGCAAAAGGUUUUCGACAAGUUCAAGGGGUUGACUACGAUGAGACUUUCUCACCCGUAGCGAUGCUUAAAUCCGUCAGAAUUAUGUUAGCAAUUGCCGCAUUUUAUAAUUAUGAAAUAUGGCAGAUGGAUGUCAAAGCUGCAUUCCUGAAUGGAUUUCUGGAAGAAGAGUUGUAUAUGGUACAACCAGAAGGUUUUGUCGAUCCAAAAGGAGCUAACAAAGUAUGCAAACUCCAGCGAUCCAUUUAUGGACUGGUGCAAGCAUCUCGGAGUUGGAAUAAACGCUUUGAUAGUGUGAUCAAAGCAUUUGGCUUUAUACAGACUUUUGGAGAAGCCUGUAUUUACAAGAAAGUGAGUGGGAGCUCUGUAGCAUUUCUGAUAUUAUAUGUGGAUGACAUAUUGCUGAUUGGAAAUGAUAUAGAAUUUUUGGAUAGCAUAAAGGGAUACUUGAAUAAAAGUUUUUCGAUGAAAGACCUUGGGGAAGCUGCUUACAUAUUAGGCAUAAAGAUCUAUAGAGAUAGAUCAAAACGCUUAAUUGGACUUUCACAGAGCACAUACCUUGACAAGAUUUUGAAGAAAUUCAAAAUGGAUCAAGCAAAGAAAGGGUUCUUGCCUGUGUUACAAGGUGUGAAGUUGAGUAAGACUCAAUGCCCGACCACUGCAGAAGAUAGAGAGAAAAUGAAAGAUGUUACCUAUGCUUCAGCCAUAGGCUCUAUCAUGUAUGCAAUGCUGUGUACCAGACCUGAUGUGUGCCUUGCUAUAAGUUUAGCAGGGAGGUACCAAAGUAAUCCUGGAAUGGAUCACUGGACAGCGGUCAAGAACAUCCUAAAAUACCUGAAAAGGACUAAGGAUAUGUUUCUCGUAUAUGGAGGUGACAAAGAGCUCACCGUAAGAGGUUACGUUGAUGCAAGCUUUGACACUGAUCCGGACGAUUCUAAAUCGCAAACCGGAUACGUGUUUACUUUAAACGGUGGAGCUGUCAGUUGGUGCAGUUCUAAACAAAGCGUCGUAGCGGGAUCUACAUGUGAAGCGGAGUACAUAGCCGCUUCGGAAGCAGCGAACGAAGGAGUCUGGAUGAAGGAGUUCAUAUCCGAUCUAGGUGUCAUACCUAGUGCAUCGGGUCCAAUGAAAAUCUUCUGUGACAAUACUGGUGCAAUUGCCUUGGCAAAGGAAUCCAGAUUUCACAAGAGGACCAAACACAUCAAGAGACGCUUCAACUCCAUCCGGGAUUUAGUCCAGGUGGGAGACAUAGAGAUUUGCAAGAUACAUACGGAUCUGAAUGUUCCAGACCCGUUGACUAAGCCUCUUCCACGAGCAAAACAUGAUCAGCACCAAGGCUCCAUGGGUGUUAGAAUCAUUACUGUAUAAUCUAGAUUAUUGACUCUAGUGCAAGUGGGAGACUGAAGGAAAUAUGCCCUAGAGGCAAUAAUAAAGUUAUUAUUUAUUUCCUUAUAUCAUGAUAAGAGUUUAUUAUUCAUGCUAGAAUUGUAUUAACCGGAAACAUAAUACAUGUGUGAAUACAUAGACCAACAGAGUGUCACUAGUAUGCCUCUACUUGACUAGCUCGUUAAUCAAAGAUGGUUAUGUUUCCUAACCAUGAACAAAGAUUUGUUAUUUGUUUAACGAGGUCACAUCAUUAGUAGAAUGAUCUGAUUGACAUGACCCAAUCCAUUAGCUUAGCACCCGAUCGUUUAGUAAGUUGCUAUUGCUUUCUUCAUGACUUAUACAUGUUCCUAUAACUAUGAGAUUAUGCAACUCCCGUUUACCGGAGGAACACUUUGGGUACUACCAAACGUCACAACGUAACUGGGUGAUUAUAAAGGAGUAUUACAGGUGUCUCCAAUGGUAGAUGUUGGGUUGGCGUAUUUCGAGAUUAGGGUUUGUCACUCCGAUUGACGGAGAGGUAUCUCUGGGCCCUCUCGGUAAUACACAUCACAUAAGCCUUGCAAGCACUGCAACUAAUAAGUUAGUUGUGAGAUGAUGUAUUACGGAACGAGUAAAGAGACUUGCCGGUAACGAGAUUGAACUAGGUAUUGGAUACCGACGAUCGAAUCUCGGGCAAGUAACAUACCGAUGACAAAGGGAACAACGUAUGUUGUUAUGCGGUCUGACCGAUAAAGAUCUUCGUAGAAUAUGUAGGAGCCAAUAUGGGCAUCCAGGUCCCGCUAUUGGUUAUUGACCGGAAGCGUGUCUCGGUCAUGUCUACAUUGUUCUCGAACCGUAGGGUCCGCACGCUUAACGUUACGAUGACAGUUAUUAUGAGUUUAUGCAUUUUGAUGUACCGAAGGUUGUUCGGUGUCCCGGAUGAGAUCACGGACAUGACGAGGAGUCUCGAAAUGGUCGAGACGUAAAGAUUGAUAUAUUGGAAGCCUAUGUUUGGGCACCGGAAGCGUUCCGGGUGAAAUCGGGAUUUUACCGGAAUACCGGGAGGGUUACCGGAACCCCCCGGGAGACUAAUGGGCCUAUUGGGCCUUAGUGGAAAAGAGAAAAGGGAAGCCCACUAGCUGGCCGGCGCCCCCUAGAGUCCUAUUAGGAAUAGGACAAGGGGCCGGCCCCCCUUCUCUCUCUUUUUCCCCGGGAGUCCUAAUAGGAUUAGGAUUAGGGGGAGGAGUCCUACUCCCGGUGGGAGUAGGACUCCCCUGCGCCUCCUCUCUCCUCGCCGGCCGAACCCCCUGCCCCUGGCCUUUAUAUACGGGGGCAGGGGGCACCCCAAGACACACAACUUGAUCCUUGAGAUCGUUCCUUAGCCGUGUGCGGUGCCCCCUGCCACCAAAUUCCACCUCGAUCGUACCGUUGUAGUGCUUAGGCGAAGCCCUGCGUCGGUAGUACAUCAAGAUCGUCAUCACGCCGUCGUGCUGACGGAACUCUUCCUCGACGCUUUGCUGGAUCGGAGCCCGAGGAACGUCAUCGAGCUGAACGUGUGCUAAGAACUCGGAGGUACCGGAGUAACGGUGCUUGGAUCGGUCUGAUCGGGAAGAAGACGUACGACUACUUCCUCUACGUUGUGUGAUCGCUUCCGCAGUCGGUCUGCGUUGGUACGUAGACAACACUCUCCUCUCUCGUUGCUGUGCAUCACCAUGAUCUUGCGUGUGCGUAGGAAAUUUUUUGAAAUUACUGCGUUACCCAACAACCCACCUGUCAUACUCUGUUAGGUUAAUUAGGGUUUAGUUAAUUGAUUAGGCUAAUCUAAUCAGGAUUACUUUGUUUAAGUAAUUCUUCAAUUAAUUAAUUAUCAUUUUAACUAAUUUAAUUAUUAUUUAUUAAUUCAUUCAUUUUUUUAAAUUAUUAUUUUUAUUUCGUUCUCGUUUCAGGGGGGCGUGGGGCCCCGCACACGGGGCCACCGCGGGGCUGUUGCCAGCGGGCGCUGGGGCGCUGGGUGCGGGCGCACCCGAGCGGGCACUCGCCCGCAGGGCGGGACGAGGCUGCCGAGGCAUCGACAGCGGGGCAAGCCNNNNNNNNNNNNNNNNNNNNNNNNNNNNNNNNNNNNNNNNNNNNNNNNNNNNNNNNNNNNNNNNNNNNNNNNNNNNNNNNNNNNNNNNNNNNNNNNNNNNNNNNNNNNNNNNNNNNNNNNNNNNNNNNNNNNNNNNNNNNNNNNNNNNNNNNNNNNNNNNNNNNNNNNNNNNNNNNNNNNNNNNNNNNNNNNNNNNNNNNNNNNNNNNNNNNNNNNNNNNNNNNNNNNNNNNNNNNNNNNNNNNNNNNNNNNNNNNNNNNNNNNNNNNNNNNNNNNNNNNNNNNNNNNNNNNNNNNNNNNNNNNNNNNNNNNNNNNNNNNNNNNNNNNNNNNNNNNNNNNNNNNNNNNNNNNNNNNNNNNNNNNNNNNNNNNNNNNNNNNNNNNNNNNNNNNNNNNNNNNNNNNNNNNNNNNNNNNNNNNNNNNNNNNNNNNNNNNNNNNNNNNNNNNNNNNNNNNNNNNNNNNNNNNNNNNNNNNNNNNNNNNNNNNNNNNNNNNNNNNNNNNNNNNNNNNNNNNNNNNNNNNNNNNNNNNNNNNNNNNNNNNNNNNNNNNNNNNNNNNNNNNNNNNNNNNNNNNNNNNNNNNNNNNNNNNNNNNNNNNNNNNNNNNNNNNNNNNNNNNNNNNNNNNNNNNNNNNNNNNNNNNNNNNNNNNNNNNNNNNNNNNNNNNNNNNNNNNNNNNNNNNNNNNNNNNNNNNNNNNNNNNNNNNNNNNNNNNNNNNNNNNNNNNNNNNNNNNNNNNNNNNNNNNNNNNNNNNNNNNNNNNNNNNNNNNNNNNNNNNNNNNNNNNNNNNNNNNNNNNNNNNNNNNNNNNNNNNNNNNNNNNNNNNNNNNNNNNNNNNNNNNNNNNNNNNNNNNNNNNNNNNNNNNNNNNNNNNNNNNNNNNNNNNNNNNNNNNNNNNNNNNNNNNNNNNNNNNNNNNNNNNNNNNNNNNNNNNNNNNNNNNNNNNNNNNNNNNAGUGGCCCAGUGGGGGGGGGGGUUGUUUUAUUCCUUUCCCUUUUAUACCUUUUCACACUUUUCUUCUUUUGUUUUAUUUUAGUUACACGUUAAUUUUAAUUUUAGACAAAUAUAUCUAUAGCCCCUAAAAUAAUGUUUCAGAACAAUCCACUACUAUAAAAAGUUUUACCCUGAUAAAAUAGUCUAGUAUUUUAUAAAAUACCAAAGUCGUUUAAAUAGUUGUUUAGCUACUAUUUAAAUCAUUUUAGUGCUUUAAAUCAUUUUACUAAAAUGUGGUUCCUCCACCAUUUGGACUUAGGAUUUAUUUGUCCCAUUUUGAACAUUUUAGUCUUGACGUUUGAAGAAUUUACCGUUUGACUCGAUUUUGAAUUUGAAUUUGAAUCGGUGUCGAACUAACACGAGAUUAGCAACAGUAACCAUCAUGACGUGGCAUCAUUAACAGAGGUUUACUGUAUCUCAAAUACCCGGGCGUCACAAUGUGCCUAAUAUUGCAGGAGAUGAGGUGGCUCUGGCUGCAUUAAAAUUUUUAGCCCAAAAUAAGAAGAUUAGUGAUAUUUUCCUUGAGCAACACGACAAGGGAUUGGUUCCUCAUUAUGAGGCAAUAAUAGCUAGGGUUUUGAAAGAAGACCAAGUGUUGCCGAUUGAUCAAAUUGUCGAGAGAAAAUAUUCAACAAUGAUGCAGAUGCCUUCACCUAUCAUUGCAACAUGUUAUACACCCCCUGUACAAGCGCAAAAUUUCGGCAACAUCAAUUCAUUGCCGAAAGAUCCUAAAAGUAUUGGGGGGCAAGCCGAUCCAAGCAGGGUUGAGUUUAAAGAAAAAUAUCUAGCCCAGGUGGACAAGAUCAAGCCAAAGCUCACAGGGAAUAGAGUCAACGAAUUUACUACACCUACCCUUGAGGAAUUACCAGCAGAAUAUCAACAGGCCUACGAAGCACUCAAGAAGAAACGUGGAGAGAGAUAUUUGCAAGAAUACGUCAAGUGCCUUCCUCCAUGUAGCAACCAUGUUGGCCCUUCUACACUAUUGAGGCAAGAUAAAAAAGAAGCUUUGCAAGCAAACCAGCAAAAAAGGAUUCACUCGGCUAAUACGGUGGAUUCGGUUGAAACCGGAUUGAGCAACAGGAUGUUUAAGGCCGAGUGCGUUGCAUCGUGCCAGCCGAGUGCAUCGUUCCAGACGAGUGCAUCACCAGCUAAAGCCGAGUGCAUCAAGCCAACUAUUGCCUCGUGUACGAAAAUAGAAGAUGCAAGCUUGGCUGAGCAAAGGAACGACAAACGCAACAAAUUGGUUGUGCUCGAUUUUUCUGGAUGUAAGGGAGCUUACAUGCUACCUUAUGAGUUUCAUGCUAAAGAUAUUGAUGAGCAUCAAGAACACAGUAAUGGCUGAACACAGUUCAGUUAACGAUGAACAUCAAGACCAAGAAAAUGCGGCCGAGCAAAGUUCAACUGACAAAGAGCGUCCGAGUGAAAUCCACUCGGGCAAUCCGACUGAAAUAUACUCGGGCAAUUCAAGUGAAAUAUACUCGGGCAACCUGAGUGAUGAGGCACCAGAUCCAGAAAAAGAGGAAGAGGCAUUGGAGAAUUAUUCAGAAGUGGAGCAAUGUAUUGUUCCAGUGGUACAACCAUCUUCUCCUUCCAACGUCUUCACAAAGGUACACCUAGCAGAUAGUUUACUCAAUUUUCGAUUUGGUCAAAAUCAUAUUGUUGAUGCACCUAUUAGUAAGAUUCUAAUUAAUUUUGAAAGACCAAUUGAAAUGAGUAAUCUUUUUGUUAGGAAGGAUCUUGUCACUAAUCAUGAUAGUCAACACAUGGUAUCGUUCAUAGAGGUUAAUAGUGACAACUUAUCAAAACCAAAGUUGUUCUUGUCAUGCCAACUGAACUUUGUAUUCAUAUGGACAACUUUGUUUGUUUCAUGCCUAGCUAACAUUUGGACUCCUAUGAGCCGUAUAUUCUGUAAUUAUUUUAGUUGCAGAAACAUAAAGUCAGGUCCAAAGUCCUUCGAAGCCGAUUCAAAUGCAUCAGGAAAAGAAGAUGAAUCUUUCCCAAUUGAUAAAAUUGGCGAGCAAAAAUAUGGUUUUACAACAAUGCAUAUGCCUUCACCUAAUACUACAUCAUAUUAUACAGCCCCUACACAAUUGCAAAGUUUCGGCAACACCCAUGUGCCAUUGCCGAAAGAAUCUAAAAGCAAUGGGGGACAAUCGUAUCCGAAGUGGGCUGAAAAUGAGAAAAAGAUUAAAGCCAAUUUCGCCGCUCGCCGGCAGAAACAAAAAGAAACAGAAUUGGCUCAAGUGAAAGAAGCAUUGCCAAUUGGUAGAAGCAAUGUAAAGAAAGAUGAUUCAGAACAUGAAAGUACUAAGGUUAAAAGAGCCGAAUCAAGGAGUAUAUAUUCUGAAUCCAUCAAAUGCAAAGAGGCAAGCAUUAUUGAGAAAGGGCAUGGCAAGCAUAGCAAAGCGACCAUACUUGAUUUUUCUAAAGUUAAUGGAACCUACUUCCUGCCCUAUGAGUUUUGUGCCAGAGAAAUUGAUGAACUUCAAGGACAAGAAUAAGUAGCCGAACAAAGUUCGGCCGACAAAAAUCUUCAAUGUAAUGAUGCACGAAAUCAACAAAAAGAUGAUGAAGAAGCGUUGGGGAGCCAUCCAAAGGCGGAGCAAGAUAUUGUUCAAGUCACACCACCAUCGUGCUCUCCCAACAUAUUUGAAGAGGUAUGUUUAGCAAGUAAUUUACCUAUUUUCAGAUUUGGUCAGGACUUUAUUGUUGAUGCAUCUAUUAGAAAAAUCCUCAUAAGUAAUUUUGAAAGACCAAUGAAGCAGGGUAAUUUACUUGCUAGCAAUAAAGUUGUUAUUGAGCAUAUCGGUCAACCCAUUACGCCAUUUAUAAAGACCGAUAGUGACUUAUUAUUACAGCCAAAGUUUUCCCCGUUGCUUUAUCUAAAGUUCAUAUCUAUUUGGGUAGCUUUGCUUAUUUCAUACUUGGCUUGCACUUGGUCCCAAUUGAGACAUGUGUGUUCUAACUAUUUUCGUUUUAGAAAUUUAAAGCCAAGAUUAAAUUCUGUUGAGAAAACCGAUGCUAGUAUAAUAUCUUACCCAAAGACAUCGGAGAUAGAUUGCAAAACACAAUGCAUAGCCGAAUGGUGUGAUGCAAAAUCUGAACCAUUCGUUUGCUUCAUUCCGAAGCCGUUCUCACAGCAAGAUCGGCUAGAAAACAAGAAGUAUACCUUCAAUUCAAGCAUGUGUGUUCAAAUAUUUGAUUUGUUGCUGAAAAAUAAUUACAUUACAAUUCUUGAUCACCAUGUUAAGCCAUCAAUCCAAGGACGAAUGUAUUGUAAGUUGCAUGAUUCGUCCAAGCAUAAUUUUGAGGAUUGCAACAUGUUUCGUCAAAUAGUUAAAUCGGCCAUUGAAAAAGGACGAUUGAAGUUUGUUGAAACACCAAGAGAUGACCAGUCUAUUCCGAUUGGUCCCGAUGGCAAAAAGUUUUUGCAUCGACUGCUUCAAGCCGAUCCAUUUAAAGAGAAGGUAAAAACUGCAGGUGAUGGGAUCAAGCUUUCAAGUAAAGAAGUUGUUGAAGAGCAUAAUGAACAUAAUCUUGAGGGUGAGAAUUCCAUCCAAGCUACAAUGGAGACGCCAAGGACUGGGGGGCAGCAAGCAAAUCCAACGAUCGAUGAAAGAAAACCAAAAGAAAACAAAGGCCGAAAUAAGCGCAAGUGUAAAAGAUCAAAAAUCACCUUCGAUGAACUAUUUGAGAAAUAUCAAAAGAAGAGUGAAGAGAAGAAUGCUUAUCGGCCCAAUCAUGCAAAGAAACCAAGAUCACCCCCAAGGCGCAAAUAUGAGGAUCGGUAUUGGCAAUGUGAGAGUUUCAAUGCAACAUAUUCAUAUCCUUAUUUUGGGCCGCCAAUGCCAAUGCCGUGGAUGCCUCCCUAUGCUCAUGUAGAUCCAUAUUCAUCAUGGGACAGGUAUGAUACAAGGGCACAUUCUCCAUCUUAUUUUAGACCAUCUCACCAAUAUUAUGCAGCUCCGAGAAGAUCAACAUUUGAACAGUCACAUGUUAAAGACCGUUUCAAUUAUAAGGAAUCGGUCCGGACACCAUGGAUGAAAAAAGAGGUGGUCAAGCAAGUCUACCGCGUGAAACUAUGAAGGACCGAGCCGAAGGAUUCAACAUCUUUGGUCUACACAUUAUCCAAAUUCUUCAACUAUGUCGUUAACGCCUAUGCCAUGGAAUUCGUCAUCAGGUAUGAUCGGUAACCCUCAAUGGGCUUAUUUUAAUCCAUGGAUGCAAUAUAAUUUCUUACGUCAUGAAAGGGUAUUACCAAGUCACUAUACAUUUGAUUAGCUACAAGUUUGUUGCUGAUCCAAAGGGCCGAAAUACUUGAUUUGUCAUUUCAUUUGUUUAUUUCGGCUAUAUGUGCUUUGAAUGAAGUUUAGAUGGUAAUGGCCGAUGAUAUUUAUCUAUCGUCCUAAGAGUAUGUCAAUGCAUGGCAGGUGUAGUAUUCUAAUAUCGUCCUUAGUUUGAUUGGUGAGCGAGACAAUGUACAUGCUCAUGAAAAUUUAUAUGUAUGCCUAUAUUAUGAUUGAAUGGAGUUGAGACAUCAUGACCGAUGUCAUUGAAUAUAUGCUGCAUAGACCAAUUCAUAGCUGCGGAAUUGGUUGAUGGGCUUAUACUUUGUUUGGAUAUGAUUUGGCUUAUGCAUCUUUGAGAUCUAUAAGAGGCCAAAUCAUAGUUGAUUUUGUUACUGAACAUCGGAUUAGUGUCAUGCAUAAUAUUAAUAUUAGCCUUGUCUCUCUAGUACUAUGGAGAUUAUGUUUUGAUGGUUCAAUUCAUAGCAAUGGCCAAAGUGUUGGUGUUGUUUAUAUAUUUCUUUAUGGUACUAUUUUUUGAAGCCUCGUGCCGCUUAGAAUAUUUUUAUGCACGAUUAAUCAAGGCCGAAUAUGCAUUGUUAUUCGGAUUGACUCUUUUACUUGCUAUAGGUGUUAUACAUAUUGAGGCUUUUGGUGAUUCGUUCUGAGUAGUGCAACAAAUAUCCAAGGAUUAUCAAUGUGUUUUACCGAAUCACUUAUAGUUUAUCUUGGGCUAUGUCUAGAUGAAGAAUUUACCUUGGGUUGCAUUCAAAUUGUUCAUAUAUUUAGACAUGGCAAUUGGAGAGAGUUGGCAUAGCAAGCAUCCGGCUACCAUGUCCAUCAUGUUGUAUUGCAUUUCUCUCAAUAGCCGAUGCUUAGUCUUGUCAACAUAGGUAAGGUCGAACCGAAGUCCAGAACUUCGGCCACUAAUGAAAUUUUUAUGCAGGCCAAAGUAAGGAUUGGAGAAAGUUUAUUGUUGAUUGUCUACAAAAUCCUAGCAAAAGGGUGAACAAUAUGGUUCGGAGGAUGACAUUGAGAUACAUAUCUAUGGAACUUUAUCACCGGAUUGUUAAUGAAGCUGAGAAGGUUUCACCCGAGUUUGCAUCAGAAAGUUCACACAAGACAUGGCCGAUAUAUACUUAUCGUCCUAAGAACAUAUAAAUGGCCGAUGGAGUGUUGACAUCGUCCUUAGAACAAACUUGGUACAAGUAUUUUUCGACACGCUAGGUUUACCGAAAAACAGUGGGGCAUGUGUUGACGCUCAAAAGUGGCACGAUCAUAAAGCAGCAUGCUGGGGCGAAAACCUUGCCGGGGUAAAAUCUUGCCGGUGUGAAAGCUUGCCGGUGUGAAAGCUUGCCGGUGUGAAGGCUUGCCGGCGUGGAAAGCUUGCCGGCACAGAAAGAUCGCCGGUGCUUGCCGGUGUGAAAUCUUGCCGAGGGAGAAACCUUGUCAGGAAGGAACCCUUGCCGGAGUACAAACCUUGCCGGAGUGAAACCUUGCCUGUGUGAAAGCUUGCCGGGUAGAAACAUUGCCGGUGUGGAAAGCUUACUCGGACGGAAAACUUGCCGGGUUGGAGGCUGUGAUAGUCAAUCGAACGAGAAGUUGAAGAUGGGCUCAAAAGGUUAUUCAGAUGAUCUCGGAUGGAAAAAUGAUCUACACGGGUUGUCUUCGUCUCGUCGAAACGAUCGAUUUUGGUAUAAAAAUCAUUCAAAUUCGAGUUUGUAUGCAAAAGUUAGAGCAAUCGGAGUGCAGCCCUGUCACGAGGCGAGAUGUGGCGUGCCCCACCAGACACAUGUCUGACGGGUAGUGCGAGGAAAUAGCCUGUGUUGCGAGACCGAUCUGACCCUCAAGAUGAUCUCUGAUCAAAACACCUUCAACAUGAAAGCUGUUCGUCUCGUCGAAACGGUCAAGAUUGCUUUUGGGCUUGUUUUCAUCCGGGAUCGUUUACCACUGCCAAAAAGACCCGCAAUGUGCAGCCAGUUUAAACCGAACAGUUUUGGAAAGUUCAGAUAAACCAGUCCGAAUUUGACUAGGGUUUUGUACGUGAAUUGAUGUAAUUUUCUUGUAAGGAAAGCCGAGAUAAAUUCUUUGCUUGUACGGGAAGUCCAGCCGCCUCUUAUAUAUGUUGGGGGUGACGGCCGAUUGAAACAACACACAAUCGAACAAACACAUCUACUACCUUUUCAUGUUCAUCUACUUUUUAUCUCUCCCUUGUAUCUUUCUUCUCGUUCUUCGCUAGUUCUUCAUGCUGGAGGGCUGCGGAUCCACGAGGCUUUAGGGCCUAGCUAGCGAAUCGACCUAGGGCAGCCCAUAGCCGCCGCAAUCCCUGACGGGGUCCCUCUCGGGUGCGCGGGGUUUCGGGUCUGCAAAAGCGCCCGCCGACUGUCUUGCGUAUCGCGCUGUCGGUCGGGUCUCCUUCGACGUGAGCUGCGGUGCAUCACCCCUGGCGUCGAGGAUACAUGUGACGUGUUCGUGUGCGAACAACGUGCUCCCUGGCUCCACCCCAUUGAAAAAAUAUACAUCUGGAGGCUGCUUUGUUUCCUCAUCAAAAAAAACUUACGUUAAAAAGAUUGCAUGCAUCCCAGGAAAAAUAAUCAAGAAGUCGGACUCAUCCUUACAAAAACAAGGAACGUGUUAAGUUGACUUCAAAGAAAAAAGGAACAUGUUAAGUUAAAAAAAACAAGAAACCUGUUAAGUUAGAAAAAAACAAGGAACGUGUUGUCCUAGGAAAGAUAUGUGUCAAAUCUUACAAAAAAAAGAAUACACACACGUACGUUCAUGCACUUGGAAAAUAGAAAAAAAAGAACAUCACGUAUGUAUACACUUUGGAAACUCAUUACAUGACCAUGUCUGAUAUACUCCUCUAAUGCUUAACAUUAGUGCCUAAUAAUUUAUAUUUAAAAUUUAAUUUACUGAUCAAAUAUCCCCACUGUUUAAAUUUUAAUUUGGCACAUUGUUUGACUACAGUAUGAACCUAAAUUUCCUCUUAUUAAUAUAUAUCAUGGUAAUAAUCCAAAGGCGACUAAUCUGCGCCGGUGCACCGGCGCAAUCAAUUUGGCCGGACACAGCGCGGCCUUUUGAUUAGAUUGCAUUUAACCAUCAGAUCUGGAAUCGUUUUCUUUCCAAUUAAACGGAUUCAACCAAACAGCAGAGGGGAAAACAAAGCAGCGCCGCCGCCAACACUAGCCAUGGACGAUCGAUGUACCAAAACCUUGAAUAACUGCCGCCGGUCGCCACCCUCGCCGCUGGUGGCCGCCCUCGCCGUCGGUCACCGCCGAUCACCGCCCUCGCUGCCUGCGUUUCUCAUCGGCUUCAUGCAUGCAACAGCAUGCAGUCGUGGUUGCAGGCUUGCAGCUCCGGCUCCGGGGGACAUGGCCGCAUCUCCGGUAACGCCAGCCGCCGACCGCAGCACCUGUCGUUAUGGUCGCGUUGUACCUCGCCGUGUGCCCUCCCGAGGCUCUUGCUGGUUCCAACAAAAAACAAUACGUGUUGUAGCAAAAAAGUUUAUCGCUUCCAGCAAAAAAGCUUACCGCUACAGCCCGCCAUCGUCAUUGUAGCAAAAAUGUUAACCCGAUGUAGCUUUUGUGGUUGCCGACUGCAACAAAAAAUGACGUGGUUGUAGCAAAACACAAAAGAAAAAUGCCGGCCGGCCGCUGUGUAUGGUGGUAACAAACCCUAUAGCCGGUGGUAGCGAAAAACUUCAUAGUUUGCAGCAAAAAAAUGUUGUCGCCCGUCGUCGAGGUUGCAUCGUCUUCAUGAAUUAUGUCGCAAAAAAACAUUGUCGCCGGUAGUAGCAAAUGAAGCCGCCGGUAGUAGCAAAACAAGACACUGGUUCCAGCCAAAAAAUAAAUCAGCGACAGAACCUUUGGUUGGUUACAACAAAAAAACUUGUCGGUUGUAACAUCCCUCGCCGCCGGAUGUAGCAUCUCCCGGGGCUGGUUGCAACACUCCAUAAAAAAAAUGUUGUCUAUGAGCGCAUCCAUGGCGACUGCUGCACCAUCAGCAACGAGGGGAAGAGGAGGCAAUGAAAAUCGUUCGAGUCGUAGCUCCACAGGACGCGGCUGCAGCAUGGGGAGUCCAAAAAUCUGUCACAAGCAACAUGCGCCUCACCAUCCUCCUGCGCAGGAGAGAGAAGAAAAAGGAAUAAGAGGAAGAAGAAAGGAAACGGGAGGAAGAAAAAAGAAACGAUUGGUGGUGGGCUGAGGCAAUUAGUCAAACGAGGGGCACGCGGGGCCGCAGGAUACAGCGCAAUCGAACGAAGCGCGCGCGUCCGGCCGAAGACUCGGCCGGACUGCCGUCUGGAAACGUUUCCCUAAUCCAAAGGCUUUGUCUGAAUGACAAGUCGUCUGGGUUACCGGCUAACUAGAAAAAAGAUAAAUAUGCUAGAGAAUUUCAUAAUAAUUAGAAAUAUCUAGCCUUUAAUUAUGUAAAUCAGAAAAUCACAACCGUUGGAUUUACUUUAAAGGUAAAUUUCUCUAAAUUCCCACCAUUGCCAGUAUGUAGAAACAUGUGCUGCUUCAAUUCUCCCAUAAUCACCAAUCAAUCAACAACACAAAACAUACCUCAGUUAAAAAAACUGAACAAAAAAAAAGAAAAAAGAAGAAAGGACAAGAUACACGCAUGUACACGACAGCCUUGGCUUGAAACACAUCAGUAGAUCAAGUGUCCGCCUCCCUUACACAGAAUAAACUCAUAGGGAAGAAAAUAAUUGUGCAACCUAACCUUAUACGUACUAUUCUAUCCUCACGUCCCAUGAGGUUUACUAGCCUACCGCCGCCGCAUCAUGCCAUCCCCUCCUUUCAGCUCCCAUGCUUUCCAGCACCCUCAUUGCCGCGCCACUACUUGCCUAGGGAUAUUGCUGCUCAGACCGUGGAGCUUAACCUGCUUCUUCUUCAGCAAAUAUGGUACUGCUUUAGGAUCCUUCUCACAUCAGCACGUAUGGGCCUCAUUAUACUGCAGCUCCUGGACCUCCUACAAUUGGUUGGCUAUGGCCAGUUGAUCGAUGUGCCGAAGUCCAGGUCUGUUUGCUGGCACAUAUGCUUUGGAAAUAGGCCACUAUGUUUGUACUUCAAAAUUGUUUCUGUAUUCUUGAGUGGUACAUCCUUUUAAGCGCCAGUUUUUUAUGUCAAUUCAUGCUGACAACACUUAACCUAGCCUUUCAUCUUCACGUACUAAAUACAGGAGCAAGUAAAAACAACAGACCACCUAAUUGCUCUGCAUGUACUACAUAGGAAAAUUUGUCAUGUUCUACGAUCGCACCAUCCCACACUUCUCUCUUGGUAUGGGCGCCAAUUGAGGGAUUGAUAAAACUGAAACGAAGACGUCACGGGGCUGGAAGUACCGCUAGCCUGGUUUGCACUGCAACCUACUCAACGCCAUCAGAAACUAGCAACUGAGGCAGUUGUUGAUCGAUUCUCUCAAAUUGCUCUCAUGUAAGUACUACCCCUUGCAUGUGCGUACAUACCUUUGUUCCAUUCUCAAACAGAUAGAACAUUUAUGAUCGGUGCAUGGCUAUUUUUCAUCACAUGACAUCCAGAUAACAAGCAUGAAAGGACUACAUUGGAGAUCAAAAAAUAUUGGUUCCUGGCUAGAGGACCACUACCUAUGGACUUGUCUCCAUAGAAUUUGUUCCCAAGACGUUAUUUUAAUUAACCUCUUUAGCUUUCUUCCAUUGCAAACGGUGAUGUGCAUCAUGGUAUAUACGUGACCAUCUUGCACAUGUAUACACAAGAGGCUCAGACGGAGGUGCUGGAUUCUGGACGAGGGAAUAUGAAGCAGGAGUGAGCGAAGAGUAAAUAAUGGUGGGAGUACCGAUUGGUGUUAUGAAGAAAAAUGCCAUUCAAAGAUUGAUUAGUGUCAUGGAAGAUUAAUUUCUGAAUGCGAAUAUAUAUGUUACAUUGGUUUGGAUCUUUUUGAGAUAAUUGCACCUAAAUUAGGUUCUUUCUUAUUUCAUAUGUAUACCUUAUUUCAGUAAAAGUUCACAACGAACUUAGUAGGACAAAUAUAAUUUUGUUUGUGCUUUCUGUUGUCCGCCACCAAAGCUCAGUUUGAACUCUCUAGAAAUGGACAAUGAUUUAUGCAUUCUAUAUCUUCUUGAUUGAUUAGUCAUGACAAGGAAAUAAAAUGAUUGACUGAUAUAGCAUAACUUUGGAACGAUCUGUUCGUAGAGGUUACUACAAAUUAGAGUAGUGUCUGUUGGAAUUUUGCUAGUAGGCCUUUGGCCCAAAGCCCAACUAAAAUUCUGAAAUUCUCUUGGCUCAUUCAUGCACACAUGUGAGUGGAGUGAGUGAGACUAAAGUUUAGUCCCUCCCCGAAAGUUGAGAGAGUGUUGCACCUCUUUAUAAGGUGAGCUCUUCUACCACUUGUAUGAGCAUGGGAAGAGGAGACCUACACGCGCGCUCCUCCUCCUCGCUCACCAUGCCUCGUCACGACGCGCCGCGCCGCACCGCGUGGUGGGUUGUGGGAUUGAGCCGAGCCGAGGACGUUGUCUAUAUUUUUGCUGCUCGGGAAAAAUUAAUGAGUCAUUAAUUAAUAAUUAAUGGACGCGUUAAUUACUGAACCGUUUCCGAUUCUUUUGGAUCCUGACGACUCGGACGUGGGGUUUACUCCCACGACCUACCCGACCUGCACUACAUAGCCAGGCAGACGUCUACCUUAGCCGCCGCCCCUUCGUAUGGUUUCUCACCACCGUUACAGAUCAUUGCGCCGCCAAGCAAGUUUUCUCCAUCCCUCGUUUCGGCGUGCACCGGGAGAAGGGACAGCAGGCCUCCGGAACCCCGCCUCUCGUGAUCCUGUACGGAAGAGGGGCGAUCAGGUUUUUGGGGAGCGCAUCGCACGACUGCUGGCAGCGACGACUUCGCGAACGACGACUUCUUCCCCGACCUCGGCAACCUCAUCCUCGAGGACAUGGGCGACAACGUCAACGCCGGCGGUGCUACACCCACUGCACCGUAUGUUAUUCUAUCCUUCUUGUUCGAGAUCGUGGUAGAAUUCAUGUUUCUAGUAUGUGCCCUAGAGGUGAUCUGUUCAUCUACUAUGCUAGUUCGCAUGAUUAGUUUAAUCUCUGCUAUUGCUGUCAUGAUCUAUUUCCUAUUUAUUCGGAUUAAAUCUCGUAGUAAUUUUCUCAUUUUUCCAACAAUCCAAAAACCUAAUUAUAGGCAACUUACUCCGAGUGGUUUUGAUGCGCAUCUGAAAGCCGCCUGCCUUUAAGGGGGCGCAAUAUAAGAGGUGGCGCACGAGAGCAGUCUACUGGUUUCAGAUCAUGGGCUGCUAUGACGCCAUCGAUACCCUCUUUAAAGGCACUCUUCUGAGUGUUCUUGAUGACUCCAUUGUGGAUUCGUAUAUGUCGUUGACAACGGCAAGAAUAUGUGGGCUGCGCUCGAGGCCAAGUUUGGUGCCUCGGAUGCUAGUAGCGAGUUGUACGUCAUGGAGCAAUUCUAUGACUCCAAGAUGACUGAUGAGCGCCCUGUUGUACAGCAGGCUCAUGAGAUACAGUCGCUCGGAAAAGAACUUGAGUACUUCAAGUGUGUGUUGCCGAACAAAUUUUUUGCCGGAGGCAUCAUUGCCAAGCUUCCACCUUCGUGGAACAAUUUUGCUACUUCCCUGAAACACAAGAGACAGGAGUUUUUCGUUGCGGAUCUCAUUGGUACUCUUGAUGUUGAAGAGAAGGCGAGAGCAAAGGAUACACGUGCUCGAGUUGCUGAGGGAGGUUCUAGUGCCCACAUGGUACAGAAGAAGAACUUCCAGCCCGUUCAAAAACAACAAGAACAAAACUCAGGGCAAAGGCAAGUUUGAUACAAAGAACAAGCCAUCACAUUCUACCAACUUCAAGAAGAAUUCUCAUAAGAAGGGGAAGGGACUUUGCCAUGUCUGCGGUGAUCCUAAUCACUGGGCUCUGAAGUGUCCUAACUGCUUUGAGGAGCGCGAACAUGAGAAGAGCGGCAAGUCCGCUAAUGUUGUCAUCGGUGAUACUGAUAUGAAGGAAUCAGGGUACGGUAUUUUUCCUACCAUCCUUUCAGUUUUCCAAACCCCUGAUUGGUUAAUUGACACCGGUGCCAAUGUACAUGUUUGUGCUGAUGCCUCCAUGUUUUCUUCUUACCAGGCCAUUGGGACUUCACCCGUGCUGAUGGGGAACGGGUCACAUGCCAUCGUUCGAGGUGUUGGUACGGUCGAUCUGAAGUUUACUUCGGGGAAGACCGUGCGUCGGAAGAACGUUCAUCAUGUUCCAUCCAUCAAUAAAAAUCUCGUUAGCGGUUCCCGUUUAUGUCGAGAUGGUUUUAAGUUGGUUUUCGAAUACACUAAAGUUGUAAUUUCUAAGUACGGACAAUUUGGUGGAAAAGGCUAUGAGAGCGAAGGCUUGUUUUGCCUGUCUUUGUCAGAUAUUUUCACUAAAGUUAUUAAUAAUGUUUGCCACAACAAUGAGUCUGAUAUUUGGCAUUCACGACUUUGUCACAUUAACUUUGGUUGCAUGACGCGGCUAGCCAAUAUGAAUUUAAUUCCGAAAAUCUCUACUGUCAAAGGCUCUAAGUGCCAAGUAUGUGUGCAAGCUAGCUAAGCAACCUCGCAAGUCCCAUAAGACUGUAGAGGCAAGAGACUUGGCGCCACUAGAGCUUAUACAUUCUGAUAUUUGUGAGAUGAAUGGCGUGUUGACAAAAGGUGGAAAGAGAUACUUCAUGACGUUGAUUGAUGACUCCACUAGAUAUUGUUAUGUGUAUCUUAUGAAAUCAAAAGAUGAGGCUUUGACUUUCUUCAAAAACUAUAAAGCUGAGGCAGAGAACCAACUUGAUCAAAAAAUUAAACGGCUUAGGUCCGAUCAUGGUGGAGUGUAUUUUUCCAAUGAAUUUGAUCUGUUUUGUGCGGAACAUGGUAUAAUCCAUGAGAGGAUGCGUCCCUACUCAGCCUAGUCAAAUGGGGUAGCCAAAAUAAAGAACCGAACUCUAACUGAUAUGGUUAACACCAUGUUAGACACUUCAGGUCUAUCCAAGGAAUGGUGGGGGCAGGCGCUAACGACUGCGUGUCAUGUCCUAAACAGAGUACCCACAAAGCAUAAGACCAUGACUCCAUUUGAGGAAUGUGAAAGGAAAAUGUUGAAACUCUCUUACCUACGUACUUGGGGUUGUUUGGCGAAAGUCAAUAUACCAAUUCCCAAGAAGCGCAAGGUUGGACCAAAAACCGUGGAUUGUGUUCUUCUGGGCUAUGCUUUUCAUAGCAUCGGCUAUAGAUUUUUGAUAAUAAAAUCUGAGGUAUCCGACAUGCAUGUUGGUACGAUUAUGGAGUCGAAUGAUGCAACUUUCUUUGAGGACAUAUUUCCUAUGAAGGAUAUGUCGAGUUCAUCAAAUCAGGAGACACCUACUCCAUCUAGUGAGGAAUUCACUGUAAUUCCUGAACCCACCAUUGCGAUGGAACACGUUGAGAAUCCUGUUGAGGGUGACAAUGGAACUCCUAUGAGGAGUAAGAGACACAGGACUACAAAGUCCUUUGGUGAUGAUUUCAUUGUGUUCCUCGUGGAUGACACACCCAGGACUAUUUCAGAAGCCUGUGCAUCUCUUGAUGCUAACUACUGGAAGGAAGCUGUACGUAGCGAGAUGGAUUCCAUCUUAGGUAACGGAACCUGGGAGAUCACUGACCGUCCUUAUGGGUGCAAACUUGUAGGAUGUAAGUGGGUGUUCAAGAAGAAGCUUAGACCUGAUGGUACGAUUGAAAAGUACAAGGCACGGCUUGUGGCCAAGGGUUAUACCCAGAAAGAAGGUGAAGACUUCUUUGAUACUUACUCACCCGUGGCUAGAAUGACCACAAUUCGGGUGCUACUAUCACUUGCUGCCUCACAUGGUCUUCUCGUUCAUCAAAUGGAUGUUAAGACAGCUUUCCUCAAUGGAGAGAGUUGGAGGAAGAAAUUUACAUGGAUCAGCCAGAUGGUUUUGUAGUACCUAGUUAGGAAGGAAAGGUGUGCAAGUUAUUAAAGUCUUUAUAUGGCCUUAAACAAGCUCCUAAAGAGUGGCAUGAGUAGUUUGAAAGAACAUUAACUGCUGCCGGCUUUGUAGUAAACGAUGAUGACAAGUGCGUGUACUAUCGCUAUGGUGGGGCGAAGGAGUUAUUCUUUCUCUGUAUGUCGACGACAUAUUGAUCUUUGGAGCCAAACUUGAUUUAAUCAAGGAGGUUAAGGAUUUCUUAUCUUGUUGUUUUGAGAUGAAGGAUCUAGGAGUAGCUGAUGUUAUCUUAAACAUCAAGCUGUUGAGAGAUGAGAAUGGUGGGAUCACACUACUUCAGUCUCACUAUGUGGAAAAGGUCUUGAGUCAUUUUGGGUAUAGCGACUGCACACCUUCUCCAACUCCAUAUGAUGCUAGUGUGUUGCAUCGAAAGAAUCGAUGGAUUGCUAGAGAUCAACUGAGGUAUUCUCAUAUUAUUGGCCCGCUUAUGUAUUUGACGAGUGCCACGAGGCCUAACAUCUCAUUUGCUGUUAGCAAGCUGAGUCGGUUUGUGUCAAAACCGGGAGAUGAUCGUUGGCAUGCUCUUGAGAGAGUUAUGCGCUAUUUGAAAGGCACCGCGAGCUAUGGGAUUCACUACACCGGGUAUCCAAGGGUACUGGAGGGUUAUAGUGACUCAAACUGGAAGUCCUGCAAACAGACCAUCUUAACAAGGUCAAGUAUGGAAGCAGAACUCACAGCAUUAGAAACUGCCACUGUGAUAAUCAAACUAUGAUCGUCAAGAUAAACAGUUACGGACAAUAUGAAGUCCUCAAGGCAUGUGAAGAGGAGACUGAAAUCUGUCAGAAAAUUGAGGAACUCUGGAGUUAUUACGUUGGAUUAUAUCGAAACAUCGAAAAAUUUGGCAGAUCCCUUCACAGAGGGUCUAUCACGUAAUGUGAUAGAUAAUGCAUCGAUGGAGAUGGGUCUGAGACCCACCGCAUGAGUUGUCCAUAGUGGUCUAUGUGAUCGGAGAUCCCGUGAAGUAGAAGUGGGAGACAAGUUGUUGAUCAGCUGGGAGGAUAGUAUCCCUAUAUUACCUAUCCCACUCCAUGAAGAUGCAAUACUCUCCUAAUCUGCAUGGCAGGUUGACACUUAUGUUAAUGUGUUCCAAGUGGCUUAUUCGGGUAAGCAGAGAUGUUGUCCUGCAGAACAUCUUCUAAGGAACACACCUAUAUGAAUUUGACUGUUAACGUCGCAGUAUGUGAGAAUUGGGUGUUCUCUAAUAAAUUGAUGAAAAGGCCCUGGAGUAUGACGUAUACGCUCCACCCGCGGGGAAGCCUUGCGGCAGCCCAGUAUCGGUCAAGAAUUUGUGUGAAACUAGUCUCGCAGAAAAUUUGUAGUUCAAGGCGUAGUCCAAACGGAAUAUCAAACGGAGUCCAAACGGAAUGAAACCUUUGGGAACGUGAUUUUCUCAACGAACAAGACCCAGGAGACUUGGACCCUACGUCCAGACACAAAAGAGGAGGCCACGAGGUAGGGGGGCGCGCCCUCCACCCUCGUGGGGCCCCUGUUGCUGAAGGACAUAUGCCCUAGAGGCAAUAAUAAAGUUAUGAUUUAUUUCCUUAUAUCAUGAUAAAUGUUUAUUAUUCAUGCUGGAAUUGUAUUAACCGGAAACAUAAUACAUGUGUGAAUACAUAGACAAACAAAGUGUCACCAGUAUGCCUCUACUUGACUAGAUUGUUAAUCAAAGAUGGUUAUGUUUCCUAACCAUAGACAAAGAGUUGUUAUUUGAUUAACGGGAUCACAUCAUUAGUUGAAUGAUCUGAUUGACAUGACCCAUUCCAUUAGCUUAGCACCCGAUCGUUUAGUAUGUUGCUAUUGCUUUCUUCAUGACUUAUACAUGUUCGUAUGACUAUGAGAUUAUGCAACUCCCGUUUACCGAAGGAACACUUUGUGUGCUACCAAACGUCACAACGUAACUGGGUGAAUAUAAAGGAGUUCUACAGGUGUCUCCAAAGGUACAUGUUGGGUUGGCGUAUUUCGAGAUUAGGAUUUGUCACUCCGUUUGUCGGAGAGGUAUCUCUGGGCCCUCUCGGUAAUGCACAUCACAUAAUCCUUGCAAGCAUUGCAACUAAUGUGUUAGUUGUGAGAUGAUGUAUUACGGAACGAGGAAAGAGACUUGCCGGUAAUGAGAUUGAACUAGGUAUUGGAUACCGACGAUCGAAUCUCGGGCAAGUAACAUACCGAUGACAAUGGGAACAACGUAUGUAGUUAUGCGGUCUGACCGAUAAAGAUCUUCGUAGAAUAUGUAGGAGCCAAUAUGGGCAUCCAGGUCCCGCUAUUGGUUAUUGACCAUAGACGUGUCUCGGUCAAGUCUACAUUGUUCUCGAACCGUAGGGUCUGCACGCUUAAAGUUACGAUGACAAUUUCAUUAUGAGUUUAUGUAUUUUGAUGUACCGAAGGUUGUUCGGAGUCCCGGAUGUGAUCACGGACAUGACGAGGAGUCACGAAAUGGUCGAGACAUAAAGAUCGAUAUAUUGGAAGCCUAUAUUUGGACAUCGGAAUCGUUCCGGGUGAAAUCGGCAUUUUACCAGAGUACCGCGGGGUUACCGGAACCCCCGGGGGGGUUAUUGGGCCUACAUGGGCCUUGAAGAAGAGAGGAGGCAGGAGGUGGCCGCGCGCCCCUCCCCUUCCUAGUCCGAAUAGGACAAGGGAAGGGGGGUGGCGCCCCCCCUUUCCUUCCCCUCUUCCUCCUCUUUCCCCCCUUCUCCUUCUCCAACUAGGAAAGAAGGGAGUCCUACUCCCGGUGGGAGUAGGACUCCCCCUGGCGCGCCCCUCCUUGGCCGGCCGCCCCCUCCCCUUGGUUCCUUCAUAUACGGGGGCAGGGGGCACCCUAGGACACAGAAGUUGAUCUUCGUGAUCGUUCCUUAGUCGUGUGCGGUGCCCCCCUCCACGAUAUUACACCUCGAUCAUAUUGUAGCAGUGCUUAGGCGAAGCCCUGUGACGGUUAAACAUCAAGAUCGUCACCACGCCGUCGUGCUGACCAAACUCCUCCCCGAAGCUUUGCUGGAUCCGAGCCGGGGGUGCGUCAUCGAGCCGUACGUGUCUCAAGAACUCGGAGGUGCCGGAGUAAAGGUGCUUGGAUUGGUUGGACCGGGAAGACGUACGACUACUUCCUCUACGUUGCGUCAACGCUUCCGCUUCGGUCUACAAGGAUACGUAGACAACACUCUCCCCUCUUGUUGCUAUGCAUCACCAUGAACUUGCGUGUGCGUAGGAAAUUUUUUGAAAUUACUACAUUCCCCAACAGUGGCAUCCGAGCCUAGGUUUUAUGGUUUGAUGUUAUACGCACGAGUAGAACACAAGUGAGUUGUGGGCGAUAUAAGUCAUACUGCCUACCAGCAUGUCAUACUUUGGUUCGGCGGUAUUGUUGGAUGAAGUGGCCCGGACCGACAUUACGCGUACGCUUACGCGAGACUGGUUCUACCGCCGUGCUUUGCACAUAGAUGGCUGGCGGGUGUCAGUUUCUCCAACUUUAGUUGAACCGAGUGUGGCUACGCCCGGUCCUUGCGAAGGUUAAAACGGCAUCAACUUGACAAACUAUCUGUCACAGCCCUAGAAUUUGCUUGUAGCUAUUUACCCGAGUGAGCAUGAUGCAUCAUGUCUAAAUUCUGAAAGUUGAAUUGAGGUUAGUAGAAACCCUCAUAAAUCACUUCAAAAAUAAUCAACAUUAAAAUCUUUUCAAAGAAGUCCAAGAAAGUGUUCCUCUUAGUCUCUGAAAAUAUUGGCAAGAGGUAAAACUUAAAACAAUAUUUUUGGAAUCUCAGAGAUAUUUAUUUUGGGCCUUUGAAUUAAUUCAAUAACAAUUUGCAUUGGAUAUAUAUUUUAUAUAUAACUAAUAUAUGUCCAAUAAUUCUAGAACAUUUUAUGUGGUUUGUUAUAUUUUAGUUCUAGCCACAUAAUUAUUUUCAGGAUUUUAUUAAAUGGUUUAGUAUUUUUACUAAACCAAAACAAAACAGAACAAAAUAGAAAAAAACUGAAACAGAAAGCAAACAGAAAAUAGAGAGAGAGAGAGGAGCUACCUGGGCUUACCUGGCGCCCCAACUGGCCCACCUCUGUAGCAGCCCAACUGGCCAAAGCCAGCCCGGCCCAUCAGGGGCAGCACUGUCUUCUUCCUCCUGCCAGGAGGAGAAGCAGCUGCGUGCCCGAUGGCCGGCGAGCCGCGCUGGCUCCUCCCUGCCUGCGUGCCCCCCCUCGACUUCCUGGAUGCCAUGCACUCCCCCUCGCCCCCUGCACCUCUCCUCUCUCCCCCUGGACCCCAUCCCCUCCUCUGCUCCCCUCUCGCGCGCACCACCGAGCGGAGCUCGUCGUCAUCGUCGCCGUACUCGUGGCCACCGGCCACCCCUCGCCCUGCCGCUGCGCCCAAAAGCUCUGCCAUUUCGUCCUCGACCCCCUCACCGAGCCACGCCACCGCGGGAGCCCCACAUCGCGGCUACGAGUCGUCCUCCCCGAGCACGGCCGCCGGACUUCAUCGAUGAAUUCGUCGCCUUCCGGUCGUCCCCGAGCCAGCUGAGCUCCGCUUCGACCUCACCGUGAGAUCCUCUACCAAACCCCUCUCUCCCCGCCGUCUAUUUCCUCCUCUAGCCUCACUAACCACCGUGGCCGAAGCUCGCCGCCGCCGUACCUCAUCGCCGCCACGGCCAUAGCUGCCGCCACCCACGCCCGAGCUUUGCCCCAUGCUCAGCACUCUCCCAGGAGCCGGGCGCGCCCACCCAUUCGACCCGUUGUGCCCCCUAGCGCCAACCCCGACCUCGCCCGAAUUCCGGCCGCCGCAAAAGUUGCCGCCACCGUCGAUUUAGUCAACCCCGGUGCGAGGUGUUGCCACCGAUGGAUGCGCGAGUCUCCCAGCUCGCCGUAGCCACAAACCACGAGCGAAACGAUGCUCUGUAGCUCCGUCCCGAGCAUCUCCGGCGAGCCACGGCCGUGCUUUUGGUCGCCGGCGUCGACCGCUGACGUGGUCGCUUAAUUAAGUCUAAUCACCACUAAUCCCUGCCUAACAGACGCUGACUCACGGGCCCCACCUGUUAAUUAACCACAAGGUUAUACCCUGUUUAAUUUAAGCUAAUGACCGUGGCCCCACGGGUCAGUUUGACCUGGCCACGUCACCGUUGACCUGGUCCCACACGUCAGCCACAGAAACCAGCCCUGGGUCACUGACCAGUGGGCCCCACUAGUCAGGUUUGACCCGGACCAGCCCUGUUGACUUGCUUACGUCACCCUGAUGUCAUGCUGACGCAGUAAUUAAUUUCUGUUUUAUAAUAAUUCAGAAAAUUUCAGAAAAUGUCCAAAACUUCUAAAAAUCAUAGAAAUUAAACUGUAACUCCAAAUAAAAUAAAUUAUAUAUGUAAAAUUAUCAGAAAAAUUCAAGGAAUCUGUUUAUGGCAUUUUCAUGCAUGUUUGAAAAAUGUUUGACCUCUGUUUUGGACAAAACAAUAAAGGGCAUUUAAAUAAUCAUAUAUGGAGUUUGAAUUUGAAUCUUGUAUUCAAACCAACUUCAUUUAAUUGUGUUGUUAGUUGCUUUAGGUCAAUCAAUAGCAUAUUGCCAUGUCAUUAUCAUGCAUCAUAUUGUUGCAUCGCAUUGAUUGUGUCCUUCCUUGUUUGCCGGUAAUUGCCCCCUCUCAGUAGACGUUGUUUCCGACGACGUGAUCGAUGACACCGAUGAAGAGCUAUUCUAUCUUCAGAAGUGCCAGGCAAGCACAACCCCCUUGUUCAUUCCGAUACAAGCCCACUCUCUCGCUCCUGCUCUCUUUUACUGCAUUAGGACAACAAUGAUUCAUUUGUUACUUGUUGCGGUAGUUGAACCCCUUAUCCUCUGCAUGACCUAUCAUUGCCACAGUAAUUAGAUGAAACCCGCUAGCAUGAGUAGGAGUUGUUUGAGCCCUGAUGUGCCUACUCAUUCAUGCUUGUUUGUCAUGCCUGCUACUGCUUAGAGUUGAGUCAGGUCUGAUUCAUCGGGGAUGGAUCGGAGGUGUGUAAACAUGUCCUAUUGUGUGUGAGCUAAGUGUGUGAACACGUUUUGGUAAAGGUAGCGGUGACAGGCCAUGUAGGAGUACAUGGUGGGUUGUCUCAUUGAAACCGUCCACAGGAACUAAGUUCUGUGUUUGUGAUCCAUGAAACAGCUGCUACCACACGUUGGGCCCCGAAAUAUGACCCCGCUCGACUUACUGACCCCUCUCUUCCUCUGUCCAGGAGUUGCAAUUAGUUUCUGGUGUUUAUAGGAUAUGUGUUGGCGGCCGUGUGUAGCGCUGACCCUAGGGGUGGGCUAUGAUGCGGUAGAUACACUGUGGCCCGGUGUACCGGGCGCCCGUUUGGUGUCUCUGGAACCCUGCACACAUCGUUUGGGGCUGUGAGCGAAACUCCGUCCGGAUCUCCUCGCGGAUGGAACCCGAAUAGGCGAUAAACCUGGACUAGAGACUUGUGUGGUUAGUCAGGUCGUGGUCUACACCCACGUCGGCUUUCGCUUGAAGUCUGCCGAGCACAUGUCGUGUGCAGACGCUAAGUGGUGGAAACAUGUGUGACGAAGUACACCCCCGCAGGGUUAUAAAUGAUCUAUUCGAAUAGCCGUGUCCGCGGUAAAGGACUUCUGGGUUGCCUAUAACAGUUCAUAGACAAGUGAAAGUGGAUACUCUAAAAACUCGCAAGAUAAGUGUGAGUGCUACGGAUGGCCUUCUCGUAGGGAGACGAGAGCGGAUCCAUAGUGGUCUAUUGAAUGGUGAAUAUGUGGACUCGUGUGCGCCACCUUAAAAGAGUUGCUUGCCAUCGUAGUUCAGGUUAGCCCCGGAAUCAAAGCUGGCUUGCUGCCGUUAAACUCCACCCCCCUUUGAUGAUACCGAUGCAUAUGUAGUUUAGAUCUGAUGUAAGUAUUGCUGAGUACCUUUGUACUCACGUUUGCUUAAUUUAUGUUUUGCAGAGAGACUUCAGUCUCGCUAGUAGUUCCGCGUGGACUUCGACGUUUAGCUUGAUACCUCAGCUACGAUCUUGUGCCCUCGACAGGAUCUGGUAGAUAGUCAGGCUUCUUAGCCUUUUUCAUUUAUAGAUGUCUGUACUCAGACAUGUUAAGCUUCCGCAUGUGCUUUGCAUUGUAUGCUAUGAUUGUCGGGUCAUGAGACCCAUGCUUGUAAUAUCUAGCUCUUCGGAGCCUAAUGAAUUAAUACUUGAGUCGUAGAGUCUUGUUUUGAUGCCAUGUUGUAUUUACACAUAUCGAGCAUAUUGUGUGUAUGAUUGAAAUGCUUGGUAUGUGUAGGAUCCAACAACCUAGUUGUUUAUCCUUCGCAGCCUUUCUUAUGGGGAAAUGUAGUCUAGUGUUCCUCGAGCCAUAGUAGUCCGCUACAGCCCGGUUCACCGGAGUCCUGCUAGCCCAGCACUACUGUUCAGGACACUUGACUGGCCGGCAUGUGUUUCACUUCAUCCCUAUGUCUGUCCCUUCGGGGAAAUGUCACGCGGUGAUUUCCGGAGUCCUGCCUAGCCUGCUACAGCCCGGGAUCCCCGGAGUCCUGUUAGCCCAGUGCCACAGCCCGGAAUAACUCAUUGAUGACCGACAUGUUCGAUGUGAUUCAUGUAUGCCUGUCUCCAUAGGUCUGUGCCACUUUGGGUUCACGACUAGCCAUGUCGGCCCGGGUUCUUUGUCAUAUGGAUGCUAGCGACACUAUCAUAUACGUGAGCCAAAAGGCGCAAACGGUCCCGGGCCAGGUAAGGUGGCACCCGUGGGAAUACCGUGCGUGAGGCCACAAAGUGAUAUGAUGUGUUACAUGCUAGAUCGGUGUGACCUAGGAUCGGGGUCCUGAUAGCGUUGGUAUCAGAGCCUGACUGCCUGUAGGAUUACCAAGCCAAACUGGUCGAAGUUGAGUCUAGAAAUGCUUUAGUUAUGUAAGGGAAUUGAUUGCGGAAGGGAACGUAAGGCUCUUUUUAUUCCUUAUACCUCAUGCCCUUGUGAUCUGAGUCAUCCUCUUCCUUUCUAUGGGGAUUAAGAACUAGGCUUUCUUAUCUAUCUAUCAGGAUGACGUGUUACUAACCCGUUGACUUAUAGGAUUGAUGGAUUCAUGCUGCAGUUCAGUUCCUACUACUUCCAUAUAUUCAUAACUGGCCGCAGAACCUUGAUAUUAUGAUUCGAGUGGUUAUGCCACCAUUUUUGCAGGAUGUCUCAAAUCUUUUCGAGCAUUUACAGCCGUUAUGCUGUCCGAGUCAUCCCAGGUUUCUAAAUAGUCUGAUGCAUUUGCAAACCUUUUCCCCUGUUCCUGAUGUCCAUUUAGGCCAGGUUAAUCACACUAAUUGUGAGUUGGCGUAUUCUUUUGCCUGGACAUAUAUUUUGGAAUUAUUAUUAUGACCCUAGAUGUCUUAGAGUGCCACCUAGUAAUCGAACCAUGUUUUGCGUUUCUAGUGUGAUGAUUCUGGCCGUUAUUCUUGAAAGCAUCCCGUGAUGCCAUUUAGUUAGUAGGCAUUCUAUUCCUGGGUUUUGAACCCGAGACCCACCCUACCUGCUUCAUGUUGAUAGUGUUUGCUAGUUCCUUAGGACAUUAGUAAACCUUGUGAUAGACCUCGAGGUCCGUGGUAUUUCCUUCUUCCAAUUAUCAUGAACCAUUCAUGGCAGGAGUUCUUUUGAACCAAAAGGUCACGACAGAGUGCUCUUGAUGAGUUCUCCAUUCUAUAUUGUGGCUCUGCCAGUUCUACCUUUCUGCAUGGGUUAUCCGGAAGAAAUAUGUUGAACUCGUUCGACAUACUAACCUAUGCAUCCACAACUCAGAAAGUUAUAUGUUCCUUGAGUUGUUCCUCUUCAGUUGUAUUCCGACCAUCCUCUAUCAGUAGAUAGCCAAGAGUAUGUGUGCAUUUGUGUUCAUCGGUGCCUCUUAUUCUUGUGGUUCGUCGAGCCGUUCUAUUUUAGAAUGACUAGGAGAAACAAACUCCAGUACCUCAUCCAUAUCUAGGGUUGGGUCAAAAUAGUUGUAUUCCGCAGAUCAAAAUGCAACCCAGCUUUUGGUUCUGUUCUACCCUGAAGUAUUACCCACCUUAUGUCAAGAGCGACGUGAGAAUUGCACCUUCUCCUAUGAAUUCUUGACGCAGUGAUACUUCUUGCCAUCAUUGUUCAUUCCUCGGUUCCUGUGUUAUUGUAACCAGAAUGCCGGCACGUGAGUCGUUAUGUGUGAAAUCAAUACUCCUAGCAACUAUGCUGCUUGGUAGUUAAUGGACAAUAUUCUCAUUCUUAGCGUGUUGGUUAUUGAAUUAUCAUUCUAAGACUGAUCGUGCUACCUAGUCCAUAUUUCUGGUGCACACUUCGAUCAAUGGGUUAGGACUGUGCCAAUCCCUCACUCUUUGAUCAUAUCAUCUUGCCCUGAAAAGCAAGGUUGUUCUCGAGCUUAGUAACAUACCGGUGGUUCGUGAUUUUCCGAAUAUCUUCUCAGAAGUGUUACUAGGUUGUCACCUGACCGUUAUGUUGAGUUCAUGAUCAAGAUGGUUUUUCAAUAAACCACUUUUCCCUAAGAAUCUGUGUUGGAUACCCCUGAGCUAGUUGGUUAAGCUUAACAACAACUUGGAGAGUUGGAAGAUGAAAACUUGUCCGACUUAGCUCAUCCCUAAGGGAUAUCCUUGUGUGUGUGGGUGUUGAAGAAAGAUGAUAUAUUCACCAAUUGGUCCUCAUGAUCAGUUGUUGUAUCUAUUAUCUUGUCCAAACCUUGAUUUGAGUGUGGGCUAUCGUCAAAUCAAAUCAGAACCAACGAUGUUCAUAAUGUUGUCUUACUUACGGUUGUCCCUCGAGCAUACACCAUUAUAUAUUUGGUUUGACCAAUACUAUCACAUUGUUCACAUAGUGGUGGAAGUCCAGUGAUAUGGAAAUACCGAUGCGUUGUUGUUGAUCCCAUCAGCAGCCUUUUGUCUCCCCCAUGAGUCAUGUUGAAUGCUACACUAGUAUUGGAAACUUAUAAGCAUUAUCUUUGUGUUUCGUUCAUGAAGCAUAUGUUUGGAUGAAAGAAGUGACUUCCUCUAAUUCAUGUGCACUCGAUGUAAGUUGCCACCAUGAAUUGAGCAAGGUUUGUUUUGUUUCCCUUGGAAUCAUCCCAAAUCAGUCAUGCAUAUGUGCGAAGUAUUCUAUGGUUUGGUAGAUUAAUUACCUCCACUCCAUAUGUGUUCCUAGCACACCAAGCCACUGGUUGAUUUGUUCAAGGAGAAGAAGUUCCUUCUUAAGAAUCAUGACUUAUGUUAGGACUUUGUUAUCCUCGAUAAUGGUUCCCCACCUGAACUCGGUAGUGUUUUAUUAUAAGACUACCAUGUGGUCAUGCUUUUCUGGGACAGCGUGUUCACAUGUGUUUAGCAGAACCAGCUCAUGCUUUGGAGCUUACUACCGUAGUUCAUUCCCCGAGAAUCUCGCAAUGUCGUCUCGUCGAUUUGUGUUGCAAACCUUCAUUUUCCUUUCUAGACUCGAUGAGUCUGGAAUAUCCCGUCACCAACCAGAUCUGAAUCUCAGGCAGAUAUGAUGGUUGGAGCAUUUUCCAAGAACUAUAAUAUUGGUCUCCCGAUAACCGGUAAAGUGGAUGUCGUGGCCAACACAUCCAGCCGGGCGACCUAUUAUUGUAGUAUCUUGAUUGAAGAAAGUUGGCCACCUUCCCAUGAGGAUUUCAUAGGAUUUACUCCAGAAGUUGUUCCUUAUGGAUCUAUUGUAUUCCGAAGUCCGACCACUACUUGGUGGCUAUGCCGAUGCUUAAAGCAUGACCGUGGUUGCCCCCUCUCAGUAGACGUUGUUUCCGACGACGUGAUCGAUGACACCGAUGAAGAGCUAUUCUAUCUUCAGAAGUGCCAGGCAAGCACAACCCCCUUGUUCAUUCCGAUACAAGCCCACUCUCUCGCUCCAGCUCUCUUUUACUGCAUUAGGACAACAACGAUUCAUCUGUUACUUGUUGCGGUAGUUGAACCCCUUAUCCUCUGCAUGACCUGUCAUUGCCACAGUAAUUAGAUGAAACCCACUAGCAUGAGUAGGAGUUGUUUGAGCCCUGAUGUGCCUACUCAUUCAUGCUUGUUUGUCAUGCCUGCUACUGCUUAGAGUUGAGUCAGGUCUGAUUCAUCGGGGAUGGAUCGGAGGUGUGUAAACAUGUCCUAUUGUGUGUGAGCUAAGUGUGUGAACACGUUUUGGUAAAGGUAGCGGUGAGAGGCCAUGUAGGAGUACAUGGUGGGUUGUCUCAUUGAAACCGUCCUCAGGAACUGAGUUCUGUGUUUGUGAUCCAUGAAAUAGCUACUACGACACGUUGGCCCUGAAAUAUGACCCCGCUCGACUUACUGACCCCUCUCGUCCUCUGUCCAGGAGUUGCAAUUAGUUUCUGGUGUUUAUAGGAUAUGUGUUGGCGGCCGUGCGUAGCGCUGACCCUAGGGGUGGGCUAUGAUGCGGUAGAUACACCGUGGCCCGGUGUACCGGGCGCCCGUUUGGUGUCUCGGGAACCCUGCACACAUCGUUUGGGGCUGUGAGCGAAACUCCGGCCGGAUCUCCUCGCGGAUGGAACCCGAAUAGGCAAUAAACCUGGACUAGAGACUUGUGUGGUUAGUCAGGUCGUGGUCUACACCCAUGUCGGCUUUCGCUUGAAGUCUGCCGAGCACAUGUCGUGUGCAGACGCUAAGUGGUGGAAACAUGUGUGACGAAGUACACCCCUACAGGGUUAUAAAUGAUCUAUUCGAAUAGCCGUGUCCGCGGUAAAGGACUUCUGGGUUGCCUAUAACAGUUCAUAGACAAGUGAAAGUGGAUACUCUAAAAACUCGCAAGAUAAGUGUGAGUGCUAUGGAUGGCCUUCUCGUAGGGAGACGAGAGCGGAUCCAUAGUGGUGUAUUGAAUGGUGAAUAUGUGGACUCGUGUGCGCCACCUCAAAAGAGUUGCUUUCAAUCGUAUUUCAGGUUAGCCCCGGAGUCAAAGCUGGCUUGCUGUAGUUAAACUCCACCCCCCCCCUUUGAUGAUACCGAUGCAUAUGUAGUUUAGAUCUGAUGUAAGUCUUGCUGAGUACCUUUGUACUCACGUUUGCUUAAUUUAUGUUUUGUAGAGAGACUUCAGUCUCGCUAGUAGUUCCGCGUGGACCUCGAGGUUUAGCUUGAUACCUCAGCUACGAUCUUGUGCCCUCGACAGGAUCUGGUAGAUAGUCAGGCUUCUUAGCCUUUUUCAUUUAUAGAUGUCUGUACUCAGACAUGUUAAGCUUCCGCAUGUGCUUUGGAUUGUAUGCUAUGAUUGUUGGGUCAUGAGACCCAUGCUUGUAAUAUCUGGCUCUUCAGAGCCUAAUGAAUUAAUACUUGAGUCGUAGAGUCUUGUUGUGAUGCCAUGUUGUAUUUACACAUAUCGACCAUAUUGUGUGUAUGAUUGAAAUGCUUGGUAUGUGUAGGAUCCGACAACCUAGUUGUUUAUCCCUCGCAACCUUUCUUAUGGGGAAAUGUAGUCUAGUGUUCCUUGAGCCAUAGUAGUCCGCUAUAGCCCGGUUCACCGGAGUCCUACUAGCCCAGCACUACUGUUCAGGACACUUGACUGGCCGGCAUGUGUUUCACUUCGUCCCUAUGUCUGUCCCUUCGGGGAAAUGUCACGCGGUGAUUUCCGGUGUCCUGCCUAGCCUCCUACAGCCCGGGAUCCCCGGAGUCCUGUUAGCCCAGUGCCACAGCCCGGAAUCACUCGUUGAUGACCGACAUGUUCGAUGUGAUUCAUGUAUGCCUGUCUCCAUAGGUCUGUGCCGCUUUGGGUUCACGACAAGCCAUGUCGGCCCAGGUUCUUUGUCAUAUGGAUGCUAGCGACACUAUCAUAUACGUGAGCCAAAAGGCGCAAACGGUCCCGGGCCAGUUAAGGUGGCACCCGUGGGAAUACCGCGCGUGAGGCCACAAAGUGAUAUGAUGUGUUACAUGCUAGAUUGGUGUAACCUAGGAUCGGGGUCCUGACACUAUCGUUGUGGUUUUGAUGCGUAGGUAAGAUUGGUUCUUGCUUAAGCCCGUAGCAGCCACGUAAAACUUGCAACAAACAAAGUAGAGGACGUCUAACUUGUUUUUGUAGGGCAUGUUGUGAUGUGAUAUGGUCAAGACAUGAUGCUAAAUUUUAUUGUAUGAGAUGAUCAUGUUUUGUAACUGAGUUAUCGGCAAUUGGCAGGAGCCAUAUGGUUGUCGCUUUAUUGUAUGCAAUGCAAUCGCCCUGUAAUGCUUUACUUUAUCACUAAGCGGCCGGUAGCGAUAGUCGUAGAAGCAUAAGAUUGGCGAGACGACAACGAUGCUACGAUGGAGAUCAAGGUGUCGCGCCGGUGACGAUGGUGAUCAUGACGGUGCUUCAGAGAUGGAGAUCACAAGCACAAGAUGAUGAUGGCCAUAUCAUAUCACUUAUAUUGAUUGCAUGUGAUGUUUAUCUUUUAUGCAUCUUAUCUUGCUUUGAUUGACGAUAGCAUUAUAAGAUGAUCUCUCACUAAAUUAUCAAGAAGUGUUCUCCCUAUGUAUGCACCGUUGCUAAAGUUCGUCGUGCCCAGACACCACGUGAUGAUCGAGUGUGAUAAGCUCUACGUCCAUCUACAACGGGUGCAAGCCAAUUUUGCACACGCAGAAUACUUGGGUUAAACUUGACGAGCCUAGCAUAUGCAGAUAUGGCCUCGGAACACGGAGACUGAAAGGUCGAGCGUGAAUCAUAUAGUAGAUAUGAUCAACAUAAUGAUGUUCACCAUUGAAAACUAAUCCAUUUCACGUGAUGAUCGGUUAUGGUUUAGUUGAUUUGGAUCACGUGAUCACUUAGAGGAUUAGAGGGAUGUCUAUCUAAGUGGGAGUUCUUAAGUAAUAUGAUUAAUUGAACUUCAAUUUAUCAUGAACUUAGUCCCUGAUAGUAUCUUGCUUGUUUAUGUUGAUUGUAGAUAGAUGGCCCGUGCUGUUGUUCCAUUAAAUUUUAAUGCGUUCCUUGAGAAAGCAAAGUUGAAAGAUGAUGGUAGCAAUUACACGGACUUGGUCCAUAACUUGAGGAUUAUCCUCAUUGCUGCACAGAAGAGUUACGUCCUGGAAGCACCGCUGGGUGCCAGGCCUGCUGCUGAUGCAACUGACGACGUUAAGAACGUCUGGCAGAGCAAAGCUGAUGACUACUCGAUAGUUCAAUGUGCCAUGCUUUACGGCUUAGAACCGGGACUUCAACGGCGUUUUGAACAUCAUGGGGCAUAUAAGAUGUUCCAGGUGUUGAAGUUAAUAUUCCAGCAGAAUGCCCGGAUUGAGAGAUAUGAAGUCUCCAAUAAAUUCUAUAGCUGCAAGAUGGAGGAGAAUAGUUCUGUCAGUGAGCAUAUACUCAAGAUGUCUGGGUAUUGUAAUCACUUGAUUCAACUGGGAGUUAAUCUUCCGGAUGAUAGCGUCAUUGACAGAAUUCUCCAAUCACUUCCACCAAGCUACAAGAGCUUCGGGAUGAACUAUAAUAUGCAAGGGAUGGAUAAGACAAUUCCCGAGCUCUUCGCAAUGCUAAAGGUUGCGGAGGUAGAAAUCAAGAAGGAGCAUCAAGUGUUGAUGGUCAACAAGACCACUUGUUUCAAGAAAAAGGGCAAAGGGAAGAAGAAGGGGAACUUCAAGAAGAACAGCAAGCAAGUUGCUGCUCAGGAGAAGAAACCCAAGUCUGGACCUAAGCCUGAAACCGAGUGCUUCUACUACAAGCAGACUGGUCACUUGAAGCGGAACUGCCCCAAGUAUUUGGCGGAUAAGAAGGAUGGCAAAGUGAACAAAGGUAUAUGUGAUAUAGAUGUUAUUGAUGUGUACCUUACUAGAGCUCGCAGUAGCACCUGGGUAUUUGAUACUGGUUCUGUUGCUAAUAUUUGCAACUCGAAACAGGGACUACGGAUUAAGCGAACACUGGCAAAGGACGAGGUGACGAUGCGCAUGGGAAAUGGUUCCAAAGUCGAUGUGAUCGCGGUCGGCAUGCUACCUCUACAUCUACCUUCGGGAUUAGUAUUAGACCUAAAUAAUUGUUAUUUGGUGCCAGUGUUGAGCAUGAACAUUAUAUCUAGAUCUUGUUUAAUGCGAGACGGUUAUUCAUUUAAAUCAGAGAAUAAUGGUUGUUCUAGUUAUAUGAGUAAUAUCUUUUAUGGUCAUGCACCCUUGAAGAGUGGUCUAUUUUUGAUGAAUCUCGAUAGUAGUGAUACACAUAUUCAUAAUGUUGAAGCCAAAAGAUGCAGAGUUGAUAAUGAUUGUGCAACUUAUUUGUGGCACUGCCAUUUAGGUCAUAUCGGUGUAAAGCGCAUGAAGAAACUCCAUACUGAUGGACUUUUGGAACCACUUGAUUAUGAAUCACUUGGUACUUGCGAACCGUGCCUCAUGGGCAAGAUGACUAAAGCACCAUUCUCCGGUACUAUGGAGAGAGCAACAGAUUUGUUGGAAAUCAUACAUACAGAUGUAUGUGGUCCGAUGAAUGUUGAGGCUCGUGGCGGAUAUCAUUAUUUUCUCACCUUCACAGAUGAUUUAAGCAGAUAUGGGUAUAUCUACUUAAUGAAACAUAAGUCUGAAACAUUUGAAAAGUUCAAAGAAUUUCAGAGUGAAGUGGAAAAUCAUCGUAACAAGAAAAUAAAGUUUCUACGAUCUGAUCGUGGAGGAGAAUAUUUGAGUUACGAGUUUGGUGUACAUUUGAAACAAUGCGGAAUAGUUUCGCAACUCACGCCACCCAGAACACCACAACGUAAUGGUGUGUCCGAACGUCGUAAUCUUACUUUACUAGAUAUGGUGCAAUCUAUGAUGUCUCUUACAGAUUUACCGCUAUCGUUUUGGGGUUAUGCUUUAGAGACGGCCACAUUCACGUUAAGUAGGGCACCAUCAAAAUCCGUUGAGACGACAACUUAUGAACUGUGGUUUGGCAAGAAACCAAAGUUGUCAUUUCUUAAAGUUUGGGGCUGCGAUGCUUAUGUGAAAAAGCUUCAACCUGAUAAGCUCGAACGAUAAUCGGAGAAAUGUGUCUUCAUAGGAUACCCAAAGGAAACUGUUGGUUACACCUUCUAUCAUAGAUCCGAAGGCAAGACAUUCGUUGCUAAAAAUGGAUCCUUUCUAGAGAAGGAGUUUCUCUCGAAAGAAGUGAGUGGGAGGAAAGUAGAACUUGAUGAGGUAACUAUACCUGCUCCCUUAUUGGAAAGUAGUUCAUCACAGAAACCGGUUUCUGCGACACCUACACCAAUUAGUGAUGAAUUUAAUGAUGAUGAUCAUGAAAUUUCAGAUCAAGUUACUACUGAGCCUCGUAGAUCAACCAGAGUAAGAUCCGCACCAGAGUGGUACGGUAAUCCUGUUCUAGAAGUCAUGCUACUAGAUCAUGAUGAACCUACGAACUAUGAAGAAGCGAUGGUGAGCCCAGAUUCCGCAAAAUGGCUUGAAGCCAUGAAAUCUGAGAUGGGAUCCAUGUAUGAUAACAAAGUAUGGACUUUGGUUGACUUGCCCGAUGAUCGGCAAGCAAUUGAGAACAAAUGGAUCUUUAAGAAGAAGACUGACGUGACGGUAAUGUUACUGUCUACAAAGCUCGACUUGUCGCAAAAGGUUUUCAACAAGUUGAAGGGAUUGACUACGAUGAGACCUUCUCACCCGUAGCGAUGCUUAAGUCUAUCCGAAUCAUGUUAGCAAUUGCCGCAUUUUAUGAUUAUGAAAUUUGGCAGAUGGAUCUAAAAACUGCAUUCCUGAAUGGAUUUCUGGAAGAAGAGUUGUAUAUGAUGCAACCAGAAGGUUUUAUCGAUCCAAAGGGAACUAACAAAGUGUGCAAGCUCCAGCGAUCCAUUUAUGGACUGGUGCAAGCCUCUCGGAGUUGGAAUAAACUCUUUGAUAGUGUGAUCAAAGCAUUUGGGUUUGUAUAGACUUUUGGAGAAGCCUGUAUUUACAAGAAAGUGAGUGGGAGCUCUAUAGCAUUUCUGAUAUUAUAUGUGGAUGACAUAUUACUAAUCGGAAAUGAUAUAGAAUUUCUGGAUAGCAUAAAGGGAUACUUGAAUAAGAGUUUUUCAAUGAAAGACCUCGGUGAAGCUGCUUACAUAUUGGGCAUUAAGAUCUAUAGAGAUAGAUCAAGACGCUUAAUUGGACUUUCACAAAACACAUACCUUGACAAAGUUUUGAAGAGGUUCAAAAUGGAUCAAGCAAAGAAAGGGUUCUUGCCUGUGUUACAAGGUGUGAAGUUGAGUAAGAAUCAAUGCUCGACCACUUCAGAAGAUAGAGAGAAAAUGAAAGAUGUUCCCUAUGCUUCAGCAGUAGGCUCUAUCAUGUAUGCAAUGCUGUGUACCAGACCUGAUGUGUGCCUUGCUAUAAGUUUAGCAGGGAGGUACCAAAGUAAUCCAGCAGUGGAUCACUGGACGGCGGUCAAGAACAUCCUGAAGUACCUAAAAAGGACUAAGGAUAUGUUUCUCGUAUAUGGAGGUGACAAAGAGCUCAUUGUAAACAGUUACGUUGAUGCAAGCUUUGACACUGAUCCGGACAAUUCUAAAUCGCAAACCAGAUACGUGUUUACAUUAAACGGUGGAGCUGUCAGUUGGUGCAGUUCUAAACAAAGCGUCGUGGCAGGAUCUACAUGUGAAGCGGAGUACAUAGCUGCUUCGGAAGCAGCAAACGAAGGAGUCUGGAUGAAGGAGUUCAUAUCCGAUCUAGGUGUCAUACCUAGUGCAUCGGGUCCAAUGAAAACCUUUUGUGACAAUACUAGUGCAAUUGCCUUGGCAAAGGAAUCCAUAUUUCACAAAAGAACCAAGCACAUCAAGAGACGCUUCAAUUCCAUCCGAGAUCUAGUCCAGGUGGGAGAGAUAGAGAUUUGCAAGAUACAUACGGAUCUGAAUGUAGAAGACCCAUUGACUAAGCCUCUUCCACGAGCAAAACAUGAUCAUCACCAAGGCUCCAUGGGUGUCAGAAUCAUUACUGUGUAAUCUAGAUUAUUGACUCUAGUGCAAGUGGGAGACUGAAGGAAAUAUGCCCUAGAGGCAAUAAUAAAGUUAUUAUUUAUUUCCUUAUAUCAUGAUGAAUGUUUAUUAUUCAUGCUGGAAUUGUAUUAACCGGAAACAUAAUACAUGUGUGAAUACAUAGACAAACAAAGUGUCACUAGUAUGCCUCUACUUGACUAGCUCGUUAAUCAAAGAUGGUUAUGUUUCCUAACCAUAGACAAAGAGUUUUUAUUUGAUUAAUAGGAUCACAUCAUUAGUUGAAUGAUAUGAUUGACAUGACCCAUUCCAUUAGCUUAGCACCCGAUCAUUCUUCAUGACUUAUACAUGUUCCUAUGACUAUGAGAUGAUGCAACUUCCGUUUACUGGAGGAACACUUUGUGUGCUACCAAACGUCACAACGUAACUGGGUGAUUAUAAAGGAGCCCUAUAGGUGUCUCCAAAGGUACAUAUUGGGUUGGCGUAUUUCGAGAUUAGGAUUUGUCACUCCGUUUGUCGGAGAGGUAUCUCUGGGCCCUCUCGGUAAUGCACAUCACAUAAGCCUUGCAAGCAUUGCAACUACUGUGUUACUUGUGAGACGAUGUAUUACGGAACGAGUAAAGAGACUUGCCGGUAAAGAGAUUGAACUAGGUAUUGGAUACCGACGAUCGAAUCUCGGGCAGGUAACAUAUCGAUGACAAAGGGAACAACGUAUGUAGUUAUGCGGUCUCAACGAUAAAGAUCUUCGUAGAAUAUGUAGGAUCCAAUAUGGGCAUCCAGGUCCUGCUAUUGGUUAUUGACCGGAAACGUGUCUCGGUCAUGUCUACAUUGUUCUCGAACCGUAGGGUCCGCACGCUUAAAGUUACGAUGACAGUUUCAUUAUGAGUUUAUGUAUUUUGAUGUACCGAAGGUUGUUCGGAGUCCCGGAUGUGAUCACGGACAUGACGAGGAGUCUCGGAAUGGUCGAGACAUAAAGAUCGAUAUAUUGGAAGCCUAUAUUUGGACAUCGGAAUCGUUUUGGGUGAAAUCGGCAUUAUACCGGAGUACCGGGGGGUUACCGGAACCCCCCGGGGGGUUAUUGGGCCUACAUGGGCCUUGAGGAAGAAGAGAGAAGGAGGUAGGAGGUGGCCGCGCGCCCCUCCCCUUCCUAGUAUGAAUAGGACAAGGGAAGGGGGCGGUGCCCCCCCCUUUCCUUCCCCUCUUCCUCCUCUUUCCUCCCUUCUCCUUCUCCAACUAGGAAAGAAGGGAGUCCUACUCCCGGUGGGAGUAGGACUCCCCCCUGGUGCGCCCCUCCUUGGCCGGCCGCCCCCUCCCCUUGGCUCCUUUAUAUACGGGGGCAGGGGGGCACCCUAGGACACAGAAGUUGACCUUCGUGAUCGUUCCUUAGCCGUGUGCGGUGCCCCCCUCCACGAUAUUACACCUCGAUCAUAUUGUAGUAGUGCUUAGGCGAAGCCCUGCGACGGUUAAACAUCAAGAUCGUCACCACGCCGUCGUGCUGACGAAACUCCUCCCCGAAGCUUUGCUGGAUCGGAGCUCGGGGUGCAUCAUCGAGCUGUACGUGUGUCAAGAACUCGGAGGUGCUGGAGUAACGGUGCUUGGAUUGGUUGGACCGGGAAGACGUACGACUACUUCCUCUACGUUGCGUCAACGCUUCCGCUUCGGUCUACGAGGGUACGUAGACAACACUCUCCCCUCUCGUUGCUAUGCAUCACCAUGAUCUUGCGUGUGCGUAGGAAAUUUUUUGAAAUUACUACAUUCCCCAACAGUUGCUCCACCGACGUACUCCUUCCUCCUAUAUAUACCUGCGUACCCCCAAACGACCAGAUACGGAGCCAAAACCCUAAUUCCACCACCGCAACUUUCUGUAUCCACGAGAUCCCAUCUUGGCGCCUGUUCCGGAGCUCCACCGGAGAGGGCAUCGAUCACGGAGGGCUUCCACAUGAACAGCAUAGCCUCUCCGAUGAAGUGUGAGUAGUUGACCUCAGACCUACAGUCCAUAGUUAUUACCUAGAUGGCUUCUCCUCUCUUUUUGGAUCUCAAUACAAUGUUCUCCCCUCUCUUGUGGAGAACUAUUCGAUGUAAUCUUCUUUUUGCGGUGUGUUUAUUGAGACCGAUGAAUUGUGGGUUGAUGAUCAAGUCUAUCUAUGAAUAAUAUUUGAAUCUUCUCUGAAUUCUUUUAUGUAUGAUUGUUUAUCUUUGCGAGUCUCUUCGAACUAUUAGUUUGGUUUGGCCUACUAGAUUGAUCUUUCUUACAAUGGGAGAAGUGCUUAGCUUUAGGUUCAAUCUUGCGGUGUCCUUUCCCAGUGACAGUAGGGGCAGCAAGGCAUGUAUUGUAUUUUUGCCAUCGAGGACAACAAGAUGGGGUUUUCAUCAUAUUGCAUUAGUUUAUCCCUCUACAUCAUGUCAUCUAGCUUAAGGCGUUACUCUGUUUUUAACUUAAUACUCUAGAAGCAUGCUGGAUAGCGGUCGAUGAGUGGAGUAAUAGUAGUAGAUGCAGGCAGAAGUCGGUCUACUUGUCUCGGACGUGAUGCCUAUAUACAUGAUCAUACCUAGAUAUUCUCAUAAAUAUGCUCAAUUCUGUCAAUUGCUCAACAGUAAUUUGUUCACCCACCAUAGAAUAAUUAUGCUCUCGAGAGAAGCUACUAGUGAAACCUAUGGCCUCGGGAUCUAUGUUUAUCAUAUUAAUCUUCUACUACUUAGUUAUUUCCUUUGCCUUUAUUUUACUUUUCAUUUUUAUCAAAAAAAAUACCAAACAUAUUAUCUUUAUCAUAUCUAUUAGAUCUCACUCUCGUAAGUGGCCGUGUAGGGAUUGACAACCCCUAUUCGUGUUGGUUCCGAGGAUUUAUUUGUUUUGUGCAAGUACGAGGGACUCGCACGUAGCCUCCUACUGGAUUGAUACCUUGGUUCUCAAAAACUGAGGGAAAUACUUAUGCUACUUUGCUGCAUCAUCCCUUCCUCUUCGGGGAAAACCAACGCAGUGCUCAAGAGGUAGCAAGAAGGAUUUCUGGUGCCGUUGCCGGGGAGGUCUACGCAAAAGUCAACAUACCAAGUACCCAUCACAUACCCUUAUCUCCCGCAUUACAUUAUUUGCCAUUUGCCUCUCGUUUUCACCUCCCCCACUUCACCCUUGCCGUUUUAUUCGCCGUCUCUCUCUAUCCUCCCUCUCUUUCUCUAUUUGCCUCUUUUUUCCCGCUUGCUUUCUGUUUGCUUGUGUGUUAGUUGCUUGCUUGUCAUGAUGGCUCAAGAUAAUACUAAAUUAUGUGACUUCACGAUGGCUAAAGCUUGGUUUUCAUCUUUGCCUAAAAAUAGUAAUGAUUCAUGGAAUAAGUGCAAAGAUGCUUUUUUCUCUAAGUAUUUUCCUCCUGCUAAGAUCAUCUCUCUUAGAAACGAUAUUAUGAAUUUUAAGCAACUUGAUCAUGAACAUGUUGCACAAGCUUGGGAGAGAAUGAAACUAAUGGUACAUAAUUGCGCUGCCCAUGGUUUAAAUUUGUGGAUGAUUAUACAAAUAUUUUAUGCCGGAUUGAAUUUUGCUUCAAGAAAUCUUUUAGAUUUGGCCGCGGGAGGCACUUUUAUGGAAAUCACUUUAGGAGAAGCUACUAAACUCAUAGAUAAUAUUAUGGUGAAUUAUGCUCAACGGCAUACUGAAAGAUCUACUAAUAAAAAGGUGCAUGCGAUAGAAGAAAUUAAUGUUUUGAGUGGAAAGAUGGAUGAACUUAUGAAAUUAUUUGCUAAUAAGAGUGUUUCUUCUAAUCCUAAUGAUAUGCCCUUGUCUAGUUUGAUUCAGAAUAAUAACGAAUCUAUGGAUGUGGAUUUUGUUGGUAGGAACAAUUUUGGUAACAACGCGUAUAGAGGAAAUUUCAACCCUAGGCCUUAUCCUAGUAAUCUCUCUAAUAAUUAUGGUAAUUCCGACAACAAUUCUUAUGGAAAUUAUAAUAAGAUGCCCUCUGAUUUUGAAUCUAAUAUUAAAGAAUUUAUUACUUCGCAAAAGAAUUUCAAUGCUUUGAUUGAAGAAAAAUUGCUUAAGAUUGAUGAUUUGGCUAGGAACGUUGAUAGAAUUACUCUUGAUGUUGAUUCUUUGAAACUUAGAUCUAUUCCACCUAAGAAUGAUGUCAAUGAGUCUCUCAAAGCCAUGAGAAUUUCCAUUGAUGAGUGCAAAGAAAGAACCGCUAGGAUGCGUGCUAAGAAAGAUGCCUUUAUAAUAGCGUGUUCUUCUAGUUCCUAUGAAAAUAAUGAUGAAGAUCUAAAAGUUAUUGAUGUGUUCCCUAUUAAAUCUUUGUUUUGCAAUAUGAAUCUUGAUAGUGAUGGGACUGAAUAUGAUCCACCUUUACCUAGAAGGCGUUCCAAGAAUUCAGAAUUUGUUGAUCUUGAUGCUAAAAUUGAUAAAGGAGGGAUUGAAGAAAUUAAAACCCUAGAUGUUGCUAAACCCACUAUUAUGGAUUUCAAGGACUUUAACUAUGAAAAUUGCUCUUUGAUUGAUUGUAUAUCCUUUUUACAAUCCGUGCUAAAUUCUCCUCAUGCUUAUAGUCAAAAUAAAUCGUUUACUAAACAUAUCGUUGAUACCUUGAUGCAAUCUUAUGAAGAAAAACUUGAAUUGGAAGUUUCUUUCCCUAGAAAGCUUUAUGAUGAGUGGGAACCAACUAUUAAAAUUAAAAUUAAAUAUCAUGAAUGCUAUGCUUUAUGUGAUUUGGGUGCUAGUGUUUCCACGAUUCCAAAGACUUUGUGUGAUUUGUUAGGUUUCCAUGAUUUUGAUGAUUGCUCUUUAAACUUGCGCCUUGCGGAUUCCACUAUUAAGAAACCUAUGGGAAGAAUUAAUGAUGUUCUUAUUGAUGCAAAUAGGAAUUAUGUGCUUGUAGAUUUUAUUGUUCUUGACAUAGAUUGCAAUCUUUCAUGUCCUAUUAUUCUUGGUAGACCUUUCCUUAGAACGAUUGGUGCAAUUAUUGAUAUGAAGGAAGGAAAUAUUAGAUUCCAAUUUCCAUUAAGGAAAGGCAUGGAACACUUUACUAGAAAGUCAAUUAAAUUACCUUAUGAAUCUAUUAUGAUAGCCACUUAUGGAUUGUUGGGGAACGUAGUAAUUUCAAAAAAUUUCCUACGCACACGCAAGAUCAUGGUGAUGCAUAGCAACGAGAGGGGAGAGUGUUGUCUAUGUACCCUCGUAGACUGAAGCGGAAGCGUUGACGCAACGUAGAGGAAGUAGUCGUACGUCUUCCUGAUCCGACCGAUCCAAGCACCGUUACUCAGGCACCUCCGAGGUCUUGGCACACGUUCAGCUCGAUGACGAUCCCCAGGCUCCGAUCCAGCAAAGCGUCGGGGAGGAGUUCCGUCAGCACGACUGCGUGGUGACGAUCUUGAUGUUCUACCGUCGCAGGGCUUCGCCUAAGCACCGCUAAAAUAUGACCGAGGUGUAAUAUCAUGGAGAGGGGCACCGCACAAGGCUAAGGAACAAUCACGAAGAUCAACUUGUGUGUCCAUGGGGUGCCCCCUGCCCCCGUAUAUAAAGGAGUGGAGGACGGGAGGGCGACCCUCUCUAUGGCGCGCCCUAGGGGAGUCCUACUCCCAUAGGGAGUAGGAUUCCCCCUUUUCCUAGUCCAACUAGGAGUCCUUCCAUGUAGUAGCACUAGUGCAGAACCGGGCAAUAGCACCGGUUCGUAAGGCCCUUUAGUGCCGGUUAGGUAACCGGCACUAAAAUUUCAGCACUAAAGGCCCCCCCUUUAGUACCGGUUCAGCACGAACCGGUGCUAAAGGGCAACCACAUGGCACGAGCGAGCUCCGGGGGCCGGGAGCCCUUUAGUACCGGUUGGUAACACCAACCGGUACUAAAAUGUUUGGGGGGUUUUUGGUUUUAUGAUUUCUUUUUCAUUAAAUUUUGUGUUUUCCAUUUUAAUUCUUUUUCGUUUGCUGGUAUUUUACGGUACUACACGUUGUACACGUUAUAUAUAUAUAUAUAUAUAAAUAGAAUUUCUAGUAGAACCAAUCAUAUAUAUAUCAUCAAUCAUGUCUCACAAAACACCAUAUUAAUUCACACAUACACACAUGUAUAGCUAUAUACAAUUUCUCCUACAUAUGCAUGUUGCCUUCGGAGCCAGUGGCAUUAGCCUGAUUGGUGCCUUCGGAGCACGAUGACAAUUGGAAGUGGUUCAUGACCUGGUCGAUGGGGGCGGUAGCGGGUAAUAGUAUUCUCCCUUCGGAUUUAUGACCUGGUCGAGCAAAAAUCCUGCUAUUUCCUAUUGAAGUGCUUCUACGCGCUCCGUUUCUAGGAGCUUGUCCCGCACCUCUUUGAACUAUUAAGAAGGAGAUCAAUAUGCAUGUGUAUUAGUUGUGUGACUAGAUAUUGAUAAUGGUGUAAAAAUUGUGAAUAGUGUUCUGACAAGCGUACCCAUUCCUGUCUUUGAGAUCUGCUCCUUCCGGACGCCAUCAUGCGAAUGUUCUCGCAAACGCAGAAUGCACACAGUUCAGUCCCCUGCGCCUGCUUCAGGGCCUUUAUUACGAGAAUGGAAUUUAAUUUGAUCAGAUAAUAAUUAAUCAAGCAUGAUAAUUAAAGAGAUGGCAGCUAGCUAGCUAGCUAGUACUACUUAAUUACUUACCUUGGCUCGAGACCAUUUCAGCUGUGGUUUCCAUUCGCCUUCCGUGUCGCUGAUGAACCUUGCCCAAGCCCUGCCCGCCGACAAAGAAAAUGAAUAAAGGGGUUAUUAAAUAGUUCAUAUCAUGAAAUGAAGAACUAAAUAGGCCGAGAUAUAUAGUUAAUAAUGAUUGAAAUUACCUGUUGACUAUCCCAAACAAGAUGUUAUAGUCACUAUUUCCUUUGAGUAGCGAGUCCAGUAUUUCAACUAUUCCGGCAUCAACUUUAAUGAUACACAAGAUCCAGUGAAAUCUGCAUGCACACACGUUUGCAAGUCUUAAUUAAGCGGGCAUAUGUAAGCAAAAACAUGUAGCUAGCUAGUAGGCAAAAAUAGAGAAUUUGUAGUACAAGAAAGUGUGACUCACUGGCAGUUGUAAGGAAGUAGUAUAUCUUCAUUGUAUUUGAGGAGCUUCAAGAACUCUAGCAUGCUGUCCUCUACCUCUUUUUCAUGAUGCUUGUUUAUUUUCCAUGUGUAUUCAUUAACGGUGUUUGGGUCAAUGAACCCAAUGCCAUAGCGUCCACCUUUUCUCAUUCCAUACAUCUUCAUCCUGCAUAAUACCACAGAAAAGAAUAUAGUAAGGAUAAUUACACGUAAUGAUUGAUCAAAAGGAUCACUACAGCUAGCUUGAGACUUAAAUUACAGAAAGAAAUCACUUACAGACAAUAGCAACUGACGAUAGAUUUGUCGAGUGUGUCUUGAUUGUAUAACUGAAACAGUUCAGAAUACUCAACGGCCACAACUUUCUCAUGGUAGUAAUCAUCCUUCUUGACAUACACCAUGAGGGACUCUCGAUCGGAUCUCUUGGUAAUGUCCAUGUACCAUUGAUGCAAUUCAUACAUUCUCGUUGGGAGCUUCUUGACAUCUUCUGGCUCGACCAAAGGUUGGCCCCGAACAUAUUUCCGUUUUAUUUCCUCCUCUGUAAUCAGAGGCAUGUCCUCGAUCUCGAGGAGUUGUCCAACAGUGAUCUUGAGUUCUUCAGCCUGCAUUAUAUGCUCCUCGGUUAUUACCACAUCGCCCACCUCGGGAAUGUAAACUGUUUGGCCACAAUAAUAUUGGGCGCGCGUACUGUCACGUGUUGUUGGCGGCACAACAAGCGGNNNNNNNNNNNNNNNNNNNNNNNNNNNNNNNNNNNNNNNNNNNNNNNNNNNNNNNNNNNNNNNNNNNNNNNNNNNNNNNNNNNNNNNNNNNNNNNNNNNNNNNNNNNNNNNNNNNNNNNNNNNNNNNNNNNNNNNNNNNNNNNNNNNNNNNNNNNNNNNNNNNNNNNNNNNNNNNNNNNNNNNNNNNNNNNNNNNNNNNNNNNNNNNNNNNNNNNNNNNNNNNNNNNNNNNNNNNNNNNNNNNNNNNNNNNNNNNNNNNNNNNNUUCCCAGCUGGGCAACGGUUUUCCUGCAUUUUUUGACAGCUGCUUGUUGUUUGCUCGAGCUCGAGCUCGCCUCCUUCUGUAGACGUUGUCGAUGUAACUUCCUGAUGUGGCGCUCAUAGUCUGUUUCAACAGGCUUAGGAGCUAGUGGUUGAGCCAUACGAAUGAAGUGGUCAACUACUUCCACAGGCACUUUCUCCCUUGGCGGCGGUGGCGGUUUCGGUCCAAAAUGGGCGUCGACUUCUGCCCGCACUAUGGCAUUGGUUUGCUCCUCAGUCCUGUCGUAAGCCCUCACAGGAAGAGGAGUACUGAGGUUUGGACCAUAUUUAUAUCGCUUGCCUCCACCUGUACUUCCUGUACUAUCACCUCGACUCGUACCGCUACGCACCAUAGCUGCGGGGUGUCUCUUCUGCGAUUGCUGAGGCGGCGGAGACGGCAGACGGGGCUGAGUUAGACGAGGAGGAGUGGCCUGAAGCUGUGCCGGACUUGGAGGAGGAGUGGCCUGAGGUUGUGCCGGACUUGGAGGAGGAGUGGACGUCUGACGCUGUGUCGGACUUGGAGGAGGAGUGGCCUCACACAUUGCCGGACUUGGAGGAGGAGGAGUGGCCUCACGCGUUGAUGGACUUGGAGCGGGAGUCUGCUGACUCGGUGGUGGACUUCGACGAGGAGUCGGGUGACGCGGUGUCGGUGGCCUUCGAAAGAUGAUGCAAUCCUUUCUCCAUAGGAUGACAUGAUGUAUGGCCUCUCCCAAUGUGUGCUCGUCGUCACCUCUAGGAAUGUCAAGUUGUAGCUCCGAAUAUGGGUCCACCACCUCAUCAACCAAGACACGAGCAUAGCCUGCUGGAAUCGGGUUGCAAUGGAAGGUUGCCUCGGGGGAAUUUGAAAAAGCAACGGCGUCCGCCACCUUCAUGGAUAUGUUCUUCAUUUUGAAGUGUACCUCGCAGUUAGUGUUCUCCGUGAUGUCAUCCAUGGGGUAUCUAUCCAGCACUGCGUCGCCCGGGGCGGAACCCACGCUGCUUCUCGGCAUGGAUGGGGUGGUGGUAUCCAAUGCUGGAUCAUCCGCUAGGUGCUGCAGCUGCUGAGACCCCAUUUGCUGGCUAAGUGAGUCGAUCUGCUCCUGCUGCCGCUGGAAUUUAGCUGCCAAUUCCGCUUGACUUGCUUCUAGGCCUUGAAGGCGUUCAUAGUCCCGCUUCCUUUGCUCCUCCUCCAUCUUCCUCUUCUUCUCCUCCGCAAUCUUCUUUCUCGCACGGGUUCUGUAGUCGGCGUUCCAGUCCGAAAACCCCUCAUACCACGGAAUAGCGCCCUUGCCUCGUGGUCUUCCCGGGUGUUCAGGAUUUCCCUGGGCACGCGUAAGCUCGUCCUUCUCUCUGUUGGGCUGAAACACCCCCGAUCGAGCCUCUUCUAUUGCAACAAGUAGCGCAUCGUCGGCUCCAUUCAGACAUGCCUUCGUCAAAACAUUGCCUGUCUUCGGGUCCAACUCCCCCCCAUGCGCAUAGAACCAAGUCCUGCACCUAGGGGGCCAACUCUUAGUAAACGGAGUGGCACCUGCAUCCUCCAUCUCUUUCUCAGACUUAUCCCACUUAGGCAUUGCCACCGUGUAGCCAGCUGGCCCCAGCUUAUGGAACUUAUCCUUUUUUCGGCAUUCUUCUUGUUUAUUCUCGACCGUUCCUUAGCUAAUUCGGAAUCCUUGAAUUUCAUGAAAUCGUCCCAAUGAGAACUUUGAUUCUCUAGUAUCCCCUCGAAUACUGGAGUCUUCCUUCCUCCCUUGACGUACUUCUCCCACGUCGUUCUCUUGUGGUUCUUGAAUGCAACCGCCAUCUUCCUAAAAGCAGCGUCCUUGACUUUCUGCACAUCUGCUUCCGUGAAAUGAUCUGGUAGGGUGAAAUGUUCCAUGAGAGUAUCCCAAAGCAGUUUUUUAUAUUCUCGUCUACAAAAGUAUCAUUUGGACGUGGCUUUGCUGGCUUUCUCCAUUCUUGAAGGGAGAUCGGGAGUUGGUCCUUCACAAGAACUCCACACUAACGAACGAACUUGUCCGCAAUCUUCUUAGGCGCUAAUGGUUCGCCAUUAGGUUUGAAUGCCUCGAUAUUGUACUUUACGCCCUCCUUCAACUUUUUGUUCGGGCCUCGUUUUGUCCUUUUGCCUGAAGAUUUGCUCGAUCCGGAUGGCUGAAAGAAGAAAGAUCGAUUCGUUAAUAUAUCUUCAACUCAUUUAAAACAUGCGAUGAUCACCAGAUUCCUGCUUAUAUAAAUAUAUAUACCUCGCCGGUACAUGUUGUUUCAGGGUCAACAUGUUCUUCGUCGUAGUUCAGGACUUCAUCUUCUCGGUCAUCGCGAUCAAAUAUCAUAUCACCCUCUCCGGUGUUGUUUAGAAAUUCAGAGCCGUCAAAAUCUUCUUCAUUCUGAUCAUCAUCUGGCCCGCGUAUGAUACCGAACAUGGUAUGUUCUCUCUCUCUGUCGGUAUUGUCCGCCAUAGCUUUUAUUUAACUAUGCCAAAAGAAAUAUAAAAUAAUUUAGUAUAAUCUCGAAUAAUAGAUAUAAUCUCGAAUACAUCGUCUCGAAUAAUAGAUAUAAUCUCGAAUACAUCGUCUCGAAUAAUAGAUUUAAUCUCGAAUACAUCGUCUCGAAUAAUAGAUAUAAUCUCGAAUACAUCGUCUCGAAUAAUAGAUUUAAUCUCGAAUACAUCGUCUAGAAUAAUAGAUUUAAUCUCGAAUACAUCGUCUCGAAUAAUAUAUAAUAUUGAAUAGUACAUCAUUGGCUAGGCGGUGGACACCCAAAGAGAAGGAACCCUCACAGGAUCAUAGCUGAAGUGAGAGCCCCGAAGAAACUGCCAGGUUUUGGAGAACCUUCCGCCCUCUAACGCAACCAUGUAGCGAUGGAUGUAAUCGUCCUCCUCCCUGACACGACGACGUACCACCUCCGGCGGGGCCGGCUCCCUCCGCACCGAAACUGGCCCACGCGAACGCCACCAAACGAGAUCAGGGUCGAUCACAGGACCCGGGGCCGGGUUCCUCAUCAAGCGGCGCGCCCCUCCAGGCAGCACCUCCCAGUGCCAGCCCGGCGGAGCCCAGUCCCGGACAUGGGUCAGCUGGACGUCGUCGCGGACGUGUCGACGGUGAGGAUGUGGGCCGGGCAUCGUCGACAACAAAUACUAGCUAUAUGCCCGCAAAAAGUAACAUUUUUUUAAUGAUUGGAAUUUGAUAACUAAAAUUUCUAACAUUUCUAUAUAACACUAAUUAUGCUAUCAUUGCAUAUGUCAAAAUUCUAUAUGCUAUUUCAUACUAAUUAAGCAUCUAACACUAAAAACAGAAAACACAACUUCUAUACAUCCAUUAAAAAAACUGAAAAACAACAUUAUAUAAACAAAUUUCAAUACUAAUUAAACACUAAUUAUAUCCAUCUAACAUGCAUUCAUACAUAUAUGCUAGUGAAAAAAUAAUAAUCUAAAAAAUCUAAACUAAUUAAACAUACAAAAUACGUAUAUACUAAUAUAUACAUGCAUUAAUUCAUACAUAUGUACGUGUGUGUGUGUGUGUGCUCGGGGAGGGGUGGUGCCCAUGGUGGCCGCCGGGGGCGAGGGAGAGGGGUUAGAGGGGGAGAGCUCACAGCAGGGUGACGGCGACGGCCAGGGGCGGCGACGGGCCGGGGUGUGACGCGGGGGCGGCGACGCGGGGACGGUGCGACGGGGACGGGCCUGGGGCGGCGACGGGGACGGGCCCGAUGACGGGGACGGGGGCGGCGACGGCGACAUCGUCGAUUGAUCGGGGUGCGCGGGCGGUGCUUCAAUGGGGAAACAGAGGAAGAAACAAAGGGAGAAUGAAAUUUUCGUAAGUGUUCUAUAUAUAGAAGGCACCUUCAGUACCGGUUGGAGCCACCAACCGGUACUAAAGGCCUGUUUUGGCCAGGCCAAGCCGCGGGAAGCACCCCCCUUUAGUACCGGUUCCUGGCUCCAACCGGUACUAAAGGCCCCCCCUUUAGUACCGGUUGGUGCCACCAACCGGUACUAAAGGGGGGUACGCUGCCAGGCGAGGGGCACAAAACUUUAGUCCCACCUCGCUAGCCGAGGGGCACUCACACCUUCUUAUAAGCCCCGCCGUCGCUGCUGUCUCGAGCUCCACUCUUAAGCACGCCUUCUGGGCCUACCUCUUCUGCGAUGCCCUGUUGGGCCUACUGGGCUAGUGGGCCUGCAUCCUGGCCCAACUUGAAUAUGGGUUUCUAGUCGUAUGCAGGCCGCUGUGGCCCAGUAGGUGGGCUUUUUUUUCUUAUUUUUUUGCUUUAUUUAUUUUUGUGAAUAACUUAACUUUGAAAAUAGAUUUUUCAGUGAUUCUUUUUUCUUAUGUUUAAUAUUAGUGUGUUUUAUCAUUAUAUUCAAUUUGGUAAUGCUUAGGUUAUUUAAAAAAUGAAAUGCCUUUGUAACGGAUGAGUUUUCGUCCGAAACCCUGAUACUUCGAAACAGAUUGUCCAUUUUGUACACGAAGUGCAUCCAGUUUUUGCGGUAACCCUCUCUACUUUUUUGCACAUGCUAUGUGGGUGAAAUUAUGAUACCAUGCCAACUUUCAUCCUUUUCUGAGUUCAUUUGAAAUUCUUUUCAAUUUUAGGGUCAUUUAGGUGAAAAAAAUCAGUAAAUGCAUGAAAGAAUUUGCUUGCACAUAAAAUUUCUUCGCGUUUCAAAUGCCAAAACACAUAACUAGCUACCCUAACUAUUACAGAGAUUCCCUCCUGGGUGUGAAACACAGAAGAAAGUGAUGAUAGUUACGCCGAUCAUAUCCCAGAUCUUUGGGUGUGAAACUUUUUCUUCGCGUGUGUCCCUUUGCGUCGUAGCCAUGGAAAAUCUUCAUCAUUUAACGGGAUGCUCGGGUCAAUAUUCACUGUGAAUGGAGCAAUUUCAUCAAACUUUUCAUAAUCAUCUGACUUGUCUGUUUUGUCAUCCACUCCCAUGAUGUUUCUCUUCCCAGAAAGAACUAUGUGCCGCUUUGGCUCAUCGUACGAUGCAUUCACUUCCUUAUCUUUUCUUUUUCUUGGCUUGUUAGACAUGUCCUUCACACAGAAAACCUAUGCCACAUCAUUGGCUAGGACGAACGGUUCGUCUGCAUACGCAAGAUUGUUGAGAUCCACUGUUGUCAUUCCGUACUGCGGGUCUUCCAUUACCCAGCCUCGUGUCAUAUUAACCCAUUUGCACCGAAACAAAGGGACCUUCAAACCACGUCGAUAGUCAAGUUCCCAUAUGUCCUGUAUAUAACCAUAAUAUGUUUCCUUUCCCGUCUUGGUUUCUGCAUCAAAGCGGACACCACUGUUUUGGUUGGUGCUCUUAUUAUCUUGGGCGAUCGUGUAAAAUGUAUUACCAUUUAUCUCGUACCCUUUGAAAGUCAUUAUAUUCGAAGAUGGUAAUUGGGAUAGCAAGUACAUGUCAUCUUCAAUAGAGGUGUCAUGCAUGGUACGUGGUUGCAACCAGCUGGCGAAACUCCUGGUUUGUUCACGUGUAAUCCAGUCAUCAGACCGCUCCGGGUGUUUGGAGCGUAGCAAAUUCUUGUGUUCAUCCAUAUACGGAGCCACCGAGGCAGAAUUCUGUAGAACUAUGUAGUGUGCUUCAGUGAGAGAAUGUCCAGCCAUAUAUACAUAUUAUUUGUUCCCCUCCUAGCGUGCCUUUUCCAUCCAGUCUGCCCUUAUGCCGCGAUUCAGGAACACCAAUCGGCUUAAGGUCAGGAAUAAAGUCAAUACAAAACUCACUGACCUCCUCAUUUUGACGGCCCUUGGAGAUGCUUCCUUCUGGCCUAGCACGGUUAUGAACAUAUUUCUUUAAGUCUCCCACGAACCUCUCAAAGGGGAACAUAUUGUGUAGAAAUACAGGACCCAAAACGUUAAUCUCUUCGCAUAGGUGAACUAGGACGUGCGUCAUGAUGUUGAAGAAGGAUGGUGGGAACACCAACUCGAAACUGACAAGACAUUGCACCAAAUCAUUCUGUAACCUUGGUAUGAUUUCUGGAUCGAUUACCUUCUGAGAGAUUGCAUUGAGAAAUGCACAUAGCUUCACAAUGGCUAAUCGAACGUUUUCCGGUAGAAGCCCCCUCAAUGCAACCGGAAGUACUUGCGUCAUAAUCACGUGGCAGUCAUGAGACUUUAGGUUCUGGAACUUUUUCUCUGCCAUGUUUAUUAUUCCCUUUAUAUUCGACGAGAAGCCAGAUGGUACCUUAAUAAUGAGUAGGCAUUCAAAGAACAUUUCCUUCUCUUCUUUGGUAAGAGCGUAGCUUGCAUGACCCUGAUGUAUGCCGUCUUUUCCGUGCAUACGUUGCUGGUCCUCCUGUGCCUUAGGUGUAUCUUUUGUCAUCCCAUACACGCCCAAGAAGCCAAGCAGGGUCACACAAAGAUUCUUCGUCACGUGCAUCACGUCGAUUGCGGAGCGGACCUCGAGGUCUUUCCAAUAGUGCAGGUCCCAAAAUAUAGAUUUCUUCUUCCACAUGGGUGCGCGUCCGUCAGCGUCAUUCGGAACAGGUUGUCCACCAGGACCCUUUCUAAAGACCACCUUCAAAUCCUUGACCAUAUCAUGUACAUCAGCACCAGUACGGUGGCGAGGCUUCGUCCGGUGAUCCGCCUCACCUUUGAAAUGCUUGCAUUUCUUUCUUACGGGAUGCCUGCUCGUAAGAAAUCGACGAUGUCCUAGGUACACAUUCUUAUUAGCCAAAUAUAUACUGUCGGUAUCGUCCAAACAGUGCGUGCAUGCGCGGUAUCCCUUGUUUGUCUGUCCUGAAAGGUUACUGAGAGCAGGCCAAUCAUUGAUGGUCACGAACAGCAACGCCUUUAGGUCAAAUUCUUCCCCCAUGUGCUCAUCCCACACACGUACACCUGUUCCAUUCCAUAGUUGUAAGAGUUCUUCAACUAAUGGCCUUAGGUACACAUCAAUGUCGUUGCCGGGUUGCUUAGGGCCUUGGAUGAGCACUGGCAUCAUAAUGAACUUCCGCUUCAUGCACAACCAAGGAGGAAGGUUAUACAAACAUAGAGUCACAGGCCAAGUGCUAUGGUUGCUGCUCUGCUCCCCAAAAGGAUUAAUGCCAUCUGCGCUUAGACCAAACCAUACGCUCCUUGCGUCAUUUGCAAACUCCUUCCCGUACUUUCUUUCGAUUUUUCUCCACUGUGAACCGUCAGCGGUUAGUGUCAACUUUCCAUCUUUCUUACGGUCUUCGCUGUGCCAUCGCAUCGCCUUGGCAUGCUCUUUGUUUUGGAACAAACGUUUCAACCGUGGUAUUAUAGGAGCAUACCACAUCACCUUGGCAGGAAUCUUCUUCCUGGGGCGCCGGCCCUCGACAUCACCAGGGUCAUCGCGGCUGAUCUUAUAGCGCAAUACACCACAUACCGGGCAAGCGUUCAAAUCCUCGUACUCACCACGGUAGAGGAUGCAAUCAUUAGGGCAUGCAUGUAUCUUCUCCACCUCUAACCCUAGAGGGCAGAGAACCUUCUUUGCUUCGUACAUACUCUCGGGCAAUUCGUUGUCCUUUGGAAGGAUAUCCUUUAUCAUUACCAGCAACUUUCCAAAUCCCUUGUCAGAUACACCAUUCUCUGCCUUCCAUUGCAGCAAUUCCAGUGUGGUGCCCAGUUUUUUCUUGUCAGCUACGCAAUUCGGGUACAACAAUUUUUUGUGAUCCCCUAACAUGCACUGCAACUUCUUCUCCAAAUCACUUGCGCAGUUUCUCUUUGCAUCGGCAAUGGCCCGACCUAGAUCAUCAACGGGCUCAUCUGAUGCCUCUUCUUCAGCUUCUUCCCGCAUUGCCGGCUCAGCUUCUUCCCGCAUUACCGGCUCAGCUUCUUCCACCAUUGUUGUAUCAUCGUAUUCAGGGAACCCAUGGCCAGGAUAGCUGUCGUCGUCCUCUUCUUCUUCAUUGUCUUCCAUCAUAACCCCUCUUUAUCCGUGCUUGGUCCAAACAUUAUAAUGGGGCAUGAAACCAGACUUAAACAGGUGGACGUGAAUGGUUCUUGACGUACAGUAAUUGUGACCAUUCUUACAGCGAGCACAUGGACAAGGCAUAAAACCAUCCGCCCCCUUGUUUGCCUCAGCCGCAAGCAGAAAAGUAUGCACGCCCUCAACGAACUGGGGAGAGCAUCGGUCAUCGUACAUCCAUUGCCGGCUCAUCUUCAUUACACAACAACGAAUAGAACAAAUUAAUACAAGUUCAUACAUAAAGUUCAUACAACACUUAAAUGCAACAAACAAAUAACUCUCUAGCUAAAGCAUUUAAAUGCAACAACAAAUACGAUCAAGAUCGCAACUAAGGUAACAAUGGAUCCAACAGCAUAAUGAAACCAAGCCUCACUAUCGAUGGCAUAUUUUCUAAUCUUUCUAAUCUUCAAGCGCAUUUUCUCCAUCUUGAUCUUGUGAUCAUCGACGAUACCGGCAACAUGCAACUCCAAUUCCAUCUUCUCCCCCUCAAUUCUUUUCAAUUUUUCUUUCAAGUACUCGUUUUCUCUUUCAACUAAAUUUAACCUCUCGGCAAUAGGGUAGGUUGGAAUUUCCGGUUGAUGGGCAUAAUUUGUAAUAAACACGAAAUGCAACUAGUUUUAAAAGAGAAUAUACAUACCACAUCCGAAUCAUAACAAGGACUAGGGCCGACGGGGACGGAUAUCAAAACCAUGGCACUAUAUGUAUAACAAACAACGUACAGGUAAGAUAAUUAUACGAGUAACUAUAUAUCCAAAUCACACAAACAUCAAUUUUUAUAUAAAAUUUCAUGAACAAGAGGCUCACCACAAGGUGGUGCCGGCGACGGGACGGUGCGGGCGAUCCACGGUGGCUACGAUGGAGAUUUAGAAGGCACUAAGUAAACCACACCUACAUAUGCAAACUAAAUGUUAUUUUUGACCUCAAAUUGCAUAUAAAUCAAAUACUAGCACAUAUAUAUAUAUCAUCCCAAAUUACUAAACUCACAAAUUAAUCACUAUAUAAAGCAUUGCAAGAGCUAAUCUAGCAACGAGAGAUGAAAGGACAAAGUUGCUAACCUUUGUGAUCAUUUGAAUGGAUGGGGGCCUUCAAAUCUUGACAAAUUUUGGGCAAAAUGUGUGAUGAGCUCGAGAGGAAGAGGGGAAGAACAGAGAGGAGAGGGGAAAGGGGAAGAAUAGAGCGAGCUCGGGUGGACGAAGGGUUUAUGUAGGACGACCUUUAGUACCGGUUUGUGCCAAGAACCGGUACUAAAGGGGCUGGAGGGGCCCCAUACUGACAACAUCCUGCCACCACUCUCAUUAGUACCGGUUCGUGGCACGAACCGGUGCUAAAGGUUCGCCAUGAACCGGUACUAAUGAAAGCAGCCUGGUUAGCCGUUGGAACCGGCACUAAUGUAUACAUUAGUGCCGGCUCAAAUACAAACCGGCACUAAUGUGCUUCAUGUUUGACCCUUUUUCCACUAGUGUAGGAGUAGGAGACAAGGAAGGGGAAGGGAGAAGGGAAAGAAGGAGGGGGCGCGGCCCCUCCCCCUAGUCCAAUUCGGACUAGGCCUUGGGGGGGCGCGCGGCCUGCCCUAGGCAGCCCCUCUCUCUUUCCCGUAUGGCCCAAUAAGGCCCAAUACUUCUCCCGGCGAAUUCCCGUAACUCUCCGGUACUCCGAAAAAUACCCGAACCACUCGAAACCUUUCCGAUGUCCGAAUAUAGUCGUCCAAUAUAUCGAUCUUUACAUCUCGACCAUUUCGAGACUCCUCCUCAUGUCCCCGAUCCCAUCCGGGACUCCGAACUCCUUCGGUACAUCAAAACUCAUAAACUCAAAAUAUAACUGUCAUCGAAACCUUAAGCGUGCGGACCCUACAGUUCGAGAACAAUGUAGACAUGAUCGAGACACAUGUCCGGUCAAUGACUAAUAGCGGGACCUGGAUGCCCAUAAUGGCUCCUACAUAUUCUACGAAGAUCUUUAUCGGUCAGACCGCAUAACAACAUACGUUGUUCCCUUUGUCAUCGGUAUGUUACUUGCCUGAGAUUUGAUCGUCGGUAUCUCAAUACCUAGUUCAAUCUUGUUACCGGCAAGUCUCUUUACUCGUUCCGUAAUACAUCAUCUCGCAACUAACUCAUUAGUUGCAAUGCUUGCAAGGCUUAUGUGAUGUGCAUUACCGAGAGGGCCUAGAGAUACCUCUCCGACAAUCGGAGUGACAAAUCCUAAUCUCGAAAUACGCCAGCCCAACAUGUACCUUUGGAGACACCUGUAGAGCUCCUUUAUAAUCACCCAGUUAUGUUGUGACGUUUGGUAGAACACAAAGUGUUCCUCCGGCAAAUGGGAGUUGCAUAAUCUCAUAGUCAUAUGAACAUGUAUAAGUCAUGAAGAAAGCAAUAGCAACAUACUAAACGAUUGGGUGCUAAGCUAAUGGAAUGGGUCAUGUCAAUCAGAUCAUUCAACUAAUGAUCUGAUCCCGUUAAUCAAAUAACAACUCUUUGUCCAUGGUUAGGAAACAUAACCAUCUUUGAUUAACGAGCUAGUCAAGUAGAGGCAUACUAGUGACACUCUGUUUUCUAUGUAUUCACACAUGUAUUAUGUUUCCGGUUAAUACAAUUCUAGCAUGAAUAAUAAACAUUUAUCAUGAUAUAAGUAAAUAAAUAAUAACUUUAUUAUUGCCUCUAGGGUAUAUUUCCAUCAGUCUCCCACUUGCACUAGAGUCAAUAAUCUAGAUCACAUCGCCAUGUGAUUUAACAUCAAUAGUUCACAUCUUUAUGUUAUUGGUUCACAUCUCCAUGUGACUAACACCCAAAGGGUUUACUAGAUUCAAUAAUCUAGUUCACAUCGCUAUGUGAUUAAGACCCAAAAAGUGAUCAUGUUUUGCUUGUGAGAGAAGUUUAGUCAAUAGGUCUUCCACAUUCAGAUCCGCAUGUAUUUUGCAAAUUUCUAUGUCAACAAUGCUCUGCAUGGAGCUACUCUAGCUAAUUGCUCCCACUUUCAAUAUGUAUCCAGAUUGAGACUUAGAGUCAUCUGGAUCAGUGUCAAAACUUGCAUCGACGUAACCCUUUACGACGAACCUUUUGUCACCUCCGUAAUCGAGAAACAUAUCCUUAUUCUACUAAGGAUAAUUUUGACCGCUGUCAAUAGAUCUACUCCUAGAUCACUAUUGUACUCCCUCUCUUAACACAGUGUAUGGUAUACAAUAGAUCUGGUACACAACAUGGCAUACUUUAUAGAACCUAUGACUGAGGCAUAGGGAAUGACUUUCAUUCUCUUUCUAUCUUCUGCCGUGGUCGGGCUUUGAGUCUUACUCAACUUCACGCCUUGUAACACAAGCAAGAAACUUUUUCUUUGACUGUUCCAUUUUGAACUACUUCAAAAUCUUGUCAAGGUAUGUACUCAUCGAAAAAACUUAUCAAGCGUCUUGAUCUAUCUCUAUAGAUCUUGAUACUCAAUAUGUAAGCAGCUUCACCGAGGUCUUUCUUUGAAAAAACUCCUUUCAAACAUUCCUUUAUGCUUUGCAGAAUAAUUCUACAUUAUCUCCGAUCAACAAUAUGUCUUUCACAUAUACUUAUCAGAAAUGAUGUAGUGCUCCCACUCACUUUCUUGUAAAUACAGGCUUCACUGCAAGUCUGUAUAAAACUAUAUGCUUUGAUCAACUCAUGAAAGCGUAUAUUCCAACUCUGAGAUGCUUGCACCAGUCCAUAGAUGGAUCGCUGGAGCUUGCAUAUUUUGUUAGUACCUUUAGGAUUGACAAAACCUUCUGGUUGCAUCAUAAACAACUCUUCUUUAAUAAAUCCAUUAAGGAAUGCAGUUUUGUUUAUCCAUUUGCCAGAUUUCAUAAAAUGCGGCAAUUGCUAACAUGAUUCGGACAGACUUAAGCGUAGAUACGAGUGAGAAACUCUCAUCGUAGUCAACACCUUGAACUUGUCGAAAACCUUUUUGCGACAAUUCUAGUUUUGUAGAUAGUAACACUACUAUCAGCGUCCGUCUUCCUCUUGAAGAUCCAUUUAAUCUCAAUGGCUUGCCGAACAUCGGGCAAGUCAACCAAAGUCCACACUUUGUUCUCAUACAUGGAUCCUAUCUCAGAUUUCAUGGCCUCAAGCCAUUUAUCGGAAUCUGGGCUCAUCAUCGCUUCCUCAUAGGUCGCAAGUUUGUCAUGGUCAAGUAACAUGACCUCCAGAACAGGAUUACCAUACCACUUUGGUGCGGAUCUCAAUCUGGUUUACCUACGAGGUUUGGUAGUAACUUGAUCUGAAGUUACAUGAUCAUCAUCAUUAGCUUCCUCACUAAUUGGUGUAGGAGUCACAGGAACAAAUUUCUGUGAUGAACUACUUUCCAAUAAAGGAGAAGGUACAAUUACCUUAUCAAGUUUUCUACUUUCCUCCCACUCACUUCUUUCAAGAGAAACUCCUUCUCUGGAAAGGAUCCAUUCUCAGUCAACGAAUAUCUUGCCUUCGGAUCUGUGAUAGAAGGUGUACCCAACAUUUUCUUUAGGGUAUCCUAUGAAGAUGCACUUUUCCGAUUUGGGUUUGAGCUUAUCAGGAUGAAACUUUUUCACAUAAGCAUCACAACCCCAAACUUUAAGAAACGACAACUUUGGUUUCUUGCCAAACCACAGUUCAUAAGGCGUCGUCUCAACGGAUUUUGAUGGUGCCCUAUUCAACGUGAAUGCAGCUGUCUCUAAUGCAUAACCCCAAAACGAUAGUGGUAGAUCGGUAAGAGAUAUCAUAGAUCGCACCAUAUCUAAUAAAGUACGGUUAUGAUGUUCGGACACACCAUUACAUUGUGGUGUUCCAGGUGGCAUGAGUAGUGAAACUAUUUCACAUUGUUUUUAACUGAAGGCCAAACUCAUAACUCAAAUACUCUUCUCUACGAUCAGGUCGUAGAAACUUUAUUUUCUUGUUACGAUGAUUUUUCACUUCACUCUGAAAUUCUUUGAACUUUUCAAAUGUUUCAGACUUAUGUUUCAUCAAGUAGAUAUACUCAUAUCUGCUCAAAUCAUCUGUGAAGAUCAGAAAAUAAUGAUACCUGUCGCGAGCCUCAAUAUUCAUCGGACCACAUACAUUAGUAUGUAUGAUUUCCAACAAAUCUGUUGCUCGCUCCAUUGUUCUGAAGAACAGAGUCUUAGUCAUCUUGCCCAUUAGGCAUGGUUCGCAAGCAUCAACUGAUUCAUAACCAACUGAUUCCAAAAGCCCAUCAGCAUGGAGUUUCUUCAUGCGCUUUACACCAAUAUGACCUAAACGGCAGUGCUACAAAUAAGUUGCACUAUCAUUAUUAACUUUGCAUCUUUUGGUUUCAAUAUUAUGAUUAUGUGUAUCACUACAAUCGAGAUCCAACGAACUAUUUUCAUUGGGUGUGUAACCAUAUAAGGUUUUAUUCAUGUAAACAGAACAACAAUUUAUUCUCUUACUUAAAUGAAUAACCGUAUUACAAUAAACAUGAUCAAAUCAUAUUCAUGCUCAACGCAAACACCAAAUAACACUUAUUUAGGUUCAACACUAAUCCUGAAAUUAUAGGGAGUGUGCGAUGAUGAUCAUAUCAAUCUUGGAACCACUUCCAACAUACAUCAUCACUUCACCCUUAACUAGUCUCUGUUUAUUUUGCAACUCCCGUUUCGAGUUACUAAUCUUUGCAACUGAACUAGUAUCAAAUACUGAGGGGUUGCUAUAAACACUUGUAAAGUACACAUCAAUAACAUGUAUAUCAAAUAUACUUAUGUUCACUUUGCCAUCCUUCUUAUCCGCCAAUCACUUGGGGUAGUUCCGCUUCUAGUGACCAGUGCCUUUGCAGUAGAAGCACUUAGUCUCAGGCUUAGGACCAGACUUGGGCUUCUUCACUUGAGCAGCAACUUGCUUGCUGUUCUUCUUGAAGUUCCCCUUCUUCCCUCUGCCCUUUUCUUGAAACUAGUGGUCUUGUCAACCAUCAACACCUGAUGUUUUUCUUGAUUUCUACCUUCAUUGAUUUCAGCAUCACGAAGAGCUUGGGAGUUGUUUCCGUUAUCCCUUGCAUAUUAUGGUUCAUCACGAAGUUCUACUAACUUGGUGAUGGUGACUAGAGAAUUCUGUCAAUCACUAUCUUAUCUGGAAGAUUAACUCCCACUUGGUUCAAGCAAUUGUAGUACCCAGACAAUCUGAGCACGUGCUCACUAGUUGAGCGAUUCUCCUCCAUCUUUUAGCUAUAGAACUUGUUGGAGACUUCAUAUCUCUCAAGUCGGGUAUUUGCUUGAAAUAUUAACUUCAACUCCUAGAACAUCUCAUAUGGUCCAUGAUGUUCAAAACGUCUUUGAAGUCCUGAUUCUAAGCCAUUAAGCAUGGUGCACUAAACUAUCAAGUAGUCAUCAUAUUGGGCUAGCCAAACGUUCAUAACGUCGGCAUCUGCUCCUGCAAUAGGUCUGUCACCUAGCGGUGCAUCAAGGACAUAAUUCCUCUAUGCAGCAAUGAGGAUAAAACUCAGAUCACGGAUCCAAUCCGCAUCAUUGCUACUAACAUCUUUCAACACAAUUUUCUCUAGGAACAUAUCAAAAUAAACAUAGGGAAGCAACAACGCGAGCUAUUGAUCUACAACAUAAUUUGCAAAAUACUACCAGGACUAAGUUCAUGAUAAAUUUAAGUUCAAUUUAAUCAUAUUACUGGAGAACUCCCACUUAGAUAGACAUCCCUCUAAUCCUCUAAGUGAUCACGUGAUCCAAAUCAACUAAACCAUGUCCGAUCACCACGUGAGAUGGAGUAGUUUCAUUGGUGAACAUCACUAUGUUGAUCAUAUCUACUAUCUGAUUCACGCUCGACCUUUCGGUCUCCGUGUUCCGAGGCCAUAUCUGUAUAUGCUUGCCUCGUCAAGUAUAACCUGAGUAUUCCGCGUGUGCAACUGUUUUACACCCGUUGUAUUUGAACGUAGAGCCUAUCACACCCGAUCAUCACGUGGUGUCUCAGCACGAAGAAGUUUCGCAACGGUGCAUACUCAGGGAGAACACUUCUUGAUAAUUAGUGAGAGAUCAUCUUAAAAUGCUACCGUCAAACUAAGCAAAAAUAAGAUGUAUAAAAGAUAAACAUCAUAUGCAAUCAAAAUAUGUGACAUGAUAUGGCCAUCAUCAUCUUGCUUCUUUGAUCUCCAUCUCCAAAGUACUGUCAUGAUCUAUAUCGUCAUCGGCAUGACACCAUGAUCUCCAUCAUCUUGAUCUAUAUCAAUGUGUCGUCACGUGGUCGUCUCGCCAACAAUUGCUCUUGCAACUAUUGCUAUCGCAUAGCGAUAAAGUAAAGCAAUUAUUGGACGCUUGCAUCUUAUGUAAUAGAGAGACAACCAUAAGGAUUUUGCCAGUUGUUGAUAACUUCAACAAAACAUGAUCAUCUCAUACAACAACUUAUAUCUCAUCACGUCUUGACCAUAUCACAUCACAACAUGCCCUGCAAAAACAAGUUAGACGUCCUCUACUUUGUUGUUGCAAGUUUUACGUGGCUGCUACGGGCUUAAGCAAGAACCAAUCUUACCUACGCAUCAAAACCACAACGAUAGUUUGUCAAGUUGGUGCUGUUUUAACCUUCGCAAGGACCGGGCGUAGCCACACUCGGUUCAACUAAAGUUGGAGAAACUGUCACCCCCAAGCCACCUAUGUGCAAAGCACGUCGGGAGAACCGGUCUCGCGUAAGCAUACGCGUAAUGUCGGUCUGGGCCGCUUCAUCCAACAAUACCGCCGAACCAAAGUAUGACAUGCUGGUAAGCAGUAUGACUUAUAUCGCCCACAACUCACUUGUGUUCUACUCGUGCAUAUAACAUCAACACAUAAAACCUAGGCUCAAAUGCCACUGUUGGGGAACGUAGUAAUUUCAAAAAAUUUCCUACGCACACGCAAGAUCAUGGUGAUGCAUAGCAACGAGAGGGGAGAGUGUUGUCAACGUAGCCUUGUAGACCGAAGCAGAAGCGUUGACGCAACGUAGAGGAAGUAGUCGUACGUCUUCCCGAUCCGACCGAUCCAAGCACCAUUACUCCGGCACCUCCGAGUUCUUGGCACACGUUCAGCUCGGUAACGAUCCCCAGGCUCCGAUCCAGCAAAGCGUCGGCGAGGAGUUCCAUCAGCACGACGGCGUGGUGACGAUCUUGAUGUUCUACCGUCGCAGGGCUUCGCCUAAGCACCGCUACAAUAUGACCGAGGUGUAAUAUCGUGGAGAGGGGCACCGCACACGGCUAAGGAACGAUCACGAAGAUCAACUUGUGUGUCCAUGGGGUGCCCCCUGCCCCCGUAUAUAAAGGAGUGGAGGAGGGGAGGGCUGGCCCUCUCUAUGGCGCGCCCUAGGGGAGUCCUACUCCCAACGGGAGUAGGAUUCCCCCUUUUCCUAGUCCAACUAGGAGUCCUUCCAUGUAGUAGGAGUAGGAGACAAGGAAGGGGAAGGGAGAAGGGAAAGAAGGAGGGGGCGCGGCCCCUCCCCCUAGUCCAAUUCGGACUAGGCCUUGGGGGGCGCACGGCCUGCCCUAGGCAGCCCCUCUCUCUUUCCCGUAUGGCCCAAUAAGGCCCAAUACUUCUCCCGGCGAAUUCCUGUAACUCUCCGGUACUCCGAAAAAUACCCGAACCACUCGGAACCUUUCCGAUGUCCGAAUAUAGUCGUCCAAUAUAUCGAUCUUUACGUCUCGACCACUUCGAGACUCCUCGUCAUGUCCCCGAUCCCAUCCGGGACUCCGAAAUCCUUCGGUACAUCAAAACUCAUAAACUCAUAAUAUAACUGUCAUCGAAACCUUAAGCGUGCGGACACUACGGUUCGAGAACAAUGUAGACAUGACUGAGACACGUCUCCAGUCAAUAACCAAUAGCGGGACCUGGAUGCCCAUAUUGGCUCCUACAUAUUCUACGAAGAUCUUUAUCGGUCAGACCGCAUAACAACAUACGUUGUUCCCUUUGUCAUCGGUAUGUUACUUGCCCGAGAUUUGAUCGUCGGUAUCUCAAUACCUACUUCAAUCUCGUUACCGGCAAGUCUCUUUACUCGUUCCGUAAUACAUCAUCUCGCAACUAACUCAUUAGUUGCAAUGCUUGCAAGGCUUAUGUGAUGUGCAUUUCCGAGAGGGCCCAGAGAUACCUCUCCGACAAUCGGAGUGACAAAUCCUAAUCUCGAAAUACGCAAACCCAACAUGUACCUUUGGAGACACCUGUAGAGCUCCUUUAUAAUCACCCAGUUACGGUGUGACGUUUGGUAGCACACAAGGUGUUCCUCCGGCAAACGGGAGUUGCAUAAUCUCAUAGUCAUAGGAACAUGUAUAAGUCAUGAAGAAAGCAAUAUCAACAUACUAAACGAUCGGGUGCUAAGCUAAUGGAAUGGGUCAUGUGAAUCAGAUCAUUCAACUAAUGAUGUGAUCUCGUUAAUCAAAUAACAACUCUUUGUCCAUGGUUAGGAAACAUAACCAUCUUUGAUUAACGAGCUAGUCAAGUAGAGGCAUACUAGUCACACUCUGUUUGUCUAUGUAUUCACACAUGUAUUAUGUUUCCGGUUAAUACAAUUCUAGCAUGUAUAAUAAACAUUUAUCAUGAUAUAAGGAAAUAAAUAAUAAUUUUAUUAUAGCCUCUAGGGCAUAUUUACUUCAUGGAUUGCCUACCAAAGAUGGCAAUAGCUAGAUCUAUCCUUGCUUGUUAUGCCUAACUAGGGGCGUUAAACGAUAGCGCUUUUUGGGAGGCAACCCAAUUUUGUUUUUAUUCCUUGAUUUUUGCUCCUGUUUAGUAAUAAAUAAUUUAUCUAGCCUCUGUUUUGGUUGUGUUCUUUGUGUUUAAUUAGUGUUUGUGCCAGGUAGAACCGUUAGGAAGACUUGGGGAAAGUCUUGUUACACUUGCUGUAAAAAACAGAAACUUCAGCGCUCACGAGAACUGCUGCCAUUUUUAUUUGGAAAGUGCUAUUUAGUUAAUUAUUUCCGCAGAUGAUUAAUAGAUAAAUUCCUCACGUCCAGCACUUUAUUUUAGAAUUUUUGGGGUUCCAGCUCUUGAGCUAGCUACAGAUUACUACAGACUGUUCUGUAUUUGAAACAUUCUGUUUUUUCGUGUGUUGUUUGCUUAUUUUGAUGAACCUAUGGCUAGUAAAAUAGUUUAUAAACCACAGAGAAGUUGGAAUACAGUAGUUAUAACACCAAUAUAAAUAAAUAAUGAGUUCAUUAAAGUACCUUGAAGUGGUCUUUUUUAUUUUCUUUCGCUAACGGAGCUCACAAGAUUUUCUACUUCAAGUUUGUGUUGUGAAGUUUUCAAGUUUUGGGUAAAAAUUUGAUGGAUUAUGGAACAAGUAGUGACAAGAGCCGAAGCUUGGGGAUGCCCAUGGCACCCCCAAGAUAAUCUAAUUACACCUAAAAGCCAAAGCUUGGGGAUGCCCGGGAAGUCAUCCCCUCUUUCGUCUACUUCUAUGGGUAACUUUACUUGGAGCUAUAUUUUUAUUCGCCACAAGAUAUGUGUUUUGCUUGGAGCGUCUUGUAUUGUUUGACUCUUUAUUUUUUAGUUUACCACAAUCAUCCUUGCUGUACACACCUUUUGAGAGAGCCAUACAUGAUUUGGAAUUUGUUAGAAUACUCUAUGGGCUUCGCUUAUAUCUUUUGAGUUAUAUAGUUUUGCUCUAGUACUUCACUUAUAUCUUUUAGAGCACGGUGGUGGAUUUGUUUUAUAAAAACUAUUGAUCUCUCAUGCUUCACUUAGAUUAUUUUGAGAUGCUUAAUAGCAUGGUAAUUUGCUUAAAAUCCUAAUAUGCUAGGUAUUCAAAGUUAGUAAAAUUUUCUUACGAGUGUUUUUAAUACUAAGAGAAGUUUGAUGCUUGAUGAUUGUUUUGAGAUAUGGAGGUAAUAAUAUCAAAGUCGUGCUAGUUGAGUAGUUGUGAAAUUGAGAAAUACUUGUGUUGAAAUUUGCAUGUCCCGUAGCAUGCACGUAUUGUAAACGUUGUGUAACAAAUUUGAAACAUGAGGUGUUAUUUGAUUGUCUUCCUUAUGAGUGGCGGUCGGGGACGAGCGAUGGUCUUUUCCUACCAAUCUAUUGUUUGGGAACGUACUAAUUUCAAAAAAAAUCCUACGCACACGCAAGACCAUGGUGAUGCAUAGCAACGAGAGGGGAGAGUGUGAUCUACGUACCCUUGUAGAUCAACAGCGGAAGCGUUGAUGCAACAUAGAGGAAGUAGUCGUACGUCUUCCUGAUCCGACCGAUCGAAGCACCAUUACUCCGGCACCUCCGAGUUCUUAGCACACGUACAGCUCGAUGACGAUCCCGGGCUCCGAUCCAGCAAAGGGUCGGGGAGGAGUUCCGUCAGCACGACGGCGUGGUGACGAUCUUGAUGUUCUACCGUCGCAGGGCUUCGCCUAAGCACUGCUACAAUAUGAUGGAGGUGGAAUAUGGUGGCACGGGGCACCGCACACGGCUAAGGAACGAUCUCAAUGAUCAACUUGUGUGUCUAGAGGUGCCCCCUGCCUCCGUAUAUAAAGGAGCCAAGGGGGAGGGGGCCGCCGGCCAGGAGGAGGGCGCAGGAGGAGUCCUACUCCUACCGGGAGUAGGACUCCCCCCCCCCAAUCCUAGUUGGACUAGGAUUCCCCGAGGGGGAAAGAGAGAGAGGGGGGCCGGCCACCUCUCCUAGUCCUAAUAGGACUACGGGAGGGGGGAGGCGCGCGGCCACCUUGGGCUGCCCCUUUCUCCUUUCCACUAAAGCCCAUCAAGGCCCAUAUGGCUCCCGGGGGGUUCCGGUAACCUCCCGGUACUCCGGUAAAAUCCCGAUUUCACCCGGAACACUUCCGAUGUCCAAAUAUAGGCUUCCAAUAUAUCAAUCUUUAUGUCUCGACCAUUUCGAUACUCCUCGUCAUGUCUGUGAUCACAUCCGGGACUCCGAACUAACUUCGGUACAUCAAAAUGCAUAAACUCAUAAUAACUGUCAUCGUAACGUUAAGCGUGUGGACCCUACGGUUCGAGAAUAAUGCAGACAUGACUGAGACACAUCUCCGGUCAAUAACCAAUAGCAGGACCUGGAUGCCUAUAUUGGCUCCUACAUUUUCUACGAAGAUCUUUAUCAGUCACACCGCAUAACAACAUAUGUUGUUCCCUUUGUCAUCGGUAUGUCAUUUGCCCGAGAUUCGAUCGUCAGUAUCCAAUACCUAGUUCAAUCUCGUUACCGGCAAGUCUCUUUACUCGUUCCGUAAUACAUCAUCUCGCAACUAACUCAUUAGUUGCAAUGCUUGCAAGGCUUAAGUGAUGUGCAUUACCGAGAGGGCCCAGAGAUACCUCUCCGACAAUCGGAGUGACAAAUCCUAAUCUCGAAAUACGCCAACCCAACAUCUACCUUUGGAGACACCUGUAGUACUCCUUUAUGAUCACCCAGUUACGUUGUGAUGUUUGGUAGCACCCAAAGUGUUCCUCCGGUAAACGGGAGUUGCAUAAUCUCAUAGUCAUAGGAACAUGUAUAAGUCAUGAAGAAUAGCAACAGCAACAUACUAAACGAUCGGGUGCUAAGCUAAUGAAAUGGGUCAUGUCAAUCAGAUCAUUCAACUAAUGAUGUGACCUCGUUAAUCAAAUAACAACUCUUUGUUCAUGGUUAGGAAACAUAACCAUCUUUGAUUAACGAGCUAGUCAAGUAGAGGCAUACUAGUGACACUCUGUUUGUCUAUGUAUUCACACAUGUAUUAUGUUUCCGGUUAAUACAAUUCUAGCAUGAAUAAUAAACAUUUAUCAUGAUAUAAGGAAAUAAAUAAUAACUUUAUUAUUGCCUCUAGGGCAUAUUUCCUUCAGUCUCCCACUUGCACUAGAGUCAAUAAUCUAGAUUACACAGUAAUGAUUCUAACACCCAUGGAGCCUUGGUGCUGAUCAUGUUUUGCUCGUGGAAGAGGCUUAGUCAACGGGUCUGCAAUAUUCAGAUCCAUAUGUAUCUUGCAAAUCUCUAUGUCUCCCACCUAGACUAGAUCCCGGAUGGAAUUGAAGCGUCUCUUGAUGUGCUUGGUUCUCUUGUGAAAUCUGGAUUCCUUUGCCAAGACAAUUGCACCAGUAUUGUCACAAAAGAUUUUCAUUGGACCCGAUGCACUAGGUAUGACACCUAGAUCGGAUAUGAACUCCUUCAUCCAGACUCCUUCGUUUGCUGCUUCCGAAGCAGCUAUGUAUUCUGCUUCACAUGUAGAUCCCGCUACGACGCUUUGUUUAGAACUGCACCAACUGACAGCUCCACCGUUUAAUGUAAACACGUAUCCGGUUUGCGAUUUAGAAUCGUCCGGAUCAGUGUCAAAGCUUGCAUCAACGUAACCUCUUACGGUGAGCUCUUUGUCACCUCCAUAUACGAGAAACAUAUCCUUAGUCCUUUUCAGGUAUUUCAGGAUGUUCUUGACCGCUGUCCAGUGAUCCACUCCUGGAUUACUUUGGUACCUCCCUGCUAAACUUAUAGCAAGGCACACAUCAGGUCUGGUACACAGCAUUGCAUACAUGAUAGAGCCUAUGGCUGAAGCAUAGGGAACAUCUUUCAUUUUCUCUCGAUCUUCUGCAGUGGUCGGGCAUUGAGUCUGGCUCAACUUCACACCUUGUAACACAGGCAAGAACCCUUUCUUUGCUUGAUCCAUUUUGAACUUCUUCAAAAUCUUGUCAAGGUAUGUGCUUUGUGAAAGUCCAAUUAAGCGUCUUGAUCUAUCUCUAUAGAUCUUUAUGCCUAAUAUGUAAGCAGCUUAACCGAGGUCUUUCAUUGAAAAACUCUUAUUCAAGUAUACCUUUAUGCUAUCCAGAAAUUCUAUAUCAUUUCCAAUCAGCAAUAUGUCAUCCACAUAUAAUAUCAGAAAUGCUACAGAGUUCCCACUCACUUUCUUGUAAAUACAGGCUUCACCGAAAGUCUGUAUAAAACCAAAUGCUUUGAUCACACUAUCAAAGCGUUUAUUCCAACUCCGAGAGGCUUCCACCAGUCCAUAAAUGGAUCGCUGGAGCUUGCACACUUUGUUAGCUCCCUUUGGAUCGACAAAACCUUCCGGUUGCAUCAUAUACAACUCUUCUUCCAGAAAUCCAUUCAAGAAUGCAGUUUUGACAUCCAUCUGCCAAAUUUCAUAAUCAUAAAAUGCGGCAAUUGCUAACAUGAUUCGGACAGACUUAAGCAUCGCUACGGGUGAGAAGGUCUCAUCGUAGUCAACCCCUUCAACUUGUCGAAGACCUUUUGCGAGAAGUCGAGCUUCGUAGACAGUAACAUUACCAUCACCGUCAGUCUUCUUCUUGAAGAUCCAUUUAUUCUCAAUUGCUUGCCGAUCAUCGGGCAAGUCAACCAAAUCCAUACUUUGUUCUCAUACAUGGAUCCCAUCUCAGAUUUCAUGGCUUCAAGCCACUUUGCGGAAUAUGGGCUCACCAUCGCUUCUUCAUAGUUCGUAGGUUCAUCAUGAUCUAGCAGCAUGAUUUCCAGAACAGGAUUACCGUACCACUCUGGUGCAGAUCUCGCUCUGGUUGAUCUACGAGGUUCAGUAGUAUCUUGUCCUGAAGUUUCAUGAUCUUUAUCAUUAGCUUCCUCACUAAUUGGUAUAGGUGUCGCAGAAACAGUUUUUCUGUGAUGUACUACUUUCCAAUAAGGGAGCAGGUAUAGUUACCUCGUCAAGUUCUACUUUCCUCCCACUCACUUCUUUCGAGAGAAACUCCUUCUCUAGAAAUGAUCCAUUCUUAGCAAUGAAUGUCUUACCUUCGGAUUUGUGAUAGAAGGUGUACCCAACAGUCUCCUUUGCGUAUCCUAUGAAGACACAUUUCUCCGAUUUGGGCUCGAGCUUAUGAGGUUGAAGCUUUUUCACAUAAGUAUCGCAGCCCCAAACUUUAAGAAACGACAACUUUGGUUUCUUGCCAAACCACAGUUCAUAAGGCGUCGUCUCAGCAGAUUUUGAUGGUGCCGUAUUUAGCGUGAAUGUGAGCGUCUCUAAAGCAUAACCCCAAAACGAUAGCGGUAAAUCAGUAAGAGACAUCAUAGAUCGCACCAUAUCUAGUAAAGUACGAUUCCGAUGUUCGGACACACCAUUACACUGUGGUGUUCCAGGUGGCGUGAGUUGCGAAACUAUUCCACAAUUUUUCAAAUGUACACCAGACUCGUAACUCAAAUAUUCUCCUCCACGAUCAGAUCGUAGAAACUUUAUUUUCUUGUUAUGAUGAUUUUCAACUUCACUCUGAAAUUCUUUGAACUUUUCAAAUGUUUCAGACUUAUGUUUCAUUAAGUAGAUAUACCCAUAUCUGCUUAAGUCAUCUGUGAAGGUGAGAAAAUAACGAUAUCCACCACGAGCCUCAAUAUUCAUCGGACCACAUACAUCAGUAUGCAUGAUUUCCAACAAAUCUGUUGCUCUCUCCAUAGUACCGGAGAACGGUGUUUUAGACAUCUUGCCCAUGGGGCACGGUUCGCAAGUACCAAGUGAUUCAUAAUCAAGUGGUUCCAAAAGUCCAUCGGUAUGGAGUUUCUUCAUGCGCUUUAUACCGAUAUGACCUAAACGGCAGUGCCACAAAUUAGUUGCACUAUCAUUAUCAACUCUGCAUCUUUUCGCCUCAACAUUAUGAAUAUAUGUGUUACUACUAUCGAGAUUCAUCGAAAAUAGACCACUCCUCAAAGGUGCAUGACCAUAAAAGAUAUUACUCAUAUAAAUAGAACAACCAUUAUUCUCUGAUUUAAAUGAAUAACCGUCUCGCAUCAAACAAGUUCCAGAUAUAAUGUUCAUGCUCAACGCUGGAACCAAAUAACAAUUAUUUAGGUCUAAUAUUAAUCCCGAAGGUAGAUGUAGAGGUAGCGUGCUGACCGCGAUCACAUCGACUUUGGAACCGUUUCCCACGCGCAUCGUCACCUCGUCCUUCGCCAGUGUUCGCUUAAUCCGUAGUCCCUGUUUCGAGUUGCAAAUAUUAGCAACAGAACCAGUAUCACAUACCCAGGUGCUACUGCGAGCUCUAGUAAGGUACACAUCAAUAACAUGUAUAUCACAUAUACCUUUGUUCACCUUGCCAUCCUUCUUAUCCGCCAAUACUUGGGGCAGUUCCGCUUCCAGUGACCAGUCUGCUUGCAGUAGAAGCACUCAGUUUCAGGCUUAGGUCCAGACUUGGGUUUCUUCUCUUGAGCAGCAACUUGCUUGCCGUUCUUCUUGAAGUUCCCCUUCUUCUUCCCUUUGCCCUUUUUCUUGAAACUAGUUGUCUUACUGACCAUCAACACUUGAUGCUCCUUUUUGAUUUCUACCUCCGCAGCUUUCAGCAUUGCGAAGAGCUCGGGAAUAGUCUUGUUCAUCCCUUGCAUAUUAUAGUUCAUCACAAAGCUCUUGUAGCUUGGUGGCAGUGAUUGGAGAAUUCUGUCAAUGACGCAAUCAUCUAGAAGAUUAACUCCCAUCUGAAUCAAGUGAUUAUUAUACCCAGACAUUCUGAGUAUAUGCUCACUGACAGAACUGUUCUCCUCCAUCUUGCAGCUAUAGAACUUAUUGGAGACUUCAUAUCUCUCAAUCCGGGCAUUUUCUUGAAAUAUUAACUUCAACUCCUGGAACAUCUCAUAUGCUCCAUGACGUUCAAAACGUCGUUGAAGUCCCGAUUCUAAGCCGUAAAGCAUGGCACACUGAACUAUCAAGUAGUCAUCAGCUUUGCUCUGCCAGACGUUCAUAACAUCUAGUGUUGCUCCAGCAGCAGGCCUGGCACCUAGCGGUGCUUCCAAGACGUAAUUCUUCUGAGCAACAAUGAGGAUAAUCCUCAAGUUACGGACCCAGUCCGUGUAAUUGCUACCAUCAUCUUUCAACUUUGCUUUCUCAAGGAACGUAUUAAAAUUCAACGAAACAACAACACGAGCCAUCUAUCUACAAUCAACAUAAACAAGCAAGAUACUAUCAGGUACUAAGUUCAUGAUAAGUUUAAGUUCAAUUUAAUCAAAUUACUUAAGAACUCCCACUUAGAUAGACAUCCCUCUAAUCGUCUAAGUGAUCACGUGAUCCAAAUCAACUAAACCAUAACCGAUCAUCACGUGAGAUGGAGUAGUUUUCAAUGGUGAACAUCGUUAUGUUGAUCAUAUCUACUAUAUGAUUCAUGCUCGACCUUUCGUUCUCCGUGUUCCGAGGCCAUAUCUGCAUACGCUAGGCUCGUCAAGUUUAACCUGAGUAUUCUGCGUGUGCAAAAACUGGCUUGCACCCGUUGUAGAUGGACGUAGAGCUUAUCACACCCGAUCAUCACGUGGUGUCUGGGCACGACGAACUUUGGCAGCAGUGCAUACUCAGGGAGAACACUUCUUGAUAAUUUAGUGAGAUAUCAUCUUAUAAUGCUACCGUCAAUCAAAGCAAGAUAAGAUGCAUAAAAAGAUAAACAUCACAUGCAAUCAAUAUAAGUGAUAUGAUAUGGCCAUCAUCAUCUUGUGCUUGUGAUCUUCAUCUCCGAAGCACCGUCAUGAUCACCAUCGUCACCGGUGCGACACCUUGAUCUCCAUCGUAGCAUCGUUGUCGUCUCGCCAAUCUUAUGCUUCCACGACUAUCGCUACCGCUUAGUGAUAAAGUAAAGCAUUACAUCGCGAUUGCAUUGCAUACAAUAAAGCGACAACCAUAUGGCUCCUGCCAGUUGCCGAUAACUCGGUUACAAAACAUGAUCAUCUCAUACAAUAAAAUUUAGCAUCAUGUCUUGACCAUAUCACAUCACAACAUGCCCUGCAAAAACAAGUUAGACGUCCUCUACUUUGUUGUUGCAAGUUUUACGUGGCUGCUACGGGCUUAAGCAAGAACCAAUCUCACCCACGCAUCAAAACCACAACGAUAGUUUGUCAAAUAGACUCCGUUUUAUCCUUCGGAAGGACCGGGCGUAGCCACACUCGGUUCAACUAAAGUUGGAGAAACAGUCGCCCGCAAGGCACCUGUGUGCAAAGCACGUCGGGGGAACCGGUCUCACGUAAGCGUACGCGUAAUGUUGGUCCGGGUCGUCUCGUCCAACAAUACCGCCGAACCAAAGUAUGACAUGCUAGUAGGCAGUAUGACUUGUAUCACCCACAACUCACUUGUGUUCUACUCGUGCAUAUAACAUCAAACCAUAAAACCUAGGCUCGGAUGCCACUGUUUGGGAACGUAGUAAUUUCAAAAAAAUUCCUACGCACACGCAAGAUCAUGGUGAUGCAUAUCAACGAGAGGGGAGAGUGUGAUCUACGUACCCUUGUAGAUCAAUAGCGGAAGCAUUGACGCAAUGUAGAGGAAGUAGUCGUACGUCUUCCUUAUCCGAUCGAUCCAAGCACCAUUACUCCGGCACCUCUGAGUUCUUAGCACACGUACAGCUCGAUGACGAUCCCCGGGCUCCGAUCCAGCAAAGCGUCGGGGGGGAGUUCCGUCAACACGACGGCGUGGUGAUGAUCUUGAUGUUCUACCAUCGCAGGGCUUCGCCUAAGCACUGCUCCAAUAUGAUCGAGGUGGAAUAUGGUGGCAGGGGGCACCGCACACGGCUAAGGAACGAUCUCAAUGAUCAACUUGUGUGUCUAGAGGUGCCCCCUGCCUCCGUAUAUAAAGGAGCCAAGGGGGAGGGGGCCGCCGGCCAGGAGGAGGGCGCAGGAGGAGUCCUACUCCUACCAGGAGUAGGACUCCCCCCCCCCAAUCCUAGUUGGACUAGGAUUCCCCGAGGGGGAAAGAGAGAGGGGGGGCCGGCCACCUCUCCUAGUCCUAAUAGGACUAGGGGAGGGGGGAGGCGCGCGGCCACCUUGGGCUGCCCCUUUCUCCUUUCCACUAAAGCCCAUCAAGGCCCAUAUGGCUCCCGGGGGGUUCCGGUAACCUCCCGGUACUCCGGUAAAAUCCCGAUUUCACCCGGAACACUUCCGAUGUCCAAAUGUAGGCUUCCAAUAUAUCAAUCUUUAUGUCUCGACCAUUUCGAGACUCCUCGUCAUGUCCGUGAUCACAUCCGGGACUCCGAACUAACUUUGGUACAUCAAAAUGCAUAAACUCAUAAUAACUGUCAUCGUAACGUUAAGCGUGUGGACCCUACGGUUCGAGAAUAAUGCAGACAUGACUGAGACACAUCUCCGGUCAAUAACCAAUAGCGGGACCUGGAUGCCCAUAUUGGCUCCUACAUUUUCUCCGAAGAUCUUUAUCGGUCAGACCGCAUAACAAAAUACGUUGUUCCCUUUUCAUCGGUAUGUUACUUGCCCGAGAUUUGAUCGUUGGUAUCUCAAUACCUAGUUCAAUCUCGUUACCGGCAAGUCUCUUUACUCGUUCCGUAAUACAUCAUCUCGCAACUAACUCAUUAGUUGCAAUGCUUGCAAGGCUUAUGUGAUGUGCAUUACCGAGAGGGCCCAGAGAUACCUCUCCGACAAUCGGAGUGACAAAUCCUAAUCUCGAAAUACGCCAACCCAACAUCUACCUUUGGAGACACCUGUAGAGCUCCUUUAUAAUCACCCAGUUACAUUGUGACGUUUGUUAGCACACAAAGUGUUCCUCCGGGAAACGGGAGUUGCAUAAUCACAUAGUCAUAGGAACAUGUAUAAGUCAUGAAGAAAGCAGUAGCAACAUACUAAACGAUCGGGUGCUAAGCUAAUGAAAUGGGUCAUGUCAAUCAGAUCAUUCAACCAAUGAUGUGACCUCGUUAAUCAAAUAACAACACCUUGUUCAUGGUUAGGAAACAUAACCAUCUUUGAUUAACGAGCUAGUCAUGUAGAGGCAUACUAGUGACACUAAGUUUGUCUAUGUAUUCACACAUGUAUUAUGUUUCCGGUUAAUACAAUUCUAGUAUGAAUAAUAAACAUUUAUCAUGAUAUAAGGAAAUAAAUAAUAACUUUAUUAUUGCCUCUAAGGCAUAUUUCCUUCAUCUAUCCCCCUAGGAGCAUGCGCGUAGUACCGAGGUUUUUGAUGACUUGUAGAUUUUUGCAAUGAGUAUGUGAGUUCUUUAUGACUAAUGUUGAGUCCAUGAAUUAUACGCACUCUCACCCUUCCAUCCUUGCUAGCCUCUUCGGUACCGUGCAUUGCCCUUUCCCACAUUGAGUGUUGGAGCAAACUUCGCCAAUGCAUCCAAACCCUGUGAUAUGAUACGCUCUUUCACACAUAAACCUCCUUAUAUCUUCCUCAAAACAGCCACCAUACCUACCUAUUAUGGCAUUUCCAUAGCCAUUCCGACUUAUAUUGCCAUGCAACUUUCCACCAUUCCGUUCAUCAUGACACAUUUAGCAUUGUCAUAUUGCUUAGCAUAAUCAUGUAGUUGACAUAGUAUUUGUGGCAAAGCCACCGUUCAUAAUUCUUUCCUACAUGUCACUAUUGGUCCACUGCAUAUCCGGUACACCGCCGGAGGCAUUUAUAUAGAGUCAUACUUUGUUCUAGUAUCGAGUAGUAAUUAUUGAGUUGUAAAUAAAUAGAAGUGUGAUGAUCAUCAUUAAUAGAGCAUGGUCCCAAAAAGAGAAAAAAGGAAGGGCCAAAAAAAGGCCAAAUAAAAAAAUAUAAAAAAGGGGGGCAAUGCUACUAUCCUUUUUUUCCACACUUGUGAUUCAAAGUAGCACCGUAAUCUUCAUGAUAGAGAGUAUCUUGAUUUGUCACUUUCAUAUACUAGUGGGAAUUUUGCAUUGUAGAACAAUGGGCCUCCUCAAGUGCCCUAGCUCUUCGUGAGCAAGCAAGUUGGAUGCACACCCACUUAGUUUCUUUUGUUGAGCUUUCAUACAUUUAUAGCUCUAGUGCAUCCGUUGCAUGGCAAUCCUUACUCCUUGCAUUAACAUCAAUCGAUGGGCAUCUCCAUAGCCCAUUGAUUAGCCUCAUUGAUGUGAGACUUUCUCCUUUUUGUCUUCUCCACAUAACCCCAGUGAUUAUAUUCUAUUCCACCCAUAGUUUUAUGUCCAUGGCUUGCAAUCAUAUAUUGCGUGAAAGUUUAUAGGUUUGAGAUCACUAAAGUAUGAAACAAUUGCUUGGCUUGUCAUCGGGGUUGUGCAUGAUGAGAGCAUUCUUGUGUGAAGAAAAUGAAGCAUGAUUAAACUAUAUGAUUUUGUAGGGAUGAACUUUCUUUGGCCAUGUUAUUUUGAGAAGACAUAAUUGCUCAGUUAGUAUGCUUGACUCUUUUGGAUCUGAAUAUUCAUACCACAAGUAAGAAGAAUUACAUUAAAAUCAUGCCAAGUAGCACUCCGCAUCAAAAAUUCUGUUUUUAUCAUUUACCUACUCUAGGACGAGCAGGAAUUAAGCUUGGGGAUGCUUGAUACGUCUCCAACGUAACUAUAAUUUUUGAUUGCUCCAUGCUAUAUUAUCUACUGUUUUGGACAAUAUUGGGCUUUAUUAUCCACUUUUAUAUUAUUUUGUAACUAACCUAUUAUCUACUGUUUUGGACAAUAUUGCCUAGAUUUGCUGUUUUUUUGCCUGUUUUAGGGUUUCGAAGAAAAGGAAUAUCAAACGGAGUCCAAACGGAAUGAAACCUUCGGGAACGUGAUUUUCUCAACGAACAAGACCCAGGAGACUUGGACCCUCCGUCAAGACACAAAAGAGGAGGCCACGAGGUAGAGGGCGUGCCUACCCCCCCCCCCCUGCGCGCCCACCACCCUCGUGGGCCCCCUGUUGCUCCACCGACGUACUCCUUCCUCCUAUAUAUACCUACGUACCCCCAAACGAUCAUAUACGGAGCCAAAACCCUAAUUCCACCGCCGCAACUUUCUGUAUCCACGAGAUCCCAUCUUGGGGCCUGUUCCGGAGCUCCGCCAGAGGGGGCAUCGAUCACGGAGUGCUUCUACAUCAACACCAUAACCUCUCCGAUGAAGUGUGAGUAGUUCACCUCAGACCUACUGUUCCAUAGUUAUUAGCUAGAUGGCUUCUUCUCUCUUUUUGGAUCUAAAUACAAUGUUCUCCCCCUCUCUUGUGGAGAAUUAUUCGAUGUAAUCUUCUUUUUGCGGUGUGUUUGUUGAGACCGAUGAAUUGUGGGUUUAUGAUCAAGUCUAUCUAUGAAUAAUAUUUCAAUCUUCUCUGAAUUAUUUUAUGUAUGAUUGGUUAUCUUUGCAAGUCUCUUCGAAUUAUCAGUUUGGUUUGGCCUACUAGAUUGAUCUUUCCUGCAAUGGGAGAAGUGCUUAGCUUUGGGUUCAAUCUUGCGGUGUCCUUUCCCAGUGACAGUAGGGGCAGCAAGGCACGUAUUGUAUUGUUGCCAUCGAGGACAACAAGAUGGGGUUUUCAUCAUAUUGCAUGUGUCUAUCCCUCUACAUCAUGUUAUCUUGCUUAAGGCGUUAAUCUGUUUUUAACAUAAUACUCUAGAUGCAUGCUGGAUAGCUGUCGAUGAGUGGAGUAAUAGUAGUAGAUGUAGGCAGGAGCGGUCUACUUGUCUCGGACGUGAUGCCUAUAUACAUGAUGAUACCUAGAUAUUAUCAUAACUAUGCUCAAUUCUGUCAAUUGCUCAACAGUAAUUUGUUCACCCACCGUAGAAUACUUAUGCUCUCGAGGGAAGCCACUAGUGAAACCUAUGGCCCCGGGUCUAUCUUUAUCAUAUUAAUCUCCUACUACUUAGUUAUUUCCUUUGCUUUUUUACUUUGCCUUUAUUUUACUUUGCAUCUUUAUCACAAAAAUACCAAUAAAAUUAUCUUUAUCAUAUCUAUCAAAUCUCACUCUUGUAAGUGGCCGUGUAGGGAUUGACAACCCCUAUUCGCGUUGGUUGCGAGGAUUUAUUUGUUUUGUGCAGGUACGAGGGACUCGUGCGUAGCCUCCUACUGGAUUGAUACCUUGGUUCUCAAAACCUAAGGGAAAUACUUACGCUACUUUGCUGCAUCAUCCCUUCCUCUUCGGGGAAAACCAACGCAGUGCUCAAGAGGUAGCAAGGGUUCCUUUUUGUCGACGAUCCUAUGUUUCAACCUUGUUUUCCAGGCGGCCAAUGCGUCGCUAAACUUGGGCAUGGCGUGUUUGUUUAUCUUCUUCAUUGCCAGGUCCUUAUCUGGAUCUUUAUUAUCCUUUUCAUUGCGGUUAAUGAACAAGAAUAUCUGGUGCCGCUUCUUUAAAAGGGAGGGCCUCAUAUUAUCUAUCUUCUGUAGUUUCCCAUCGUUGAUCGUGGCAGUUGUCCGUACGAUGCAACCUAUUUGAUUGCCAUAGCACGAUUGCGCUUCCUCGGGCGCUAUUGUCUCAAAAAUACCGUUGUCCAUCUCCGUGACCACCAGUCUAGUACUCGUGAGCUGGUUUCGGCGCCGUGGCCUCUUUGCUUUCGGUUCUAGACCAGCUCCGCUAGUCUCGGCGCCGGUCUCAGUCUCAUCGCCGGUCUGCAUGUCGGUAUCAGUCCCCGAUGCGACAGCACAGUCGCUGCAACAUGGGUAAGGGAGACCACAUCAGUGCUGGGGGGGUCUGAAAAUUGGGACACACUUUCGCGCAUCGCGGGCCGCCUCUCAGACAGCUACUGGGGAGGCGGCGGAGUACCUGGGUGCGCGGUAAAUCCCCGGGAACUCGGUGACCAACUUCCUUCCCGUGUGGUGCAUGGAGACGACGACGACCCCGGCAAAGAGCAGCUUAGCCGUGAGCUGCACAGCCUCGUCCACCUCCUAAGUUGGGUCCUCCGCGCGAGCGUUGCGGGGCCGCCGCUCGGAUGGCUUCUGGAAGGCGCUUGUACAUGGGCAUAGGGUGAAUCCCGGCGAGAGCUAGCCAUUGGCGCGCGCAAGUAGACGACGACGUCCCCGACGAAGAGCAGCCCGGCCAGCUCGCCUCACUCUCCUUUGAUUAGAAUUGAAAGAUUGGGAAGAAGCAGACUUGAGCCUGCAGGGAAAGGAUAAGGUGACGAUGCAGUCUCCACUCGUUCGGGGCGACACGCGAAUUGAAUGUAUGAGAAACGUGACGUGGCAGGGACCCCAAGAUACUCCCUCCAUUUAUUUUUAGUCUGCAUAUAAAGUUUGGUCAAAGUCAAGAUUUGUAAAUUUUAACUAACUUUAUAAUAAAAAAAUAUCAACAUUCACAAUAUGAAAUAAUUAUUACCAGAUGCGUGAAGAAAUGUAUUUCCAUACUAUAUAGUUUUGGUAUUGGAGAUGUUCAUAUUUUUUUAUAUAAAUGGGAAGUAGAGGCACUCUUCCAUAUAAUGAAGUUUAUAAUAUAUGUGCUUAUAUUGUACUAUAAUUGUUUGAAUAACUUAGCAUAUGUUCAGAUGUAUGAUAUCUGUAAUUUAAGCGCUUGAAUUUUACAUAUAAAUAUUUAUUAAUAAAUAUGUACCCCUAUAAUAGCUAGGCCGUGCAGUUGCACGGGUAGAUGACUAGUGAUUACAGUCUUGUUUGUGUGCAAGUCAAGCUUAUCUAGUUUACACGUAACAACUCGUAGAACAUGUUUAUGCUUGCUAAUAACUUCUAGAACACUACAACACUUUACAUGUAAAAGGAAUUUCACGAGUCAUGGCCUACUAAAGCAAGUUACAUUACUAGUCUUAUAUCUAUCUUAACAGACCACACAAGACUACAAACUAAGUACCAUGACAGCCAUGCUUAUCUAGUUUAUGCGUAACAAUUUGCAGAAAAUUACAAACUUAGUUUUAGAAAAAUGGGCAAUCCAGAUUAGUGUUUGAGCUGUAAAGUGAAUAAGAUGAGUCAUGUGUGUUAUCACACCUUUUUGGUGGUGGAAUGAUAGUGCAACAACAAGGAACUUUAAUGAACAGUGCAAGAAUACACUUGUAAGUAGUGCCACCAAACAGAACAUACCAAAUGAUGAUUUUGAGAAGCAUCCAAGCACUUUCCACACAAACAAAUGCCAAUUGUGAAAGAGAUCAUUCCAUGGCAGCUAUAAAUAGCCCCGUAGCAUGACGAUCAUCCUUCCUCAUCCAUCAUUCUCAUAAGUAGAACGCAUCAUUUAAGCCAAGCAAGGUGUGGUCAAUACAAAUCCACCAUGAAGACAUUUCUCAUCCUUGCCCUCCUUGCUAUCGUGGCGACCACCGCCACAACUGCAGUUAGAGUUCCAGUGCCACAAUUGCAGCCACAAAAUCCAUCUCAGCAACAGCCACAAGAGCAAGUUCCAUUGGUACAACAACAACAAUUUCUAGGGCAGCAACAACCAUUUCCACCACAACAACCAUAUCCACAGCCGCAACCAUUUCCAUCACAACAACCAUAUCUGCAGCUGCAACCAUUUCCGCAGCCGCAACUACCAUAUUCGCAGCCACAACCAUUUCGACCACAACAACCAUAUCCACAACCGCAACCACAGUAUUCGCAACUACAACAACCAAUUUCACAGCAGCAGCAGCAGCAGCAACAACAACAACAACAACAACAACAACAACAACAACAACAACAACAACAACAACAACAACAACAACAACAACAACAACAACAAGAACAACAAAUCCUUCAACAAAUUUUGCAACAACAACUAAUUCCAUGCAUGGAUGUUGUAUUACAGCAACACAACAUAGCGCAUGGAAGAUCACAAGUUUUGCAACAAAGUACUUACCAGCUGUUGCAAGAAUUGUGUUGUCAGCACCUAUGGCAGAUCCCUGAGCAGUCGCAGUGCCAGGCCAUCCACAAUGUUGUUCAUGCUAUUAUUCUGCAUCAACAACAAAAACAACAACAACAACAACCAUCGAGCCAGGUCUCCUUCCAACAGCCUCAACAACAAUAUCCAUUAGGCCAGGGCUCCUUCCGGCCAUCUCAGCAAAACCCACAGGCCCAGGGCUCUGUCCAGCCUCAACAACUGCCCCAGUUCGAGGAAAUAAGGAACCUAGCGCUACAGACGCUACCUGCAAUGUGCAAUGUCUACAUCCCUCCAUAUUGCACCAUCGUGCCAUUUGGCAUCUUCGGUACUAACUGAGAAGAAAAUAACUCUAGUACUAGAUAUAUGAAACACCGUUUUCUCAGUCCAUGGUUUGGUCAUUGUAGCGGUGAAAAAAUAAUGUGACAUGCACUAUCAUGUAAGAACCCGAACUAUACUAGUUCAAACUUGGGAAUAAAAGACAAACACAGGUCUUGUCUACAUAUUUAUGUUGCAUUUAUCUAAAGAUAACAAAAUGAGUCUAAAAUUUGAAUUAAAUUGAAGUAUUUUCUUGGACUUUAAUUUGCACAUUAAUUAGAAAUUACUAUCCCUCGAUCUGGUAAAUCUUAACAAAUAGAAUUAUCUUGACCGUUAGAUUUAUGUAACAUAUAUAAUGCUCUGGGCCUCCAACGACUGUACGUGACACAUCUGAACGCACAUAUGUUAAAGAAAAUAUAUUUUGUAAAUGGUGGGCCUCUUUAAAAAGAGAACUUACGUACAUACACCAACUAAGAAAAACACAUACAUGUAAAUGGGAAAAGGAUGAGAUUUUCUCACGUACAUGUGUUGAUGCUUAAAAGUGGCACGAUCAUAAAGCAGCAUGCCGGGGCGAAAACCUUGCCGGGGUAAAAUCUUGCUGGUGUGAAAGCUUGCCGGUGUGAAGGCUUGCCGGCGUGGAAACCUUGCCGGCACAGAAAGAUCGCCGGUGCUUGCCGGUGUGAAAUCUUGCCGGGGGAGAAACCUUGUCAGGGAGGAACCCUUGCCGGAGUACAAACCUUGCCGGAGUGAAACCUUGCCGGUGUGAAAGCUUGCCGGGUAGAAACUUUGCCGGUGUGGAAAGCUUACUCGGAUGGAAAACUUGCCGGGUUGGAGGCUGAGAUAGUCAAUCGAACGAGAAGUUGAAGAUGGGCUCAAAAGGUUAUUCAGAUGAUCUCGGAUGGAAAAAUGAUCUACAGGGUUGUCUUCGUCUCGUCGAAACGAUCGAUUUUGAUAUAAAAAUCAUUCAAAUCCGAGUUCGUAUGCAAAAGUUAGAGCAAUCAGAGUGCAGCCCUGUCACGAGGCGAGAUGUGGCACGCCCACCAGACACAUGUCUGACGGGUAGUGUGAGGAAAUAGCCUGUGUUGCGAGACCGAUCUGACCCUCAAGAUGACCUCUGAUCAAAAAACCUUCAACAUGAAAGUUGUUCGUCUCGUCGAAACGGUCAAGAUUGCUUUUGGGCUUGUUUUCAUCCGGAAUCGUUUACCACCGCAAAAAAGACCCGCAAGGUGCAGCCAGUUUUAACCGAACAGUUUUGGAAAGUUUGGAUAAACCAGUCCGAAUUUGACUAAUGUUUUGGACGUGAAUUGAUGUAAUUUUCUUGUAAGGAAAGCCUAGAUAAAUUCUUGGCUUGUACGGGAAGUCCAGCUGCCUCUUAUAUAUGUUGGGGGUGGCGGCCGAUUGAAACAACACAUAAUCGAACAAACACAUAUACUACUUUUUCGUGUUCAUCUACUUUUUAUCUCUCCCUUGUAUCUUUCUUCUCGUUCUUCGCUAGUUCUUCAUGCUGGAGGGCUGCGGAUCCACGAGGCUCUAGGGGCGAGUGAAUCGACCUAGGGCAGCCCAUAGCCGCCGCAAUCCCUGACGGGGUCCCUCCCGGGUGCGCGGGGUUUCGGGUCUGCAAAAGCGCCCGCCGACUGCCUUGCGUAUCACGCUGUCGGUCGGGUCUCCUUCGACGUGAGCUACGGUGCAUCACCCCCGGCGUCGAGGGUAAACGUGACAUGUUCGUGUGCGAACACACUUUUUGGCGACUCCGCUGGGGACGAAGCUCUGAACAGUCUCCAGCCUGUUCUUGCUACGAGGAGAGCGUCACCAAGCGGCUGCAAUCUACAACGGUAACAUGUAUCGUCAAUCUCCUUGCGUAGAUGCAAAUAGCCAUUAUGUUGAUGUUGCUAGAUCUUUCAACGGACAUGUGAUGUCGGCCAGCCCUAAUGAGGAAAGGCCGACUAGUUAUUCCAUUGGAGAAACUUGGAAUUUACAGAAUCGUGACAUGCAACUUAUGAAUCUGAACUUUCGUGCAUCGGCAACAACUUUCAAUAUGCCGGUGAACAACACGAUUUGUUCGAGUGAUCAAUAUAGGACACCUCAUGUACAGGAGGGUAUCUCAAAGUUUUAUCCAUCGGCAGCCGGCUCGCAAUAUGCGGGUUCAUCCCCAAACAUGCCGAUGAAUGGGGGAAUCGGUCAUGCUUUUGUUAGCUAUUUGGCCGGUUAUCCUCAAACAUCAUAUACUACACCUCAUCAGAUUAAUUGUUCAAUGGCGUAUGAAACUAAAAAUAUUCAUAACUCGGCUCACGUUCACGGUCAUGGCCGAGUGAAUGGAGAUACUAUAGGAGCAUAUGUGCCUAAUAUUGCAGGAGAUGAGGUGGCUCUGGCUGCAUUAAAAAUUUUAGCCCAAAAUAAGAAGAUUAGUGCUAUUUUCCUUGAGCAACACGACAAGGGAUUGGUUCCUGAUUAUGAGGCAAUAAGAGCUAGGGUUUUGAAAGAAGACCAAGUGUUGCCGAUUGAUCAAAUUGUCGAGAGAAAAUAUUCAACAACGAUGCACAUGCCUUCACCUAUCAUUGCAGCAUGUUAUACACCCCCUGUACAAGCGCAAAAUUUCGGCAACAUUAAUUCAUUGCCGAAAGAUCCUAAAAGUAUUGGGGGGCAAGCCGAUCCAAGCAGGGUUGAGUUUAAAGAAAAAUAUCUAGCCCAAGUGGACAAGAUCAAGCCAAAGCUCACAGGGAAUAGAGUCAACGAAUUUACUACACCUACCCUUGAGGAAUUACCAGCAGAAUAUCGACAGGCCUACGAAGCACUCAAGAAGAAACGUGGAGAGGGAUAUUUGCAAGAAUACUUCAAGUGCCUUCCUCCAUGUAGCAACCAUGUUGGCCCUUCUACACUGUUGAGGCAAGAUAAAAAAAGAAGCUUUGCAAGCAAACCAGCAAAAAAGGAUUCACUCGGCUAAUACGGUGGAUUCGGUUGAAACCGGAUUGAGCAACGGGAUGUUUAAGGCCGAGUGCGUUGCAUCGUGCCAGCCGAGUGCAUCGUUCCAGACGAGUGCAUCACCAGCUAAAGCCGAGUGCAUCAAGCCAACUAUUGCCUCGUGUACGAAAAUAGAAGAUGCAAGCUUGGCUGAGCAAAGGAACAACAAACGCAACAAAUUGGUUGUGCUCGAUUUUUCUGGAUCUAAGGGAGCUUACAUGCUACCUUAUGAGUUUCGUGCUAAAGAUAUUGAUGAGCAUCAAGAACACAGUAAUGGCUGAACACAGUUCAGUUAACGAUGAACAUCAAGACCAAGAAAAUGCGGCCGAGCAAAGUUCAACUGACAAAGAGCGUCCGAGUGAAAUCCACUCGGGCAAUCCGACUGAAAUAUACUCGGGCAAUUCGAGUGAAAUAUACUCAGGCAAUCCGAGUGAUGAGGCACCAGAUCCAGAAAAAGAGGAAGAGGCAUUGGAGAAUUAUUCAUAAGUGGAGCAAUGUAUUGUUCCAGUGGUGCAACCAUCUUCUCCUUCCAAUGUCUUCACAAAGGUACACCUAGAAGAUAGUUUACUCAAUUUUCAAUUCGGUCAAAAUGAUAUUGUUGAUGUACCUAUUAGUAAGAUUCUAAUUAAUUUUGAAAGACCAAUUGAAAUGAGUAAUCUUUUUGUUAGGAAGGAUCUUGUCACUAAUCAUGAUAGUCAACACAUGGUAUCGUUCAUAGAGGCUAAUAGUGACAACUUAUCAAAACCAAAGUUGUUCUUGUCAUGCCAACUGAACUUUGUAUUCAUAUGGACAACUUUGUUUGUUUCAUGCCCGGCUAACAUUUGGACUCGUAUGAGCCGUAUAUUCUGUAAUUAUUUUAGUUGCAGAAACAUAAAGCCAGGUCCAAAGUCCUUCGAAGCCAAUUCAAAUGCAUCAGGAAAAGAAGAUGAAUCUUUCCCAAUUGAUAAAAUUGGCGAGCAAAAAUAUGGUUUUACAACAAUGCAUAUGCCUUCACCUAAUACUACAUCAUAUUAUACAGCCCCUACACAAUUGCAAAGUUUCGGCAACACCCAUGUGCCAUUGCCGAAAGAGUCUAAAAGCAAUGGGGGACAAUCGUAUCCGAAGUGGGCUGAAAAUGAGAAAAAGAUUAAAGCCAAUUUCGCCACUCGCCGCCAGAAACAAAAAGAAACAGAAUUGGCUCAAGUGAAAGAAGCAUUGCCAAUUGGUAGAAGCAAUGUAAAGAAAGAUGAUUCAGAACAUGAAAGUACUCCGGUUAAAAGAGCCGAAUCAAGAAGUAUAUAUUCUGAAUCCAUCAAAUGCAAAGAGGCAAGCAUUAUUGAGAAAGGGCAUGGCAAGCAUAGCAAAGCGACCAUACUUGAUUUUUCUAAAGUUAAUGGAACCUACUUCCUGCCCUAUGAGUUUCGUGCCAGAGAAUUUUGAUGAACUUCAAGGACAAGAACAAGUAGCCGAACAAAGUUCGGCCGACAAAAAUCUUCAAUGUAAUGAUGCACGGAAUCAAGAAAAAGAUGAUGAAGAAGCGUUGGGGGGCCAUCCAAAGGCGGAGCAAGAUAUUGUUCAAGUCACACCACCAUCGUGCUCUCCCAACAUAUUUGAAGAGGUAUGUUUAGCAAGUAAUUUACUUAUUUUCAGAUUUGGUCAGGACUUUAUUGUUGAUGCAUCUAUUGGAAAAAUCCUCAUAAGUAAUUUUGAAAGACCAAUGAAGAAGGGUAAUUUACUUGCUAGCAAUAAAGUUGUUAUUGAGCAUAUCGGUCAACCCAUUACGCCAUUUAUAAAGACCGAUAGUGACUUAUUAUUACAGCCAAAGCUUUCCCCGUUGCUUUAUCUAAAGUUCAUAUCUAUUUGGGUAGCUUUGCUUAUUUCAUACUUGGCUUGCACUUGGUCUCAAUUGAGACAUGUGUGUUCUAACUAUUUUCGUUUUAGAAAUUUAAAGCCAAGAUUAAAUUCUGUUGAGAAAACCGAUGCUAGUAUAAUAUCUUACCCAAAGACAUCGGAGAUAGAGUGCAAAACACAAUGCAUAGCCGAAUGGUGUGAUGCAAAAUCUGAACCAUUCGUUUGCUUAAUUCCAAAGCCGUUCUCACAGCAAGAUCGGCUAGAAAACAAGAAGUAUACCUUCAAUUCAAGCAUGUGUGUUCAAAUAUUUGAUUUGUUGCUGAAAAAUAAUUACAUUACAAUUCUUGAUCACCAUGUUAAGCCAUCAAUCCAAGGACGAAUGUAUUGUAAGUUGCAUGAUUCGUCCAAGCAUGAUUUUGAGGAUUGCAACAUGUUUCGUCAAAUAGUUAAAUCGGCCAUUGAAAAAGGACGAUUGAAGUUUGUUGAAACACCAAGAGAUGACCAGUCUAUUCCGAUUGGUCCCGAUGGCAAAAAGUUUUUGCAUCGGCUGCUUCGAGCCGAUCCAUUUAAAGAGAAGGUAAAAACUGCAGGUGAUGGGAUCAAGCUUUCAACUAAAGAAGUUGUUGAAGAGCAUAAUGAACAUAAUCUUGAGGGUGAGAAUUCCAUCGAAGCUACAAUGGAGACGCCAAGGACUGGGGGGCAGCAAGCAAAUCCAACGAUCGAUGAAAGCAAACCAAAAGAAAACAAAGGCCGAAAUAAGCGCAAGUGUAAAAUAUCAAAAAUCACCUUCGCUGAACUAUUGGAGAAAUAUCAAAAGAAGAGUGAAGAGAAGAAUGCUUAUCGGCCCAAUCAUGCAAAGAAACCAAAAUCACCCCCAAGGCGCAAAUAUGAGGAUCCGUAUUGGCAAAGUGAGAGUUUCAAUGCAACAUAUUCAUAUCCUUAUUUUGGGCCGCCAAUGACAAUGCCGUGGAUGCCUCCCUAUACUCAUGUAGAUCCAUGUUCAUCAUGGGACAGGUAUGAUACAAGGGCACAUUCUCCAUCUUAUUUUAGACCAUCUCACCAAUAUUAUGCAGCUCCGAGAAGAUCAACAUUUGAACAGUCACAUGUUAAAGAUCGUUUCAAUUAUAAGGAAUCGGUCCGGACACCAUGGAUGAAAAAAGAGGUGGUCAACCAAGUCUACCGCGUGAAAAGAGAUGGUCGUAAGUGUGCUACUUCAGAUUUGAUCUCAAAUAAUAAAGAGCCAAUUAAAGUGUUGACAUUGUCUACAAAAGGCAAUGAGACGAAGCAACCAAUUAUUGAGAGUCAAAGUGCCAAAUCAGAAGAAAAGAAGUUGAGAGUGCACAAGGUCAAAAAGGAAUUGCCAUUGGUCAGAACAGAAUCAUAGCCGAGAUGCCCACUCGGCUUAUCGUAUUGGCAAAAGAGGGAAUUACACAAACUUAGUGCACAAGAACUUGAAGAAAGGAACAUGGCAUGGGUUCCCAAAGGAAGUGCUCAAAAUAAGAAUUAUGUGCAUGCCUCCAUUACAAGAAGUGCGGCAAAAGUGAAGAAGGAAAAGAGUAAAAACUAUGAAGGACCAAGCCGAAGGAUUCAACAUCUUUGGUCUACACAUUAUCCAUAUUCUUCAACUAUGCCAUUAACGCCUAUGCCAUGGAAUUCGUCAUCAGGUAUGAUUGGUAACCCUCAAUGGGCUUAUUUUAAUCCAUGGAUGCAAUAUAAUUUCUUACGUCAUGAAAGGGUAUUACCAAGUCACUAUACAUUUGAUUAGCUACAAGUUUGUUGCUGAUCCAGAGGGCCGAAAUACUUGAUUUGUCAUUUCAUUUGUUUAUUUCGGCUAUAUGUGCUUUGAAUGAAGUUUACAUGGUAAUGGCCGAUGAUAUUUAUCUAUCGUCCUAAGAGUAUGUCAAUUCAUGCCCGGUGUAGUAUUCUAAUAUCAUCCUUAGUUUGAUGGAGAGCGAGACAAGGUACAUGCUCAUGAAAAUUUAUAUGUAUGCCUAUAUUAUGAUUGAAUGGAGUUGAGACAUCAUGACCGAUGUCAUUGAAUAUAUGCUGCAUAGACCAAUUCAUAGCUGCAGAAUUGGUUGGUGGGCUUAUACUUUGUUUGGAUAUGAUUUGGCUUAUGCAUCUUUGAGAUCUAUAAGAGGCCAAAUCAUAGUUGAUUUUGUUACUGAACAUCGGAUUAGUGUCAUGCAUAAUAUUAAUAUUAUCCUUGUCUCUCUAGUACUAUGGAGAUUAUGUUUUGAUGGUUCAAUUCAUAGCAAUGGCCAAAGUGUUGGUGUUGUUUAUAUAUUUCUUUAUGGUACUAUUUUUUGAAGCCUCGUGCCGCUUAGAAUAUUUUUAUGCACGAUUAAUCAAGGCCGAAUAUGCAUUGUUAUUCGGAUUGACUCUUUUACUUGCUGUAGGUGUUAUACAGAUUGAGGCUUUUGGUGAUUCGUUAUGAGUAGUGCAACAAAUAUCCAAGGAUUAUCAAUGUGUUUUGACGAAUCACUUAUAGUUUAUCUUGGGUUUGUCUAGAUGAAGAAUUUACCUUGGGUUGCAUUAAAUUUUUUCAUAUAUUUAGACAUGACAAUUGGAGAGAGUUGGCAUAGCAAGCAUCCGGCUACCAUGUCCAUCAUGUUGUAUUGCGUUUCUCUCAAUAGCCGAUGCUUAGUCUUGUCAACAUAGGUAAGGCCGAACCGAAGUCUAGAACUUCGGACACUAAUGAAAUUUUUAUGCAGGCGAAAGUAAGGAUUGGAGAAAGUUUAUUGUUGAUUGUCUACAAAAUCCUAGCAAAAGGGUGAACAAUAUGGUUCGGAGUAUGACAUUGAGAUACAUAUCUAUGGAACUUUAUCACCGGAUUGUUAAUGAAGCUGAGAAGGUUUCACCCAAGUUUGCAUCAGAAAGUUCACACAAGACAUGGCCGAUAUAUACUUAUCGUCCUAAGAACAUAUAAAUGGCCGAUGGAGUGUUGACAUCGUCCUUAGAACAAACUUGGUACAAGUAUUUUUCGGCAUGCUAGCUUUACCGAAAAACGGGAGGGCAUGUGUUGACGCUCAAAAGUGGCACGAUCAUAAAGCAGCAUGCCGGGGCGAAAACCUUGCCGGGGUAAAAUCUUGCCGGUGUGAAAGCUUGCCGGUGUGAAGGCUUACCGGCGUGGAAAGCUUGCCGGCACAGAAAGAUCGCCGGUGCUUGCCGGUGUGAAAUCUUGCCGAGGGAGAAAUCUUGUCAGGGAGGAACCCUUGCCGGAGUACAAACCUUGCCAGAGUGAAACCUUGCCGGUGUGAAAGCUUGCCGGGUAGAAACAUUGCCGGUGUGGAAACCUUACUCGGAUGGAAAACUUGCCGGGUUGGAGGCUGUGAUAGUCAAUCGAACGAGAAGUUGAAGAUGGGCUCAAAAGGUUAUUUAGAUGAUCUCGGAUGGAAAAAUGAUCUACACGGGUUGUCUUCAUCUCGUCCAAACGAUCGAUUUUGAUAUAAAAAUCGUUCAAAUUUGAGUUUGUAUGCAAAAGUUAGAGCAAUCGGAGUGCAGCCCUGUCACGAGGCGAGAUGUGGCGCCCCCCACCAGACACAUAUCUGACGGGUAGCGCGAGGAAAUAGCCUGUGUUGCGAGACCGAUCUGACCCUCAAGAUGAUCUCUGAUCAAAAAACCUUCAACAUGAAAGUUUUUCGUCUCGUCGAAACAGUCAAGAUUGCUUUUGGGCUUGUUUUCAUCCGGGAUCGUUUACCACCGCAAAAAAGACCCGCAAUGUGCAGCCAGUUUAAACCGAACAGUUUUGGAAAGUUCGGAUAAACCAGUCGGAAUUUGACUAGGGUUUUGGACGUGAAUUGAUGUAAUUUUCUUGUAAGGAAAGCCUAGAUAAAUUCUUUGCUUGUACGGGGAGUCCAGCCGCCUCUUAUAUAUGUUGGGGGUGACGGCCGAUUGAAACAACACACAAUCGAACAAACACAUCUACUACUUUUUCGUGUUCAUCUACUUUUUAUCUCUCCCUUGUAUCUUUCUUCUCGUUUUUCGCAAGUUCUUCAUGCUGGAGGGCUGCGGAUCCACGAGGCUCUAGGGCCGAGCGAAUCGACCUAGGGCAGCCCAUAGCCGCCGCAAUCCCUAACGGGGUCCCUCUCAGGUGCGCGGGAUUUCGGGUCUACAAAAGCGCCCGCCGACUGUCUUGCGUAUCGCGCUGUCGGUCGGGUCUCCUUCGACGUGAGCUGCGGUGCAUCACCCCCGGCGUCAAGGUUACAUGUGACGUGUUCGUGUGCGAACAACGUGCUCCCUGGCUCCACCCCGUUGAAAAAAUAUACAUUUGGAGGCCACUUUGUUUCCUCAUCAAAAAAAACUUACGUUAAAAAGAUUGCAUGCAUCCCAGGGAAAGUAAUCAAGAAGAAGUCGGACUCUUCCUUACAAAAACAAGGAACGUGUUAAGUUAACUUCAAAGAAAAAGGAACAUGUUAAGUUAAAAAAAAGAAGAAACAUGUUAAGUUAGAAAAAAACAAGGAACGUGUUGUCCUAGGAAAGAUAUGUGUCAAAUCUUACAAAAAAAAGAAUACACACACGUACGUUCAUGCACUUGGAAAAUAGAAAAAAAAGGAACAUCACGUAUGUAUACACUUCGGAAACUCAUUACAUGACCAUGUCUGAUAUACUCAUCUAAUGCUUAAUAUUAGUGCCUAAUAAUUUAUAUUUAAAAUUUAAUUUACUGAUCAAAUAUCCCCAAUGUUUAAAUUUUAAUUUGGCACAUUGUUUGGCUAUAGUAUGAACCUAAAUUUCCUCUUAUUAUUAUAUAUCAUGAUAAUAAUCCAAAGGCGACUAAUCUGCGCUGGUGCACCGGGGCAAUCAAUUCGGCCGGACACAGCGCGGCCUUUUGAUUAGAUUGCAUUUAACCGUCUGAUCUGGAAUUGUUUUCUUUCCAAUUAAACGGAUUCAACCAAACAGCAGAGGGGAAAACAAAGCAGCGCCGCCGCCAACACUAGCCAUGGACGAUCGAUGUAGCAAAACCUUGAAGAACCGCCGCCGGUCGCCACCCUCGCCGCUGGUGGCCGCCCUCGCCAUCGGUCACCGCCGGUCGCCGCCCUCGCCGCCUGCGUUUCUCAUCGGCUUCAUGCAUGCAACAACAUGCACUCGUGGUUGCAGGCUUGCAGCUCCGGCUCCGGGGGACAUGGCCGCAUCUCCGGUAACGCCGGCCGCCAACCAUAGCACCUGUCAUUGUGGUCGCGUUGUACCUCACCGUGUGCCCUCCCAAGGCUCUUGCUGGUUCCAACAAAAAACGAUACCUGUUGUAGCAAAAAAGUUUAUCGCUUCCAGCAAAAAAGCUUUCCGCUACAGCCCGCCAUUGUCAUUGUAGCAAAAAUGUUAACCCGAUGUAGCUUUUGUGGUUGCCGACUGCAACAAAAAAUGACAUGGUUGAAGCAAAACACAAAAGAAAAACGCCGGCCGGCCGCUGUGUAUGGUGGUAACAAACCCUAUAGCCGGUGGUAGCGAAAAACUUCAUAGUUUGCAGCAAAAAAAUGUUGUCGCCCGUCGUCGAGGUUGCAUCAUCUUCAUGAAUUAUGUCGCAAAAAAACAUUGUCGCCGGUAGUAGCAAAUGAAGCCGCCCGGUAGUAGCAAAACAAGACACUGGUUCCAGCCAAAAAAAAUCAGCGACAGAACCUUUGGUUGGUUCCAACAAAAAAACUUGUCGGUUGUAACAUCCCUCGCCGCCGGAUGUAGCAUCUCCCGGGGCUGGUUGCAACACUCUAAAAAAAAGUUGUCUAAGAGCGCAUCCAUGGCGACUGCUGCACCGUCAGCAACGAGGGGAAGAGGAGGCAAUGAAAAUCGUUCGAGUCGUAGCUCCACAGGACGCGGCUGCAGCAUGGGGAGUCCAAAAAUCUGUCACAAGCAACAUGCGCCUCGCCAUCCUCCUGCGUAGGAGAGAGAAGAAAAAGGAAUAAGAGGAAGAAGAAAGGAAACGGGAGAAAGAAAAAAGAAACGAUUGGUGGUGGGCUGAGGCAAUUAGUCAAACGAGGGGCACGCGGGGCCGCAGGAUACAGCGCAAUCGAACGAAGCACGCGCGUCCGGCCGAAGACUCGGCCGGACUGCCGGCUGGAAACGUUUCCCUAAUCCAAAGGCUUUGUCUGAAUGACAAGUCGUCUAGGUUACCGGCUAACUAGAAAAAAGAUAAAUAUGCUAGAGAAUUUCAUAAUAAUUAGAAAUAUCUAGCCUUUAAUUAUGUAAAUCAGAAAAUCACAACCGUAGGAUUUACUUUAAAGGUAAAUUUCUCUAAAUUCCCACCAUUGCCAGUAUGUAGAAACAUGUGCUGCUUCAAUUCUCCCAUAAUCACCAAUCAAUCAACAACACAAAACAUACCUCAGUUAAAAAAAACUGAACAAAAAAAAGAAAAAAAGAAGAAAGGACAAGAUACACGCAUGUACACGACAGCCUUGGCUUGAAACACAUCAGUAGAUCAAGUGUCCGCCUCCCUUACACAGAAUAAAUUCUAGGGAAGAAAAUAAUAGUGCAACCUAACCUUAUACGUACUAUUCUAUCCUCACGUCCCAUGAGGUUUACUAGCCUACCGCCGCCGCAUCAUGCCAUCCUCUCCUUUCAGCUCCCAUGCUCUCCAGCAUCCUCCUUGCCGCGCCACUACUCGCCUAGGAAUAUUGCUGCUCAGACCGCGGAGCUUAACCUGCUUCUUCUUCAGCAAAUAUGGAACUGCUUUAGGAUCCUUCUCACAUCAGCACGUAUGGGCCUCAUUAUACUGCAGCUCCUGGACCUCCUACAAUUGGUUGGCUAUGGCCAGUUGAUCGAUGUGCUGAAGUCUAGGUCUGUUUGCUGGCACAUAUGCUUUGGAAAUAGGCCACUAUGUUUGUACUUCAAAAUUGUUUCGGUAUUCUUGAGUGGUACAUCCUUUUAAGUGCCAGUUUUUUAUGUUAAUUCGACAACACUUAACCUAGCCUUUCAUGUUCACGUACUAAAUACAGGAGCAAGUAAAAAAAACAGACCACCUAAUUGCUCUGCAAGUUCUACAUAGGAAAAUUUGUCAUGUUCUACGAUCGCACCAUCCCACCCUUCUCUCUUGGUAUGGGCGCCAAUUGAGGGAUUGAUAAAACUGAAAUGAAGACGUCACAGGGCUGGAAGUACCGCUAGCCUGGUUUGCACUGCAACCUACCCAACGCCAUCAGAAACUAGCAACUGAGGCAGGUGUUGAUCGAUUCUCUCAAAUUGCUCUCAUGUAAGUACUACCCCUUGCAUGUGCGUACAUACCUUUGUUGCAUUCUCAAACAGAUAGAACAUGUAUGAUCGGUGCAUGGCUAUUUUUAGGUAUAGCGACUGCACAACUUCUUCAACUCCAUAUGAUGCUAGUGUAUUGCAUCGAAAGAAUCAACGGAUUGCUAGAGAUCAACUGAGGUAUUCUCAUAUUAUUGGCUCGCUUAUGUAUUUGACGACUGCCACGAGGCCUAACAUCUCGUUUGCUGUUAGCAAGCUGAGUCGGUUUGUGUAAAAACCAGGAGAUGAUCAUUGCCAUGCGCUUGAGAGAGUUAUGCGCUAUUUGAAAGGCACCGCGAGCAAUGGGAUUCACUACACCGGGUAUCCAAGGGUACUGGAGGGUUAUAGUGACUCAAACUGGAUAUCUGAUGCUAAUGAGAUUAAGGCCACAAGUGGUUAUGUUUUUACACUUGGUGGUGGCACUGUUUCUUGGAAGUCCUGCAAACAGACCAUCUUAAUGAGGUCAACUAUGGAAGCGGAACUCACAGCAUUAGAAACUACCACUGUUGAAGCAGAGUGGCUUCGUGAGUUCUUGAUGGACUUACCUAUAGUUGAAAAACCAAUACCCCCUAUCCCUAUGAACUGUGAUAAUCAAACUGUGAUUGUCAAGAUAAACAGUUCUAAGGACAAUAUGAAGUCCUCAAGGCAUGUGAAGAGGAGACUGAAAUCUGUCAGAAAAUUGAGGAACUCCGAAGUUAUUACGUUGGAUUAUAUCAAAACGUCGAAAAAUUUGGCUGAUCCCUUCACAAAGGGUCUAUCACGUAAUGUGAUAGAUAAUGCAUCGAUGGAGAUGGGUCUGAGACCCACCGCAUGAGUUGUCCAUAGUGGUAACCCACUCUAUGUGAUCGGAGAUCCCGUGAAGUAGAAGUGGGAGACAAGUUGUUGGUCAGCUGGGAGGAGAGUAUCCCUAUAUUACCUAUCCCACUCCCUGAAGAUGCAAUACUCUCCUAAUCUGCAUGGCAGGUUGAUACUUACCUUAAUGUGUUCCAAGUGGCUUAUUCGGGUAAGUAGAAAUGUUGUCCUGCAGAACAUCUUCUGAGGAACACACCUAUAUGAAUUUGACUGUUAACAUUGUAGUCUGUGAGAAUUGGGUGUUCUCUAAUAAAUUCAUGAAAAGGCCCUGGAGUAUGACGUAUACGCUCCACCCGCGGGGAAGCCUUGCGGCAGCCUAGUAUCGGUCAAGAAUUUGUGUGAAACUAGUCUCGCAGAAAAUUUGUAGUUCAAGGCAUAGUCCACUAUUUAAGUUGUGAUCUAGUGUAGCAUAAAUCUCUAAGUGGAAGUUCAACUUCAUAGUCUCCACUAAGCACCGGUAUAUAAACAAUGUUUUGGAACUAAAUGAUGAGAUGUUCCAAUGAGUCUUUGUGGGGGAAUUGUUGGAAUUUUGCUAGUACGCCUUUGGCCCAAAGCCCAACUAAAAUUAUGAAAUUUUCUUGGCCCAUUCAUGCAUACAUGUGAGUGGAGUGAGUGAGACUAAAGUAUAGUCCCACCCCGGAAGUUGAGAGAGAGCACCUCUUUAUAAGGUAAGCUCUUCUACCACUUGUAUGAGCAUGAGAAUAGGAGACCUACACACGCGCUCCUCCUUGCUCGCCACGCCACGCCUCGUCACGACGCGCUGCAGGUUGCGGGAUUGAGCGGAGCCGAGGACAGAGCUAUGCACGUUGUCUAUUUUUUGCUACCCGGGAAAAAUUAAUGAGUCAUUAAUUAAUAAUUAAUGGACGCGUUAAUAACUGAACCGUUUCCGAUUCUUUUGGAUCGUGACGACUCGGACAUGGGGUUUACUCCCACGACCUACCCGGCCCGCACUAUAUAGUCAGUCAGACGUCUACCCUAGCCGCCGCCGCUUCGUAUGGUUUCUCACCACCAUUCCAGAUCAUUGCGCCGCAAAGCAAGUCUUCUCCAUACCUCCUUUCGGCGUGCACUGGGAGAAGGAACAGCAGGCCUUCGGAACCCCGCCGCUCGUGAUCCUGUACGGGAGAGGGGCGAUCAGGUUUUUGGGGAGCGCACUCGCGCGACUGCUGGCAGCGACGACUUCGCGAAUGACGACUUCAUCCCGGACCUCGGCAACCUCAUCCUCGACGACAUGGGUGACAACGUCAACGCCGGCGGUGCUGCAGCCGCUGCACCGUAUGUUAUUCUAUCCUUCUUGUUCGAGAUCGUGGUAGAAUUCAGGUUUCUAGUAUGUGCCCUAGAUGUGAUCUGUUCAUCUACUCUGCUAGUUCGCAUGAUUAGUUUAAUCUCUGCUAUUGCUGUCAUGAUCUAUUUCCAAUUUAUUCGGAUUAAAUCUCGUAGUAAUUUGCUCAUUUUUCCAACAAUGCCAUCUGAUAGAUGAUGUAAUUCUCGUCAAGUUUGACGUUGUUGAGCUAAUUUACAAAAAAACCUCAUCAUUAUUGGAUGUCCUUAACAGCUCAAGAACAAGUUGGGGUCGAACUAAUGGAUUUUACACUUUUACAUUAAAGGUUUAGCUAAAGCUAGCAGGUGUUUUUAAACCUGAUUUUUUUCCUCCUAAAUUUCUUUGUAUUUUCUUAUUGACACUAUUUAUACAAUCAUCUGACAAAGAUUUGCUAAAGCUGCUUGUAGAUACGUUGAAACCUGAAAAGCUUCUUUGGUUUUCUCAUAGGUCUUAAUUCUUAUGUAAUACCAAGAUGCAUUGUGGUAGUGUACAUGUGUUAAAUUCGUGUUGUUAUUCACAAUUUGCGACAAAAUUUAGCUCACGCUACAUUUCAAUAUGUUGAAAUGUGAAAGCUCUUUUUCUUCUCCUUUCUACACCUUGCAUCGGAUUGCAUCCCUUUAGUUAUCCAACAUUUUGUACAACAUGUAGAGAUUAGGAAGUUCAUCAUAGUUUGUCUAUUUCGGUGCUAAUAAAUGUAUGAAAUCUGCAUUUCCAAGCUAUUAGGACAAGUAAAAAAUAAUAAUUUUACUAUAGGAUUCAAAAACAGCAGUUCUGAAGUGCACUUUAUUUAUUUGCGAAAGUGACCACAUUUUGUUUCAUUUUUCUAUAGACAAAUCUACUAAUACAUACUCACGAUAAAACUAUAAAAGUUCUAGUCCGCACAUUGGGCGGGCCACCCGGCUGGUUCGUCUAAAGAAAACAAAAUGAGUCUGGAAUUUGAAUUAAAUUGAAGUAUUUUCUUGGACUUUCAAAUUGAGUAUAGUUAAAGUAGUAAGGACUAUCCACAUCCUUGGCUUGCCCCUAAUCAAUUAUUUCCAGAGAAGCAUUCAAUUCAUCAAUCAAUUACAUUGAUUUUAGUGGCUGGUACUUCUCCUGAACAUCAGUAUAUUCACCGUGGCCACUCCAAAUCGGCAAGAAUGAGGUACCAGUGCUCUGGAGCAGUGCAAGCUAAUUGCUUCUCAUGUGAAGGGGUGCGGGCGCGGGAGAGGUAUUUCUGGUGGGCCAAGGGACUAAGAAGCGACCGUGGCAGCGGUACAGACGCCCGCAAAGCCCCAUAGUUUGUUUUUGAUUUACAGGAAAAUUGCACAUCCAUACUGGCCUGGGGAAUAUAGGACCGUAUUGGAUGGAAAACCAUGUCCGGAUGGUUGCGAGCGGUUUGAGGGUUAGCUUUUGUAACACCCGGUUAGUUAUGCUACAGCAAUUCCCUGCUAAUGAUGUCACGUCACCACGAUUACUGUUGUUAACCUCACAAUGAUUGAAUCCCAUUCAAAUUCAAAUUUAAAAUAAAGGCAAACAUCAAAAGUUUUCAAACAUGAAAACUAAAAUCUUUGAGAGGUGACAAAUAAUGCAUAAGUAAUUAUGGUGGAGAAACCACACUUUAAUUAAAUGUUAAAAUACUCUAAAAUGAAAAAAACAGUGGCUUAAACUAUUAUUUAAAUGCUUUUAAAAUAGUAAAAAUCUUCUAACUAAAUUAUUUGGGUACCAAACUUUUGGUGGCAGUGGUAUAUUUAGUAGAACUAAUUUAGAUGCUAAUUAUAUAAUUUACAAAAUUAGAAUAAAUUGAAAAAUAGGAUAAAACGGAAAAGGAAAGACAAAACAAAUAAAAGCAAAAAGGGGGCAACCCCUCGCUGGGCCUCGGCCUAGCUGGCCACUAGGCGAGCUAGGCUGGCCCCGCUGCCUCCCUUAACCCCCACACUCCUCAUCGAACCCAAGCCCGAUCGCCCCACUUCCCCACACCCCCUCGCCAGCCUCCCCACCCCUUGAUCCCAUCUGGAUCGGCGAGUGUAUUGCCCCCAUCGACCCCGUUGCCAUCGCUAGAUCGCCCGCCGACGUCGCCAGGCCUCCUCCCCGCCGCACGUCUUUGGCUCGCCUCUCCUCUCGCUCCUCUUCCCCGGCCCGAUCUUGAUCGUGAACGAGCAAUGAGCUUGAAGCCCCCCUUCACCGGCGCCAUCACCGUGCGCCACCACCACCGCCUGAAGACCUCACCGUCGCUGAACCUUGCGUCGCCUCCUCGUAUCCCUCCCCUACUCACGUCCUCAAGCCAGGCCGAGCCCCUUCUCGGCAACGCUGUGAGACGCCCCCGUUUCCCUCCUCUUUCCACCGCGUUCACCACGCCGCCCGCCAUGCCCCUCGCCGUGCGCAUGCCCACCACCGCACCAGCCCCCGCUCCGCGCACGACCCUACCCGCGCCCGCGACAUGAUCCCCUUUUCCGCCCUAUCUUCCUGCGCUCGCCGCGGUCCCGAUGCUCCCCCGCGCCUUCUUUCAGGGGCGCCGACUGCCCCUGUCCCGCUGCUCGCCGCCGUGCCUCGCCACCGCUCUACUGCUGCGUUACUACUGUGCUGCGGCCGCCGCCUCUUCCUGCUGCUCCGCCAGCGCCGAAGCUCCCAGUUGGCUCCACCACUGCUCACUUUAAACCGCCGGCCUAAAUGGCCUAACCCCGGCUAAUGAACCCCCACUAACCCACUGACACCGGGACCCACAUUCCCUAAUUAACCAUUUAAUAAAUUAAAACUCUUAAAUUAACAUUAGUGUAUGACAUGUGCGUCCCCUGUUAAUUAAUAAUUUUGCUGCUAGUUUUAUUAGUUUCUGUUUUUCUGCAUAUUUCUUUUGUAUUUGAACACGCUUUAUACAGUAAUAUUUAGCGUAUCAUACACAUACAAAUGUAAUCAUAGCAUAUACAUACAAAUAGUCUCAUCAAAUCAUGUCAUCAUCAUAAUCAUCAUCCAUCACAAAGUGGUCUCUCGUCAUCAUCUCGAAAAUAGCGAUACAAGUCUCGAUUACUUGCAACUACAUCGUCAUCCAUCUAAAUAAUGAUAUACGCGAGAAGAGCUAUUACUAUGAGUACGAGCGGAACUAUGCAGUACAUGAGGCUGUAUCCCUCUCUCGCAUUAGCGUGAACCUAAACUAACUACUGGCUGUUGCUCGGAAACCGGAAACCGGUACACCUAGGCUUGACACUCCGGCCACUCGUCGUAUACUCCUGGCGUAGAACUUCUUCUCCAUCGAUGAUCUAUGUGAAGGAAAUAUGCCCUAGAGGCAAUAAUAAAGUUAUUAUUUAUUUCCUUAUAUCAUGAUAAAUCGUGAUGGGAAUGGGCCGGGUCGGCCCGCUGGGUCACUGACUCGGCCCGAAAUCUCGAGGCCAAUGGGCCAGGGAGGUUGGCCUCGAAUCACAAAACGGGUCAGUGGAGCCGGCCCCGUGUGACCCGAUGGACCAGAUGGGUCGACCCAGCGCUGCCCUAGUCCUCCAUCUAUGCCGCCGCCCCCCACGAUCUCUGUAGCCGCUCCCGAUGAUUUCUUCCGCCGCCGGCCAUCUUUGCCGCCCCUGGCAUCCCCCGACCUUCUCUAUCGGCCGCUCCCGACCUGCUGCCGCCGCCGGCUGCCCCUGAACAUCUUUGCUGGCCUGCUGCCGCCGGCGUUCCUCCCGCAUCUCGUUCGUCGUCUUGGUCGCCGUCGAGCUCGCUGACCUGCGGUCCCGUCCACCAUCUACCUCGCCAUUCCGGUCGCCGUCCUCAUCGUCAUCAUCACGCAGGUGAGACUCUUGCCGGCUUCCUCCCUGUCCCAGCGCAGCUGCAAUGACUGGUCUAGUUUAGGUUCUUGGUCUUGCUGGCACUCUCUGCGUUGUCUGCAAUUGUUUCAGUAGUUGGAGCUUGGAAGAAAUAGUCAACACUCAAAAAUAGACUGUUUGAUUGUUCAGCAUGGGACUUGUUUGAUUGUUCUCAAGAAGAAAUAGUGCUUCAGUUGAGCUCCUGUGUAGCUGCAGUUUAGCAUUCAACAACAGUUUUCUUUUUUGUGCAGCAUGCCACUUUCUUUUUUGUGCAGCAGCUUAGCUGCAGUUUAGCCUUUCGGUCCUCUGAUCCGAGGAAAAGUAAUUAGUGUUACUUCCUGUUGUUGGUUACUAAAUAAACCAGAAAUAGUUGUCCUGUGAAACAAUUUUACUCUGUUUUUUUGUUGAAUCGGCAAAUUUUACUCUGCUGGUAGGAUGGAGUAGUGCAUAUGUUGAUGAUGCUCACGAAAAACCUUCCUGGAGUAGUGCAUAUGUCCAACUGUGAGUUUCUUCUAUUCCUCGAAUGGCCGUUUGGUGUGGUGUUCUCCUAAUUUGUUGCCUGACAAGCUAGGUGUUGUGGGCGUGCUGCAUAAGAAGUAACAAUGGUUAGAAGAUGUAGUUAAUGCUUAGUUUUUUAUGUGAUAUAGGGUCAUGUGACUUCUUUUUCUUGGGCUAGCUGCCAGGUUGAGUUUGCGUAUAUGCAUAUCAGUGUAGCUGAUCCAUCGACAAGUCCAGCAUUUUUUAGUGUCAGUUCAGGGGAUGCUUUACUGGCAGCGAUUUCUGUAGUGUUGCUCAAUGGGAUGCUUUGCCGACAGUGAUUAGACCGUAAACUAAACUAUCCGGUUUCUUAUCUGCAUGCAUCUGCUGUUGAUUUUGAAAGUUAAUGCUCUCUAAUGUUCAUAUAUUUCCCUCUGAUUAGAAAAAUGGAAGAGGAGGAAGGGGACCAUGAGGCAUACCAAAGUGGUGGUUCAUCGUUGAUAUCCGGUGCGAUAAUGAGAAGGGCUCAACCACCCCCAGGGGUGUCUCCUUCUUCGAUAGACAUCUGUAGAGCUUAUCAUGGUGAGUAUUGUUAAUCUUUCUUUUUAUAGGGAUGCAAAUUAAUGGUUGCUAAAAUAAAAAAUACUCAUAAUUGUAAUGUUAACACUCGUGUCCUUUGCUCAGCAGGACGUUCGCAAGACACUCGUAUGGUUGAUUUUGAAGAAGAUGAGGCUGAUGAAGAAGAUGUUGACUAUGAAGAAGCAGAGGAAGGAGAAGAAGAUGAGGAUGAUGAAGAAGAAGAAGAAGAUGAUGAUGAUGAAGAAGAAGAAGAAGAGGGAGAUAAUGUGGAUGAAGAGGGAGAGGUUGAGAUCAUUGACAUGGGAUCGUUUUCUGAACCGGGAAGAAAGUUUUUGUCGAAAGUGUGGAAAGAAUAUGAGCCUAUCCGUGUUGAUGGCAUUGUUGUAGCUGCUGAGUGCAAACACUGUGCAAGGAAUAUUUGUGCUGAGCGUAAACAUGGAACAAGUUCAUUGCGCAAACAUUUGAAGAGAUGCAGGGAAAGGAAGAAGGUUCUUAGAGUUUCUGGACAGCUGAGUGCUUCUAUCGUGAGUCCUGAUGGAGUUGCAAUGGGGCUUUGGACCUUUAAUCAGGCAUUAGCACGCCGAGAGCUGAUGAGGAUGAUAGUGUUGCAUGAAUUGGCAUUCUCAUUGGUGGAGUACGAUGGAUUUAGAAGAUUUGUCUCUAGUUUAAAUCCUAGCUUCAAGAUGAUAUGCAGAAAAACUGUGAAGGAGGACUGCAUGAAAGCAUUUAAGGAAGAGAAGAGAAUUUUGCAAAGGAUGUUCCAAAACUCCAAAUCCAAGAUUUCUUUGACUACGGACCUAUGGACAUCAAAUCAGACAGUGGGGUACAUUUGCAUCACAGCUCACUUCAUUGAUGAGGAGUGGAAGCAGCAGAAGAGGAUAGUGAAAUUUGCAGCUAUGGAGACGCCGCACACAGGAGCUGCAAUGUUCAACGUCAUGGUGAAUUUCAUAAGAGAGUGGAACAUUGAAGAUAAUCUCUUUGCUGUGACGCUAGACAAUGCAUCGAACAAUGGUGCAAUGAUGAAGCUAUUGAAGGCACAUCUCCUGCUUAAGAAGAUGUUACCUGGUGGUGGCAAGUUGUUUCACCAACGUUGUGCCGCCCAUGUCAUAAAUCUGAUAUGUCAAGCAGGAUUGAACUUCCUUGGUCCAGUGAUCAACAUGAUACGUGAAACUGUGAAAUAUAUUCGAAGCUCACCAAGUCGAAAGGAAAAAUUUCAAGAAAUUGUUGAGCAACAUGGUGUAUCAUGUAGGAGAACUCCAAUUCUUGAUGUUCCAACUCGUUGGAACUCAACCUACAUGAUGAUUGAUAUAGCAAAAGAGUAUCGUGGAGUGUUUGACUCUUUGGCCAUUCAAGAUAAACAAUAUACCUUCAAGCCAUCUUUUGAGGAUUGGGAAAAUGCUGAAGAUGUUUGCAGGCUACUGAAGGUAUUUUAUGAAGCCACUAAUGUGAUAUCCGGCACAAAAUAUCCAACUGCUAACUUGUAUUUCCAUGAAAUGUGGAAAGUGAAGCUGACCUUAGAGCAACAACAUUAUGAAGAGGAUUCUGAGAUGGGCACAACGGUCAAAUAUAUGAAGAGAAAAUUUAGAAGGUAUUGGAAGAUGACAUGGUUGAGCCUUUGUAUUCCAGUGAUUUUGGACCCACAAUUCAAGUUGAAAUAUGUUGAUUUCCGAUUUGGCCUAGAGUUUGGGAACGAAGUUGCAGCAAUGAUUGCUAAAAUAAAAAAUGUGUUCCAAGGGUUGUUCAAGGAAUACCUCCAAUUGAAUGACAAUGGAUCAGAUCCCAUGUCACAAGGAGGUGAUGAUGACAUGGCUGUAAGUGGUGAAGAUCCUAUGGCUGAUUGGGUCCAACAUGUCACCCUCACUGCUCGAUCAACAAAUUUGGAUUAUACCGAACUUGAUUCGUACUUGUCAAAGGUACCCAUCCGCCGAAGUGAUCAAUUCAAUAUCCUUACAUGGUGGCAGACGAACUCCAGUGAAUACCCAACGCUGAGUCGCAUGGCAGCUGAUAUCUUGGCGGCUCCUUCCUCUGCGGUGGCAUCCGAGUCCGCCUUCAGCACAGGGAAGAGAGUCCUAUCAGAUUUUCGAAGUCGAAUGACCGCAACGACACUUGAAGCUCUUGUUUGUUUACAAGAUUGGAUAAGGGCCAACGGUAAAGCCAUACGACACAAGUUUCUUCUUUGUUUCUUAUUAAUGCUUCAAGUUUACAAGUUUCUUUUUUUUCUGCAGCUAAUACUCAACGUAGCUUGGCUUCAGUUCAUGACAUUAUAAUGGACUUACAAGGUAUGAGAAAUCUUCUGAUGUAUAUAGUGCCAUGUAUAUGAAGUACACUUAGUAUGAAGUCUGCUUUUUAUUUAGGGAUUUCAUAUCUACAGUUUGUUCCAGGGAACUAUUUGCAAGAUGCAACCCAAACAUGUAGAUGAGUAUAUAGAGUGUUUUACACACAGAACUAGUGCUUUUAUUUUUGGUUUCCCCAAGUUGUAGUUGAUCUCUAAUAUAUAUUUCUUUUUUCUCUCAGAUAUGAAUGUGUAGUUUAGAUUCAUUUUUUUAAUCGCCAAACUAUAUUAAAAAUAUGCAUUGCUAACUACAGUAACUUGAUUAGAAUAUGUUGCGGAGUGGAUGACAGGUAGUGUAUAAUGGAUAUUUAGAAGUGUAUUUUCUUGCAAACCUGAUCAUGAAUUGGUUUUCUGGAACACGCCUUUGCUACUAAGAAUAUUCCUCUGUUCAUAAAUAUAUUAUUUAGUUUUUUUGUGGAUAAAUAUACUAUUUAGUUGAUGUGCACAGAAUUACUCUUGUAACAUUUCUUUGCAAAUACAGAUAUCGAGGACUGAUGCUUGUUGGAGCAAUUGAUGUUAAAGCUCAAGCAGAUGGUGAAGAAGAUAUGUCAGCUUUCUCUAUAACCUACUGGAUGUGAAAAGAUUAGCAUGUUGAACUUGUAAUAUUUUGAUCUUGCAUGAGUCUGUUGGAUUGAGGUCAUUAGCUUGACGUUCUUUGAAAUCUGUAAUCUUUUGGUCUUGUUCGAAUCUGUUGGAUUGAGGUCUUUUGCUUGAUGCUCUUUGAAACAUGUAAUCUCAUGAUCUUGCCAUUCUAGAAACAUUUGCUAAAUUCUGGGUCGGCCUCAUGUACCCAAUGGGUCAAUGGGGCCACAAAAUUCUGAUGAAAUGGGCCGGCCCGUGGCCUCACAUUUUGACCUUGGGGCCACGGGGCCGGGGCCGGGGCCAGGGCCGGGUCGGCCCAUUCCCAUUCUGAAUGAUAAAUGUUUAUUAUUCAUGCUAGAAUUGUAUUAACCGGAAACAUAAUACAUGUGUGAAUACAUAGACAAACAGAGUGUCACUAGUAUGCCUCUACUAGACUAGCUCGUUAAUCAAAGAUGGUUAAGUUUCCUAACCAUAAACAAAGAGUCGUUAUUUGAUUAACGAGGUCACAUCAUUAGUUGAAUGAUCUGAUUGACAUGACCCAUUCCAUUAGCUUAGCACCCGAUCGUUUAGUAUGUUGCUAUUGCUUUCUUCAUGUCUUAUACAUGUUCCUAUGACUAUGAGAUUAUGCAACUCCCGUUUGCCGGAGGAACACUUUGUGUGCUACCAAACGUCACAACGUAACUGGGUGAUUAUAAAGGAGCUCUACAGGUGUCUCCAAUGGUAGAUGUUGGGUUGGCGUAUUUCGAGAAUAGGAUUUGACACUCCGAUUGUCGGAGAGGUAUCUCUGGGCCCUCUCGGUAAUGCACAUUACACAAGCCUUGCAAGCAUUGCAACUAAUGAGUUAGUUGCGGGAUGAUGUAUUACAGAACGAGUAAAGAUACUUGCCGGUAACGAGAUUGAACUAGGUAUUGGAUACCGACGAUCGAAUCUCGGGAAAGUAACAUACCGAUGACAAAGGGAACAACGUAUGUUGUUAUGCGGUCUGACCGAUAAAGAUCUUCGUAGAAUAUGCAGGAGCCAAUAUGGGCAUCCAGGUCCCUCUAUUGGUUAUUGACCAGAGACGUGUCCUGGUCAUGUCUACAUUGUUCUCGAACUGUAGGGUCCGCACGCUUAACGUUACGAUGACAGUUAUUAUGAGUUUAUGCAUUUUGAUGUACCGAAGGUAGUUCGGAGUCCCGGAUGUGAUCACGGACAUGACGAGGAGUCUCGAAAUUGUCACACCCUAGCUAGUUUAUGCAUUAGAGUGUGCAUCAUGUUUACCUUCAUCAGAAAUUGAAAUGGGGAGAGCAGAACCCCCAGCACCCCCCCCCUGAAAUCAACGAGGGUUUACUAAAAAUAAAUUCAAUGAACCUGAAAUGCCCUUGAAAUAUGUUCACCCUCUUUGCCUUGGGUUAGAACCCUUGGGAAAAAUGGUGCAUAUAAUUUUAGGUCAACAAAAGGGGCAUUGACUUAAUUCAUAAAUAUUUGAAUUUGGGCAUUUAAAAUACUAUUAUAUAAUUCAAAUGCUCAAAUAAUGUUGGAACUAUUUUUGGGCCACUGAAAUAUUUCAGAAAGUGUCCAUAAAUAUUUUCAGGAUUUUAUAAAAUGAUUUAGUAUCUGAACUAAAUCAAAACAGAAUAACAGAAAUAGAAAAACAAAAAAAAAUAAAGAGGGAAAGACCAUGGGCCACUUACCUGGCCCAGCGCCAGGCCACUAGCGGCCCAGCCCACCAGGCCGAUGCCAGUCGUCCCCUAGCUCCUGCCAGGAGGACGAAGGGCGUGUGCCCGCGGUGCGCCAGCACGCACACGGCCACCGACGGCCACCUCCUGCUUCGGCCGCCUCCCCGACGUCGCUUUGGACGCCACGCAUCCCCCCCUGACCCCUCGCUCACUCUCUUUCAUCCUCAUCCCCUCCUCUGCUCUCUCUCCCGCGCAACCGCCAUGAGCCCGAGAGCGCCGACGAGGACCACCACGGCCACCGCCUACCCCUCGCUUCCCUGACCAGCUUAGAGGCUCCGCCUCGACCCCGUCUUCCUUCUCACCGAACCACGCCCCGCCGGAAGCCCUGCGUCAUCAAAUUCAAGCUCUUCUUCAAGCUUCGGCACCGACGAUCGCCGCCGUCGAUUCGCUUGCUCCAGUGCCUCCCCGAGCUUGCCGAGGCCACCGCUGCAACUGCUGUGAGCUCCUGUGUCGUUUCCCCCUCCCCCCUGGCUCGAUUUCUUCUUCUAACACCGAUGCCCGUCAGAACCGAGAGCUCUUCGCCGCCGGCCAUGCCGCCACCGUGACCACAGCCGUGCAAGCUCACUCCCGAGCACGGCAACGUGCUCCACACCUCACCAAGAGCACGUGGAACCCAUCAGUUUCCCCUCCCGUGCACCACAACGCCGAUCCGCUCAACUCCCGAACUCCGGCCGCCGCGCAAGUUGCCGCCGCCGUCGUUUUAGGCCACUAGGGCUGCUGCCGUGUGCACAGAUAGAUGCGGGCGAGUCCCAGCUCCGCGUAGAUGCCCUCCGCUGGCCAUUUGGUCGCCGGAGGAGGAUUUCCGAGCCCCUCCGCCGUCUCUGGCCUUGCCGGCGACGAGCCGGGGUCAACUCCGGCGUGUUUUGACCCCGGGUCGGCUGGGUUGACUCCCCCCUGACUCACUGACGUGUGGGCCCAGGCGCCUGCCUAAUUACCAUUAGUUAAUUAGAGUUAAUAAAAAUUAGCUAAUUAGUGAGCCACUGACAUGCGGGCCCCGCCCGGCUAACCAAGUUAGUUAGGGUUAACUAACUUAGUUAGUUGAUUGUGUCACUGACCAGUGGACCCCACUGGUCAUGUUUGACCUGGAGGCGCCAGUUGACCUGCUGACAUCAGGGUGAUGUCAUGCUGACGCAAUAACUCUUUUUCUGGAUUUAAUUUUAUAUAGAAAAUUCCAGAAAAUUGCCUAAACUUCAAAAAUUCAUAGAAAUUCAACCAUAACUCCAAAUGAGACAAAUUAUAUAUGAAAAAUUAUCAGAAAAAUUCAAGGAAUCCAUCUGUACCAUUUUCAUGCAUGUUUGAACAAUGCUUGUCCUCUGUUUUGGACAAAACAAAUAAAGGGCAUUUAAAUAAUCAUAUAUGGGGUUGGAAUUUGAAUCUUGUACUCAAACCAACUCCAUUUAAAUCAUAGCUAGUUGCAUAAGCUCAAGACACAUCCAUAUUGCCAUGUCAUAGCAUGCAUCAUAUUGUUGCAUAUCAUCAUGUGUUGAUUGUGCUCGGUUGUGUUCUUCGUGGUAGGUUCUGCCUCCGAGGAUAUUCACGAGUAUCCAACUGAAGGGCAGUAUCCCGUUACCACUCCAUCAGGCAAGCAACCAUUGAUCAUUCCGAUACAACCCAUGUUCUCGCUCCUACUCUUGUUUACUGCAUUAAGACAACACGAUUCAAACUGCCGUGUGCUACGGUAGUUGAACCCUUAUCCUCUGCAUGACCUGUCAUUGCCACAGUAACUAGAUGAAACCCACUAGCAUGUGUAGGAGUUGAUUGAGCCAUGUUUUGUGAUUCCUACCUUGCUAUGCCUGCUAUGCUUAGAGUUGUGUCAGGUCUGGUUCAUCUGGGGAAUGGGCUAGAGUGAAAUGCUUGUGCCAGUAAAUUGUGGGAUGUGUUGAACAUGUUUUGGUAAAGGUAUCGAUGAGAGGCCAUGUAGGAGUACAUGGUGGGUUGUUUCAUUGAAGCCGUCCCUAAGAACUGAGUUCUGUAUGCGUGAAUUAAGAUUCAGCUACUACCACACAUUGGGCCCUGAAAUAUGACCCCGCUCGACUUACCGACCCCUCUCGCCUCAGUCCAGGAGUUGCAACUAGUUUCUGGUGUUUGUAGGAUAUGUGUUGGCGGCCGUGCGUAGCGCUGACCCUAGGGGUGGGCUAUGUUGCGGUAGAUACACCGUGGCACGGUGUACUGAGUCACCCGUUUGGUGUCUCGGGAACCCUGUUCACAUCGUUCGGGGCCGUUGAGGACACCCCGGCCGGAUUUCCUUGCGGAUGGAACCUGAAUAGGCGAUGACCCUGGACUAGAGACUCGUGAGGUUAGUCAGGUCGUGGUCUACACCCACGUCGGUUUUCGCUUGAAGUCUGCCGAGCACAUUUCGUGUGCAGACGCUAAGUGGUGGAAACAUGUGUGACGAAGUACACCCCUGCAGGGUAUAAAACUAUUCGAAUAGCCGUGUCCGCGGUAAAGGACUACUUGGUUGCAUAUACAGUUCAUAGACAAGUUAAUGGAUACUACUAAAAGACUCAAGAUAAGUGUGAGUACCGAGGAUGGCUCCCUCGCAGGAUACGAGGGAGGAUCCACGGUGGAGUAUUGUGAUGGUGAGUAGUGGACUCGUGUGCAAAAACUAUUUUGCUAAAAGAUUCCGUAGGAUAGCUUAGCCAAGAGUCAAAGCUGGUUUGCUGCAUAAACCCCACCACCUUCUUGAGAAUGAGCAUGUACAGUAGGUUCUGAUGUAAGACUUGCUGAGUACCUUUGUACUCAUGUUUGCUUAUUUAUUGUUUUCAGACGACAACACUGCCCCCUCCGAUGGGUUUUACGUAGACCUUGACGUCGACGAGUGACUAGCCACCCAGGUGGUGAUCCAGGCCAUGGAGGGCCCUAUGUAGAUAGACAGGCUUCGAGAAGCCUUCUUUCUUUCUAGAGUCUGUACCCAGACUAGUUGCUUCCGCAUGUGCUUGUAUGACUGUAUGACUUGAGUGUCGGGUCAUGUGACCCCUACCUGUAUGGAUAUGUUAUGUAUGGCUCCCUGGAGCCUUUAAAUAAAGUACCUGAGUUGUAGAGUUUUGUUGUGAUGCCAUGUUGUAUGUACUCAUAUCGAGCAUAUUGUAUGUAUGAUUGAAAUGCUUGGUAUGAGUGGGAUCCGACAAUCUAGUUGUUUGUCCUUCGCAGCCUUUCUUAUGGGGAAAUGUAGUCUAGUGCUCCUCGAGCCAUAGUAGUCCGCUACAGCCCGGUUCAGCGGAGUCCUACUAGCCCAGCACUACUGUUCAGGACACUUGACUAGCCGGCAUGUGUUUCACUUCGGGGAAAUGUCACGCGGUGAUCUCCGGAGUCCUGUCUAGCCUGCUACAGCCCGGGAUCCCCCGGAGUCCUGUUAGCCCAGUGCUACAGCCCGGAAUCACUCGUUGAUGACCGACAUGUUCGUUGUGAUUCAUGUAUGCCUGUCUCCAUAGGUCUGUGCCGCUUUGGGUUCACGACUAGCCAUGUCGGCCCGGGUUCUCGGUCAUAUGGAUGCUAGCGACAUUGUCAUAUACGCGAGCCAAAAGGCGCAAACGGUCCCGGGCCAUGGUAAGGCGACACCCGUGGGAUACCGUGAGUGAGGCCGCAAAGUGAUAUGAGGUGUUACCGGCUAGAUCGAUGUGGCUUAGAAUCGGGGUCCUGACAGCGUUGGCAUCAGAGCCGGACUGCCUAUAGGUUCGUUCAGCCAAACUGGUCGAUGUCGAGUCUAGAAAUGCUUUAGUUAUAUGUAAGGGAAUUGAUUGUGGGAGGGAACGUAAGGUUCUUUUACUCCUUUACCCUAUGCUUCUGAUCUGAGUCAUUCUCUUCUCAUUCAACGUGGGUUAAGGACUAGGCUCUCUUCUUCUAUCAGGUUCACGUGUUACUAAUCCGUAGUAGUUCAUAGGAUUAUUGCUACGAGUUCCAGUCCAGUUUCUACUAUUUUAGUACGUUGCUAUUUGAAUCAGAACCUUGAUAUGAUGCUGUUGAGCGGUAUUGUGAACUGUUGUGGAUGUCUCAAAUCUUUUUCUGAGCAUUUACAACCGCUAUGCUGCCCAAUUUUCCCUAGGAAUUCUGAUGUCUUUGUCUUGUGGUUGUGCUUUCAGAUGGCCAACCAUUCUCAAAAUCAAGUGGUUCGCCUGACUAGGUGCCUCGACGUGCCCGGUCAUACUGCUAUGUUGGUCCGGGUCAUGAUCGAGACAGGAUACCGUUGGUAUCCCGAAUACACUGUUGAAGAGCAGUUCCGCGACUUUAAUCAAAGCCAGUAUUUAUGCACCGUCAGGAUAUUUCCUUCCUAUCCUGGAUCUACCGAGCCCCUUCACUGUUCCUAUGGACUCGGAGUUACCAUUGAGAUGGCUGUGCAGGAUGCUGCCUAUUUCAUGAUGACCAUCUUGCGAGUCCGGACUGGCCUGCUUCGGAACACUGACUUCCGUUACAUGCCAGCUUCACUUCCGGGAGCGCAGGGGUAUCUUCAGGCUAUCUAUGCUGACUCCACUCAGGAGGACUCAUUAACUCGUACCACCGCUGAGAUGCUCGAAGAUAUGGACCGAGAGAAUCGGGCCUUGAGGCUGGAGCUCUUUAAUACCCGUGCUGAUCAUUGGGCCACAUUGACUCGGUUUGCACCCGCGGUGCAAGCGGGAUGUAUGGAUACCAGGGAUCUGUAUCCUGUGAGAGCAGCUCUGCCAGACAUGGUGGAUUGGCGUGAUGUGGGAGGCAUCACCCCACCCCUUGGUCACCGCAGGCCACCGUUUGUGGGUCCAAGACCUUAUCCUAGCCCCUAUGGUCCACAGGCUCCUCAGGACCGUCUGUUUCCGGAUGAUCACGUUGAACUUCCAGGCUAUGGAGGUGACUUCUAUGAGGACUACUACGGAGCUAUCUGAGUUAGUAGUAGUACCACUAGUAUUGUAGUAGUUGUAUCUCCACUGUCCUGUGUGACUUGUGGAAUACGACUUGGUGUGUAAUCGAUUCCGGAGGUGUAGACAAAUAAUGUAUAGGGACUCGGAAUGCCUCCGAUGAGAUGUAACGUCUACCUUCAUAGUUGUACUGUAGCAUGGGCUUGUACUAAACUAUGUAUGACGAGUAUGACCGUUGGUGUAUAUAUGGCAGUUUUAUAUUACCAUGGCAUACGAAUGAGCAUCUCUGCAUUCCGCGUUAUCCUUUACAUUCUGCACUUCCCUGUUAAGUUUGAGCCAUCCUUGUCUAAACCGUUGUCUUGUUUCCUCCUAGGAUGGUCAACACCCGCGGAAACCCUGCUGCCCCGGAGCAGGGGGAAGCCAAUGCAGCUAGAGGUGAAAAUUUGCCUCACCCGCCUUCCCUGGCCGAAGUGAUGCUGGAGGCGGAAAGGAACAAGCGUGAGACCAACCGCCUGCUGGAGCGGAUUGAGCAGAACACUGCACGCCACCCACGAAAUGACUUGGUGUCAAUCAACGACUUUAUCAAGCUGUACCCACCAAAGUUUAACCAUUCCGUCGAGCCCCUCGACGCGGAUGAUUGGCUUCGCAGCAUCACCCACAAGCUACGUUCUGCCAACGUAGCUGAAGCCGACAAGGUUACCUAUGCUGCUUAUCAUCUUGAGGGCCCCGCUAGCCAUUGGUGGGAAAACUACGAAGCUAUGCGCCCGGUCGGCCAAAUCACUACCUGGGCUGAGUUCAGCGAGGCUUUCCGUGAGCAUCACAUUCCGGAAGGUCUCAUGGAUCGCAAGAGGGAGGAGUUCUGUAACUUCACCCAAGGAAGGCUGACUGUGGAUGCAUAUAGCCGAGAAUUUGGGAACCUGGCACGCUAUGCUCCUGAAGAGGUUUCUACUGACGCCAAGAAGCAGGGAAGGUUCCGUAAGGGACUUAGCCCUGAGCUUCGCUGCGAUCUCCGUCCGCACGAGUGCACAUCCUUCCAGAAGCUGGUCAAUAAAGCUAUCAGUGCUGAGACAGGCCAGACUGAUUAUGACGCUUCACGCAAGCACUCUCGUGAUUUUGGGUCUUCAUCCGGCUCUGGAGCUCAGAAGCGCCGGGUGUGGAUUCCAAGCACCGCACUGCCAGCCAGAUUCACCCCGAGGCCAUCCUUUGAGGCGCCUCAUCCCAACCAGCAAUUUGCACCGCCCAAGCCCUAUGGUGGCCCCGCUGCUAAUGUUGCUCCACGCCCCACUAUGGUAACAUGCUUCAUGUGUGGAGAACCGGGUCACUAUAGUCGAGAGUGUCCCCAGAACAACCCCAAUCAAGCUGGAAAGUCCGUUGGCCGUGGUAAGCCCGCGGGAAAGACUUUCUAUGCCAAGCCGGCCACUACUGCACGUGGCCAUGUAAACUACGUCUCAGCCGAAGAGGCUCAUGAGGAUCCCAACGUCGUCCUUGGUACGCUCCUUGUUAACUGCCAUCCGGCAUCUGUUCUUUUCGAUACUGGAGCAUCUCAUUCAUUCAUAUCCGAGAAUUAUGCUCGGUCGCAUAACACGACAUUCUGUGACAUGCCCACUUCCAUGGUAAUUCAAACUCCGGGUUCCAAAUGGCAAACUUCUAGGGUAAGCCAUGGGAACGAAAUUCUUGUCGAUAGGCUUGUUUUCCUUGCAUCUUUAAUAGCUCUCAAGUCCUCCGACAUAAACAUCAUCUUGGGUAUGGACUGGAUGUCGGCUCAUUAUGCCAAGAUCGAUUGUGCCACUAGAACCGUUCAACUUAUUCAUCCCUCAGGCAAGACAGUUAAUGUCUUAACUCGAGUGGCCAAGCGCCAACUUUACUCUCUCAAUGCCAACCCUCUUCCAGACCUUGAGGACGUUCCGGUAGUCCGAGACUUCCCGGAUGUGUUUCCGGAAGAACUGCCAGGUGUUCCACCUGACCGGGAUGUCGAGUUUGUGAUAGACCUUGUUCCAGGAACCGUUCCAAUUGCUAGAAGACCCUACAAGAUGGCACCCUUAGAACUAGCCGAGCUUAAGAACCAACUCGAUGAGUCCUUGAACAAAGGGUUCAUCCGUCCUAGCUCCUCUCCUUGGGCUUGCCCCGUCCUCUUCGUCAAGAAGAAGGAUGGAACGGAUCGAAUGGUUGUGGAUUACCGACCUGUCAAUCUGGUCACCAUCAAGAACAAAUACCCGCUUCCCAGGAUCAACGACCUGUAUGAUCAGCUCACUGGAUCCUCAGUCUUCUCCAAGAUGGAUUUGAGGCUGGGCUACCAUCAAAUCAAAAUCAGAAACGGGGACAUUCCCAAAACGGCCUUUGUUACUCGUUAUGGCCAAUACGGGUACACCGUCAUGUCCUUCGGUUUAACCAAUGCCCCGGCCACUUUCUCCUGGUUAAUGAACUCGGUUUUCAUGGAGUACUUGGACAAAUUCGUUGUAGUAUACCUCGAUGACAUACUCAUCUACUCCAAGAAUGAAGAGGAACAUGCCGAACAUCUAAGGCUGGUAUUGAUGAAACUUCGAGAGCAUCGCCUUUAUGCCAAAUUCUCCAAGUGUGAAUUUUGGUUGUCAGAAGUGACCUAUCUAGGCCAUGUAAUCUCUGGUAAGGGUAUUGCUGUCAAUCCCGAGCGAGUUCAAGCCGUCCUUGAUUGGACUCCACCUGAAACGGUCAAGCAAGUUCGGAGUUUCCUUGGCCUAGCGAGCUAUUGCCGCCGCUUCGUCGAGAAUUUCUCCAAGGUUGCUAAACCUCUAACUGAACUCCUCAAGAAAGAUAAAAAGUUCGAGUGGACUCCGCAGUGCGAGUUCAGUUUUCAGGAAUUGAAAAGACGCCUGACAUCUGCUCCCGUACUGGUACCACCAGAUUUCUCCAAGGACUUUAUUAUCUAUUGCGACGCCUCGCGACAAGGACUAGGUUGCAUACUCAUGCAAGAUCGUCAGGUAAUUGCCUAUGCUUCAUGGCAAUUACACCCACAUGAGGAAAAUUAUCCCACACAUGAUCUAGAGCUUGCAGCUGUAGUCCAUGCACUCAAAACCUCGCGACAUUACCUCCUCGGUAAUCGUUGCGAGAUCUUCACCGAUCACCAAAGCUUGAAAUAUAUCUUCACCCAACCAGAUUUGAAUCUCAGGCAAAGACGUUGGGUCGAGUUGAUCUCGGAUUACGACUUAGGAAUAACUUACACCCCUGGCAAAGCCAAUGUCAUGGCCGAUCCGCUAAGUCGUAAGUCCUACUGUAACAACCUGCUGUUACAACAAAGUCAACCACUUCUCCAUGAGGAAUUUCGCAAGCUUAAUCUUCACAUUGUUCCUCAAGGAUUCUUGUCUACUCUGGUGGCGAAACCUACCCUUAUGGAUCAAAUCAUAGCUGCCCAAAAGCGUGAUAAGGGCAUAUCCCGGAUUAAGGAAAACAUUGCUAGCGGAGUAGCUAAAUGUUUUUCCAUGGAUGAGCAAGGUGCUGUCUUCUUUGAGAACCGCCUGGUGGUUCCCAAGAACCAACAUCUACGCCAGAUGAUCCUUAAGGAAGCUCAUGAAUCCCCUCUCACCAUUCAUCCCAGUAGUACUAAAAUGUAUCAAGACUUACGCCAGAGGUUUUGGUGGACUAGGAUGAAGAGAGAAAUCGCUCAAUACAUUGCUAAUUGCGACGUUUGUCGUCGUGUUAAAGCAGAGCAUCAACGGCCUGCUGGCACCCUUCAACCUUUGGCUAUUCCUGAAUGGAAAUGGGACAAAAUCAGUAUGGAUUUCAUCACUGGGUUUCCCAGGACCAAGAGGGGAAAUAAUGCCAUCUUCGUCGUGAUCGACCGUCUUUCCAAAGUAGCCCAUUUUCUACCUGUUCGUGAGAGUAUCACCGCUAGCCAGCUAGCUGACCUAUACAUCUCCCGAAUAGUGUCUCUUCAUGGUGUCCCAUUGGAAAUUAACUCAGACCGUGGAAGUCUCUUCACCUCUCGAUUUUGGGAAAGUUUCCAAAAUGCUAUGGGAACUCAUCUCUCCUUUAGCACCGCCUUCCAUCCUCAAUCAAGUGGUCAAGUAGAGCGAGUAAAUCAAAUUCUGGAAGAUAUGCUCCGAGCUUCUGUUAUCUCGUUCGGAAUGAGUUGGGAAAAAUGCCUUCCAUUCGCGGAGUUUGCUUAUAACAAUAGCUAUCAAGCUAGUUUGGGCAAGGCUCCCUUCGAAGUUCUCUAUGGACGAAAAUGUCGAACGCCUCUUAACUGGUCAGAAACCGGGGAAAGGCAACUCUUUGGCCCGGAUAUGAUUCAGGAAGCAGAAGAGCAGGUUCGCGUUAUUCGUGAGAAAUUGAAAACGGCCCAAUCUCGCCAAAAGAGUCAAUAUGAUCGUAAGCAUAAGCCAAUGACAUUUGAAAUUGACGAGAAAGCUUAUCUUCGGGUUACCCCGUUAAAGGGAACCCAUCGCUUCGGUAUCAAAGGCAAAUUGGCUCCUCGUUACAUUGGACCCUUUCGCAUUCUUGCCAAACGAGGAGAAGCUGCCUACCAAUUGGAACUACCUCCGCAUCUUUCCAGAGUUCACGACGUCUUCCACGUUUCGCAACUCAGGCGUUGCUUCGCGGAUCCUAUCCGUGGAGUGGACCACGAAACGCUUGAUUUACAAGAUAACCUCUCUUAUCGGGAAUACCCCGUUCGUAUCCUUGAUCAAGCCGAGCGUACCACUCGACGUCAUAAUAUCAAGUUUCUCAAGGUUCAAUGGUCACACCAUUCCGAGGAAGAAGCCACUUGGGAAAGGGAGGAUCGUCUUCGACUCGAGUACCCCGCCUUCUUCCCAGAUGAUCCUAAAUCUCGGGACGAGAUUCUAUUGAGUGGGGGUGAGUUGUCACACCCUAGCUAGUUUAUGCAUUAGAGUGUGCAUCAUGUUUACCUUCAUCAGAAAUUGAAAUGGGGAAAGCAGAACCCCCAGCACCCCCCCUGAAAUCAACUAGGGUUUACUAAAAAUAAAUUCAAUGAACCUGAAAUGCCCUUCAAAUAUGUUCACCCUCUUUGCCUUGGGUUAGAACCCUUGGGAAAAAUGGUGCAUAUAAUUUUAGGUCAACAAAAGGGGCAUUGACUUAAUUCAUAAAUAUUUGAAUUUGGGCAUUUAAAAUACUAUUAUAUAAUUCAAAUGCUCAAAUAAUGUUGGAACUAUUUUUGGGCCACUGAAAUAUUUCAGAAAGUGUCCAUAAAUAUUUUCAGGAUUUUAUAAAAUGAUUUAGUAUUUGAACUAAAUCAAAACAGAAUAACAGAAAUAGAAAAACACAAAAAAAAAUAAAGAGGGAAAGACCAUGGGCCACUUACCUGGCCCAGCGCCAGGCCACCAGCGGCCCAGCCCACCAGGCCGAUGCCAGUCGUCCCCUAGCUCCUGCCAGGAGGACGAAGGGCGUGUGCCCGCGGUGCGCCAGCACGCGCACGGCCACCGACGGCCACCUCCUGCUUCGGCCGCCUCCCCGACGUCGCUUUGGACGCCACGCAUCCCCCCCUGACCCCUCGCUCACUCUCUUCCAUCCUCAUCCCCUCCUCUGCUCUCUCUCCCGCGCAACCGCCAUGAGCCCGAGAGCGCCGACGAGGACCACCACGGCCACCGCCUCCCCCUCGCUUCCCUGACCAGCUUGGAGGCUCCGCCUCGACCCCGUCUUCCUUCUCACCGAACCACGCCCCGCCGGAAGCCCUGCAUCGUCGAAUUCAAGCUCUUCUUCAAGCUUUGGCACCGACGAUCGCCGUCGUCGAUUCGCUUGCUCCAGUGCCUCCCCGAGCUUGCCGAGGCCACCGCUGCAACUGCUGUGAGCUCCUGUGUCAUUUCCCCCUCUCCCCUGGCUCGAUUUCUUCUUCUAACACCGAUGCCCGUCGGAACCGAGAGCUCUUCGCCGCCGGCCAUGCCGCCACCGUGACCACAACCGUGCAAGCUCACUCCCGAGCACGGCAACGUGCUCCACACCUCACCAGGAGCACGUGGAACCCAUCAGUUUCCCCUCCCGUGCACCACAACGCCGAUCCGCUCAACUCCCGAACUCCGGCUGCCGCGCAAGUUGCCGCCGCCGUCGUUUUAGGCCACUAGGGCUGCUGCCGUGUGCACAGAUAGAUGCGAGCGAGUCCCAGCUCCGCGUAGAUGCCCUCCACUGGCCAUUUGGUCGCCGGAGGAGGAUUUCCGAGCCCCUCCGCCGUCUCUGGCCUUGCCGGCGACGAGCCGGGGUCAACUCCGGCGUGUUUUGACCCCGGGUCGGCUGGGUUGACUCCCCCCGGACUCACUGACGUGUGGGCCCAGGCGCCUGCCUAAUUACCGUUAGUUAAUUAGAGUUAAUAAAAAUUAGCUAAUUAGUGAGCCACUGACAUGCGGGCCCCGCCCGGCUAACCAAGUUAGUUAGGGUUAACUAACUUAGUUAGUUGAUUGUGUCACUGACCAGUGGACCCCACUGGUCAGGUUUGACAUGGAGGCGCCAGUUGACCUGCUGACAUCAGGGUGAUGUCAUGCUGACGCAAUAACUCUUUUUCUGGAUUUAAUUUUAUAUAGAAAAUUCCAGAAAAUUGCCUAAACUUCAAAAAUUCAUAGAAAUUCAACCAUAACUCCAAAUGAGACAAAUUAUAUAUGAAAAAUUAUCAGAAAAAUUCAAGGAAUCCAUCUGUACCAUUUUCAUGCAUGUUUGAACAAUGCUUGUCCUCUGUUUUGGACAAAACAAAUAAAGGGCAUUUAAAUAAUCAUAUAUGGGGUUGGAAUUUGAAUCUUGUACUCAAACCAACUCCAUUUAAAUCAUAGCUAGUUGUAUAAGCUCAAGACACAUCCAUAUUGCCAUGUCAUAGCAUGCAUCAUAUUGUUGCAUAUCGUCAUGUGUUGAUUGUGCUCGGUUGUGUUCUUCGUGGUAGGUUCUGCCUCCGAGGAUAUUCACGAGUAUCCAACUGAAGGGCAGUAUCCCGUUACCACUCCAUCAGGCAAGCAAGCAUUGAUCAUUCCGAUACAACCCAUGUUCUCGCUCCUGCUCUUGUUUACUGCAUUAAGACAACACGAUUCAAACUGCCGUGUGCUACGGUAGUUGAACCCUUAUCCUCUGCAUGACCUGUCAUUGCCACAGUAACUAGAUGAAACCCACUAGCAUGUGUAGGAGUUGAUUGAGCCAUGUUUUGUGAUUCCUACCUUGCUAUGCCUGCUAUGCUUAGAGUUGUGUCAGGUCUGGUUCAUCUGGGGAAUGGGCUAGAGUGAAAUGCUUGUGCCAGUAAAUUGUGGGAUGUGUUGAACAUGUUUUGGUAAAGGUAUCGAUGAGAGGCCAUGUAGGAGUACAUGGUGGGUUGUUUCAUUGAAGCCGUCCCUAAGAACUGAGUUCUGUAUGCGUGAAUUAAGAUUCAGCUACUACCACACAUUGGGCCCUGAAAUAUGACCCCGCUCGACUUACCGACCCCUCUCGCCUCAGUCCAGGAGUUGCAACUAGUUUCUGGUGUUUGUAGGAUAUGUGUUGGCGGCCGUGCGUAGCGCUGACCCUAGGGGUGGGCUAUGUUGCGGUAGAUACACUGUGGCACGGUGUACCGAGUCACCCGUUUGGUGUCUCGGGAACCCUGUUCACAUCGUUCGGGGCCGUUGAGGACACCCCGGCCGGAUUUCCUUGCGGAUGGAACCUGAAUAGGCGAUGACCCUGGACUAGAGACUUGUGAGGUUAGUCAGGUCGUGGUCUACACCCACGUCGGUUUUCGCUUGAAGUCUGCCGAGCACAUUUCGUGUGCAGACGCUAAGAGGUGGAAACAUGUGUGACGAAGUACACCCGUGCAGGGUAUAAAACUAUUCGAAUAGCCGUGUCCGCAGUAAAGGACUACUUGGUUGCAUAUACAGUUCAUAGACAAGUUAAUGGAUACUACUAAAAGACUCAAGAUAAGUGUGAGUACCGAGGAUGGCUCCCUCAUGUGACCCCUACCUGUAUGGAUAUGUUAUGUAUGGCUCCCUGGAGCCUUUAAAUAAAGUACCUGAGUUGUAGAGUUUUGUUGUGAUGCCAUGUUGUAUGUACUCAUAUCGAGCAUAUUGUAUGUAUGAUUGAAAUGCUUGGUAUGAGUGGGAUCCGACAAUCUAGUUGUUUGUCCUUCGCAGCCUUUCUUAUGGGGAAAUGUAGUCUAGUGCUCCUCGAGCCAGAGUAGUCCGCUACAGCCCGGUUCACCGGAGUCCUGCUAGCCCAGCACUACUGUUCAGGACACUUGACUGGCCGGCAUGUGUUUCACUUCGUCCCUAUGUCUGUCCCUUCGGGGAAAUUUCACGCGGUGAUCUCCGGAGUCCUGUCUAGCCUGCUACAGCCCGGGAUCCCCCGGAGUCCUGUUAGCCCAGUGCUACAGCCUGGAAUCACUCCUUGAUGACCGACAUGUUCGUUGUGAUUCAUGUAUGCCUGUCUCCAUAGGUCUGUGCCGCUUUGGGUUCACGACUAGCCAUGUCGGCCCGGGUUCUCGGUCAUAUGGAUGCUAGCGACAUUGUCAUAUACGCGAGCCAAAAGGCGCAAACGGUCCCGGGCCAUGGUAAGGCGACACCCGUGGGAUACCGUGCGUGAGGCCGCAAAUUGAUAUGAGGUGUUACCGGCUAGAUCGAUGUGGCUUAGAAUCGGGGUCCUGACAGAAAUGGUCGAGACAUAAAGAUUGAUAUAUUGGAAGCCUAUAUUUGGAUAUCGGAAGUGUUCCGGGUAAAAUCGAGAUUUUGCCAGAUUACCGGGAGGUUACCAGAACCCCCCGGGAGCCAUAUGGGCCUUAUUGGGCUUUAGUGGAAAGGUGAAAAGGGCUGCCAUGGUGGGCUGCACGCCUCCCCCCUCCCCUAGUCCUAUUAGGACUAGGAGAGGUGGCCGGCCACCUCUCUCUCUCUUUCCCCCUUGGGAGUCCUAUUUGGAAUAGGAUUGGGGGGGAGUCCUACUCACGGUAGGAGUAGGACUCCUCCUGCACCCUCCUCUUUGCCGGCCAGCCCCUCCCCCUUGGAUCCUUUAUAUACAGGGGCAGGGGGCACCUCUAGACACACAAGUUGAUCAUUGAGAUCGUUCCUUCGCCGUGUGCGGUGCCCCCUGCCACCAUAUUCCACCUCGAUCAUAUCGUUGUAGAGCUUAGGCGAAGCCCUGUGUCGGUAGAACAUCAAGAUCGUCACCAUGCCGUCGUGCUGAUGGAACUCCUCCACGAAGCUUUGCUGGAUCGGAGCCCGGGGAUCGUGAUCGAGCUGUACGUGUGCUAAGAACUCGGAGGUGCCGGAGUAACGGUGCUUGGAUCGGUCGGAUCGGGAAGAAGACGUACGACUACUUCCUCUACGUUGUGUCAACGCUUCCGUUGCGAUCUACAAGGGUACGUAGAUUAGACUCUCCCCCUCGUUGCUAUGCAUCACCAUGAUCUUGCGUGUGCGUAGGAAAAUUUUGAAAUUACUACGUUCCCCAACACUAUGCACCUGCAUCGUCACAUGAGUCGAUGAUAUGCAACAUAUAUAGUUGAGCAUCAGAAAGAGAUAGACUUGGCAAAAAUAGAAGCAACAUAUCAUAAGCAUAAAUAACAAAGUUCAUCGUACCCAAAAUGCCCUAACUAGAGUGAUCUUCGGUAGUCAAGGAGGAAGGUUUAAUUACAUCACAAAUAAUGUUUCGUCGUGCAUAACUCAAAGUUCCGUCAUACAGAAGGUAUGAACUAAACGGACACAUUGUCAUAUUUCGAAAAUCACUCCAACAUGGCGUGCCAUCCAUCCAAGUCAAGGAGAUAGUGCCCGAGCUUAGUGAAAGGCUUCAGGUCGAGACGCUGAGCGGCUACGCGUGUUCGGACUCUUCCCAUGACAUUUGUCCUUCUUCAUAGAACAUCCCUGUUUUUUCGACGACCUCCAUCAUGAUGAUUUGGGCAAGUUCGCACUGGAAGUGAUAUAACUCAUCUUGAAGUCGAUGAUCCUCGAUAUCUUCUAAGUUCUUUGCCCAUUGCAGAAUAUGGGCAUGGCUGAAUUUAGGUGACAUGCAAAGGUUCUGGUGAUCCUGUCUGUACUCCAUCAUGUGGUGUAGGACAUAGAACCCAUCAUCAAGAGAAUCACUCGGUUGCUGGAUGCAGCUGAAGUCGGUCUUAUGGGCCUGCCGUCCCUUUUCUUCUUGUCCUUGACCUCUCCACCCCGUGCAUCGUAGUAAAACAUAGCACUAUCGAGAACAAACUUGAUGUGGGUGUAAUCCUUUUUGUUAAUGUUCUUCGACGAGUCCACAAUAUCGGGGGUAGAGGAUGAUGAGGACGGCGCGCCUGCCGUUGCGCAAAAUAAGUACACCUCAAAUGAAUUAAACUCCAUCGUUCAAAUGAAUGAUUGAAAUCGAAGGAAGGAUAUCUGCGCGGAUGACUUACACGGGAUGAUAAGGCACGAGAAUCGCCUCCUUGUCCUUAUUGGCAAGCAUGAAAUUGACGAUGUAUUCCUCGUGUAUUCAUGGUGCUUUGCGCGGACUCCCAAGACGCCCUCGUGCAUGAAGUACGGGUCAGCGACAUAGAUAUGAGGUAUCUGCUCAACCCCGAUGAGGUAGUUCAUGUGCAAGGCAUAAAGGCGGACAAACAUAAAAUCCAGCUUCUUUAAGUGAAACAUGUUGAAGAUGUAAUCAGAUCGAAGGAAAAACUUCUUCGAGGGGAAUGUGUCGACGUACGACAAUUGCCCGGCACGUUAACCACGUAGAGAGGGUAUCCUGGAUUUUUCGAGGCGAUGAGGCCUUUCUCUAUCCGCAACACGUCGUCAUGAAGUCUCCUUAGAUCGCCGGAUCUGGCCCCUAGCGCUGCUUUCGGUAGGAUUGGUUCACCAGGAUACGCCAUUUUGCCGCUCCGGGGACAUCUAUACGGUCUUGAACCCGAGGCUGCUGAGGCGGCUGGAUCAUAGAAGCAGCUUUGUUGGCUUUCCUCAGUGUAUUCCUAGGCUUCUUUGCUACAGGAAGGUCAUCUAUGAUAUGUUCAGCCUCCAGAGGCGGCAAUUCAGGCACCGACUCAUGACGCUCAAACCCUGAGUAGGCGCCAGUAUUGAGAUACUGUUGAGUGCCAUUGUUGUCCUCAUCUAUGGCGGUGUCACCAGCGACAAAUGGAGCCUCUUCCUCACCCCGUUCGCUAUCACCCAGCACGACAGCCGGCGCUAAUUGGGUAGGUGGGGUGUUGAUGUUCAUACCUAACUGCGUGCUCGUGUGUGUGCUCCCGGCCGUCUCCAAACAAAGUAGACUCUUUGGCCACAACAGGACCCACCCAUUGCAAUCACCAAUCCCCUGCGGGAUCUCGUCGUCAUUCCCCCUAGUACCGGAGGAGCCAAAUUCUCCUGGCCUGGUUUGACACUGGCCACGGAAACUUUGUAGACGUCCGAGGGGAUCGGUCGGCCGUGGAACAAUGGUUCCUUAGGCUUCAUUAUCGUCACCUUCCCCACGUCCACCUCCUGGUAGCGGAUGUUGUACAAUAUGGUGCACGGGGUUACAUUGGCCUGCAAAGACAUUUCUGCGAUGUGAGAUAUCCGACAGGCAACAAAAAAUGGGAGAUUAUACAUUUAUUGAAGAGGGCUGGUGUGACAGAUAUAGUGAGGGCGUCGAGCUCAUCCAAAGAUGAAGCACCGCUGAGCACGUCCGGUGUCGGAGCCGGUGCGGGAGCAGGUGCAGGUGCUGGUGCAACGCUAGUCGAGCUGCUCCCGAAGAAGUCAGCAAGGGGAAAGUCCGCUGCAUUUUUUUUCUGGAUUUUGCGUGCUCGAAUUGAAAACGGCCGAAACCAAGACAGUAGACAUAUCUGCAACCACCUGUUUUGCGGCAGCUAUCGCUGUUGCGACUGUCUCAGAUGAUUUCUUCUCAAUCGGAAUCUAAACCUUCUGGCUGAUGUUUUCUUCAGUUAACCUCCGUCUUUCCUUUCGCUCCUCCGUGGUCUCACGGUAGUACUUCUUCCACGUGGCGCCGUCUACGACACCGUCCACGCGUCCAUACGACGGCCGAUUCUCCACCAGGAGUCCUUUCAAUAUGUUCAAUACCCGGUUGAAUGGAGUCUACCACUUGGGCCUCGCCAACGCCUCAGACGGCGAGUCACUUUCGGCUGCAAUCUUGUGCUGCUCUCUCUUCAAAAGGAACAAGGAUCGUUUACAAAUAUGACUAAACGUGCAGUCGAAUUGAUCAGAAACUAAAAUUACCAGCAGUCUCGUGAACUCCGUCGUGAUCGGGUCCGUCUUAAAAACCUUCUUGACUGAGUCCCAAUGGUGCCGUGCCCCGAGGACGUCACGCUCCUGCGGGACGGUGAAGUCCGCCAAGGGGUCUGGGAUGCCCAGACGUUCGCGUUCCGCGUCCUCCUUGGCCCAUAUGGACCUCUUCCCGCCGUAACCACGGCUUCCGAGGUGGUGGCGCCCCAUGUUCCUUUGUUGAAGCCCUUUCAUGUACUUCGACUUUUUUUUGGCAGCUUCGGCCUCGCAAGCCGCCUUGAAUUUUUCAAAGUGCUCUCCCGUGAUUGUCGGAUUAUCCUUUACAAUCUCGGAGUAUGGUUCCUUUUUGUCGACAAUCCGAUGUUUCAACCUUGUUUUCCAGGUGGCCAACGUGUCGCUAAACUUGGUCAUGGCGUGUUUGUUUAUCUUCUUCAUUGCCGGGUCCUUAUUUGGAUAUUUAUAAUCCUUUUCAUUCCGGCCCGGGAACAACAAUAUCUGGUGCAGCUUCUUUAGGAGGGAGGACCUCAUAUUAUCUAUCUUCUGUAGUUUCCCAUGGUUGAUCGUGGCAGUUAUCCGUACGAUGCAGCCUAUUUGAUUGCCGUAGCACGAUCGCGCUUCCUUGGGCGCUAUUGUCUGAAAAAUACGGUCGUCCAUCUCCGUGACCACCAGUCUAGUUGUCAUGAGCUGGUUUGGGCGCCGUGGCUUCUUAGCUUUCGGUUCUAGAUCAGCUCCGCUAGUCUCGGCGCCGGUCUCAGUCUCAUCGCCGGUCUGCAUGUCGGUAUCAGUCCCCGAUGCGACAGGUCGGCCCAGCAACAACAUUCGUUGAUCGUCGGCAAGGCUCAAAAAUUCAUCUGCCGCCAGGUAGACGUGUCGCAAUCACCAGAACCCUAUCCUUCAUCAUUGCUAGCCAUGUUUCCUACGAUUAUAUCUAGUCAAUUAAUUCUAGACCUAAUAAAAUGAAUAAUGACAUAAAACAGGCCAAUGUUUUGCAGGAUUACAACUCAACCCAUUGCAGAUUAGAAAACAAUCCCGUGUGAAUGCACAGGCUGACGACUAGUAUAUAUAAAGCUUAAUGGUGCCUAAGAAAGCUCGCACAAUUUUACAGUGGCUAUGGAAAUGUGUUGCCAAACUUUGACAUAAGAUUUUCGUUUGGCAUCCAGAGUUGCAAAACGCUUGUGUUGUCCUUAAUCCAUGGCCACUCUAAUUUUUCCGGCUGGGCCUUCCCUGUGGUAUCGCGGCAAGGCUUGCGUGUGUAUAUGUUUCCUUUAACUACCACUAGCACAUAUGCCCGUGCGUGCGUUGCAACGGGAGAGAUAAUGGCGUAUCCACCAAUAUAUCUAACAGCAUGACCCAACAAUAUCCGAAUGAUGUCACCCGAUGACGGCAGGAAGGCACGCACAGAGGUCUAGUAAAAACUCAUAUCAAUUGUAAGGGCAUGGUUAAUUCGCGUGAAUUCAGGGGUGUGAGAUUAGUUAGUGUUGGUCCCACAAUUGAAUUCGGGGGGUGAUUAGUUAGUGUGGGCCCACCCUCGAAUUCACGGGGGGAGACAAAAUAAUUAGGGUGAGGAGAGAUUUACGGGGCUUGGUCCCCAGAUGCGUUGUGGCAGUCAUUAUUCGAGCAUUGCAAUGCUCGCACGUGACGAGCUCUUUUUCCAAUUGUAUAUUAAGAAGCAUGCUACAGAUACAAUGUUUUUGAUACGUUUUUUGUACAAUGAUCCUGAUCUUAAAGGGCCACCUAAUUUUUAUAUCUUAAAGGCAUUAUUUGUAAGUUGUCGUGAAAAAAAUCUCGCUAAAAGGGUUGUGUUAGACCAUCUUCAGUACAUUAGAAAUAACGAAUUAUAAUUCCUUGGCAUUUGAAGAAACAAUCGCUACUUAUUUACACAUACAAUUCUUUUGGUACGAUUUUGAAAUCUUGAAGGCAUUAUUUGUAAGUUGAAGCAAUUUUGAAAUCUCACUAAAAGGUCUGUUAGACCCUCUAGAGCUUUAGAAAUAACUAAUUAUAAUUUUGCAAAAAAAAGAAAUAACUAAUUAUAAUUCCUUAAGCAUCUGACCGAAACGACCCCGAAUUAUUGUCUGGGUAGUAAUUCCUUUGCAACAUUAUUCUCUCCUUUUUUGAAGGAGCUCUUGCCUGGGUAGUAAUUCCUAUUUGCAAGGUUAUUCUCUCCUUCAUUUUUACAGGAGCUCUCCUUCCUUAUACUAAUUGGUCAUUAUCCUCUCCUUCCUUUUUCUUUUUGCCAAACUCUCUUUCCAUACUUAUGCCGCUAACCACGCCACUCUUUUUCCUUAUUUAUGCCCUUUGAUCACGCCACACAUCUCAUGAAAUCUAAGCCAUAUCACCCAUCUUUUUUCCUUAUUCUCAAAGGCGCUUUCCUCACAAACAGUAGUUCUCUAGGAUGCUUAACGAUUUUGAAACAGAAACAUAUAUAAAUCGGUAGAACGGGUUGUCAAGCAGCGAGGUGGUACUAGUUUAUAAAGAAACAAAUUAACCUUUUCUUUUUGUGUAAUGAUGCCUUGGUUCGGCUGGUUGCUGCCUUUGCCCUUGAUGUGCAGCGUUGGGAAAAGGAUGGGCGAAGUGGACGAACCAAAAACGGACAAAAUUACGGUAGUAAGAAGCGAUAGCCCAUUUAUUAGUAGGUAUAGAUAUAGAUGUCGAGGAUGAGGAUUUACUGCACACAAGUGCGGGGGCACUCAGGUCCUGGUGCCGGCCUUUUAUUUUGGCUUCCGAUUUUCAAACUUCUAUAUCUUUUAAACGAAAAGUUCAAUUUAAGUUACGUUUUCAUAUUCGUGCUUCUCGCGGCCAGCGCUUUCAAAUAAGAUCCAUUUUGCAUACAUUUUGGCUGCUUUUGGAAACAUUGCUAAGUUUCAUUGUUUGAAACUUAGUACGAGCGACCGAUAAAAUUUAAUUAUUUUGUGUCUACGACCAACAGGAGAAAUUGCUUAAAAUUACAUCUUUGAAACUGGUCAUUUUUUUACUGUGUCCUACUUCACGAAUCACGAGGCAAAUCAAGUAGGCGGCAUGCCCUGGCCGGUGAGUGCCAUUGCACUUACUUGCCCCAGCGAUUUUCCGCGUGCAUUGUAGAAUUCUUUCUCCGAGUCCUGUGAAUUAAAGAUGGUGCAGACAAAAGUAUAUCCUAUAUGCGUACAUGUGCAUGAUCAGAACAUGUUUUUACGUGCGUCUACUAUAAAUCAUGACCAUUUUUAACACAAAUCAUGACCAUUCAUGAUUAGUGAAUCAUACUGUCUUAACUUAUGUGAAAUCAUGUGGAGUAAUAUAAUAUAAUACAAUAGAUAGACAGAUCCAUGUUGUAUUAUUUUUUGUUUACAAAAAAAUCUGUAAUUACACAUUUUGAUUUAUGCAUUUGUUUACAAAAAAACAGUAACAUUUCAUGGUGGAAAGUUUGUAUUGUUUCAUACUGAACACCAAUGUUUUCCUGUAAAAGAAAAUAAUGCCUACGCAUAUGCUUUUAUAUUAUUAUUAUUCUUUCAAACUUAUUCAUAUAGUAUUUUUGAUUGUGCAACCAUAAUUUUUAUUAUCUCUCUCGUUCCACUACAUGCUCUUACUCAAUGAUUUUCUUUAUAAUGGGUGUUUUUAUUAACUCAAAAUAUAGCAUCAAGCGGAUACAGAACAUACUGAGCCACACCCGGUCUCUGCAUAACUAAGAUGCACACAGCCAAAAGCGGAAGUCUGACAAAAAUAAGAUAAGAAAAUCGACAUAUCGACAACAGUGAGUCAUAUAGUUCCGACACUAUGCCUCUGUCGAAGGAGGGGGUGGAGCGAUCUAGAGAUUAUGCUGCCUUCCAUGUUGAGUAAACACCUCCCUGGCCACUUGUUCCAACUGCAUAGACGCCGCCACGAAUAACGGUUGGUACUCUGUUCGGUGUAGCAUACACCAUGUAGGAAGUGAGUGCUCACUCCUAGUUACUGAAUUAUGUACACACUAGUAGAAAAAGGCCCAUUUGUCCCGGUUCGUAAGGCCCAUUUGUCCCAGUUGGGGAACCGGGACUAAAGGGUCGGUACUAAAGCCCUACACCUUUAGUCCCGGUUCUUACACCAACCGAGACAGAUGGGGCUCCACGUGGCCGUUGCGGCUUACCGUGGCAGGUGGGCCUUUUGUCCCGGUUGGUAGCACCAACCGGGACCAAUAAGCUACCACGCGUCAGCAUUUGAGGGGCUANNNNNNNNNNNNNNNNNNNNNNNNNNNNNNNNNNNNNNNNNNNNNNNNNNNNNNNNNNNNNNNNNNNNNNNNNNNNNNNNNNNNNNNNNNNNNNNNNNNNNNNNNNNNNNNNNNNNNNNNNNNNNNNNNNNNNNNNNNNNNNNNNNNNNNNNNNNNNNNNNNNNNNNNNNNNNNNNNNNNNNNNNNNNNNNNNNNNNNNNNNNNNNNNNNNNNNNNNNNNNNNNNNNNNNNNNNNNNNNNNNNNNNNNNNNNNNNNNNNNNNNNNNNNNNNNNNNNNNNNNNNNNNNNNNNNNNNNNNNNNNNNNNNNNNNNNNNNNNNNNNNNNNNNNNNNNNNNNNNNNNNNNNNNNNNNNNNNGGUUAAUUUUGGAGGGUUUCAUAUAUUGUGUUAGGUAGCUAAUUAAUUAAUACAGAGAAGUGUCAUCUCUUAUCUCCGUGCUUGGUCGACGCUACGUACUAUACGUACAGAGAGGCCCUCGACACGCUAGCCAGUAAGCAAAUGAAGGAAACCAUUAAGUACAGAAGUUCGUCAUGAACAUAUGCAUACAAACUAAGUGAUAUCGACCUCUCCUUCUCUGAGAGAUAGGUCGAACAACAAGUUUCCGUAUAUCUAUCCGGCGCUACUAGCUACAUAUAUACAAUAUUAAGAUCUCUUACAAUAUAAUCCCCUAAUUAUAUAUGAACUCAGCUUUCAGAUGGUAUUCUCCGGCUUUAUUGAUGACGUGGUCAAGAAAGAAUCCCUCCAAUUCCUCUUGAAUUGCUUUGAUGCGAUCUUCUGGUAGGAGUUCAUCCCGCAUCUGCCACAUCUAAUUUGAAGAAGGGGGUCAAUCACUAGUAGAAUAACAGCCAUUUGUCCUGGUUCGUAAGGCUCAUUCGUCCUGGUUGGGGAACCGAGACUAAAGGGUCGUUACUAAAGCCCUACACCUUUAGUCCCGGUUCUUACACCAACUGGGACAGAUGGGCCUCCACGUGGCCGCUGCGGCGAGCCCAGGCAGGAGGUCCUUUGGUCCCGGUUAGUGGCACUGAUACUUCUCCAACGUAUCUAUAAUUUUUGAUUGCUCCAUGCUAUUAUGUUAUCUAUUUUGGAUGUUAAUGGGCUUUAUUUUACACCUUUAUAUCAUUUUUGGGACUAACCUACUAAUCGGAGGCCCAGCCCAAAUUGUUGUUUUUUUGCCUAUUUUAGGUUUUCGAAGAAAAGGAAUAUCAAACGAAGUCCAAACGGAAUGAAACCUUCGGGAACGUGAUUUUCUCAACGAACAUGAUCCAGGAGACUUGAAGUGUGCGCCAAGAAAGAAGGGAGGAAGGCAAGAGGCAGGGGGCACGCCUACCCCCCUUGGGCGUGCCCUCCACCCUCGUGGGCCCUCCGCUGCUCCAUCGACGUACUUCUUCCUCCUAUAUAUAUCCACGUACCCCUCGAACAUCCAGGAGCACCACGAAAACCUAAUUCCACCGCCGCAACCUUCUGUACCCGAGAGAUCCCAUCUUGGGGCCUUUUCCGGAGGUCCACCGGAGGGGGCAUCGAUCACGGAGGUCCUCUACAUCAACUCCAUGGCCUAUCCAGUGAUGUGUGAGUAGUUCACUUCAGACCUACGGGUCCAUAGUUAUUAGCUAGAUGGCUUCUUCUCUCUCUUUGGAUCUCGAUACAAAGUUCUUUUCGAUUUUCUUGGAGAUCUAUUUGAUGUAACCUUAUUUUGCGGUGUGUUUGUCGAGAUCCGAUGAAUUAUGGGUUUAUGACCCAGAUUAUCUAUGAACAAUAUUUGAUUCUCCUCUAAAUUCUUUUAUGUAUGAUUGGUUUAUCUUUGCAAGUCUCUUCGAAUUAUCAGUUUGUUUUGGCCUACUAGAUUGAUCUUUCUUGCAAUGGGAGAAGUGCUUAGCUUUGGGUUCAAUCUUGCGGUGUUUGAUCCUAGUGACAGAAAGGGAACCGAUACGUAUUGUAUUGUUGCCAUCGAGGAUAAAAAGAUGGGGUUUAUAUCAUAUCGCAUGAGUUUAUCCCUCUACAUCAUGUCAUCUUCCUUAAAGCAUUACUCUGUUCUCUUGAACUUAAUACUCUAGAUGUGUGCUGGAUUGCGGUCGAUGUGUGGAGUAAUAGUAGUAGAUGCAGAAUCGUUUCGGUCUACUUGUCUCGGACGUGAUGCCUAUAUACAUGAUCAUACCUAGAUAUUCUCAUAACUAUGCUCAAUUCUGUACAAUAUGGUGCACGCGGUUACAUCGGCCUGCAAAGACAUUUCUGCGAUGUGAGACAUCCGAAAAGCAACGAAAACGGGAGAUUAUACAUUUAUUGAAGAGGGCCGGAGUGACAGAUACCGUGAGGGUCUCGAGCUCAGCCAAAGACAAAGGACAGAUGAGCACGGCCUAUGUCGGAGCCAGUGCGGGAGCCGGUGCGGGAGCAGGUGCAGGUGCAGGUGCUGGUGCAAUGCUAGUCGAGCUGCUCCUAAAGAAGUCAACAAUGGGAAAGUCCGCUACAUUUUUUCUGGAUUUUGCGUGCUCCAAUUGAAUACAGCUGGAACCAAGACAGUAGACAUAUCUGUUGGAAAUAUGCCCGAGAGCCAAUAAUAAAUUGGUUAUUAUUAUAUUUCCUUGUUCAUGAUAAUCGUUUAUUAUCCAUGCUAGAAUUGUAUUGAUAGGAAACUCAGAUACAUGUGUGGAUACAUAGACAACACCAUGUCCCUAGUAAGCCUCUAGUUGACUAGCUCGUUGAUCAAUAGAUGCUUACGGUUUCCUGACCAUGGACAUUGGAUGUCGUUGAUAACGGGAUCACAUCAUUAGGAGAAUGAUGUGAUGGACAAGACCCAAUCCAUAUCUAGCACAAGAUCGUGUAGUUCGUAUGCUAAAGCUUUUCUAAUGUCAAGUAUCAUUUCCUUAGACCAUGAGAUUGUGCAACUCCCGGAUACAGUAGGAGUGCUUUGGGUGUGCCAAACAUCACAACGUAACUGGGUGGCUAUAAAGGUGCACUACGGGUAUCUCUAAAAGUGUCUGUUGGGUUGGCACGAAUCGAGACUAGGAUUUGUCACUCCGUGUAAAUGGAGAGGUAUCUCUGGGCCCACUCAGUAGGACAUCAUCAUAAUGAGCACAAUGUGAUCAAGGAGUUGAUCAAGGGAUGAUGUCUUACGGAACGAGUAAAGAGACUUGCCGGUAAUGAGAUUGAACAAGGUAUCGGGAUACCGACGAUCAAAUCUCGGGCAAGUAUCGUACCGAUAGACAAAGAGAAUUGUAUACGGGAUUGAUUGAAUCCUUGACAUCGUGGUUCAUCCGAUGAGAUCAUUGUGGAGCAUGUGGGAGCCAACAUGGGUAUCCAGAUCCCGCUAUUGGUUAUUGACCGGAGAGUUGUCUUGGCCAUGUCUGCAUGACUCCUGAGCUCGUAGGGUCUACACACUUAAGGUUCGAUGACGCUAGGGUUAUAGGGAAAGUAUGUACGCGGUUACCGAAUGUUGUUCGGAGUCCCAGAUGAGAUCCCAGACAUCACGAGGAGUUCUGGAAUGGUCCGGAGGUAAAGAUUUAUAUAUGGGAAGUUCCGUUUUGGUCACCGGAAAUGUUUCGGGUGCUAUCGGUAACGUACCGGGACCACCGGGAGGGUCCCAGGGGUCCAUCAGGUGGGGCCACCAGCCCCGGAGGCCUACAUGGGCCAAUAGUGGGAAGGGACCAGCCCCUAGGUGGGCUGGGGCGCCUCCCGACAAGGCCCAAGUCGCCUCCAAGAGGGGAAGGGGGCAAACCCUAGGGCAGAUGGGCCCCAAGGCCCACCCUAGGUGCGCCUCCCCCUCUCCCCCUUGUAGCCGCCACCCUAGAUGGGAUCUAGGGCUGCCGCACCCCUUGGGGUGGGAACCCUAGAGGGGGCGCAGCCCCCUCCCCUCCCCCUAUAUAUACUUGAGGUAUGGGGGCUGCCCAACAUACGAUUUGAUCUCUCUCUUGGCGCAGCCCUACCCCUCUCCCUCCUCGUCUCUCAUAGUGCUUGGCGAAGCCCUGCUGGAGUUCCGCGCUCCUCCACCACCACUACCACGUCGUCGUGCUGCUGCUGGACGGACUCUUCCCAACCUCUCCUUCUCCCCUUGCUGGAUCAAGGCGUGGGAGACGUCACCGGGCUGCAGAUGUGUUGAACGCGGAGGCGCCGUGGUUCGGCGCUUAGAUCGGAAUCAACCGAGAUCUGAAUCGCUACGAGUACGGCUCCUUCAUCCGCGUUCUUGCAACGCUUCCGCUUAGCGAUCUACAAGGGUAUGUAGGUGCACUACCCUUCCCUUCGUUGCUAGGUUACUCCAUAGAUUGAUCUUGGUGAUGCGUAGAAAAUUUUAAAUUUCUGCUACGAUCCACAACAGUGGCAUCAUGAGCUAGGUCUAUGCGUAGUUUCUAUGCACGAGUAGAACAUAAAACAGUUGUGGGCGUCAAUAUUGUCAAUUACUUGCCGUUAGUAGUCUUAUCUUGAUUCGGCGGCAUCGUGGGAUGAAGCGGCCCGGACUGACCCUACACGUACGCUUACGUGAGACUUGUUCCACUGACUGACAUGCACUAGUUGCAUAAGGUGGCUAGUGGGUGUCUGUCUUUCCCACUUUAGUCAGAUCGGAUUCGAUGAAAAGGGUCCUUAUGAAGGGUAAAUAAAAAUUGGCAUACCACGUUGUCGUUUUGGCGUAGGUAAGAAAUGUUCUUGCUAGAAACCUAUAGGAGCCACGUAAAAACUUGCAACAACAAUUUGAGGACCUCUAACUUGUUUUUGCAGCAUGUGCCGUGUGAUGUGAUAUGGCCAAAAGGAUGUGAUGAAUGAUAUAUGUGAUGUAUGAGAUUGAUCAUGUUCUUGUAAUAGGAAUCACGACUUGCAUGUCGAUGAGUAUGACAACCGGCAGGAGCCAUAGGAGUUGUCUUUAUUUAUUUAUGACCUGCGUGUCAACAUAAACGUCAUGUAAUUACUUUACUUUAUUGCUAAAGCGUUAGCCAUAGUAAUGGAAGUAAUAGAUGACAAGACAACUUCAAGAAGACACGAUGAUGGAGAUCAUGAUGAUGGAGAUCAUGGUGUCAAGCCCGUGACAACGAUGAUCAUGGAGCCCCAAAGAUGGAGAUCAUAAGGAGCAAAAUGAUAUUGGCCAUAUCAUGUCACUAUUUGAUUGCAUGUGAUGUUUAUCAUGUUUUACCUCUUAUUUUCUUAGAACGACGGUAGCUUAAAUAAGAUGAUACCUCGCAAUAAUUUCAAGAAAGUGUUUCCCCUAACUGUGCACCGUUGCGAAGAUUCGUUGUUUUGAAGCACCACGUGAUGAUCGGGUGUGAUAUAUUCUAACGUUCAAAUACAACAGGUGUAAGCCAGAUUUACACACACAAUACACUUAGGUUGACUUGAUGAGCCUAGCAUUUACAGACAUGGCCUCGGAACACGGUAGACCGAAAGGUCGAGCAUGAGUCGUAUAGAAGAUACGAUCAACAUGAAGAUGUUCACCGAUGUUGACUAGUCCGUCUCACGUGAUGAUCGGCCACGGCCUAGUUGACUCGGAUCAUGUUUCACAUAGAUGACUAGAGGGAUGUCUAUCUGAGUGGGAGUUCAUUAAAUAAUUUGAUUAGAUGAACUUAAUUAUCAUGAACAUAGUCCAAAUUGUCUUUGCAAAUAUGUUGUGGAUAAAUAGCUCACGCUUUAGCUCCCUGUUUUAAUAUGUUCCUAGAGAAAAGACUAACUGGAAAGAUAUUGUAAGCAUUAACGCUGACUAGGUCUGUUGCCUGAGGAGUGUCCUCACUGCUACACAGAAGGCUUAUGUCUUUGAUGCACCGCUCGGUGUGCCAACCCCUCCGGCGUCGUCUGUGGAUGUUGUGAACACCCGACAGACACAUCCUGAUGACUACUUGAAAGUUUAGUGCACCAUACUUUACGGCUUAGAAUCGGGAUUCCAAUGACGUUUUGAACGCCAUAAGACAUAUGAGAUGUUCCAAGAGCUGAAAUUGGGAUUUCAGGCUCAUGCCCGUGUUGAGAGGUAUGGACCUCUGACAAGUGCUUUUGCCAACAAGAUGGAGUAGAAUAGCUCAGCUAGAGAGCAUGUGCUCGGAAUGUCUGGGUGCUACAAUCACUUAAAUCAAGUGGGAGUUAAGCUUCCAGAUAAGAUAGUGAUUGAUAGAGUUCUCUAGCCACUAUCACUAAGAUACUAGAUCUUCGUGAUGAACUAUGACAUGCAAGGGAUGGAGUUGAUCCCGGAGCUGUUCACGGUGCUUAAGAUCGCAAAAGGUAGAAAUCAAGAAGGAGCAUCAAGUGUUGAUGGUUUAACAAGACCACUAGUUUCAAGAAGGGCAAGGGCUAGAAGGGAAACUUCAUGAAUGGCAAACCAGUUACCAAUCAAGUGAAGGAACCCAAGGUUGAACCCAAACCCGAGACAAAGUGCUUCUAUUGUAAGGGGAACAGUCACUGGUAGCGGAACUACCCCAAAUACAUGGUAGAUAAGAAGGAUGGCAACUUCAACAAAGUAUAUACAUGUUAUUAAUGUGUACCUCACCAGUACUCUUGGUAGCACCUGGGUAUUGGAUACCGGUUCAGUUGCUAUUAUUGGUGACUUGAAGCAAAAGCUACGGACUAAACGGAGACUGGCUAAGGGCGAGGUGACGUUGUGUGGUGGAAGUGUUUCCAAAGUUGAUAAGAUCACCAUCGCAUGCUCCAUCUGCCUUUGGGAUUAGUAUUGAACCUAGAUAAAUGUUAUCAGGUGUCUACGUUGAGGAUGAAUAUGAUUAGAUCAUGUUCAUUGCAAUACGGUUAUUCAUUUAAGAUAGAGAAUAAUGGUUAUUCUGUUUACAUGAAUAAUACCUUUCAUGGUCAUGCACCCUAUGUGAAUGGUUCAUUGAAUCUCGGUCGUGGUAAUACAGAUGUUCACGCCAAAAGAUGUAGAGUUAACAAUGAUAGUACCACUUUCUUGUGGAACUGCCGCUUAGGUCAUAUUGGCAUAAGAUGCAUGAAGAAACUCCAUGUCGAUGGAUGUUUGGAGUCAAUUGAUUUUGAAUCGCUUGACACAUGCGAGCCAUGAUUCAUGGGCAGGAUGACUAAGACCCCGUUUUCAGGUAAAAUAAAACGGGCAAGUGACUUCUUGGAAAUCAUACAUGCUGAUGCAUGUGUUCCAAUCAGAAUUGAAGCGUGCGGUGGAUAUCGCUAUUUUCUCAUCUUCACUGACGAUUUGAGUAGAUAUAGGUAUAUUUACUUAAUGAAGCACAAGUCUGAAACAUUUGAAAAGUUCAAGCGAUUUUAGAGUGAAGUUAAGAACCAUCAUAUAUAAUAAGAAGAUCAAAUUCCUACGAUCUGAUCGAUGAGAAUUUCUGAGUUAUGAGUUGGGCAAUCACUUAAGACAUUGUGGAAUUGUUUCAUAGUUGAAGCCACCUGGAACAACACAGGGUAAUGGUGUGUCCGGACGUCGUAAUCGAACCUUAUGAGAUAUGGUGCGAUCUAUGAUGUCCCUUACCGAUCUACCAUUUUCAUUUUGAGGAUAUGCGUUAGAGAAAGCUGCAUUCACUUUUGAUAGGACACCAUCUAAGUCCGUUGAGAUGACGUCGUAUGAAUAUGGUUUGGCAAGAAACCAAAAUUGUCGUUUCUUAAUGUUUGGGGCUGCGAUGCUUAAGGCUUCAGGCGGAGAAGAUCGAACCCAAAAGAGGACAAACACAUCUUCAUAGGAUACCCAAAGGUGACAGUUUGGUAUACCUUCUAUCUCCAAUCUGAGGGCAAGUUGUUUGUCGCUAAGAAUGGUUCCUUUCUCGAGAAGGAGUUUCUCUCGAAAGAAUUGAGUGGGAAGAAGAUAGAACUUGAUGAGGUUGUCGAACCUUUGUUUCAACCAGAGAGUGAUGCAACACAGAAAGAUGUUUUCUGUGGCACCUACGUCUGUUGAAGAGGAAGUUAAUGAUAGUGAUCAUGAAGCUUCGGAUCAAGUUGCUAUCGAACCUCAUAGGUCGACCAGGAUAUGUACUACUCCUGAGUGGUACGGUAAUCCUGUCUUAGAUAUCAUGUUGUUAGACAACAAUGAACCCAUGAGCUAUGGAGAAGCGAUGGUGGGCCCGUAUUCCGACAAAUGGUUAGAAGCCAUGAAAUCCGAGAUAGGCUCCAUGUAUCAGAACAAAGUAUGGACUUUGGUGGACUUGCCCGAUGAUCGGCGAGCCAUUGAGAUAAAUGGAUCUUUAAGAAGAAGACGGACGUGGGCGGUAAUGUUACCAUCUAUGAAGCUCGACUUGUGGGAAAGAGUCUUUUCACAAGUUCAAGGAGUUGACUACGAUGAGAAUUUCUCACCCGUAGCGAUGCUUAAGUCCGUCGGAAUCAUGUUAGCAUUAGCUGUAUUUUUCGAUUAUGAAAUCUGACAGAUGGAUCUCAAAACAAGUUUUCUUACCAGUUUUCGUAAGAAAAAGUUGUAUGUGAUACAAUAAAAGGUUUUGUCGAUCCUAAGGAUGCUAAAAGGUAUGCUGGCUCCAGCAAUCCUUCUAUGGACUAGAGCAAGCAUCUCGAAGUUGGAAUAUAUGCUUUGAUGGAGUGAUCAAAGCUUUUAGGUUUAUACAAUGUUUGCUAGAAACUUGUAUUUACAAGAAAGUGAGUGGGAGAACUACAACAUUUCUGAUAAGUAUAUGUGGAUGACAUAUUGCUGAUUCAAAAUAAUGUAGAAUUUCUGGAAAGCAUAAACGGUUGUUUGAAGAGUGAUUUUCAAAGGCAGACCUGGAUAAAGCUGCUUACAAAUUGGGCAUCAAGAUCUGUAGAAAUAGAUCAAGACGCCUGAUGAUACUUUCAAAGAACGCACACCUUGACAUGUUUUUGAAGGAGUUCAAAAUAGAUCAGGCAAAGAAGGGGUUCUUACCUGUGUUGUAAGGUGUGAAGUUGAGUAAGACUUGAAAGCUUGACCACGACAGAAGAAAGAGGAAGGAUGAAGGUCAUCCCCUAUGCUUUUGUCAUAGGCUCUAUACGGUAUGCCAUGCUGAGUACCACACCAGAUGAGUGCCUUGCCACAUGUCUGGCAAGAGGGUACAAAGGUGAUCUAGGAGUGGAUCACCAGAUAGCGGUCAAAAUUGUCCUUAGAGGAAUAAGGAAAUGUUUCUCAGUUACGGAGCUGAUAAAGAGUUCGACAUAAAGAGUUACGUCGAUACAUGCUUAAACACCAAUCCGGAUAGCUCUGAGUAGAGAUACCAGAUACGUAUAAUGGAGCAACAAUUUGGAAUAGCUCCAAGUGGAACGUGGUAGCAGCAUCUACGAUAUGACAUAAAGUUUUGGGAAAUACAUAGGGAUCUGAAUAUUACAGACCCGUUGACUACAACCUCUCUCACAAGCAUAACAUGAUCAAACCCAGAACUCAUUGAGUGUUAAUCGCAUAGUGAUGUGAACUAGAUUAUUGAAUCUAGUAAACUCUUUAGAUGUUGGUCACAUGGCGAUGUGACCAGUGAGUGUUAAUCACAUGGCGAUGUGAACUAGAUUAUUGACUCUAGUGCAAGUGGGAGACUGUUGGAAAUAUGCCCUAGAGCUAAUAAUAAAUUGGUUAUUAUUAUAUUUCCUUGUUCAUGAUAAUCGUUUAUUAUCCAUGCUAGAAUUGUAUUGAUAGGAAACUCAGAUACAUGUGUGGAUACAUAGACAACACCAUGUCCCUAGUAAGCCUCUAGUUGACUAGCUCGUUGAUCAAUAGAUGGUUACGCUUUCCUGACCAUGGACAUUGGAUGUCGUUGAUAACGGGAUCACAUCAUUAGGAGAAUGACGUGAUGGACAAGACCUAAUCCUAAGCCUAGAACAAGAUCAUGUAGUUCGUAUGCUAAAGCUUUUCUAAUGUCAAGUAUCAUUUCCUUAGACCAUGAGAUUGUGCAACUCCCAGAUACAGUAGGAGUGCUUUGGGUGUGCCAAACGUGACAACGUAACGGGGUGGCUAUAAAGGUGCACUACGGGUAUCUCUGAAAGUGUCUGUUGGGUUGGCAUGAACCGAGACUGGGAUUUGUCACUCCGUGUAAACGGAGAGGUAUAUCUGGGCCCACUCGGUAGGACAUCAUCAUAAUGUGCACACUGUGAUCAAGGAGUUGAUCACGGGAUGAUGUAUUACGGAACGAGUAAAGAGACUUGCCGGUAACGAGAUUGAACAAGCUAUCGGGAUACCGACGAUCGAAUCUCGGGCAAGUAUCAUACCGAUAGACAAAGGGAAUUGUAUACGGGAUUGAUUGAAUCCUUGACAUCAUGGUUAAUCUGAUGAGAUCAUCGUGGAGCAUGUGGGAGCCAACAUGGGUAUCCAGAUCCCGCUGUUGGUUAUUGACCGGAGAGUUGUCUCGGCCAUGUCUACAUGACUCCCGAGCCCGUAGGGUCUACACACUUAAGGUUCGAUGACGCUAGGGUUAUAGGGAAAGUAUGUACACGGUUACAGAAUGUUGUUCGGAGUCUUGGAUGAGAUCCCGGACGUCACGAGGAGUUCCAGAAUGGUCCAGUGGUAAAGAUUUAUAUAUGGGAAGUCCCGUUUUGGUCACCGGAAAGGUUUCGGGUGCUAUCGGUAACGUACCGGGACCACCGGGAGGGUCCCAGGGGUCCAUCAGGUGGGGCCACCAGCCCCGGAGGCCUACAUGGGCCAAUAGUGGGAAGGGACCAGCCCCUAGGCGGGCUGGGGCGCCUCCCACCAAGGCCCAAGGCGCCUCCAAGAGGGGAAGGGGGCAAACCCUAGGGCAGAUGGGCCCCAAGGCCCACCCUAGGUGCGCCUCCCCCUCUCCCCCUUGUAGCCGCCACCCUAUAUGGGAUCUAGGGCUGCCGCACCCCUUGGGGUGGGAACCCUAGAGGGGGCGCAGCCCCCUCCCCUCCCCCUAUAUAUACUCGAGGUAUGGGGGCUGCCCAACAUAUGAUUUGAUCUCUCUCUUGGCGCAGCCCUACCUCUCUCCCUCCUCGUCUCUCAUAGUGCAUGGCGAAGCCCUGCUGGAGUUCCGCACUCCUCCACCACCACCACACCGUCGUUCUGCUGCUGGACGGAGUCUUCCCAACCUCUCCUUCUCCCCUUGCUGGAUCAAGGUGUGGGAGACGUCACCGGGCUGCACGUGUGUUGAACGCGGAGGCGUCGUGGUUCGGCGCUUAGAUCGGAAUUAACCGCGAUCUAAAUCGCUACGAGUACGGCUCCUUCAUCCGUGUUCUUGCAACGCUUCCGCUUAGAGAUCUACAAGGGUAUGUAGAUGCACUCCCCUUCCCUUUGUUGCUAGAUUACUACAUAGAUUGAUCUUGGUGAUGCGUAGAAAAUUUUAAAUUUCUGCUACGAUCCCCAACAAUAUCUGCAACCACCUGUUUUGCGGCAGCUACUGCUGUCGCGAAUGUCUUAGAUGAUUUCUUCUCAACCGCAAUCUCAACCUUCUUGUCGAUGUUUUCUUCAGUUAACCUCCAUCUUUCCUUUCUCUCCUCCGUGGUCUCACAGUAGUACUUCUUCCACGUGGCCCCGUCUCCGACACCGUGAACGCGUCCAUACGACGACCUAGUCUCCACCGGCAGUCCUUUCAAUAUGUUCAAUGCCCGGGUGAAUGGAGUGUCCCACUUGGGCCUCGCCAACGCCUCAGACGGUGAGUCGCUUUCAGCCACAAUCAUGUGCUUCUCUCUCUACAAAAGGAACAAGGAUCAUUUACAAAUAUGACUAAACGUGCAGUCGAAUUGAUCAGAAACUAAAAUUACCAGCAGUCUCAUGAACUCCGUCGUGAUCGGGUCCGUCUUGAAAACCUUCUUGACCGAGUUCGAAUGGUGUCGUGCCCUGAGGACGUCAUGCUCCUAUGGGACGGUGAAGUCCGCCAAGGGGUCUAGGAUGCCAGACUUUCGUGUUCCGUGUCCUGCUUGGCCCAUAUGGACCUCUUCCUGCCGUAACCACGGCUUCUGAGGUGGUGGCGCCCCAUGUUCCUUUGUUGAAGCCCCUUCAUGUACUUUGACUUUGUUUUGGCGGCUUCGGCCUCGCAAGCCGCCUUUAAUAUUUCAAAGUGCUCUCCCGUGAUUGUCGGAUUAUCCUUUACAAUCUCGGAGUAGGGUUGAUACGUCUCCAACGUAUCUAUUAUUUUUGAUUGCUCCAUGCUAUAUUAUCUACAGUUUUGGACAUUAUUGGGCUUUAUUAUCUACUUUUAUAUUAUUUUUGGGACUAACCUAUUAACCAGAGGUCCAGCCCAGAAUUGCUGUUUUUUUGCCUGUUUUAGGGUUUCGAAGAAAAGGAAUAUCAAACGGAGUCCAAACGGAAUGAAGCCUUCGGGAAUGAGAUUUUCUCAACGAACAAGACCCGGGAGACUUGGACCCUACGUCAAGACAAAANNNNNNNNNNNNNNNNNNNNNNNNNNNNNNNNNNNNNNNNNNNNNNNNNNNNNNNNNNNNNNNNNNNNNNNNNNNNNNNNNNNNNNNNNNNNNNNNNNNNNNNNNNNNNNNNNNNNNNNNNNNNNNNNNNNNNNNNNNNNNNNNNNNNNNNNNNNNNNNNNNNNNNNNNNNNNNNNNNNNNNNNNNNNNNNNNNNNNNNNCACCGACGUACUUCUUCCUCCUAUAUAUACCUACGUACCCCCAAACGAUCAUAUACGGAGCCAAAACCCUAAUUCCACCGCCGCAACUUUCUGUAUCCAUGAGAUCCCAUCUUGGCGCCUGUUCCGGAGCUCCGCCGGAGGGGGCAUCGAUCACGGAGGGCUUCUACAUCAACAGCAUAGCCUCUCCGAUGAAGUGUGAGUAGUUGACCUCAGACCUACGGGUCCAUAAUUAUUACCUAGAUGGCUUCUUCUCUCUUUUUGGAUCUCAAUACAAUGUUCUCCCCCUCUCUUGUGGAGAACUAUUCGAUGUAAUAUUCUUUUUGCGGUGUGUUUAUUGAGAUCGAUGAAUUGUGGGUUUAUGAUCAAGUCUAUCUAUGAAUAAUAUUUGAAUCUUCUCUGAAUUCUUUAAUGUAUGAUUGUUUAUCUUUGCAAGUCUCUUCGAAUUAUCAGUUUGGUUUGGCCUACUAGAUUGAUCUUUCUUACAAUGGGAGAAGUGCUUAGCUUUGGGUUCAAUCUUGCGGUGUCCUUUCCCAGUGACAGUAGGGGCAGCAAGGCAUGUAUUGUAUUGUUGCCAUCGAGGACAACAAGAUGGGGUUUUCAUCAUAUUGCAUUAUUCUAUCCCUCUACAUCAUGUCAUCUAGCUUAAGGCGUCACUCUGUUUUUAACUUAAUACUCUAGAUGCAUGCUGGAUAGCGGUCGAUGAGUGGAGUAAUAGUAGUAGAUGCAGGCAGGAGUCGGUCUACUUGUCUCGGACGUGAUGCCUAUAUACAUGAUCAUACCUAGAUAUUCUCAUAAAUAUGCUCAAUUCUGUCAAUUGCUCAACAGUAAUUUGUUCACCCACCAUAGAAUAAUUAUACUCUCAAGAGAAGCUACUAGUGAAACCUAUGGCCCCCGGGUCUAUCUUUAUCAUAUUAAUCUCCUACUACUUAGUUAUUUCCUUUGCUUUUUCCUUUGUAUUUCCUUUGCUUUUUUCCUUUGCCUUUAUUUUACUUUUCAUCUUUAUCACAAAAAUACCAAACAUAUUAUCUUUAUCAUAUCUAUCAGAUCUCACUCUCGUAAGUGGCCUUGUAGGGAUUGACAACCCCUAUUCGUGUUGGUUGUGAGGAUUUAUUUGUUUUGUGCAAUUACGAGGGACUCGCGCGUAGCCUCCUACUGGAUUGAUACCUUCGUUCUCAAAAACUGAGGGAAAUACUUACGCUACUUUGCUGCAUCAUCCCUUCCUCUUCGGGGAAAACCAACGCAGUGCUCAAGAGGUAGCAAGAAGGAUUUCUGGUGCCGUUGCCGGGGAGGUCUACGCAAAAGUGAACAUACCAAGUACCCAUCACAUACCCUUAUCUCCCGCAUUACAUUAUUUUCCAUUUGCCUCUCGUUUUCACCUCCCCCACUUCACCCUUGCUGUUUUAUUCGCCCUCUCUCUCUAUCCGCCCUCUCUUUCUCUAUUUGCCUCUUUUUUCCCGCUUGCUUUCUGUUUGCUUGUGUGUUAGUUGCUUGCUUGUCACGAUGGCUCAAGAUAAUACUAAAUUAUGUGACUUCACAAUGGCGAAAGCCUGGUUUUCGUCUUUGGCUAAAAAUAGUAUUGAUUCAUGGAAUAAGUGCAAAGAUGCUUUUAUCUCUAAGUAUUUUCCUCCUGCUAAGAUCAUCUCUCUUAGAAACGAUAUAAUGAAUUUUAAGCAACUUGAUCAUGAACAUGUUGCACAAGCUUGGGAGAGAAUGAAACUAAUGGUACAUAAUUGCCCUGCCCAUGAUUUAAAUUUGUGGAUGAUUAUACAAAAUCUUUAUGCCGGAUUGAAUUUUGCUUCUAGAAAUCUUUUAGAUUCAGCCGCGGGAGGCACUUUUAUGGAAAUCACUUUAGGAGAAACUCCUAGAUAAUAUUAUGGUCAAUUAUUCUCAACGGCAUACUGAAAGAUCUAAUAAUAAAAUGGUGCAUGCGAUAGAAGAAAUUAAUGUUUUGAGUGGAAAGAUGGAUGAACUUCUGAAAUUAUUUGCUAAUAAGAGUGUUUCUUCUGAUCCUAAUGAUAUGCCCUUGUCUAAUUUGAUUGGGAAUAAUAAUGAAUCUAUGGAUGUGGAUUUUGUUGGUAGGAACAAUUUUGGUGACAACGCGUAUAGAGGAAAUUUCAACCCUAGGCUUUAUCCUAGUAAUCUCUCUAAUAAUGAUGGUAAUUCCUACAACAAUUCUUAUGGAAAUUAUAAUAAGAUUCCCUCUGAUUUUGAAUCUAAUAUUAAAGAAUUUAUUACUUUGCAAAAGAAUUUCAAUGCCUAGAUUGAAGAAAAAUUGCUUAAGAUUGAUGAUUUGGCUAGGAACGUUGAUAGAAUUACUCUUGAUGUUGAUUCUUUGAAACUUAGAACUAUUCCACCUAAGCAUGAUGUCAAUGAGUCUCUCAAAGCCAUGAGAAUUUCCAUUGAUGAGUGCAAAGAAAGAACCGCUAGGAUGCGUGCUAAGAAAGAUGCCUUUAUAAGAGCGUGUUCUUCUCGUUCCUAUGAAAAUAAUGAUGAAGAUCUAACAGUUAUUGAUGUGUUCCCUAUUAAAUCUUUGUUUUGCAAUAUGAAUCUUGAUAAUGAUGGGACUGAAUAUGAUCCACCUUUACCUAUCAGGCGUUCCAAGAAUUCAGAAUUUGUUGAUCUUGAUGCUAAAAUUGAUAAAGGUGGGAUUGAAGAAAUUAAAACCCUUGAUGUUGCUAAACCCACUAUUAUGGAUUUCAAGGAAUUUAACUAUGAAAAUUGCUCUUUUAUUGAUUGUAUAUCCUUGUUACAAUCCAUGCUAAAUUCUCCUCAUGCUUAUAGUCAAAAUAAAGCGUUUACUAAACAUAUCGUUGAUGCCUUGAUGCAAUCUUAUGAAGAAAAACUUGAAUUGGAAGUUUAUAUCCCUAGAAAGCUUUAUGAUGAGUGGGAAUCAACUAUUAAAAUUAAAAUUAAAUAUCAUGAAUGCUAUGCUUUAUGUGAUUUAGGUGCUAGUGUUUCCAUGAUUCCAAAGACUUUGUGUGAUUUGUUAGGUUUCCGUGAUUUUGAUGAUUGCUCUUUAAACUUGCGCCUUGCGGAUUCCACUAUUAAGAAACCUAUGGGAAGAAUUAAUGAUGUUCUUAUUGAUGCAAAUAGGAAUUAUGUGCCUGUAGAUUUUAUUGUUCUUGACAUAGAUUGCAAUCUUUCAUGUCCUAUUAUUCUUGGUAGACCUUUCCUUAGAACGAUUGGUGCAAUUAUUGAUAUGAAGGAAGGAAAUAUUAGAUUCCAAUUUCCAUUAAGGAAAGUCAUGGAACACUUUACUAGAAAGUAAAUUAAAUUAACUUAGGAAUCUAUUAUGAUAGCCACUUAUGGAUUGCCUACCAAAGAUGGCAAUACCUAGAUCUAUCCUUGCUUGUUAUGCCUAGCUAGGGGCAUUAAACGAUAGCGCUUGUUGGGAGGCAACCCAAUUUUGUUUUUAUUCCUUGAUUUUUGCUCCUGUUUAGUAAUAAAUAAUUUAUCUAGCCUCUGUUUCGGUUGUGUUCUUUGUGUUUAAUUACUGUUUGUGCCAAGUAGAACCGUUAGGAAGACUUGGGGAAAGUCUUGUUACACUUGCUGUAAAAAACAGAAACUUCAGCGCUCACGAGAACUGCUGCCAUUUUUAUUUGGAAGUGCUAUUUAGUUAAUUAUUUCUGCAGAUGAUUAAUACAUAAAUUCCUCACGUCCAGCAAUUUAUUUUAGAAUUUUUGGAGUUCCAGCUCUUGAGCUAGCUACAGAUUACUACAGACUAUUCUGUUUUUGAAAGAUUCUGUUUUUUCGUGUGUUGUUUGCUUAUUUUGAUGAACCUAUGGCUAGUAAAAUAGUUUAUAAACCAUAGAGAAGUUGGAAUACAGUAGGUAUAACACCAAUAUAAAUAAAUAAUGAGUUCAUUAUAGUACCUUCAAGUGGUCUUUUAUUUUCUUUCGCUAACGGAGCUCACGAGAUUUUCUACUUUAAGUUUUGUGUUGUGAAGUUUUCAAGUUUUGGGUAAAGAUUUGGUGGAUUAUGGAACAAGGAGUGACAAGAGCCUAAGCUUGGGGAUGCCCAUGGCACCCCCAAGAUAAUCUAAGUACACAUAAAAGCCAAAGCUUGGGGAUGCCCCGGAAGUCAUCCCCUCUUUCGUCUACUUCUAUCGGUAACUUUACUUGGAGCUAUAUUUUUAUUUGCCACAUGAUAUGUGUUUUGCUUGGAGCGUCUUGUAUUAUUUGACUUGUCAGGACCCCGAUUCCAAGCCACAUCGAUCUAGACGGUAACACCUCAUAUCACUUUGCAGCCUCACGCACGAUAUUCCACGGGUGUCGCAUUACCAUGGCCUGGGACCGUUUGCGCCUUUUGGCUCACGUAUAUGAUAGUGUCGCUAGCAUCCAUAUGACAGAGAACCCGGGCCGACAUGGCUAGUCGUGAACCCAAAGCGGCACAGACCUAUGGAGACAGGCAUACAUGAAUCACAUCGAGCAUGUCGGUCAUCAGCGAGUGAUUCCGGGCUUUAGCACUGGGCUAACAGGACUCCGGGGAACCCGGGCUGUAGCAGGCUAGGCAGGACUCCGGAAGUCACCGCGUGACAUUUCCCCGAAGAGACAGACAUAGGAACAAAGUGAAUCACAUGCUGGCCAGUCAAGUGUCCUGAGCAGUAGUGCUAGGCUAGCAGGACUCUGGUGAACCGGGCUGUAGCGGACUACUAUGGCUCGAGGAACACUAGACUACAUUUCCCCAUAAGAAAGGCUGCCAAGGAUAAACAACUAGAUUUUCGGAUCCCACUCAUACCAAGCAUUUCAAUCAUACACACAAUAUGCCCGAUAUGAGUACAUACAACAUGGCAUCACAACAAAACUCUACAAAUCAAGUACUUUAUUUAAAGGCUCCAGAGAGCCAUACAUAACAUGUUCAUACAGAUAGGGGUCACAUGACCCGACACUCAAGUCAUACAAUCAUACAAGCACAUGCGGAAGCAACCGGUCUGAGUACGGACACUAGAAAGAAAGAAGGCUCCUCGAGGCCUGUUUAUCUACAUAGGGCCCUCCAUGGCCAGGAUCACCACCUGGGUGGCUAGUCACUCGUCGACGUCAAGGUCUACAUAGAACCCAUCGGAGGGGGCGGUGUUGUCGUCUGAAAACAGUAAUUAAGCAAACAUGAGUACAAAGGUACUCAGCAAGUCUUACAACAGAACCUACUAUACAUGCUUAUUCUCAAGAAGGUGGUGGGGAUAUUGCAGCAAGCCAGCUUUGACUCUUGGCUAAACUAUCCUAUGGAACUUCUCUAGUAAAAUAGUUUUCGCACACGAGUCCACUACUCACCAACACAAUACUCCACCGGGGAUCCUCCCUCGUCAUCCUACGAGAGGGCCAUCCUCGGUACUCACACUUAUCUUGAGUCUUUUAGUAGUAUCCAUUUACUUGUCUACGAACUGUAUAGGCAACCAAGUAGUCCUUUACCGCGGACGCGGCUAUUCGAAUAGUUUUAUACCCUGCAGGGGUGUACUUCGUCAUGCACGCUUUCACCACUUAUCGCCGUUUACACGACAUGUACUCGGCAACCUUCAAGCGGAAGCCCAGUGAGGGUGUCGGCCACGGCCUACCUAAACACUUAAGUCUCUAGUCCAGGUUUAUCGCCUAUCCAGGUUCCAUCCGCAGGGAGUCCGGCCGAGGUUUCCACAUACGGCCCGAACGAUGUGAACAGGGUCCCGAGACGCCAAUCGGGCACCCGGCAUACCCGGCCACGGUGUAUCUACCGCAACAUAGCCCACCCCUAGGGUCAGCACUACGCACGGCCGCCAACACAUAACCUACAAGCACCAGAAACUAUUUGCAACUCCUGGACAGAGUACUAGGGUGAUUAAGAAGCCGAGAGGGUCAAUUAAGGAUCCCAAUGCAUGGUAGUAGCUGAAUCUUAAAUCGCACAUACAGAUCUCAGUUCUUUGGGACGGUCUCAAUGAAACAACCCACCAUGUACUCCUACAUGGCCUCUCAUCGAUACCUUUACCAAAACAUGUUCAACACAUUCCUCAUAUUACCGACAUAAUCAUAUCACUCUAGCCCAUCACCCAGAUGAACCAGACCUGACACAACUCUAAGCAUAGCAGGCAUAGCAAGGUAGGAAUCACAGACAUGGCUCAAUCAACUCCUACACAUGCUAGUGGGUUUCAUCUAGUUACUGCGGCAAUGACAGAUCAUGUAGAGGAUAAGGGUUCAACUACCGUAGCACACAGUAGUUUGAAUCGCGUUGUCUUAAUCCAGUAAACAAGAGCAAAGGCGAGAACAUGGGUUGUAUCGGAAUGAUCAAUGGGUUGCUUGCCUGAUGGAGUGGUAGCGGGAUACUGCCCUUCAGUUGGAUACUCGUGAAUAUCCUCGGAGGCAGAACCUACCACGAAGAACACAUCGGAACACAAUCAACACAUGACGAUAUGCAACAAUAUGAUGCAUGCUAUGACAUGGCUAUGGUGUUGGCCUAAUGCAAGCUAAAAUAGAAAGGGAUGAACUCAUUUGAAUCAAAGAUUCAAAUAUUAGCUCAUUAAACAUGGCCUUAAUAGUGGAUUUCCUUAUUCUGCUUAAACAGCAAGGUAAACUUGUUUUUUCAUGCAUGAAACCAUUACAUAUGGAUAGAUUGAAUUUUUCUGAUAAAUUUUUCAUAUAUAAAUUAUUUCAUUUGGAGUUACGGUUGAAUUUCUAUGAUUUUUAGAAGUUUUAAACAUUUUCUGGAAUUUCCUGAAUAAAGAUAAAUCCAGAAAAUGCAUUACUGCAUCAGCAUUGCGUCAUGCUGACCUCAGCAGGUCAAAGGCGCCAGCCCAGGUCAAACCUGACUGGUGGGCCCCUUCUGUCAGUCUCUGAGUUAAAUAACAGGAUUAGAUUAACACUAAUUAGCUGUCAGUGGGGCCUGGGCCCACAUGUCAGUGACUGAUUAAAAUAAAAUUAGUUAAAACUAAUCCUAGAUUAGUUAGCAGACCGGCCCCACCUGUCAUAGACUCAGGGGGGUCUACCUGGGCCCACCCAGGGUCAAACUGGGUCAAACUCACCGGCGUUGAGCAGCCGGCGAGGCCCGAGACGGUGGCGCAGCUCGGAAAACGCCUAUAGGGCAUGAGGGAGGCCGUUCUUGGGCUCGUUGGAGAGCUCUUGCAAUCGCGCAUCUAGUGGUGGUGGUGGCCGAGCCUACGGUGGCCGGAGACGACGACGGCGAGCUCCAAGGCGGCGGCCGGAGUUCGGCCAUGUGCGGGGUGUGGGCUGCGGUGUGCAAACGUGGAAACUGAGGCGCUAGCGAGGCACUACGCGAUGCGGCAAGCAUGUUGCGUAGCACGGGAUGACCAAAUGGUCGCCGAAGCGGCACCGGCGACAAGCUCGAGCGGAGACGAGCUUCGGCCAUGGUGGAACUAUGGCCUAGAGGGUGCAAACGCGUGGAAAAGAAGAGGGGAAAGGUGGGGGAGCUCACAGGGAGGUCGAUGAGCAGCUCAGCGGGCUUGGGGGCGACCGGAGUGAGGCGAAUCGAUGAGCGGUGUCCGGUGGGUACCGAGGUUGAAGACGAUCCGAUGGCGGCGAUGCAGGGCCUCCGGCGAUGCGUGGCUCGGUGGGGAGGGCGAGGGCGUCACGGCAGAGCUUCUGGACAGGUCUGAGAGGCGAGAGGGUGACGGAGGGCGUGACUACGGCGGUGAGAGGGCGACGGGUGCGUCGGCCAUCGCGGGAGAGGGAGAGGGAGACGCGGUGGAGAGUGAGAGAGGAUGAGAGGGGGACGUGGGGGUCGCGUGGCAUUCCCUAGACGUCUCCCGGUGUCGGCGGAAGCAGGAGGUGGCCGGCGUGUGGCCGCGGGCGUCGGCCACGCGCUCCGCGUCCUUCUGGCACGAGGAGGACGACGACUGGCAGCGCCAGUAGGCUGGGCCGAGCCAGGUGGGCUGGCCAGCACAGGUAAGGCCCAGGUGGGCUUCUCCCUCUCUUUUUUUAAUUUGUUUCUGUUUUCUAUUUAACUGUAACUGUUGGGCUUUAUUUAAAAUACUAAAACAUUUCCAAAAAUCCUGAAAAUAAUUGUGGGCUCUAUUUGGAUUAUUUCCAACAGCAAACAUUUAUUUCCAGAAUUAUUUGAGCAUCUAAAUUAUUUAAUAGCAUUUAAAUGUCCAAAUUCAAAUACUUAUGAUUUAAAUCAAUGACCUUCUGUUGACCAAGAAAAAUUGUGCACCAAUUUUGCCAGAGGUUCUAACCCAAGACAAAGAGGGUGAACUUUUUAGAAGGGCAUUUCAGGUUCAUUGAAAAUAAUUUUAGUAAACCCUAGUUGUUUCCAGGGGGGUGUUGGGGGUUUGUGCCUUCCCCAACUCAAAUUUAAGAGGAAUUUAAACAUGAUGCACAUUCUAAUGCUUGAACUAGCUAGGGUGUGACAACUCACCCCCAGUCAAAAGAAUCUCGUCCUGAGAUUUAGGAUCCUCUGGAAAGAAGGUGGGGUACUCGAGUCGAAGACGAUCCUCCCUUUCCCAAGUGGCUUCUUUCUCGGAAUGGUGUGACCAUUGAACCUUGAGAAACUUGAUAUUAUGACGUCGAGUGGUACGCUCGGCUUGAUCAAGGAGACGAACGGGAUAUUAUCGUUAAGAGAGAUUAUCUUGUAGAUCAAGCGUUUUGUGGUCCACUCCACGAAUAGGAUCCGCGAAGCAACGCCUGAGUUGUGAAACGUGGAAGACAUCAUGAACUCUGGAAAGAUGCGGAGGUAGUUCCAAUUGGUAGGCAACUUCUCCUCGUUUGGCAAGAAUGCGAAAGGGUCCAAUGUAACGAGGAGCCAAUUUGCCUUUGAUACCGAAACGAUGGGUUCCUUUUAAUGGGGUAACCCGAAGGUAAGCCUUCUCGUCGACUUCAUAAGUCAUAGGCUUAUGUUUACGAUCAUAUUGACUCUUUUGACGAGAUUGGGCUGUUUUCAAUUUCUCACGAAUAACGCGAACCUGCUCUUCCGCUUCCUGAAUCAUAUCCGGUCCAAAGAGUUGUCUUUCCCCGGUUACUGACCAGUUAAGAGGCGUUCGACAUUUUCGUCCAUAGAGAACUUCGAAAGGAGCUUUGCCCAAGCUAGCUUGAUAACUAUUAUUAUAAGGAAACUCCGCGAAUGGGAGGCAUUUCUCCCAACUCAUUCCGAACAAGAUAACAUAAGCUCGGAGCAUAUCUUCCAGAAUUUGAUUGACUUGCUCUACUUGACAACUUGAUUGAGGAUGGAAGGCUGUACUAAAAGAGAGACGAGUUCCCAUAGCAUUUUGGAAACUUUCCCAAAAUCGAGAGGUGAAGAGACUCCCACGGUCUGAGUUAAUUUCCAAUGGGACACCAUGGAGAGACACUAUUCGGGAGAUGUAUAAAUCGGCUAGCUGGAUAGCAGUGAUAUUCUCACGAACAGGUAGGAAAUGGGCUACUUUGGAAAGACGGUCGAUCACGACGAAGAUGGCAUUAUUCCCUCUCUUGGUCCUGGGAAACCCAGUAAUGAAAUCCAUACUGAUUUUAUCCAAUUACCAUUCAGGAAUAGCCAAAGGUUGAAGGGUGCCAGCAGGCCGUUGAUGCUCUGCUUUAACACGACGACAGACGUUGCAGCUAGCAAUGUAUUGAGCGAUUUAUCUCUUCAUCCUAGUCCACCAAAACCUGUGGCGUAGGUCUUGAUACAUUUUAGUGCUACCGGGAUGAAUGGUGAGAGGGGAUUCAUGAGCUUCCUUAAGGAUCAAUUGGCGUAGAUGUUGUUUCUUGGGAACCACCAAACGAUUCUCAAAGAAGACAGCACCCCGCUUAUCCAUGAAAAAACAUUUAGCAACUCCACUAGUAAUGUUUUCCUUAAUCCGGGAUAUGCCCUUAUCAUACCACUGGGCGGUUAUGAUCUGAUCCAUAAGGUUAGGUUUCGCCACCAGGGUGGAUAGGAAUCCUCGAGGAACAAUGUGAAGAUUAAGCUUACGGAAUUCCUCAUGCAGAAGUGGUUGACUUUGUUGUAACAUCGGGUUGUUACAAUAGUAUUACGGCUUAGCGCAUCAGCCAUGACAUUGGCUUUGCAUGGGGUGUAGGUUAUUCCUAAGUCGUUAUCCAAGAUCAACUCAACCCAACGUCUUUGCCUGAGAUUCAAAUCUGGUUGGGUGAAGAUAUAUUUCAAGCUUUGGUGAUCGGUGAAGAUCUCGCAACGAUUACCGAGGAGGUAAUGUCGCCAAGUUUUAAGUGCAUGGACUACAGCUGCCAGCUCUAGAUCAUGUGUGGGAUAAUUUUCCUCAUGUGGGUGUAAUUGCCGUGAAGCGUAGGCAAUUACCUGAUGAUCUUGCAUGAGUAUGCAACCUAGUCCUUGUCGCGAGGCGUCGCAAUAGAUAAUAAAGUCCUUGGAGAAAUCCGGUGGUACCAGUACGGGAGAAGAUGUCAGGCGUCUUUUCAGUUCCUGAAAGUUGAACUCGCACUGUGGAGUCCACUCAAACUUUUUAUCUUUCUUGAGGAGUUCAGUUAGAGGUUUAGCAACCUUGGAUAAAUUCUCGACGAAGCGGCGGCAAUAGCUCGCUAAGCCAAGGAAGCUCCGAACUUGCUUGACCGUCUCAGGUGGAGUCCAAUCAAGGACGGCUUGAACUCGCUCGGGAUUGACGGCAAUACCCUUACCAGAGAUUACAUGGCCUAAAUAGGUUACUUCUGGCAACCAAAAUCGACACUUGGAGAACUUGGCAUAAAGGCGAUGCUCUCGAAGUUUCAUCAAUACCAGCCUUAGAUGUUCGGCAUGUUCCUCUUCAUUCUUGGAGUAGAUGAGUAUGUCAUCGAGGUAUACUACGACGAAUUUAUCCAAGUACUCCAUGAAAACCGAGUUCAUUAACCGGGAGAAGGUAGCCGGGGCAUUGGUUAAACCGAAGGACAUAACGGUGUACUCGUAUUGGCCAUAACGAGUAACAAAGGUCGUUUUGGGAAUGUCCCCGUUUCUGAUUUUGAUUUGAUGGUAGCCCAACCUCAAAUCCAUCUUGGAAAAGACUGAGGAUCCAGCGAGCUGAUCAUACAGAUCAUUGAUCCUGGGAAGCGUGUAUUUGUUCUUGAUGGUGACCAAGUUGACAGGUCGGUAAUCCACAACCAUUCGAUCUGUUCCAUCCUUCUUCUUGACGAAGAGGAUGGGGCAAGCCCAAGGAGAGGAACUAGGACGGAUGAAACCCUUUUUCAAGGACUCAUCGAGUUGGUUCUUAAGCUCGGCUAGUUCUAAGGGUGCCAUCUUGUAGGGUCUUCUAGAAAUUGGAACGGUUCUUGGAACAAGGUCUAUCACAAACUCGACAUCCCUGUCAGGUGGAACACCUGGCAGUUCUUCUGGAAAGACAUCCGGAAAGUCUCGGACUACCGGAACAUCCUCAAGGUCUAGAAGGGGGUUGAUAUUUAGGGAGUAAAGUUGGCGCUUGGCCACUCGAGUUAAGACAUUAACUGUCUUGCCCGAUGGGUAAGUUGAACGGUUCUAGUGGCACAGUCAAUCUUAGCAUAAUGAGCUGACUUCCAGUCCAUACCUAAGAUGAUGUUUAUGUCCGAGGACUUGAGAGCUAUUAAGGCUGCAAGGAAGACAAGUCUAUCGACAAGAAUUCGUUCCCAUGGCUUACUCUAGAAGUUUGCCAUCUAGAGCCAGGGGUUUGAAUUUCCAUGGUAGAGGGCAUGUCACAGAAUGUGGUGUUGUGCAAUCGAGCAUAGUUCUCGGAUAUGAAUGAAUGAGAUGCUCCAGUAUUGAAAAGAACAGAUGCCGGAUGGCAGUUAACAAGGAGCGUACUAAGGACGACGUUGGGAUCCUCAUGAGCCUCCUCGGCUGAAACAUAGUUGACAUGGCCACGUGCAGUGGUGGCCGGCUUGGCGUAGAAUGUUUUUCCGACGGGCUUACCACGGCCAACGGACUUUCCAGUUUGAUUGGGGUUGUUGUUCUGGGGACACUCUCGGCUAUAGUGACUCGGCUCUCCACACUUAAAGCAUGUCACCACAUUGGGGCGUGGAGCAGCAUUAGCAGCGGGGCCACCAUAGGGCUUGGGCGGUGCAAAUUGCUGGUUGGGACGUGGUACCUCAAAGGAUGGCCUCGGGAUGAACCUGGGUGGCAGUGCCGUGCUUGGAAUCCACACCCGGCGCUUCUCAGCUCCAGAGCCAGAUGAAGAGCCAAAAUCACGGGAGUGCUUGCGUGAAGCGUCAUAAUCAGUCUGGCUUGUCUCAGCACUGAUGGCUUUAUUGACCAACUUCUGAAAGGAGGUGCACUCGUGCAGAUGAAGAUCGCGGCGAAGCUCAGGGCUAAGUCCCUUGCGGAACCUUGCCUGCUUCUUAGCAUCAGUAGAUACCUCUUCGGGGGCAUAACGUGCCAGAUUCCCAAAUUCACGACUGUAAGCAUCCAUAGUCAGUCUUCCUUGGGUGAAGUUGAAUAACUCCUCCCUCUUGCGAUCCAUGAGACCUUCCAGAAUGUGAUGCUCACGGAAAACCUCACUGAAUUCAGCCCAAGUAGUGAUUUGGCCGACUGGGCGCAUAGCUUCGAAGUUUUCCCACCAAAGGCUAGCAGGGCCUUCGAGGUGAUAGGCAGCAUAAGUAACCUUCUCGGCUUCGGCUACGUUGGCAGAACGUAGCUUGUGGGUGAUGCUGCGAAGCCAGUCAUCCGCGUCGAGGGGCUCGACGGAAUGGUUAAACUUUGGUGGGUACAGCUUGAUAAAGUCAUUGAUUGACACCAAGUCAUUUUGCGGGUGGCGUGAAGUGUUUUGCUCAAUCCGCUCCAGCAGGCGGUUGGUCUCACGCUUGUUUCUUUCCGCCUCCAGCAUUACUUCAGCCAAAGAAGGCAUGUGAGGCAGAUUUUCACCUCUAGCAGCACUGGCUUCCCCCUGCUCCGGGGCUGCAGGGUUGCUGCGGGUGUUGACCAUCCUAGGAGAAAACAAGACAACGGUUUAGACAAGGAUGGCUCAAACUUAGCAAGGAAGUGCAUAAUGUAAUGGAUAACACGGAAUGCAGAGAUGUUCAUCCGUAUGUCAUGGUAAUAUAAAACUGCAAUAUAUAUACCAACGGUCAUACACAUCAUACAUAGUUUAGUACAAGCCCAGGCUACAGUACAACUAUGAUGAAAGACGUUACAUCUCAUCGGAGGCAUUCCAAGAUCCUAUACAUUAUUGUCUACACCUCCGGAAUUGAUUACACGCAAAGUCAUAUUCCACAAGUCACGCAGGACAGUGGAGAUACAACUACUACAAUACUAGUGGUACUACUAUGUCACGACCGGUUUUCCAAUAAAAAUAUUUAUUGAGAAACCAAUCUUUUGAGUCCAGUAUGAGGGAAAUCCUCCUCACUGGUAGACAAAAUUCUUGAUACAAUAAGCCAGUAGCAAAGAAUAUAUUACAAGGUUGAGCUAGGGCUGCUCAACAAUUUAUAACAAGCGCGCCAACAAUUAUAUAUAAUGGCGGAUAUACCACAAUGGUGUGGUGGCAUACUACUGACUCGGGGAUAAAGUGAUGGUGGAAUAACACAGUGGGGAGUGUGAUAACAUGACUCUCAAACUGGCAUCUCAUCGAGCGUCGAGGUGAGGCUCGAUGAAUUUUAUUCGGGUUGCGGAAGCGAAUAUAAUACAUUGACCGAAUCCAGGGUCGCACGAGACUGAUUGGGACUCCUCUAGGCGUCGGACUCGCUAUCGAACUAUUCAUCCAUGAGAUCGCCUUCGUCAGCAUCUGGCCAAAUCAACAAGCCAGUGAGUACUUUGAUAGUACUCGCAAGACAGUUUGGACUUAAGAUAUAACAAAUGCAUGCAUGAAUGCGUCAUGAUUAAUUCACCAAAUGUGCAUUCCAAAAAUUAGCAUAACAAAGCAAGUAAAAGGGAAACGGCGGUAGUCCGCCUGAAAUCCCAACAAAAGCAUAAAUGAAAACCGAUCGGGUGUCUGAAGCGAUGCCUCGAAAGGUGAACAAAUAAAUAAAGGAGAAAGUCAUGCCACAGUCGGGCGUCUUCACGACACCACAUAAAGGGCUUUGAAAGAAAUGCCACAGUCGGACGUCGGGGCGACAUCACAGAAAGGGCUUUAAAAGAAAUGCCACAGUCGGACGUCGGGGCGACAUCACAGAAAGGGCUUUAAAAAAAUGCCACAGUCAGAANNNNNNNNNNNNNNNNNNNNNNNNNNNNNNNNNNNNNNNNNNNNNNNNNNNNNNNNNNNNNNNNNNNNNNNNNNNNNNNNNNNNNNNNNNNNNNNNNNNNNNNNNNNNNNNNNNNNNNNNNNNNNNNNNNNNNNNNNNNNNNNNNNNNNNNNNNNNNNNNNNNNNNNNNNNNNNNNNNNNNNNNNNNNNNNNNNNNNNNNNNNNNNNNNNNNNNNNNNNNNNNNNNNNNNNNNNNNNNNNNNNCGGACGUCGGGGCGACAUCACAAAAAGGGCUUUAAAAGAAAUGCCACAGUCGGAUGUCGGGGCGACAUCACAAAAAGGGCUUUAAAAGAAAUGCCACAGUCGGACGUCGGGGUAACAUCACAGAAAGGGCUUUAAAAGAAAUGCCACAGUCGGACUUCGGGGCGACAUCACAGAAAGGGCUGUAAAAGAAAUGCCACAGUCGGACGUCGGAGCGACAUCGCAGAAAGGGUUUUAUUCACAAGUAAAUAAUAAUCAUAAUAAAUAUUCAAUUCAUGAUAAUAAACAGGUUAGUCCAUCCACAGGAAUAACAUUUAGCCGGGCUUAGCACUCAUGGGAUUCACCGGAGUCUCUGUCAUCAAACUGAUACUGUUAGGCCAAGAUGAUACGAAUUUGGACAUGGAAUAGAUGAUUCAAGGAAUGUAUGACUCUGCAGAGUUUGUACAAAAUUUUUUCCCACAGCCAACGGAUUUCCGUAGUCACGAGGGACUAGUUCCGUUUACGGUUUUUCGGAAGAAAACACAGCUAACCAAUACACACCCAUCCUACCUCUCGAUGCCAGGACUCACCCUAGACAUCGUCCAAGAAAAACUUUUGAGACGGGGAGAUCACAAUCUCGAAUAGCAUGGGAUCAAAUUUAUAUAUGCGCGCUCUAAGGGGUGCCCCCCUCUCGGUCCCAACCGGAAACACCCAUGCCCCCUGACCGGAUGACUGGCUUUAAUCCAGGGCCAUGGAACCAUCAUCCUGGCCUCUCCUUUUGGUGUGUACCAGGAAAGCGGUUUGCAACUUACUAAGCCAUAUUCCUUGCGAAAAACAUGUGGUAGUACAGGGAAGGAAAUGGGAGGAACUGGACUGGUACGGUUUGACCCUGAAGUCAUAUAGUCUGGCAUAAGACUGGCAUGCUACAACACUGCCAUCUUACCCAUCCUCAUGCCAACACAUGGCCAUUCAUACUCACAUCCAUCCACUUAUGGAUCAUCGAACUCACUUACCUCAACAUUUCAUAAAAAAAAUAACGUUCAUCGGUAUGCUCAUCAACAUGCCAUGAAACUAACUAAAUGCAAAACAUGCCAAGACACUCAUCAUAUCAAAAGUUCAAACAUGCUUGCCUGGUUCAGAGUAGUCGGAGCCUAGCUCGGUGAAGUUCGCGGCUCCGUCACCUCCUUCGGUAUCUAUGGUAUAAAGAAAAUAUAUGCGCUAUCGUAAAUUCCAAGAGGUGCACAGAAAGUAUUCCAAAUAUUUUUCAAAUAAAUAUGAUAAAAAACUAGACAAAAAUCUGAAGAGGACAGGAAAAGAAUCACUCAAAAAUUCCUUUCUGUUAAAAAGUUAUAAGGGUUUUAAUCCAAGGACUUAUCUGUAAUGAAACAGAAAGUUUCCAGGGGCUAGUUUAUAAAAACAGAAAACGCUUCGGCAGAAACUACGCCAGCCCAGAGGGAAGGCGCAUUUGGCAGAAGGCGUUUUCAGAAAACGAUUCGCUUAGACAGGAUAGAGAGGCUGACAGCGGGUCCCGCCCGUCAGGUUUAAACUUUCAAACGGGGGGGGGGGCAGAUUUCGCCGGUGCCCGAGAGCCGCGGUGGUCGCCGGCGGCGAUCCACGGCCAGGCAGGGUGAUCGGAGAUUACCAACGUGCUCACCGUGUCCUUCCGCAAUGGUGGGUGGUGGUGUUGGUCGCCGGUGAGCACCACGUCGACGCAGAGCUUGGUCGGGAAGGUUUAGGGAGUUGGGCGUCAUCGCGAAGUUGCACCGGUUCCAUUUAGGUGCUAAGCGAGCUUGGAUUGGGGUGCUAAGGGCGAAGUCGACGGAACGGGGCGGCGCGGGCCCGUCGGCGGCAGGGAGCAUGUUUCGUGCUUGCCGGGCCGCAGUGAUGGUGCCACGGGCGUGCGCUGGCAUGCAUGAGGACAUGCGGAGAGCCAGGGAGCUUUGGGUGGCGCCGAACGGCGUUCUGCCGUGGUGUGCCUUCUGUCGGCCGCCACAGGAGGUCCCGACGCCGCAGAAGACGCCGGCGAGGGCGGGCCAGCGCGCCACUGACGCCAGGAAAGCUCCAAGCACGCGUGUGAAGCUCCGGACAAGAGGGAGGGGCUGCGAGCAUCGAGCCAAAGGCACUGUGAGCAUAUGCCUGAAACUCUGAAGAAAACGACACUGUAAAACUGAAUUUUACUGAACUUUUCUGAAAAAUGCAAAGAACAGUGCAGCUCAGGUGAUCGACAGAAUGUUUUUGGCAUCUAGGGAUUUUUCCUUGAGCUAAAACUUGGUGGAGUGGCCUCUCAUUGCUCCAGUAGGCUGCCUGAAUUUUGGUGGAAUUUUUUUGGAGAAGUGUAGAUAUGAAUUUCACCAAAUUUGGCAAAUCUGGUCCAAACUUGCAGUGAGUGAAAUUGAAAUAUUUGAAAAGAAUAAGAGUGGAUCAAGAUGGUUCUAGGUUGUGGGUACUAAAGACAAUCCAGGGAAGUUGGUUUGGGAUAAAAACUCAAAGGCAAAGUGAUACUUGCUUUGAAAAUCACUUAAGCUCAAAAUAAAUGGCAGAAAUGUUUUGGGGGAUAAAAUAAUUGAAAUAAAAUCCAAAACUUGUUUGGACUUGUUGAGACAGAGAAUUUAGAUUGUUCAAAGGUGGAGGGAUGGAUUUUGAGAGGAUUUACUAUAGGAGACAUGGUAAAACCAUGGGUGUUUUCAAAAAGAAAGAAGUCCCAAAACUCCUAGGGUUUCCUUUUUUUUGAAAAAAAUAAGUUUGAGAGGGUAACAACCAGAAGGAAAAGCUCCCAAAAACUUCAACACCAAAUUUGAAAAGGGAAAAGAAAAUCCUUGACAAAGGAAAGGAAGUUUUUAAGAGGAAGGAUUUCUGGAAAAGAAAUUUUUAAAAAACCCUCUUUUAAAAUCCAACAAGGUUUUGAUAAAAACCAAAUUAAAAUUUUGGAGUGUCACAGCACUUACCCCCUUAGGAAAAAUCUCGUCCCCGAGAUUUCAGCUGAUCCUUAAAUAAGCGAGGAUGCUCUGUCCGAAGAAAAUCCUCUCUUUCCCAAGUUGUUUCACUGUCGGUGUGAUUGCUCCACUGGACUUUGAAAAACUUGAUGGUCUUCUGUCGGGUCCUCCUUUCAGACUCCUCUAAUAUUCUUACAGGACGUUCCCGAUAAGUGAGGUCUGGCUGCACGUCGAUGUUCUCAUGGGAUACUUGUUUCUCUGGGUUGCUUACGCACUUCCUCAAUUGCGAGACGUGGAACACGUCGUGGACAUCGGAUAAUUCCUCGGGUAAGUCUAGCUGGUAGGCUACCGUGCCUCUUCGUGCCCUUAUACAGAAAGGUCCGAUGAAUCUUGGUGCUAGCUUCCCUUCAAUCUUGAACCAUUGCAAUCCGCUCAUAGGGAUACUCUUAGGUAUACGAACUCACCGGGUUCGAAGCUGACCCCACGAUGUUUCUGAUCGUAAUAACUCUUCUGUCGACUUUGAGCAGUCUUAAGUCGGUCUCUGAUUAGUUUGACUUUUUCCUCGGCUUCUCUGAGCAUGUCUGGUCCGAAGAUGCGGCUGUCUCCGGUCUCUGACCAAUUUAACGGGGUACGACAUCUUCGUCCGUAUAAGGCCUCAAAUGGUGCCAUUUGCAGGCUGGCCUGGUAGCUAUUGUUGUACGCGAACUCGGCGUAUGGCAGGCUUUCUUCCCAACUAUUUUCAUAGGUGAGGACACAUGCUCUCAGCAUGUCUUCUAAAACCUGGUUUACGCGUUCUGUUUGCCCAUCGGUCUGUGGGUGGUAUGCGGUACUGAAGGCUAGUUGGGUUCCCAGAGCCUGUUGUAAAUGCUCCCAAAAGCUCGAGACGAACUGAGUGCCUCUGUCGGACAUUAUAGUCUUCGGGACACCGUGCAGACAAACUAUGCGGGAAAGAUAAAUCCUGGCAAGCCUCUGAGUGGUGUGGGUCGUCUUUAUUGGAAUAAAGUGUGCCACUUUGGUUAACCUAUCAGUGAUGACCCAUAUGGCAUCAUUCCCGUGUCGUGACCGAGGUAGUCCGACAAUGAAAUCCAUCCCUAUUUCAUCCCAUUUCCACUCAGGUAUUUUGUUCGGUUGCAGUAGUCCGGCUGGUCUCUGAUGCUCAGCUUUUAUGCGUUGACAUGAGUCGCAGCGCGCAAUGAAGGUGGCUAUGUCCCUCUUCAUACUGUGCCACCAAAAUCUUUCCUGAAUAUCUUUAUACGUUUUGGUUCCUCCAGGGUGGAUCGAGUACGAGGCGGUGUGGGCUUCAGCUAAAAUUUGCUAUUUAAGGUCUUCUAUGUUUGGCACGCAGAGUCUGUCUCCGUACCAUAAUAUUCCUUCAUUGUCUAUGACUAAUUCCGAGGCUUUGCCCAUACUCACCUUUCUUUUGAUGCCUUCGAUGCUGGGGUGACCGGGCUGAGCUCCUUUAAUUUCCCCCACAAGGUCGGGUUGUAUUUCCAAGUUUGAUAUGGUGCCUUCUGCUACCAUCAUCAAGUUGAGCUUGGCAAAUUCUUGUUGGAAUUCGGGCCUCAAUCUGUGCAAAUUGUUGUCGUCGGAGCUGGGAUUCCGACUAAGAGCAUCGGCCACUACAUUUGCUUUUCCUGGAUGGUAAUGGAUACCAACAUCAUAAUCCUUUACCAAUUCCAACCAACGUCGUUGCCGUAAGUUUAGUUCUGGCUGUGUGAAAAUAUAUUUGAGGCUUUUGUGAUCCGUAUAUAUUUCACAUCGAUUCCCAAGUAAGAAAUGCCUCCAUUCCUUGAGUGCAUGAAUAACUGCUGCCAUUUCUAAGUCAUGAGUGGGAUAAUUUUCCUCAUGCUUACGAAGUUGCCUUGAAGCGUAGGCGACAACCUUGCCUUCCUGCAUCAACACGCAUCCGAGGCCCUUUCUGGACGCGUCACAAUAUACUUCAAAAUUCUUGUGUAUGUUGGGUACAAUUAAUACCGGUGAUGUCGUUAAUUUCCGUUUUAGCUCUUGGAAACUUUUCUCGCAGGCUUCUUUCCAUUCAAACUUCUUGUCUUUCUUGAGUAACUGUGUCAUAGGCUUGGCUAUGGUGGAGAACACUUCAAUAAAACUGUGGUAAUAUCCUAACAUUCCCAAGAAACUUCGUAUGUCCGUUACGCUGGCUAGUGACAUCCAGCCAAGUAUGGCCUUGACUUUCUCUGGGUCCACUGCGAUACCGUCUUGGGUCAGUACGUGGCCUAGAAAGCCUACUUUUCUUAGCCAAAAUUCGCACUUGCUGAACUUGGCAUACAAUUGGUGUUUUCUGAGCUCUCCUAGCACAAUCUUGAGAUGUUCUGCGUGCUCUUCUGGUGUCUUGGAGUAUACCAGAAUAUCGUCGAUGAAUACCACGACGAACUUGUCCAUAAACUUCAUAAAUACUUUGUUCAUGAGGUGAACAAAAUAUGCGGGGGCGUUAGUUAAUCCAAAUGGCAUCACUGUGAACUCGUACAGUCCAUAUCUGGAGGUGAAGGCUGUUUUGGGAAUAUCUUCUGUUCGCACCUUUAAUUGAUGGUAUCCUGACCUUAAGUCAAUUUUUGAGAAUACCUUGGCCUGAGCGAGUUGAUCAAACAAAUCGUUUAUCCUUGGCAUCGGGUAUUUGUUCUUGACUGUGACCAUGUUAAGUGCUCGAUAGUCAAUACACAAUCUCAGUGUUCCAUCCUUCUUUUGGCAAAUAAAAUUGGUGAUCCCCAAGGUGAGGAGCUGGCUCGAAUGUAUCCUUUGUCUAGCAAUUCCCUUAUUUGUUUCUUCAACUCAACUAAUUUGGAUGGUGCCAUUCGGUACGGUUUCUUGUAUAUGGGGGUGGUUCCUAGUGCGAGCUCAAUGCUGAACUCUAUCUCUCGGUCUGGUGGCAUGCCUGGUUGCUCUUCAGGGAAUACGUCUGGAAAUUCACACACUACUGGAACCUUGUUUAGCUCAGAAAUGUCCACCUUAUUCAAUCUCGGUUGGCAGGGUAUUUUUCCUUCCUUGGCUGAUACUCUUAUUGUCUUCCCUUGGUGGUGUGUGAGAAUUACGGUCCUGUUGAAACAGUCGAUAAACCCCUUGUUGGUGGUUAGCCAAUCCAUCCCUAGGAUGACAUCCAGUCCUUUAUUUUCCAACACAAUAAGAUUUGCGUGAAACUCCAAUCCUUCGAACUCAAUGACCACAUUCUGACACUAAUUCUGAGUAACUUGCUGAAUCCCAGGGGACUUGAUGAUCAUGGAUUUCUCCAAAGGAAGCAUCGAAAAAUUAUUUUGCAAAGCAAAACUUUUCAAAAUGAAAGAGUGAGAAGCUCCAGAAUCAAACAAAACCGUUGCAGGUAUUGUGUUGACAGGAAACGUACCGAGUACGAUAUCCGGAGCAUUUUGUGCCUCCUCUUUGGUUACGUGGUUCAGAUGAUCCUUCCUGUGGUUGUUGUUGGGAUUGAAAUUGUUUCGCUUGGGCACUGAAUUACUGCCGCCGUUGUUCGGCUUUGGGGUUGAGUUCCUUGGCUUGGGGCACUGUUUGGCAUAGUGCCCUUCUUCUCCACAAGUGUAACAAGUAACGCCGGGGCGAUAUGUGAACUCCUUGUCCCUUGCAUGAAAAUUCUUGAUUGGGAGUGAGACGUUGGAUGAGGAUUUGUGCGUCCCACCCUUUUUGAAAUCUGUCUUGCUCCGGUGAUUGCGAGCAAGGUUAGUCUGGUCCCUUUUUCGCUUGCGGAUAUCUUCCAGACUGCGUCUCUCAUUCUCCAGAGUAAUGGCUUUGUCCACCAGUGUUUUAAAAUCAGGAAAAGUGUGCACGACCAGUUGGCAUUUAAGCGCGGGCACCAUACCGUCAAGGAAUUUCUCCAUCUUCUUGCUUUCAGUCAUACGCUCUUCAUUGGCGUAGCGGGACAAUAGAGUAAAUUGACUGUUGUAAUCUGACACUGUCAUGUUCCUUUGCUUGAGGUCGUCGAACUCUCUCUUCUUGAUUUUCAUAAUACUCUUAGGAAUGUGUGCACCACGGAAACCUUCCUUGAAAUCAUCCCAGGUUAUGUCAUUUUCAUUGGGAUGCAUGUGCAGAAAAUUCUCCCACCACGAUGCGGCUGCUCCUGUGAGAUAGUGCGGAGUAUACAGUGCUUUUUCGGGGUCUGAACAUUUUGCAAUAUCUCUAAGCCAGUCCUCGGCUUCAAGAGGUUUGUCAGUGUGAGAAAAUGUUUGGGGACGUGUCUUCUGAAGCUUAGAUAACUUGGAUUGCUGCUGAUACUGUCCAUGGUGAUUCCCCAUGUUGAUGACUUGGUUCAUCAUUUCACGAUGUUGUUGCUGACUUUGUUCAUAUAGGCGGCACAUUUGGGAAAGUGUCGUUUCACUGUCCUGUUGACUCGACUGCCCUUGUGUGAAAUUGUUGCCUGGUUGAGUGUCAUAAUUUUCCUCUGGUGGAGUAGGCAUGGAGCGAGUCCAAGGACGAGACAUUUUUCACUAUGGGGAUAUAAUUUGCAAAACUCAUAAGAAAAGCGAAAAUGGUCGCAAAAACAAAUCCAAAAUUGCACAAGGAUGGCAAAUAAUUUAAAUGACCAAGAUCACUUAAGAAAACAAAUCGAAUUGCGCACGGAGAAGGACUGCUCAUUACAUAUCUUACACGCGGGCGAUAAUUAUACAAUACAUCACUCAGGAUAUGUGUACAUAAUCCUGACAUGUUAUUUAGGCUAGUGCACUUCUCUAGUUCCUACAUGAUGCGCAAACAAGCUACUCCUCACAACCUAUGUACAUAUCUUACAAAGCGGUACAUCGCAUGACGGGCAAGCGCACUCAGCCGGAAAUGUUGACGAUCUCCUUGGCCCUGCCAAGGGUGAGGCGCAGUGAGGCUGGGGACUCGACCUCCUCCUCACUAAUAGGCUCCAGACGUGAAGAGCUGCGUCGGGUAGAUGGAGCGGGUGCCAGGGGCGGAGCAACACGAAUAGGAGUAGGCACAACGGGUGGUGCAGUGCGCGCUGGAGUGGGCGCAAUGGCCUGGUUGAACUCCUAAGUGGUAGGCGGGCGACGAGUAGGUGCAAAAGAUGCUGAUGACAAGACCAAAGUCAGUGGCGGUGCGGCGGGUAGGAGCUCCCUCCUAUUGGUGGCACAGCCAUGGAUUGAGUCCAUGCGGGCAGCUACGAAGUCGUCCACCAGGUUGUCGAAGGCUGCCUCCAGAGCCCGGAGAUACUCAAUAAGCAUCUCAAAAGCCUCAUCUUGUUCUCCUCUGGGGCAGGAGAAUGCGUAGUGACAGGUGUAAGGCACAUGGCAUGGAAGAUAGCGGUAGCGACGAGUCUUCAUCGCGGGAAGGACAUCCCUGAGGCGAGCUAUCGCCUCACGGGCUGCCAUCUGCAUAGCAUGCCUCUCCGUAGGCAUGGCUCUUCCCACGAACCGGAAGCGGCGUAACUCACCACGCCCUCCCCUGAACUGCACCGUGACCUGGUGCAUGGUCAGAUUGUCGCUGACCUUGUGCUGGUAGAGUGUGAAGACUAGGCGCACAGACAGCCCCAUCGCGACCUGAACGAUGAAGGAGAGAAGCUUGACGAACCCAUUGGGCACGUUGGCGAAGGUUUGAGACUCGCAGCUGUUGUCGGCCAUCUACAAAAGUAGGCAAAAUUCCUGCAUGGUCAGAUCAUAAAUUUAUGCUGACUGUCAGAAAAUGACUACCAUUGCAAAAAUAUAAAUUAGCUCUAUUAUGCUAAUAACGAAUUAGCGAUCGCACCUAGUGGCUUCCUACGGUCAGCCUGACUCUGAUACCAAGCUUGUCACGACCGGUUUUCCAAUAAAAAUAUUUAUUGAGAAACCAAUCUUUUGAGUCCAGUAUGAGGGAAAUCCUCCUCACUGGUAGACAAAAUUCUUGAUACAAUAAGCCAGUAGCAAAGAAUAUAUUACAAGGUUGAGCUAGGGCUGCUCAACAAUUUAUAACAAGCGCGCCAACAAUUAUACAUAAUGGCGGAUAUAACACAAUGGUGUGGUGGCAUACUACUGACUCGGGGAUAAAGUGAUGGUGGAAUAACACAGUGGGGAGUGUGAUAACAUGACUCUCAAACUGGCAUCUCAUCGAGCGUCGAGGUGAGGCUCGAUGAAUUUUAUUCGGGUUGCGGAAGCGAAUAUAAUACAGUGACCGAAUCCAGGGUCGCACGAGACUGAGUGGGACUCCUCUAGGCGUCGGACUCGCUAUCGAACUCUUCAUCCAUGAGAUCGCCUUCGUCAGCAUCUGGCCAAAUCAACAAGCCAGUGAGUACUUCAACAGUACUCGCAAGACAGUUCGGACGUAAUAUAUAACAAAUGCAUGCAUGAAUGCGUCAUGAUUAAUUCACCAAAUGUGCAUUCCAAAAAUUAGCAUAACGAAGCAAGUAAAAGGGAAACGGCGGUAGUCCGCCUGAAAUCCCAACAAAAGCAUAAAUGAAAACCGAUCGGGUGUCUGAAGCGACGCCUCGAAAGGGUGAACAAAUAAAUAAAGGAGAAAAUCAUGCCACAGUCGGGCGUCUUUGCGACACCACAUAAAGGGCUUUAAAAGAAAUGCCACAGUCGGACGUCGGGGCGACAUCACAGAAAGGGCUUUAAAAGAAAUGCCACAGUCGGACGUCGGGGCGACAUCACAGAAAGGGCUUUAAAAAAAUGCCACANNNNNNNNNNNNNNNNNNNNNNNNNNNNNNNNNNNNNNNNNNNNNNNNNNNNNNNNNNNNNNNNNNNNNNNNNNNNNNNNNNNNNNNNNNNNNNNNNNNNNNNNNNNNNNNNNNNNNNNNNNNNNNNNNNNNNNNNNAACCGAUCGGGUGUCUGAAGUGACGCCUCGAAAGGUGAACAAAUAAAUAAAGGAGAAAAUCAUGCCACAGUCGGGCGUCUUAGCGACACCACAUAAAGGGCUUUAAAAAAAAUGCCACAGUCGGACGUCGGGGCGACAUCACAGAAAGGGCUUUAAAAGAAAUGCCACAGUCGGACGUCGGGGCGACAUCACAGAAAGGGCUUUAAAAGAAAUGCCACAGUCGGACGUCGGGGCGACAUCACAGAAAGGGCUUUAUUCACAAGUAAAUAAUACUCAUAAUAAAUAUUCAAUUCAUGAUAAUAAACANNNNNNNNNNNNNNNNNNNNNNNNNNNNNNNNNNNNNNNNNNNNNNNNNNNNNNNNNNNNNNNNNNNNNNNNNNNNNNNNNNNNNNNNNNNNNNNNNNNNNNNNNNNNNNNNNNNNNNNNNCAGAAAGGGCUUUAAAAAAAUGCCACAGUCAGACGUCGGGGCGACAUCACAGAAAGGGCUUUAAAAGAAAUGCCACAGUCAGACGUCGGGGCGACAUCACAAAAAGGGCUUUAAAAGAAAUGCCAUAGUCGGACGUUGGGGCGACAUCACAGAAAGGGCUUUAAAAGAAAUGCCACAGUCGGACGUCGGAGCGACAUCGCAGAAAGGGCUUUUAUUCACAAGUAGAUAAUACUCAUAAUAAAUAUUCAAUUCAUGAUAAUAAACAGGUUAGUCCAUCCACAGGAAUAACAUUUAGCCGGGCUUAGCACUCAUGGGAUUCACCGGAGUCUCUGUCAUCAAACUGAUACUGUUAGGCCAAGAUGAUACGAAUUUGGACAUGGAAUAGAUGAUUCAAGGAAUGUAUGACUCUGCAGAGUUUGUACAAAUUUUUUUCCCACAGCCAACGGAUUUCUGUAGUCACGAGGGACUAGUUCCGUUUACGGUUUUUUGGAAGAAAACACAGCUAACCAGUACACACCCAUCCUACCUCUCGAUGCCAGGACUCAGCCUAGACAUCGUCCAAGAAAAACUUUUGAGAUGGGGAGAUCACAAUCUCGAAUAGCAUGGGAUCAAAUUUAUAUACGCGCGCUCUAAGGGGUGCCCCCCUCUCGGUCCCAACCGGAAACACCCAUGCCCCCUGACCGGAUGACUGGCUUUAAUCCAGGGCCAUGGAACCAUCAUCCCGGCCUCUCCUUUUGGUGUGUACCAGGAAAGCGGUUUGCAACUUACUAAGCCAUAUUCCUUGCGGAAAACAUGUGGUAGUACAGGGAAGGAAAUGGGAGGAACUGGACCGGUAGAGUUUGACCCUGAAGUCAUAUAGUCUGGCAUAAGACUGGCAUGCUACAACACUGCCAUCUUACCCAUCCUCAUGCCAACACAUGGCCAUUCAUAAUCACAUCCAUCCACUUAUGGAUCAUCGAACUCACUUACCUCAACAUUUCAUAAAAAAAUAACGUUCAUCGGUAUGCUCAUCAACAUGCCAUGAAACUAACUAAAUGCAAAACAUGCCAAGACACUCAUCAUAUCAAAAGUUCAAACAUGCUUGCGUGGUUCAGAGUAGUUGGACCCUAGCUCGGUGAAGUUCGCGGCUCUGUCACCUCCUUCGGUAUCUACGGUAUAAAGAAAAUAUAUGCGCUAUCGUAAAUACCAAGAGGUGCACAGAAAGUAUUCCAAAUAUUUUUCAAAUAAAUAUGAUAAAAAACUAGACAAAAAUCUGAAGAGGACAGGAAAAGAAUCACUCAAAAAUUCCUUUCUGUUAAAAAGUUAUAAGGGUGUGAAUCCAAGGACUUAUCUGUAAUGAAACAGAAAGUUUCCAGGGGCUAGUUUAUAAAAACAGAAAAUGCUUCGGCAGAAACUACGCCAGCCCAGAGGGAAGGCGCAUUUGGCAGAAGGCGUUUUCAGAAAACGAUUCGCUUAGACAGGAUAGAGAGGCUGAUAGCGGGUCCCGCCCGUCAGGUUUAAACUUUCAGACGGGGGUGGCAGAUAUCGCCGGUGCCCGAGAGCCGCGGUGGUCGCCGGCGGCGAUCCACGGCCAGGCAGGGUGAUCGGAGAUUACCAACGUGCUCACCGUGUCCUUCCGCAACGGUGGGUGGUGGUGUUGGUCGCCGGCGAGCACUACGUUGACGGCGGUCUUGACUCCGGCGGACGAUGGUUCGGGCGUUGAUGGAUCUCGCCGAGGAGGGCUGCAAGGAUCAAAUUGAGGUGGGGGUUAGAGCACUAGGUGUAAGAGAAGGCUACGGAUGAGGUUUGGGCGCCGGAGAUGGCCUCACCGGAGUGAAUCGAGGUGGAGGCCGAGGCGGAGCGAGGCGGCCGGAGUUGGGGAAGGAGACCUCCUCGAGGUCCUCCUGGUGGCUUGGCAGGGUCCUGGAGAGGUGCAGUGAAGGUGUGGGUCUCGUGAGCGAGCUCGGGGUCCUUUUUAUAGGCGAGCCGAGGCGGUGGCCGUGAAUGGGGAUCUCCGGCGAAGGUUACGGCGGCGCAGAGCUUGGUCGGGAAGGUUUAGGGAGUUGGGCGUCAUCGCGGAGUUCCACCAGUUCCAUUUAGGUGCUAAGUGAGCUUGGAUUGGGGUGCUAAGGGCGAGCUCGAUGGAACAUGGCGGCGCGGGCCCGUCGGCGGCAGGGAGCACGUUCCGUGCUUGCCGGGCCGCGGUGAUGGUGCCACGGGCGUGCGCUGGCAUGCAUGAGGCCACGCGGAGAGCCAAGGAGCUUUGGGCGGCACCGAACGGCGUUCUGCCGUGGUGUGCCUUCUGUCGGCCGCCACAGGAGGUCCCGACGCCGCAGAACACGCCGGCGAGGGCGGGCCAGCGCGCCACCGACGCCAGGAAAGCUCCAAGCACGCGUGUGAAGCUCCGGACAAGAGGGAGGGGCUGCGAGCAUCGAGCCAAAGGCACUGUGAGCAUGUGCCUGAAACUCUGAAGAAAACGACACUGUAAAACUGAAUUUUACUCAACUUUUCUAAAAAAUGCAAAGAACAGUGCAGCUCAGGUGUUCGACAGAAUGUUUUUGGCAUCUAGGGAUUUUUCCUUGAGCUAAAACUUGGUGGAGUGGCCUCUCAUUGCUCCAGUAGGCUGCCUGAAUUUUGGUGGAUUUUUUUUUGGAGAAGUGUAGAUAUGAAUUUCACCAAAUUUGGCAAAUCUGGUCCAACUUGCAGUGAGUGAAAUUUGAAAUAUUUGAAAAGAAGAAGAGUGGAUCAAGAUGGUUCUAGGUUGUGGGUACUAAAGACAAUCCAGGGAAGUUGGUUUGGGGUAAAAACUCAAAGGCAAAGUGAUACUUGCUUUGAAAAUCACUUAAGCUCAAAAUAAAUGGCAGAAAUGUUUUGGGGGAUAAAAUAAUUGAAAUAAAAUCCAAAACUUGUUUGGACUUGUUGAGACAGAGAAUUUAGAUUGUUCAAAGGUGGAGGGAUGGAUUUUGAGAGGAUUUACUAUAGGAGACAUGGUAAAACCAUGGGUGUUUUCAAAAAGAAAGAAGUCCCAAAACUCCUAGGGUUUCCUUUUUUUUGAAAAAAAUAAGUUUGAUAGGGUAACAACCAGAAGGAAAAGCUCCCAAAAACUUCAACACCAAAUUUGAAAAGGGAAAAGAAAAUCCUUGUCAAAGGAAAGGAAGUUUUUAAGAGGAAGGAUUUCUGGAAAAGAAAUUUUUAAAAAAACCCUCUUUUAAAAUCCAACAAGGUUUUGAUAAAAACCAAAUUAAAAUUUUGGAGUGUCACAACCUACUAACUCAGAUAGCUCCAUAGUAGUCCUCAUAGAAGUCACCUCCAUAGCCUGGAAGUUCAACGUGACCAUCCGGGAACAGACGGUCUUGAGGAGCCUGUGGACCAUAGGGGCUAGGAUGGGGUCUUGGACCAACAAACGGUGGCCUGCGGGGACCACGGGGUGGGGUGAUGCCUCCCACAUCACGCCAAUCCACCACGUCUGGCAAAGCAGACCUCACAGGAUACAGAUAUCUUGUAUACAUACAUCCAGCUUGCACCGCAGGUGCAAACCGAGUCAAUGUGGCCCAAUGAUCAGCACGGGUAUUAAAAAGCUCCAGCCUCAAGGCCCGAUUCUCUCGGUCCUUAUCUUCGAGCAUCUCGGCAGUGGUACGAGUUAAUGAAUCCUCCCGAGUGGAGUCAGCAUAGAUAGCCUGAAGAUACCGUUGCGCUCCCGGAAGUGAAGCUAGCAUGUAUCGGAAGUCGGUGUUCCGAAGCAGGCCAGUCCGGACUCGCAUGAUGGUCAUCAUGGAAUAGGCAGCAUCCUGCACAGCCAUCUCAACAGUAACCCCGACUCUCGGAAUAACUGACGGUGCAGAAAUACUGGCUUUGAUUAAAGUCUCGGAAUUGCUCUUCGACGGUGUAUUCGGGAUACCAACGGUAACCCGUCUCGAUCAUGACCCGGACUAACAUAGCAGUAUGACCGGGCACGUCGAGGCACCGGGUCAGGCGAACCACUUGGUUUUGAGCACGGUUGGGCAUUUUAAAGCACAACCACAAUGCGAAGACAUCAGAAUUUCUAGGGAAAAUUGGACCGCAUAACAGCUGUAAAUGCUCAGAAAAAGAUUUGAGACAUCCACAACAGUUCGCAAUACCACUCAACAACAUCAUAUCAAGGUUCUGAUCCAAAUAGCAACAUACUAAAAAUAGUAGAAACUGAACUGGGCUUGUAACAACAAUCCUAUAAGCUACUACGGAUUGGUAACACGUGAACCUGAUAGAAGAAGAGAGCCUAGUCCUUAACCCAUGUUGAAUGAGAAGGGAAUGACUCAGAUAAGAGGCAUAGGGUAAAGGAGUAAAAGAGCCUUAUGUUCCCUCCCACAAUCAAUUCCCCUACAUAUAACUAAAGCAUUUCUAGACUCGGCAUCGACCAGUUUGGCUCAACGAACCUACAGGCAGUCCAGCUCUGAUGCCAAAGCUGUCAGGACCCCGAUUUCAAGCCACAUCGAUCUAGCCGGUAACACCUCAUAUCACUUUGCGGCCUCACGCACGAUAUUCCACGGGUGUCGCCUUACCAUGGCCCGGGACCGUUUGUGCCUUUUGGCUCACGUAUAUGAUAGUGUCGCUAGCAUCCGUAUGACAGAGAACCCGGGCCGACAUGGCUAGUCGUGAACCCAAAGCGGCACAGACCUAUGGAGACAGGCAUACAUGAAUCACAUCGAGCAUGUCGGUCAUCAGCGAGUGAUUCCGGGCUGUAGCACUGGGCUAACAGGACUCCGGGGAACUCGGGCUGUAGCAGGCUAGGCAGGACUCCGGAAGUCACCGUGUGACAUUUCCCCGAAGGGACAGACAUAGGAACGAAGUGAAUCACAUGCCGGCCAGUCAAGUGUCCUGAGCAGUAGUGCUGGGCUAGCAGGACUCCGCUGAACCGGGCUGUAGCGGACUACUAUGGCUCGAGGAACACUAGACUACAUUUCCCCAUAAGAAAGGCUGCAAAGGAUAAACAACUAGAUUGUGGGAUCCCACUCAUACCAAGCAUUUCAAUCAUACACACAAUAUGCCCGAUAUGAGUACAUACAACAUGGCAUCACAACAAAACUCUACAACUCAAGUACUUUAUUUAAAGGCUCCAGAGAGCCAUACAUAACAUGUUCAUAUAGAUAGGGGUCACAUGACCCGACACUCAAGUCAUACAAUCAUACAAGCACAUGCGGAAGCAACGGGUCUUGAAAGUGCGUUAUAUCGGCUAGGGGGGGGGGUGAAUAGGCGAUUUUUAUGGAAGUCUUCAAAACGUGGAAGUUAUGAAGACAAACAGAGUGAACAAGCCUAUCACUAUGCAGCGGAAGUUAGAUUACACAACGCAAGCCAUGGUCAAGUAUACAAUAUAGUGAAAGCACAGUGACAAAUAGCUUCAGUGUAAUGAGGAUCAGGUUGGAAGAAGUUAUGAAGCCAAACAGAUCAUACAGUCAAGUUGUGAAGACAGAAGAUAAAGCAAGCAUGCAAUAGCUUCACAAUGUGUACUGGUAAGUAAAGGGAGGCGAAGAUGAAACCAGUGACACGUUGAAGACAAUGAUAUGUUGGACCAGUUCCAGUUGCUGUGACAACUGUACGUCUGGUUGGAGCGGCUAGGUAUUUAAACAAAAGGACACACAGUCCCGGACACCCAGUCCUGAACACGCAGCUCAGGACACCCAGUCCUCACCGUUUUCUCCUUGAGCUAAGGUCACACAGACCCCGCCCAAUCACUCUGGUAAGUCUUCAAGGUAGACUCCCAAACCUUCACAGACUUUGUUCACCGGCAAUCCACAAUUCCUCUUGGAUGCUCAGAACGCGACGCCUAACUGUCUGGAGGAUGCACAGUCCUCAAGUGUAAUAAGUCUUCAGAUCACUCAGACAAGAAGACUUAAGUGAUGCCCAAUUACUCUGGCUCUGGGUGGUUAGGGCUUUUCUCCUCACUAAGGAUUUUCUCUCAAUGGCUUCGAGGUGGGUUGCUCUCAAACGACAAAAGCCGUGCACUGAAAUCUGAGCAGCCAACCGUUUAUGGUUGUAGGGGUGGACUAUUUAUAGCCGCUUGGCAACCCUGACCUGAUUUGUCCGAAAUGACCCUGGGUCACUAAGGAACUGACACGUGUACUAACGGUCGGAUUUUGAACUCUCACGGCAACUUUACUUGGGCUGCAAGUAAAGCUGACUUUUCUGACUCUGGACAAGAUUUUCUCUCAUUGUCUUCACUCGAAGACAUAGGAUUUGAAUUAGGCAUCAUUUCAGUCAUCCUGACUGGUUCUCUUGGACCCCACUUAACAGUACGGUGGUUCCUAUGACACAACAUGAAUAAAGUAAAACUACAAAGGAUCUAAGUCUUCGAGUUCCAAAGGCUUCAUGGGGAGUCUUCAUAUGUCAUUGUCUUCGACAUGAAUGUCUUCAUGAACCACCAUUGUCUUCAAUGUCUUCGUACAUUUUUCGGGGUCAUCUCUGGUAACUAAACCGAAUCAAUGAGGGACUUCUACCUGUGUUAUCCUGCAAUUCUCACAAACACAUUAGUCCCUCAACUAGGUUUGUCGUCAAUACUCCAAAACCAACUAGGGGUGGCACUAGAUGCACUUACAAUCUCCCCCUUUUUGGUGAUUGAUGACAAACUAGUUGAAGUUUUCAACGGGGAAUAUAAUUUGUGAAAUUGUAAAGGAAUUGUCUUCAUAAGCUGCAAGGGCUCCCCCUGAGGAUGUGCAUAUAAGUGAUUUGCUUUUGGAACGCGAAUGCACAUAGCAGGUUGUAUUUGUGGGAAUCCACUUCAACUUAUGAUGACAAUCCAUCAUGCAUGUAAACAUAUAAGAAGAUAAUGAUAUGCAUAAUGAAAAAUGGACGCCUGCGAAAUGAUAUAAGUGCGGAAAUUAUCGUCGUACAUGCGGAAUUUAUCUUCGCAAAAACACAGUGGCAAACAUAGUAGCAGACGACCAUCAAGUUUAAGUGUUACAACUCAAAGAACCAAAUGUAGCAAAACGAGAGUUGUAAGCACGAAGCAAAAUAUAAUAAAGCACCAGCCCUUAUUAUUGACCCGCUUGAAGACUAUAAACAUCAUAUGCUUCUCCCCCUUUUGUCAGUGAUGACCAAAAAGGUUUGAAGGCAUAGAGUUUUCUACGUGUUCCCAGGCGCAGCAGGGUCGAUGGAGGCGUUUGGUGGAGCUGGCGAGCUUGGUGCAGUGAUGAUGCGCGCUGAAGAAGGUGGUGGUGAUGUAGCAUCGUCUUCUUCCUCAAUGAUUUUUCCAGUCACUAUGGCAGCAGAGGAAGAGAACUCUGAUUCUUCAAGCGACGGAGUUCCACGCAACACAGCUCUUCUGGGGGGUGUGGAGUCAAACUUGAAUCUCUCUUUGAAGCCAUCCUCUUGCAGUUCAGCUUCAGUGCACAUCAUUGUGAGGCCUUUCCAAGUGCGGCGACAGGUUUCAUGUGCGACAAAGGCAUUCUUGGUGGCCAGAUUCCUGAUGCGAUUGACUUCUUGCAUGAUACUGCGCAUCUGCCUUUUGAGCCAGUCGUGAUGCCUAUCUUGCUUUUGGUGCAGAGCCACAAGAAGUUCACGGUCAGUGAGUGUACGAGCGCGUUUCUUGGGUCUCUGUGCAGCUGUGCUGUCAGUGGCUUCAGUUGAUGCAGGGGCACGCGUGGUGCCAGCCAUUGGAUAGACUCUGGAAAUGGCUUCAACACCUUCAUCAUGCUGAGUGAAGCUCUGGUGUUCUACAUUCUGAAGACUUAAUGGCUGCUUGGCAGGCUCAGGAUAAAUCGCUUCAGCAGAGGUGUCCACAUCAGGUAAGAAGAUUCUGUGGUUGCGGGCAGAGUGUUGAUAGGAUAUGGUAGAGUGGAGCUUGAUGAGCCUCAUAACCCAUGGAGCAUAAAUCUUCAGACCAAAGAGAUCUGAGCCAAACGCUGCUAGUUGACGUAUAAAGAGAUCCUGGGCAUUGAAGCAUUUGCCAUGCAGGAUGCAGAAGAUGAGAGUCUUCAUGGCACCUUCAACCUUGGCAUAUCGAGAGUGCCCCUUAAUGGGCCAUAGAGUCCGCCUGAUGAUGUGAUAGAUAGUUCUAGGCAGGUACUCUAAGUCUUCAACGAAGAACUCGGUUGGGUAAGGUGCGUCAGGAGGCAAUGGCUUCAUCAUUGAGAGCAUCUGACUCAUAUUUGGCUCAGGUCGCUGAAAUAUGCUCUCAACUGCUUCAGCAUGGAGUUGGCAGCCUUCUUCGAAGAGUUCGCCUGGAGUGGGUAGGCCGGUGAGCUCAAUGAUAUCAAAUGCAUUGGCUUCAUGAUGGACGUUGCCGGUCAUCCACUCCAGGACCCAAGUCUUUGGAUCUUUGUUGUAGCCUUUGAUGUGCAGUGUGGCAUAGAACUGGAGCAGAAGCUCUUCAUUCCAGUGCUCUUCAUCCGUGACAAACGGCAGCAGGCCAACUUGCUUGAAGCAGUCCAGUGCUUCUUCCAGACCAGGCAGACCAGCAAUAGCUUCAACCUCAAGGCGCUGGUGUGGAAAGAUACGGCCUUGGUUGUAGAGGACGCAGAAGUAGUAGCUGCGCUGUGGGUAGCUCCAGAACCUAUCUAACACAAUCCGUUCCCUUGAGUAAGGGUUCUUGGAGCGGUUGAAGAAGGUGUUACCUGCCCUGAAGCUAUUGACAUUAAAGGAGCCAGGAGCGGUGGCAGGACCUGGGAACCUUGGCAGUCGUGGGAUUGGCUUCUGUACCUGGGGCCUGUGCGCAACAUGAUAGUUGAACUGUGGACCGGCAGCAGACUCAGGCACAGAAGGGUCAGAGGCAGAAGCUUCAGUAUCUCUUGAAGCUGUUGGUUGGUCGGGCUCCACAAAUGCUUCAGUAUUGGGUGUGGCAGCCGCAGUGGUGUCAGCCUCAUCACGUGUAGUGAGAGGGAUGGAUUCAGGUACGUUCUCCUUGAGAACUUCUUCUUGUUGGUGUGGGGGAGAUGGAGCUUGAGGUUCUUCAUGCUCUUCUUCAUGUUCUUCGGCUGAUGCAGCCGGAAUGUCGUCAGCAGUCUGAGCCCUUGGCCCUUUGCGAAGCCUACGGAAUGCAGGCAACGCCGGUGGAGUUGCAGUGGGCUGGGGCUCAUCCUCUUCCUCCUGCGGGCGAUCUGCCCAUGAUGCAUCUUGGGUGAUUGGCGUCAAGGGACGACCAAUGCUGAUCAUUUCACUCGUUUCGAGCUGAGGAAGGACUGCAUCACCUUGCACAUUGUCUUGGAGACCAAUGUCUUCAGCAGCGUUGGAGUCGGCUGCUGGAAUGUCUUCAGCAUGCGGAGCCUUUGUGAGAGCAGGCUCAUGCACGGUCAGCUGACGAUCUUCAUGAGGAAAGCAAACGGAGAGGGGUUCGACUAUCAAGGGCUCUGUGGGAGCAGCCCGAGACUUCUUGUUCUUGCGCUUCUUGAUGGUGGGGUCUAAAGGAGAGGCUUCAGGGUGUUUCCUCUUCCUUGCUUCAGCUUCGGCUGUCCUUGUCUUCUUAACCUAUGAAGCGGUUGAGCGGUGCUUUGGCUUCGAGCCAGGCUUGGCAGUGGGGAAGACAAUCGGAACAGCUUCUUGUCGUGGGGCCUCUUGUUCAGCCACAGUGGGCUUCUUCUUUUUCUUAGCGGCCAUCCUGGGGUCGAUGCUGGGACGCCCAAGCGCCUUUCGCUUCUCGGACUCAUUGUAGGCCUGCACACAGAGAUCAGCCAAAUUCUUCAUGCGCUCACGUGAACCCUGAGCCUCUGCACGUUUCUGCAUAAAGUUUUCCUUCAACUCGUGCAGCAUGACUUUGAAGUCUUUGACUUCUUGGACGCUGAGCGUGGCCAUGUUCUGCUUGAACUGAGCCUUUUCAAAAUCUAUCUUCUGCUUCAGUUCCACUAUGCGCUGGGCAAUUGCGAGUUCUGAAGCAAUAGCUCCUUGGAAGGCUACGCUGAGGCCAAUGGGCAGCUGCAGAUCAUGGAAGCUGAUGUUGGGUGUAUCAAACCACUCAUCAAUGAAGUUGUGGAUGAUUGCUGCAUCGAACAAAGGCAGAUUGUUGAAGAUUUCAGCCUCCUCCUUGCUCUUGAUUAGCUGCUCAAGAGCGUCAUCGGCAAGAUCGUCGUCACUUGACAGAUCAAUGGCCUCGCAGCGCAGAACGGCUGCGGCAGUGAGCUCUUUGUCAGUAUGUGGCUGAUGCUUCUUGGCUUCUUGGGGCUUGGAGACUCGUGAUAAGUCUUCAGACUGCACACUUGCUUCAGGAGGUGCAGUGGCCAAUGGCUUCGCUCUGGAGAUCUUGGGAGAAGCGGCUGGCUUGGAAGCUUUUGGCUUCUUCUUCAUCUGCUUCGGCUCCGGGGCAGCAGGAGCGUCAUCAGACUCAGUGUCUACUGGAGGGUCGUUCACGGCAGUCCCUUGGACUAGAAUGCGAGUGAUGAGGCCUUUGAGAUUGGCAUACGGCCCGAUGACAUUGGGAUUUGCAUCGCGUGUGCCAUCCGCCCUUGGCUUAGAGGGACCAGGGUUGAAGUCCAGUCCAAACUCCUUCUUGUUUUGCUUCGCAGAGUUCUGAGCAAAUUGGAAGUUGCGCUUGAAGAGAUUGUCAUCGCGACACCAGAGAAGUGAUGACGGAUGUGCCUCAGCUGGCUGUGGUCCUCUGACCAUGCAUGGAUAGAAGCCUUGAGCAAUGGCUUCGUCUCUGGACCGGGGUACGAGAUUUUUGUACAAGACAUCUCCCCAUGGCCUCUGGAUGGCGCACUUCUCUGCAUAUUCCUUGGCGACGAAGCGGUAUUGGAACCACUGCUCUGCCCAAUAUCUUCGAAUCCAUUGGAUUCGUGUCUAGCGCUGACCAUAGCUCUCUUCAGGAUCAGUUUGGUACAUUUCUGCCAAAUCUUCAGGCAGAUCUUUAGACGUUUCACCACGUCUCUGUCUGCCUCCCUUCCUUGCUGGUUUUUCUGUUGCCAUGAAGCUUAACUUGGAAGGCUUCAAGAGAUUCAAAGUCUUCAAAGGCUUCCUUUUGCUUGACCAACAGGAACUUGCUUCGGGUGAAUUGAUGUGACGCUGUAGGAACUCUGCAAAUGAAUGCAGACUAUGAGAACCAAAAGAUUCUCCCACGGACAUGUACCUGUGACAGCAUUAAGGUGCGAGGGAAGGGGAAGAGGUCAUAUGCAUUCUCAAAAGAUUUUGAAGAUAAAUCAGUUUAGAAGAUAUUGACCUCAUCAUGCGAAGACAUUCACUUUAUAGAAAAGAAGUUGGUUCCAGAUUUGUACGAACCCAUAGAUCAGUACAAGUGAGGAAUCUAACUACUUCAUGAAGAACAAGUGAAUAUACUAGGCACGUUAUGAGAUACAGAUGAGAGGGAUUAAACUUUUGUGAAUGGAAACCUCUUUUGGCAGAAAGUGAUGGAGCUAUAGGAUCAAAAGAGGCUGUAAAAAGACUUGUUAUUUACCAGACUUGGAACUGCUAGACGAGGUGAGAGUUGAGGCCGAGCAGUUCGAUCCUCCGUGCCCUAACUUGGCGACGGAAGACACCUAGGGCGACGGCGGAGAGACUGAUGUCCGCUGUCGGCGUGAGAACGGCAUCGGAGAGGUUGCGGCAGUGAAGCACUUCGUCGCCGGCGUCGUUGAGAGUUAGCGGUGGCGCUAGGGUUUGUGCGAGGGUGGAAGAAGAGAUAAUGACCGCAGUGAAACGUGUAUUUAUAGGGAUAUGGGCGGCACUGCGCUAUUACUCAGGUGCCCCUGGCGAUUCGCAUCUGAUCAGUACGUGGCCAGCAUGCGGAAUUGUGGGGGCAGUUUCACCCCACGCACGCCUGGUUUGUCGGAAGCCGUUCCUACUUCUCUGGAUUUCUUGUUGAUGAAAAAACAUUAAAAUCUGUUUUAAAGUUUGUCUCUGUGUCUUCUUCUGACAAGGAUGCAGUGAAGACAUUCGACAGUUUCAAUAGAAUGCAUAGACUUGGAGAGAUAGAGUUUGAGGUAGGAAGCAUGGAGAGGUUAGGGUCCGAUCACAUUCACUUAGUUCAAAAGAUUCAAACAAGAAGACAUAGCUAUAAGUGAAUGCUGUAGAGGACAGAACACCAGUACAUAUAUAAUCAACAUAGUGAAGAUAAUCAUGAAGACAUGUUGAGAUUGAAGCUAAACCAAAUGUGAAGACAUAGCAAAUGUAAUGCCAUGAGUGAAACACUUCAAGCAGAAAAAUUUGGUGGUGGCGCUACCCACCGUAUAGGAAGUAUUGGACCCAGACACGGCGCACAAUUAUCGUGGCGCUCCGAGGUCAAAUUCCACGUUAAUGUGUUCACACUUAGAAUGUAUGUCUUCAUUGAUUGAAGAUAUACGUUACUUCGUGUGUUGCACAUCUAAGUCAUCAUCAUGCAUAAGUGUUAGGAUGUGUGCCUGAUCACAGGACAUUUGAGGAUUCCAAGAUAUUUAGCUCACACCGUAACUUGCAAAAUCUCUUCUCAUCCAAGGGCUUGGUGAAGAUAUCUGCCAAUUGCUCUUUAGUGUUGACGUGUAUGAUAUCAAUGUCUUCCUUUGCAACAUGAUCUCUGAGAAAAUGAUGACGAAUUUCAAUGUGCUUUGUCUUCGAGUGCUGAACUGGGUUGUUGGCGAUCUUGAUGGCACUUUCGUUGUCGCAGUAAAGUGGCACUUGCUUCAGAUGAAUGCCAUAAUCCUUGAGGGUUUGCUUCAUCCAUAGAAGCUGAGCGCAGCAGGAUCCAGCAGCAAUGUAUUCAGAUUCAGCAGUGGAGAGAGAUACACAGUUCUGCUUCUUUGAAGACCAACAGACAAGUGAUCGCCCAGAAAGUGACAUGUGCCUGAUGUGGACUUCCGAUCAACCUUGUCACCAGCGUAAUCAGCGUCCGAAAAUCCAACCAGAUCAAACUCUGAGCCCUUUGGAUACCAUGACCCUAGAGUUGGGGUGUGAGCCAAAUAUCGAAGAAUUCGCUUCACAGCUAAGUGAUGCGACUCCUUUGGUGCCGCUUGAAACCGAGCACACAUGUAAACACUAAGCAUAAUAUCUGGCCUAGAUGCACAUAAAUAAAGCAAAGAACCAAUCAUGGAGCGGUAUACCUUUUGAUCGAACUCUUUACCAUUGUCGUCAGGACCCAGAUGAUGUUUGGCUGGCAUUGGUGUUGUGAAGCCUUUGCAGUCUUGCAUACCGAACUUCUUCAGGCAGUCUUUGAGAUAUUUCUCUUGAGAUAUGAAGAUGCCAUUGCGUUGUUGCCGUAUCUGAAGACCGAGGAAGAAUUUCAGCUCCCCCAUCAUAGACAUCUGAUAUUGCUCUUGCAUCAUAUAUCCGAACUCCUCACUGUACUUCUGAUUGGUGCAGCCGAAGAUAAUGUCAUCCACGUAUAUUUGGCACACAAACAGUUCACCAUCAUAUGUCUUUGUGAAGAGAGUGGGAUCCAGGGAACCAGGUAUGAAGCCUUUGCUCUUCAGGAAGUAUUUGAGUGUAUCAUACCAGGCCCGAGGGGCUUGUUUGAGGCCAUAUAGUGCCUUUUUGAGCUUGUACACCAUGUCAGGAUGUUUUGGAUCUUCAAACCCAGGUGGUUGUGCAACAUACACUUCUUCUUCAAUUUUGCCAUUGAGGAAGGCACUUUUUACAUCCAUUUGAUACAGGAUUAUGUUGUGAUGAUUUGCAUAGGCCAGCAGUAUACGGAUGGCUUCAAGUCUGGCAACAGGAGCAAAUGUUUCAUCGAAGUCAAUGCCUUCGAGUUGAGUAUAUCCUUGAGCAACGAAACGAGCCUUGUUUCUGACGACUUGGCCAUGCUCAUCUUGCUUGUUGCGGUAUAUCCAUUUGGUGCCUAUUAUGUUAUGCUUCCAUGGAUCAGGACGCUUAACCAACUCCCAUACAUUGUUCAGCUCAAAUUGUUGAAGCGCUUCUUGCAUAGCUUGAAUCCAUUCAGGUUCCAUAAAGGCUUCAUCAAUUUUCCUGGGUUCUGUCAUUGAAACGAAUGCGAAGUGUCCGCAGAAGUUUGCCAGUUGAGUUGCCCUUGAAUGAGUCAGUGGACCAGGUGCAUUGAUGCUAUCAAUUAUUCUGCAAUCUGCACUUCAUUGGCAACAUGAGGAUGUAGGGGUCGAAGACUUUGCUCUUGCUGAUCUACGUUGUCAUGGGGAGGAAUGUCUUCAGGCUGAGCGUUGUCUUCAUGUGGAUCAGGUGCUGAGAUGAUAAGUUCUUCUUCAGGACGAGCUUCAGAAGGUAUAAUUUCUCCAGUUCCCAUUAGCUUGAUUGAUUCACUGGCUGGAACUUCAUCUAGCACAUCUGGUAGUUGCUCUCUUUGUGACCCAUUGGUCUCAUCGAACCGCACAUCCACUGUUUCAACCACUUUGUAGUGGAAGAGAUUGGAGACUCUGUAGGAGUGCGAAUCCUUUCCAUAUCCAAGCAUGAAGCCCUCAUGUGCUUUUGGAGCAAAUUUUUAGGUGUGGUGAGGGUCCUUGAUCCAGCAUCUUGAUCCAAAUACUCUAAAGUACCUUACAUUUGGCUUCUUGCCAGUCAGAAGUUCAUAAGAUGUCUUGUUCAGCAGCUUGUGAAGAUAUACACGGUUGAUAGUAUGGCAUGCAGUGUCAAUGGCUUCAGUCCAGAAUUUUCUUGGUGUCUUGUACUCAUCUAACAUUGUUCUGGCCAUCUCAAUGAGUGUUCUGUUCUUGUGUUCGACGAUGCCAUUCUGUUGUGGCGUGUAUGGAGCUGAGAAUUCAUGAGUGAUGCCCAAUGUAUCAAGAUAUGUGUCAAGGCCGGUGUUCUUGAAUUCUGUGCCAUUGUCACUUCUGAUGUGCUUUAUCUUGGCGCCAUAAUUGUUCAUUGCCCGAUUUGCGAAGCGUCUGAAGACAUCCUGCACUUCAGUCUUGUAAAGGAUUAUGUGCACCCAAGUAUAUCUAGAGUAAUCAUCAACAAUGACGAAGCCAUAGAGGCAAGCAGUAGUGGAGAAAGUUGAGUAGUGAGUGGGACCGAAGAGAUCCAUGUGAAGCAGUUCGAAGGGUUGAGUAGUGGUCAUGAUUUUCUUCGAAGGAUGUUUUGCCCUUGUCAUCUUCCCAGCUUCACAGGCACCGCAUAAGUGAUCUUUCUUGAACUUGACGCCCUCGAUGCCUAUGACAUGCUUCUUCUUCGCAAGGGUGUGGAGGUUCCUCAUGCCAGCAUGCCCAAGUCUUCGAUGCCAAAGCCAGCAUUCUGAAGCCUUUGCGAGAAGACAAACUGCAAGCUGUGGCCCUGCUGAGAAAUCUACCACGUACAAAUCAUCUUUUCGAUACCCUUCAAACUCUAGAGACUUGUCAGAUUCCAUUAGUACCAGACAACGAUAUUUUCCAAAGAUUACAAUCAUGUUUAAAUCGCAAAGCAUUGAGACAGACAUUAAGUUGAAGCCAAGGGACUCAACAAACAUGACUUUAUCCAUGUGUUGAUCCUUUGAGAUUGCAACUCUACCUAGACCCAGUACCUUACUUUUACCAGUGUCAGCGAAUGUGAUGUGGCUCUUGUCAGAUGGACGUAAGGUUGAGUCCAUAAAGAGACUUCUUUUGCCAGUCAUGUGAUUUGUACACCCAUUGUCAAUAAUCCAUUCUGAAGACUCUGAAGUCACUGGUGUCGUACCCUACAGUGCAGUUAGGGGGAUAGGCUUCACGAAGAGUGUUGUGAAGCAAAAACAUUUGACGAACCAGUGGAUUAUGAAAACUUAGAUCCAGGUUAGGACAAGUAGGGAGAGUAGCAUGCGAUUCAGGUAUGAAAUACAUAGUGAUGCCAUUCGGGCAUUUGAUCUUGCGCCCACAAGAUUUUUAAGGUCCCCAGCAAUAGCAUCAGAAGAUUUUGGUUUUGUGCUGGAGACCUUUCCCUGCAAAAGAGAGUUAAGCUUUCUUAACCACCCACAUCUUCAAGGGUGGCUUAGAAGCAAACAGUCUAGCAGGUGGGCAAUAGUACUCAUAAGAAUAGGCAGAAUAGUUUUUGGUCAUAUGAGAAUGACGGUUUGAAGAACCGCUCUCAUAUGCCUGAGCAUGGUUUCCCUGCAAAACAUUUGUGUUAGUGCGACUCAAAUGAGUCCUCUGCCUGUAUGAAGCCUUUGGACCAUAUAUGAAGCCUUUGGUCCGAGGUUUGUCUUCUUCAUGUGAGGUGUCAUGAGGACAUUCACAGGAAGAUUCUCAAGACACGUUUUUGGAACCCAGAUCUUCUUCAUAGGCGGUCCAUUCCUGCAGUUAGUACCAAUGUACCUGGCAAAUACUUCACCAUUCUGAUUCCUGAACAGUUUAUAGUUUGCAUCAAAGGAUUCAUCAAUGAUAAUUGGAUUAGCACAAGUGAAGCCAGAUAGAUUGGAUGGAUCUGCUGAGGAUUCCUUUGCAGCAACCCAUGUGGUUUUGGGGUACUGCUCAGGUUUCCAGUAAGAGCCAUCUGCAUUAAUUUUCCUCACGAACCCAACACCCUCCUUCCUAGGGUUUUGGUUCAGAAUCUGCUUCUUGAGGACAUCACAUAAUGUCUGAUGUCCUUUGAGACUUUUGUACAUCCCUGUUUCAAGCAAUGUCUUCAACCUAGCAUUUUCAUCAGCAAUAGCAGUGGUAUCCUCAGUAGAGGGGUUAGUUACCACUUCAACAGUUGCAACAGCAGUAGCAGUGGAACAUUCAGCAACAGAAAUAGCAUUAUCACAAUCAAUGCAUUUAAGGCAUGGUGGUUCAAAUCCUUCCUGAACAGAACUGAUCUGUUCGGCUCGAAGUGACUCGUUUUCCUUUUGAAGAUCUUCAUGAUCCGUUUUUCAAGAUGUUGCUUCUUUUGAAGAUAAUCAUAGGAAAGCUUUUCAUGAGUAGUUGAGAGAGUCUCAAGACGAUCUUCGAGUUCCUGAUACUUAACAUGAAGAUUUUUUAUGUCUUCAAUUAAGGAUUCAGAACGAGUCAUUUCAGCACCCAACAGAUCAUCGCUUCUGUCUAACAGUUUUUGAAUAUGUUCCAUGGCCUUUUGUUGUUCAGUUGCAAUUUUAGCAAGUGUUUUGUAACUGGGUUUUGAAUCACAAUCAGAGUCAUCGUCACUAGAUGUUUGAUAGUGAGUAGUGCGUGUGUUUACCUUGGCACCACGUGCCAUGAAGCAGUAGGUAGGAGUAGAGUCGUCCUUGUCAUUUGCAUCGGUGAUGGUGAUGGAGUCAUUGUCUUCAGUGUUGAAGAUGGACUUGGCGACGUAGGCUGUAGCCAGACUCGCAAUGCCUGAAUCAGACUCCUCCUCAGACUCCACCUCUGCCUCCUCAGAAGCGGACUCCUCCUCUGAAUCCAUUUCCUUGCCAACAAACGCACGAGCCUUGCCAGAUGAACUCUUCUUGUGUGAUGAAGACUUUGAGGAAGACUUGGACGAAGACUUUGAGUAUUUCUUUGUCUUCUUAUCGUCAGAGUCAUAUUCCAUGCUCUAAUUCUUCUUUCUGUUCUCAUUGUCCCACUGUGGACACUCAGAGAUGAAGUGUCCAGUUUUCUUGCACUUGUGACAUGUUUUCUUCUUGUAGUCAUGCGCAGAAGCUUCAUCAUUCCUUGAGCUUGAUCGUGAAGACUUUCUGAAGCCUUUCUUCUUGGUGAAUUUCUGGAACUUCUUCACUAGCAUUGCAAGUUCCCUUCCAAUGUCUUCAGGAUCAUCAGAACUGCUGUCAGAUUCUUCUUCAGAUGAGGACACAGCUUUUGCCUUCAAGGCACGAGUUCGCCCAUAGUUUGGACCGUAGAUAUCUCUUUUCUCAGAAAGCUGAAACUCAUGUGUGUUGAGCCUCUCAAGUAUGUCAGACGGAUCGAGUGUCUUGAAGUCUGGAUGUCAAAUGAACUGUCAAGUGAUCUUAGCAGCGUCUUAACGAUUUCAUGUUUGGUGAUCUCAGUGGCGCCGAGGGCUUGAAGCUCAUUUGUGAUGUCAGUGAGCCGGUCAAAUGUGUGAUGGACAUUCUCAUUGUCAUUUCGCUUGAAGCGGUUGAAGAGAUUGCGAAGAACACUGAUUCUCUGAUCUCUCUGGGUUGAGAUGCCUUCAUUGACCUUGGAGAGCCAGUCCCAAACCAGCUUGGAUGUCUUCAAGGCACUCACACGGCCGUACUGUCCCUUGGUCAGAUGACCACAGAUAAUAUUCUUGGCAGUGGAGUCCAGUUGAGUGAACUUCUUGACAUCAGCCGCAGUGACACCUUCUCCAGCCUUGGGAACGCCGUUUUUGACGACAUACCAUAGGUGGACGUCAAUGGCUUCAAGAUGCAUGCGCAUCUUAUUCUUCCAGUAGGGAUAUUCAGUUCCAUCGAAGACGGGGCACGCAGCGGAGACUUUAAUUAUCCCUGCAGUCGACAUAGCUAAAACUUUAGGUGGUUAAACCAAAUCACACAGAACAAGGGAGCACCUUGCUCUGAUACCAAUUGAAAGUGCGUUAUAUCGGCUAGGGGGUGAAUAGGUGAUUUUAAUGAAAGUCUUCAAAACGUGGAAGUUAUGAAGACAAACAGAGUGAACAAGCCUAUCACUAUGCAGCGGAAGUUAGAUUACACAACGCAAGCCAUGGUCAAGUAUACAAUAUAGUGAAAGCACGGUGACAAAUAGCUUCAGUGUAAUGAGGAUCAGGUUGGAAGAAGUUAUGAAGCCAAACAGAUCAUACAGUCAAGUUGUGAGGACAGAAGAUAAAGCAAGCAUGCAAUAGCUUCACAAUGUGUACUGGUAAGUAAAGGGAGGCGAAGAUGAAACCAGUGACACGUUGAAGAGAAUGAUAUGUUGGACCAGUUCCAGUUGCUGUGACAACUAUACGUCUGGUUGGAGCGGCUAGGUAUUUAAACCAAAGGACACACAGUCCCGGACACCCAGUCCUGAACACGCAGCUCAGGACACCCAGUCCUCACCGUUUUCUCCUUGAGCUAAGGUCACACAGACCCCGCCCAAUCACUCUGGUAAGUCUUCAAGGUAGACUCCCAAACCUUCACAGACUUCGUUCACCGGCAAUCCACAAUUCCUCUUGGAUGCUCAGAACGCGACGCCUAACCGUCUGGAGGAUGCACAGUCCUCAAGUGUAAUAAGUCUUCAGAUCACUCAGACAAGAAGACUUAAGUGAUGCCCAAUUACUCUGGCUCUGGGUGGUUAGGGCUUUUCUCCUCACUAAGGAUUUUCUCUCAAAGGCUUAGAGGUGGGUUGCUCUCAAACGACAAAAGCAGUGCACUGAAAUCUGAGCAGCCAACCGUUUAUGGUUGUAGGGGUGGACUAUUUAUAGCCGCUUGGCAACCCUGACCUGAUUUGUCCGAAAUGACCCUGUGUCACUAAGGAACUGACACGUGUACUAACGGUCGGAUUUUGAACUCUCACGGCAACUUUACUUGGGCUGCAAGUAAAGCUGACUUGUCUGACUCUGGACAAGAUUUUCUCUCAUUGUCUUCACUCGAAGACAUAGGAUUUGAAUUAGGCAUCACUUCAGUCAUCCUGACUGGUUCUCUUGGACCCCACUUAACAGUACGGUGGUUCCUAUGACACAACAUGAAUAAAGUAAAACUACGAAGGAUCUAAGUCUUCGAGUUCCAAAGGCUUCAUGGGGAGUCUUCAUAUGUCAUUGUCUUCGACAUGAAUGUCUUCAUGAACCACCAUUGUCUUCAAUGUCUUCGUACAUUUUUAGGGGUCAUCUCUGGUAACUAAACCGAAUCAAUGAGGGACUUCUACUAGUGUUAUCCUGCAAUUCUCACAAACACAUUAGUCCCUCAACUAGGUUUGUCUUCAAUACUCCAAAACCAACUAGGGGUGGCACUAGAUGCACUUACAGGUCUGGGUACAGACACUAGAAAGAAAGAAGGCUCCUCGAGGCCUGUCUAUCUACAUAGGGCCCUCCAUGGCCAGGAUCACCACCUGGGUGGCUAGUCACUCAUCGAAGUCAAGGUCUACAUAGAACCCAUCGGAGGGGGCGGUGUUGUCGUCUGAAAACAGUAAUUAAGCAAACAUGAGUACAAAGGUACUCAGCAAGUCUUACAACAGAACCUACUAUACAUGCUUAUUCUCAAGAAGGCGGUGGGGAUAUUGCAGCAAGCCAGCUUUGACUCUUGGCUAAACUAUCCUACGGAACUUCUCUAGUAAAAUAGUUUUCGCACACGAGUCCACUACUCACCAACACAAUACUCCAACGGGGAUCCUCCCUCAUCAUCCUACGAGAGGGCCAUCCUCGGUACUCACACUUAUCUUGAGUCUUUUAGUAGUAUCCAUUUACUUGUCUAUGAACUGUAUAGGCAACUAAGUAGUCCUUUACCGCGGACGCGGCUAUUCGAAUAGUUUUAUACCCUGCAGGGGUGUACUUCGUCAUACACGCUUUCACCACUUAUCGCCGUUUACACGACAUGUACUCGGCAACCUUCAAGCGGAAGCCCAGCGAGGGUGUCGGCCACGGCCUACCUAAACACUUAAGUCUCUAGUCCUGCUUUAUCGCCUAUCCAAGUUCCAUCCGCAGGGAUUCCGGCCGAGGUUUCCACAUACGGCCCCGAACGAUGUGAACAGGAUCCCGAGACGCCAAACGGGUGCCCGGCAUACCCGGCCACGGUGUAUCUACCACAACAUAGCCCACCCCUAGGGUCAGCGCUACGCACGGCCGCCAACACAUAACCUACAAACACCAGAAACUAUUUGCAACUCCUGGAGAGAGUACUAGGGUGAUUAAGAAGCCGAUAGGGUCAAUUAAGGAUCCCAAUGCAUGGUAGUAGCUGAAUCUUAAAUCAUACAUACAGAUCUGAGUUCUUAGGGACGGUCUCAAUGAAACAACCCACCAUGUACUCCUACAUGGCCUCUCAUCGAUACCUUUACCAAAACAUGUUCAACACAUUCCUCAUAUUACCGACAUAAUCAUAUCACUCUAGCCCAUCACCCUGAUGAACCAGACCUGACACAACUCUAAGCAUAGCAGGCAUACCAAGGUACAAAUCACAUACAUGGCUCAAUCAACUCCUACACAUGCUAGUGGGUUUCAUCUAGUUACUGUGGCAAUGAAAGGUCAUGCAGAGGAUAAGGGUUCAACUACCGUAGCACACAGCAGUUUGAAUCGCGUUAUCUUAAUGCAGUAAACAAGAGUAGAGGCGAGAAUAUGGGUUGUAUCGGAAUGAUCAAUGGGUUGCUUGCCUGAUGGAGUGGUAGUGGGAUACUGCCCUUCAGUUGGAUACUCGUGAAUAUCCUCGGAGGCAGAACCUACCACGAAGAACACAUCGGAACACAAUCAAUACAUGACGAUAUGCAACAAUAUGAUGCAUGCUAUGACAUGGCAAUAUGAAUGUGUCUUGGCCUAAUGCAAGCUAAAAUAGAAAGGGAUGAACUCAUUUGAAUCAAAGAUACAAAUAUUAUCUCAUUAAACAUGGCCUUAAUAUUGCAUUUACUUAUUCUGCUUAAACAGAAAGGUAAACUUGUUUUGUCAUGCAUGAAACCAUUACAGGUGGAUAGAUUGAAUUUUUCUGAUAAUUUUUCAUAUAUAAAUUAUUUCAUUUGGAGUUACAGUUGAAUUUCUAUGAUUUUUAGAAUUUUUAAACAUUACUGCGUCAGCAUUGCGUCAUGCUGACCUCAGCAGGUCAAAGGCGCCAGCCCAGGUCAAACCUGACUGGAGGGCCCCUUCUGUCAGUCUCUUAAUUAAAUAACAGGACUAGAUUAACACUAAUUAGCUGUCAGUGGGGCCUGGGCCCACAUGUCAGUGACUGAUUAAAAUAAAAUUAGUUAAAACUAAUCCUAGAUUAGUUAGCAGACCAGCCCCACCUAUCAUAGACUCAGGGGGGGUCUACCUGGGCCCACCCAGGGUCAAACUAGGUCAAACUCGCCGGCGUUGAGCCGCCGGCGAGGCCCGAGACGGUGGCGCAGCUCGGAAAACGCCUAUAGGGCACGAGCGAGGCCGUUCUUGGGCUCGUUGGAGAGCUCUUGCAGUCGCGCAUCUAGUGGUGGUGGUGGCGGGCCUACGGUGGCCGGAGACGACGACGGCGAGCUCCAAGGCAGCGGCCGGAGUUCGGCCAUGUGCGGGGUGUGGGCUGCGGCGUGCAAACUUGGAAACUGAGGCGCUAGCGAGGCACUACGCGAUGCGGCAAGCACGUUGCGUAGCACGGGAUGACCAAAUGGUCGCCGGAGCGGCGCCAGCGACAAGCUCGAGCAGAGACGAGCUUCGGCCAUGGUGGAACUAUGGCCUAGAGGGUGCAAACGCAUGGAAAAGAAGAGGGGAAAGGUGGCGGACCUCACGGGGAGGUCGAUGAGUAGCUCAGUGGGCUCGGGGGUGACCGGAGCGAGGCGAAUCGAUGAGCGGCGUCCGGCGGGUACCGAGGUUGAAGACGAUCCGAUGGCGGCGAUGCAGGGCCUCCGGCGAUGCGUGGGGAGGGCGAGGGCGUCACGGCGGAGCUUCUGGACAGGUCAGAGAGGCGAGGGGGUGACAGAGGGCGCGACUACGGCGGUGAGACGGCGACGGGUGCAUCGGCCAUCGCGGGAGAGGGAGAGGGGGACGUGGGGGAGAGUGAGAGAGGAUGAGAGGGGGACAUGUGGGUCGCGUGGCAUUCCCUGGACGUCUCCCGGCGUCGGCGAAAGCAGGAGGUGGCCGACGUGUGGCCGCGGGCGCCGGCCACGCGCUCCGCGUCCUUCUGGCGCGAGGAGGACGACGACGGGCAGCGCCAGUAGGCUAGGCCGAGCCCGGUGGGCUGGCCAGCACAGGUAAGGCCCAGGUGGGCUUCUCCCUCUCUUUUUUUAAUUUGUUUCUGUUUUCUAUUUAACUGUAACUGUUGGGCUUUAUUUAAAAUACUAAAAUAUUUCCAGAAAUCCUGAAAAUAAUUGUGGGCUCUGCUUGGAUUAUGUCCAACAGCAAACAUUUAUUUCCAGAAUUAUUUGAGCAUUUAAAUUAUUUAAUAGCAUUUAAAUGCCCAAAUUCAAAUACUUAUGAUUUAAAUCAAUGACCUUCUAUUGACCUAGAAAAAUUGUGCAUCAAUUUUGCCAGAGGUUCUAACCCAAGACAAAGAGGGUGAACUUUUUAGAAGGGCAUUUCAGGUUCAUUGAAAAUAAUUUUAGUAAACCCUAGUUGUUUCCAGGGGGUGUUGGGGGUUUCUCCCUUCCCCAAUUCAAAUUUAAGAGGAAUUUAAACAUGAUGGAGAUUCUAAUGCUUGAACUAGCUAGGGUGUGACAUGACUCUUUAUUUGUUAGUUUACCAUAAUCAUCCUUGCUGUACACACCUUUUGAGAGGGCCAUACAUGAUUUGGAAUUUGUUAGAAUACUCUAUGUGCUUCGCUUAUAUCUUUUGAGUUAUAUAGUUUUGCUCUAGUACUUCACUUAUAUCUUUUAGAGCACGGUGGUGGAUUUGUUUUAUAAAAACUAUUGAUCUCUCAUGCUUCACUUACAUUAUUUUGAGAUGCUUAAUAGCAUGGUAAUUUGCUUAAAAUCUUAAUAUGCUAGGUAUUCAAAGUUAGUAAAAUUUUCUUAAGAGUGUUUUGAAUACUAAGAGAAGUUUGAUGCUUGAUGAUUGUUUUGAGAUAUGGAGGUAAUAAUAUCACAGUCAUGCUAGUUGAGUAGUUGUGAAAUUGAGAAAUACUUGUGUUGAAAUUUGCACGUAUGGUAAACGUUGUGUAACAAAUUUGAAACAUGAGGCGUUAUUUGAUUGUCUUCCUUAUGAGUGGCGGUCGGGGACGAGCGAUGGUCUUUUCCUACCAAUCCAUCCCCCUAGGAGCAUGCGCGUAGUACCUAGGUUUUUGAUGACUUGUAGAUUUUUGCAAUAAGUAUGUGAGUUCUUUAUGACUAAUGUUGAGUCCAUGAAUUAUACGCACUCUGACCCUUCCAUCCUUGCUAGCCUCUUAGGUACCAUGCAUUGCCCUUUCCCACAUUGAGUGUUGGAGCAAACUUCGCCGGUGCAUCCAAACCCCGUGAUAUGAUAUGCUCUUUCACACAUAAACCUCCUUAUAUCUUCCUCAAAACAGCCACCAUACCUACCUAUUAUGGCAUUUCCAUAGCCAUUCCGACAUAUAUUGACAUGCAACUUUCCACCAUUCCGUUCAUCAUGACACAUUCAUCAUUGUCAUAUUGCUUAGCAUAAUCAUGUAGUUGACAUAGUAUUUGUGGCAAGGCCACCGUUCAUAAUUCUUUCAUACAUGUCACUAUUGGUCCAUUGCAUAUCCCAGUACACCGCCGGAGGCAUUCAUAUAGAGUCAUACUUUGUUCUAGUAUCGAGUAGAAAUUAUUGAGUUGUAAAUAAAUAGAAGUGUGAUGAUCAUCAUUAAUAGAGCAUGGUCCCAAAAAUAUAAAAAAGGAAGGGCCAAAAAAAGGCCAAAUAAAAAAAUGUAAAAAAGGGGGGCAAUGCUACUAUCCUUUUUUCCACACUUGUGAUUCAAAGUAGCACCGUAAUCUUCAUGAUAGAGAGUAUCUUGAUUUGUCAUUUUCAUCUACUAGUGGGAAUUUUUCAUUAUAGAACUUGGCCUGUAUAUUCCAACAAUGGGCCUCCUCAAGUUCCCUAGGUCUUCGUGAGCAAGCAAGUUGGAUGCACACCCACUUAGUUUCUUUUGUUGAGCUUUCAUACAUUUAUAGCUCUAGUGCAUCUGUUGCAUGGCAAUCCCUACUCCUUGCAUUAACAUCAAUCGAUGGGCAUCUCCAUAGCCCAUUGAUUAGCCUCGUUGAUGUGAGACUUUAUCCUUUUUGUCUUCUCCACAUAACUCCAGUCAUUAUAUUCUAUUCCACCCAUAGUGUUAUGUCCAUGGCAUGCAAUCAUAUAUUGCGUGAAAGUUUAUAGGUUUGAGAUCACUAAAGUAUGAAACAAUUGCUUGGCUUCUCAUCGGGGUUGUGCAUGAUGAGAGCAUUCUUGUGUGACCAAAAUGAAGCAUGAUUAAACUAUAUGAUUUUGUAGGGAUGAACUUUCUUUGGCCAUGUUAUUUUGAGAAGACAUAAUUGCUCAGUUAGUAUGCUUGAAGUAUUAUUAUUUUUAUGUCAAUAUGAACUUUUGUCUUGAAUCUUUCGGAUCUGAAUAUUCAUACCACAAUUAAGAAGAUUUACAUUAAAAUCAUGCCAACUAGCACUCUGCAUCAAAAAUUCUGUUUUUAUCAUUUACCUACUCAAGGACGAGCAGUAAUUAAGCUUGGGGAUGCUUGAUACGUCUCCAACGUAUCUAUAAUUUUUGAUUGCUCCAUGCUAUAUUAUCUACUGUUUUGGACAAUAUUGGGCUUUGUUAUCCACUUUUAUAUUAUUUUUGGGACUAACCUAUUAACCAGAGGCCCAGCCCAGAAUUGUUGUUUUUUGCCUGUUUUAGGGUUUCGAAGAAAAGGAAUAUCAAACGGAGUCCAAACGGAAUGAAACCUUCGGGNNNNNNNNNNNNNNNNNNNNNNNNNNNNNNNNNNNNNNNNNNNNNNNNNNNNNNNNNNNNNNNNNNNNNNNNNNNNNNNNNNNNNNNNNNNNNNNNNNNNNNNNNNNNNNNNNNNNNNNNNNNNNNNNNNNNNNNNNNNNNNNNNNNNNNNNNNNNNNNNNNNNNNNNNNNNNNNNNNNNNNNNNNNNNNNNNNNNNNNNNNNNNNNNNNNNNNNNNNNNNNNNNNNNNNNNNNNNNNNNNNNNNNNNNNNNNNNNNNNNNNNNNNNNNNNNNNNNNNNNNNNNNNNNNNNNNNNNNNNNNNNNNNNNNNNNNNNNNNNNNNNNNNNNNNNNNNNNNNNNNNNNNNNNNNNNNNNNNUGUUGCUCCACCGACGUACUCCUUCCUCCUAUAUAUACCUACGUAUCCCCAAACGACCAUGUACGGAGACAAAACCCUAAUUCCACCGCCGAAACUUUCUGUAUCCACGAGAUUCCAUCUUGGCGCCUGUUCCGGAGCUCCGCCGGAGGGGGCAUCGAUUAUGGAGGGCUUCUACAUCAACACCAUAGCCUCUCCGAUGAAGUGUGCGUAGUUGACCUCAGACCUACGGGUCCAUAGUUAUUACCUAGAUGGCUUCUUCUCUCUUUUUGGAUCUCAAUACAAUGUUCUUCCCCUCUCUUGUGGAGAACUAUUCGAUGUAAUCUUCUUUUUGCGGUGUGUUUGUUGAGACCGAUGAAUUGUGGGUUUAUGAUCAAGUCUAUCUAUGAAUAAUAUUUGAAUCUUCUCUGAAAUAUUUUAUGUAUGAUUGGUUAUCUUUGCAAGUCUCUUCGAAUUAUCAGUUUGGUUUGGCCUACUAGAUUGAUCUUUCUUGCAAUGGGAGAAGUGCUUAGCUUUGGGUUCAAUCUUGCGGUGUCCUUUCCCAGUGACAGUAGGGGCAGCAAGGCACGUAUUGUAUUGUUGGCAUCGAGGACAACAAGAUGGGGUUUUCAUCAUAUUUUAUGAGUCUUUCCCACUACAUCAUGUCAUCUUACUUAAGGCGUUAAUCUGUAUUUAACUUAAUACUCUAGAUGCAUGCUGGAUAGCGGUCGAUGAGUGGAGUAGUAGUAGUAGAUGCAGGCAGGAGUCGGUCUACUUGUCUUGGACGUGAUGCCUAUAUACAUGAUCAUACCUAGAUAAUCUCAUAACUAUGCUCAAUUCUGUCAAUUGCUCAAUAGUAAUUUGUUCACCCACCGUAGAAUACUUAUGCUCUCGAGAGAAGCCACUAGUGAAACUUAUGGCCCCCGGGUCUAUCUUUAUCAUAUUAAUCUCCUACUACUUAGUUAUUUCCUAUGCUUUUUUACUUUGCCUUUAUUUUACUUUGCAUCUUUAACACAAAAAUACAAAAAAAUUAUCUUUAUCAUAUCUACCAAAUCUCACUCUCGUAAGUGGCCGUGUAGGGAUUGACAACCCCUAUUCGCGUUGGUUGCGAGGAUUUAUUUGUUUUGUGCAGGUACGAGGGACUGGCGCAUAGCCUCCUACUGGAUUGAUACCUUGGUUCUCAAAACCUGAGGGAAAUACAUACACUACUUUGCUGCAUCAUCCCUCACUCUUCGGGGAAAACCAACGCAGUGCUCAAGAGGUAGCAAGGGUUCCUUUUUGUCGACGAUCUGAUGUUUCAACCUUGUUUUCCAGGCGGCCAACGCGUCGCUAAACUUGGUCAUGGCGUGUUUUUUUAUCUUCUUCAUUGCCAGGUCCUUAUCUGGAUCUUUAUUAUCCUUUUCAUUACGGUCCGGGAACAAGAAUAUCUGGUGCAGCCUCUUUAGGAGGGAGGGCCUCAUAUUAUCUAUCUUCUGUAGUUUCCCAUCGUUGAUCGUGGCAGUUGUCCAUACAAUGCAACCUAUUUGAUUGCCGUAGCACGAUCGCGCUUCCUCAGGCGCUAUUGUCUCAAAAAUACCGUCGUCCAACUCCGUGACCACCAGUCUAGUACUCAGGAGCUGGUUUGGGCGCCGUGGCCUCUUUGCUUUCGGUUCUAGACCAACUCCGCUAGUCUCGGCGCCGGUCUCAGUCUCAUCGCCGGUCUGCAUGUCGGUAUCAGUCCCCGAUGCGACAACACAGUCGCUGCAACAUGGGUAAGGGAGACCUCCGCGCGUUUGUACAUAGGCACAGGGUGAAUCCCGGUGAGAGAUGGCCAUUGGCGCAUGCAAGUAGACGACGACGUCCCCGACGAAGAGCAGCCGGCCAGCUCGCCUCACUCUCCUUUGAUUAGAAAUGAAAGAUUGGGAAGAAGCAGACUGGAGCCUGCAGGGAAAGGAUAAGGUGACGAUGCAGUCUCCACUCGUUCGGGGCGACACACGUACUGAAUGUAUGAGAAACGUGACGUGGCAGAGACCCCAAGAUACUCCCUCCAUUUAUUUUUAGUCUGCAUAUAAAGUUUGGUCAAAGUCAAGAUUUGUAAAUUUUAACUAACUUUAUAAUAAAAAAAUAUCAACAUUCACAAUAUGAAAUCAAUAUUACCAGAUGUGUCAUGAAAUGUAUUUCCAUACUAUAUAGUUUUGGUAUUGUAGAUGUUCAUAUUUUUUAUAUAAAUGGGAAGUAGAGGCACUCUUGCAUAUAAUGAAGUUUAUAAUAUAUGUGCUUAUAUUGUACUACAAUUGUUUGAAUAGCUUAGCAUAUGUUCAGAUGUAUGAUAUCUGUAAUUUAAGCGCUUGAAUUUUACAUAUAAAUAUUUAUUAAUAAAUAUGUACCCCUAUAAUAGCUAGGCCGUGCAUUUGCACGGGUAGAUGACUAGUGAUUACAAUCUUGUUUGUGUGCAAGUCAAGCUUAUCUAGUUUACACGUAACAACUUGUAGAACGUUACAAAAUUUAUGCUUGCUAAUAACUUCUAGAACACUACAACACUUGACAUGUAAAAGGAAUUUGACGAGUCAUGGCCUACUAAAGCAAGUUACAUUACUAGUCUUAUCUAUCUUAACAGACCACACAAGAUUACAAACUAAGUACCGUGACAGCCAUGCUUAUCUAGUUUAUGCGUAACAAUUUGCAGAAAAUUACAAACUUAGUUUCAGAAAAAUAGGCAAUCUAGAUUAGUGUUUGAGCUGUAAAGUGAAUAAGAUGAGUCAUGCAUGUUAUCACACCUUUUUGGUGGUGGAAUGAUAGUGCAACAACAAGGAACUUUAAUGACCAGUCCAAGAAUACACUUGUAAGUAGUGCUACCAAACAGAACAUACCAAAUGAUGAUUUUUAGAAGCAUCCAAGCACUUUCCACACAAACAAAUGCCAAUUGUGAAAGAGAUCAUUCCAUGGCAGCUAUAAAUAGCCCCAUAGCAUGACGAUCAUCCUUCCUCAUCCAUCAUUCUUAUUAGUAGAGCGCAUCAUUUAAGCCAAGCAAGCUGUGGUCAAUACAAAUCCACCAUGAAGACCUUUCUCAUCCUUGCCCUCCUUGCUAUCGUGGCGACCACCGCCACAACUGCAGUUAGAGUUCCAGUGCCACAAUUGCAGCCACAACAUCCAUCUCAGCAACAGCCACAAGAGCAAGUUCCAUUGGUACAACAACAACAAUUUCUAGGGCAGCAACAACCAUUUCCACCACAACAACCAUAUCCACAGCCGCAACCAUUUCCAUCACAACAACCAUAUCUGCAACUACAACCAUUUCCGCAGCCGCAACUACCAUAUUCGCAGCCACAACCAUUUCGACCACAACAACCAUAUCCACAACCGCAACCACAGUAUUCGCAACCACAACAACCAAUUUCACAGCAGCAGCAGCAGCAGCAACAACAACAACAACAACAACAACAACAAAUCCUUCAACAAAUUUUGCAACAACAACUGAUUCCAUGCAUGGAUGUUGUAUUGCAGCAACACAACAUAGCGCAUGGAAGAUCACAAGUUUUGCAACAAAGUACUUACCAGCUGUUACAAGAAUUGUGUUGUCAGCACCUAUGGCAGAUCCCUGAGCAGUCGCAGUGCCAGGCCAUCCACAAUGUUGUUCAUGCUAUUAUUCUGCAUCAACAACAAAAACCACAACAACAACCAUCGAGCCAGGUCUCCUUCCAACAGCCUCUGCAACAAUAUCCAUUAGGCCAGGGCUCCUUCCGGCCAUCUCAGCAAAACCCACAGGCCCGGGGCUCUGUCCAGCCUCAACAACUGCCCCAGUUCGAGGAAAUAAGGAACCUAGCGCUACAGACGCUACCCGCAAUGUGCAAUGUCUACAUCCCUCCAUAUUGCACCAUCGCGCCAUUUGGCAUCUUCGGUACUAACUGAGAAGAAAAUAACUCUAGUACUAGAUAUAUGAAACACCGUUUUCUCAGUCCAUGGUUUGGUCGUUGUAGCGGUGAAAAAAUAAUGUGACAUGCACUAUCAGGUAAGAACCCGAACUAUACUAGUUCAAACUUGGGAAUAAAAGACAAACACAGGUCUUGUCUACAUAUUUAUGUUGCAUCUAUUUAUAUAUUAAAAGUAAUAUAAGGUGAACCAGGAGCAAGGUAAAUAUGCUAGAAAAUUGCACGUUAAUUAGAAAUUACUAGCCCUCGAUCUGAUAAAUCUUAACGAACAUAUAUAAUGCUCUGGGCCUCCAACGACUGUACGUGACACAUCUGAACGAACAUAUGUUAAAGAAAAUAUAUUUGGUAAAUGGUGGGCUUCUUUAAAAAGAGAACUCACGUACAUGCACCAACUAAGAAAAACACAUACAUGUAAACGGGAAAAGGAUGAGAUUUUCUCACGUACGUGCUCCCUGGCUCCACCCCGUUGAAAAAAUAUACAUCUGGAGGCCACUUUGUUUCCUCAUCAAAAAAACUUACGUUAAAAAGAUUGCAUGCAUCCCAGGGAAAAUAGUCAAGAAGAAGUCGGACUUUUCCUUACAAAAACAAGGAACGUGUUAAGUUGACUUCAAAGAAAAAAGGAACAUGUUAAGUUAAAAAAAAACAAGAAACCUGUUAAGUUAGAAAAAAAACAAGGAACGUGUUGUCCAAGGAAAGAGGAAGAAGAAAGUUGGUUUCAGUGAGUCAUGUGAAUUGUAGAAGAAAUAGGUAAACAAGGCUAGCUCCCCUGGGGGUUGUCAUAUUACAAUCAUUUGUAUUACUUUCCUACCAAUCCUGAACUAGCUAUGACCCUUAUAGCGAGCCUCACUUUACCGUUUCAGAUAGAAACAUAUGGCAGUACUGUACGUACUCGAGAGAAGUUGCUCCCUUCCAUGACAAGGACUAGUUAAGUUUCACUAUCUCCUUUCUCAACUCACUAUAUCCCAGCGGCGGAUUAAUAUAUAUACGUUGAAAAGCAAGGGGAUAAAUUGAACGAAAUGAAGAGCAAUCCAGAAUCCUAUUUUGUAUAUGUGUCAAAUCUUACAAAAAAAAAAGAAUACACACACGUACGUUCAUGCACUUGGAAAAUAGAAAAAAAAGGAACAUCACGUAUGUAUACACUUCGGAAACUCAUUACAUGACCAUGUCUGAUAUACUCCUCUAAUGCUUCAUAUUAGUGCCUAAUAAUUUAUAUUUAAAAUUCAAUUUACUGAUCAAAUAUCCCCACUGUUUAAAUUUUAAUUUGGCACAUUGUUUGGCUAUAGUAUGAACCUAAAUUUCCUCUUAUUAUUAUAUAUCAUGGUAAUAAUCCAAAGGCGACUAAUCUGCGCCGGCGCACCGGCGCAAUCAAUUCCGCUGGACACAGCGCGGCCGUUUGAUUAGAUUGCAUUUAACCGUCAGAUCUGGAAUCGUUUUCUUUCCAAUUAAACAGAUUCAACCAAACAGCAGAGGGGAAAACAAAGCAGCGCCGCCGCCAACACUAGCCAUGGACGACCGAUGUAGCAAAACCUUGAAGAACCGCCGCCGGUCGCCACCCUCGCUGCUGGUCGCCGCCCUCGCCGUCGGUCACCGCCGGUCGCCGCCCUCGCCGCACUCGUGGUUGCAGGCUUGCAUCUCCGCCUCCGGGGGACAUGGCCGCAUGUCCGGUAGCGCCGGCCGCCGGCCGGUGCACCUGUCGUUGUGGUCGCGCUGUACCUCGCCGUGUGCCCUCCCGUGGCUCUUGCUGGUUCCAACAAAAAACGAUACCGGUUGUAGCAAAAAAAUAUCGCUUCCAGCAAAAAAGCUUACCGCUACAGCCCGCCAUCGUCAUUGUAGCAAAAAUGUUAACCCGAUGUAGCUUCUGUGGUUGCCGACUGCAGCAAAAAAUGACAUGGUUGUAGCAAAACACAAAAGAAAAACGCCGGCCGGCCUCUGUGUAUGGUGGUAACAAACCCCAUAGCCGGUGGUAGCGAAAAACUUCAUAGUGCGCAGCAAAAAAAUGUUGUCACCCGUCGUCGAGGUUGCAUCAUCUUCAUGAAUUAUGUCGCAAAAAAACGUUGUCGCCGGUAGUAGCAAAUGAAGCCGCCGGUAGUAGCAAAACAAGACACUGGUUCCAGCCAAAAAAAAUCAGCGACAGAACCUUUGGUUGGUUCCAACAAAAAAACUUGUCGGUCGUAACAUCCCUCGCCGCCGGAUGUAGCAUCUCCCGGGGCUGGUUGCAACACUCCAUAAAAAAAAGUUGUCUAUGAGCGCAUCCAUGGUGACUGCUGCACCGUCAGCAACGAGGGGAAGAGGAGGCAAUGAAAAUCGUUCGAGUCAUAGCUCCACAGGACGCGGCUGCAGCAUGGGGAGUCCAAAAAUCUGUCACAAGCAACAUGCGCCUCGCCAUCCUCCUGCGCAGGAGAGAGAAGAAAAAGGAAUAAGAGGAAGAAGAAAGAAAACGGGAGAAAGAAAAAAGAAACGAUUGGUGGUUGGCUCAGGCAAUUAGUCAAGCGAGGGGCACGCGGGGCGCAGGAUACAGCGCAAUCGAACGAAGCGCGCGCGUCCGGCGAAGACUCGGCCGGACUGCCGGCUGGAAACGUUUCCCUAAUCCAAAGGCUUUAUCUGAAUGACAACUCGUCUGGGUUACCGGCUAACUAGAAAAAAGAUAAAUAUGCUAGAGAAUUUCAUAAUAAUUAGAAAUAUCUAGCCUUUAAUUAUGUAAAUCAGAAAAUCACAACCGUUGGAUUUACUUUAAAGGUAAAUUUCUCUAAAUUCCCACCAUUGCCAGUAUGUAGAAACAUGUGCUGCUUCAAUUCUCCCAUAAUCACCAAUCAAUCAACAACACAAAACAUACCUCAGUUAAAAAAACUGAACAAAAAAAAAGAAAAAAGAAGAAAGGACAAGAUACACGCAUGUACACGACAGCCUUGGCUUGAAACACAUCAGUAGAUCAAGUGUCCGCCUCCCUUACACAGAAUAAACUCAUAGGGAAGAAAAUAAUUGUGCAACCUAACCUUAUACGUACUAUUCUAUCCUCACGUCCCAUGAGGUUUACUAGCCUACCGCCGCCGCAUCAUGCCAUCCCCUCCUUUCAGCUCCCAUGCUUUCCAGCACCCUCAUUGCCGCGCCACUACUUGCCUAGGGAUAUUGCUGCUCAGACCGUGGAGCUUAACCUGCUUCUUCUUCAGCAAAUAUGGUACUGCUUUAGGAUCCUUCUCACAUCAGCACGUAUGGGCCUCAUUAUACUGCAGCUCCUGGACCUCCUACAAUUGGUUGGCUAUGGCCAGUUGAUCGAUGUGCCGAAGUCCAGGUCUGUUUGCUGGCACAUAUGCUUUGGAAAUAGGCCACUAUGUUUGUACUUCAAAAUUGUUUCUGUAUUCUUGAGUGGUACAUCCUUUUAAGCGCCAGUUUUUUAUGUCAAUUCAUGCUGACAACACUUAACCUAGCCUUUCAUCUUCACGUACUAAAUACAGGAGCAAGUAAAAACAACAGACCACCUAAUUGCUCUGCAUGUACUACAUAGGAAAAUUUGUCAUGUUCUACGAUCGCACCAUCCCACACUUCUCUCUUGGUAUGGGCGCCAAUUGAGGGAUUGAUAAAACUGAAACGAAGACGUCACGGGGCUGGAAGUACCGCUAGCCUGGUUUGCACUGCAACCUACUCAACGCCAUCAGAAACUAGCAACUGAGGCAGUUGUUGAUCGAUUCUCUCAAAUUGCUCUCAUGUAAGUACUACCCCUUGCAUGUGCGUACAUACCUUUGUUCCAUUCUCAAACAGAUAGAACAUUUAUGAUCGGUGCAUGGCUAUUUUUCAUCACAUGACAUCCAGAUAACAAGCAUGAAAGGACUACAUUGGAGAUCAAAAAAUAUUGGUUCCUGGCUAGAGGACCACUACCUAUGGACUUGUCUCCAUAGAAUUUGUUCCCAAGAUGUUAUUUUAAUUAACCUCUUUAGCUUUCUUCCAUUGCAAACGGUGAUGUGCAUCUUGGUAUAUACGUGACCAUCUUGCACAUGUAUACACAAGAGGCUCAGACGGAGGUGCUGGAUUCUGGACGAGGGAAUAUGAAGCAGCAGUGAGCGAAGAGUAAAUAAUGGUGGGAGUACCGAUUGGUGUUAUGAAGAAAAAUGCCAUCCAAAGAUUGAUUAGUGUCAUGGAAGAUUAAUUUCUGAAUGCGAAUAUAUAUGUUACAUUGGUUUGGAUCUUUUUGAGAUAAUUGCACAUAAAUUAGGUUCUUUCUUAUUUCAUAUGUAUACCUUAUUUCAGUAAAAGUUCACAACGAACUUAGUAGGACAAAUAUAAUUUUGUUUGUUCUUUCUGUUGUCCGCCACCAAAGCUCAAUUUGAACUCUCUAGAAAUGGACAAUGAUUUAUGCAUUCUAUAUCUUCUUGAUUCAUUAGCCAUGACAAGGAAAUAAAAGGAUUGACUGAUAUAGCAUAACUUUGGAACGAUCUGUUCGUAGAGGUUACUACAAAUUAGAGUAGUGUCUGCUGGAAUUUUGCCAGUAGGUCUUUGGCCCAAAGCCCAACUAAAAUUCUGAAAUUCUCUUGGCUCAUUUAUGCACACAUGUGAGUUGAGUGAGUGAGACUAAAGUUUAGUCCCACCCCGGAGUUGAGAGAGAGUUGCACCUCUUUAUAAGGUGAGCUCUUCUACCACUUGUAUGAGCAUGAGAAGAGGAGACCUACACGCGCGCUCCUCCUCCUCGCUCGCCACGCCUCGCCGCGCCGCGCCGCGGGUUGCGGGAUUGAGCCGAGCCGAGGACGUUGUCUAUAUUUUUGCUGCUCGGGAAAAAUUAAUGAGUCAUUAAUUAAUAAUUAAUGGACGCAUUAAUUACUGAACCGUUUCCGAUUUUUUUGGAUCGUGACGAAUCGGACGCGGGGUUUACUCCCAGGACCUACCCGGCCCGCACUAUAUAGUCAGGCAGACGUCUACCCUAGCCGCCGCCGCUUCAUAUGGUUUCUCACCAUCGUUACAGAUCAUUGCGCCACCAAGCAAGUUUUCUCCAUCCCUCCUUUCGGCGUGCACCGGGAGAAGGGAUAGCAGACCUCCGGAACCCCGCCUCUCGUGAUCCUGUACGGGAGAGGGGCGAUCAGGCUUUUGGGGAGCACACUCGCACUACUGUUGGCAGCGACGACUUCGCAAACGAGGACUUCUUCCCCGACCUCGGCAACCUCAUCCUCGACGACAUGGGCGACAACGUCAACGCCGGCGGUGCUACACCCACUGCACCGUAUGUUAUUCUCUCCUUCUUGUUCGAGGUCGUGGUAGAAUUCAAAGUAUAUGUGCCCUAGAUGUGAUCUGUUCAUCUACUAUGGUAGUUCGCAUGAUUAGUUUAAUCUCUGCUAUUGCUGUCAUGAUCUAUUUCCUAUUUAUUCGGAUUAAAUCUCGUAGUAAUUUGCUCAUUUUUCCAACAAUCCAAAAACCUGAUUAAUGGAAAUUUACUCCGAGUGGUUUUGCUGCGCAUCUGAAAGCCGCUUGCCUUUAAGGGGGCGCAAUAUAAGAGGUGGCUCACAAGAGUAGUCUACUGGUUUCAGAUCAUGGGCUGCUAUGACGCCACCAAGGGCAAGCCUGAGGGCGAUCUUAAUCCAGCACAGCUGGAUGCUAUGACAACGGCAAGAACACGUGGGCUACGCUCGAGGCCAAGUUUGGUGCCUCGGACGCCGGCAGCGAGUUGUACGUCAUGGAGCAAUUCUAUGACUCCAAGAUGACUGAUGAGCGCCCUGUUGUACAGCAGGCUCAUGAGAUACAGUUGCUCGCAAAAGAACUUGAGUACUUCAUGUUGGGGAACGUAGUAAUUUCAAAAAAAUUCCUACGCACACGCAAGAUCAUGGUGAUGCAUAGCAACGAGGGGGAGAGUCUGAUCUACGUACCCUUGUAGAUCGCAACGGAAGUGUUGACACAGCGUAGAGGAAGUAGUCGUACGUCUUCUUCCCGAUCCGACCGAUCCAAGCACCGUUACUCCGGCACCUCCGAGUUCUUAGCACACGUUCAGCUCGAUGACGAUCCCCGGGCUCCGAUCCAGCAAAGCUUCGGGGAGGAGUUCCGUCAGCACGACGGCGUGGUGACGAUCUUGAUGUUCUACCGACGCAGGGCUUCACCUAAGCACUACAACGGUAUGAUCGAGGUGGAAUAUGGUGGCAGGGGGCACCGCACACGGCUAAGGAACGAUCUCAAUGAUCAACUUGUGUGUCUAGAGGUGCCCCCUGCCCCCGUAUAUAAAGGUUGCCAGGGGGAGGGCUGGCCGGCCAAGCUAUGGAGGCGCAGGAGGAGUCCUACUCCUACCGGGAGUAGGACUCCCCCCAAUCCUAUUCCUAAUAGGACUCCCAAGUGGAAAGAGAGGGAGAGAGGUGGCCGGCCACCUCUCCUAGUCCUAAUAGGACUAGGGGAGGGGGGAGGCGUGCAGCCCACCUUGGGCUGCCCCUUUCACCUUGCCACUAAGGCCCAAUAAGGCCCAUUUGGUUCCCGGGGGGUUCCGGUAACCUCCCGGUACUCCGGUAAAAUCCCGAUUUCUCCCGAAACACUUCCGAUGUCCAAACAUAGGCUUCCAAUAUAUCAAUCUUGAUGUCUCGACCAUUUCGAGACUCCUCAUGAUGUCCGCGAUCACAUCCGGGACUCCGAACAACCUUCGGUACAUCAAAAUGCAUAAACUCAUAAUAACUGUCAUCGUAACGUUAAGCGUGCGGACCCUACGGUUCGAGAACAAUGUAGACAUGACCGAGACACGUCUCCGGUCAAUAACCAAUAGCGGGACCUGGAUGCCCAUAUUGGCUCCUACAUAUUCUACGAAGAUCUUUAUCGGUCAGACCGCAUAACAACAUACGUUGUUCCCUUUGUCAUCGGUAUGUUACUUGCCCGAGAUUCGAUCAUCGGUAUCCAAUACCUAGUUCAAUCUCGUUACCGGCAAGUCUCUUUACUCGUUCUGUAAUACAUCAUCCCGCAACUAACUCAUUAGUUGCAAUGCUUGCAAGGGUUGUAUAAUGUGCAUUACCGAGAGGGCCCAGAGGUACCUCUCCGACAAUCGGAGUGACAAAUCCUAUUCUCGAAAUACGCCAACCCAACAUCUACCAUUGGAAACACCUGUAGUACUCCUUUAUAAUCACCCAGUUACGUUGUGACGUUUGGUAGCACCCAAAGUGUUCCUCCGGCAAACGGGAGUUGCAUAAUCUCAUAGUCAUAGGAACAUGUAUAAGUCAUGAAGAAAGCAAUAGCAACAUACUAAACGAUCGGGUGCUAAGCUAAAGGAAUGGGUCAUGUCAAUCAGAUCAUUCAUCUAAUGAUGUGAUCCCAUUAAUCAAAUAACAACUCUUUGUCCAUGGUUCGGAAACAUAACCAUCUUUGAUUAACGAGCUAGUCAAGUAGAGGCAUACUAGUGACACUCUGUUUGUCUAUGUAUUCACACAUGUAUUAUGUUUCCGGUUAAUACAAUUCUAGCAUGAAUAAUAAAUAUUUAUCAUGAUAUAAGGAAAUAAAUAAUAACUUUAUUAUUGCCUCUAGGGCAUAUUUCCUUCAGUCUCCCACUUGCACUAGAGUCAAUAAUCUAGAUCACAUCACCAUGUGAUUAACAUCGAUAGUUCACAUCAUCAUGUGAUUAACACCCAUAGUUCACAUCGCCAUGUGACCAACACCCAAAGGGUUUACUAGAUUCAGUAAUCUAGUUCACAUUGCUAUGUGAUUAACACCCAAAGAGUACUAAGGUGUGAUCAUGUUUUGCUUGUGAGAGAAUCUUAGUCAACGGGUCUGCCACAUUCAGAUCCACAUGUAUUUUGCAAAUUUCUAUGUCAACAAUGCUCUGCAUGGAGCUACUUUAGCUAAUUGCUCCCACUUUCAAUAUGUAUCUAGACCGAGACUUAGAGUCAUCUAGAUUAGUGUCAAAACUUGCAUCGGCGUAACCCUUUACGACGAAUCUUUUUAUCACGUCCAUAAUCGAGAAACAUAUCCUUAUUUCACUAAGGAUAAUUCUGACCGAUGUCCAGUGAUCUACUCCUAGAUCACUAUUGUACUCCCUUGCCAAAUCAGUGCCGGGUAUACAAUAGAUUUGGUAUACAGCAUGUCAUACUUUAUAGAACCUAUGGCCAAGGCAUAGGGAAUGACUUUCAUUCUCUUUCUAUCUUCUGCCGUGGUUGGGCUUUGAGUCUUACUCAACUUCACACCUUAUAAUACAGGCAAGAACUCUUUCUUUGACUGCUCCAUUUUGAACUACUUCAAAAUCUUGUCAAGGUAUGUACUCAUUGAAAAAACUUAUCAAGCGUCUUGAUCUAUCUCUAUAGAUCUUGAAGCUCAAUAUGUAAGCAGCUUCACCGAAGUCUUUCUUUGAAAAACUCCUUUCAAACACUCCUUUAUGCUUUAUAGAAUAAUUCUACAUUAUUUCCGAUUAACAAUAUGUCAUUCACAUAUACUUAUCAGAAAUGUUGUAGUGCUACCACUCACUUUCUUGUAAAUACAGGCUUCACCGCAAGUCUGUAUAAAACUAUAUGCUUUGAUCAACUCAUCAAAGCAUAUAUUCCAACUCCGAGAUGCUUGCACCAGUCCACAGAUGGAUCGCUGGAGCUUGCACAUUUUGUUAGCACCUUUCGGAUUGACAAAACCUUCUGUUGCAUCAUGUACAACUCUUCUUUAAUAAAUCCAUUAAGGAAUGCAGUUUUGUUUAUCCCUUUGCCAGAUUUCAUAAAAUGCGGCAAUUACUAACAUGAUUCGGACAGACUCAAGCAUAGAUACGAGUGAGAAGCUCUCAUCGUAGUCAUCACCUUGAACUUGUCGAAAAACUUUUGCGACAAUUCUAGCUUUGUAGAUAGUAACACUACUAUCAGCGUCCGUCUUCCUCUUGAAGAUCCAUUUAUUCUCAAUUGCUUGCCGAUCAUCGGGCAAGUCAACCAAAGUCCAAACUUUGUUCUCAUACAUGGAUCAUAUCUCAGAUUUCAUGGCCUCAAACCAUUUCGCGGAAUCUGGGCUCAUCAUCGCUUCCUCAUAGUUCGUAGGUUCGUCAUGGUCAAGUAACAUGACCUCCAGAACAGAAUUACCGUACCACUCUGGUGCGGAUCUCACUCUAGUUUACCUACGAGAUUCCGUAGUAACUUGAUCUGAAGUUACAUGAUCAUCAUCAUUAGCUUCCUCACUAAUUUGUGUAGUAGUCACAAGAACAGAUUUUUGUGAUGAACUACUUUCCAAUAAGGUAGAAGGUACAAUUACCUUAUCAAGUUUUCUACUUUCCUCCCACUUACUUCUUUCAAGAGAAACUCCUUCUCUAGAAAGGAUCCAUUAUAAGCAACGAAUGUCUUGCCUUAGGAUCUGUGAUAGAAGGUGUACCCAACAGUCUCCUUUGGGUAUCCUAUGAAGACAUAUUUCUCCGAUUUGGGUUUGAGCUUAUCAGGAUGAAACUUUUUCUCAUAAGCAUCGCAACCCCAAACUUCAAGAAACGACAACUUUGGUUUCGUGCCAAACCAUAGUUCAUAAGGCGUCGUCUCGACGGAUAUAGAUGGUGCCCCUUUUUUUAACGUGAAUGCAGCUGUCUCUAAUGCAUGACCCCAAAAACGAUAGUGGUAAAUCGGUAAGAAACAUCAUAGAUUGCACUAUAUCCAAUAAAGUACGGUUAUGGCGUUCGGACACACCAUUAUGCUGUGGUGUUCCAGGUGGCGUGAGUAGUGAAACUAUUUCACAUUGUUUUAACUGAAGACCAAACUUGUAACUGAAAUACUCUUUUCCACGAUCAGAUCGUAGAAACUUUAUUUUCUUGUUACGAUGAUUUUCCACUUCACUCUGAAAUUCUUUGAACUUUUCAAAUGUUUCCGACUUAUGUUUUAUCAAAUAGAUAUACUCAUAUCUGCUCAAAUCAUCUGUGAAGAUCAGAAAAUAAUGAUACCUAUCGCGAGCCUCAAUAUUCAUCGGACCACAUACAUCAGUAUGUAUGAUUUCCAACAAAUCUGUUGCUCGCUCCAUUGUUCAGAAGAACAAAGUCUUAGUCAUCUUGCCCAAAAGGCAUGGUUCGCAAGCAUCAAGUGAUUCCGAAAGCCCAUCAGCAUGGAGCGCUUUAUACCAAUAUGACCUAAACGGCAGUGCCACAAAUAAGUUGCACUAUCAUUAUUAACUCUGCAUCCUUUGGUUUCAAUAUUAUGAAUAUGUGUAUCACUACGAUCGAGAUCCAACGAACUUGUUUCAUUGGGUGUAUGACCAUCGAAGGUUUUAUUCAUGUAAACAGAACAACAAUUAUUCUCUGACUUUAAUGAAUAACCGUAUUGCAAUAAAUAUGAUCAAAUCAUAUUCAUGCUCAACGCAAAAACCAAAUAACACUUAUUUAAGUUCAACACUAAUCCCGAAAGUAUAGGGGAGUGUGCGAUGAUGAUCAUAUCAAUCUUGGAACUACUUCCAACACACAUCGUCACUUCACCCUUAACUAGUCUCUAUUUAUUCUGCAACUCCUGUUUUGAGUUACUACUCUUAGCAACUGAACCAAUAUCAAAUACUAAGGGGUUGCUAUAAACACUAGUAAAGCACACAUCAAUAACAUGUAUAUCAAAUAUACUUUUGUUCACUUUGCCAUCCUUCUUAUCCGCCAAUCACUUGGGGUAGUUCCGCUUCUAGUGACCAGUCCCUUUGCAGUAGAAGCACUUAGUCUCAGGCUUAGGAUCAGACUUGGGCCUCUUCACUUGAGCAGCAACUUGCUUGCCGUUCUUCUUGAAGUUCCCCUUCUUCCCUUUGCCCUUUUCUUGAAACUAGUGGUCUUGUCAACCAUCAACACUUGAUGUUUUUCUUGAUUUCUACCUUCGUUUAUUUCAGCAUCACGAAGAGCUUGGGAGUUGUUUCUGUUAUCCCUUGCAUAUUAUAGUUCAUCACGAAGUUCUACUAACUUGGUGAUGGUGACUAGAGAAUUCUGUCAAUCACUAUCUUAUCUGGAAGAUUAACUCCCACUUGAUUCAAGCGAUUUUAGUACCCAGACAAUCUGAGCACAUGCUCACUAGUUGAGCGAUUCUCCUCCAUCUUUUAGCCAUAGAACUUGCUGGAAACUUCAUAUCUCUCAACUCGGGUAUUUGCUUGAAAUAUUAACUUCAACUCUUGGAACAUCUCAUAUGGUCUAUGACGUUCAAAACGUCUUUGAAGUCCCGAUUCUAAGCCAUUAAGCAUGGUGCACUAAACUAUCAAGUAGUCAUCAUAUUGAGCUAGCCAAACGUUCAUAACGUCUGCAUCUGCUCCUGCAAUAGGUUUGUCACCUAGCGGUGCAUCAAGGACAUAAUUCUUCUGUGCAGCAAUGAGGAUAAAACUCAGAUCACGGAUCCAAUCCGCAUCAUUGCUACUAACAUCUUUCAACACAAUUUUCUCUAGGAACAUAUCAAAAUAAACACAGGGAAGCAACAACGCGAGCUAUUGAUCUAUAACAUGAUUUACAAAAUACUACCAGGACUAAGUUCAUGAUAAAUUUAAGCUCAAUUAAUCAUGUUACUUAAGAACUCCCACUUAGAUAGACAUCCCUCUAAUCCUCUAAGUGAUCACGUGAUCCAAAUCAACUAAACCAUAACCGAUCAUCACGUGAAAUGGAUUAGUUUUCAAUGGUGAACAUCAUUAUGUUGAUGAUAUCUACUAUAUGAUUCACGCUCGACCUUUCGGUCUCCGUGUUCCGAGGCCAUAUCUUUAUAUGCUAGGCUCGUCAAGUUUAACCUGAGUAUUCUGCGUGUGCAAAACUGGCUUGCACCAGUUGUAGAUGGACGUAGAGCUUAUCACACCCGAUCAUCACGUGGUGUCUGGGCACGACGAACUUUGGCAACGGUGCAUACUCAGGGAGAACACUUCUUGAUAAUUUAGUGAGAGAUCAUCUUAUAAUGCUACCGUCAAUCAAAGCAAGAUAAGAUGCAUAAAAAGAUAAACAUCACAUGCAAUCAAUAUAAGUGAUAUGAUAUGGCCAUCAUCAUCUUGUGCUUGUGAUCUCCAUCUCCGAAGCACCGUCAUGAUCACCAUCGUCACCGGCGCGACACCUUGAUCUCCAUCGUAGCAUCGUUGUCGUCUCGCCAAUCUUAUGCUUCCACGACUAUCGCUACCGCUUAGUGAUAAAGUAAAGCAUUACAUCGCGAUUGCAUUGCAUACAAUAAAGCGACAACCAUAUGGCUCCUGCCAGUUGCCGAUAACUCGGUUACAAAACAUGAUCAUCUCAUACAAUAAAAUUUAGCAUCAUGCCUUGACCAUAUCACAUCACAACAUGCCCUGCAAAAACAAGUUAGACGUCCUCUACUUUGUUGUUGCAAGUUUUACGUGGCUGCUACGGGCUUAAGCAAGAACUCAUCUCACCUACGCAUCAAAACCACAACGAUAGUUUGUCAAAUAGAUUCCGUUUUAACCUUCUCAAGGACCGGGCGUAGCCACACUUGGUUCAACUAAAGUUGGAGAGACAGUCGCCCGCAAGCCAUCUAUGUGCAAAGCACGUCGAGGGAACCGGUCUCGCGUAAGCGUACGCGUAAGGUUGGUCCGGGUCGUCUCGUCCAACAAUACCGCCGAACCAAAGUAUGACAUGCUGGUAGGCAGUAUGACUUGUAUCGCCCACAACUCACUUGUGUUCUACUCGUGCAAAUAAUAUCAAACCAUAAAACCUAGGCUCGGAUGCCACUGUUGGGGAACGUAGUAAUUUCAAAAAAUUUCCUACGCACACGCAAGAUCAUGGUGAUGCAUAGCAACGAGGGGGAGAGUCUGAUCUACGUACCCUUGUAGAUCGCAACGGAAGCGUUGACACAACGUAGAGGAAGUAGUCGUACGUCUUCUUCCCGAUCCGACCGAUCCAUGCACCGUUACUCCGGCACCUCUGAGUUCUUAGCACACGUUCAGCUCGAUGACGAUCCCCGGGCUCCGAUCCAGCAAAGCUUCGGGGAGGAGUUCCGUCAGCAUGACAGCGUGGUGACGAUCUUGAUGUUCUACCGACGCAGGGCUUCGGCUAAGCACUACAACGGUAUGGUCGAGGUGGAAUAUGGUGGCAGGGGGCACUGGACACGGCUAAGGAACGAUCUCAAUGAUCAACUUGUGUGUCUAGAGGUGCCCCUACCCUCGUAUAUAAAGGUUGCCAGGGGAGGGCUGGCCGGCCAAGCUAUGGAGGCGCAGGAGGAGUCAAACUCCUACCGGGAGUAGGACUCCCCCCCCCCAAUCUUAUUCCUAAUAGGACUCCCAAGGGGAAAGAGAGGGAGAGAGGUGGCCGGCCACCUCUCCUAGUCCUAAUAGGACUAGGGGAGGGGGGAGGCGCGCAGGCCACCUUGGGCUGCCCCUUUCACCUUUCCACUAAGGCCCAAUAAGGCCCAUUUGGUUCCCGGGGGUUCCGGUAACCUCCCGGUACUCCGGUAAAAUCCCGAUUUCUCCCGGAACACUUCCGAUGUCCAAACAUAGGCUUCCAAUAUAUCAAUCUUUAUGUAUCGACCAUUUCGAGACUCCCCGUCAUGUCCAGGAUCACAUCCGGGACUCCGAACAACCUUCGGUACAUCAAAAUGCAUAAACUCAUAAUAACUGUCAUCGUAACGUUAAGCGUGCGGACCCUACGGUUCGAGAACAAUGUAGACAUGACCGAGACACGUCUCCGGUCAAUAACCAAUAGCGGGACCUAGAUGCCCAUAUUGGCUCCUACAUAUUCUACGAAGAUCUUUAUCGGUCAGACCGCAUAACAACAUACGUUGUUCCCUUUGUCAUCGGUAUGUUACUUGCCUGAGAUUCGAUCGUCGGUAUCCAAUACCUAGUUCAAUCUCGUUACCGGCAAGUCUCUUUACUCAUUCUGUAAUACAUCAUCUCGCAACUAACUCAUUAGUUGCAAUGCUUGCAAGGCUUGUAUAAUGUGCAUUACCGAGAGGGCCCAGAGGUACCUCUCCGACAAUCGGAGUGACAAAUCCUAUUCUCGAAAUACGCCAACCCAACAUCUACCAUUGGAAACACCUGUAGUACUCCUUUAUAAUCACCCAGUUACAUUGUGAUGUUUGGUAGCACCCAAAGUGUUCCUCCGGCAAACGGGAGUUGCAUAAUCUCAUAGUCAUAGGAACAUGUAUAAGUCAUGAAGAAAGCAAUAGCAACAUACUAAACGAUCGGGUGCUAAGCUAAUGGAAUGGGUCAUGUCAAUCAGAUCAUUCAUCUAAUGAUGUGAUCCCAUUAAUCAAAUAACAACACUUUGUCCAUGGUUAGGAAACAUAACCAUCUUUGAUUAACGAGCUAGUCAAGUAGAGGCAUACUAGUGACACUCUGUUUGUCUAUGUAUUCACACAUGUAUUAUGUUUCUGGUUAAUACAAUUCUAGCAUGAAUAAUAAAUAUUUAUCAUGAUAUAAGGAAAUAAAUAAUAACUUUAUUAUUGCCUGUAGGGCAUAUUUCCUUCACUUCAAGUGUGUGUUGCCGAACAAAUUUGUUGCCGGAGGCAUCAUUGCCAAGCUUCCACCUUCGUGGAACAAUUUUGCUACUUCCCUGAAACACAAGAGACAGGAGUUUUUCGUUGCGGAUCUCAUUGGUACUCUUGAUGUUGAAGAGAAGGCGAGAGCAAAGGAUACACGUGCUCGAGUUGCUGAGGGAGGUUCUAGUGCCCACAUGGUACAGAAGAAGAUCUUCCAGCCCAACAAGUUCAAAAACAACAAGAACAAAACUUAGGGCAAAGGCAAGUUUGAUACAAAGAACAAGCCAUCACAUUCUACCAACUUCAAGAAGAACUCUCAUAAGAAGGGGAAGGGACUUUGCCAUGUCUGCGGUGAUCCUAAUCACUGGGCUCCGAAGUGUCCUAACCGCUUUGAGGAGCGCGAACAUGAGAAGAGCGGCAAGUCUGCUAAUGUUGUCAUCGGUGAUACUGAUAUGAAGGAAUCAGGGUACGGUAUUUUUCCUACCAUCCUUUCAGUAUUCCAAAUCCCUGAUUGGUUAAUUGACAUCGGUGCCAAUGUACAUGUUUGUGCUGAUGCCUCCAUGUUUUCUUCUUACCAGGCCACUUGGACUUCUCCUGUGCUGAUGGGGAACGGGUCACAUGCCAUCGUUCGAGGUGUUGGUGCGGUCAAUCUGAAGUUUACUUCGGGGAAGACCGUGCGUCUGAAGAACGUUCAUCAUGAGCCGUCCAUCAAUAAAAAUCUCGUUAGCGGUUCCCGUUUAUGUCGAGAUGGUUUUAAGUUGGUUUUCGAAUCCAAUAAAGUUAUAAUUUCUAAGUAUGGACAAUUUGUUGGAAAAGGCUAUGAGAGCGGAGGCUUGUUUCGCCUGUCUUUGUCAGAUAUUUGCACUAAAGUUAUUAAUAAUGUUUGCCACAACAAUGAGUCUGAUAUUUGGCAUUCACGACUUUGUCACAUUAACUUUGGUUGCAUGACCCGGCUAGCCAAUAUGAAUUUAAUUCCGAAAUCUCUACUGUCAAAGGCUCUAAGUGCCAAGUAUGUGUGAAAGCUAAGCAACCUCGCAAAUCCCAUAAGACUGCAGAGGCGACAGACUUGGCGCCACUAGAGCUUAUACAUUCUGAUAUUUGUGAGAUGAAUGGCGUGUGGACAAAAGGUGGAAAGAGAUACUUCAUGACGUUGAUUGAUGACUCCACUAGAUAUUGUUAUGUGUAUCUUAUGAAAUCAAAAGAUGAGGCUUUGGCUUUCUUCAAAAACUAUAAAGCUGAGGCAGAGAACCAACUUGAUCGAAAAAUUAAACGGCUUAGGUCCGAUCAUGGUGGAGAGUAUUUUUCCAAUGAAUUUGAUCUAUUUUGUGCGGAACAUGGUAUAAUCCAUGAGAGGAUGCCUCCCUACUCACCCCAGUCAGAUGCGGUAGCCGAAAGAAAGAACCAAACUCUAACUGAUAUGGUUAACACCAUGUUAGACACUUCGGGUCUAUCCAAGGAAUGGUGGGGGGAGGCGCUAAUGACUGCGUGUCAUGUCCUAAACCGAGUUCCCACAAAGCAUAAGACCAUGACUCCAUUUGAGGAAUGUUAAAGGAAAAGGUUGAAACUCUCUUACCUACGUACUUGGGGUUGUUUGGCGAAAGUCAAUAUACCAAUUCCCAAGAAGCGCAAGCUUGGACCAAAAACCGUGGGUUGUGUUCUUCUUGGGUAUGCUUUUCAUAGCAUCGGCUAUAGAUUUUUGAUAAUAAAAUCUGAGGUAUCCGACAUGCAUGUUGGUACGAUUAUGGAGUCGAAUGAUGCAACUUUCUUUGAGGACAUAUUUCCUAUGAAGGAUAUGUUGAGUUCAUCAAAUCAGGAGACACCUACUCCACCUAGUGAGGAAUUCACUGUAAUUCCUGAACCCACCAUUGCGAUGGAACACAUAGAGAAUCCUGUUGAGGGUGACAAUGGAACUCCUGUGAGGAGUAAGAGACAUAGGACUACAAAGUCCUUUGGUGAUGAUUUCAUUGUGUACCUCGUGGAUGACACACCCAGGACUAUUUCAGAAGCCUGUGCAUCUCUUGAUGCUGACUACUGGAAGGAAGCUGUACAUAGCGAGAUGGAUUCCAUCUUAGGUAACAGAACCUGGGAGAUCACUGACCGUCCUUAUGGGUGAAAACCUGUAGGAUGUAAGUGGGUGUUCAAGAAGAAGCUUAGACCUGAUGGUACGAUUGAAAAGUACAAGGCACGGCUUGUGGCCAAGGGUUAUACCCAGAAAGAAGGUGAAGACUUCUUUGAUACUUACUCACCCGUGGCUAGAAUGACCACAAUUUGGGUGCUACUAUCACUUGUUGCCUCACAUGGUCUUCUCGUUCAUCAAAUGGACGUUAAGACAGCUUUCCUCAAUGGAGAGUUGAAGGAGGAAAUUUACAUGGAUCAGCCAGAUGGUUUUGUAGUACCUGGUUAGUAAGGAAAGUUGUGCAAGUUAUUAAAGUCUUUAUAUGGCCUUAAACAAGCUCCUAAAGAGUGGCAUGAGUAGUUUGAAAGAACAUUAACUGCUGCCGGCUUUGUAGUAAACGAUGGUGACAAGUGCGUGUACUAUCGCUAUGGUGGUGGCGAAGGAGUUAUUCUUUGUCUGUAUGUCGACGACAUAUUGAUCUUUGGAACGAAACUUGAUUUAAUCAAGGAGGUUAAGGAUUUCUUAUCUCGCUAUUUUGAGAUGAAGGAUCUAGGAGUAGUUGAUGUUAUCUUAAACAUCAAGCUGUUGAGAGAUGAGAAUGAUGGGAUCACACUGCUUCAGUCUCACUAUGUGGAAAAGGUCUUGAGUCGUUUUGGGUAUAGCGACUGCACACCUUCUCCAACUACAUAUGAUGCUAGCAUGUUGCAUCGAAAGAAUCGACGGAUUGCUAGAGAUCAACUGAGGUAUUCUCAUAUUAUUGGCUCGCUUAUGAUUUGGCGAGUGCCACGAGGCCAAACAUCUCGUUUGCUGUUAGCAAGCUGAGUCGAUUUGUGUCAAAACUAGGAGAUGAUUAUUGGCAUGCGCUUGAGAGAGUUAUGCGCUAUUUGAAAGGCACCGCGAGCUAUGGGAUUCACUACACCGGGUAUCCAAGGGUACUGGAGGGUUAUAGUGACUCAAACUGGAUAUCUGAUGCUAAUGAGAUUAAGGCCACAAGUGGUUAUGUUUUUACACUUGGUGGUGGCGCUGUUUCUUGGAAGUCCUGCAAGCAGACCAUCUUAAUGAGGUCAACUAUGGAAGCAGAACUCACAACAUUAGAAACUGCUACUGUUGAAGCAGUGUGGCUUCGUGAGCUCUUGAUGGACUUUCCUAUGGUUGAAAAACCAAUACCCCCUAUCCCAAUGAACUGUGAUAAUCAAACUGUGAUCGUCAAGAUAAACAGUUCUAAGGACAAUAUGAAGUCCUCAAGGCAUGUGAAGAGGAGACUGAAAUCUGUUAGAAAAUUGAGGAACUCCGGAGUUAUUACGUUGGAUUAUAUCCAAACGUCAAAAAAAUUGGCAGAUCCCUUCACAAAGGGUCUAUCACGUAAUGUGAUAGAUAAUGCAUCGAUGGAGAUGGGUUUGAGACCCACCGCAUGAGUUGUCCAUAGUGGUAACCCACUCUUUGUGAUCGGAGAUCCCGUGAAGUAGAAGUGGGAGACAAGCUGUUGGUCAGCUGGGAGGAGAGUAUCCCUAUAUUACCUGUCCCACUCCAUGAAGAUGCAACACUCUCCUAAUCUGCAUGGCAGGUUGAUACUUAUCUUAAUGUGUUCCAAGUGGCUUAUUCGGGUAAGCAGAGAUGUUGUCCUGCGGAACAUCUUCUGAGGAACACACCUAUAUGAAUUUGAUUGUUAACGUCGCAGUCUGUGAGAAUUGGGUGUUCUCUAAUAAAUUCAUGAAAAGGCCCUGGAGUAUGACGUAUAAGCUCCACCCGCAGGGAAGCCUUGCGGCAGCCCAGUAUCGGUCAAGAAUUUGUGUGAAACUAGUCUCGCAGAAAAUUUGUAGUUCAAGGCAUAGUCCACUAUUCAAGUUGUGAUCUAGUGUAGCAUAAAUCUCUAAGUGGAAGUUCAACUUCAAAGUCUCCACUAAGCCCCGGUAUAUAAACAAUGUUUUGGAACUAAAUGAUGAGAUGUGCCAAUGAGACUUUGUGGGGGAUUGUUGGAAUUUUGCUAGUAUGCCUUUGGCCCAAAGCCCAACUAAAAUUCUGAAAUUCUCUUCGCCCAUUCAUGCACACAUGUGAGUGGAGUGAGUGAGACUAAAGUUUAGUCCCACCCCGGAAGUUGAGAGAGAGCACCUCUUUAUAAGGUGAGCUCUUCUACCACUUGUAUGAGCAUGAGAGUAGGAGACCUACACACGCGCUGCUCCUCCUCGCUCACCACGCCACGCCUGGUCACGACGCGCCGCGGGUUGCGGGAUUGAGCCGAGCCGAGGUCAGAGCUAUGCACGUUGUCUAUUUUUUGCUACCCCGGAAAAUUAAUGAGUCAUUAAUUAAUAAUUAAUGGACGUGUUAAUUACUAAACCGUUUCCGAUUCUUUUGGAUCAUGACGACUCGGACGUGGGGUUUACUCCCACGACCUACCAGGCCCGCACUAUAUAGUCCGGCAGACGUGUACCCUAGCUGUCGCCGCUUCGUAUGGUUUCUCACCACCGUUCCAGAUCAUUGCGUCGCCAAGCAAGUCUUCUCCAUCCCUCCUUUCGGCGUGCACCGGGAGAAGGGACAGCAGGCCUCCGGAACCCCGCCUCUCGUGAUCCUGUAUGGGAGAGGGGCGAUCAGGUUUUUGGGGAGCGCACUCGCGCGACUUCUGGCAGCGACGACUUCGCGAAUGACGACUUCUUCCCUGACCUCGGCAACCUCAUCCUCGACGACAUGGGCGACAACGUCAACGCCGGCGGUCCUGCACCCGCUGCACCGUAUGUUAUUCUAUCCUUCUUGUUCGAGAUCGUGGUAGAAUUCAGGUUUCUAGUAUAUGCCCUAGAUGUGAUCUGUUCAUCUACUAUGCUAGUUCGCAUGAUUAGUUUAAUCUCUGCUAUUGCUGUCAUGAUCUAUUUCCUAUUUAUUCGGAUUAAAUCUCGUAGUAAUUUGCUCAUUUUUCCAAUAGUACCAUCUAAUAGAUGAUGUAAAUCUCCUCUAGUUUGACGUUGUUGAGCUAAUUUACAAAAAAAAAACCUCAUCAUUAUUGGACGUCCUUAACAGCUCAAGAACAAGUUGGGGUCGAACUAAUGGAUUUUACACUUUUACAUUAAAGGUUUAGCUAAAGCUAGCAGGUGUUUUUAAACCUGAAUUUUUUUUUCCUCCUGAAUUUCUUUGUAUUUUCUUAUUGACACUAUUUAUACAAUCAUCUGACAAAGAUUAGCUAAAGAUGUUUGUAGAUACGUUGAAACCUGAAAAGCUUCUUUGGUUAUCCUUUUAAUAGUUCUACGUUUAAUUUCUCAUAGGUCAUAAUUCUUAUGUAAUACCAAGAUGCAUUGUGGUAGUGUACAUGUGUUCAAUUCAGGUUGUUAUUCACAAUUUGCGACAAAAUUUAGCUCACGCUACAUUUAAAUAUGUUGAAAUGUGAAUGCUCUUUUUCUUCUCCUUUCUACACCUUGCAUCGGAUUGCAUCCCUUUAGUUAUCCAACAUUUUGUACAACAUGUAGAGAUUAGGAAGUUCAUCAUAGUUUGUCUAUUUCCGUGCUAAUAAAUGUAUGAAAUCUGCAUUUCCAAGCUACUAGGACAAGUAAAAAAUAAUAAUUUUACUAUAGGAUUCAAAAACAGCAGUUCUGAAGUGCACUUUAUUUAUUUUUGAAAGUGAUCACAUUUUGUUUCAUUUUUCUAUAGACAAAUCUACUAAUACAUACUCACGAUAAAACUAUAAAAAUUCUAGUCCGCACAUUGGGCGGGCCACCCGGCUAGUUAGUCUAAAGAUAACAAAAUGAGUCUGGAAUUUGAAUUAAAUUGAAGUAUUUUCUUGGACUUUCAAAUUAAGUUUUAUUAAAGUAGUAAGGACUAUCCACAUCCUUGGCUUGCCCCUGAUCAAUUAUUUCCAGAGAAGCAUUCGAUUCAUCAAUCAAUUACAUUGAUUUUAGUGGCUGGUACUUCUCCUCAACAUCAGUAUAUUCACCGUGGCCACUCCAAAUCGGCAAGAAUGAGGUACCAGUGCUCUGCAGCAGUGCAAGCUAAUUGCUUCUCAUGUGAAGGGGUGCGGGCGCAGGAGAGGUAUUUCUGGUGGGCCAAGGGACUAAGAAGCGACUGUGGCAGCGGUAUAGAUGCCCGCAAAGCCCCAUAGUUUGUUUUUCGUUUACAGGAAAAAUGCACAUCCAUACCAACCUUGGGAAUAUAGGACCGUAUUGGAUGGAAAACCAUGUCCGGAUGGUUGCGAGCGGUUUGAGGGUUAGCUUUUGUAACGCCCGGUUAGUUAUGCUAUAGCAAUUCCCUGCUAAUGAUGUCACGUCACCACGAUUACUAUUGUUAACCUCACAAUGAUUCAAUCCCCUUCAAAUUCAAAUUUAAAAUAAAGGUAAACAUCAAAAGUUUUCAAACAUUAAAACUAAAAUCUUUGAGAGGUGACAAAUAAUGCAUAAGUAAUUAUGGUGGAGAAACCACACUUUAAUCAAAUGUUUAAAUACUCUAAAAUGAAAAAAACAGUUGCUUAAACUAUUAUUUAAAUGCUUUUAAAAUAGUAAAAAUCUUCUAACUAAAUUAUUUGGGUACCAAACUUUUGGUGGCAGUGGUAUAUUUAGUAGAAUUAAUUUAGAUGCUAAUUAUAUAAUUUACAAAAUUAGAGUAAAUUGAAAAAUAGGAUAAAACGGAAAAGGAAAGACAAAACAAAUAAAAGCAAAAGGGGCCAACCCCUCGCUGGGCCUCGACCUAGCUGCCACUAGGCUAGCUAGGCUGGCCCCGGCGCCUCCCUUAACCCCCCCCCCCACUCCCCAUCGAACCCAAGCCCGAUCGCCCCACUUCCCCCACACCCCCUCGCCAGCCUCCCCACCUCUUGAUCCCAUCUGGAUCGGGGAGGGUAUUGCCCCCAUCGACCCCGUUGCCGUCGCCGGAUUGCCCGCCGAUGUCGCCAGGCCUCCUCCCCGCCGCCCGUCUCCGGCUCGCCUCCCCUCUCGCUCCUCUUCCCCGACCCGAUCUAGAUCGUGAACGAGCAAUGAGCUCGAAGCCCCCUUCACCGGCGCCAUCACCGUGCGCCACCACCACCGCCUGAGGACCUCACCGUCGCCGAAUCUAGCGUCGCCUCCUCGUAUCCCUCCCCUACUCGCGUCCUCAAGCCAGGACGAGCCCCUUCUCGGCAACGCUGUGAGACGCCCCCGUUUCCCUCCUCUUUCCACCGCGUUCAUCGCGCCGCCCGCCGUGCCCCUCGCCGUGCGCACGCCCACCACCGCACCAGCCCCCGCUCCGCGCACGACCCUACCCGCGCCCGCGCCAUGAUCCCCUUUUCCGCCCUACCUUCCUGCGCUCGCCGCGGUCCCGAUGCUCCCCCGCGCCCUCUUUCGGGGGCGCCGACCUCCCCUGUCCCGCUGCUCGGCGCCGUGCCUCGCAAUCGCUCUACUGCUAAGUUACUACUGCGCUGCGGCCGUCGCCUCUUCCUUCUGCUCCGCUAGCGCCGAAGCUCCCGAUUGGCUCCACCACUUCUCACGUUAAACCGCCGGCCUAAAUGGCCUAACCCCGGGCUAAUGAACCCCCACUAACCCACUGACACCGGGACCCACAUUCCCUAAUUAACCAUUUAAUAAAUUAAAACUCUUAAAUUAACAUUAGUGUAUGACAUGUGCGUCCCCUAUUAAUUAAUAAUUUUACUGCUAGUUUUCUUAGUUUCUGUUUUUCUGCAUAUUUCUUUUGUAUUUGAACAGGCUUUAUACAAUAAUAUUUAGCGUCUCAUACACAUACAAAUGUAAUUAUAGCAUAUACAUACAAAUAGUCUCAUCAAAUCAUGUGAUCAUCAUAAUCAUCAUCCAUCACAAAGUGAUCUCUCGUCAUCAUCUCGAAAAUAGCGAUACUAGUCUCGAUUACUUGCAACUACAUCGUCAUCCAUCUAAACAAUGAUAUACGCGAGAAGAGCUAUCACUAUGAGUGAGAGCGGAACUAUGCAGUACAUGAGUUUGUAUCCCUCUCUCACAUUAGCGUGAACCUAAACUAACUACUGGCUGUUGCUCGGAAACCGGAAAACGGUACACCUGGGCCUGACACUCCGGCCACUCGUCGUAUACUCCUGGCGUAGCACUUCUUCGCCAUCGAUGAUCUAUGCACCUGCAUCGUCACAUGAGUCGAUGAUAUGCAACAUAUAUAGUUGAGCAACAGAAAGAGACAGACGUGGCAAAAGUAGAAGCAACAUAUCAUAAGCAUAAAUAACAAAGCUCAUCGUACGCAAAAUGCCCUAACUAGAGUGAUCUGCGCUAGUCAAGGAGGACGGUUUAAUUACAUCACAAAUAAUGUUUCGUCGUGCAUUACUCAAAGUUCCGUCAUACAGAAAGUAUGAACUAAAUGGACACAUUGUCAUAUUUCGAAAAUCACUCCCACAUGUCGUGCCAUCCAUCCAAGUCAAGGAGAUAGUGCCCGAGCUUAGUGAAAGGCUUUAGGUCAAGAUGCUGAGUGGCUACGCGUGUUCGGACGUCUUCCCACGACAUUUGUCCUUCUUCAUAGAACAUCCCUGUUUUUUCGACGACCUCCUUCAUCACUAGAAGAAAAAGGGCCUGUUGUCCCGGUUCUGGAACCGGGACUAAAGGGUCGGUACUAAUGCCCUGUCCCUUUAGUCCCGGUUCAAUCCAGAACCGGGACAGAUGGGCCUCCACGUGGCCUGUGCGCGGAGCCCAGGCAGGAGACCCUUUGGUCCCGGUUGGUGGCACCAACCGGGAACAAUAGGCAUCCACGCGUCAGCAUUUCUGUGGUUGGGGUUUUUGUUNNNNNNNNNNNNNNNNNNNNNNNNNNNNNNNNNNNNNNNNNNNNNNNNNNNNNNNNNNNNNNNNNNNNNNNNNNNNNNNNNNNNNNNNNNNNNNNNNNNNNNNNNNNNNNNNNNNNNNNNNNNNNNNNNNNNNNNNNNNNNNNNNNNNNNNNNNNNNNNNNNNNNNNNNNNNNNNNNNNNNNNNNNNNNNNNNNNNNUGGUGUUUCAUAUAUUGUGUUAGCUAGCUAUAAUUAAUAGAGAAAAGUGUCCUCUCUUAUGUCCGUGCUUGGUCGACGCUACGUACUAUACAUACGUAUAGAGAGGACUAGACACGCUAGCUAGCUAGUAAGCAAACGAAGGAAACAGAAGAUCGUCAUGAACAUAUAUGCAUACAGGACUAGACACGCUAGCUAGCUAGUAACCAAACGAAGUUCAACUAGUAAUGGCGCACCACUCCCACGGUGCGCCAUUAGUAGUUUUGAAAAAAAUUAAUUUUUUUUUUUACUAAUGGCGCACUGUGGAUGUGGUGCGCCAUUAGUAUUUGGACACUAAUGGCGUACCAACACAUGGUGCGCCAUUAGUAUAUAGUAAUGGCGCACCACAGGUCUGGUGCGCCAUUAGUGUCAAUUCCAUCUAUAGCCCUUUUCCUAGUAGUGUUAGGGACGGUCUCAAUGAAACAACCCACCAUGUACUCCUGCAUGGCCUCUCAUCGAUACCUUUACCGAAACAUGUGCAACACAUUCCUCAUAUUACCGACAUAAUCAUAUCACCCUAGCCCAUCACCCAGAUGAACCAGACCUGACACAACUAUAAGCAUAGCAGGCAUAGCAAGGUAGGAAUCACAUACAUGGCUCAAUCAACUCCUACACAUGCUAGUGGGUUUCAUCUAGUUACUGUGGCAAUGACAGGUCAUGGAGAGGAUAAGGGUUCAACUACCGUAGCACACAGCAGUUUGAAUGGCGUUGUCUUAAUGCAGUAAACAAGAGCAGAGGCGAGAACAUGGGUUGUAUCGGAAUGAUCAAUGGGUUGCUUGACUGAUGGAGUGGUAGUGGGAUACUACCCUUCAGUUGGAUACUCGUGAAUAUCCUCGGAGGCAGAACCUACCACGAAGAACACAUCGGAACACAAUCAACACAUGACGAUAUGCAACACUAUGAUGCAUGCUAUGACAUGGCAUUAUGAAUGUGUCUUGGCCUAAUGCAAGCUAAAAUAGAAAGGGAUGAACUCAUUUGAAUCAAAGAUUCAAAUAUUAGCUCAUUAAACAUGGCCUUAGUAGUGCAUUUCCUUAUUCUGCUUAAACAGCAAGGUAAACUUGUUUUGUCAUACAUGAAACCAUUACAGAUGGAUGUAUUGAAUUUUUCUGAUAAUUUUUCAUAUAUAAAUUAUUUCAUUUGGAGUUACGGUUGAAUUUCUAUGAUUUUUAGAAGUUUUAAACAUUUUCUGGAAUUUCCUGAAUAAAAAUAAAUCCAGAAAAUGCAUUACUGCGUCAGUAUUGCAUCAUGCUGACCUCAGCAGGUCAAAGGCGCCAGCCCAGGUCAAAACUGACUGGUGGGCCCCUUCUGUCAGUCUCUCAGUUAAAUAAUAGGAUUAGAUUAACACUAAUUAGCUGUCAGUGGGGCCUGGGCCCACAUGUCACUGACUGAUUAAAAUAAAAUUAGUUAAAACUAAUCCUUGAUUAGUUAGCAGACCGGCCCCUCCUGUCAUAGACUCAGGGGGGUCUACCUGGGCCCACCCAGGGUCAAACUGGGUCAAACUCGCCGGCGUUGAGCCGCCGGCGAGACCCGAGACGGUGGCGCAGCUCGGAAAACGCCUACAGGGCACGAGCGAGGCCGUUCUUGGGCUCGUUGGAGAGCUCUUGCAGCCGCGCAUCUAGUGGUGGUGGGGGCCGGAGACGACGACGGCGAGCUCCAAGGCGGCGGCUGGAGUUCGGCCAUGUGCGGGGUGUGGGCUGUGGCGUGCAAACGUGGAAACUGAAGCGCUAGCGAGGCACUACGCGAUGCGGCAAGCACGUUGCAUAGCACGGGAUGAUCCAAUGGUCGCCGGAGCGGCGCCGGCGACAAGCUCGAGCCGAGACGAGCUUCGGCCAUGGUGGAACUAUGGCCUAGAGGGUGCAAACGCGUGGAAAAGAAGAGGGGAAAGGUGGCGGAGCUCACAGGGAGGUCGAUGAGCAGCUCAAUGGGCUCGGGGGUCACCGGAGUGAGGCGAAUCGAUGAGCGGCGUCCGGCGGGUACCGAGGUUGAAGACGAUCCGAUGGCGGCGAUGCAGGGACUCCGGCGAUGCGUGGCUCAGUGGGGAGGGCGAGGGCGUCACAGCGGAGCUUCUGGACAGGUCAGAGAGGCGAGGGGGUGACGGAGGGCGCGACUACGGCGGUGAGACGGCGACGGGUGCGUCGGCCAUUGCGGGAGAGGGAGAGGGAGACAAGUGGGAGAGUGAGAGAGGAUGAGAGGGGGACGUGGGGGUCGCGUGGCAUUCCCUGGACGUCUCCCAGCAUCGGCGGAAGCAGGAGGUGGCCGGCGUGUGGCCGCGGGCGCCGGCCACGCGCUCCACGUCCUUCUGGCGUGAGGAGGACGACGACUGGCAGCGCCAGUAGGCUGGGCCGAGCCAGGGGGCUGGCCAGCACAGGUAAGGCCCAGGUGGGCAUCUCCCUCUUUUUUUUAAUUUGUUUCUGUUUUCUAUUUAACUGUAACUGUUGGGCUUUAUUUAAAAUACUAAAACAUUUCCAAAAAUCCUGAAAAUAAUUGUGGGCUCUGUUUGGAUUAUUUCCAACAGCAGACAUUUAUUUCCAGAAUUAUUUGAGCAUUUAAAUGCCCAAAUUCAAAUACUUAUGAUUUAAAUCAAUGACCUUCUAUUGACCUCGAAAAGUUGUGCACCAAUUUUGCCAGAGGUUCUAACCCAAGACAAAGAGGGUGAACUUUUUAGAAGGGCAUUUCAGGUUCAUUGAAAAUAAUUUUAGUAAUCCCUAGUUGUUUCCAGGGGGGUGUUGGGGGUUUCUGCCUUCCCCAAUUCAAAUUUAAGAGGAAUUUAAACAUGAUGCACAUUCUAAUGCUUGAUCUAGCUAGGGUGUGACAACUCACCCCCACUCAAAAGAAUCUCAUCCCGAGAUUUAGGAUCCUCUGGAAAGAAGGUGGGGUACUCGAGUCGAAGACGAUCCUCCCUUUCCCAAGUGGCUUCUUUCUCGGAAUGGUGUGACCAUUGAACCAUGAGAAACUUGAUAUUAUGACGUCGAGUAGUAUGCUCGGCUUGAUCAAGGAUACGAACGGGAUAUUCCUGAUAAGAGAGGUUAUCUUGUAGAUCAAGCGUUUCGUGGUCCACUCCACGGAUAGGAUCCGCGAAGCAACGCCUGAGUUGUGAAACGUGGAAGACAUCAGGAACUCUGGAAAGAUGCGGAGGUAGUUCCAAUUGGUAGGCAACUUCUCCUUGUUUGGCAAGAAUGCGAACGGGUCCAAUGUAACGAGGAGCCAAUUUGCCUUUGAUACCGAAACGAUGGGUUCCUUUUAACGGGGUAACCCGAAGGUAAGCCUUCUCAUCGACUUCAUAAGUCAUAGAGUUAUGUUUAUGAUCAUAUUGACUCUUUUCACGAGAUUGGGCUGUUUUCAAUUUCUCACGAAUAACGCGAACCUGCUCUUCCGCUUCCUGAAUCAUAUCCGGGCCAAAGAGUUGUCUUUCCCUGGUUUCUGACCAGUUAAGGGGUGUUCGAUAUUUUCGUCCAUAGAGAACUUUGAAAGGAGCUUUGCCCAAGCUAGCUUGAUAACUAUUGUUAUAAGCAAACUCUGCGAAUGGGAGGCAUUUCUCCCAACUCAUUCUGAAUGAGAUAACAGAAGCUCAGAGCAUAUGUUCCAGAAUUUGAUUGACUCGCUCUACUUGACCACUUGACUGAGGAUGGAAGGCGGUACUAAAAGAGAGACGAGUUCCCAUAGCAUUUUGGAAACUUUCCCAAAAUCGAGAGGUGAAGAGACUCCCACGCUCUGAGUUAUUUUCCAAUGGGACACCAUGGAGAGACACUAUUCGGGAGAUGUAUAAAUCGGCUAGCUGGCUAGCAGUGAUACUCUCACGAACAGGUAGGAAAUGGGCUACUUUGGAAAGACGGUCGAUGAUGACGAAGAUGGCAUUAUUCCCUCUCUUGGUCCUGGGAAACCCAGUAAUGAAAUCCAUACUGAUUUUAUCCCAUUUCCAUUCAGGAAUAGCCAAAGGUUGAAGGGUGCCAGUAGGCCGUUGAUGCUCUGCUUUAACACGAAUACAGACGUCACAGCUAGCAAUGUAUCGAGCAAUUUCUCUCUUCAUCCUAGUACACCAAAACCUCUCGCGUAGGUCUUGAUACAUUUUUGUGCUACCGGGAUGAAUGGUGAGAGGGGAUUCAUGAGCUUCCUUAAGGAUCAAUUGGCGUAGAUGUUGUUUCUUGGGAACCACCAAACGGUUCUCAAAGAAGACAGCACCCCGCUUAUCCAUGGAAAAACAUUUAGCAACUCCGCUAGCAAUGUUUUCCUUAAUCCGGGAUAUGCCCUUAUCAUACCGCUGGGCAGUUAUGAUCUGAUCCAUAAGGUUAGGUUUCGCCACCAGGGUGGAUAGGAAUCCUCGAGGAACAAUGUGAAGAUUAAGCUUACGGAAUUCCUCAUGGAGAAGUGGUUGACUUUGUUGUAACAUCAGGUUGUUACAACAGGAUUUACGGCUUAGCGCAGCAGCCAUGACAUUGGCUUUGCCCGGUGUGUAGGUUAUUCCUAAGUCGUAAUCCGAGAUCAACUCAACCCAACGUCUUUGCCUGAGAUUCAAAUCUGGUUGGGUGAAGAUAUAUUUCAAGCUUUGGUGAUCGGUGAAGAUCUCGCAACGAUUACCGAGGAGGUAAUGUCGCGAAGUUUUAAGUGCAUGGACUACAGCUACCAGCUCUAGAUCAUAUGUGGGAUAAUUUUCCUCAUGUGGGUGUAAUUGCCAUGAAGCGUAGGCAAUUACCUGAGGAUCUUGCAUGAGUAUGCAACCUAGUCCUUGUCGCAGAUGUCAGGCGUCUUUUCAGUUCCUGAAAGCUGAACUCGCACUGUGGAGUCCACUCGAACUUUUUAUCUUUCUUGAGGAGUUCAAUUAGAGGUUUAGCAACCUUGGAGAAACUCUCGCCGAAGCGGCGGCAAUAGCUCGCUAAGCCAAGGAAGCUCCAAACUUGCUUGACCGUCUCAGGUGGAGUCCAAUCAAGGACCGCUUGAACUCGCUCGGGAUUGACGGCAAUACCCUUACCAGAGAUUACAUGGCCUAGAUAGGUUACUUCUGGCAACCAAAAUUCACACUUGGAGAACUUGGCAUAAAGGCGAUGCUCUCGAAGUUUCAUCAAUACCAGCCUUAGAUGUUCGGCAUGUUCCUCUUCAUUCUUGGAGUAGAUGAGUAUGUCAUCGAGGUAUACUACGACGAAUUUAUCCAAGUACUCCAUGAAAACCGAGUUCAUUAACCGGGAGAAGGUAGCCGGGGCAUUGGUUAAACCGAAGGACAUAACGGUGUACUCGUAUUGGCCAUAACGAGUAACAAAGGCCGUUUUGGGAAUGUCCCCGUUUCUGAUUUAGAUUUGAUGGUAGCCCAACCUCAAAUCCAUCUUGGAAAAGACUGAGGAUCCAGCGAGCUGAUCAUACAGAUCGUUGAUCCUGGGAAGUGGGUAUUUGUUCUUGAUGGUGACAAAGUUGACAGGUCGGUAAUCCACAACCAUUCGAUCUGUUCCAUCCUUCUUCUUGACGAAGAGGAUGGGGCAAGCCCAAGGAGAGGAACUAGGACGGAUGAAACCCUUUUUCAAGGACUCAUCGAGUUGGUUCUUAAGCUCGGCUAGUUCUAAGGGUGCCAUCUUGUAGGGUCUUCUAGAAAUUGGAACGGUUCCUGGAACAAGGUCUAUCACAAACUCGACAUCCCUGUCAGGUGGAACACCUGGCAGUUCUUCUGGAAAGACAUCCGGAAAGUCUCGGACUACCGGAACAUCCUCAAGGUCUGGAAGGGGGUUGGCAUUUAGGGAGUAAAGUUGGCGCUUGGCCACUCGAGUUAAGACAUUAACUGUCUUGCCCAAUGGGUGAGUAAGUUGAACGGUUCUAGUGGCACAGUCAAGCUUAGCAUAAUGAGCUGACAUCCACUCCAUACCUAAGAUGAUGUUUAUGUCCGAGGACUUGAGAGCUAUUAAGGAUACAAGGAAGACAAGUCUAUCGACAAGAAUUUCGUUCCCAUGGCUUACUCUAGAAGUUUGCCAUCUAGAGCUAGGGGUUUGAAUUUCCAUGGUAGAGGGCAUGUCACAGAAUGUCGUGUUGUGCAAUCGAGCAUAGUUCUCGGAUAUGAAUGGAUGAGAUGCUCUAGUAUCGAAAAGAACAGAUGUCGGAUGGCAGUUAACAAGGAGCGUACCAAGGACGAGGUUGGGAUCCUCAUGAGCCUCCUCGGCUGAAACAUAGUUGACAUGGCCACGUGCAGUGGUGGCUGGCUUGGCGUAGAAUGUUUUCCCCGCGGGCUUACCACGGCCAACGGACUUUCCAGUUUGAUUGGGGUUGUUGUUCUGGGGACACUCUCGGCUAUAGUGACCCGGCUCUCCACACUUAAAGCAUGUCACCACAUUGGGGCGUGGAGCAGCAUUAGCAGUAGGGCCACCAUAGGGCUUGGGCGGUGCAAAUUGCUGGUUGGGACGUGGUGCCUCAAAGGAUGGCCUCGGGAUGAACCUGGGUGGCAGUGCCGUGCUUGGAAUCCACACCCGGCGCUUCUGAGCUCUAGAGCCGGAUGAAGAGCCAAAAUCACGGGAGUGCUUGCAUGAAGCGUCAUAAUCAGUCUGGCCUUUCUCAGCACUGAUGGCUUUAUUGACCAACUUCUGAAAGGAGGUGCACUCGGGCAGACGAAGAUCGCGGUGAAGCUCAGGGCUAAGUCCCUUGCGGAACCUUGCCUGCUUCUUAGCAUCAAUAGAUACCUCUUUAGGGGCAUAACGUGCCAGAUUCCGAAAUUCACGACCGUAAGCAUCCACAGUCAGUCUUCCUUGGGUGAAGUUGCAGAACUCCUCCCUCUUGCGAUCCAUGAGACCUUCCAGAAUGUGAUGCUCACCGAAAGCCUCACAGAAUUCAGCCCAAGUAGUGAUUUGGCCGACCGGGCGCAUAGCUUCGAAGUUUUCCCACCAAAGGCUAGCAGGGCCUUCGAGGUGAUAGGCAGCAUAAGUAACCUUGUCGGCUGCGGCUGCGUUGGCAGAACGUAGCUUGUGGGUGAUGCUGUGAAGCCAGUCAUCCACAUCGAGGUACUCGACGGAAUGGUUAAACUUUGGUGGGUAUAGCUUGAUAAAGUCAUUGAUUGACACCAAUCAUUUCGUGGGUGGCGUGCAGUGUUCUGCUCAAUCCGCUCCAACAGGCGGUUGGUCUGACGCUUCUUUAUUUCCGCCUCCAGCAUUACUUCGGCCAGAGAAGGCGGGUGAGGCAGAUUUUCACCUCUAGCAGCACUGGCUUCCCCCUGCUCCAGGGCAGCAGGGUUGCUGCGGGUGUUGACCAUCCUAGGAGAAAACAAGACAACGGUUUAGACAAGGAUGUCUCAAAUUAGCAAGGAUGUGCAGAAUGUAAUGGAUAACACGGAAUGCAGAGAUGUUCAUCCGUAUGUCAUGGUAAUAUAAAACUGCCAUAUAUAUACCAACGGUCAUACACAUCAUACAUAGUUUAGUACAAGCCCAGGCUACAAUACAACUAUGAUGAAAGACGUUACAUCUCAUCGGAGGCAUUCCAAGCUCCUAUACAUUAUUGUCUACACCUCCAAAAUUGAUUACACGCAAAGUCAUAUUCCAAAAGUCACGCAGGACAGUGGAGAUACAGCUACUACAAUACUAGUGGUACUACUACUAACUCAGACAGCUCCGUAGUAGUCCUCAUAGAAGUCACCUCCAUAGCCUGGAAGUUCAACGGGACCAUCCGGGAACAGACGGUCCUGAGGAGCCUGUGGACCAUAGGGGCUAGGAUGGUGUCUUGGACCAACAAACGGUGGCCUGCGGGAACCACGGGGUGGGGUGAUGCCUCCCACAUCACGCCAAUCCACCACGUCUGGCAAAGCAGACCUCACAGGAUACAGAUCCCUUGUAUCCAUACAUCUAGCUUGCACCGCAGGUGCAAACCGAGCCAAUGUGGCCCAAUGAUCAGCACGGGUAUUAAAAAGCUCCAGCCUCAAGGCCCGAUUCUCUCGGUCCUUAUCUUCGAGCAUCUCAGCAGUGGUACGAGUUAAUGAAUCCUCCUGAGUGGAGACAGCAUAGAUAGCCUGAAGAUACCCUUGCGCUCCCGGAAGUGAAGCUGGCAUGUAUCGGAAGUCGGUGUUCCGAAGCAGGCCAGUCCGGACUCGCAUGAUGGUCAUCAUGUAAUAGGCAGCAUCCUGCACAGCAAUCUCAACAGUAACCCCGAGUCCAUAGGAAUAGUGAAGGGGCUCGGUAGAUCCAGGAUAAGAAGGAAAUAUCCUGACAGUGCAGAAAUACUGGCUUUGAUUAAAGUCUCGGAAUUGCUCUUCGACGGUGUAUUCGAGAUACCAACGGUAACCCGUCUCGAUCAUGACCCGGACUAACAUAGCAGUAUGACCGGGCACGUCGAGCCACCGGGUUAGGCGAACCACUUGGUUUUGAGCACGGUUGGCCAUCUGAAAGCACAACCACAAUGCAAAGACAUCAGAAUUUCUAGGGAAAAUUGGACAGCAUAACAGCUGUAAAUGCUCAGAAAAAGAUUUGAGACAUCCACAACAGUUCGCAAUACCACUCAAUAACAUCAUAUCAAGGUUCUGAUCCAAAUAGCAACAUACUAAAAAUAGUAGAAACUGAACUGGGGCUUGUAACAACAAUCCUAUAAGCUACUACGGAUUAGUAACACGUGAACCUGAUAGAAGAAGAGAGCCUAGUCCUUAACCCACGUUGAAUGAGAAGGGAAUGACUCAGAUAAGAGGCAUAGGGUAAAGGAGUAAAAGAGACUUACGUUCCCUCCCACAAUCAAUUCCCCUACAUAUAACUAAAGCAUUUCCAGACUCGACAUCGACCAGUUUGGCUCAACGAACCUACAAGCAGUCUGGCUCUGAUGCCAACGCUGUCAGGACCCCGAUUCCAAGCCACAUCGAUCUAGCCGGUAACACCUCAUAUCACUUUGCGGCCUCACGCACGAUAUUCCACGGGUGUCGCCUUACCAUGGCCCGGGACCGUUUGCGCCUUUUGGCUCACGUAUAUGAUAGUGUUGUUAGCAUCCAUAUGACAGAGAACCUGGGCCGACAUGGCUAGUCGUGAACCCAAAGCGGCACAGACCUAUGGAGACAGGCAUACAUGAAUCACAUCGAGCAUGUCGGUCAUCAGCGAGUGAUUCCGGGCUGUAGCACUGGGCUAACAGGACUCCGGGGAACCCGGGCUGUAGCAGGCUAGGCAGGACUCCGGAAGUCACCGCGUGACAUUUCCCCGAAGGGACAGACAUAGGAACGAAGUGAAUCACAUGCCGGCCAUUCAAGUGUCCUAAGUAGUAGUGCUGGGCUAGCAGGACUCCGGUGAACCAGGCUGUAGCGGACUACUAUGGCUCGAGGAACACUAGACUACAUUUCCCCAUAAGGAAGGCUGCCAAGGAUAAACAACUAGAUUGUUGGAUCCCACUCAUACCAAGCAUUUCAAUCAUACACACAAUAUGCCCGAUAUGAGUACAUACAACAUGGCAUCACAACAAAACUCUACAACUCAAGUACUUUAUUUAAAUGCUCCAGAGAGCCAUACAUAACAUGUUCAUACAGAUAGGGGUCACAUGACCCGACACUCAAGUCAUACAAUCAUACAAGCACAUGCGGAAGCAACCGGUCUGAGUACAGACACUAGAAAGAAAGAAGGCUCCUCGAGGCCUGUCUAUCUACAUAGGGCCCUCCAUGGCCAGGAUCACCACCUGGGUGGCUAGUCACUCGUCGAUGUCAAGGUCUACAUAGAACCCAUAGGAGGGGGCGGUGUUGUCGUCUGAAAACGGUAAUUAAGCAAACAUGAGUACAAAGGUACUCAGCAAGUCUUACAACAGAACCUACUAUACAUGCUUAUUCUCAAGAAGGUGGUGGGGAUAUUGCAGCAAGCCAGCUUUGACUCUUGGCUAAACUAUCCUACGGAACAUCUCUAGUAAAAUAGUUUUCGCACACGAGUCCACUACUCACCAACACAAUACUCCACCGGGGAUCCUCCCUCGUCAUCCUAUGAGAGGGUGUCGGGGGUGUCUGAUCCCUCGCACACCUAUGGGGAUCAGCGGACCGAGCCCCUUUUGGUUCGGUAGGGGGCGGUGGAUGCACAAAGAGUAGAUCGAGGCGAAACACAUGAGCGAGACAAUCGAUUUACCCAGGUUCGGGCCACACGGAUGCGUAAAACCCUACUCCUGCUUUGGUGGUUGUAUUGAGUUUUUUCUCGGGAGCAGCUGGCGAGACCGAGCGUGAGAAUGGCUGUCCCCCCCCUGUUGCGCAUGGGCCUCCUUUUAUAUGUCUAAGGGGUCACCGACACGUGGCAACAGAGGUAAGGGUAAAAAUGUAAAAGGGGUGGUAGUUGGCUCCACCGCCUACAUGUCGCAUCCUACCUAACUCUGACGGCAGGGGACAAGGGCAUUAAAUGCCCGUCUGUGUCACCUUGACGGCCCAGAGAGGGACCACUAGGAACGCCACCGUUUGCCACGACGGUUCCUUGUCAGCGUCUGCUUGCCAUUGCAUGCCCCCGGCUGCACAGCCUCCCGCCACGUACGCCAGGAAUGGCCCCAGGGCGACACGUUGGUGGGUGAGCUGGAGCGCGGGCUGCGGGGUAGUGGCUUGCCGCGGCAAGUGCCUUGCCGCGGGUGUUGUCUUGUCACGUCCGGGAGCUUGCCGCUCACCGGGUCUUGUCGGGGCACGCGGUGCGCCGCAGCGAGUCUCUUGAGAUGCUUUGGUUGUCUUCCCGGCAAGCUCCUCUUGCCGGGGUCUCGUCUCCUUCCCGGCAAGCUCCUCUUGCCGGGGCCUUGUUCCCUUCCCGGCAAGCUCCUCUUGCCGGGGCCUUGUUUGGAUCUUGGAUACUUUGUUCUUGAAUGGCUCCAGAGGAACCAUGGAGGGUCUUGGCGGUCGCCCGGCAAGCCUUGCCGCGGGUCGCUGCGACUACCCAUGCACAAGUUCGGGGUACUAAGGUACCCGUACUUUAGCACACCGACAGGAGCCCCCAGGCCUGGGCCAUACACGGUGCCGAGCGCUGUUGGGCCAGGCCCAAAACAGUGCAAGGGCACGCGCGGCCUGGGUCACGCCAUAACUGAUUCCGUAUCCACCGCGCUCUCCCCAAACGGCACGCGUCAAACGCGGCAUCGUGGGAGAGAUCGUGGGCGGUUUUCGAGGUGCCCACUCCCCACGAUCACGGGGUGGGGAGAGACCGCCCCAUCCGUCGCCUCGGUUCUGCACGCCUGCCACGCGGUUCCCGUGCACUUGGGGUCGCGGGCGGCGGAAGCGGGAAACGGGGCCGUCGUGGGUCGAGGGAGUGGGUCGGCCCCGGCUCCCCGCGUCUUGAUUCGCUGAGCGGGGCGGCCGAGCCCCCACCUUGCUCCUUUAUAAAGAGCGGGAGGGGAGGACGGGAGCCUGCAUCCUCCCAUCUUCUCCUUCCUUCAGCUCCUGCUCCCCUCCCCCCAUUCGCCAUGGAGAGAGGGAACCCUGGUCCUUCGUCAGUGGCGGCAAGGGUUGCCGCCAGGCAGCGCAUCCCUCCCUCUCCCGCACCCGUGGCGGCGGAGCCAGCCAUAAGGGGAAGAGGGAGGGGGCGAAGUCGUGGACGAGGCCGUGGCGCUCGGGGAAGAGGUGGGCGAGGCGGCGCGUCGGCUUCGCCUCCGCCGGCGGCUCUUCUUCCCGCGGUGGCCCAUGCCGGGGACGACCCUUGCGAGUUAUUCGUCAGGCUGCGCCGGGCGCCCCGCCGUCGCCUCUGACUCCCGGAUCCGUUUGCGGAAGUGGUGGAGUUGGACCCGCCCGAGACGCUGAGGCUGCAGAUGAGGGCUGUGGGAUCAGCGGCACGCGGGUCCGCGCCGAAUUCCCAGCCCCCGGCGUGAUUUAUCUUGGCCGAGGGUGGAAGACGUUCGCCCGCAUCCACAGCUUGACACCGGGGCUGACCCUCCACUUCAAGUUGGUGGAGGGUGAUCUCCUCUCCGUCAAGGUCUUCGGGUGCUUCAGCGUCCGGGCCCGGUGCUGCGUGGAAAGCUCCUCCGAUAGCGAAGGCUCCUCCUCGAGCAAGAGUGACGAGGAGGGAACGACAGCGGCGACGAGGGGAGCGGGCGGCAGGAUGGCGGGUCCGACUAGGUGUCGGGCGCCGCUCCGCGCGGCACCAGCAACCCCAUCAUCCGGGUCGCCGGCUCCUUGAACUCCCCGGGGGCGUCUCCUUGGGCGGCUGGCGUAGGGAGGCUGCGAAAGAGGAAGAGGGCAGGCGGCAAGGCCGUCAGGUCGGAGUACGAUGGCGUGGUGCCCUCGACAGCGUGCUGACGUCCUGCCGCCUCGUCUUCGAGCCCCCCUUCCGGCGCUGCCAUCACCAUCCAGCCUUGAAGGCCCCCGGGAUGUUCUCUUGGUGUCUUCUGGCACCCGUAGUUCCCCUAGGCACUCCUUUUGCCCUUCUCGCCUCCUUGACCUACCUCCUGAAAAGAGGGGCAGGAAAGAGAUUACGGGCAUCUUAUCUUUUUGAUUUGUAAGCCCUCGGGCCUUAGUUGCAUCUAAAACUUGUAAUCCUCUCUUUCAUGUUUUCCAUUCUCCAUGUACUGUACCUGCGUGGAAUGUUUUAAUGAAAAGGGGAUGCUUGCCAGGUUACUCGUCUCGCGGGUAGAACCCAUGCCAAGGAGCAAAUCCUUGGUAUCUCACAGAUAGACACUCCCUCCCCAGCAACAGGCCCUGCCACAUACCCACGUCGCUCGACCUUUCUCACGCUCUUGACGGAGGCAGAGACGAGGCGGGUGCGGCCCCUCGUUUCAUCCCUUUCCCGCCGCGACUGCGACCAAAGCUUGGCCCUGGGGCCCCAGGGACCAAAGCUAAGGGAGCACGGUGGCUUUCGGGAAGAAGCGAGGUUUUGUAUUCCCAGUCCAAAAGAGAAUGCACGAAGAGGGAUGAAAGACUUAUCUGAGACUGCAGCCCCCGGCAACUCUGGCUUGCCGUGGGGUGAACCUUGGUACUUGCAGCCUCCAGCAACUCUGGCUUGCCGGGGUUCGGAUGCCGGCACGUCCUUCUUCUCCCUUUCGUCCUCACGCGGUCCGACAAGGAUAUGCAAGCCCUGCGAACCAAAGGAAACAAAGGAAGGACAAAGGGACGCACACUAGACCUCUAAGUUAGGGGUUAGCUGCUGUUAGGCACUAUCAACCCUAACCGAGGACUCGACUCGACCUAGCAUGCAUGCUGUAACUCUGGGCGCCAGCGCUUCAUUAUCUUGUGCUCAAGGUCUGUGCCUGGCUUUGUACAAAGGAUUACAUGCAACAGCGUCAAGACUUGUACAAAAGGGUGGUUGCCGGACAGGGUCCGACAACCGCGCCUUACGGGUAAAACUUACAAAGAAGCUUGAUAUUCCAGGAGUUGCUCACUAGUACGCCAUCUUCGGUCUCCAGGCGGACAGUGCCAGGCCUGGUGACUCGUUUCACCCGGUAAGGGCCUUCCCACUUCGGCGUCAACUUGUUGGAAUUCUUGGCGGACUGAACGCGCCGAAGAACAAGGUCGCCUUCCUCGAGGCUCCUAGCAUUAACUUUGCGGCUAUGAUAGCGGCGCAAAGCUUGCUGGUAGCGAGCGGCUCGCACAGCAGCCUGGAGACGAUCUUCCUCAAGGAGCAGCGCGUCAUCUUGCCGCAGCUGCUCUUGCUCAAGCUCAUCAUAGCACUCGAGGUGACCCGUAUACGAGUUCCAUGGGGAUAACUGCCUCCGCUCCAUAGACUAGAGCGAAGGGUGUCUGCCCGGUGGCUCGAUUUGGCGUCGUCCUGAUCGACCAAAGAACCACCGGCAGCUCCUUGAUCCAGUUGCGUCCGCGCUUGUGCAGCCUGUCAAAUGUUCUGGUCUUGAGCCCGUGCAGCACUUCAGCAUUCGCCCUCUUAGCUUGGCCGUUGCUUCUCGGGUGAGCGACAGAAGCAAAGCAGAACUUGGCGCCAAGAUCUUGGACGUACUGCAUGAAGGCGCGGCUUGUAAAUUGUGUACCGUUGUCGGUGAUUAUCCUGUUAGGGAUUCCGAAACGGCAAACAAUCGACCUGAAGAAUUUGAUCGCGGACUGCGCCGUCACCUUCCUCACUGGUUCCACUUCCGGCCACUUUGUGAACUUGUCGAUUGCAACGUACAAGUACUCAAAGCCCCCGACGGAUCGGGGGAAGGGGCCGAGGAUAUCGAGCCCCCAGACCGAAAAUGGCCAGGAUAAAGGGAUCGUCUGGAGAGCUUGAGCUGGCUGGUGUAUCUGCUUGGAAUGGAACUGGCACGCUUCACACUUGGUUACUUGUGCAGUUGCAUCCUGGAGGGCUGUCGGCUAGAAGAAGCCUUGUCGGAAUGCUUUUCCGACAAGAGCUCUUGCGCCAAUGUGGUGACCACAUAUGCCUCCAUGUAUCUCUGCCAACAGCUUCUGUCCAUCUUCCCGAGGAAUACACUUCAAUUUCACACCGUUGAGUCUUCUUCUGCACAGUGUGUUGUCAACAAACUGGUACAUACUGGACUGCCGGGCUACUCUUUCUGCUUCUUCUGGUUCCUCGGGAAGCUCUCCUGUCUGAAGGAAACGGACGGUCUGCUACGCCCAUGUUGGAGCCUGUGGCUCGACAACAAGGACUAAAGGCACAUCUGCUGCUGUGGGAACGCCUACUUCUACGGCAGGAGCCUGCGACUCUGCCGGAGCUUGACAUUCCCCGACAAGCUUGCCGGAGCAGAGCUUGCCGGGAGUGUCUGCUGCAAUGGAACAAACCCUGGGGCUUGCCGGAGUAGACUGCUCCUCAGCACUCUUGGCGUCGAUCUUGGGGACCUUCUUGGCGGCGUCUUCGGGGAGCUUUGCCGGGAGAUAGUCACCAGAGAUCAACUUCCUCUUCUUGCUCUGUCCACUUGAUGGUGCCACGGAUGGCUGAGUUAGCUUGAGCACAAAGGUCCCUGGUUCCACAGGUAACUUAAGUGCUGCGCACUUUGACAGGCGAUCGGCAAUGUCAUUCUCAGCUCUUGGAACAUGUUCCAUUUGCAGGCUGUCAAAGCGCUCUUCCAGCUUCCUCACUUCAUCAACGUAAGCUUCUAUCAAUGGACUUUGGUAAUCUUUGUUCACUUGGCGGACGACAAGCUGCGAGUCACCCCUAACAAUGAGCUUCUUAAUCCCAAGUUCUGCCGCGAUCCUGAGACCGGCAAGCAAGCCUUCUUACUCUGCAGUAUUGUUUGUCGCUUGCUCCUUGGGAAAGUGCAUCUGGACUAUGUACUUGAGGUGCUCCCUGGUGGGUGCGACAAGCAGUACACCAGCACCGGCGCCUUGCAGCGAGAAAGCACCGUGAAAGUACAUGAGCCACUCUUUGCUUGCUUCCUUGGCGGGGAUGCUCGUCUCCGGAAUUUCUUCGUCUGGAGUUGGCGUCCACUCUGCUAUUAACUCUGCCAAUGCUCCGCUCUGGAUUGUUGAUGUACUCUCAAACUUGAGGCCAAAGCUUGACAGUUCCAGUGCCCACUCGACAAUCCUGAAUGUUGCUUCUGGAUUUUGCAAUAUCCUUUUCAGCGGAAAGCGAGUGACAACUGUGAUCUCGUGUGCUUGGAAGUAAUGACGUAGCUUUCUCGAGGCCAUGAGGAGGCCGAAAAGCAGCUUCUGCACACUAGAGUACCUUGACCUAGCCCCCUGUAAAAGGGAGCUGACAAAGUAAACUGGGUGCUGCACCAUUUUCUUCUGUAUCUCCUCUUGUAUCUGCGCAGAUCCUUGGUUGUCGGGACCAGAGCUUGUCGGGGAAGCCCCCUGCUUGUCGCUGGAUGUGCUUGCCGCGGCCGCUGGCUCGUCGUCGGCCUCCCUUUCCGCUACUAACGCAGCACUAACCACUUGAUUGGUUGCCGCUAUGUACAGGAGCAACUUCUCUUGUGGUUUAGGCGCGACAAGUGUUCGGGUGGACGACAGGUAUCUCUUCAAGUCUUGCAGCGCAGCCUCCGCUUCCGGAGUCCAUCUCAUUGGACCUGCCUUUUUCAAAAUUUGAAAAAGGGCAGGGCGCGCUCAGCAGACCAAGGGAUAAACCUGCUAAGAGCAGCUACGCAGCCGGCAAGCUUCCGUACAUCCGUGACGCGCUUUGGUGCUUCGAUCUGCUCAAUGGCCCUGAUCUUGUCGGGGUUGGCUUCGAUUCCCCGCUGAGACACGAAGAACCCGAGAAGCUUGCCGAAAGGGACUCCAAACACACACUUCUCGGGGUUGAGCUUGAGGUUGAUCUUGCGCAGAUAUGCAAAAGUCUCUUCUAAGCCUUGGAUCAGAGUUGCCCUGUCUUUGCUUUUGACCACUAUAUCAUCCAUGUAAGCUUCUACAUUUCUGUGUAUCUAUGGCUUCAAAGCAAUAUGGACUACUCUGGCAAAUGUUGAACCAGCAUUCUUUAAUCCGAAAGGCAUCCGUACGAAACAGUACGUGCCACAUCGAGUAAUGAAUGCGGUUUUCUCCUCAUCCUCUUCCGCCAUGAAGAUCUAAUGGUAUCCUGAGUAUGCAUCAAGAAAUGAAAGCAACUCACAUCCGGCCGUGGAGUCAACAAUCUGGUCAAUGCGCGGCAAGGGAAAUGGAUCUUUUGGACAAGCUUUAUUAACAUCAGUAAAGUCAAUACAAAGCCUCCAUUUCCCAUUCGCCUUGCGCACUACAACCGGAUUGGCCAACCACAUGGGAUGGAGCACCCCUCUAACGAGGCCUGCUGCUUCCAAUUUCUUGAUUUCUUCGGCUAUGAAUUCUUGGCGCUCCACCGCCUGUUUCCUGACCUUCUGCUUGACGGGCCGCGCAUGAGGACAAACUGCAAGGUGGUGCUCAAUUACCUCCCUGGGAACACCGGGGAUGUCAGACGGUUGCCAUGCAAACACGUCGACAUUCGCCCGCGGGAAAGUAACGAGUGCGCUUUCCUAUUUAGGGUCAAGCGUGGCACUGAUGGUGAAGGUACCACCAGUGCCGUCCUCCUUGGCGGGCACCUUCUUGGUAAGUGGUGGAGCGGCCAUCGUCUUCUUACUCUUGCAGCCGGAGCUCGAUGGUGCGUCCUCGACGGCAGCGCAGCACUCCGAAGAGGUGCGCCUGCCGGAGUAGGCAUCAGAGCACUCGCCGGGCUUGGUCUUCUUCUUGCCGGUGGAGCUCGAUGGUGCGUCCUCGACGGUAGCGCAGCACUCCGAAGAGGCGCGCUUGCUGGAGUGGGUACUAGAGCUCUUGCCGGACUUGGUCUUCUUCCCCCUGGGAGCUUCAGCGGCAAGUGUCUCGCGGUCUGUCGCGGCGGCAGCUUCCCGGUAGAUCUUGUCGGCGCAGAUAAGGGCGUCCUUCUUGUCGCCAGGGACAGAGAUGACGCUUAUCGGGCCCGGCAUCUUGAGCAUGUUGUAGGCAUAGUGAUAGGCUGCCAUUAACUUGGCGAGCGCGGGACGGCCAAGUAUCCCAUUGUAGGGCAAUGGGAAAUCGGCAACGUCGAAGGUGACCCUCUCAGUCCUGAAGUUCAUCUCACUGCCGAAUGUCACCGGCAGCGCGACUUUUCCCUUCGGCUUGCUCCUUCCCGGGUUAAUUCCUUGGAAUGUACCGGUUUCUUCGAGCUCACUGUCUGGGAUCUGGAGUUUCUGGAGCACAGCGGAGGAGAUCAGAUUCAGGCCGGCCCCGCCGUCAACUAGCAUCUUGGUGACCUUGAGGUUGCGGAUUGUUGGGGAAACCAACAACGGCAAGCACCCGACCGCAGUCGUGCGAUCAGGGUGGUCCUCAAUGUCAAAGAUGAUCGGCGUGCUGGACCACUUCAGAAGCUUGCGUGAUUCGACAGGUGGCUCUGCCGCAUUAACUUCCCGGAGCCACUGUUUGAGUUGGCGGUGGGAAGUGUGCAGAGAAGCGCCACCGUCAACACACAAGACUUCUGUAGCCUUCUGAAACUCCUGCUCGCUGUUCUCAACAUCAUCCAUGUCUUCGUCGUCGUCUUCGUCUUCGUCCUUAUCGCGGCCGCGAGGAGGUCUGUCUCCUUGCCGCUGCUUGGCCUUGCCACGGCUCCCUCCCGGGCCAGCGCGGUUCUUGCCGGCUUCUCCAUCGCCUCCUUGGGCUCUCUCCUUGUCGCGCCGCUCGUACUCACCUCUUUGUUGCUGGACAAGCUGCUCGACCCUCUUGCAGUUCUGGAGAUCAUGGCCCUUGGUGCGGUGGAUCUUGCAGUACUGCUUGUCGGAGCUGCCCUGCUUGUCGGCGGCCGCCACAGCCUGGCAGUUGGUACACGCGGCAACCUCUUUGCCGGAGCUGACAACUUUGGCUUGCUUGGCGGGGCCGUCAUCGCUGGACUGCUCAACGACCAGUACCUCUUUGCCGCUCUUCUUCUUGUUGGGCCUCCGGUUUUUGCUUGCCGGGGCGGCAUCCUCACUGUCAGAUAUCCCUGCUCUAGCAUCCUCUCCGGGGAGUUUCCUCCCUUCUUCAGCGCGUGCGCACUUGUCGGCCAGGGCGUACAGCUCGCUGACGUCCUUGAUCCUGCUCAUCGCCAUCUCCUCCCGCAUCCUGCAAUUACGCAUGUUCUGAUGGAACGCGCUGAUAACCGCGGUAGGGUGGAUGUCUGGGAUGUUGCGCUGCACGCGGCUGAAUCUCUGGAUAUACUUGCGCAAAGGUUCUCCUUCCUUCUGGGCAAGCAGGUGGAGGUCACUCUCUUGGCCGUGUGGUUUGUGGCCGCCUGUAAAGGCGCCGACAAACUGGUGGCACAAAUCCGCCCAAGAGGAUAUGGAGUUGUCCGGCAAGUGCAUGAGCUAGGAUCUGACUUCGGGCUUGAGCACGAGCGGGAAGUAGUUGGCAAGGACCUUGUCGUCUCGUCCCCGGCAGCUUGCACCGCAAUGGUGUAGAUGCUGAGGAACUCCGACGGGUGUGACUUGCCGUCGUACUUCUCCGGCACGUCUGGCUUGAAAUGCUUCUGGUUGGGCCACUGGACUUGCCGCAGCUCAUGGGUGAACGCGGGACAACCCGCCGCGUACGGCAAGUUACCUGGCUCUCCGGGUGCAUGCAUGUCAACAGAGGGCCCAGCGCACAGGUCAGAUUGACGCCGCGCUUCCCUUCGGCGCUCGAUGCAUGUUCAAGUGUCUUCUUGCUGUCUCUGAUGAAGAACUUGGCGUUGAUCGCGGUGAGCUCGCGGAUCUGACGACGCGGUGGAGUAGCCGUCGAGGUGGAUCCGGUGAGUCGGCGAUCUCGGCCUUCGGGGCGGAGAGUGCACAGUGGUUGCACCCUCACCGGUCUUGUCGCCACCGGCUCGCGCCUGGCUGACUUGCCGCGGCAGCGAUGCGCUCUGCUGCCGUGGGUUGUCACCAUUGGCGCAGCCGAUGAUGCUCUGAAUAGUGGCCCUCCAGUCAUCGAUCUUCUCUAGUGCUGGAGGGUAGUCUAGGAGCAGCUGGGCACGCGCCAACGGUUCCGUCGGAGUGGUGGGCGGCGGCAGCGAACGGUGCGAGGAGCGAGAUAUGCUCGGACUCCUAACCACGUUAGAAGGAGCAACAUCCCGUCCAAGCGACCGCGCCGCGCUCGCGCCAGCACGUUGGCGUGCCUGCUGAUCCUGAGCACUUCGGGAUCCGCCAGCUUGAUCUUGGCCCAGCAGGCGUAUGGUACAGUGGGUACCAUGACGCUACUGGUCCCGCGCCUCCUGGGAUGGGCGCGGUGCGUGUACGGACACCGAGGUCUCGGAGUGCGCGCGGUCGUCGUGGGAGGCGACCGCGCUACCGACGUGCGCCGCAGCCAGGCACUUGGACCUGGCAGUGCCAUGAGUCUCCCCGUCGGCGCCCGCCCUUCCGCCGGCGCCUACUUCACCCGCCGUUCGCUCCGGCGAUGGCGGGCUCGACGCGGACGGAGCGGCUACCUCCGAAGCCUUCUUCUUCGGCGGCAUGUUGAUGAAGACGAUGAAGAUUCGGCUCGCGCGAACGCCGGAUCAGGUUCGCACUACCUCGACGCACCCCCUACCUGGCGCGCCAAAGAUGUCGGGGGUGUCUGAUCCCUCGCACACCUAUGGGGAUCGGCGGACCAAGCCCAUUUUGGUUCGAUAGGGGGCGGUGGAUGCACAAAGAGCAGAUCAAGGCGAAACACACGAGCAAGACGAUUGAUUUACCCAGGUUCGGGCCGCACGGAUGCGUAAAACCCUACUCCUGCUUUGGUGGUUGUAUUGAGUUUUUGCUCGGGAGCGGCGAGUGCUACAGUACACUCAAGCAGCUGGCGAGACCGAGCGUGAGAAUGGCUGUCCCCCUCCCCCUGUUGCGCAUGGGCCUCCUUUUAUAUGUCUAAGGGGUCACCGAUACGUAGCAACAGAGGUAAGGGUAAAAAUGUAAAAGGGGUGGUAGUUGGCUCCACCGCCUACAUGUCGCAUCCUACCUAACUCUGAUGGCAGGGGACAAGGGCAUUAAAUGCCCGUCUGUGUCACCUUGACGGCCCAGAGAGGGACCGCUAGGAACGCCACUGUUUGCCACAACGGUUCCUUGUCAGCGUCUGCUUGCCACCGCAUGCCCCCGGCUGCACAGCCUCCCGCCACGUACGCCAGGAAUGGCCCCAGGGUGACACGUUGGUGCGUGAGCUGGAGCGCGGGCUGCGGGGUAGUGGCUUGCCGCGGUAAGUGCCUUGCCGCGGGUGUUGUCUUGUCGCGUUCGGGAGCUUGCCGCUCACUGGGUCUUGUCGGGGCGUGCGGUGCGCCGCAGCGAGUCUCUUGAGAUGCUUUGGUUGUCUUCCCGGCAAGCUCCUCUUGCCGGGGUCUCGUCUCCUUCCCGACAAGCUCCUCUUACCGGGGCCUUGUUCCCUUCCCGGCAAGCUCCUCUUGCAGGGGCCUUGUUUUUCUCUUGGAUACUUUGUACUUGAAUGGCUCCAGAGGAACCAUGGAGGGUCUUGGCGGUCGCCCGGCAAGCCUUGCCGCGGGUCGCUGCGACUGCCCGUGCACAAGUUCGGGGUACUAAGGUACCCCUACUUUAGUACACCAACAGAGGGCCAUCCUCGGUACUCACACUUAUCUUGAGUAUUUAGUAGUAUCCAUUUACUUGUCUAUGAACUGUAUAGGCAACCAAGUAGUCCUUUACCGCGGACGUGGCUAUUCGAAUAGUUUUAUACCCUGCAGGGGUGUACUUCGUCAUACACGCUUUCACCACUUAUCGCCGUUUACACGACAUGUACUCGGCAACCUUCAAGCGGAAGCCCAGCGAGGGUGUCGGCCACGGCCUACCUAAACACUUAAGUCUCUAGUCCAGGUUUAUCGCCUAUCCAGGUUCCAUCGGCAGGGAGUGCGGCCGAGGUUUCCACAUACGGCCCCGAACGAUGUGAACAGGGUUCCGAGAUGCCAAACGGGCGCCCGGCAUACCCGGCCAGGUGUAUCUACCGCAACAUAGCCCACCCCUAGGGUCAGCGCUACGCACGGCCGCCAACACAUAACCUACAAACCCAGAAACUAUAUGCAACUCCUGGACAGAGUACAAGGGUGAUUAAGAAGCCGAGAGGGUCAAUUAAGGAUCCCAAUGCGUGGUAGUAGCUGAAUCUUAAAUCAACAUACAGAUCUCAGUUCUUAGGGACGGUCUCAAUGAAACAACCCACCAUGUACUCCUACAUGGCCUCUCAUCGAUACCUUUACCAAAACAUGUUCAACACAUUCCUCAUAUUACCGACAUAAUCAUAUCACCCUAGCCCAUCACCCAGAUGAACCAGACCUGACACAACUCUAAGCAUAGCAGGCAUAGCAAGGUAGGAAUCACAUACAUGGCUCAAUCAAAUCAUACACAUGCUAGUGGGUUUCAUCUAGUUAUUGUGGCAAUGACAGGCCAUGUAGAGGAUAAGGGUUCAACUACCGUAGCACACAACAGUUUGAAUCGCGUUGUCUUAAUGAAGUAAACAAGAGCAGAGGCGAGAACAUGGGUUGUAUCGGAAUGAUCAAUGGGUUGCUUGCUUGAUGGAGUGGUAGUGGGAUACUGCCCUUCAGUUGGAUACUCGUGAAUAUCCUCGGAGGUAGAACCUACCACGAAGAACACAUCGGAACACAAUCAACACAUGACGAUAUGCAACAAUAUGAUGCAUGCUAUGACGUGUCUUGGCCUAAUGCAAGCUAAAAUAGAAAGGGAUGAACUCAUUUGAAUCAAAGAUUCAAAUAUUAGCUCACUAAACAUGGCCUUAGUAGUGCAUUUCCUUAUUCUGCUUAAACAGCAAGGUAAACUUGUUUUGUCAUGCAUGAAACCAUUACAGAUGGAUAGAUUGAAUUUUUCUGAUAAUUUUUCAUAUAUAAAUUAUUUCAUUUGGAGUUACGGUUGAAUUUCUAUGAUUUCUAGAAGUUUUAAACAUUUUCUGGAAAUUCCUGAAUAAAAAUAAAUCCAGAAAAUGCAUUACUACGUCAGCAUUGCGUCAUGCUGGCCUCGGCAGGUCAAAGGCGCCAGCCCAGGUCAAACCUGACUGGUGGGCCCCUUCUGUCAGUCUCUCAGUUAAAUAACAGGAUUAGAUUAACACUAAUUAGCUGUCAGUGGGGCCUGGGCCCACAUGUCAGUGACUAAUUAAAAUCAAAUUAGUUAAAACUAAACCUAGAUUAGUUAGCAGACUGGCCCCACCUGUCAUAGACUCAGGGGGGGUCUACCUGGGCCCACCCAGGGUCAAACUCGCCGGCGUUGAGCCGCCGGCGAGACCCGAGACGGUGGCGCAGCUCGAAAAACGCCUACAGGGCACGAGCGAGGCCGUUCAUGGGCUCGUUGGAGAGCUCUUGCAGUCGCGCAUCUAGUGGUGGUGGUGGCCGGGCCUACGGUGGCCGGAGACGACGACGGCGAGCUCCAAGGCGGCGGCCGGAGUUCGGCCAUGUGCGGGGUGUGGGCUGUGGCGUGCAAACGUGGAAACUGAGGCACUAGCGAGGCACUACGCGAUGCGGCAAGCACGUUGCGUAGCACGGGAUGACCAAAUGGUCGCCGGAGCGGCGCCGGCGACAAGCUCGAGCGGAGACGAGCUUCGGCCAUGGUGGCACUAUGGCCUAGAGGGUGCAAACGCGUGGAAAAGAAGAGGGGAAAGGUGGCGGAGCUCACAGGCAGGUCGAUGAGCAGCUCAGUGGGCUCGGGGGCGACCGGAGUGAGGCGAAUCGAUGAGCGGCGUCCGGCGGGUACCGAGGUUGAAGACAAUCCGAUGGCGGCGAUGCAGGGCCUCCGGCGAUGCGUGGCUCGGUGGGGAGGGCGGGGGCGUCACGGCGCAGCUUCUGGACAGGUCAGAGAGGCGAGGGGGUGACGGAGGGCGCGACUACGGCGGUGAGACGGCGAUUAGAAAGAAAGAUUUGGUUCACUCGUACGUGAAAAAAGGAACAAGCGCUUGAUGCCUUCCUUUGCAUCGAUGCCAGACGCGGUGCUGGGAAUCGACAAGAUAACCGCCAAUCUACCAGGAUUAAAUUCCUAGCGCCUCCUUCUAGCGCCUCCCACUGAAAAUGCCCUAACGAUUUUUGAGGGAUUUUUUUACUGUGUCCUACUUCACGAAUCACGAGGCAAAUCAAGUAGGCGGCAUGGCCUGGCCGGUGAGUGCCAUUGCACUUACUUGCCCCAGCAAUUUUCCGCGUGCAUUGUAGAAUUCUUUCUCCGAGUCCUGUGAAUUAAAGAUGGUGCAGACAAAAGUAUAUCCUGUAUGCGUACAUGUGCAUGAUCAGAACAUGUUUUUACGUGCGUCUACUAUAAAUCAUGACCAUUUUUAACACAAAUCAUGACCAUUCAUGAUUAGUGAAUCAUACUGUCUUAACUUAUGUGAAAUCAUGUGGAGUAAUAUAAUAUAAUAUAAUAGAUAGAUAGAUCCAUGUUGUAUUAUUUUUUGUUUACAAAAAAUAUCUGUCAUUACACAUUUUGAUUUAUGCAUUUGUUUACAAAAAAAACAGUAACAUUUCAUGGUGGAAAGUUUGUAUUGUUUCAUACUGAACACCAAUGUUUUCCUGUAAAAGAAAAUAAUGCCUACGCAUAUGCUUUUAUAUUAUUAUUAUUCUUUCAAACUUAUUCAUACAGUAUUUUUGAUUGUGCAACCAUAAUUUUUAUUGUCUCUCUCGUUCCACUACAUGCUCUUACUCAAUGAUUUUUUUUAUAACGGGUGUUUUUAUUAACUCAAAAUAUAGUAUCAAGCGGAUACAAAACAUAAUGAGCCACACCUGGUCUCUGCAUAACUAAGAUGCAUACAGCUAAAAGCAGAUGUCUGACAAAAAUAAGAUAAGAAAAUCGACAUAUCGACAACAGUGAGUCAUAUAGUUCCGACACUAUGCCUCUGUUGAAGGACGGGGUGGAGCGAUCUGAAGAUUAUGCUGCCCUCCAUGUUGAGUAAAUACCUCCCUGGCCACUUGUUCCAACCGCAUAGACGCCGCCACGAAUAAUGGUCGGUACUCUGUUCGGUGUAGCAUACACCAUGUAGGAAGUGAGUGCUCACUUCUAGUUACUAAAUUAUGUACACACUAAUAGAAAAAGGGCCAUUUGUCCCGGUUCGUAAGGCCCAUUUGUCCCAGUUGGGGAACCGGGACUAAAGGGUCGGUACUAAAGCCCUACACAUUUAGUCCCGGUUCUUACACCAUCCGAGACAGAUGGGGCUCCACGUGGCCGCUACAGCUUGCCGUGGCAGGGGGGCCUUUUGUCCCGGUUGGUAGCACCAACCGGGACCAAUAAGCUACCACGCGUCAGCAUUUGAGGGCUAGGUUUUUUGUUUUUUUUCNNNNNNNNNNNNNNNNNNNNNNNNNNNNNNNNNNNNNNNNNNNNNNNNNNNNNNNNNNNNNNNNNNNNNNNNNNNNNNNNNNNNNNNNNNNNNNNNNNNNNNNNNNNNNNNNNNNNNNNNNNNNNNNNNNNNNNNNNNNNNNNNNNNNNNNNNNNNNNNNNNNNNNNNNNNNNNNNNNNNNNNNNNNNNNNNNNNNNNNNNNNNNNNNNNNNNNNNNNNNNNNNNNNNNNNNNNNNNNNNNNNNNNNNNNNNNNNNNNNNNNNNNNNNNNNNNNNNNNNNNNNNNNNNNNNNNNNNNNNNNNNNNNNNNCAAAUGAAGUAAACCAUUAAGUACAGAAGUUCGUCAUGAACAUAUGCAUACAAACAUAAGUGAUAUCGACCUCUCCUUCUCCGACAGAUAGGUCGAACAACAAGUUUCCGUAUAUCUAUCCGGCGCUACUAGCUACAUAUAUACAAUAUUAAGAUCUCUUACAAUAUAAUCCCCUAAUUAUAAAUGAACUCAGCUUCGAGAUGGUAUUCUCCGGCUUUAUUGAUGACGUGGUCAAGAAAGAAUCCCUCCAAUUCCUCUUGAAUUGCUUUGAUGCGAUCUUGUGGUAGGAGUUCAUCCCGCAUCUGCCACAUCUAAUUUGAAGAAGGGGGUCAAUCACCAGUAGAAUAACAGCCAUUUGUCCUGGUUCAUAAGGUUAAUUUGUCCCGGUUGGGGAACCGAGACUAAAGGGUCGUUACUAAAGCCCUACACCUUUAGUCCUGGUUCUUACACCAACUGGGACAGAUGGGCCUCCAUGUGGCUGCUGCGGCGAGCCCAGGCCGGAGGUCCUUUGGUCCCGGUUAGUGGCACUGAUACGUCUCCAACGUAUCUAUAAUUUUUGAUUGCUCCAUGCUAUUAUGUUAUCUAUUUUGGAUGUUAAUGGGCUUUAUUUUACACCUUUAUAUCAUUUUUGGGACUAACCUACUAAUCGGAGGCCCAACCCAAAUUGCUGUUUUCUGCCUAUUUUAGGUUUUCGAAGAAAAGGAAUAUCAAACGGAGUCCAAACGGAAUGAAACCUUCGAGAACGUGAUUUUCUCAACGAACAUGAUUCAGGAGACUUGGAGUGUGCGCCAAGAAACAAGGGAGGAAGGCACGAGGCAGGGGGGGCGCGGCUACCCUCUUGGGCACGCCCUCCACCCUCGUGGGCCCUCCGCUGCUCCACCGACGUACUUCUUCCUCCUAUAUAUAUCCACGUACCCCCAAACAUCCAGGAGCACCACGAAAACCUAAUUCCACCGCUGCAACCUUCUGUACCCAAGAGAACCCAUCUUGGGGCCUUUUCUGGAGGUCCACCGGAGGGGGCAUCGAUCAGGGAGGGCCUCUACAUCAACUCCAUGGCCUCUCCGGUAAUGUGUGAGUAGUUUACUUCAGACCUACGGGUCUAUAGUUAUUAGCUAGAUGGCUUCUUCUUCUCUCUUUGGAUCUCAAUAAAAAGUUCUCCUCGAUUUUCUUGGAGAUCUAUUCGAUGUAACCUUCUUUUGCAGUGUGUUUGUCGAGAUCCGAUGAAUUGUGGGUUUAUGAUCCAGAUUAUCUAUGAACAAUAUUUGAUUCUCCUAUGAAUUCUAUUAUGUAUGACUGGUUUAUCUUUGCAAGUCUCUUCGAAUUAUCAGUUCGGUUUGGCCUACUAGAUUGAUUUCUUGCAAUGGGAGAAGUGCUUAGCUUUGGGUUCAAUCUUGUGGUGUUUGAUCCCAGUGACAGAAAGGGAACCAAUACGUAUUGUAUUGUUGCCAUCGAGGAUAAAAAGAUGGGGUUUAUAUCAUAUCGCAUGAGUUUAUCCCUCUACAUCAUGUCAUCUUCCUUAAAGCAUUACUAUGUUCUCUUGAACUUAAUACUCUAGAUGCAUGCUAGAUAGCGGUCCAUGUGUCGAGUAAUAGUAGUAGAUGCAGAAUCGUUUCGGUCUACUUGUCUAGGACGUGAUGCCUAUAUACAUGAUCAUACCUAGAUAUUCUCAUAACUAUGCUCAAUUCUGUACAAUAUGGUGCACGGGGUUACAUCGGCCUGUAAAGACAUUUAUGCGAUGUGAGACAUCCGAAAAGCAACGAAAACGGGAGAUUAUACAUUUAUUGAAGAGGGCCGGUGUGACAGAUACCGUGAGGGCGUCGAGCUCAGCCAAAGACGACGGACAGCUGAGCACGGCCUGUGUCAGAGCCGGUGCGGGAGCAAGUGCAGGUGCAGGUGCUGGUGCAACGCUAGUCGAGCUGCUCCUGAAGAAGUCAACAAUGGGAAAGUCCGCUGCAUUUUUUCUGCAUUUUGCGUGCUCCAAUUGAAAAUGGCUGGAACCAAGACAGUAGACAUAUCUGCAACCACCUGUUUUCCAGCAGCUACCGCUGUCGCGACUGUCUCAGAUGAUUUCUUCUCAACCGCAAUCUCAACCUUCUUGUCGAUGUUUUAUUCGGUUAACCUCCAUCUUUCCUUUCUCUCCUCUGUGGUCUCACGGUAGUACUUCUUCCACGUGGCCCCGUCUCCGACACCGUGAACGCGUCCAUACGACGACCGAGUCUCCACCGGGAGUCCUUUCAAUAUGUUCAAUGCCCGGUUGAAUGGAGUGUCCCACUUGGGCCUUGCCAAUGCCUCAGACGGCGAGUCGCUUUCGGCCGCAAUCUUGUGCUGCUCUCUUUACAAAAGGAACACGGAUCAUUUACAAAUAUGACUAAACGUGCAGUCAAAUUGAUCAGAAACUAAAAUUACCGGCAGUCUCAUGAACUCCGUCGUGAUCGGGUCCGUCUUGAAAACCUUCUUGACUUAGUCCCAAUGGUGCCGUGCCUUGAGGACGUCAUCCUCCUACGGGAUGGUGAAGUCCGCCAAGGGGUCUGGGAUGCCAGAUUUUCGCAUUCCGUGUCCUCCUUGGCCCAUAUGGACCUCUUCCUGCCGUAACCACUGCUUCCGAGGUGGUGGCGCCCCAUGUUCCUUUGUGGAAGCCCCUUCAUGUACUUCGACUUUGUUUUGGCAGCUUCGGCCUCGCAAGCCGCCUUGAAUAUUUCAAAGUGCUCUCCCAUGAUUGUCAGAUUAUCCUUUACAAUCUCGGAGUAGGGUUGAUACGUCUCCAACGUAUCUAUUAUUUUUGAUUGCUCCAUGCUAUAUUAUCUCCUAUUUUGGACAAUAUUGGGCUUUAUAAUCGACUUUUAUAUUAUUUUUGGGACUAACCUAUUAACCGGAGGCCCAGCCUAGAAUUGUUGUCUUUUGCCUGUUUUAGGGUUUCGAAGAAAAGGAAUAUCAAACGGAGUCCAAACGGAAUGAAACCUUCGGGAACGUGAUUUUCUGAACGAACAAGACCCAGGAGACUUGGACCCUAUGUCAAGACACAAAAGAGGAGGACACGAGGUAGGGGGCGCACCUACCCCCCCCCCCCCCUCGAGGCACGCCCUCCACCCUCGUGGGGCCCCUGUUGCUCCACCGAUGUACUCCUUCCUCCUAUAUAUACCUACGUACCCCCAAACGAUCAGAUACAGAGCCAAAACCCUAAUUCCACUACCGCAACUUUCUGUAUCCACGUGAUCCCAUCUUGGGGCCUGUUCCGGAGCUCCGCCAGAGGGGGCAUCGAUCACGGUGGGCUUCUACAUCAACACCAUAGCCUCUCCGAUGAAGUGUGAGUAGUUCACCUCAGACGUACGGGUCCAUAGUUAUUACCUAGAUGGCUUCUUCUCUCUUUUUGGAUCUCAAUACAAUGUUCUCCCCCUCUCUUGUGGAGAACUAUUCGAUGUAAUCUUCUUUUUGCGGUGUGUUUAUUGAGACCGAUGAAUUGUGGGUUUAUGAUGAAGUCUAUCUAUGAAUAAUAUUUGAAUCUUCUCUGAAUUCUUUUAUGUAUGAUUGUUUAUCUUUGCAAGUCUCUUUGAAUUAUCAGUUUGGUUUGGCCUACUAGAUUGAUCUUUCUUACAAUGGGAGAAGUACUUAGCUUCGGGUUCAAUCUUGCGGUGUCCUUUCCCAAUGACAGUAGGGGCAGCAAGGCAUGUAUUGUAUUGUUGCCAUCGAGGACAACAAGAUGGGGUUUUCAUCAUAUUGCAUGAGUCUAUCCCUCUACAUCAUGUCAUCUUGCUUAAGGCGUUACUCUGUUUUUAACUUAAUACUCUAGAUGCAUGCUGGAUAGCGGUCGAUGAGUGGAGUAAUAGUAGUAGAUGCAGGGAGGAGUCGGUCUACUUGUCUCAAACGUGAUGCCUAUAUACAUGAUCAUACCUAGAUAUUCUCAUAACUAUGCUCAAUUCUGUCAAUUGCUCAACAGUAAUUUGUUCACCCACCAUAGAAUAAUUAUGCUCUUGAGAGAAGCCACUAGUGAAACCUAUGGCCCCUGGGUCUAUCUUUAUCAUAUUAAUCUCCUAUUACUUAGUUAUUUCCUUUGCUUUUUCCUUUGCCUUUAUUUUACUUUUCAUCUUUAUCACAAAAAUACCAAACAUAUUAUCUUUAUCAUACCUAUCAGAUCUCACUCUCGUAAGUGGCUGUGUAGGGAUUGACAACCCCUAUUCGCGUUGGUUGCGAGGAUUUAUUUCUUUUGUGCAAGUACGAGGGACUCGCGCGUAGCCUCCUACUGGAUUGAUACCUUGGUUCUCAAAAACUGAGGGAAAUACUUACGCUACUUUGCUGCAUCAUCCCUUCCUCUUCGGGGAAAACCAACGUAGUUCUCAAGAGCUGGCAAGAUGGAUUUCUGGCGCCGUUGCCGCGGAGGUCUACGCAAAAGUCAACAUACCAAGUACCCAUCACAUACCCUUAUCUCCCUCAUUACAUUAUUUGCCAUUUGCUUCUCGUUUUCCUCUUCCCCACUUCACCCUUGCCUUUUUAUUCGCCCUCUCUCUCUAUCCUCCCUCUCUUUCUCUAUUUGCCUCUUUUUCCCUACUUGCUUUCUGUUUGCUUGUGUGUUAGUUGCUUGCUUGUCACGAUGGCUCAAGAUAAUACUAAAUUACGUGACUUCACCAAUACCAACAACAAUGAUUUUAUUAGCACUCCGAUUUCUCCUCUUACCGAUGCUGAAUCUUGAGAAAUUAAUACUGCUUUGCUGAAUCUUGUCAUGAAAGAUCUGUUUUCCUGCCUUCCUAGUGAAGAUGCCGCUACCCACAUAAAUAGAUUCGUUGAUUUGUGUGACAUGCAAAAGAAGAAAGGUGUGGAUAAUGAUAUUGUUAAAUUGAAGCUAUUUCCUUUUUCGCUUAGAGAUCGUGCUAAAGCUUGGUUUUCGUCUUUGCCUAAAAAUAGUAUUGAUUCAUGGAAUAAGUGCAAAGAUGCUUUUAUCUCUAAGUAUUUUCCUCCUGCUAAGAUCAUCUCUCUUAGAAAUGAUAUUAUGAAUUUUAAGCAACUUGAUCAUGAACAUGUUGCACAAGCUUGGGAGAGAAUGAAACUAAUGAUACGUAAUUGACCUGCCCAUGGUUUAAAUUUGUGGAUGAUUAUACCAAAUUUUUAUGCCGGAUUGAACUUUGCUUCUAGAAAUCUUUUAGAUUAGGCCGCAGGAGGCACUAUUAUGGAAAUCACUUUAGGAGAAGCUACUAAACUCCUAGAUAAUAUUAUGGUUAAUUAUUCUCAACGGCAUACCGAAAGUUCUACUAAUAAAAAGGUGCAUGCGAUAGAAGAAAUUAAUGUUUUGAGUGGAAAGAUGGAUGAACUUCUGAAAUUAUUUGCUAAUAAGAGUAUUUCUUCUGAUCCUAAUGAUAUGCCCUUGUCUACUUUGAUUGAGAAUAAUAAUGAAUCUAUGGAUGUGGAUUUUGUUGGUAGGAACAAUUUUGGUAACAACGCGUAUAGAGGAAAUUUCAACCCUAGGCCUUAUCCUAGUAAUCUCUCUAAUAAUUAUGGUAAUUCCUACAGCAAUUCUUAUGGAAAUUAUAAUAAGAUGCAUACUGAUUUUGAAUCUAAUAUUAGAGAAUUUAUUACUUUGCAAAAGAAUUUCAAUGCUUUGAUUGAAGAAAAAUUGCUUAAGAUUGAUGAUUUGGCUAGGAACAUUGAUAGAAUUACUCUUGAUGUUGAUUCUUUGAAACUUAGAUCUAUUCCACCUAAGCAUGAUGUCAAUGAGUCUCUCAAAGCCAUGAGAAUUUCCAUUGAUGAGUGCAAAGAAAGAACCACUAGGAUGCGUGCUAAGAAAGAUGCCUUUAUAAGAGCGUGUUCUUCUAGUUCCUAUGAAAAUAAUGAUGAAGAUCAAAAAGUUAUUGAUGUGCUCCCUAUUAAAUCUUUGUUUUGCAAUACGAAUCUUGAUAAUCAUGGGACUGAAUAUGAUCCACCUUUACCUAGAAGGCGUUCCAAGAAUUCAGAAUUUGUUGAUCUUGAUGGUAAAACUGAUAAAGGUGGGAUUGAAGAAAUUAAAACCCUAGAUGUUGCUAAACCCACUAUUAUGGAUUUCAAGGAACUUAACUAUCAAAACUGCCCUUUGAUUGAUUGUAUAUCCUUGUUACAAUCCGUGCUAAAUUCUCCUCAUGCUUAUAGUCAAAAUAAAGCAUUUACUAAACAUAUCGUUGAUGCCUUGAUGCAAUCUUAUGAAGAAAAACUUGAAUUGGAAGUUUCUAUCCCUAUAAAGCUUUAUGAUGAGUGGGAACCAACUAUUAAAAUUAAAAUUAAAUAUCAUGAAUGCUAUGCUUUAUGUGAUUUUGUGUGCUAGUGUUUCCACGAUUCCAAAGACUUUGUGUGAUUUGUUAGGUUUCCAUGAUUUUGAUGAUUGCUCUUUAAACUUGCACCUUGCGGAUUCCACUAUUAAGAAACCUAUGGGAAGAAUUAAUGAUGUUCUUAUUGUUGCAAAUAGCAAUUAUGUUCCCGUAGAUUUUAUUGUUCUUGACAUAGAUUGCAAUCUUUCAUGUCCUAUUAUUCUUGGUAGACCUUUCCUUAGAACGACUGGUGCAAUUAUUGAUAUGAAGGAAGGAAAUAUUAGAUUCCAAUUUCCAUUAAGGAAAGGCAUGGAACACUUUCCUAGAAAGUAAAUUAAAUUACCUUAUGAAUCUAUUAUGAUAGCCACUUAUGGAUUGCCUACCAAAGAUGGCAAUACCUAGAUCUAUCCUUGCUUGUUAUGCCUAGCUAGGGGCGUUAAACGAUAGCGCUUGUAGGGAGGCAACCCAAUUUUAUUUUUACUCCUUGAUUUUUGCUCCUGUUUAGUAAUAAAUAAUUUAUAUAGCCUCUGUUUUGCUUGUGUUCUUUGUGUUUAAUUAGUGUUUGUGCCAAGUAGAACCGUUAGGAAGACUUGGGGAAAGUCAUGUUACACUUGCUGUAAAAAACUGAAACUUCAGCGCUCACGAGAACUGCUGCCGUUUUUAUUUGGAAAGUGCUAUUUAGUUAAUUAUUUUUUCAGAUAAAUUCCUCACAUCCAGAAAUUUAUUUUAGAAUUUUUGGGGUUCCAGCUCUUGAGCUAGCUACAGAGUACUACCGACUGUUCUGUUUUUGAAAGAUUCUGUUUUUCGUGUGUUGUUUGCUUAUUUUGAUGAAGCUAUGGCUAGUAAAAUAUUUUAUAAACCAUAGAGAAGUUGGAAUACAGUAGGUAUAACACCAAUAUAAAUAAAUAAUGAGUUCAUUACAGUACCUUGAAGUGGUCUUUUAUUUUCUUUCGCUAACGGAGCUCAUGAGAUAUUCUACUUUAAGUUUUGUGUUGUGAAGUUUUCAAGUUUUGGGUAAAGAUUUGAUGCAUUAUGGAACAAGGAGUGACAAGAGCCUAAGCUUGGGGAUGCCCAUGGCACCCCCAAGAUAAUCUAAGUACACCUAAAAGCCAAAGCUUGGGGAUGCGCCGGAAGUCAUCCCCUCUUUCAUCUACUUCUAUCGGUAACUUUACUUGGAGCUAUAUUUUUAUUCGCCACAUGAUAUGUGUUUUGCUUGGAGCGUCUUGUAUUAUUUGAGUCUUUAUUUGUUAGUUUACCACAAUCAUCCUUGCUGUACACACCUUUUGAGAGAGUCAUACAUGACUUGGAAUUUGUUAGAAUACACUAUGUGUUUCGCUUAUAUCUUUUGAGUUAUAUAGUUUUGCUCUAGUACUUCACUUCUAUCGUUUAGAGCACGGUGGUGGAUUUGUUUUAUAGAAACUAUUGAUCUCUCAUGCUUCACUUAGAUUAUUUUGAGAUUCUUAAUAGCAUGUUAAUUUGCUUAAAAUCCUAAUAUGCUAGGUAUUCAAAGUUAGUAAAAUUUUCUUAAGAGUGUUUUGAAUACUAAGAGAAGUUUGAUGCUUGAUGAUUGUUUUGAGAUAUGGAGGUAAUAAUAUCAAAGUCAUUCUACUUGAGUAGUUGUGAAAUUGAGAAAUACUAGUGUUGAAGUUUGCAUGUCCCGUAGCACGCACGUAUGGUAAACGUUGUGUAACAAAUUUGAAACAUGAGGUGUUAUUUGAUUGUCUUCCUUGUGAGUGGCGGUCGGGGACAAGCUAUGGUCUUUUCCUACCAAUCUAUCCCCCUAGGAGCAUGCGCGUAGUACCAAGGUUUUUGAUGACUUGUAGAUUUUUGCAGUAAGUAUGUGAGUUCUUUAUGACCAAUGUUGAGUCCUUGAAUUAUACGCACUCUCACCCUUCCAUCCUUGCUAGCCUCUUCGGUACCGUGCAUUGCCCUUUCCCACAUUGAGAGUUGGAGCAAACUUCGCCAGUGCAUCCAAACCCCGUGAUAUGAUACGCUCUUUAACACAUAAACCUCCUUAUAUCUUCCUCAAAAUAGCCACCAUACCUACCUAGUAUGGCAUUUCCAUAGCCAUUCCGACAUAUAUUGCCAUGCAACUUUCCACCAUUCCGUUCAUCAUGACACAUUCAUCAUUGUCAUAUUGCUUAGCAUAAUCAUGUUGUUGACAUAGUAUUUGUGGCAAGGCCACCGUUCAUAAUUCUUUCAUACAUGUCACUCUUGGUCCAUUGCAUGUCCCGGUACACCGCCGGAGGCAUUCAUAUAGAGUCCUACUUUGUUCUAGUAUCGAGUAGUAAUUAUUGAUUCGUAAAUAAAUAGAAGUGUGAUGAUCAUCAUUAAUAGAGCAUGGUCCCAAAAAGAAAAAAAGGAAGUGCCAAAAAAGGCCAAAUAAAAAAAUAUAAAAAAGGGGGGCAAUGCUACUAUCCUUUUUUUCCACACUUGUGCUUCAAAGUAGCACCGUAAUCUUCAAGAUAGAGAGUCUCUUGAUUUGUCACUUUCAUAUACUAGUGGGAAUUUUUCAUUAUAGAACUUGGCUUGUAUAUUCCAAUAAUGGGCCUCCUCAAGUGCCCUAGGUCUUCGUGAGCAAGCAAGUUGGAUGCACACCCACUUAGUUUCUUUUGUUGAGCUCUCAUACAUUUAUAGCUCUAGUGCAUCCGUUGCAUGGCAAUCCCUACUCAUUGCAUUAACAUCAAUUAAUGGGCAUCUCCAUAGCCCAUUGAUUAGCCUCGUUGAUGUGAGACUUUCUCCUUUUUGUCUUCUCCACAUAACCCCACUCAUUAUAUUCUAUUCCACCCAUAGUGUUAUGUCCAUGGCUUGCAAUCAUAUAUUGCAUGAAAGUUUAUAGGUUUGAGAUCACUAAAGUAUGAAACAAUUGCUUGGCUUGUCAUCGGGGUUGUGCAUGAUGAGAGCAUUCUUGUGUGACGAAAAUGAAGCAUGACUAAACUAUAUGAUUUUGUAGGGCUGAACUUUCUUUGGCCGUGUUAUUUUGAGAAGACAUAAUUGCUCAGUUAGUAUGCUUGAAGUAUUAUAAUUUUAUGUCAAUAUGAACUUUUGUCUUGAAUGUUUCAGAUCUGAAUAUUCAUACCACAAUUAAAAAGAAUUACAUUAAAAUCAUGCCAUGUAGCACUCCGCAUCAAAAAUUCUGUUUUUAUCAUUUACCUACUCGAGGACGAGCAGGAAUUAAGCUUGGUGAUGCUUGAUACGUCUCCAACGUAUCUAUAAUUUUUGAUUGCUCCAUGUAUAUUAUCUAUUGUUUUGGACAAUAUUGGGCUUUAUUAUCCACUUUUAUAUUAUUUUUGGGACUAACCUAUUAACCGGAGGCCCAGCCCAGAAUUGUUGUUUUUUGCCUGUUUUAGGGUUUCGAAGAAAAGGAAUAUCAAACGGAGUCCAAACGGAAUGAAACCUUCGGGAACGUGAUUUUCUCAACGAACAAGACCUAGGAGACUUGGACCCUCCAUCAAGACAUAAAAGAGGAGGCCACGAGGUAGGGGGCGUGCCUACCCCCCCCCCCCCCGGCGCGCCCUCCACCCUCGUGGGCCCCCCUGUUGCUCCACCGACGUACUCCUUCCUCCUAUAUAUACCUACUAUUGGGGAACGUAGCAGAAUUUUAAAAUUUUCUAUGCAAGAUCAAUCUAUGGAGUCAUCUAGCAACGAGGGAGAGAGGAGUGCAUCUACAUACCCUUGUAGAUCGCGCGCGGAAGCGUUCAAGAGAACGGGGUUGAUGGAGUCGUACUCGUCGUGAUCCAAAUCACCGAUGACCAAGUGCCGAACGGAUAGCACCUCCGCGUUCAACACACGUACGGUUGGGAAGACGUCUCCUCCUUCUUGAUCCAGCAAGGGGGAAGGAGAGGUUGAUGAAGAUCCAGCAGCACGAUGGCAUGGUGGUGGAUGCAGCAGGAUCCCGGCAGGGCUUCGCCAAGUGCAAGCGGGGAGGAGAGGUGUUACGGAAGGAGAGGGAGGCGCCAAGAGAAAGGGUGCGGCUACCCUCCCUCCCCCCCUCUUUAUAUAGGGGCCUUGGGGGGCGCCGGCCCUAGGAGAUGGAUCUCCAAGGGGGGCGAAGGCCAAGGGGUGGCUUCCCCCCCAAGCCAAGUGGGGGGCGCCCCCACCCCUAGGGUUUCCCAACCCUAGGUGCAGGGGAGGCCCAAGGGGGGCGCACCAGCCCACUAGGGGCUGGUUCUGCUCCCAAUUCAGCCCAUGGGGCCCUCCGGGAUGGGUGGCCCCACCCGGUGGACCCCCGGGACCCUUCCGGUGGUCCUGGUACUAUACCGGUGACCCCCGAAACCUUUCCGAUGGCCGAAACUGUACUUCCUAUAUAUAAAUCUUUACCUCCGGACCAUUCCGGAACUCCUCGUGAUGUCCGGGAUCUCCUCCGGGACUCCGAACAUAUCCUGGGUUACUACAUACUAAUAUCUCUACAACCCUAGCGUCACCGAACCUUAAGUGUGUAGACCCUACGGGUUCGGGAGACAUGCAGACAUGACCGAGACGCCUCUCCGGUCAAUAACCAACAGCGGGAUCUGGAUACCCAUGUUGGCUUCCACAUGCUCCAUGAUGAUCUCAUCGGAUGAACCACGAUGUCGAGGAUUCAAUCAAUCUGUAUACAAUUCCCUCUGUCAAUCGGUAGGUUACUUGCCCGAGACUCGAUCGUCGGUAUCCCAAUACCUCGUUCAAUCUCGUUACCAGCAAGUCACUUUACUCGUGCCGUAAUGCAUGAUCCCAUGAUCAACCACUUGGUCACAAUGAGCUCAUUAUGAUGAUGCAUUACCGAGUGGGCCCAGAGAUACCUCUCCGUCAUACGGAGUGACAAAUCCCAGUCUCGAUUCGUGCCAACCCAACAGACACUUUCAGAGAUACCUGUAAUGUUCCUUUAUAGUCACCCAGUUACGUUGUGACAUUUGGCACACCCAAGGCACUCCUACGGUAUCCGGGAGUUGCCCAAUCUCAUGGUCUAAGGAAAUGAUACUUGACAUUCGGAAAAGCUACAGCAAACGAACUACACGAUCUUUGAGCUAUGCUUAGGAUUGGGUCUUGUCCAUCACAUCAUUCUCCUAAUGAUGUGAACCCGUUAUCAAUAACAUCCAAUGUCCAUAGUCAGGAAACCAUGACUAUCUUUUGAUCAACGAGCUAGUCAACUAGAGGCUCACUAGGGACGUGUUGUCUUCUAUGUAUUCACACAUGUAUUACGAUUUCCGGAUAACACAAUUAUAGCAUGAACAAUAGACAAUUAUCAUGAACAAAGAAAUAUAAUAAUAACCAUUUUAUUAUUGCCUCUAGGGCAUAUUUCCAACAGUCUCCCACUUGCACUAGAGUCAAUGUCUAGUUACAUUGUGAUGAAUCGAACACCCUUGAAGUUCUGGAGUUGAUCAUAUUUUUCUCUAGGGAGAGGUUUAGUCAAUGGAUCUGCCACAUUCAGGUCCGUAUGUACUUUACAAAUCUCUAUGUCUCCAUUUUGAACAACUUCACGAAUGGAGUUGAAGUGACGCUUGAUAUGCCUGGUCUUCCUGUGAAACCUGGGCUCCUUGGCAAGUGCAAUAGCUCCAGUGUUGUCACAGAAUAGAGUCAUCGGGCACGGUGCAUUGGGUAUGACUCCUAGGUCGGUAAUGAACUCCUUCACCCAGACUGCUUCUUGUCCUGCCUCCGAGGCUACCAUGUACUCCGCUUCACAUGUAGAUCCCGCCACAACGCUUUGCUUGCAACUCCACCAGCUUAUUGCCCCACCAUUCAAAAUAUACACGUAUCCGGUUUCCGACUUAGAGUCAUCCAGAUCUGUGUCGAAGCUAGCAUCGACGUAACCCUUUACGACGAGCUCUUCGUCACCUACAUAAACGAGAAACAUAUCCUUACUCCUUUUUAGGUACUUGAGGAUAUUCUUGACCGCUGUCCAUGUUAGGGAACGUUGUAAUUUCAAAAAAAUUCCUACGCACACGCAAGAUCAUGGUGAUGCAUAGCAACGAGGGGAGAGUCUGAUCUACGUACCCUUGUAGAUCGCAACGGAAGCGUUGACACAACGUAGGGGAAGUAGUCGUACGUCUUCUUCCCGAUCCGACCGAUCCAAGCACCAUUACUCCGGCACCUCCGAGUUCUUAGCACACGUUCAGCUCGAUGACGAUCCUCGGGCUCCGAUCCAGCAAAGUGUCGAGGAAGAGUUCCGUCAGCACGACGGCGUGGCGACAAUCUUAAUGUACUACCGACGCAGGGCUUCGCCUAAGCACUACAACAGUAUGAUCGAGGUGGAAUUUGGUGGCAGGGGGCACCGAACACGGCUAAGGAACGAUCUCAAUGAUCAACUUGUGUGUCUAGAGGUGCCCCCUGCCCCCGUAUAUAAAGGUUGCCAGGGGGUGGGCUGGCCGGCCAAAGGAGGAGGGCGCAGGAGGAGUCCUACUCCUACCGGGAGUAGGACUCCCCCCCCCAAUCCUAUUCCUAAUAGGACUCCUCGAGAGAGAGAGAGGGAGAAGGGGGCCGGCCACCUCUCCUAGUCCUAAUAGGACUAGGGGAGGGGGGAGGCGCGCAGCCCACCUUGGGCUGCCCCUUUCGCCUUUCCACUAAGGCCCAAUAAGGCCCAUUUGGUUCCCGGGGGGUUCCGGUAACCUCCCUAUACUCCGGUAAAAUUCCCGAUUUCACCCGGAACACUUCCGAUGUCCAAACAUAGGCUUCCAAUAUAUCAAUCUUUAUGUCUCGACCAUUUCGAGACUCCUCGUCAUGUCCGUGAUCACAUCCGGGACUCCGAACAACCUUCGGUACAUCAAAAUGCAUAAACUCAUAAUAACUGUCAUCGUAACGUUAAGCGUGCGGACCCUACGGUUCGAGAACAAUGUAGACAUGACCGAGACACGUCUCCGGUCAAUAACCAAUAGCGGGACCUGGAUGCCCAUAUUUGCUCCUACAUAUUCUACAAAGAUCUUUAUCGGUCAGACCGCAUAACAACAUACGUUGUUCCCUUUGUCAUCGGUAUGUUACUUGCCCGAGAUUCGAUCGUCGGUAUCCAAUACCUAGUUCAAUCUCGUUACUGGCAAGUCUAUUUACUCGUUCCGUAAUACAUCAUCUCACAACUAACAUCUUAGUUAUAAUGCUUGCAAGGCUUCUGUGAUGUGUCUUACCGAGAGGGCCCAGAGAUACCUCUCCGACAAUCGGAGUGACAAACCCUAAUCUCGAAAUACGCCAACCCAACAUCUACCAUUGGAGACACCUGUAGUACUCCUCUAUAAUCACCCAGUUAUGUUGUGACGUUUGGUAGUACCCUAAGUGUUCCUCCGGCAAACGGGAGUUGCAUAAUCUCAUAGUCAUAGGAACAUGUAUAAGUCAUGAAGAAAGCAAUAGCAACAUACUAAACGAUUGGGUGCUAAGCUAAUGAAAUGGGUCAUGUCAAUCAGAUCAUUCAACUAAUGAUGUGACCUCGUUAAUCAAAUAACAACUCUUUGUUCAUGGUUAGGAAACGUAACCAUCUUUGAUUAACGAGCUAGUCAAGUAAAGGCAUACUAGUGACACUCUGUUUGUCUAUGUAUUCACACAUGUAUUAUGUUUCCGGUUAAUACAAUUCUAGCAUGAAUAAUAAACAUUUAUCAUGAUAUAAGGAAAUAAAUAAUAACUUUAUUAUUGCCUCUAGGGCAUAUUUCCUUCAGUCUCCCACUUGCACUAGAGUCAAUUAUCUAGAUUACACAGUAAUGAUUCUAACACCCAUGGAGCCUUGGUGCUGAUCAUGUUUUGCUCAUGGAAGAUGCUUAGUCAACGGGUCUGCAACAUACAGAUCCGUAUGUAUCUUGCAAAUCUCUAUGUCUCCCACCUGGACUAGAUCCCGGAUGGAGUUGAAGCGUCUCUUGAUGUGUUUGGUCCUUUUGUGUAAUCUGGAUUCCUUUGCUAAAGCAAUUGCACCAGUAUUGUCACAAAAGAUUUUCAUUGGACCCGAUGCACUAGGUAUGACACCUAGAUCGGAUAUGAACUCCUUCAUCCAGACUCCUUCGUUCGCUGCUUCCGAAGCAGCUAUGUACUCCGCUUCACAUGUAGAUCCCGCUACGACGCUUGUUUAGAACUGCACCAAUUGACAGCUCCACCGUUUAAAGUAAACACCUAUCCGAUUUGCAAUUUAGAAUCGUCCGGAUCAGUGUCAAAGCUUGCAUCAACGUAACCUCUUACGGUGAGCUCUUUGUCACCUCCAUAUACGAGAAACAUAUCCUUAGUCCUUUUCAGGUACUUCAGGAUGUUCUUGACCGUUGUCCAGUGAUCCACUCCUGGAUUACUUUGGUACCUCCCUGCUAAACUUAUAGCAAGGCACACAUCAGGUCUGGUACACAGCAUUGCAUACAUGAUAGAGCCUAUGGCUGAAGCAUAGGGAACAUCUUUCAUUUUCUCUCUAUCUUCUGCAGUGGUCGGGCAUUGAGUCUGACUCAACUUCACACCUUGUAACACAGGCAAGAACCCUUUCUUUGCUUGAUCCAUUUUGAACUAAUUCAAAAUCUUGUCAAGGUAUGUGCUUUGUGAAAGUCCAAUUAAGCGUCUUGAUCUAUCUCUAUAGAUCUUUAUGCCUAAUAUGUAAGCGGCUUCCCCGAGGUCUUUCAUCGAAAAACUUUUAUUCAAGUAUCCCUUUAUGCUAUCCAGAAAUUCUAUAUCAUUUCCAAUCAGCAAUAUGUCAUCCACAUAUAAUAUCAGAAAUGCUACAGAGCUCCCACUCACUUUCUUGUAAAUACAGGCUUCUCCAAAAGUCUGUAUAAAGCCAAAUGCUUUGAUCACACUAUCAAAGCGUUUAUUCAAACUCCGAGAGGCUUGCACCAGUCCAUAAAUGGAUCGCUGGAGCUUGCACACUUUGUUAGCUCCCUUUGGAUCGAUAAAACCUUCUGGUUGCAUCAUAUACAACUCUUCUUCCAGAAAUCCAUUCAGGAAUGCAGUUUUGACAUCCAUCUGCCAAAUUUCAUAAUCAUAAAAUGCGGCAAUUGCUAACAUGAUUCUGACAGACUUAAGCAUCGCUACGGGUGAGAAGGUCUCAUCGUAGUCAACCCCUUGAACUUGUCGAAAAACUUUUGCGACAAGUCGAGCUUUAUAGACAGUAAUAUUACCGUCAGCGUCAGUCUUUUUCUUGAAGAUCCAUUUAUUCUCAUUUGCUUGCCGAUCAUCAGGCAAGUCAACCAAAGUCCAUACUUUGUUCUCAUAUAUGGAUCCCAUCUCAGAUUUCAUGGCUUCAAGCCACUUUGCGGAAUCUGGGCUCACCAUCGCUUCUUCAUAGUUCGUAGGUUCAUCAUGAUCUAGUAGCAUGACUUCCAGAAUUGGAUUACCGUACCACUCUAGUGCGGAUCUCACUCUGGUUGAUCUAUGUGGUUCAGUAGUAUCUUGUCCUAAAGUUUCAUGAUCAUCAUCAUUAGCUUCCUCACUAAUUGGUAUAGGUGUCGCAGAAACAGUUUUCUGUGAUGUACUAUUUUCCAAUAAGGGAGCAGGUACAGUUACCUCGUCAAGUUCUACUUUCCUCCCACUCACUUCUUUCGAGAGAAACUCCUUCUCUAGAAAUGAUCCAUUCUUAGCAACGAAUGUCUUGCCUUCGGAUCUGUGAUAGAAGGUGUACCCAACAGUCUCCUUUGGGUAUCCUAUGAAGACACAUUUCUCCGCUUUGGGUUCGAGCUUAUCAGGUUGAAGCUUUUUCACAUAAGCAUCGCAGCCCCAAACUUUAAGAAACGACAACUUUGGUUUCUUGCCAACACUACAGGAAUCGGCUACUUUGCCAUGUGCCACGGCGGACGGCAAAGGCCCGAACGGCGGACGGCAAAGGCCUUUGCCGUCAGCGGCGGACGGCAAAAGGCUCCGGCAAAGUAGGCUUCGGUAAACAGGUUCUUUGCCGUCUACUAUUGACGGCAAAGUCUUUGCCGUCUGCGGCGGACGGCAAAGAGAGAGCAGCAGACGGCAAAGACGGCGGACGGCAAUAAUUGCGCUGUCAGUCCGUUAAGUGGCUAACGGAAGGCCUUUGCCGUCCGCCGCUGACGGCAAAAUUUCUAGGGUCUUUGCCGUCCGCCGUAUGAUGUCAUCUACACGUCACUACGUGGCAGGUUCUUUGCCGUCUGCCACUGACGGCAAAGUCUUUGCUGUCUGCCACUGUAGGCAAACUGACCAAAUGGGUCAGCUCCCAGGAAGCACAGGUGGACGCCACGUGGCUUCUUUGCCAUCCGCGGCAGACGGCAAAGAGCCCGUUGCCGUCGGUGGUAGACGGCAAAGAGCCUGCAUAUUGGCUCUUUUUUCUGUUUUUUCAUAUACCCAACCAUUUUCACAGCAAAUAGAUGAUACAUAUAUAUUUUUCACAUGGCAAGUUCACAGCAAACAUAUGAGAUAUCCAACACAUAUAAUUGCAUCAUACAUGCAUAGUUCCAUCAACCAUACAUAGCAAGUUCGACAUACAUGCAUCCAACCAUACAUAUUACAAUAGUGUCAUCCUACCAUACAUGCAUAGUUCAUAGAUACAAAGGAAACAUAGUUCAUCCAAACAAGCACUCCAUCUAUGCAAGCUUCCGUGAAGUGAAUGAAUUCUGCAAAAUGGGAAAUAAGAAAGUUAGAAGAAGAAGAUUGGAAGAAGAAGAAGUAGAAGAAGAAUAUAUAUAUAUAUAUGACAUUUAUGCGCUAAUUUAGGUGAAAUUGAUCAUUUGUGAGCUAACUUAGGUGAAAUGGAUCGUUUAUGAGCUAACCUAGGUGCAAUGGAUCGCUUAUGAGCAAACUUAAGUAAAAUGCAUCAUUUUAGAGGUAACCUAGGUAAGAUGGAUCAUUUUGGAGCUAACCUAGGUAAAAUGGGUCAUUUUAGAGCUAACUUCGGUAGAAUGGAUCAUUUAUGAGCUAGGUAAGGUUAAAUGGAUCAUUUUAGAACUAACUUAGGUAAAAUGGAUCGUUUAUGAGCUAACUUAGGUAAAAUGGAUCGUUUUUGAGCUAACUAAGGUGAAAUGAAUCGUUUUUGAGCUAACUAAGGUGAAGGGCAUCAUUUUUGAGCUAACUAAGGUGAAAUGGAUCGUUUUUGAGCUAACUAAGGUGAAAUGAAUCGUUUUUGAGCUAACUAAGGUAAAAUGGAUCGUUUUUGAGCUAACUUAGGUGAAAUGGAUCGUUUUUGAGCAAACUUAGGUGAAAUGGNNNNNNNNNNNNNNNNNNNNNNNNNNNNNNNNNNNNNNNNNNNNNNNNNNNNNNNNNNNNNNNNNNNNNNNNNNNNNNNNNNNNNNNNNNNNNNNNNNNNNNNNNNNNNNNNNNNNNNNNNNNNNNNNNNNNNNNNNNNNNNNNNNNNNNNNNNNNNNNNNNNNNNNNNNNNNNNNNNNNNNNNNNNNNNNNNNNNNNNNNNNNNNNNNNNNNNGGAUCGUUUUUGAGCUAACUAAGGUGAAAUGGAUCAUUUUUUAGCUAACUAAGGUGAAAUGGAUCGUUUUUGAGCAAACUUAGGUGAAAUGGAUCAUUUAAGAGCUAAUUUAGGUGAAAUGGAUUGUUUUUGAGCUAACUAAGGUGAAAUGGAUCGUUUUUGAGCAAACUUAGGUGAAAUGGAUCAUUUAAGAGCUAAUUUAGGUGAAAUGGAUCGUUUUUGAGCAAACUUAGGUGAAAUGGAUCAUUUAAGAGCUAAUUUAGGUGAAAUGGAUCGUUUUUAGCUAACUUAGGUGAAAUGGAUCGUUUAGGAGCUACUCUAGGUAAAUUGGGUCAUUUUAGAGCUAACUUGGAUAAACUAGAUCACUUAUAAGCUAACCUAGGUAAGAUGGGUCAUUUUGGAGCUAACUUAGGUAAAAUGGAUCGUCUAUGAGCUAACUAAGCUAAUUAUGCAAUUUUUGACAUAAGUAAGCUAAGUAUAGAUUGUUUUAGAGCUAACUUAGGUAAAAUGGAUGGUUUUGGAGGUCAGUAAGCUUAUUUAGUCAUUUUGGAGGAGAAGAAGCUAAGUCUACGUCAUUAUGGUAAGCAUUGGAGGAAAUAAAGCUAAGUCUAGGUCUUUAUGCAUGUGUUAAGCAAAACACUAGAUAAACUUACCAAGAUCCAGGAGGUGUAGGAGUGGGGUGGCUCGUGUCGGUAGCUGGAGAAGGAUCGUGCGAUGCUUGUCUGGAGUUACGCUGCACCAAAGAUCAUUUCCAAUGUCUUGUUAGCAUGAUGACACUCAAAUGUUAAGACUAGUAAGUAAUGUCCAUUCAAAUAAAACUCACCGUGGUCCCAGGAGCAAUCACUGGCAUCGGCGGAGCGGUCUGACCUGUCUUCUCGCACACAGACUGCACAUUUGGUUUUGACGACUCAGUCAUACUAGUUAGUAAUGAGACAAACACUACAUGAAUGUUUUGGCUAAUCUGCAGAUGAAACUUACCACAAGGAGCUCGUACAUGGCCCUUGCCUGCAUGUCAUUCCGUGCCCUCUCCUCCUCCACCAUCUUUGUCGUCCUCUCCUCCAACUCCCGCUGCCUCUCCGCCGCCUCCGCCAGAAGUUUCUCCGUUCUAUCUCUCUCACUCUGUAUGGCAGCCUGCAACACCACUCACAUGACAAUUUGUAAUCAUUGAUGGAAGCGCACACAAUGUAAUGGAGAAAGAUAACUGAGUAUGUAUCACUAACCUUGAUGGCGACUUGCACUGGCCGUUCACGAGGCCUUAUCUUAGGAGCGGAGCUCGACUGGCGCGCCUUGAUCUCCGAGAGAGUGCUAGGACAACGGAUAAGUCCAUCUCCAAUGGCUAUGGAGCCAUGGGACCUCCCGUCACCAGAUAUCAUCAACAGCUCUGGAUCAAUGGGACCCUGGCUCGGGUUAAAGUCCUCCCCUUUCCUCGCCUUCCCCUCAUCUCUAUAUCUCACGAGCUUGUUGUGGGAGGAGAUGUUGGUGAAGUUGUUUGCAUCAUCGAGGUCAGACUGAGAGAAAGCCUUGACUUUCUUGAAAGAGGCAGUGUGGGCCAUGGCAUACAGGUCGUACACCUCUGGCACCUUAUCCGCCUUAUUAUAGCAUGCCUGAAAGAGAGAAACAAUGAAAAUUAGUAAUUAAAGGGCUCAAGCUAGCAUGAUGAAUGAAUUGCAUGAAUCAUGAAGCAAACCACAUACCCAGUUGCGCCCGAACUGAUAUAAGUUGGAGCUGCCUUGAUGGUGUGGCACACCUUCCAUUUUUGCACGUUUGUCCUUGGCCUCCUUGUGGGGGGCUAGCCAUCGUUGUGAGCACCACUCAUCGACCAACACCUCCCAACAAUCCAUCCGAUCCGCACACCAUCUCGGAGGCGCCUAAGUUAGCAAAUAGAAACUUGAGCGCUACGGCUAAGAAUUACUAAAUGAAGGAACUUAAGUAGAGAAGGCCUUGAGAAUUACCUUCAUGUAAUGCUCCUUACUCAGGAACUUAUCGCAGCAUGCCGGCUUGGUCUUCUUGAUACCACGCAAGGCGUAGUAGUCUCGAACAGCCUGCACCCGAGCCUCGUGCCGUAAGUUCUGGAGUAGGCGCUUGCAGACGUUCUCGAUAACAUGUGCCGCGUCCUCCUCGUAUCCCUCCUCACACCUGUAGAAUGUCUGCAAUCAAAUGAGACAAUGUUGAUUAGUACAAUUAAUAACUAGCUAGUUGAAGAUUUUUAAAUGUGUAAAGGAGAAAUUACCCAGAACUUUCUGAUCACCAUGUCUGCCCUCGUGUCACACACGACACCGUCGAUAAUCUCAUUUGGCAGGGCCGGGGCAGCCACGUAGUGCUCCCAGCUCAAUCCAAGCUCUGGAAGCCGACCCUCACCAGGCAACGUGACAAACCCCGGGAAGUUUUGCCGGCAAAGAACUCCAAGGACGGAGUUGGGCCGGCGGACACUAUGAUGGUGGUCCCAACCCCUGCAGCAUGACAAGGCCAACGCAUUAGUUAUUUGAAAAAAUGUGAAUGCACAAGGUACAAAAAUAUUAAAUGCACUUACGUACCUCUCCCCAUCAGGGAAAAUCAACCACCUCUGCUCGCGGGUCACCGGCACGGACGGGAGCCGUGUAGCACCACGCUGGUAGACGGUGCCCCCCUCCUCCUCAAGAUCAGUCGGCUCCCCGCCAUCAUCAGCAUGACCACUCGGCUCCUUGGGCUGAUCCGGCCAGGUACCCCAUCCGGACGUGUGCUCCUCCGGGGUCAUGUGGGCCGAACUCUCGUGGGCUGAAGACCCGUGGACCGGAGGCUCAUGGACCGGAGUUCGUGUAGCCUCCUCCUCGGACGAGUCCACCCUAGCAGUCACGUGCUUGGGUGAAACGGUUGGGGGUGGCGGCGAGGAAGGCACCGUAGCAGUCACCCUACCUCCUCUCCCAGGACCACGUGCCCCACCUCCUCUCUUCCUACCUCGUCCCCUGCUGGGCACCAUGGUCGACGAAGAAGGGCCCGGCGGUGUGGCCAUACUGUCCAGCAACGCUCGGCGGAGAGGUGCGUCUGGAAUGGAAGACCUCAGACCACGCUCCCGACCAGUGCCCACCAUCUUUCAACACCUGCCAUGACAAACAGUAAAUGAAAUUAGUACAACAUAAAAAAGGACCGACAUGAAUAAUAAUAUGUGUAUCACUUAAGUGUAUCAUCAUCAAGUACAACAUAAAAAAAUGUAAUACCGGACACUACUAAUAAUCUCGAUCAGUAUCAUCAAUAAAUGCAUAAUCAUCAUCAUCACUAUAAUCAAUGACGGGCUCAUAGGGUUCAUUGGCAUCAACAUGUGCAAGGCCACCUUGACGUAAUCGGUCAAGCAUUGACAGGUCAUCCGCAGCAGUAACCUCUUCUUGUUCCGGCUCUUCUUGUUCCUCCUCUGGGGUGAUGUCGGAUUCAUUGUCGCUGUCUACUUCAAUGUUUUGGGGUGAAGUAUAGCGGUUCUUGAAACGCUUUUUGGAAAGACGUGUCUCUUGGAAGAAUUCUCCUUCAUAUGUGUCUGGGUUAAUGUGAGGUUCAUAAUCCUCUUCCUUUGCGGGAGAAAGUCUAGCACGUGGCGGCACUUCAUAAACGACAUCCCAACCUUUCAGAUUUGGAUUAGUUUGGCAGGCCCACGGUAGAUAGAAUACUUGGGUCGCCUGUUGAGCCAUAAUAUAGACAUCAAGAACAUCUAAACGAGUGCUUUGGUUGAUUUCAACUAGCCCUACAUGUUCAUGAGUCCUUCUAGUCUCGUUUGGCUGAAACCAAUAACAUUUGAAGACUACGACAUUUUGUGGGUUUUCACCAUAGAACAGAAGUUCAUAAAUUGCUUCAACUCUCCCAUAAUACUCGGUACCUCCUUUGCCGAUAGCAGAUACACAACAAUUUGUUGACUUUGGGUCCGCCAUAGAUAGCUCUUUGCCAUAGGUACGAAAGCGAUACCCGUUGAUGUCGUACUUGUCAAAUGAACGGACCUUAUAGUCAAAACCAUUAGCGACUUGUCUCAAUUCGGCGUCCAUAGAGUCUGGAUUAGCCUACAGGUUUAAUAUGAAAGGAUUGUUGCAUUAUGCACAAAUUAGCGAAUGAAAUGAAAUUGUCUAAUAGAAAUUACCGUUUGUUUGAACCAAGAGAUGAAACCGGGAUAGCCACCUCCUUGCUUUGCGAGAAGCUCAUACUCUUCGACAGAAUCCUUUUGGAUCUCCGCUCCAUACGAGAAUAUGGUGACGUAUCGACUGUAUGACAUAUCCAGGAAUAAGAGUAGUUCAAAGGAAAUAGAAGUUGCGAAACAAUGUAUCGAGAACUUACUCGAUGUACGGCCGCACUUCUAUCAGGUUGUUGAAGAUAUACAAUGAAAUGGUCCGCCAUUCUUUGUUAUCCAAAGAUACUGGAUGUGAAACACCAGCUGGUGCGAGAUUCCCUUUGAAUAGGCUGAGGUUGGAUCCACCCUUUUUAGGCUCGUCAGCAUUGUACCGAGGCUUCGGAUUAUGCAAAUGACGAUUUUUGGCUUCGUAGUGCGCUGUUACGAAGUUUGCCACCUCCUCUGUGAUGAAUGCCUCAGCCAUCGAUGCUUCAAUUCUACGUUUAUUUUUACAUUUUUCUCGAAGCGUGUUCUGCAUCCUCUCAGUUGGGUAGCACCAACGAUUUUGCACGGGCCCCCCCAAUCUUGCCUCGGUCGGGAGAUGCAAAAUCAAAUGCUGCAUUGGAUUAAAGAAGCCCGGUGGAAAGAUUUUCUCUAACUUGUAGAUCAACUCCGGCGCCAACUCUUCCAUUUCUUCUAGCACGCCAGGAGAUAGUUAUUUCGCACAAAGAACACGGAAGAAAUAGCUGAGUUCUGCCAGUACUAGCCAUUCAUCCUCAGGGAUGAAGCCACGCAACAUCACCGGCAUUACCCGCUCAAUCCAUAUUUGCUCCCCUCUUUAGAUUCGCUGCAUACCCAUCGGGGAACAUCAACUGCUGUUGCACCCACAAGAGAAUUUCCCUCAUAGCUGGCCUUCCAAGAUUGAACCAUGCCUUUGGCUUCGUCUAGUUCUGCUUUCCUUUCGGUUCUUUCAUGUUUUGUAACGGCCUAUCACAUAGCGCCUCCAGAUCGACUCUAGCCUUAGUAUUAUCCUUUGACUUCCCAUCCAUGCCGAACAAUGUACCAAAAAGUGCCUCGGUGAUAUUCUUCUCAGUGUGCAUCACGUCGAUGUUGUGUGGGCAAAGGAGGUCUUUGAAGUAAGGCAGAUCCCAUAAGCAUGUUUUGUGAGUCCACGCAUGCUUAGUAUUAUACCCCUUGAAGUACCCUGGACAUUGUGGAUCUGGCUCGAGAGCGUUUAACUGAUCCAGGGUCUGUUGGCCUGUCAAUGCAGGUGGUGCAGAGUUUUUGACAACUCUACCCCUGAUGAAGUUCUUCUUGUCUUCCCUGAACUUAUGGCGAGGAUCCAGGAACUGUCUAUGCAUGUCGAAGCAAGAAAACUUGCGACCGGCCUGAAGCCAACGAAACUCAAGAGCUCCCUGGCAUGUGGGGCACGGGAACCUUCCAUGCACACACCAGCCAAUGAAUAGCGCAUACGCCGGCAAGUCAUGCGUCGAGUACAUGUACUAGACACGCAUUAUGAAGUUCCGUUUGCUAAAGGCAUCGUAUGUCUUGAACCCAUUAUCCCAAGCUUCUUGCAAUUCGUCCUUAAGCGGCUGCAUGUACACAUUCAUAUUUUUGCCCGGAUAGUUGGGUCCUGGAAAUAUCAACGUUAGGAAAAUGUUCUUUCUUUGCAUAAUCUGUGCGGGGGGGAGAUUGAGUGGAAAGACAAAUACGGGCCAACAACUGUAUUGGGCUGCCAUCAUACCAAACACACUGAACCCAUCCGUGCUGAUGCCGACUCGAGAAUGCCUCGGAUCUGCCGCUUUGUCAGCAUGUAAUUCAUCAAACUUUUUCCACGCAACACCAUCCGAUGUGUGUACCAUCAUCAGAUUCCCAUCUGCAUCUAGUGCGGUUCUUUUGCCUGUUUUGUGCCAUGUCAUCUGUCUGGCCGUCUCUUUGACCAUGAAAAGACGUUGAAGUCUUGGUACAAUUGGCAUAUACCGAAGAACACUAACGGGGAUUUUGGUCUGUGUCUUCUCACCCAUACCGUUGUCUACCACAAUAUACCUGGAAGACUUGCAAAUGGGACAAUAGUUCAAGUCCGCAUAGUCAAGCCUAAAUAAGGCACAUCCUUUCUCACAGGCAUGUAUCUUCUCAUAGGGCAUCUUCAGUGCAUGGAGGAUUUUGUCCGACUGGUACAGGUUUGCAGGCAUUACAUGUCCUUUGGGUAGAAAGCGUCCAAAUACUGUCAUAAUUGCGUCAUAGCAUUCUCUACCCAAGUUGAACUGAGCCUUCAGAGCCAUUACUUGUGAGAUGGCAUCCAACUGACAAAGCUCAGUGUGCUCGCGGAGCGGACGUUUCGAAGACUCCAACAUUUCAUUGAAGGCCUUUGCAGAUUCCUCCAUCUCCUCGUCCGAAUCCCGAGCAUCAUCAUAGUCUUGCACCAUGUUUUCCAUCCCGGUACCAUGCUCGUCGGUGCGACGACGAUCCACCUCAGCUCGGUCACGUUGGGCAGACUCACCAUGAAAUGUCCAGACCGUAUAAUCGGGCGUAAAACCACUCUUCUGCAGGUGUUUGCCCAUUUCAGCCUCUCUCUUCUUUUCCCAAUUGCCGCACCGGAAAUAGGGGCACCAGGUUUUCUUUUGGCCAUUUGCAAAUGCGGCUUGCACAAACCCCUUAGUUUUUGUGAACCAUUCAGCGCUCCAUUUGUUCUGACCAGUGUGACCGGUAUACAUCCAAGCACGGUCACUCAUCUUGACUUUCAGAGCUACUGGACACACAACAAUUAUAUAUGUAAUUCACCAUGUAUAUAUUCAUCAGUUGAUCUACUGUGUCAAUUUUAUUACGUCCAUGCAACCUACACUCUAAUAGGUAAUGAUAGGUCCUAAUCCCACCCGUGUAUGUGUAGAUUGGGUUCAUUUUCCCAUGCUAUGCUCCGGAUCCGACGCAAAAUUUCGGCAGCACCUCCCCGUUAUUCUCCUGAUACACGUCUCUGCAAUAAACAGAGAGGAUGUGUACCCGGAGAACAACAGGGGAGGCACUGACGAAAUAUAUGCGUCGGAUCCGGAGCAAAGCAUAUGGGAAAACGAACCCAAUCUACACAUACUCGGGCUGUCCAUGGAUAGCGUUGGACAAUUCGAAAGAAUCAAGGUUAUAAAUAUGCAAAUGCAUGCAUAUUUAUAAAUAUGACGCUUUCGAAUGGGAGACACAUAUUGGUUACGCAUACUGAUGAUUCAAGACACAUAUAUAGCUAGCUAUCAAGUUUCAUCGGAAUAGAUCAAAUAAUUAAUGGGGGAGGAGGACUUGUCAUUUGUGCUCACCCACGAACGAAGGGCAGAGCUCGUCAAACGCACGGCGAGGUCGUCGAACACCAAACCUCGCAGCGAUGAAACAACUGCACAUUUAAAACUACACGAUCAACACAAUUAUAUAUGAUGUUUUUCAUAACUAAAUCGAAAAAUAUAUAACCUAACUAAUAAUUCACAAAUAUAUGA
rnacentral:lncRNA from 1 species